AAUUCAAAACUUCCGUUGAUUUAAAACUUUUAUUGCCUAUUAUUGAUUUCUGUUCGUGGAUUCCUGCUGAAAAUUCAAGAGAUUGACAAACCGCUCUCCUACAUAUAAAUUUAAAUACUGACAUGGAGGUCUGGUUGCAAGCCGACAAAUCAACUCGACUAGAUUCAUCAUCAACAAUAUGUAUUAAUUUGAGCUUGAAUAAACUAUUAUUAAUUUCCUACUUUUCCAAUUCUCAGAUAAACUGGAAAUCGAGCAACCUUUUUACUCUGGCCAUCUGAAUUCCAAGCAACUUUAAACUUCUCCAUCAUAUUGUCUGUCAAAAGCUCAACACCCCUGUUCUUAGCCGUCUGAUAACCUGAACUUGACCGUAUGAACGUUAAGUAAUCAUCUAAAUCCAUCAACUUCUCUAAAACAAACUGAUCAAACGGCCCCGUAUUAUCCACCCCAUCUACAGGCUCAAAUGGAAAAUCAAUGCUCAUGUACUUGUUCUCCACCAAUUUAUGUUGUGGUUGCCGAAAUGGCUCAUAAUCAACGGAGUGAAAUGACUUGAAAACUGCAUCUACGGACUCGUUGAUUUCGGGCCAGUAGUAGGUCCAUGCCGCUAUUACUCCAUUAGGUUUUUUGAGUACCCAUUUUACUUGUUUGUAAAAUUGAGGCAAGUCAAACCAAUGUAGUGCUGUAGCAAUUGUCACUAGAUCUACACUUGAUUGUGUUGCCACAUUUUGUUCAAGCUCAGUUAUGGACAUGGUUGGAGGAGUAAGUUGAUACCGAAUGUUGGGGAGCUUUAUUGCGAAUUCUAGCUGCUUUGGGCUUGUGUCUGUAGCAAUGACAUUCUUGUAGAUUGGUGCAAGCUGAAGACAUAAUUGAGAAAAAAUAUAAAAUAUAGGAGGCUAUAACAAAAGUACACAAAAUUGAGAAGGCCAUAUAUAAAAAUUACAUAGACAUGGUGAAAUUUCAACCCAUACUCAGUUUUUGUGUUUUUUUUUUUUUCAUCCUCAAGGUUGCCGGGAUACUCUAGUUCCCCCCUCGGUAGUUAGAUAAGAUUUUUCUGUACUAGUCUCACGACUAAAUUUCCAGAUAAUGUGGAUAUUGAUUUGUAGAUAAUACAUACAUAAUUAAUCAAUGAAAAUAAUAGGGAUUUAACUAGGGAUUGGCAAUGGGAGGAGAUCGACAUUCCUGUAUCUAUUUCUGAUACUCUACUUGUAUCCUUCUACUCUCCCCGUCCUUUUUAAAAUUGCUUGAGGAUAGGGAUGGGGAUCCCCAAAAACACCCGAUCCCGAACAACUGAUUUUUGAACUUGAUUUAAUCAUAUUAAAGUAAAAAAAUAAAUCAUUUAACAACACAAACACAUCAAAACAAACUAAAAUCAUUAAAAUCAUUUUCAUCAAACUAAUUAAGUUAGUGUCAUCAAAAUUACAAGAUAAUCGAUGAAAUUAAGUAAAAAUAGAACUUCAGGGUUGAACACAUACAUAAAAGUUACAUGGUAUAAACCAUUAAGAAAAUUAUCUUCGUCAAUCUUCAAGUGUUCAUAUCUAUUAUGAUAUUUUUUUUAUUUAUAUCCAUACCAUCACAAUUUAAAUUUUAAAUAUAAUUACUAAAAAUUUUCACAGAAAUAAAAUAAAAUAAAAAAUGGGGAAACGAGAGAGAUGAGGAAUUCACUGAAUCCUCAUCUUCUCCCUGUAUAAGAUAUUGAGUGUUAAGUUAUCUCUGUUCGUUCCCCGAAUUUUAAUUAAGAUACAAAAUUGUUCCCACACCCUACACAAAUGGGAAAAAUCCUUCAAGAUUCGUCCCAUGAGAAUUUCUGCUAUCCCUGAAUUUAACAGUUAUAUAAUUCAACUUUCUUAUAGCUUGGGAUCAGAAUUCUGAAAUAUUAAUAUCGAACUUUUGUAUUAUUCAAAAAUUAAAUCUAAAGAUGUGAAAAGUAAACUUACGGAUGCAGCGGCCUGGCCGCUUCCGGUGCCGACGUCCCAUACAAGCUCGUGUUUGGGUGUUUUAGAGGCAAUGAAUUUGAACAAUUCUUCUGGAUAAUUUGGUCGUGCUUCCGCGUAUUGCUUUGCCUGCUUAACGAACAUAUCUGCCAUCUUUUCUGUUUUUUUCUAAAUAAGUGUUGACAAUAGAAUUGAGAUAAAUCUACUGAUCACUUGUUUCGUUUCUUCUUUAUAUAGGUUUUAGAAUUUGAUGUAGUAGACGAACAGACAAAUUUUAGUUAGAAAUUAAUUUGGUAUGGUUUAUCUGGGGAAGCCCAGAACGAGGACAAGCUCAUAAAGCGUUAAAUUUUGACCGAACUUUUCAUUCUUCCUUUAAUUUUCAAAGAUUCCCUUUUCUUCGCAAAGAUGAUGGUAUGGACUUCAUCAAUGAGCCCACAUCAACUCCACUUAGAGAAUUUUUUUGGGAUAAUUUUGUCAUUAAUUUAAGCUGUUAAAGGUAUCUAAAGAAGUAUUGAACUACUACUUUGCUCUCUUAUGGGGUUAAGAUGGCGGAGUUUAAAGGCAGAUUCACCUCAUGACCAUUAGGAGUUCAAGCUUCCAAUGGAGAAAAUAAUUUAAAAAAAAGUAAUGAGAUGAUUGUUUGAAUUAUUAAUUAGAACCAUUAAAUUUAUUAAAAUAAUCGUGUUAAAUUUAUAAAAAUAGGUCCACAAAUUCAUAAACCUAUAAAAUUUAAAUUUUGACUUUGAAACAUAUAAAAGCUCAUGCUUUAAUUAAAAAAAUAAAUGUUUACAGUAGUCAAAUUUAUUAUUAUUUAAUUUAGCCCUAUUAAAUUUACUAAAGUAACCUCUACAAACUCAUUAAUCUAUAAAAUUUUAGUAUUGAUUACAUUUUGUUAUUAUAUAAUUUAAUCCUCUGAAUUCGCUACCAUUUGGAAUUGGCUCUCUAUUAUUACUCGAUCUAGUCCAAGUUCAAUCAAAGUUGGCUCUCUAUUAUUACUUGUUCUAGUCCAAGUUCAAUCAAAGUUGGCUGUCUAUCAUUGACACUUCUCGUUCAGGUUCAAUGAAAGAGAUCAAAGCAGAGUUUGUUUGCGAUUCAGUUUGUGUAAAUGCAUGUAGGUCCAGGUUGUCUUAUUUUGUGGUCCACUGGUGUAAAGAAUUUAAAAAGUAAUUGGAUAAGAGGAUGCGUCUUGGAUGAUGAAAUGAAGCAAUAACACAUCUUCAUGUGCAGUUUUUACGACGUGCACUCGGUAUGAUUAUGAAUAAAAAAAUUAUUAUCCUGUGGUGUAUUUUUUAUCCUGUAAUUAAUUUUGUUUGUCUUUUAAUAUUGUGUGCUUUUAUAUUAUUUUUUGUACACGUGUCAUUCAUUGUUUCACUACUAUUACCAUGCUCCUAAAAACCUUACUUUUUUUUUUUUUCGGAAGAUGCCGCAUUUGCUUGAUUUCAACAUUGGCAUGCUCGUCCUUCUUACGCUUUUGUCUUUCUAUAAUCAUCAUAUUCAAUGGCAAAAUUUCAACAAGAUAGAGCAAACAUUCAACAAAGAUAAGUCUUCUUAUUGGAUUAGGCAUAGAUUUUUAAUUAAUUUGUUAUGGAAGUUGGUGGCUAUCCACUAUCAGCUUAGAUCAAUUUAACUAGCUAUACUUAAUUAGCUAAGUUAUUUGGGUGAGCAAAGUCUGUUAGUAGUAAAGCUCGGAAAAUCACCUAAGAAAAAUUGAAAAAGGACCAUCAAAUAUACACAGUUUGCUUUGAUUGGCCAUUCAACAAAGCAUCUGAAGAGAUUGGAUGGCUAAAGAGCUAAGGCUUGGCUUUGUUUUGAUUGGCUAAUGGAUCCUAUAAAUAGAGAGCACUGCUCUUCGUGAUUUGUAUCCUAAAUUGAAACCUCAUCAAUUACAAAAAUAUCACCUUCCUUUGUAUCAUCUAUAUAUUAAUUUAUACUUUCUACAUAUAUGUUGUCAAUGAUUAUAACACGUUAUUAGUUAGCACGACAAUCAUUUUGGUACAGGAAGUAUCUUAUCCCCUGCUCUUUUAUUUUAUCUAUUUAAUUAAUAAAGCUAUCUUUAUAAAUAUACUCUGAAGUUGUCAUUAAUUUGGAUCUUCCACAUAAAAAAAAUAUGACUAGCUAUUGUAUUUCUUCUUGUUUAUUUUAUUUUAUUUUUAUAAUAGAGGGGCUCUAGAACGAGCUAAGGUAAAACAUAUAGGGAGUAAAUAAUCCCAUACAAAUCAUUUGCAAUAAAACUAACAACCCCUGGAGGAGGAAUAGAAAAAAGAUGCAAUCCCAAGGGCAGCUCCAAGGCAUAAUUUGUUAGGAAGUCCGCUGCGAAAUUUGCUUCACGAUAUAUGUGGUUGAUGGUUAUAACCCAAUUUCGCUUGAUGAGAUCUCUAAUGGAGCGGAUGAGGUGGGUAUACUCGUUGAUGCUCUCCAUCUCUAAUGGAGCGGAUGAGGUGGGUAUACUCGUUGAUGCUCUCCCUGUGGCUGUUAACCAUCUGAACAACACAGUGGCUAUCCACUUCCACGUGUAAAAACCAAGCACCAUGUUGCCAUGUUAAAAUUAAUCCUUGGUAAAGGCCCCAAAGUUCUGCUGCAAUAACUGAACAGACGCCUAUGUUGAAGCCAAAGCCAGUGAGCCACAUGCCUUGGUGGUUGUGUAUGAGACCUCCAGCACUUGAUGCCCCCAACUCUUUUCUUGCUCUGUCUGUGUUUAGCUUGCACCAGGGCCAGUUAGGUAACUUCCAGGUGAUCAAUCUCUCAAUUUCUCUUGAUCUCAACAACCAAAGAUGAGUUGUUGAUGUUCUAAAUCUCCUCAACUCUAGCUUUAAUAUCUUGUAUUAUACUAAUACUGUCCAUUAUAAAUAAAGAUAAAACAAAACCUUUUUCAAGUCACGGUGUUGUGCAAAUUUUAUUGAACUCGCAAGUGCACGAAUCUAUUGUAGAAUAGACUAAUGGUGACGAGUGUCGAUCCCACGAGAAGGUGGAUUUUAAUUGUGUGUAGAAUUAAUUUUGUAAAUGGGUGGUUGGAUUUGUGGUGAAAAUGAUUUGGAUUAUCCUAAAAUUCGAAUUAAGAUGGCAAGAGUAAAUUGAAGUGAAAAUAUAUUAAAUUGACGUACUUGGGUAUCUGGAUCCGUAUCAACAUGCAUCAUGGGCUAAAUAUUCUUUAUUAAUACCAAUUAAAUCAUGAGGGGGGAAUCCACAUCUCAUGAACCACACUCUAAUCAAUAUGGUGCUAAGGGCUUAUCGUGCCAAAUAAUACUAACCUUGUAUUAGGAAGCCAGUGAAACCAAGGCGGUACUAAACAAGAUUAUUAUUAUUUGUCGACGAGAAGUCAAAACAUCCACAAACACUAGAGGGGAAUAGAAAAUAAAUUUACCAAAUAAAGCCCAUGACACAUGUUGAGACUUCACCUUCAACCCAAGCUUGAAAGAAAAUUAGUCACUCAUAAUUGAACUAGGGGAAAAAUGGGAAUUUAUUAAAAUACGUAGAAAAUACAAGAUAGAGAAGGAAUUAUAGAUCCCAAAAAUGGAUUCAGAGAUAUCAAAUUAGGGGGGGAGGCCCCCUUUUUAUAGAUACAUUGAGUAAAUCAUGGCCAUCGGAUUAAAAACAGUUUGGACGCUCAGGAUUGCGCCACGUCAUCAGUCAAUAGUACGCGGUUUGACCACGCGGGUGAACAGUAACACGGUUUGACCGACUUUGAACAGUAACGCGGUUUGGUUGAAAAUAAUCCUGUGUAAUGCAUGUACCGUACGCGCAAGUUUUGGUCCACUAAUAUGCUGCCACGUCACCAUCAACAGUUCAUAAGAAUUUUAGACCAACAGAAUCAUGACACCUCAUCAGUCAAUGCCAUGUCAUCAAUCCGUCUAUGUGAACAGUGUCGUGAACAGUAACGUAGACAGUACCGUACAUGUAAAUAGUACCGUACAUGUGAACAAUGCCAUUUUUCCUUUUAUGCUCCUCCUAAGGUUUUCGACCGUCCUGAGUUCAAAAGUGAUGUCCGUUUUGCCGUCUGAUCUCUCGUUUAUUGUGAAAUGACCAUGAUGCCCCUAAAAUACAUAAAAUACUUAAUUAAAAUAAAACACACGGAAUUAAAUCAAAAGAAGGUUACAUACAUAAAAGUAAGGGUGUUAGUAAAACUUGAAGUAUAAAAUGACGAUUUUCUCCUUUAUAAAUAUACAUUUUCUAACACUCAACACACGGGUUCUUUGUAUAUCAGCCUAUGUGGAUCCCACGAUUGAUAUUGGUUUCGUCUAAUUAGCUGGCGACGGUGACGAACUCAUUCUCUUUUUUUUAAUCAAACUUUCAAGCCCUAACUUUAUCCAAGUUCUUCACAAAAAUUUGAGGCUUAUUUCCAAGGGUAUUUUAGGUCAAGGAUGGUGGCUUUGAAGGUUUAUAGAAGCGGCUUGUGAGGUAGAUCAUUGUUAGAUAGAGAGAGAGGUAGAGACAAAGAGAGAGAGAGAGAGAGAGAGAGAGAGAGAAGAGAGCUUCAGUUCAGAGAAGAAAAUGGCCAUGGGGAUAGAUUUUUUGCUUAUCAAAAUUUUUAGAUUUUAGGUUUCCAUGUACACCUCAUUAAAACAGCAUAGUUUCUAGAUAAUUUAAUUUAAUUUUUAAUAAUUACUACAUCAAGCGAAAAUACAACUUGUGGUCUGGUUGUUUAACGUUUAAAAUUAAAAAGCUAAAGCUUAGAAGUCUACGGUUCGACUCCUAGCGUAUACAAAAUUAAAAUUUUAUUUUGUUAAUUACUGAUACCUUAAUGUCACAUAUCUUUGAUACUUAUCUAUUAAGUGCAGAAAAUGUCCCAAAUGCAUGUAAUUACUGAUACUUUUUAAUAAAGUGUCACAAGAUAAGUGUCAACAAAUACCAUUUUUCUUGAAGUGUUAAUUAAAAAAAUUCGAUUUUACCCUCAAUGAAUUACACAGUAAACAACAAUAAAUUAACGGAAGGGUGUUUUGAGCUUUUUUUUUUUUAAAGUAUGGAUGAAAUGAACUGUUGUUUGAAUAAUAAGGAUGAAUUAGGCUAUUGCAACAAAUUCAAGGGAUGAAAAAGGAUUUUUCUCUUUUACUUAGGUGCUGUUUAUUUUUUAGUUUGAAGUUUGAAUUUAAUUUUUUUUAGACAUUUGUUUAUUUUAGGUUUUUUUUUUAACUUAUCACUUAUUGUCAUAUAGUUUAUCUGAAUAGAAAAAGUAGAAAAAGUUCACUUUAUUUGAAGUCUGAAGUCUAAAUAUAUAUUUUUAAUUUCAAAUCUCAAAAAUACCCUUAACAAUUCAUGUAUUUCUAAUAUUAUGUAUAAACCUUAUAUUUUUGUAUUAUUCUUGAAGUUAUUUUUCUAAUUGCUUUAAAUUUUUAUUCACAUGAUAACAUUAACUAAACUGAAAUAUUGAACAAAUCAAAUUAUGUUAAUUGUGAUGAAUCAAAAAUAAAAUAAUAGUGUUGACUUUAUAAUAAACUUUAAUGUUAUAAUUACAUCUUUCAUUAAAAAAUUAAAAGAAGAUCAACAAUGAUAAUAUUUUUUUUAAUGUUACCAAACUAAUCAACCUGUGAAAAUUAUAACUGUGAAGAACAAAUAUAUGCACCACUUAAAAUGAUAUUUAUGCCAAAUUACUAGUUUUUAGGAUUUUCUCUUUAGAUGUUGAAAAAGAAAAACAAAGAUGUCAUUCAAAUAUUUUCAUUCAUAUUUAUUCAGAUUUUAGUUAAAUUCAGAUCUAUUCAGAUUUCAGAUUAAAAAAAAAAAUGCAAUCUUAGUUUAUAGGUACAGGACUCCACUCUAGCAUGGUUUUUAAUAUAAAAAGAGAGAGAGAGAGGAGAGAGAAAAUGGAUAAAAGAAAGAGUAAUGAUAAAAAUUAAAAUAAUGCUCGUGGGCAUUUUAGUCAAUUCAAGUUGAGAUGAAUGGAAAUCAAAAAAUAAAGAGGAAACCUAUUUGAAGUUUUAAACCGAUAAAAAAAAUAUUUUAUGUUGUAUUUCUCCCGAUACCCAUUAAUUAAAUUUUAAAUUUAUGAUUAUCCUUUAAACAUCCCUCUUAAUUUCAAAAAUAGCCCUUUAUUCUUUUCCACCAUAAUGGUGUUUUAAGCGAUACAUAAAAUGUUUUUCUACCAUAAUUUUGAAUUUCAAAAACUUGCUUUAGUGUUGGUUAAAAAUAAUUAUUUUUCAGGAUUAAUAAAAGUUUCUUAUCAUAAACUCAUUGUAAUUUUUUCUUAGUUGACGAAACUCUACAAAACUGAAUUUGUGUCCCUAGCAAUGCCACUUUGAAGCUUUUACAAAAUUAAUUGUGAUGUCACUGAUGUGUCUAUUAUUUUAAGCUACAAUCAAGGCAUAAAACCUUGUCAAUCUUGUAAUAUGCUGGUGUUGGGGAUUUGGCGAGGGUAUUGUAAUUAAAAACUUCAAUUACAUUAAAAGAUUUAGGAAUAAUGUUUUAAUUAUAGAUUCAUAGCGGAAAUCCUUUUUUGGGAUCCUUUUAUUAAGCUGUAGUCACAGUCAAAUAAUCAUUUGGCUUUAAGUUUUUGAUAUAUAUAUCUAUAUAUACAUGCACACAUAUACAUACAUACAUAUGUAUGUAUAUAUAUUCAACAGAGAAGAUUGAAACUAUAUGUAACACAUUAGACUGAACUUGCCCAUGAGCUAUCUGAUCUAAAAUUAUUGAUGAACUAGACAUAGGGGUUCACCUUGUAGGGAAAAUAGAAUCUAGAUCGUUUAAUGCUAUAUUUAAUAUUGGCGUAACAAUUGGACACUAUUAGAUUGCAUUAGAUAUAAGAUAUCCAACAAGCGAUAGCUGAGAAUGCAUAAGGGAUUCUACCCAGUGCUGUUGCAACAGUUUCUCAAUUAGAAAGACAGUAAACACCAUUAAGUCACAUUGCUUUUAUCCCUCUGUCUGACGUGAUAAUUUUCUUUACUACAUUUUUUAUUUAUUGUAUUUUUAUUUUAAUUAGUUUAUUAGUAUUAUUAGUCGAUUUAUUUCCAAUUAAAACAAAACUGCGUUGUUAAGAUUGUUAUAGCAAAUAUGAUAACAUAAAUCCCUAUGGAGACGAUCUGGAUACUCAUCAGUAUAUUACUUGUUGUGUACACUUGAACAUUGACAUCCAUAGCAUUAAAGAUUUUACACACCACAUAUUUACAAAUUAAAUAAGGCUUUGUACAGUUUAAAAUAAGCACUUAGAGCUUAGCUUGUUAGAUUCAAGUAUGUAAGGCUUUCUCAGUGGCAUUUUCAGCACUCCAAGUCUGAUAACUCUCUUUUCCUCAAAUGGGAUAGAGGUCUUUUGGUUCUAGUUUUGGCAUAUGUUUAAGACAUGAUCAUCACUAGCUCCAGCUCUUUUAUAGUUCAACAGGUUAUUCAAGAAAUGCGUUACACAUUUGCUUUAAAAGACUUGGCAAAGCUCCAUUAUUUUCUAGGCAUUGAAGUCAUAAAGACUCAAAAUAUAGUUCAUUUAUCUCAAGCCAAAUAUAUUGUCGACAUUUUAGCAAAACAUGGACAUGGCUAGUUGUAGUCCAGUGCCUAUACCUAUGUGAACUGGUCAUAUCUUAAAGACUUAGGUGAUGAAAUUGAUAAUGCAUCUUAGUGUAAAAGUGUUAUUAGAGCUUUGUAAUAUGCCACUCUCACAACGCGAGAGCUAGCCUUCUCAAUUAACAAAUUAAGCCUAUUUUUCUUACGUCCAAGGACUCAUCAUUAGGAAGCAUGAAUACGACUCUUGAUAUACUUGAAGGGUACUUUACAUUUUGGAUUGCAUUUCUAUAGUUGUCGUGCUAUGCAGUUAAACUAUUUUGUAUAAUAUUAUUGGGCUUGUGAUAGAGACGAUAAGGAUUUGCAAUAUAUCCAGGUCCCAACUUGGUUUUAUAGUUAUCUAAGAACCAAUCAGUGGUCUUUCGAUCAAGCACAAAGGCUGAGUAUAUAGCUUUAACUCAUUCAACUUAGCACCAUGCCUAUAAUCUGGUGUGCCAAUCAAGAAGCAACUACUUUGGCGUAUAACCCCAUUUAUCAUGCUAAAACCAAACACAUUGAGCUGGACAUACAUUUCAUUAGAGACAAAGUUGUAGCCAAGCAAAUUCAAGUUUGUUUUAUACUAAGUGCAGACCAAACAACUAAUUUGUUAACCAAAGCACAUACUUUUAAACGGCUCUAUUACUUGCGUAGCAAGUUGAAUGUUCAUUCUAGACAUUUUAACUUGAGGGAGGUUGCAAGUGAAUCAGAUGUUACUUGAAUGCAGAGCAUAUGGUGCAGCCAAUAGCAGCAGAUCAACUACUAAGCUAAUGUAGCAGAAUUAGCUAUUUGGUUUAACUUGUAUUAAGCAAAGCUCACGUGAGCAUAACAGAAUAAAAAGCAUUUAUAACGGAAUUAGAAGCAUGUAGAAUUCAGCACUAUAAAUAUGUAACGUGCUUUCAUUUCAAUUAAUUAAUUAGAAUCUUCUACAAGUUUCUUCAAAAUAUUCUCUCUCGUUUUCUAGUAUUUCUUGCUACUUUCUUACUUGCCAAACAUCUUCCAAUAUUCUAAUAUUGUACAAGUCAAAAUGUCAAACCAGUGCAUGGCUUGAGCAUUAAUUGUUGACACGACUCAAAAGUAUAUUACUCCCAAGUAUAAGAUUAUCUAGUUAUAAUAUAACCCGGUAAAUCCGGGAUCGAAUCACAGAGAAUUUAAAAUCUAGUUGUCAAUUUAUUGGACAAAGAAAAUUAAUUGCGGUAAAAGAAAUCACUAGAAAAAAAAUUAAAAAUAUGCUAAGGUUUCGAGAUCCACUCUUAAUAUUCAAACUAUAAUUUUAAUACUUUCUCAUUUAUAUUUUUUUCUCACUUUUACCAGUUAAUUAUUAUAUCAUUUAAUUCUAUGUGUGUGGAUAAAUAUGGAAUAAAGUACCUAAUGUGCCACAACUGUAUUAAUGUAUCGACAUUAUGUCAAAAUACCAUAUAGAUCCAAAAGAAUGUAUAAAUUAACAUGACAUAAAAAUAACCAGAAAAUAAUAAAAUAAACUUAAAAACUCACUUUGAGAAAAUAAUAAAUUUAAUAGUUUGAAACUUUAAGCUUUACCCUUCACCUUAGCUUAGUAAAAUUAGCCACUCAUAUUGAAAGAAAACACAACAUUCUUUUUAUUUGAUAAACUUUUGAAAUAUGUUAUAAAGAAAAUUGAUACAAAUGGAAACAAGAAAAGAAAAGUAAGAAAGAAAGAAAUUCUUCAGCUGCACCCUUGGCUACCACUCUCUCUCUCAGCUCUUGGCUCAACUCCCCCCUAAAUUGCUUGCAUCCCCUUGCCUUUUAUAGGUAAGGGAAGCAUCUUCUUUUCUUUUCUUUUAUUAAUAUUAAUAUUUUAUUUUAUUUUUAUAUUAUAUAUACAUAUUGAAAGGGGUGAUGGCCAGGAGGCGUGAUGGCCUCUUGACCAUCACAAGCAACCAAAUCAUAGCUGCCUUUUGUUCUUUUGUUCUUUUUUUUAUUUUAUUUAUUACAUCUCCUUAAUGAUGCAUUCUAAAUUGCUCCAACAGUCCUUCUUUGUUCCCGCUUUCGAUUCCAAUUCCAUCUUUAUUCCUGAAAAAUAUUUACAAGAUAAAAAUUAACAUAUUACGAAUUAAUUUUACAUAAAAAUAUAUUUGGGGAGUAUUAAGAUAAUUUAUAAGUAAUGAACACAUUAAUCGACAUAAUAAGUGAAAAACUAAUAAUUUUAUCGUUAUUAAAUGUACACUUUUUAAUGCCAAUCAAUUGUCGCUUAGAUCAAAGGUUGAUUGUGCCGCCAUGUUUUAUUCAAGCUUAAAAAUGGACAUAGGACAUUGCUGGUGUAGUGAACUGUAUCGAUUGUUGGUGGCUUUGUCGCAAAUUCUAAUUGUUUUGGGCUUGUAUUCGUGCCUGUGGCAUUUUUUAAGAUCCUAGGUCUGAAAAUUUAUGGAACGACUUAAAAACAUUUGAUUUACUCUCAAGUGUAAGAGUACCUAGUUAUAAUAUAUCUCGGUGAGUCCGAGGUCGAUCCACAGAGAAAAGAUUUAAUUAAUUUAUUUUAUUUUAUCUAAAAUUUGAAAAUAAAACUUAAAUACAAACAACUUAAUUUAAAUAAAACUAUGAAAUUGAAUUAGUUAGGGUUGUGGAUUCACUCUUAGUUGUAAAUAAAACUUAAUAAAUUCUUUUUGCCAUUUUUUUAGAUUUAUUGCCCAAAAGAUUCAUUAUAUAAAUUAUUAUUAUUUUCCCUUUAAUUUUAUAAUGGAUUAAGUAUUCAUUGUGCCAAAAUUUAAUUUGUCUACAAUAAGUCAAAAUACCAUUUUACCAUACCUUAUAUUAAGAUAAAAAGAAUUUAUUGUGCCAAACUCCCUUGUUUGUCUACAAUAAAUCAAAAUUUCAUAAUAUAAAAUGCGUAUAAAAUUAAAUAGAAAAUAACUUAAUUUAUAAAAUUAAAAAUAGAAUUUGAUUAAAUCAUAUUUAUUUCCUAAGAGUUCACCUUCCCCUAACUAUUAAUAUUUAGCUAAACAUUUUUUUAAUAAAGGAAAUUACUAAAAUUGAAAAACACAUAAUUAAAAAUGGAAUUUGAAAAUUGAAAUAAAACUAAUUUUAUUGAUUGAAAAUAAAUUACAAAGAGAGAUGAAAAGAAGAAUUUGGGGGGAAAGAAGAGAAGAGAAGGUGUGGAGAGGUGUGUUCACCCCCCCUCUAUUUAUACUAAUACAUGGUAAAUUCUCACCACACAAAUAAAAAAUCUAAUUACAUCUUAACCUUACAUUUGUCCCACUAAUAAUCCCACUAAUGAAACAUAAACCUAACUUAUCCACUCAAGCAUAUCCAAUACAUUCCACUAACAAUUACCAUACCUAACAUGAUAAAAACUUAUAAUUUUAUAAUUGCCACAUUUACCGUGGUAAAAACGUAAAAAUUUACAACAAAAGUCUUGGAUCCUCCUCGACAAUGACAUAAUUUCUCGGACUUCCGGAAUCCAAAUUUAACAUCCAUACAUUUGAUCGGAGCCUCAAAUUGCAUGAAAUUAUUAUUUUUACCUAAUAAACAUAAAAUACAUAAAAUCAAAUAUUUAGAAAAAUAAUUAGAAAUUCACAAUAUGUUACACAAUUACAAAUAUAAAUUACAUUAAUAAAAAAAUAUAACAUUUUAACCCUUAAUAAACAUGCAAUUUUUAACACUAAUCACACCCCCCAACUAGCUUAUUGCUAGCCCCUAGCAAUUAAAGCGUUAUAUUAAAUUAAGAUUUACAAAAUUCACAUGCAAGUUAAUAGUUGUUCAUCUAUCCUCUAAAUUACCAAAUAAAUAAACUCUCCCAAUUUUUUUUUUAAAUCUUGGUCGUCCACUCAUUAUCCAAAAUAUCAUAAACCUUAUUUUCUGCUCAAGUAAUUAACACAAUACUUAUGGGGUUUCAUUAAAAGAAAACAAUAUUUUCGUUUUAAAACUCAUUAGAAAUUCUAUCUUCAGGCAGUAGAUUAUUCAAGCUUUUUUUUUUAAAUUGCAUUUUUAACCCAUGUAGCGAGCUUUAGGUCAGUGUCUCCCAGACCAGUUGACCUUAGGACAAUCCAUAACUAGGCCACCUUUCUUUGACUUUAAUGACUACCCAUAUUGAAAAACUAGGAGAAUUUAUUUGUAAGCUUUAGGUUAUAAAAUUUGGCAAGUUGUUUGUGAUGGUUCAUUCAUGCCUAUGACUAAAAAUAAAGUAGGAGAUGAUAUUCAAAAACCUUCAAGUCAAUGAAGUGAGUUAGAAAAGAAAAAGAUAUCUUUAAACUCUAAGGCAGUGAAUGCUUUGUUUUAUACUCUUGAUAAGAAAGAUUUUCUUAGAGUGUCUAGUUGUAAGAGUGCUCAAGAAAUAUGAAACAAACUUGAAGUUGUCUAUUAAGGGACAAAUCAAGUUAAAGAGUCUAAGAUUAGUAAAUAUACUCGACAAUAUGAAUUUUUCUAAAUGGAACAAAAUGAGAGCGUGUAUUCUAUUUAUACUAGGUUUACAUAUAUUGUGAACACAUUAGAAGCCCUAGGAAAAAUAUUUUCGAAUAGCAAAAAAGUUAAGAAAAUUAUUAGGUCUUUACCAAUAGAAUGGAGACCUAAGAGAACUGCCAUAGAGGAAGCUAAAGAUUUAAAUACUUUGCAUAUUGAUGAUUUAAUUGGUUUUCCUAUUUCAUAUGAGGAAGAUUUGACAGCAGAAAAAGACAAUAAGGAAAAAAAAAAAAAAGAAAAGCAUUGCACUUAAAGCAUCAAAGCAUGCGAGUGAUGAGGAAAGCGAGCUUGAUGAUGAAGAUAUGGCUAUAUUGUCCAAGAGGUUUAAAAAAUUCUUCAAGAAAGCCGGUGAGCGGAAAAGAUUCAGAAACUACAAGAACCAAAAGGAGAAGAAGGAGCUAAUUACUUGUUAUGAGUGCAAGAAUCAUGGACACAUACGAUCGGAAUGUCCUCUUCUCGAAAAGCUUAAGAAGAAGGCAAUAGUAGCCAUAUGGGAUGUUAGUGAUAAGGAAACAAGUGAUGAUAAAGAGCAACAAGAGAUGUAAAAUCUAGCUCUCAUGGAAUUGGGAUGAAUCGUUUGACGAACUUGAUGAAGUAAGUGAUCUACCUAUGAUUAAUUAUAUAAUGCUUUUAAGGAAUUGCAUGAUGUAUGCCUUAAAAGGAAAAUGCUAGAACUUUCAAAUGAAAAUGAUGUCUUGUAAAAUGCAAUGAUUCAUUGAAUAAAAAGAUCAAGGGAUUGGAAUUAGAUAAUGAAAUGUUGUAUGAUAUGAUUACAUCAUUUAAAUAUAAAUAAAGUACUUCAUAUGAGCAUGAAAAAUCACAUGUUGAUAAAUUGAUAAAAGAAAAUGAAGUGCUUAAGAAAAAGAGUAAUGAACUCAACAAAAUUUUGUUAAAAUUCACAAGUGGUCAAAAGAAUUUAGAAAAAUUGCUGAACUCUAAAAAAUGUGUAUUUGAUAAAGGAGGACUUGGGUAUAAGCCUAGCUUGACUUGAAGCAAAAGUAUUUUAGGAAUUACUUUGUUAAAGCUACCUCCACUAGUGAUCAUAAAAUUAAUUGUCAUUAUUGCAAUCAAAAUGGUCAUAUGAAAUAUAGAUGUCUAAUGAAAAGAAAUGCAUUCAAUGGAGUCAAAUGUGUAGCUCCAAAAGGAACUAUUGCUAACACUCAAGGACCCAAAGAAAUUUGGGUACCUAAGACUUGAAAUUUCCUCUGCAUGGUUUGAAGAAGAAAAAGAAUAAACGGCACCUGGACAGUGGUUGCUCAAGGCAUAUGACUAAAAUUAUUCUUGGUUUUCAAGUUUUACCAAGAUUGAAAACAGUAGAGAUGUGUCAUUUGGAGAUAAUUCAAAAGGAAAGAUUAUCAGUAUCGGUAAUAUUAGUAAAAAAUCCUCUACUCUUAUUGAAAAUGUGUGUUUGGUUGAAAACUUGAAAUACAACUUACUUAGCAUUAGUCAAUUGUGUGAUAAAGACUAUAGAGUUAUCUUUGAUAAAUCGAAAUGUGUUAUUGAGAAUGCAUAUGAUGGCAAGAUUUUGUUUGUAGAAAAUAGAUGUGUUAAUGUUUAUAUCAUUAAUAUAGAUUGUGUAUCUACUUAUGAUAAAUGUUUCUCUACAUUACAUGAUUAUAGUUGGUUAUGGUAUAGAAGACUAGGUCAUGCAAGUAUGGAUUUGAUUUCAAAGAUUUCAAAAAAUGAUUUGGUUAAUGGCCUUCCAAAAAUUAGUUUUCAAAAAGAUAGAAUUUGUGAAGUUUGCCAAUUUGAAAAAUAAAUCAAAACUUCUUUAAAAAAAAGAACCAUGUCUCAACUUCAAAACCACUUCAACUACUUCACAUGGAUUUGUUUGGACCUUCUAGAUAUGUAGUUUAAGUGGCAAAUAUAUGCAUUUGUGAUUGUGAAUGAUUAUUCUAGAUACACAUGAGUAUUGUUCUUUGAUAAUAAGAAUGAUGCCUUGGAUGCAUUUAGAAUUUUCUACAAAAAGGUUCAAAAUGAAAAGGGAUGUGCUAUUUCUUGUAUUAGAAGUGAUCAUGUGGAGAAUUUGAAAAUCAUGUAUUUGAGAAUUUUCUAUAAAAAGGUCAACACUGCUUGUUAUGUUUUAAAUCAUAUGUUUAUUAGACCUUAUCUCAAUAAGACUCCCUAUGAGCUUUGGAAAGAUAAAAAACUCAACAUUGGUUAUUUCAAAAUUUUUGGAUGCAAAUGUUUUAUUUUGUAAACAAAAGAUAAUCUUGGCAAAUUUGAUCUAAAAUCUUAUAUUGAUAUUUUUCUUGGUUAUUCAAAUACAAGCAAAACUUAUAGAGUGUAUAAUAAAAGAACUUUGGUUGUGGAAGAAUCUAUGCAUGCUAUAUUUGAUGAGUCUAAUCCUUCCUCUACGGAGAGAGUUGUUGUCGAUAAUAAUAUAGAUGAACAGUCACAACAAGGAUUAUCAAAAGAUAAACAAGAUGAUGCAUCACAUGAAAAUAAAGAGGAUAGACAAUGAGAAUAAAUAAAUGAGGAGCAACAAGAAGGUACAUCUCAAACACUCCCCAAGGAGUGGAGGUAUGUUUCCCCUCAUCCGAAGGAUUUAAUUGUAGGUGAUCCUUCAAGAGAUGUUACCACUAGAUUAUCAUUUAGAAAUACUUGUGAGCACGCUGCAUUCAUAUCUCAAAUUGAACCAAAUUCUUUGCAGAUGCGAAAAAUGAUGAAUCUUGGAUCAUGGCAAUACAAGAGGAGUUGAAUCAAUUUGAGAGAAACAAUGUGUGGAAAUUAGUUUCUAAAUCGGAACAUCAAUCUAUUAGGCACUAAAUGGGUAUUGAGAAAUAAAAUGAAUAAAUCCAGUGUGGUUGUAAGGAAUAAAGAUAGAUUAGUGGCUCAAAGAUACAACCAAGAAGAAGGAAUUGAUUUUGAUGAAACAUUUGCGCCUGUAGCUAGAUUAGAAUCCAUUAGGAUGUUGUUAGCAUUUGCAUGUCAUAAAUAUUUAAUUUUUAAUCAAAUAGAUGUCAAAAAUACUUUCUUAAAUGGUUAUAUUAUGGAGGAACUUUAUAAGUUUUCUAAAGCACUGUAUGGAUUUAAAACAAGCACCUAGAGCAUCGUAUGACAAGCUUAAAAAUUUCUUGCUGGAUAAUGAGUUUUCAAUGGGAAAAAUGGAUACUACUCUCUUUGUUAAGCAUAAGAACCAAGAUAUACUUGUUGUUCAAAUUUAUGUUGAUGAUAUUAUCUUUGGUUCUACUAAUGAGUUUUUGUGCAAGGAGUUUUCAUCUUGUAUGAUGAGAGAAUUAAAGUAUUUCCUUGGACUUCAAAUCAAACAAAACAAUGAGGGAAUCUUCAUCAACCAAGCUAAAUAUGUCAAAGAUCUACUCAAAAGAUUUGACAUUGAUGACUCAAAUCCAAGAGACCUCCAAUGAGCACAACAAUCAAGCUUGACAAAGAUGAAAAAGAUAAUAAGAUUGAUAUAAAAAUGUAUCGAUGUAUAAUCAGCUCUUUACUUUACUUAGCCGCAAGUAGACCUGAUAUCAUGUUUAGCGUAUGUUUGUGUGCAAGAUUUCAAUCAUGUCCCAAGGAAUCUCAUUUGCUUGCUGUGAAAAGAAUUUUUCGUUAUUUGAAUAGAACUAUAGAUCUUGGCCUUUGUUAUCCUAGAGGAACCUAUAUAGAUUUAACUUAUUAUUCGGAUGUCAAUUUUGCUGGUUAUAAAAUCGAUAGGAAAAGCAUUAGUGGAACAUGUCAUUUCUUAGGUCAUUCUCUUAUUUCAUGGUUUAGUAAGAAACAAAAUUCGAUUUCACUCUCAACCACCGAGGCAGAAUAUAUUGCCGUAGGUAGUUGUUGUCCACAAACUCUUUGGAUGAAACAAACACUUAGAGAUUAUGAAUCUUGAACAAAUUCUUAUCAUGUAUAAUAAUAUUAGUGCUAUAAAUCUAUCAAAGAAUCCCAUUUAGCACUCUAGAACCAAGUAUAUAGAGAUUAGACAUCAUUUCUUGAGAGAUUAUGUUCAAAAGGGCAACAUUGCAUUAGAAUUUAUCUAUACAGGAAAAAAAAACUUGCCUAUAUUUUUACAAAACCUCUUUGCGAAAAAUAAUUUUCAAAAAUUUGGCAUAAACUUGGGAUAAUGAAAUUUUCGCAUUAACAUCUCUAAUCAUGUUAUUGAAUCUAUUAAAAUUGAUUGAUUGAUGAUUUGCUUAUGAUUACAAAGUUUUUAAGCAUGAUAAAUGAGUGAUGUAUUUGAAUCAAUAAUCUUUGAAUGCUUACAUGUCUCAUGAUUGUGUGAUGUAUAUGUAUGAUAAAUGUGUUAUAUAUUUAAAUUUAUAAUCUUUGAAUAUUUAUAAUUAUGAUUCAUGCAUUAAAAUGGCUUUUGAAAGUGUUCGGGAUCACGAAAUGGUUUUGGAAUCGAUCAAAAUUAGCCGGAAAGCAAACAUUUGUGCAAAAGGGCAGCAAAGAGACAGUUACCCGCUUGCCCCAAACCCGAGAGUAAGCGGCUAGCCAUUUGCCUCUAAGCGACUAGCCGCUUGGUCACGGUUUUUAUACAUUUCUUCCCCCUUUCUCUUGCUUUCUUCAACCUUUCUCUACUCUCUUUCAUGGCCGUUCAUCUUUCCUCCAUUUCCUCUUAAAUUAUUUUCAUUUCUCAGUCAUUUUCAUGCCAAAAUCAAUCUUUUAAACCAUUACCCAUGCAUUUAACCUUCAUUAAACACUUCCCAAUCAUCAUUUCAUCACUUGUUUCUCCAAAUCUAAAAAUCAAAACCUAAGCUUACCUAUAUCUCUCUCUUAUAUUUUAGGCUCUUUUUAGCUCAUUUUUUUUAUCCAAUUAAUACCAUACAUUGCCUUAAAUCAUCUCUAGGAUCAAUUUUAUUGAUUCAAAUACAUUCAUUUCACUCAAAAUCUUGAAAAUUCGAAUUUAGGUAUUAAAGCUUGUUCUUGUUUUCAACAAUAGUUAGUAGCCAAAAAUCCAAGGGAAAACAUAUAGCCAAGAAGCGCAAGGAAGAUCAUGGAGACAAUCUAGAGUUCAUAUUAACACAUUUUCUGCAACCACCUUUUCAGAAAUGUUUUCACGAUAAAUUUAUGUCGAGGUUGGUUAUUGCCCCCUAUUUUGUCAAUCUUCUUCAUUCGGAGAAUUUAGCAAUUUUUGAUAAAUCUCUUAGUGAUUUUCUUAUUGACAUGGGUUAGAAAAAUGUUUUAGUUUUCAAGGAACGAUGUUAUGAAAUUUAGUUAAAGUUUUUUAUUCGAAUAUGGUUAUUUCUUUGCAAACUACAAAUAGAAUUGUUACAAGUGUUGGGGGAAUACAUAUUGAGUUUGAUGUUGUGGAUUUAAAUCAUAUUCUUAGAACUCCAAAUGAAAGGUUGGAACAUUAUACUGCUAAAAGGAAAAUAGAUUAUUCGUGGUAUUCAGUUGAGGAUAUUGUUCGAAAAAUUUGUAGAUGUUUCGAUUUGUCCUUUAAGUUUUGUAAAUCUACCUUGAAAUCUCAAGCCUUACCCCUUCAACUUAGGAUCCUUCAUUAUGUUCUUUAACAUGUCAUUAGUCUUAGGCCUGGACAUGGGGAUGAAGUUACUCGAUUAGAUGUGGCCUUAUUGGAUAGCAUUCUAAAGGGUAGGGUGCUAAAUGUCAGUUAUAUUAUUCUUCAUCAUAUACUUAGCACUCCAUGUAUAGCAAAACGAUCCCUUCCUCAUGGAAGCAUUUUUACCCACAUUCUCAAACAAUUUUGGGUACCCAUAAUCGAACCAACAUUUUUGAAUCCUAAGGAAUUAGGAGAUGAAGCUAUAGCCAAUUUAGGGUUUAUAUGGACGGAAGAUAAAUGGUGUAAAAACCAGAGAUACAAAAACAAGGGUACUACAUUAGCUCCUAUAGAUCAUCGUUUCUUUAACGAUGUUCUUCCACCAAACCAGCUCCUUGAUCUCAAUGCUCCACAGCGCUCACAUCCUUCGUCUUCUGAGGGUCCUUCCUAUUCUACUUCAGCAGACCUUGAGGAUCCAAUACAGUAGCUAUUAACUGAAGUGCAUUCUCUUUUUGAGCCGCAGAACCAAUUUCAGUCCCAGUUUGAGGCCUUUCAAAUUCAGUCCACUUUGAAGCAACAACGCCUGUUUAAGCAGUAACAAUGUUUAUUUAAUCAACGACAUCGACUCUUUGCUCAACAACAGUAGCUUUUUGAUGGUCAACAACAACUUUUCGCUGCUCUUGGGUUUCCACCGCCAUCCUCAUUAUCACAUUCACCAUCUUCAUAGUGUUCUAUUCUUUUUCAUCUUGAUUUUAGUUCUUUGUUUUAUUCUGCACUACAUUUUCAUAUGCAUUGUUGUUUUACUUAUGGAUUAAGGAUGAUUGUUGUUUGAUAUUUAAAUGUUUUACAUUUGGAUGAUAUUUUAUGGAUUCUUGGAUAACUCUUUGGUUACUUGCAUGCUUGAUUUUUAUAUGUUUCUUGAUUAUCUAUUGAGAUGUUAUUUUUGGUCUGAGCAUGGAGUUAUAGUAAUUGUGAUGAUGAAGAGGGAGAAGUCAUGUAUUUUGACCUUGAAAUAUUGAUGCAUGAUUUUGAAAUAUUUAGAGGGACCAUACAUUUGUUAAAGAUCAUGUAUUCAGGGAGAGUUCAUAGUUCAUUUAUAUGUUGAAUUAUGUAUGCCAUAUAUUAAGGGGGAGUAUAAAUGUCAAAAUACAUGAAAUGUUUGUCAUCAUCAAAAAAGAAAAGAUUGUUAGCCUAAAGGGUUACAUAUAUUGUAAUUUUGAUGAUAAAAAACAUGUCUUAAGUAAUAUGAUAAAUAUUGUAUUUCACAUUUUCACUAGUUCUUGAAGGAUAAUAUUUAGGCAAGUGAAUCACGUGAAAUCAGGCUCAAGGCACUCAACGUACAAUAGCUCGAUCAAGAACAAAAUUUAGUUCAACGAAGUCAUUAUUGCGACAAAUUAUUGUAAAGCUGAUAUGAUUUAAUGUAUGCAGGGUUUAGCAUUUAAAAAGCUCGAGAAGUUGUGGGUAAAAAUAUAAUUUUUAAUAUAAUAUUAUUGUAGAAAAAUUCAAAUUGCAACGGUAACUUGCACUGUAUUAAGUGGUGAGCCGGCUAGUUAAGAGGCUAAUCGCUUGCUUGCGGGUUUUGUCCAUAAUGGCUAGUUUUUGUAUCAAAACUAUAUAAAAUCAAAUCCAGUUCAUUUUUAAAGACUUUUGCAAGUAUAAACAAGUGUAAACAAUAUAUUUUAAGCUUCUAAUUCGCAAAUCAUCAUAGAUUAAAUAUUCAUUGAGUUAUUAUUAAGAGGUUAAUAUCGUAGAGGUUACCGGGCAAAGCCAAAUUGAACUUGGAGAAUCUUAGUAAGUGUUCAAUUUUGACCAGAAUUUUUCAUUUUCAACCUUUAAUUUUCAAAGAUUAACCAUUAUGGACUUGCUUUUUUUUGUUUGUGCUUCAAUAAGCUAGUCUUCUUUCACAUUGCUUAAUUACAAAAUUUUACUACUAAUACAUCAAUUUAUUAAUUUUUUAUUAUUUUACUUUAUAUUUACAAGUCUUAUACUCCAUUUCUAAAUUUUAUAUUUUAUUUUACAAAUAACGUUGAUUUAUAAAUUUUAUAUUAAAUUCACAAAUUUUCUGUUUGAUUUACAUAAUCUAAGUUUAAUCACAAUAUUGAUACCAUGGUUUUAGUCACUACUUUAAUUAACAACUAGAUACGGAAAAAAAUAUAUAUUUUAACUAACUCAUUACAUGAAGCUUUUAAUAUAUUAUAUUCUAAAAUAAUUAAAAUAUAUAAGACAAAAAUCCUGACAUUCUUGCUGUUUUUGGAACGUUAUAGUGGCAACUUUUUAUUUUAUUAUUAUAUAAGAGUGAAAAUCAAAUCUCUUCCCUAUCACUAAGUAGUAUACUUCCCAAAAAAAAAAAAAAAAGAAUUUGACUGUCAUUUAAUUACAUUAAAAAAAAUGUCAUAGAAAGUGUUGUGUCACUUUUAAUCAGAGGAUGGGAGUGCAUUACGACUAUUGUAUAUAUGUUAUGUUUUCAUGAUGAUGUUGUUUAAAUAUUUAGUGCUUAUUUGGUAUGACUUAUUUAAUAACUAUAAGUGUUUAUUUAAUCUCAUAAGUUCCUAUCAUAAUUUUUGUUAUUGUUUGGUUGUUUUUCUAAUAGAGUUUUUAAAACUUAAAUAAGUUAUUUUAUCUCUACUAGUAAAAGCUCCAAUUUUGAGCUUUUGAGAGUAGAGGCUGAGAAGUUUUUUUUUUUAAAUGUCAAAAUAUCUAAAAUAUCCUCUACUUAUUUAAUAAUUGUAUUUAUUAUUUUCAUAAUAUAACUUUAAAAAACUUGCCUAUUAUAAUAAUUUCAUAAAUUUUUAAUAAAUAUUUUUAUUGACAACCAAACAACUAAAUAUUUUUUAGUAAAAACUCUAUUUACAAAAGCUCUAUUUAAAUAAGCUCUACUUUAAAAGCUGUACUAAACAGAGCCUUAGACCGAUACCUAAUAAUAACACAGAGCAGCUCGAGCCUAGCUCACCCAACUAAUGAAAAAGAAAAUGAUUUAGCCUCCUGCUAUUAGAUAGGUGUAAUGCAUGCAAGUAAUACACACAUUUAUUCAAAAGAAAAUACAUUUAUUUAUUCAAAAGGAAAUACAUUUGUAUGACAGAUGUAUAAGUAAUGCAGUGCCAAAAGUCUUCACUUAAAAGUUGAAGGCAUAUCAUCAAAACAUGUGACCCCUAGGGAUAGAAACUUGAACAUUCACAAUGAUCAAUGCAACUUGUCCUUCAUUGUUCCAGAAGAUAGCUAGGCACAUUAAUCCUCCAACAUUUCUCAAUGGAUUUCAAAAUCAUCGACAAUAUAUAGCUUUAUGGUUCUCUUUUUUUUAUUCACAAUUUUUUUAUUCUAAUAUUGAAAUUAAUUGGUAACUGCACAGAACUGACAAUUUCUUGGCACUCAUUUUGUAGGGAAUUGAGAUUGUAACUUACAAAUUUAAUAGCAUUUUGAAGCCAAGGAAAUCUAGUCUCAAUUAAUAUGACUCUAGCUUCAGGAGAUUAUGUCUCUAGACAAAUACCGAUGAUCAUGAAGUGACGGAUGAAUUCUAGUGAUAUAUUCCUUAAAUCGCUUAUAUAUUAUGAUUUUUUUCAGAUCUAAUGACCCAGUAAUUAUUUUUGAGCACAUAUAACACCUAGAUCAUUAAUAAUGGUGAUCAGCAUUGUUUUAAGAUUUAGAGCAAAUUAUGUGAUAGCCUAGGGACACUUGGCCGAAUGUUACCUACAGUUAAAACAAGAUGUUUGUUAAAAUAUCUCAAUGAAGAGUAAGAUGGCGGGAAAGCUGUAGUUCAAUAUGCAGAGAUCUUUUGGCAUUUGGAAACAAUAAUCUUGAAGGUUCUAGAUCCUCACAACGAUGAAAAGGCCAGAAAUUGAUCAACAAAAUGAAGGGUGCAUAAUAUGCAGCAAGUGAAGACAACAGUACACAACGGUCUUAUCAUCAUUGUGCAUAUUCAUCAAUUAGUCUCAGUCAUAAAUCAACAAUUGUAACAGUUGUAAGUAUAGUACAGAGACCUUAUGUAAAAAGCAAGUGAACUCAUGAAUAAAGAUGUGCUGGUUACAUCAAAUUAUUCUGUGCAUUGCUUUCGUAUUAUUCUCUGCACAAAAUAGCCAUCAUUUUAUGUAAUUUAAACUUGGUAUCGGAGCUCUCAUUCCAGAAAUGGGCGUGAUUCAAUAUCGUAGUUCAACUGAAGAGGUUGACCUUAGUGAGCAAACACUUGAAACACCAGCAGUAACACAACAGUCAUCAUCCUUAAUUAUUGCGCAAAACUCCUCUCAAAUUUUCCUUUUCAGUUUCCACAGAACUUGACAGAACUAUGUCAUCUAGAGGACCAUGGUCAUGCCUGCCAUACGUCGCAAUGGUCUGGAGCACCUCAUUAGUGACUCACAAGACAUACCAACCAAAUAUAUCAUCAGUACUGAGGAUGACGGCACAACCAAAUCAACACUAAGACCAAAUUUUGUGAUGUGUUGCAAACCGGACCAACUACUCCUUAGUUGGCUUCUUUCUACAAUCACAGAAAGUAUUAUUUGUGCUGUGACUCAUUGCACAGCUUCUCUUGAGUUGUUGACAGUGCUGGAGAAAAUUUACUCUUCACAGUCCAUGGCUAGGUCAAUAGUGCUAAGGAUGCAACUGCAUAGCACUAGAAACGACAAUAUGAUUAUCAGUGAAUACUGCACCUAAGAUGAGAAAUCUGGUAACGGAACUUGUUACUGCUAGAAAGAUUGUCUCAAAUGAAGAUCUCUGCAACCACAUUAUCACAGGACUUGACAGAAGCUAUGAGUCUGUGUUGGGGAGCCGGACUUCAAUGCUUUAAAACAUUCCUUUUUGAAGAACUCUGCUCAAUCCUCUUAAGCCAUGAAGCAAGACUUGAACAGCAAGCACCUGCUGAAGCACAAGCUGCCUAUGAGGCAAAUGUCACCAUGAAACACAAGUGUGGGAUGAAUGAGAACAAGGAAGGUCAUGGGAAAGGAUACAAUCCAAACCAAGGACCUGGAAAGUCUCAUGGAGGCAGAGGAAGCAACAAUAACAGCUUAAGAGGAAGGGGCAGAGGUAGAUAUGGAGGAAAGAAAACAGUCUUUAAGCCUGAUGUCACCUGUCAUAUUUUGCUUCAAAGUUGGUUACACUACAGAUGAGUGUUGGCACAUACGUGAGGAAGACUUUGUGCCCAGAAACAAUGAGCAACAACACCAAAGAGCGGCCUUUGUUGUAGCUAAUGAAGGAGUGCUUGAAACAGGGUGGAACCUAGACAGUCGUACGACAAACUAUGUGACUAAUGACCUCAACAACUUGAGCAUGAGAUCUGAGUAUAAAGGUAAUUCCUUUCUCAUGGUUUGAAAUGGACACAAAUUAAAAAUAUCACACACUGGCACAAUACUAUUUCCUUUAUCUUUUGGUAAAAAAAGAACAUACUUGACUCUUAAGAAUGUUUAAUAAUGUUCUAUAUGUACUUGAUAUAACCAAUAAUCUCCUUAGCAUAUCAAGUUUGAUCUCAGAAAACCAUCUUAAUAUCUUGUUUACUGAAAAACAUUGUUGUUGUAAAGGACAAGCUGGGGAGUGCUCUUCUUCAAAGAACGAAUCAUGGAGGACUGUUUGUGGUCAGUAGAACUGCUGAAAAUAAAGCGGGAAGUGUUGCUGUCAAUUCUCUUUUAAGUUCACAGUCUUUGUUUGCAAUUAUAAUAGAGUCAAAUUCAGUUGAGUUUGAUUCUAAGUCGGCAGAGUUUGAAUGUGUUCAGUCUAUUGAGUCGAAUAAAAAUCGAGUUGGAUAUGUGAAGCAAUUAGACCUUUUAGAUAGAAAGUUUGGUCAUCCAAGUGAUGCUGUCCUCAAAAUAAUAGUGUCAAGCUGUAAUAAUAUCUCAGCCUUAAAUAAAAAAGAAUCAAGUUCCUUUUGUUCAGCCCAUAUAUAUAGAAAGAACCAUAAGCUAAGCUUCAAAAAAAGCUCACGGACUAAAACGCAAGCAACAUUAGAAUUAUUGCACAAUGAUAUCACCUAUUCCAUUAGGAGAAAGGUACAAAUACUGAGCAUAGUAGAUGACCACACUAGGACAUUUCCACUCAUUAACAAAUCUGAAACAACAAAAAUCUUUAUAAAAUUUAAAGAACAAGUGGAAAGAACAUCAGAAAAGAAAACUUAAGUGCUUAAGUGACUGAGAGGUGAAUUUAGGCCAUUAAAGGGUAUGUAGAGAUAUGAGGAAUAGUCUUUAUAUAUUCAUGCCCUUACACUUCAAUGAAGAAUUGAGUGGAACUGUAUAUAUGCCACAACCAGAUGAAUUUGAAAGCAAGGAAAAUUGGAAAAACCAAGCUAUGUCUGUGAUUGGAAAAAGCACUAUAUGGCUUAAAGCAGGCACAAGGAGUCUGGUAUAAGAAGCUGAGAGGAGUUUUGCUGACUUGCGGAUUCAAAAUGCAAUCUCAGACAAAUCGCAGACACAUUAUUAUUUCUCGGGAAGAAUAAGGGAAAGUCAGUAUAUGUACUUAUAUAUGAUGAUGACAUAUUGAUCACAGGAAGUGACCAAAGAACGACUGAAGGCGUUAUCAAACAAUUGAAUGAAAGUUUUGCUUUUAAAUUACCUCGCAUACCCAUCUAUUUUAUGCAAAUUGAAGCAAAAAGAGACUGUGGAGGGAGGCACUCGUGCUAAGAAAAGUAUAUACAGGAUCUACUAAAGAAAACCAAAAUGUUACAGCUAUAAGAAUAGUACGGAGACCUUGUAUGAAAAGCAAGUGAACUCAUGAAUAAAGAUAUGUCGGUUAUAUCAAGUUAUUCUAUGCAUUGCUUUCAAAUUAUUCUCUGCACGAUAGCCAUCAUUUUCAGUAAUUUAAACUCUUACGCUAAUUGGAAAAUGCACUGGCUUGCUUCUGCAGUAAUUUGGUUGUUGGAUUGGACCAUUGAUUUUAAGUGAUGAAGACAAAAUUCAACAAGGAACACAUACGAGCCACAUGGAAAAAUUCAUUUUUAAUCAUUAUUAAUCACAUAAUAUGAUCCAUGUAGCAAAAAUUAAAUUUAUUAUUAAUAUGAGCCAAGGACUAAUUAUUUCAUACAACAAAGACAACAUUAUGGUAUUUGUUAUUUAGCUUUAUUAUAUGUUGUUCCCUUUCUAUAAAUAAGACUUCGAGCCGUAUUGAAUAAAUAAGGUGAAAGUUAAUUAUCUGCAAUCAUGACAUAUUCCCAAGAUUCAAAAAUCAAUUCAAAUGCCACCUAACAAUAUUUAUUAAAAAUUAAAAAAAUAAAUAUAAAUAGAAACAAAUUAAUGAUUUUCGACUACCCCAAAAUCUAACACAUUUUUUAUCCUGCUGAUAUCUAAAAUCUUGAUUCUCUCAAACUAACAAGAGUUAGAAACAAAACCUAGUCAAAGCAGUGGAUUUAAUUAUACAUUUGUAAAAAUUAUGGCAUCAUCCAUUUUGGAUGCCACAUUAUUUUUAUAUCUAUCGCAAUUUGAUGAGGCAAAGGAAAAAUGAUGACUUUUUUCGAUGAGACAAAAGAAAGAUGGCUUGUUUUUUAAUGAAGAACAAAAAAAUGACUUCAUUUUAGUGAGGCAAGAGAAUAUUGAUUGUUUCUUUUAUCUUCUUCACUGCUUGUUUCGGUUGCAAUAUUUCAAAUUAGUGCAUGAUUAAAAUUCUGUUUUUAUAAAAUCACAUCACAGAUGAAGAUAUGUGGAAAGACAAUUAUCGACGAAGAAGACAUACUUAACAUUUCGUGCUAUAAACAUGAUUCUGCAGCAAUAAUAUAGAGCUCACUAACUUGAUACGCAUAAAGUUGGUUUUGAAGCAAAAUGCUAUCACACAGAAUCGUGGUGAAAAUCAUUGACAUGACAAGGUCAUAGUCGUGCUAAAAAUCAUGGUUACAAUUAUGAUUGACGUCAUGAUCUUGAAGAAAUCAUUAUCAACCUUAUAAUGAUAGUAUACAUCUGGAUAUCUUAGAUACAUGAUGCGUAAACAGUUGAUUUAAUUGGUUAUAAAGAUAUCUAUCCCUGUUAAGAUUACUAUUAAAUUUUAUUAGCUUUUAUAUUCCUAUCUAUUUUAUUUUUUAUGACGAUGCCUAACAUAUUUUACUCUUGAAAGGAUAUAGAUACUCAAAGGGGAUUGCAUCAUAAAGAAAUGUGUUUAGCUGGCAGUAUAACUACACUAACUAUCCUUUGAAAUAAUAAAUAUUUUAUGAGUUUGUAAUCAUUUGAAGCUAAGAUAAGUGCCAUCUUAGGUCCUGUUGAGAUCUAGUUGAAGACUCUAGAACAUUCACGUUCAUAUUACCAAGUUAUAACAAAAUUACAUAUCUAUAAUGCUCUGUAUUCACUAACAGUAGAAGAAAUCUUUUGAGUUUCAAAUAUAUUCGCAGUAAUGAAUUUCAUAUAGAGAAAAUAAAUGAGAAUAAUACAGAAUGUCUCUAUAUUACUUCUAGUGUCUUAGGUAAAAAUGUAUAUUGGAAAAGCUUUCUACUUUUUGAUCUGACUUAUAUUCAUACAACGAUAAAACUAGUUGGGAGCUACACAAUCAUGAACCAAAGACUUUGUGAUUCAAAAGUUUUUAUAUCUCAGUCACCUAGGUCAACUAUGAUGAGUAGAAUUAUCGAGAAUUCUUAUGGACAUCAUUUAAAGAAUCUAAAGAUUAUUCUCUCCAAUGAGUAUAGUUGCACUACUUGUUCCUAGGGUAAAUUAAUUAGCACUUAGACCAUCACAUUCGAAGAUUGGUCUUGAAUCUCUAUUGUUCCUACAAAUAAUUCAGGCAUAUAUAUGUGGACUUAUUAGCCCAUCUAGUGGUCUAUUUCAUUAUUUUAUGGUCUUGAUUGAUGCAUUUGACAGUAGUCAUAUGUUUAUUUAUUAUCUAUAUACAACAUUGUAUUUACUAGAUUGCUUGCACAAGUUAUUAAGUUACCUGCACAAUUUUAAGAUUAUCUAGACAAUGCUAGUAAGUUUACGUCUAAAGUUAUUGGUGAUACUACAGUUCUUUGGGAUUGAUAUAGAGCACCCAAUAUCACAUAUUCAUACUUAGAAGGGAUUGGUAGAAUCCUUCAUCAAACUGCUUUAGCUGAUUAUAGGAACUUUAUUGUUUCAUACUCAAUUACCUAUUUUUGCAUAUGGACAUACUAUUUUGCAUGCUAUGGUACUAAUACCUAGAGGCAUACUGCCUAUCACCAAUAUUCCUCAUUGCAAUUAGUACAUGGCAUCAACCUAAUAUAUCUCAUUUGUGCACUUUUGGCUAUAUUGUGCAAGUUCUUGCGACACCCCCCUAGUGUACUGAAAUAAGACUUCAACGAUAUUUUGAAUUUUAUGUGCAUUUUGACUAUCUAUUAUCAAAUGUCUUGAACCUAUUACCAAUAAUUUUUUUACCGCAUGCUUUUAUGAAUUUCCAUUUUAAUGAGAUAAAAUUUCCUUUGUUGGAGAAAAAAAAAAAAGCCACCAUAUGCUGGGAAUGAGCUUUUAUAAUAAGUGACAAAAUUGUCUCCUCUAGAUUACCACACCACUCAAAGUGAAAAUGAAAUGUGGUGAAUAAUUCUCUUACAAAAAAUUAUAAAUCGCUUGUUAGUUGUAUUUACAAAUGUAUCGAAAGUAAUCAAGUCAUAUGUACUGGUUGCAAAUGUACUUGGCCAAUUAGUUGCUCCUAAUUUUAAUAAAUAAAAAAAACUAUUUGAAUCGUCUAUGGCACGCCUUAAGUAUUGUAGACCCAUUGGCUCAAAGGACAACAUUCUGCUGAAAAGAAAAAUAAAAAGUUAGGAUCUGUUAUCAUGAAUGAUCAGGCUCUAAGUGAAAGUGGUCCUUCAAAGCAAAAGGUCCUUGAUGAGAACUAUGUGCCUACAGUAACACUACCUCCUAAAGAGACAAUUACCUUAAAUAUGGCCAAGCACUUGAUGUGGCUUAGUGAUGGUUGUCGAAGCCAACAAAAAUAAAUUCUUACUCUAAAUAAAUUAUGUAUAGUGAUUGAGCAGGGUCGUGUCCAUAGAGAUCGGUAAUUAUUUAAAUCAUUUUGAAACGUAAAACAUAAAAUGGGGGUUUUGUUGACAAUAAUAAAAAUCAAAUUAAAAUAACAAGAAUGCAAAUUAAAGUUGUAAUUCAAAUUGGAGAAAGCUCUGGUUGAAAGAAUUAACUCAGCUUGAUUCGACUACUGAUCAUUGAUUCAAAUAUAGAUUAUUAUUACUUAUGAAUAGACCGGUUAUAGCAAUUGAGACCCUCUAAUAGCCAAUCUCUCCUUAACUAGUCGAUAACCAAGGUACGACCGUUGGAUAUUUCCCUAAUCAAUAGACAACCCUAGAUACGAUCAUAGGAUUUAAUCAAUUGACAGCCUGAAAAACCAGAGAGACCCAAAUCCUAAUCAACACAUAUGAUGAUUCAUUUAAAUUAGAUUGUUUAUUCUCACAACACAACUCUCUGCUAUUUAUUUGUCACAAACAUUAAAUUCUUCAUACGAUGAAUCCUUUAAUUAACAAUAGAUUAAGUUGAUAAUUAAAUAGUGGCCAAUUAUCUAAUUAACAAACAUAAUCAUGAAAAUAAUUCAGAGAAUAAACAAAUACCCAAAAAGUAAUAAAACAAUUAAAGCACAAGAAAGAUCUCACAGUAGUGAUGAAUCAAAGCUUCAUUAUCCUUCAACCAGAAAAAUAGGUUUAGUUCUUCAUAGAGAGAAGAGAAAAAUUAAGAUCUAGGGUUUCUUUCUUUUUUUCCAAUCCAAAUCCUUCACAAUAGAUUCCUCCCUUAAAUACUCUCUCUCUCUUCUCUUUUAGAAUUCUAUUUAAAAUAAAAUACUAAUAUCUGAAAUAUUAAAUUCGUAAUUACAAAAAUAACCAAAAAUACAAAACACGUUAAACUAAAAACUACAGGUCCGCAGUUGACAGCACGCGCCCACGCCUUAUCAACAAAGUUCUUCUGACGCUCAUAAUUUCUCCAAGAGAACAAUCAUCCUUAAACAUCAUCUUAUAGCUCAAUUUUAUCACCAAUCAAUAGAAUUGCACCUACAAAAGUAAAACACAAGUAAAUCACUAUUAUUAAGUGCAAAACAUCGAUAUUAAGAGAAGUAAACAAUGCAAAACUAGUGCAUAAAUUUCACUCUAACACUUAGAAUGAAGAAAAUACACAAAUUUUGCUCACAAAAAAAGGUGUGGAAUCUUAAAGAAACAAUCAUCGAUGAUAAUUUGCGUUUAUAGUAGCCACUGGUUUAAUAAAUGAUGAUAUUGAACUGUAAUCCAUUGAUAUGUAGAUUGAGACAUGAUUGGCCUGCAUAGGAAGAAGCAAUCCAUAUGAAGUUGGCUUCUUUGGCAAAAUGAUUAUUUUUUAAUGUAACCUAAAUACCUACUUGUAUUAAAUCUGUUGGAUAUAAAUAGAUAUUUUUUAAGAAAUGUAACUAAAAGAAUAAGGUCGUUAUAUAUAAAGCACGACUCAUUGCACAAGGUUUUUUUAUAGAGACUAGGUAUUGACUAUGGGAUACCUAUUUAUUGGUAGUGCAUAUAGUUACAUUCCAAUUCUUCUAUUUGAGAGGCUUGAUACGCAUUUAAUAGAUAAGUGAUAGGUUUUUGUGUGUAUGAAAACUCCUAAAGGAUUCAAAAUGCUUAAAGCAUUGUAGUCACCACAUUGUAGCUUGUAUUCUACAAAGCUAUAGAAAUCUUUAUAUGAAUUGAAACAAUCUUGACAUAUCUGAUAAAGUUUCCUUAGUGACUACAUGAUCAAGGAAAGAUACAUGAAUGAUCUUAUUUGUCUUCGUGUAUCUAUAAACAAGCUAAAAUCUAGAUUUGCUAUUGCAGUAGUCUAUGUUGAUAAUAUGAAUUUGAUUGGAACUCUCAAAGAUGUCCAAAAGCCUACUGAUUAUUUAAAAAAGAGAGUUUAAAAUGAAAAAUUUUGGGAAAACUAGAUACUAUGUAAAGUUAUAGAUCGAGCACAAAUCUAAAAAUAUCUUUAUUUUUUAGUCAAAUUAUUAUGAAAAGAUAUUAAAAUGUUUUAAUAUGGACAAAACUUCUCUAUCAAUUACCCCAAUGGUAGUUUCAUCUCUUGAUCUUAAAAAGAUUCAUUUAAUCCUAAAGAGGAUGAUGACCAAGUGCUUGCUUCAUCAAAUACCAUAAGUUGAAUGCCCGUUGGUGCUUUAAUGUAUUUAGCCCAAUGUACUAUAGCUGUGUUCAAUAACUUGUUAGCAAGGUUUAAAUCUUGAAUUGAGCUAGACGACAUUGGAAUGGUGUUAAACAUCUUUUUCAUGAUCCUCUUGGAAUUAUCAAUUUCAGUUUAUUUUAUUCUAGUAAAUUAACCAAAAAUCUAAGUCUUAUUAGUUUUGCAGAUAUCCUCAUAAAGCUUGUUCUUAGAGGGGUUAUGUUUUUACUUAUACUAAAUAUUGAUUUCUUAAAAAUAUGUGAAGUUGACUCUUGUACUUGCAUUUUCCAAUCGCUUUGAGAUCCUUGUAUUGCAUGAAGCAAGUAGAGAAUACUUAUGGUUGCGGUCCAUUAUGCAUCAUAUCCAGGAUGCUGAUAAAUUAUCUUCAAGUGCAGACAUCCAAACGGUAAUAUAUGAAAAUAAUGUUUCUUGUAUAGCUCAAUUCAAGAGAGCAUAUAUCAAAGGAGAUUGAAAAAGCUUACCUCACCAAAGUUCUUCAAUACUCAUGAGCUCCAACAAAAUAAGACGAUCGAUAUCAAGCAGAUACAUUACACAAAUAAUUUUACAUAUAUGUUUAUUGAAGCUCUAUGCAUAUCAACAUUUUAGAAAAUAGUAUAUGGCAUCAGAAUGUGCCAUUUAAACAGAAUAUCGAGACGAUCAUUAGUUGAAUGCUCAUCAGGAGAAGAAAAAAUUUACCAAAGAAGAAUUUCAAUAAUUAAAUUGGAUACAUCUGCACGAUACUCGUUUUUUUCCCUUUGAAUAGAUUUUUCUACAAGAUUUUAGUGGCAAAGGUUUUUAAUUAGAUAAUUUAAACCACAUGCAGCCCACUUUAUCGUUCGCUAAAUUAUAUUUCUUUUGGUUGAGCUUUUUUUCUAUUGAGUUUUUCCAUAACAAAAGUCAAAUACAAUUAUCGUGAAGUGGUGGAUACCAAAGUGGGGGUGUUAUGGAAAUUAGUGAUUUAAAAAACAACUCAAGAGAUUUGACGGCUAAAGAGCUAAACAAGUCAAUCAAUUGUGGGUAUUAAGGUCACGAUGUGUCCUAAGGCUUGGCUGUGUUUUAAUUAGCUGAUGGAUUCCCUGAAUAGAGAGCACUACUCAUUGUAAUUUGUAUCCGAAGGCUUGGCUGUGUUUUAAUCGGUUGAUGGAUCCUAUAAAUAGGGAGCACUGCUCUUUGUAAUUUGUAUCUGAAAUUGAAAGCCUUAUCAAUUACAAUAAUAUCAUCUUUCUUUAUAUCAUCUAUUUAUCUAUUUAUACGUCUUACCUAUAUUCUCAAUAAUUAUAUUAUAAUUGAUAUUUUUAUUGUUUAUUGUGCACUGAAUAAUUCUUUUUUUAACCUUUGCUUACUAAUAGAAUUCUUCUUUUUUUUUUAAUAUUCUCUUUAGCGUAUGAAAUUGAUACAAUUUAUUUUUUUCGAUUUUAGUACUUUUUUCGUUCAACUACUUAGGAAUUGUUUGGUAAUGAGAUGAUGUGGUUUUUAAUAUACAGUUGUUGGGAUAAAAGCUAAAUUUGUCAAAGAAAAGCUUAUAGAUUAUGGUAAAUAAUAAAUUUUGUAUUAAUUUUUAUAUUUAACAAUUAUUACAAAAAUUAUGAAAUAAGAAAAAAACCACCAGCUAGGCAGUGGAGCCACAACGUAGUGUGUUUUACCAAACACCCAAACAGAUCCCUAACUAGGGUGUUUAAAUGUCUACAAUUAAGAUUAGUUUAGAAAAUAAGGUCCUAUUUAGUAUUGAGGGGCUAUCUACAGCUAAUGUCGAACAAAAUUGUAACUAUGAAAUAAAAGUUAACAAUAUAUAGUAAAUAUAAUUUUUAAACAAUAAUUUUGAUAAAAUUAAUAAAGGCAUAAUAUUUUUUUUUCAUCUUAUAUGUAUAAAAUCAAAUAAACUUAACUUCUAAACUACAACAACUAAUAUUUACCAAACACUUUAAUGUUGUAUCUUAAAAUCUAUAACUAUCCAACCUCAAUUUUAAAUAGGGCCCAAGUAUGGGUAAUGCGUGGGAUUUAGCAUCUCACAACUUACCUAGCGUGUUAUUAGUGAAAUUACAUUUACAAUAUUUUUAGCCCACUUACGUAGAUGGAUCAACUGGCUGUUAACAUGUUCUCCACCAUGGUCACCAGAGUUCAAGAAAAGGAUUUAUACUGUUUAGUAGGUGAAGUUUCACAUUUCCAUCCAAAUAUUUUAUUAAAAAAUAAAUCAAGAGUAUUCAUUGUGAAAAAGAAGUUUUUGUCCAAACAUUAAAAGGAUCUUCCAAAUUAAUGUAAAACAUAGAGCACAAACGAGUUAAUACUCAUUUAUAUAUCAAGUUAAACGGGUUAAUUUUGUGUUAAUUGUGUUAUAGAUAGGCAAGAGUAAGAGACACAAACAAGAUCAAAAGGAUUAUCUUAGAUGGAAAAUUCUAUAAUACCAUAACAAAAAUUACGGUAUUAAUGCCGUAGUUAUUUUAUACUGUUGGAUGAGAUCAACGAUGUACAAUAAUUAAAAUAUAAUAAAAAAUGUAAAUUUUUUUUCUUUAACCGGUUUACAACUGGUUAUUUAUUUAUAAAAAAAUAAAUUUAACUGGCUAAAACAGUGGGGAAAAAGAAGCGGUUUUUGUUUGCCUCCAAUACUCUUUUCCUGCUGAUAAUUUAGCAAAAACAGAGGCAAAAAAAAGCAAAAAAGAAGAAGCCCUACAACGACGUCGUUGAGGAGAAUCGAGCUGAGUCCUUGAUCGUGAAGCGGUUUUCAGUCGACGAUAACGACCCGAAGUCGGCGAUUGAUACCGUAAUCGGCGCCAGCGAUUAAUAACCAUAUAAUCCUCUGCUGCCCUUAAUCUUGUUGAGGGGAAGAGAACCACGGCAAAUUACUAAUAAAAAUAAGGCAAGUUGCAGGCCACUGAUUCUCCUCUACCACAUUCGCAUUGUCGUUAAUUUCAACAUGUGUUUUUUUUUUUUACAAUUUAUUUGACCAAGACACACAAAUAUAUAUAGAGAGAGAGAGCAUGCACUAGACUUUGAUAUGAUUUUUUCUUGUUAUUACAAGUAUUACUUGAAUACAAGUAAUAUGUCCUGUUCUGAAAACACAUAUUGUCGAAUUAUGUAAUGUUCAUUUGGUUCGUAUCUUAUAAUUUCUCUAGUUUAUUCAAUCUGAUUUGCUGACACUUAUGCCCAAUAGCCCUAGUUUCCUUUUUUACAAAUCCACUUAGAAAAAUUUCUUUGUUAGUGGUUCUAUUUUUAUUUAUUUAUUUUUGAGUGAUUUGCCAAUGUGUUAAAAUUGUGCUUGGAUCCUACAUAUUGGUAGUUAACGUUGAUGCUUUGAUGGAAUUUCUAAUAGAGUGAGUAAAUUUUGUUGAAAUUUCUAAGUAGAGUCUUCAAGUUAUUUGUUGAAAUGCCUGAGAGAAACAAUGUGUUUGUAUAUGUUCUAUUAUUCAAAUAUGAGGUAUGAAAAUGAAAAUAAAAAUUUUGCGUUUGGGUUAAUUUUCUAUUGUAUUUGGAAUGAUUUGCUGUUGUUUUUUAGUAAAAUUUUUCUAGUGUUUUGGGUUUCAUUUGCUGCAGUUUUUAGGUUAAAUUUUCUACUAUUUCUGGGCCAAUUGGCUGUUGUUUUUCAGUUUAAUUUUCUACUAUUUUUAGAUAAAUUUACUGCUGUUUUUGCGUUAUAUUUUCUGCUGUUUUCAAGUAAAUUUUUCGGUGUUUCGAGCUUCAUUUGCUGUUGCUUUAGGUUAAAUUUUCUACUGUUCCUGGGUCAAUUGGCUGCUGUUUUCAGUUUAAUUUUUUGCUGUUUUUAGAUAAAUUUACUACUAUUUUUGGGUUAUAUUUUCUGUUGUUUCUUGGUAAAUUUUUUCUAGUGUUUUGGGCUUCAUUUGCUACUGCUUUUAGAUUAAAUUUUUUGUUGUUUCUGGGUCAAUUGGCUGCUUUUUUCAGUUUAAUUUUUUACUCUUUUUAGAUAAAUUUACUACUAUUUUUGGGUUAUAUUUUCUGUUGUUUUUAGAUAAAUUUACUAUUGUUUUUGGGCUUCAUUUGUUGCUGCUUUUGGGUUAAAUUUUUUGCUAUUUCUGAGUCAAUUGGCUGUUGUUUUUUAGUUUAAUUUUUUACUCUUUUUAGAUAAAUUUACUACUGUUUUUGGGUUAUAUUUUCUGUUGUUAUUAGAUAAAUUUUUUGCUGUUUUUGGGUUUAAUUUGUUGUUACUUUUGGGUUAAAUUUUUUGCUAUUUCUGAGUAAAUUUGCUAUUGUUUUUCAGUUAAAUUUUCUGUUGUUUUUGGAUAAAUUUACUGCUGUUUCCAGAUAAUUUUUUUGCUGUUUUGGGCUUCAUUUACUGUUGUUUUUAGGUUAAAUUUGUUGCUGCUUCUGGGGUAAAUUUGCUGCUGUUUUUCAAUUAAAUUUUUUGUUGUUUUUAGAUUAAAUUUUUUUCGUAUAUUGGGCUUCAUUUGCUGCUAUUUUGUGUUAAAUUUUUUUUUGUUCUAGGUAAAUUUAUUACUUUUUUUAGUUAAAUUUUUUGUUGUUUUUGGAUAAAUUUACUACUAUUUUUUGGGUUAGAUUUUUUGCUGUUUUCUGGUAAAUUUGCUGUUGUUUUGUGCACAGAGCUGGUCGAAAAAUGGUCAUGAUGCAUUUUGAAUGCAGAAUGAUGGAGACUGGUAGUAAAAGUUGCUUGUGUUGUUUUUGCUGCUACUUGCUCCAUUUGAGCUUCUAGAAAUUGUUAAGGGUAGCGGGGAAGAAGAAAGAGAUGAUGAGAAAUGCAAAUUGUUUGUGAGCUUUAGAUUGAUGUACCAAGCCAAUAGUUAUAUUGCAAAAUAUCUGUUUUUUUUUUAGUUUGUUAAUUUUUAUUUUUUUGGAUUAUAACUAAUGCUGUAAAUAGUUAUUGUUUGUCACCGUUCUAGAAGCAAAUACUAGUCUAACUUUCUAGGAAAGGUGUUCCUAAUUCUUGGUUGGGUGAUUGAAUUUUGUAUUGAAAUGUUUAUUUCUAAAAUAUUUUUAGAGGAUCCAAAACUUGUGAUAUUUGACAUUUCUUUUUGUGCUUAAUAUCUUCAUGUACAGGUUCUUGUAAACUUGAAAAUGGCAGAAAAUGUAAAAUGAGAAUGAUUUCAAGGAGAAUGAUAAUGUGAACCAAGAAAAUGAAAUUUUAAGAAAAAAUCGGCCUUUCAUUGAGCAUAUUUGCACCUCGGAUUAUGAUGAAUGGUUGCACGGCCUACGUGCUAGCAGAUUUAGAUGCGGAUUUGGCGAAUAUUGGCUUUGCAUGUUUGGAGAAUUGAGAGAGAGAGAUUCAUAUUUGGGGAAUGACGAAUAGGGACUAUGUUUUAAUUUUUCACUUUGUCGUUCUUGUCUUCUAUGGUGCCAUUGAGACUUGAGAGCUGAGCCUUUUUUUUACCGCUUUCACUUAAAAAGGAAAAUGAAUAUUAUAAGGAAACGACGUAGUUUUAGUGAAUUUUAAAUGUUAUAAUUUUUUGUUGUUGUUUAUAUCUUAAUUAUAUAACAUUAUUUUUUAAAAUAAGUUAAAGAUAAAAUUUAUAACAUUUAUAUAUAUACCUAAAAUAUAUAUAGAACCACUUAUGUUAUGAUUUGUUUUUGGGUUCAGAUUUAUCAUUUUUAGUUAAAUUUUAAAUUUAUGAUUUUAUACCUAAUUUUUCAUUCGGGAAAGGGACAUGGUCGAUUUUUAUAAACUAAUUUAAAGAAAAAUGAUAGGUUUAUGAUUUUAUUAAUAUAUUAUAAUUAAUAAUAAUAAUAAUUUUUUAAUAAAUAAUCACUAUAAUUAAAAUAUAAAAUAAUAAUUAUGAUAAUAAUUCAUUAAGUACAUAUAUUACAUGCAAGGAAGACUAGGCUCGACUUUUAGUCUAAUUAACUUGACCUGAAUUUUUUGGCCUUUGACUCGAAUUUAAUGGUUAGGCUUGGGUCUAAAUAUUAGAGCCCAAUUAAAUUCAUAUCAGGGUUAGGGACCUAUAUGCCCGACCCGACCUGAUCUGACCUAACCAUAAAACCUAAAAAAAAUGUAAUAAUAUGAUUACGGCCCUGAAUAAUCUUUAUUUUUAUGUUACUUCAAACAAUUUCUAAAGCUUUUAUAUUUUACUGUAUAUGGGGAGGCUAUGUCCAAUUUUUAAAUUUUAAAUUAACUAAAAAUUAAAAAAAAAACUUUAAAAGAAAGUUUGAUCAGGCCCACGCUUUCAAAUAAUAGGGCCUUUUUGGGCUCGAAAAUUUUAUUUCAGCUAUAGAGUCAGGCUCAGAAAUGGCUAAGCACAGGCCUAACUCGACCCACUGCCAUCCUUUCGAAUAGACUAUUGAUCCAUUAUGAACUCAUCAAUUAAAUUCAUGAUCAUAGUAAAUGUGUUACUAUCAUUCUUUUGUUUGCAAGAACAACUUGUAAACAAAAUAAAAAUUUAGUAAAAUGACACAGAAUUUGUAAAUUGACAUUAAGUGUAAAAUAAAAUAAAAAAUUUGUAAAGCACACAUAAAACUAGUAAAUUGAUGGAAAAUUGGGUAAAUUAAUGUUCGAAUUGUAAAUUGCAAGAAAAACUUGUAAAUAAAAUAAAAAUUUAGAAAAAUGACAUAAAACUUGUAAAUUAACAUUAAAUAUAAAAUGAAACAAUAAAUUUGUAAACCACACAUAAAACAAGUAAAUUUAAGGAAAAAUGGGUAAAUUAAUGUUGAAGUUGUAAUUUGCAAGAAGAACUUGUAAGCAAAAUAAAAAUUUAGAAAAAUAACAUAAAACUUGUAAAUUGAUAUUAUGUGUGAAAUAAAACAAAAAAUUUGUAAACCACACAUAAAACUAGUAAAUUGAUGAGAAAAUGGGUAAGUUAAUAUUUGAGUUGUAAAUUGCAAGAAGAACUUAUAAACAAAACAAAACCUUAGAAAAAUGACAUAGAACUUGUAAAUUGACAUUACGUGUGAAAUGAAACAAAAAAUUUAUAAAUCACGCCUAAAACUAGUAAAUUGAUGGAAAAAGAGGUAAAUUAAUAAUGGUGUUGUAAAUUGCAGGAAAAACUUGUAAACAAAACAAAAACUUAGAAAAAUGAUAUAAAACUUAUAAAUUGACAUUAAGUGUGAAAUGAAACAAAAUAUUUGUAAAUCACAUAUCAAAAUAUUUGUAAAUCACAUAUCAAAAUAUUUGUAAAUCACAUAUAAAACUAGUAAAUUGAUGGAAAAAAAGUUAAAUUAAUGAUGGAGUUGUAAAUUAGAAGAAAAAAGUGUAAACAAAACAAAAAUUUAGAAAAAUGGCAUAAAACUUGUAAAUUGUCAUUAAGUGUGAAAUGAAACAAAAAACUUGUAAACCACAAAUAAAACUAGUAAAUUGAUGGAAAAAUAGGAAAAUUAAUGUUGGAGUUGUAAAUUGUAAGAAGUUGUAAACAAAACAAAACCUUAGAAAAAUGACAUACAACUUGAAAAUUGACAUUAAGUGUGAAAUGAAACAAAACAUUUGUAAAUGACAUAUCAAAAUAUUUGUAAAUCACACUUAAAAUUAGUAAAUUGAUGGAAAAAGAGGUAAAUUAAUGAUGAAGUUGUAAAUUAGAAGAAAAAAGUAUAAACAAAACAAAAACUUAGAAAAAUGAUAUAAAACUUCUAAAUUGACAUUAAGUGUGAAAUGAAACAAAAAAUUUACAAAUCACACCUAAAACUAGUAAAUUGAUGGAAAAAGAGAUAAAUUAAUGAUGGAGUUAUAAAUUGCAAGAACAACUUGUAAACAAAACAAAAACUUAGAAAAGUGACAUGGAACUUGUAAAUUGACAUUAAGUGUGAAAUAAAACAAAAAAAUUUGUAAAUCACAUUUAAAUUUAGUAAAUUGAUGAAAAAGAGGUAAAUUAAUGAUGAAGUUGUAAAUUAGAAGAAAAAAGUAUAAACAAAACAAAAACUUAGAAAAAUGAUAUAAAACUUGUAAUUGACAUUAAGUGUGAAAUGAAACAAAAAAUUUGUAAACUACAUAUAAAACUAGUAAAUUGAUGGAAAAAUAGGUAAAUUAAUGUUGGAGUUGUAAAUUGGAAGAAGAACUUAUAAACCAAACAAAACCUAAAAAAAUGACAGAACUUGUAAAUUUACAUUAAGUGUGAAAUGAAACAAAAAAUUUGUAAACCACACAUAAAACUAGUAAAUUGAUGGGAAAAAAGGUAAAUUAAUUUUGGAGUUGUAAAUUACAAGAAGAACUUGUAAACAACACAAAAACUUUGAAAAAUGACAUAGAACUUGUACAUUGACAUUAAGUGUGAAAUGAACCAAAAAAAUGUGUAAAUCACACAUAACACUAGUAAAUUGAUGGGAAAAGGAGUAAAUUAAUGUUGGAAUUGUAAAUUGCAAGACAAACUUGUAAACAAAACAAAAAUUUAGAAAAAUGGUAUAAAACUUAUAACUUGACAUUAAGUGUAAAAUGAAAUAACAAAUUUGUAAACCACAUAUAAAACUAGUAAAUUUAUGGAAAAUGGGGUAAAUUUAUGUUGGAGUUGUUAUUUGCAAGAACAACUUGUAAACAAAACAAAAACUUAGAAAAAUAACAUAAAACUUGUAAAUUGACAUUAUGUGUGAAAUAAAAUAAAAAAUUUGUAAACCACACAUAAAACUAGUAAAUUGAUGGAAAAAUUGGUAAGUUAAUAUUUGAGUUGUAAAUUGCAAGAAGAACUUGUAAAUAAAACAAAACCUUCGAAAAAUGAAAUAGAACUUGUAAAUUGACAUUAAGUAUGAAAUGAAACAAAAAAAAUUGUAAAUCAUGCAUAAAACUAGUAAAUUGAUGAAAAAAAAGGUAAAUUAAUGAUGGAGUUGUAAAUUAGAAGAAAAAAGUGUAAACAAAACAAAAAUUUUUAAAUAUGACAUAAAACUUGUAAAUUGACAUUAAGUGUGAAAUGACACAAAAUAUUUGUAAACCACACCUAAAACUAGUAAAUUGAUGGAAAAAAUGAGUAAAUUAAUGUUGGAGUUAUAUUUUGCAAGAAGAACUUGUAAACAAAACUAAAACUUAGAAAAAUCACAUAAAACUUGUAAAUUGAUAUUAUGUGUGAAAUAAAAAAAAUAUUUGUAAACCACACAUAAAACUAGUAAAUUGAUGAGAAAUGGGUAAGUUAAUAUUUGAGUCGUAAAUUGCAAGAAGAACUUGUAAACAAAACAAAAGCCUUAGAAAAAAAUGACAUAGAACUUGUAAAUUGACAUUUAGUAUGAAAUGAAACAAAAAAAUUUUUAAAUCACACUUAAAACUAGUAAAUUGAUUAAAAAAGAGGUAAAUUAAUUGUUGAGCUGUAGAUUGUAAGAACAACUUGUAAACAAAACAAAAACUUAGAAAAAUGACAUGGAACUUGUAAAUUGACAUUAAGUGUGAAAUAAAACAAAAAAUUUGUAAACCACAAAUAAAACUAGUAAAUUGAUAGAAAAAUGGGUAAGUUAAUAAUUGAGUUGUAAAUUGCAAGAAGAACUUGUAAACAAAACAAAACUUUCGAAAAAUAAAAUAGAACUUGUAAAUUGACAUUAAGUAUGAAAUGAAACAAAAAAUUUGUAAAUUAACAUUAAGUAUGAAAUGAAACAAAAAAUUUGUAAAUCACAUCUAAAACUAGUAAAUUGAUAGAAAAAGAGGUAAAUUAAUAAUGGAGUUGUAAAUUGCAAGAAGAACUUGUAAAAAAACAAAAACUUAGAAAAAUAACAUAAAACUUGUAAACUGGCAUUAUGUGUGAAAUGAAACAAAAUAUUUACAAAUCACACAUAAAACUAGUAAAUUUAUGGAAAAAGAGGUAAAUUGAAAUUGUAAAUUAGAAGAAAAAGGUGUAAACAAAACAAAAAUUUUUAAAAAUGACAUAAAACUUGUAAAUUGAGAUUAAGUGUGAAAUGAAACAAAAUAUUUGUAGACUACACCUAAAACUAGUAAAUUGAUGAAAAAAUGGGUAAAUUAAUGUUGGAGUUGUAAUUUGCAAGAAGAACUUGUAAACAAAACAAAAACUUAGAAAAAUAACAUAAAACUUGUAAAUUGACAUUAUGUGUGAAAUAAAAUAAAAAAUUUGUAAACCACACAUAAAACUAGUAAAUUGAUGGAAAAAUGGGUAAGUUAAUAUUUGAGUUGUAAAUUGAAAGAAGAACUUGUAAACAAACCAAAACCUUAGAAAAAUGACAUAGAACUUGUAAAUUGACAUUAAGUGUGAAAUGAAACAAAAAAUUUGUAAGUCACACAUAAAACUAAUAAAUUGAUGGAAAAAUAGAUAAAUUAAUGUUAGAGUUGUAAAAUACAAGAGGAACUUGUAAACAAAAUAAAAAUUUAGAAAAAUGAUAUAGAACUUGUACUUUGACAUUAAGUGUGAAAUGAACUAAAAAAUAUGUAAAUCAUGAUUAAAACUAAUAAAUUGAUGGAAAUGAUCCCUGGGUUAGCUCAUUUAAUUGACUGCACCACUACUGGAUUAAUAAGCUAGACAACUAGCUAUUUGGGUCAAAAACCUAAAUAUAUCAUUUAGUGGGAGGCUCCAUUUAAUUAGCUUAUGUGUAAAGGGCCUUAUGUUAUUUUACAAGGUGGGUCCCCUAUAGAAAAAGCAAGUAACGUGAGUUUUGAUUUUCAUUAUUUGGAGUCUAGGGUUUUCACUAAAGGGAGAUAUAAAAAAGCUUAUUUUCUCUAAAGAAAAAAGAGCAGCUCCUUUAUACAAAGAAGAGAAAAAGAUUUUUCUCUUAGUUAUUGAGAGAAAAAUUUUCUCGUGCUAGUUGCUUUGAUAGUGAUAAAGGCGUCCACACGUCAAGUGCAGAUCGACCCUGAGUCAUAACCUGGAAGAUCAUUGUGACAGUUCGUGAUCUAACAAGCGUAGUGGUGACGGAUCGUGAUCUAACAGGAGUGGUGGUGACAGAUCGUGAUCUGGGAGCCUAAAUCACUUCAAUAGAAAAAAGCCAAAUCGAAUUUUCAAGGUAUGAUUUCUAGAUUACAAAUUCUUAUAUAUGGUAGGAGAGCUAUCUUAAAAGGUUUUAUAAAAAUUUAAAAAUUAUAUUUUUCUCCAACAAUUGGUAUCAGAGCCAUCUCAUAUUAAUAUAUAAGAAUAUUGUAUGAAAUCAAUCUUGAAAUUUAUAUAUUAGAGUGGCACAAUUUAUUCAAAUAUAUAUUAUUAUUUUAAUAUAUGAAUAAAGCAUGUUUUUAGUUUGUCUUAAUUCAUGGUUAGAUUUUACGCUGUAUUUUUUCUUCGGAUCUGUAACAAGAGGGGUGACUUUUCAUCACAAUGUUUCCCUCUUGAUUUAUUUUACUGUUAUAGAAUUUUUGUAAGCCAAAAUUGGCCUAGGAAAUUUGUAAAUCAAUCAUGGAUGUCAGAUCAUCGGAAACGAAGGCCGGAUAUUUUGACAGCAGCAACAAACCAGCACGUGCGGCCAGCAAUGGCCAGCGGCACGCACUGCACGUGCUGCAGCUGCAAGCAAUGCUGCCAGCAGCGUGCAGCUCCUGGGUUCCGUCAUUUGGUGGCUUUCCGGCGUAGUGGCAAUGGUUAAAUCAGCGUCGAACUUGGAUGAACAGUGACUGGCUUUGUGGUGAUGGCGGAUGGGGAGAGUAAAAGAUGGAUUCAGGGUUUCAAUGGUUUUUAUCAUUCAGAUCCCUAUGGCUCCAUAUUUUUUUUCUUUUUGGGUAGACACGUUUAAAUUUUUGCAGUUAAGUCCAAAAACAGUAUUGGGCUUAAUGAAUCAUAGUUUAUGCUCAAUUUCAAUUGGGCUUAAUGGAUUAAAAUGCAUAGAUAAAAUUGAACACAUUAAGACGGAAGGGUGGAAACAUUUAAAGCAAGAUUAGUAGCCAAAGGGUUUACUCAGAAAGAGGGAAUCGAUUAUGAGGAAACUUUUUCUCCGGUUGCUAUGCUUAAAUCCAUCAGGAUUCUGCUCUCCAUUACUGCAGUGCUAGAUUAUGAAAUUUGGCAAAUGGAUGUCAAGACUGCCUUUCUUAACGGGUAUCUUGAAGAAAACAUCUACAUGCAGCAACCAGAUGGAUUUAUACAAAAAGGCCAUAAACACAUGGUAUGUAAGUUGCAGAGAUCCAUUUAUGGAUUGAAGCAAGCAUCCCGGUCAUGGAACAUCAGAUUCGAUCAAGUGAUUAAAUCGUUUGGAUUCAUUCAGAACAUUGAUGAACCAUGUGUGUACAAGAAAAUUCAAGAAAAAUCUGUAGCCUUCCUAAUUCUUUAUGUAGAUGAUAUUCUCCUAAUUGGAAACGAUAUAGGAGUAUUGACUACAAUAAAGAGUUGGUUAGCAAAACAAUUUGAUAUGAAAGACCUGGGAGAGGCAAGUUAUAUUCUUGGUAUCAAGUUACUACGAGACCGAAAGAAUAAAACUUUAGCCUUGUCUCAAGCGGUCUACAUCGAUAAGAUAUUGGCUAGAUUUAGCAUGGAAAAUUCCAAGACUGGUUUAUUACCAUUCAGACAUGGAAUUACAUUCUCUAAUGAUCAAUCACCUAAAACAUCUGAAGAGAUAGAGAGAAUGAGACGAGUUCCCUAUGCAGAAGCUGUGGGAAGUCUCAUGUAUGCCAUGCUUUGCACUAGGCCAGACAUCUGUUUUGCGGUAGGGAUGGUUAGUAGAUAUCAAUCUAAUCCUGGACCUGAACACUGGACUGCGGUCAAGCAUAUAAUGAAGUAUCUGAAAAGAACUAAAAAUUAUAUGCUUGUGUAUUCUGGUAAUGAACUCAUUCCAGUGGGUUAUACUGAUUCUGACUUUAUGUCAGAUAAGGAUUCCAAAAAAUCAACUUCCGGCUAUGUGUUUACAUUGGGAAGUGGAGCUAUUAGUUGGAGGAGUGUGAAACAAUCUUAUAUCGCAGACUCCACAACUGAAGCUGAAUAUGUGGCUGCAUCCGAAGCUGCAAAAGAAGCUGUAUGGCUCCGCAAGUUCCUACAAGAUCUUGAGGUGGUACCUGCUGUAUCUGCACCCCUGAAACUAUUUUGCGAUAAUAGUGGUGCGGUAGCUCAAUCUAAGGAACCAAGGAACCACAAGAAACAAAAACAUAUUGAGAGUAAGUAUCAUCUUAUAAGGGAUAUAGUGCAAAGGGGUGAUGUGGAGGUUACUCAGAUUGCGUCACAGCAAAAUUUGGCAGAUCCUUUUACUAAGGCCAUACCUGGGAAACCUUUUAACUUGCACUUAGAAUCCAUGGGCAUGCGUGAGAUGCCAAAUAUGCUUUGAGAGCUAGUGGGAGAUUGUUGGGAAAAUAUGCUCUUUAAAAGCAUAUGUGUUUAUUUAAUUGUAAUAAAUAAUUUUUCUGAUUAAUAAAAUAGAUGAGGUAUUUUAUUCAAAUAUAUUAAUUGCAUUAAUAUUUAUAUUAAAGUCCAUUUAAUCAUAUUAUAUGUAUUUAUGUGAUCACCAUGUGGAUUCACAGAAGACAUAAAUACAAGUUAUCUUAUGAUUAAAUAAAUUUAGUUCGCAGUUGAUAAAUAAAGUUGGGCACUUUAUUUAGGUAUAGACUGUAAUAAAUUCAUUGAAUGAUUUGUCUUAAUCAUGUAUGAAUUUAUUGGUGUAGUACGACUACAUUGAACAUGAUCACAUAUGAGAUUUAAUUAACUUUGUAAUAACUGUCAGACUUAUUAAAUCUCAUAGGCGUUGAUUUUACUGUAAUCUUAAUCUUGAGUUAAUUAUGAUUUCAUGAUUGUAAUUGUUAUUCCAUUUGAGUUACCAAUGGGCACGACACAUCCUUGUGGUCAAGAUUACCCGGUAUCUUGGUGGGAGCAAUUAUGAGUAUUGGAGUUAUGGAUUAACAAUAUAGAAUUUGUACAACACAUCUCUUGAUGGGUUUCUGAACUAAACAGACCUCAAUUACAAAAAGAUUUCAACACCCAAGUGUCAAUAGGAUUCUGAACUAAACAGGCCUCAAUUACAAAAAGAUUUCCCAUACCUGAUUUCACAAUCUUAGGGUAAUCCUUUUUCCAGUGACCUUUCUGUCCACACUUAAAGCAUUUGCCUUUCGGCUUGCCAUCUUGCUUGGUAGACGGUUUCUUUUUCCCAGCUUUCUUCUUACCUUUGCCUUUCGGCUUAGGCCCAGAAGAUGAACUUUUUUCAGUAAUAUUUAUGCUUCCCAGAGAUUUCUCAGCACGAUAGAUCUCUUCAGCAGAAUGGAGUUCGUUCAUCAAUUCAGUUAAGGUCAUGUUUCUUUUGUUCAUGUUAUAAUUGACCUUAAACUCAUUGAAUGUUUCUGGUAGAGAUUCUAGCACCAUGUCAAUCUUUGAGUUAUCAUCGAUUUGUGCUCCCUGAAUCUCAGCCUCAUUCAAAUAGUCCAUCAUUUUGAGGACAUGAUCACGAAUUCUUGUGCCCUUCCCCAUUUUACUGUUCAUAAUUCCUUUCAGCGCUGCUUGUCUCGCUGAGCUAGUACUCUGCCCGAACAUCUGUUGGAGACUAUCCAUUAUUUCAGUGGCAGUCUCCAAGUUCUGAUGUUUGGUCUGCAGAAUAUUAGAAAUCGAGGCUAAAAUGUAGCACUUUGCCAUUUCAUUAGCCUUUUGCCAUUUCUCAUAAAGCCUCCUCUGAUUUCUAUGAGCAUCAUCCGCUGGAACUGGAGGGCAUGGCUGGGUUAAGACAUAUUUAUAAUUUUCAGCAGUCAGGACAAUGAAUAUAUUUCUUUUCCAAUCUAUAUAGUUCUCUCCAGUGAGUUUGUUUUGACUCAGAAUAAUAGUAAGUGGGCUCAGGGAAGACAUUUUUUGAAAAUAAAACAUCCAUGCAUAAAUAAUUUGAAAUAAUAUUCAUAAUAAAUGACAAAAAUGCAUAAAACCAUAAAUGCAUUUUAAUUUAUUGUAACGAUAAUCUAAUUCCGCUUUGACAAGCUAUCCGGUGGGAAAGUCAUGUCUAUACUUACUAGACCCAAUUACCCAUUGGAUUAUUUACUUUCAUGUAGAGACAUGAUAAAUAAUUAUCGUUAUCUUUUUGGGCCUAAAUUUGUUAACAGAGCUUCGUUGGAAAGGUUAAUAACAAAUUUUAGUUGAGUGUAUAACCAUUGUUUCAAUCUACGUAUUUUUCAUAUCAAUAGUCACCGUUGGGGUGAACAAUUGAUUGAAAAAUAUUUCAAUUUUAUCUUUGAAGAAGUUCAUCAAAUAAAAUAUCUAAUAUAUAUACCCUCCGAAGGGAGCAUCACUGUAUCAUGAAGUCGAGGUAUAUAUAUAAUUUUAUUAUUGAACUAACAAUGGAGCCCUUGGGAAAAUUAUCUUGAAUUUUCCCUCUCCCACUCAAUAUUUUAAAAUUGGUUUUUCCUUUUUAAAACAUACAUAUUGUUAAUUGCAUGCUUCCUAUAAUAUUAUCUAGAUGAUAUCAAAUAUUAUUAAGCAUACGCAAAUUUCAAAUAAUAUAAUGAAAUUCAUUAUUAAUGAAUGACAUGUAUCAUUAUGCAUAGAGUGGCACUACCUAUUCUAUAUGACAUGUUAUCAUGGCAUGUGAUCAUCCAAAACAUAACAUAUAGAAAAACAAUUAAAUAAUCUUAAUUCAUGGCUUUCCUAAUAAUGAAAAAUACAUUAACCCCAAGCCUAAUCUUCAUUGGGCUUCUUGUCAAUGUCCAUCUUCGAUAAACUUGUCUUUGUUAAUGGACUAGGGGAAAUUGGGCUUUUAAAUUUAUAAUUGGUCCAAUUUUAAUUUUAAAUAAAUAAAAAAAAUUUUAUAAAAUUUUUGGACCAAAAAUAAAUUUAAUGUAUUUAAUUUUGUCUAUGCAUUUUAAUCCAUUAAACCCAAUUGAAAUUGGGCCUAAAACUAGGAUUCAUUAAACCCAAAACUAUUUUUGGAUUUAAACGCAAAAAAUUAAAAAUAUUUCUGCCUAACUGAAAAAAUAUGAAACUAUAGGGACCUCCAUGAUAAAAACCAUGGAACCCUAAAAUCACAUUUUUCUUUUCCUCUUCUUCCCCAGCCGCCACCAGUAAAAAGCACCAGCUUCUGUUCCCGGUCAACCGCCGCUGUUCAGAGACGCCAGCCGGUCUCCGACACAUCUCUGACGAGGAGCCAUCGCCAAUACGCCGGAAACAAGCCAACCCUGCGAGCGCUACUUGCUGGAACGCACGCUACUUCUGCGCACGCUGCUGCUGCGCGUACAGCGCGUGCCGCUGGCCAGGCUGGCCGCACGCGUCGCUUGCUGCACGCAGCGCCCGCUGCUGGCAGCGUGUGCUGCCUGCUGCGCGCAUUGCCAGCAUGCGCUUGCAGCGUGUACCGCUCGUUGGCUGCAGCGAGUGCGCUGGUCGGUGGUCGAUGUCAAAAUUUCCGGCCUCCGUCGCUUUCAGCUCGUUUUCCAGUGAUGAUUCUUCAGUGAUUUACAAAUUUUCAACGCAAAUUUUGGCUUACAAAAUUUCAAUUACAUUAAAAUAAAUCAAGAGGGAAACAUGGUGAUAAUAAACCACCCCUCUUGUUACAGAUCCAAACAAAAAAUACAGUAGCACAUCUAACCAUGAAUUAAGACAAACCAUAAACAUGCUUUAUUCAUAUAUUAAACAAAUAAUAUAUAUCUGAAUAAAAUGUGCCAAUCUAAUACAUAAAUUUCAAGAUUAAUUUCAUACGAAAUUCUUAUAUAUUAAUAUGAGGCUGCUCUGAUACCAAUUAUUGGCGAAAAAUGAGGUUUUUAUAAUUUUUAUAAAACCUUUUGAAGAUCGCUUUCAUAUAAUAUAUAAGAAUUUGUAUUCUAGAAAUCGUACCUUGAAAAUCCGAGUUGGCUUUUUCCGCUGAAAUGAUUUAGGCUCCUAGAUCACGAUCCGCCACCACCACUCCUGUUAGAUCACGUUCCUUCACCACCACGCUUGUUAGAUCACGAACUGUCACCAAUGAUCUUCCAGGUUAUGACUCAGGUUCGAUCUGCACUUGACGUGUGGGCGCCUUUAUCACUACCAAAGCAACUAGCACGAGAAAAUUUUUCUCUCAACAAUAGAGAGAAAAAUCUUAUUCUGCGAUUUGUAUAAAGUGGCUUCUCUUCUUUCUUUUGAGAAAAUAAGCCUUUUAUAUCACCCUUUAGUGAAAACCCUAGGCUCCCAAUAAUUAAAAAAAAAAACUCACGUUAUUUGCUUUUUCUAUAGGAGACCCACCUUGUAAAAUAACAUAAGGCCCCUUACACAAAAGCUAAUUAAAUGGAGCCUCCCACUAAAUGAUAUAUUUAGGCUUUUGACCCAAAUAGCUAGUUAUCUUACUUAUUAGUCCCGUAGUGGUGCAGUCAAUUAAAUGAGCUAACCCGGGAAUCAUUUGGGAACAUACAAUAGUGGCUACAAUAAUUAGGCCUGUAAUUAAAUUAGCCCAAUUAUUUAAUUCCAAAUCUACUCCACUAAAAGAUUGGAACUGACUUCCAUAAUUGUAUGCUCGAAUAAUAAUUCGUCCCAAGCCACAUUAAUUUCUUUACUGCACAAUCCUUUGUACCACAUCGUUAAUUAAAUUGAUAUCUCAACUGUCCAAUUAAUUUAAUAACAUCUUAUUCCUUGAUCCUUACUGGUUUUCUCUAAUGAUCAUUUUCAACAUACUAAAUAUGUUGACACACUCUGGCCAGAGAAUUCUAUGAUCAAGUGCCGAAAACCCAUCAAGAGAUGUGUUGUACAAAUUCUAUAUUGUUAAUCCAUAACUCCAAUACUCAUAAUUGCUCCCACCAAGAUACCGGGUAAUCUUGACCACAAGGAUGUGUCGUGCCCAUUGGUAACUCAAAUGGAAUAAAAAUUACAAUCAUGAAAUCAUAAUUAACUCAAGAUUAAGAUUACAGUAAAAUCAACGCCUAUGAGAUUUAAUAAGUCUGACAGUUAUUACAAAGUUAAUUAAAUCUCAUAUGUGAUCAUGUUCAAUGUAGUCGUACUACAUCAAUAAAUUCAUACAUGAUUAAGACAAAUCAUUCAAUGAAUUUAUUACAGUCUAUACCUAAAUAAAGUGCCCAACUUUAUUUAUCAACUGCGAACUAAAUUUAUUUAAUCAUAAGAUAACUUGUAUUUAUGUCUUCUGUGAAUCCACAUGGUGAUCACAUAAAUACAUACAAUAUGAUUAAAUGGACUUUAAUACAAAUAUUAAUGCAAUUAAGAUAUUUGAAUAAAAUACCUCAUCUAUUUUAUUAAUCAGAAAAAUUGUUUAUUACAAUUAAAUAAACACAUAUGCUUUUAAAGAGCAUAUUUUCCCAACAACAACUGCAUCUACGGACUCGUUGAUGUCGGGCCAGUAGUAGGUCCAUGCCACUAUUACUCCAUUAGGUUUUUUGAGUACCCAUUUUACUUGUUUGUAAAAUUGAGGCAAGUCAAACCAAUGUAGUGAUGUAGCAAUUGUCACUAGAUCUACACUUGAUUGUGUUGCCACAUUUUGUUCAAGCUCAGUUAUGGACAUGGUUGGAGGAGUAAGUUGAUACCGAAUGUUGGGGAGCUUUAUUGCGAAUUCUAGCUGCUUUGGGCUUGUGUCUGUAGCAAUGACAUUCUUGUAGAUUGGUGCAAGCUGAAGACAUAUAAUUGAGAAAAAAUAUAAAAUAUAGGAGGCUAUAACAAAAGUACACAAAAUUGAGAAGGCCAUAUAUAAAAAUUACAUAGACAUGGUGAAAUUUCAACCCAUACUCAGUUUUUUUGUUUUUUUUGUUUUCAUCCUCAAGGUUGCCGGGAUACUCUAGUUCCCCCCUUGGUAGUUGGAUAAGAUUUUUCUGUACUCGUCUCACGACUAAAUUUCCAGAUAAUGUGGAUAUUGAUUUGUAGAUAAUACAUACAUAAUUAAUCAAUGAAAAUAAUAGGGAUUUAACUAGGGAUUGGCAAUGGGAGGAGAUCGACAUUUCUGUAUCUAUUUCUGAUACUCUACUUGUAUCCUUGUACUCUCCCCGUCCUUUUUAAAAUUGCUUGAGGAUAGGGAUGGGGAUCUCCAAAGACACCCGAUCCCGAACAACUGAUUUUUGAACUUGAUUUAAUCAUAUUAAAGUAAAAAAAUAAAUCAUUUAACAACAUAAACACAUCAAAACAAAGUAAAAUCAUUAAAAUCAUUUUCAUCAAACUAAUUAAGUUAAUGUCAUCAAAAUUACAAGAUAAUCUAUGAAAUUAAGUAAAAAUAGAACUUCAGGGUUGAACACAUACAUUAAAGUCACAUGGUAUAAAUCAUUAAGAAAAUUAUCUUCAUCAAUCUUCAAGUGUUCAUAUCUAUUAUGAUAUUUUUUUUAUUUAUAUCCAUACCAUCACAAUUUAAAUUUUAAAUAUAAUUACUAAAAAUUUUGACAGAAAUAAAAUAAAAUAAAAAUUAAAAAUAAAAAUUAAAAAUGGGGAAACGAGAGAGACGAGGAAUUCACUGAAUCCCCAUCUUCUCCCUAUAUAAGAUAUUGAGUGUUAAGUUAUCUCUGUUCGUUCCCCGAAUUUUAAUUAAGAUAUAAAAUUGUUCCCACACCCUACACAAAUGGGAAAAAUCCUUCAAGACUCGUCCCAUGAGAAUUUCUGCUAUCCCUGAAUUUAACAGUUAUAUAAUUCAACUUUCUUAUAGCUUGGGAUCAGAAUUCUGAAAUAUUAAUAUGGAACUUUUGUAUUAUUCAAAAAUAAAAUCUAAAGAUGUGAAAAGUAAACUUACGGAUGCAGCGGCCUGCCCGCUUCCGGUGCCGACGUCCCAUGCAAGCUCGUUUUUGGGUGUUUUAGAGGCAAUGAAUUUGAACAAUUCUUCUGGAUAAUUUGGUCGUGCUUCCGCGUAUUGCUUUGCCUGCUUAACGAACAUAUCUGCCAUCUUUUCUGUUUUUUUCUAAAUAAGUGUUGACAAUAGAAUUGAGAUAAAUCUACUGAUCACUUGUUUCGUUUCUUCUUUAUAUAGGUUUUAGAAUUUGAUGUAGUAGACGAACAGACAAAUUUUAGUUAGAAAUUAAUUUGGUAUGGUUUAUCUGGGGAAGCCCAGAACGAGGACAAGCUCAUAAAGCGUUAAAUUUUGACCGAACUUUUCAUUCUUCCUUUAAUUUUCAAAGAUUCCCUUUUCUUCGCAAAGAUGAUGGUAUGGACUUCAUCAAUGAGCCCACAUCAACUCUACUUAGAGAAUUUUUUUUGGGAUAAUUUUGUCAUUAAUUUAAGCUGUUAAAGGUAUCUAUAGAAGUAUUGAACUACUACUUUGCUCUCUUAUGGGGUUAAGAUGGCGGAGUUUAAAGGCAGAUUCACCUCCUGACCAUUAGGAGUUCAAGCUUCCAAUGGAGAAAAUAAUUUAAAAAAAAGUAAUGAGAUAAUUGUUUGAAUUAUUAAUUAGAACCAUUAAAUUUAUUAAAAUAAUUGUGUUAAAUUUAUAAAAAUAGGUCCAUAAAUUCAUAAACCUAUAAAAUUUAAAUUUUGACUUUGAAACAUAUAAAAGCUCAUACUUUAAUUAAAAAAAUAAAUGUUUACAGUAGUCAAAUUUAUUAUUAUUUAAUUUAGCCCUAUUAAAUUUACUAAAGUACCUCCACAAACUCAUUAAUCUAUAAAAUUUUAGUAUUGAUUACAUUUUGUUAUUAUGUAAUUCAAUCCUCUGAAUUCGCUACUAUUUAGAAUUGGCUCUCUAUUAUUACUCGAUCUAGUCCAAGUUCAAUCAAAGUUGGCUCUCUAUUAUUACUCGUUCUAGUCCAAGUUCAAUCAAAGUUGGCUGUCUAUCAUUGACAGUUCUCGUUCAGGUUCAAUGAAAGAGAUCAAAGCAGAGUUUGUUUGCGAUUCAGUUUGUGUAAAUGCAUGUAGGUCCAGGUUGUCUUAUUUUGUGGUUCACUGGUGUAAAGAAUUUAAAAAGUAAUUGGAUAAGAGGAUGCGUCUUGGAUGAUGAAAUGAAGCAAUGACACAUCUUCAUGUGCAGUUUUUACGACGUGCACUCGGUAUGAUUAUGAAUAAUGAUAUAUGCAUAGAAAAUAAUACAAAAUUUAAUAAAAAUUAUAUAAAAAUAAAAAAUUAUUAUCCCGUGGUGUAUUUUUUAUCCUGUAAUUAAUUUUGUUUGUCUUUUAAUAUUGUGUGCUUUUAUAUUAUUUUUUGACACGUGUCAUUCAUUGUUUCACUACUAUUACCAUGCUCCUAAAAACCUUACUUUUUUUUUUUUCGGAAGAUGCCGCAUUUGCUUGAUUUCAACAUUGGCAUGCUCGUCCUUCUUACGCUUUUGUCUUUCUAUAAUCAUCAUAUUCAAUGGCAAAAUUUCAACAAGAUAGAGCAACAUUCAACAAAGAUAAGUCUUCUUAUUGGAUUAGGUAUAGAUUUUUAAUUAAUUCGUAAUGGAAAUUGGUGGCUAUCCACUAUCAGCUUAGACCAAUUUAACUAGCUAUAGUUAAUUAGCUAAGUUAUUUGGGUGAGCAAAGUCAGCUAGUAGUAAAGCUCGGAAAAUCACCUAAUUAAAAUUGAAACAGGACCAUCAAAUACACACAGUUUGCUUUGAUUGGCCAUUCAACAAAACAUCUGAAGAGAUUGGAUGGCUAAAGAGCUAAUUAUGUCAAUCAAGCGUGGGUGUUCUGAUCAUGACGUGCCCUAAGGCUUGGCUUCGUUUUGAUUGGCUAAUGGAUCCUAUGAAUAGAGAGCACUGCUCUUCGUGAUUUGUAUCCUAAAUUGAAACCUUAUUACAAAAAUAUCACCUUCCUUUGUAUCAUGUAUUUAUUAAUUUAUACUUUCUACAUAUAUGUUGUCAAUUAUUAUAACACGUUAUUAGUUAGCAUGGCAAUCAUUUUGGUACAGGAAGUAUCUUAUCCCCUGCUCUUUUAUUUUAUCUAUUUAAUUAAUAAAGCUAUCUUUAUAAAUAUACUCUAAAGUUGUCAUUAAUUUGGAUCUUCCACAUAAAAAAAUAUGACUAGCUAUUGUAUUUCUUCUUAUUUAUUUUAUUUAUUUUUAAUUUUUUUAUAAUAGAGGGACUCUACAAUGAGCUAAGGUAAAACAUAUCGGGAGUAAGCAAUCCCAUACAAAUCAUUUGCAAUAAAACUAACAACCCCCGGAGGAGGAAUAGAAAAAAGAUGCAAUCCCAAGGGCAGCUCCAAGGCAUAAUUUGCUAAGAAGUCCGCUGCGAAAUUUGCUUCACGAUAUAUGUGGUUGAUGGUUAUAACCCAAUUCCGCUUGAUGAGAUCUCUAAUGGAGUGGAUGAGGUGGGUAUACUCGUUGAUGCUCUCCGUGUGGCUGUUAACCAUCUGAACAACAUAGUAGCUAUCCACUUCCACGUGUAAAAACCGAACACCAUGUUGCCAUGCUAAAAUUAACCCUCGGCAAAAGCCCAAAGUUCUGCUGCAAUAACUGAACAGACGCCUAUGUUGAAGCCAAAGCUAGUGAGCCACAUGCCUUGGUGGUUGUGUAUGAGACCUCCAGCACUUGAUGCCCCCAACUCUUUUCUUGCUCCGUUUGUGUUUAGCUUGCACCAGGGCCAUUUAGGUAACUUCCAGGUGAUCCAUCUCUCAAUUUUCCUGGUCUCAACAACCAAAGAUGAGUUGUUGAUGUUCUGAAUCUCCUCAACUCUAGCUUUAAUAUCUUGUAUUAUACUAAUACUGUCCAUAUUCCGUUGAUGGAAUAGGAAUUGACUCCCGCAGAACCACAAACGCCAAAUAGUAAGUCCAAAGAAAAUAUUUCAUUCAAUACUCGAGUCCAUUUGCCCUUUGCUUAGUAAAUUCUGACACAGCCAUUCUUUUAGAUCAGUCCUGAAAAACCAAGGACAAAAGCUCCCAGGAAUUAAGCGAUUUCAAAACGUUUUCGCGACCACACAGUCUCAAAUCACAUGUAUGGUAUUCUCAAGAGUUGAGCCACAUCGAUCACACCAACCGUCCACCAGCAAAUGACGCCUUGACAAUUCAAACCUUGUUUUUAGUGUAUCAUGCAACACCAACUAGAUGAAAAAACAAAUGCUCUGGGGGCCUUGCCAACUCCAUGCAAGACUCCAUAGCUUCUCCUCGUCACUUAAAAUGGUCUUUGAUAGAGCAUGGUAAGUUGACUUCACAAUAAAACACCCCUUUGCUGAUUCAGCCCAGAAAACUUGGUCUGCACCAUCAUCUGCCAAAGGAGGCUUGUAGGAAGCAAUCCUCAAAAGAAUAUUAUGUGGUAAUAAGAAACUAAAACUCUCCCAUAGCCAAUUUCCAGCAUUGUCAACAAAGUCCAUUGCUUUCCUAUUUACUAAAUGGUCCGGAACUGGAGCAAUCUCAUAAUUAAUCCGGGGUUGAUUUUUAGUUACCCAACAAUCCCACCAAAAACGAACCGUUUUACCAUUCCCAACAUUCCACCGAAUCCCCCUCUUCACAGCAUGCCAAAUUUUCCCAGAGUAAGAACCAUAUCUGGUUGGCAACUCAUAUGGUAAAAUUUUCGGGUUCACUCCAUAUUUCAUAAGCAACACUUGUGACCACAGACUUUUUGGAUUGACAGCAAGGUUUCAGCCCACUUUCAUCAACAAAGCUUGAUUCAUUACGUCCAUGUUCUUAAAACCCAAGCCACCACAACUUUUUGGACGACAAAUCAUCCCCCAACUAACAAGGCUCAUCUUCCUUUGAUUAUUAGCAUCGCUCCACAUAAAUUUCCUGCAAGCUUGUUCAAUUUUACUUUUAACACUAGCCGGCAAAUUCGUAGUUUGCAUUGCAUAGAUCGGAAUAGUCUUCAGCACUGACUGGACAAGAGUUGCUCUUUCUGCUAAAGAUAAAUGAUUGGCAUUCCACCAGAGAGGCGUUGCUCAACCUUGUCAAUAAUGCUCUGAUAAGCCCGCUUUGAGACUCUAGAAUGUAGGAGAGGCAUUCCUAGAUAAGUUCCCAGAUCUUUUAUUACUGAAAACCCAAGCAGUUCACCUAUCUGUUUAGCCUCAUUUGCUUUAACAUUCUUGGAGAAAAAAAUUUAAGUUUUAUCCUUGCUGACCUUGGCACCUGAGCUUGCAUAGAAAGCAUCAAGGAAAGACCAAAUAAAUCUAGCUUGAUCACAAGUUGCCUCAGCAAGUAGGAGAAGAUCAUCACAAAAAAAAAAGAUGGGUGAUAGGGGUCCCAUUUCGAACCAGUCACAUUGGUCUCUGAUCUCCCAUAUUUACAGCAUGAGCAAUGCCAUGGCUGAGUCUCUCAAUGCACAAAACAAAUAUAUAUGGGGAAAUAGGAUUCCCCUACCUAAUUCCUCUAGAUGGCACAAAAUUCUUGGUUAUCUCCCCCUCCCAUAAAACAUUCAUCUGAACUUGAGUAAUACAAUCCAUGAUUAGUUGAACCAAGUCAGAAGGAAUUACAACCUCUAGGAGCGUGUCAUGGAUGAAACUCCAAGUGAGCUUGUCAUAGGCCUUUUCAAGUCCACUUUAAUUGUCAUUUGCCCCCUCCUACCAAUUUUUCACCGCAUGGAGUGAAUCACCUCCUGAGCAAUAACAAUAUUCUCUGUUAUAUGACGCCCUGGGACAAAACUUGUUUGUUGAGGACCAACAAAAUGAGGUAGGAUCGUUUUUAGCUUGUUGGCAAUCAUCUUGGUGAUUGUCUUAUAAACUAAUGUACAUAAGCUAAUGGGGCGAUACAUUUUUGAAGUCUGAUGAUGAUCAUUCUUAGGAAUCAGAACUAAUAGUGUCCUAUUAAUCUCUGGGGGAACUUUGCCUUGACUGAAGAUGCUCUUAAUAAAAUGACAAAAGGAAGGCCCAACCACCCCCCACUGAGACUAGUAAAAAAUGGCAUGCAAACCAUCAAUCCUUAAGGCUUUUAAGGGCUUCAUACUAAAAAUAGUGCUUUUAAUCUCAGCUUCAUCUAAAGGCCCUUGUAAAAAAGACAAACUUUCUGCAUCUAUCACUGGAAAACAGCCCCGAAUAUGGUAUUGCUGAGACGGGAUGUUAUCCUCAAAGUAUAACUUGGAAAAAAAAAUGUACAAUAUGGCAUUUGAUAGCUUCAACUUCAUACAACUAUUUCCCAUUCUCAUCUUUAAUAGCCAUGAUCUUGUUUCUCCUUCUUCUAGUCAGUGUCUUCUGGUGAAAGAAAGCUGUCUUUCUAUCGCCGUGCAUAAUCCAAUCUUUUCUAAACUUUUGCUUCCAAAUAGCUCUUCUUGAGUAAGAACUACUUCAAGUUCUCUUUUCAAUUUUAAUUCAAGCCAAAUGAGACCCUUUGUAGUAUAGUCCUUAAGAGCUUUUUUAAUACCACCAAUGUGAGCCAUAGGUCUUCUUUACCUUUAGAAGAUAUUACCAAAAGAAUUUAUGUUCCAGUGUGAGACAUUGCGAGUGAAAGAAAAGGCCGAUUGGAGGUAGGGUUCUAUAGGAUUCCAAUUCGAAGCAACAAAAUUAUCAAAAUCUUUGUGUGUGAGCAAAGCCGCCAAGAAUCAAAAUGGUCUCUGCCCCUGACCUCGUCGCUCUUCUUUAUCAAAACGAACUGAUACCGGUCUAUGGUCUGACUGAAUUUUCGGUAAAUGAAGCACAAAGCUAUUUACAAAUUUAUUCAGUCAAUCCUCAUUGCACAUUGCCCUAUCUAGCCGUUUGAAGAGAGCCCUACGAGACCAAGUGAAUCUAGGACCCGUAAACUGAAGGUCAUAUAAAUGUUGGGUGCAAGCGGAAGUGCAGAAAAUUUUUUAUUUAAGAACAGAGUAUUUUGCUGGAAAUUUCUGAAACUUUAUUGCUUAAUUCAUUUUUUCGUUUCUCUCUUACUUUUCAUACAACCAGAGUUCUAUAUUUAUAUGCAUUAUAGACAACUCUAGAGAUUACAUUAAUCAUGCUUUACAUUUCCAAAGCUACAUUGCAAACAUCAAUUCUACCCUUUACUUCAUGUUGAAAAACAAACCAAAUAACCCUUCAAACUUCUUGCUCAAUUUACUAGAUUACUAAUUAUAUCUCAACACCCCCUCUUAAUUAGUAAUCUUCAAUUGCUUCUUGAAUUUUUCAAACUUCUCAAUGUUGAUUGCUUUGGUCAGAAAAUCUGCUGGCUGCUCAUUAGUGCUGAUAAACUCCAUAUUAACUUCUCCUUUGCUUACUAAGUCACGGAUGUAGUGAUAACGCAGCUCAAUGUGCUUAGAUUUAGCAUGAAAUACGGGGUUUUUUGUUAGAGCAAUGGCUGACAUGUUGUCACAAUAAAUUAUUGUUGCAGCAUCUUGAUUGAACUGCAAAUCCUUGAGAAUUCUUCUAAGCCAAACGGCUUCACAAGCUGAUUCAGUUGCUGCAAUGUACUCUGCCUCCGCUGAGGAUAAAGCUACUGACUUCUGCUUCCUUGAGCUCCAUGAAAUCACAUUUGUACCAAGACAAAAUAAAUAACCUGAUGUGCUUUUUCUGUCAUCAAGGGAACCAGCCCAGUCACUGUCAGUAAAACCAACAAGCUUGCAAUUGUCUUCUUUUUCAUACAUGAUCCCCUGCUUUUUUGUUCCUUGAAGAUACCUUAAGAUUCUCUUUGCUGCAAUAUAAUGGGACUUCCUUGGAUCAUUCAUAAAUCUAGAAAGAACACUAACUGAGUGCAAAAUGUCAGGUCUUGAGUUGGUUAGAUAAAUCAAUGAACCAACCAAGCUUCUAUAGAUUCUUGCGUCAGCCUUUUCUUCUUUUUCAUCAUGUUUCAAUUUUUCAUUCAAACCCAUAGGAGUAGGUGCUGGUUUGCAUUUGAACAUGUGGAAUUUCUUCAACAAAUCUUCUACGUAUUUUUCUUGACAAAAGAAGAUUUUUCCUCUGGCUUGCUUCACUUGAAUGCCAAGAAAAUACUUCAUUAAGCCCAAGUCAGUCAUCUCAAAUUCAUCUAGCAUGCUUUUUUUAAACUCUUCCACCAUUUUCAAAUUAGCGCCACAAUAAAUUAGAUCAUCAACAUAAAGGCAAACAAUAAGGAAAUCAGUACCUUCCUUUUUGACAUAAAGAGAAGGUUCACUUGAGCUUCUGUCAAAUCCAUUUUUAACAAAAUAUCUAUCAAUUCUACUAUUCCAUGCUCGAGGGGCUUGCUUCAAGCCAUACAAGGCUUUUCGGAGUCGAUAAACUUUGUUUUCUUCACCUUUUACUUCAUAUCCUUUAGGCUGCUCAACAUAAACCUCUUCUUCAAUUUCACCAUUUAGAAAUGCCGAUUUACAUCUAGCUGAAACACAUUUAAUUCCAUUUGGGCUGCCAGGGCAAGAACAGUUCGAAUAGUCUCCAUUCGAGCUACGGGAGCAAACGUUUCUGUAAAAUCAACUCCAGGCAGCUGAGAGUAUCCUUUGGCAACGAGCCGCGCCUUAUAUUUUUGAAUUGAACCAUCUUCAUUGUACUUGAUUUUGAAGAUCCAUUUCAGCCCAAUUGUUUCUUUUCCAUUUGGAAAAUUAACCAUCUCCCAAGUUUUAUUUUUCACAAUGGUGGCCAUUUCCUCGUUCAUUGCUUUGAUCCAAUCUUCAUUUCUUGAGGCCUCCUCAAAGUCUUGAGGCUCACAAGAAAAUAAAGCAAGUUCACAUGACUCAUAAAUUUCUCUCAUUGACUUUAUCUUCCUUGGAGGGCUUUCAUCAUCCGAAGAACUUUCUGCUGCUGAAUUUGGAGAAUUUGGUUCCAAAUUAUUUUGCUGUGAAGAAUUUGGUGGAGAUACAGGAGCUUCAAAAAAGCUAGAUGCCUGAGAUUGAUUGUUUUCCCACUGCCAAGCUGAUGCCUCAUCAAAUACAACAUCUCUUGAGAUAACAAGCUUAUUUGUUGUAGGAUUCAACAACCGAUACCCUUUAGACUCAUCACUAUAGCCAAUAAACAAAUAUUUUUCUCCUUUUCCAUCAAACUUCUCCCUGUUUUGAGCUGGAAUAAGAGCAUAAGCAAUACUCCCAAAAAUCUUCAAGUGAUCAACAGUUGGCUUUCGGUUGUGCCAAGCUUCAAAUGGAGUUUUGUCUCUAACAGCUUUUGUAGGAGACCUGUUGAGGAUGUACAUAGCUGUAUGACAUGCUUCUGCCCAUAAGUUGUUAGGAAUGCCUUUGCCUUUUAACAUGCUUCUUGCCAUCUCUACAAUGGUACGGUUCUUUCGUUCUGCGACUCCGUUUUGUUGCGGACUUCGGCUGACAGUAAGUUGUCUUUGAAUUCCAUUAUCCCUGCAAUAAUUCAUGAAUGGAGUGUAGAUAAAUUCACCACCACGAUCAGUUCUCAAGGUCUUCAUUUUGCAUCCACUUUGCCUUUCUGCAAGAGCUUUAAACUGAAGAAAAGUUGAGAAAGCUUCUGAUUUUUCAUUCAAAAAAUAAAUCCACAUCAUCCUUGUAUAGUCAUCAACAAAAAGAAUGAAAUAUCUCCUGUUAUUGAGAGAGAGAGUCCUUGUAGGACCACAAAUAUCAGCAUGCACCAACUCCAACGGAGCUUUGGCUCUCCAUGAAUUUUUAGGAAAUGGAAGUCUAUGCAUUUUUCCAUAUAUACAGCCCUCGCAAACUUUUUCAUAUCUUCCAACAUCAGGUAAGCCAAUCACCAUGUUCUUUUGCUUGAGCAAAUUCAGCCCUUUAUAGUUUAAAUGGCCAUAUCUAAGAUGUCAUAAAUUUGACAAAUCUGAAUUUUCAGUUUUGAGAGCAACAUUCUCAUCAAGUGGCAUAACAAGAGGAAAAACUUUGUUCUUUGACAUUUCAACAACGGCCACUGUGUGAUUAUUAGUUUUAUCAAUAAUUUUGCAUUUUUCAUCAUCAAAAUAAAUUGAAAAACCCUUUUGAAUUAGCUGCCCCACACUCAAGAGGUUUUGAGUUAAAUUUGGAACAUAAAGAACGUCAGAAAUGAGCUUUUUGUUACCUCCCUUUGUAUGGACAGCAAUAGUGCCUUUUCCCACAGCUUUCUGCAUCUUUCCAUCUCCAAGCUUCACUUGCGAAUUAAAACUUUGGUCAAGGCUGAUGAAAAUUUCACGUUCUCCAGUCAUGUGGUUGCUGCAGCCGCUAUCCAAGUACCACAAAUUAUAUGAUUCAUGUUCAGCACCUUUACUUGAAUAAAACAAGUAAUCUCCAUCACAUUCUUUUGUAAAAUUUGCCUUAUUUUUGCCUUUCUUAUUUUGAUACCAGCAAUCCCUUUGAGAAUGGUUAGGAAUGCGACGCCUUGUGCAUUUAUAACGACAAUCUUUUGAUUCAUAAUUAGACCGAUUACAAAUGAUGCACUGAGAAUCUGAAUUUUGCUGUGAAUUCCCUCUGUCAUUUUUCCACUUGUUGCGGUUGUCGUUAUGUUCUCUUUGCCCUUUGCCACGCUGUCCGUUUCUUUGAGACGAGCCUCCAUUCUUCUGGUCUUUUUUGCUGCUUUUAUUCUGAUCUGAAAAGCUUGCUCUGUAGGCUGACUUGAAGGUCGAUUGAUUCUUUGCUCAUGAGACCGUAAUGAUCCUGACAAAUCUGAAAAAGUCAUCUUAGACAAAUCCCUUGAUUCUUCAAUGGCUGCUGCUACAUGAUCAAACUUUGGAGGAAGACAUCUCAGCACCUUUUCAUUCACCUUCUUGUCUUCAAUGGAGUCCCCGCAACCUUUAAUCUGGUUCACAAUCUCAGUAACUCUACUGCAAAAAUCUUGAACUCCUUCACUGUCUUUCAUUGAUAAAUUAUCGAACUCUUUCCACAAAGUCUGUAACUUGAUGGUGACUGCCUUUUCGGAACCUUGAAAUUCUUGUUUUAGGAUUUCCCAAGCAUUUUUGGCCUUUUUGACACCAAAUAUUCUGGGGAAAAUUGACUUACUAACACCUUGCUGGAUAUAUCGAAGUGUCGUGGCAUUUCUCUGUAUGUUUUCUUUGUACUGCUGUUGAUGUGCUGGAGUCCAAUCUGAAGAACUUGCUGAUUCUGGUGGUUCAGCAUAUCCAUCUUCAACAACAUCCCAUAAAUUCUGAGAGAGGAAAAAGGUUUCCAUUUGAUUACUCCAAUAUUCAUAAUGUACCCCUUCAAAUAUUGGAACUUGACUGGGAGCAUAUGAAAAUAAUGUGGGUAGGGUAUUUGAUGUCAUUUUGAGGGUGUUUUGGAAAAGCUCUGAUACCAAAUUUGUUGGGUGCAAGCGGAAGUGCAGAAAAUUUUUUAUUUAAGAACAGAGUAUUUUGCUGGAAAUUUCUGAAACUUUAUUGCUUAAUUCAUUUUUUCGUUUCUCUCUUACUUUGCAUACAACCAGAGUUCUAUAUUUAUAAGCAUUAUAGACAACUCUAGAGAUUACAUUAAUCAUGCUUUACAUUUCCAAAGCUACAUUGCAAACAUCAAUUCUACCCUUUACUUCAUGUUGAAAAACAAACCAAAUAACCCUUCAAACUUCUUGCUCAAUUUACUAGAUUACUAAUUAUAUCUCAACAAUAAAUUGCUUGAUUGGAACUAGUUUAAAAAACUCCUACAAAUCCCACUUCUAUGUAAGGAGCCACCUUUCUUUUUCGAAGUAUAAAGGAUAGCAUUGAAAUCACCAAUGAUGAGCUAAGGUCCGCGAGUGCUGUUGGCUAGUCUUCCACGAUAGUCCCAAAGGUUUUGUCUAUUAGUUUGAACAGGGCUUGCAUAAACAGCAGUCACCCAUGACAAAAAGCCACCAUUGUUAAACAUUCGAAAAUGAAUGAAUUGCUUGUGAUUUAAAGACACUUCGACCUCCAAGAAGUCUCUCCACAAAAGCCAGAUUCCCCUAGAGAAACAAAUUGCUCCCACCAUGUGGGACUUGACAAAACCACUUUUCUUGAUGAAACCAUCCGCUCUUAUCCCACUAAUUCUCAGUUCCAUAGAACAACCAUGGCCGAUUAUAAGUCUUUGUCAGAGACACAAAAGCACUGUGAAAUUUUAGUGAGCCAGCCCCUUGGGCAUUCUAAAACAUUAUAGAAAUAAGCAUUAAAAAAAAUAGAUAAAGAUAAAAGGGAGAGAUAGGGAGCCUUACUCAACCAAGGUCUCAUAACCCAACUCCAUAUCCUUCUCAUCUUCUAGAGAAAUAUCAUCCUCUGAAGAAUCAAUACCCUUACCACUGUCUCCCAUAUAGUCACUGUCAUCCUCAUCAUAAUCUAAAGUCAUUGUUCCUACCAUAAUCAAGAGGUUCAUCUUGGGCUUUGGCAAGCUGACCGUUAUCACCACCCACAAAGAAUCCAUGUUGAGGCUCAGCCAGGGUGGGGUUUGUGGAAUUUGUGGGACAAGCAUGUGUGCCCUUUUGAUUUUAAAAAAAAAAUGGCGGUAUGGAAUAGGGGGUUUAAGCUAGUUGAUACGAAAAUAGGUUAUGGGUUCAUUGCAACAUGUGCAUGAGUUUUGCUUGAAUUACGUACACUUUGCGUGGUUUUUGUGUUGGUGGACUAGAACAUGUAUGUCACUUAAAUACGAUCCCUCACGUGACAAUAACUCUGGGCUGGAACAAGUUUGUUUUGGUGUAAAAGUAUAAACUAUAAUAUUUAUUAUAUUUUGAGAUAAAUUAUAUAAUUUAUUUGUUAUCAAUACAUUUUAGUCUUCAAUUUUCAUUCUAAAAAAUUAUUACUUUUUUAUUGCUGAGUUUUAGAAUUCAUGACGGAUCUAGGGCAUAUUUAGAUUUUUUUUUUUCAAAUUUGGAGCAGAUAUAGUUUUUUUUUUUUUUGAUCUAGAUAUAAAGCGAAAAAUAUGGAUUCAUGACGGAUUUGGAACAGAUACGAAUCUUGAUUUUUAUUAUGGAUCUAGAUCUGAAGCAGAGUACAUCCAACCCAUAUCUGUCCCAUUGCCAUCCCUAGUUUUAUCGUUUUCGAAGCUUGCUUCUUUUGUUUUGUUUCAACUCUAAGGUUAUACUUGGCUGGCCCUUGUUUGUUUGAGCUCGGAUUAGUAGGUUCUAUGUUUGUGGCAUUAUUGGAAUCUCCUUCCUCAAAGUUCGCUAACACUGCAAAACGAGAAUCCUUUCCAUAAUUGCUCCGUUGACCUUGCCGACCUUGCCCCGAAUCCUGCUGAAAUUCAUUUCCUUCUGCAAGCGAUCCUUACCCUUUCUGGUGACCACCAUCGAAGGGCCAAAUUUAGGAUAACCACCGGGAGCUAAAGCAUCACCCUUUUCUGCCAUCGCAUCCACCCUGUCACUAGGGAUGGCAAUGGGGAGGGGAGGGGAGGGGACCAAUCUCCCCGUACCCAUCCCCGAUAUUUUGCAUAUGUCCCCGUCCCCUCUCCAUCCCCGUAAAUUUUUUUUAAGAGAAUCUUCAUCCCCUCCCCGAAUAAUAAUAGGGGAUCCCCGAUCCCCGAAUAACUAAUACAUUUUUUUUGUUUUCGAUUUUGACUUAAUCAUAUUAAAAUAAAAAAUUCAAAUAAAAGUAAAGUUCGAAAUAUAUCUUACAUUAAUAUCCAUUACAAAAGUCACAUACAUUAAAUUAGUAAGUAACGCAGCAUGCAAGGGAUACAAAUUAUCAUGAACAAAUUAAUAGCCUAAUACAAAAUUGUUACAAAUAAAAUCAAAUUUAGAUUCAAAAUUAAAUGUGGACUAUUUCCUUUACAGCACAGUAGUUAAGUCGAAGCAAAUCAAGAGCAAAUAUUAGAUUAGAUUAGAUAUUAAAAUUAUGAUUUGCUGUGGGCAAUUAUAACAUCUAAAAAUAAAUAAAAAAUAGAUUUAAGAUAAAUAAAAAAUAGAUUUAAGUUUAAAAUAUUUAAUGAAUAUUAAAAUUAAAACAAAAGUUUUGGGCUAAUAAAAUCUGUCUGGUCUUUUUAAUGUCCUAAAUAAAAAUUUAGGACUUUAAUUAGUUAAUUAGGCCUAAAAGUUUAAUAAUAUAAAUAUUUUGAUAUUUUUUAUUUUUACCAAUACUUAUAAUUUUAUAAUUCAAAUUUUAUUAUUUAUUUACUAGUAAUUUUAAAAAAAUAAAAAUUAAAAUGGGGAAAUGGGUAGGGGAUGGGGAUUUCACCUCAUCCCCAUCCCCUCCCCGAAUAAGAAAUUGGGUAAAAAAAUUUUCCCGUCCCUUCCCCGAAUAAGAAAUUGGGUAUGAAGUUAUCCCCAUACACUCCCCAAAUGGAGAAAAUCCCCGAGGGUACCCGUCCCCAUGGGGAUUUUUGCCAUCCCUACCUGUCACCGCUAAUAUCAUGAUCCAAAUCUUCCGUUGCGCGGUCAGGACAUAGCUCACUGGUAUGCCCAUAUUUUCCACAAGUGAAACAUAUAUGGAGAAGACAUUUAUACACUUUUUGAACUUUGCCAUCUAGUACGAAUUGAGAUACAAUAGGCUUGUUAAGUGCUAUAACAACCGCAAUACAUGCAAACUUACCCCCCACGGUUGAUUCAGUAUUGUAGUCUAUUCGAACGACUGUUCCAAUAAUCUAACCAAGCAUCCGAAGGAUUCUUUUGUGGUAGUAACACAUAGUGGCGGACCUACAGCUGGGCUAGACCGGGCUAGUCUAGAAAAUAUCAUUUAAACCCCUUGUCUUUAGAUUAAUUCUAUAUAAGAAUAGAGUUUUUACUUUAUUUUUAUAUAAGUCCUUAAUUCAGUUGCUUUUAUGUUUUCAUCAAAUUUCAUAAAACAAUAGAGUUUUUACUUUAUUUUUAAAUAUAUCCCUAAUUCAAUUAUAUUUUUCUAUUAGUGGCUUAUUUUAUAAAAUGAUUAAAUUAUAUACUUAUUGAAUAGAUUGAAAACAUUAGGGGUCUAAAAUGUUAUUACUACUUUAAUUUGUUUUUAAAAUUUUAAUUUAAAAAAGUAUGUCAAUGUAAUAUAACAUUGUCACUAGUAUUAAAAAUAGUAAAAAGAUAUAUAAUAAAAAUUAUUAACAAUUUCAUAAAAUUUUUAUGUGAAUAUUGAGAUUUUAUUUAUUAGUUACAUUAACUAAGAGGAUAAGUUAGAAAAUAAAAUUUGAGUAUUUUGAUAUGAUUUUUUAAAGUGAGUCAGAGUGUCUGGCAAAGAAAUAAUUACGCACAAAUACCUUUUUACUAGGUUAGAGUUUAGUUUAUUAUUGAAACUCUUGACAACUAAUAUUUUUAUAAUUUAAAAAGAUGAAUAAAUUUUAAUUGUUUAAUUUAUUUAAGCUUGGUAAUUAAGUACUUUUCAAACAUAAAGUUCUAUUUGCAAUAUUUUAAUUGAUUAUAAUUACAUGUAUUGAUUUAUUCAAACUUGAAAUUCUUAAUUGAUUUAUUAAUUCUUAUAUAAUUAGAUGUUACUAUAUGUUGCAAUGUUAGAUUCCAUAAUUAAAAAAUAGUAUUUUUAUAUUUGAAUUAUCUUUUGUUUUCUAGUCUUUUUGUAUACUUAUUUUUAUUUAAAGUACAUAUUUAUAGGGUUUUUUGUAUCCCCCUUAUUUGAUGUACUUUUUUUACUUAUAAAUGUUUAUGUUCACUCCAAAAUAUAAAAUUUUUAAUUUAGUCCGGGGUAAUAUAAAGUUCUGGGUCCACCCCUGGUAACACAGGGCUAUACCAGGAUGCCUGAUCCAUGCAAUAAUUGUAUUAAUUGACUCUGUAAAACUAUCAAAGUGAGGAGUCCAUGGCUGCAUGACUAGGUAGUGACCCAUGAUUGUCCAUGGUCCUUGAGUCAAAGCAAAAUCCGCAUCACCCUUUGAACGAAAUCGAACGAGGUAGUAACCGUUAUCCAAAUCAAUGACCGAGAAACCUAAAGCCGGCCUUUAAAGAUUUUCCAAUGUAUUACAUAGGACCUUGUAGCCUAUGUGAUGUCCUAGCAAUUUAACUAUCACUGAAUUCUGCCAAGGUUUUACGAGUUGCUCAUGGAUUAUUUUUGAGAAAGAGAUAGAUGGUAUGUUGCCACCAUCCCCUACAAUGAUAUCCUCUGAUCCAAAGACUAGAUCAUCCUCCCCACCAAUCAUCUCCUCUUCAUUCAUCUUCUCUGACUCCAUUAACUUAUCUCUAAAUGAAACGUGCUCAGGGUUGUCACUAUCGUCGCCUUGGGCUCUAAACUUGGCCUUCUUCGUAGCAUGGCCAUCAUUGAUUGGAAGGGUUAGGUCCUUCUCCAUCUCUCUACUUAUAGUAUCUUUCUAGCGUAUUUUGAGUUGUAAAAGGUUUAUUAUUUAUUUUAUAUUACUAAAGUUAAAAGCAAGGACCAAAUUGUACAAGACAAAAGCAGAAGUCAAGACCAAAGUGUACAAAACCAAGAUUGAAGCAUAAAAAAUUAUAAUUGGAUCCUUAAAGUAUCAAGACUGAAGCCUACUAAUUUGAAGCCACAUAUUUGAAUAUUCUAAAACCCCAGAAGAUAAAUUGAAGAUGACAAAUCCACUAAAGCAUGAAUUUGAAGCCUACAGUAUUUUUGGUAAAAAUUAUUUAUCUUGAAUUCUACCUCAGCAAUUAGAAGCCAUAUGUCUCAAUAAGUCACCUGGAAGCUAUGAGACUCAGUAACAUAAUCUAGCUCAUCUAACUGAAAGGAAGUCAUUGCUUGAAUUGAUAUGAAGUCUUAAUUGAAGACAAAAUUCCUCACUCAAUUAAAAUAAGUUUUAAUAGUAAUUUUUCAAAUUAACCCAUCAUCACAACUCUAGGCUUUACAAAAUGACAUCAUAAUUGAAGAUAUGUGGAAAGAAAAUUAUUGAUAAAGAAGACAUGCUCAACAUUUCAGGCUUUAAACAUGAUUUUGCAACAACAAUAUCAAGCUCGCUAACCUAAUAGGCACAAAACGCGCUAACCUUACAGGCACAAAGUUAGUUUUUGAAGAACAAUUUUAUCACAUAGACACAUGGUCAAAAUCAUUAUCAUGAUGAAGUUAUAGACAUGCUAAAAAUCGUGGUUACAAUUAUGAUUGAAGUCACAUUCCUGAAGAAAUCAAGCAUUGGCUGAUAUUAUGCAAAGACAAACUAGGUUGAUUGAGGGGAUGGCUCAAGGUGGUGGUCCUGCUCAGAAUGCUAGAGCCGGAGGGUAAGGUGCUGCUGCUAGAGGCAGAAUGGUGGCAACUUUAGAGCAAUUCCAAAAGUUGGGGCCACUUGUGUUUCGUGGGACAACUGACCCUAUGGCGGCUGUUGGUAUGAAUUCAAAUGUUAUUAGUGUCAAUGUGCAAGUAUACACAAUAAAUAAUAUAAUGAUGAGUAUUCGAGAUCGUCUCCACUGGGAUUGAUGUUAUCAGACUUGCUACAACAAUCUUAACAGCGUAGAUUUUAUUCUAAAUUAAGAUAAAACAAUUAAUGAAAUUAAUGAAACAAUUUUAUUCUAAAUUAAUAAAACAAUUAAGAUACAACAAUCAUGUCAAGCUCAAGGAUAAAACCGAUGGGAAUAUAGAGUAGUUAAGUGAAUAAACUCUCUUAAUGGUUUUGACUAUUUUUCUAAUGUUUGGCUCGGUUGCUACAACAUUUGCUACAGUACUGGGCAGCAUCCUUAUAUAUCCUCAGCAGUCGCAUGUUGGAUAUCUUAUAUCUAUAUGCAAUCUAAUAGUAAUUAGUUGUUAUGCCAACAUAAGAUAUAACAUUACACACUUAUGUUCUAUUUACCCUACAAGGUGAAUCCCUAUGUCUAGUUCAUCAUUAAUCUUAGAUUAAGCAUGGCCCUUUUGGGACUCAAGUAAAACUCAAUCUAGGAAACUCAAUCUAAAACCAAGUAUUGCUUUGAUAUGUUCCACUAAGAUAGGCUCUUUUGUGGCUCUUCCUUAGCUAAUAUCAUUAAAUGGGUGAUCAGCCGAAAUAAUGAAUAAAAAUAAAUACUAUCAAAACAAAAUGCUAAAGCAAACAUGCAGCAACUCAUUUUUUCAGUCAAUAAACCAUCAAGAUUGUUAAUCACUCAACUACAAAUAAAUUUAGUUCAUAAUUUGCAAAAGAAAAAUAAAAAACAAGGUUUCAGUCAUGAAACAUAUCCCAAUGAAUAAAAAGUAAACAAGAAAACAAGAGAAGAGUAAGAAAGACUGAGUUCCCGCUUGAUUUCUGCAAAUUCUCCUCUUCUACAACCCUCAAUCUUUCUCUUGAAUCAUGUUUUUCUUUUGUUUCUUUGUGAUUUUUCUCUUUGGGUGACGGCUCUCUCUAUUCAUUAUGAUGUGUGCUUCUUGUAUAGCUGAAAAUUAGGGUAAGCGGAAGCCUAGGGCGCACAUAAGUCAGACUAGAAAACUGCAUAUCGCAAUUCUGCAAGUAUCCCACGCAGAAUUCUCUCUGUCGUUGUUCUAGGAUUGCUACAGCAAUGGUUGCUAUGGCAACAGCUACAACAACUGCAUUGUUCCAGAUUUGUUUUAAUUCUUUUGUAGCCAAGUUCUUUUCUAUCUUUUGCAAGCCUAUUGCAUCAGCAUUCCUUCCUUGAAAUUUGGGCUUCCGGACACCUACAAUUAUGCAUAUGAUUUAGUACACAAAUUAUUCUAAAUCAAAUAAAAUUUAUUAUGAAUAAACUAAGAUGAAUGUUUAUGCAAAAUAUAACAAAAAUACAAUGGAAACACAUUAUUUACUCUCUAAGUAUUAUGGAUUUAAGUCUAAAAAUGCCAUGAUAACUCUUAUUUCAUAGAGUUAUCACACCCCCAAACUUAAACCAUUACUUGUCCUCAAGAAAUGACAACAACACUACACAAUCUUGCAAUAAUUAACUUAGCUCUAUCAUCAAAUUUGCAAGCAUUUUUCAACCCUCAGAUCACACUCUUAAUCACACAAAAUAGUCAUAGCAGUUCAGUUAUACACUUAGGCUUCAUUUUGUCCAAAAUGUGUGUGUGCCACUUUGAUCAAAUUCCAGAGGUGCUACAACAUUACAGAGACAUUGCAUAUAAUUCAAAGGUGGAACACAAAUAUAUUCACAUAUGAGGGAGCAUAAUUCACAAAUAAACUCAAAUUGUGCUACAACAAACAUAAUUAUUAUUUUUAGUUAAACCUUUCAAUGCAACAUUGAGCUUUCAUGUGAAUGCCUAUCACUUGUAAUGACGACACCCAAUUACUCACUCAAAGUACAUGUCAAAGUUGUUGCAGCAACACAUCCAGGAUGUCAUACCUAGGUCUUACCUUUGGCCGCCUUUGACUCAAGGCUGAACAUGAGGCUCAUGAAUAGACUAGGUUACUCAGUAUCCUAGGCAGCGGACCUCUUUAUUUUUCAUUCCUUCAUCACCAUUUUUUUUUUUUGUAAUUUUUUAUAUAUAAUUGUUGCAGCACUGCUAAUAGCUCUUAUUGCCUUUGGACUAAAGUCUACAUAUAGGGUGCAUACUCAACCCUGGUUACUCAGUAACUUAAACCAUUGGAGCAGAAUUUAUUUCAUAACAGGCACAGUCCAACAAAAAUUUUCCCCCAAACUUGAUAUAUUUUCUACUCUUUUUUGGUUUUCCUGGCUCUGCUAUAAUAUUCUCAUAAAACUCAACCAAAGUCUAAGUGUCAGGACAGAAUUCCAACCUCCAUCUAUAACUAUCUCUACUUGGCAUUCUCAUAAAUACUGAACAACAUUAAAUUUAUCUUCAUUAGGUUUUUAAAUCCAUACACAAAUAUUAGAUAAUAGAGCUUCACACAACACACAACACAAGCAUAAACACAUGCACUCAGAAACACAGCCCCCCCAAACUUGAGUGGUGUAGUGUCCUCACAAGCACACAAAACAAAACCACAUAAACCAGACAUGCAUACACUAAAUAAAAGAACAUGCAGAAUGAAUCAGAAAAUUAAAACUAAAUGAAAGAAAAAUUUGGCAAAAAGAAGUAAAAUAAACUAACGGGUAGGGGUACUCCCCUAUUGCUGGAAGCACUGCUACAACAUAGGCUGUAAAGGAUCACUUCUUCUUUGAUCCACUUCUCAAACGUUCUUUAUCAUAAAAUCUGAUCAAUCCAUUUGCUGCUGCAAAAGCAAGAAAUGCAUAUGUUAUUUGAGAAUCUUAUGUUAUAUGUCAUGCUGUAAGUGAUGCUGCAGCAAUUCCCUCAUGUUCUUUUUGUCCACAUUUGUUUUUACUUGCUGCAAUUUAACACAAAGACAAAAAAUUAGAUGCACACUUAAAAUAAUAAAAAGACAAAUUAAAUAAUUUAAAAACUAAAUUCAAUGCCUUAAAAACUUGAAACAACUUCCCUUAUUGGGUUCCCUCCCAAUUAGUGCUUGAUUUUAGAUUUUUCAGCCUGACAUUUCUUGUUUGCUCAACCUGGAUCCUUUAAAAAUCGAUCCUUCUAUAGGUUGUUAACAUCAGCUCCCAUAUAGUACUUCACUCUUGGCCCAUUAACCUUGAAUUCUUGUUGGUCUGGAGUGAGUUCCCUUUGUUAUAUUUGCUCGUCAAUUCUGAAGGGUUGCUUCUCCCCUAACCAUGUUAUGUUAGCUGCUCUACGAUCUUAAUCAUCAAGUUCUUCAAAUGUUACAACAUUGAUUUCUUUUUUACUGCAACAACUGUGUAAUCUCUCUGCUACAGCAAAAUCCACAACAUUGAUAAAAUUACAAUCUUCAAUCUCAUCGGGAUUCUUCAUGGCAUCUAGCACAUUGAAUGUAACAUGUUGGUCAUUCACUCUCAUGGUUAAUUCUCCUUUUUGAACAUCAAUGAGGGUCUUUCCCGUGUCUAAGAAAGGUCUUCCUAGAAUGAUUGACACUUCCUUGUCUACUUCAAAGUCUACCACAAUGAAAUCCACUGGAAAAAUAAAUUUAUCCACCUUCACCAACACAUCUUUAAUCUUCUCUUAUAGUUAAGCAUGAGAUAUGUCAGCAAGUUGUAGAGUCACCGUUGUUGGUCUAGAUUCACUAACUCCCAAUUGCUUAAACACUGAUAAAGACAUGAGAUUGAUGUUAACCCCCAUAUCACAAAGUGCUUUACCACUGUAUUUAGUGCCUAUAGAGCAUAGGAUAAUGAAGCUUCCUGGAUCCUUCAUCUUCUGUGGUAUCUUACUCUGAAGCAUUCGGCUGCACUCCUGUGUUAGAGCAACUGUUUCAAAUUCUCCAAGUCUUCUUUUCUUUAUCAAGAUAUCCUUAAAAAAUUUUACAUAGUUUAGCAUUUGCUCUAGAGCUUCUACAAAAGGGAUAUUGAUAUGUAGUUGUUUCAGCACUCCCAAGAUUUUUCUGAAUUGCCUGUCUUGUUGCUGCUUCAGAAACCUUUGAGGAAAGGGUGGUGGAUAUUUAAACUGUUAUGUUGCAGCAGGUUGUGCAAACUGCUUCUCUUUUGUUCUACUCGGGUCUAUUGCUAUUGGUGUUGUAGCUUCCUCACCACCAGAUGCUGGAUCAUAACUUUCUGCAGAUGCUGUAGCAGAAUUGUGUAUUUGCAUUGUGAAAAGUGAAAGACUGUGACUCUUUCUUCACUUGAGUGUCUUCUUGGCUUUUGUUAGACUCAAUUCUUCUUUUUGGUGCACCAACUGAACUAUCAACAUCCUUUCCGAAUCUCAAGUUAAUUACUUUGCAAUGCUCUUUCCCUUCUCUUCUUGGGUCCUCUGUGUUGCUGGGUAAACAGCCGUGAGGUUUGUUGCUUAAUGCUAUAACAAGCUGUCCAAUUUGAUUUUAAAAUUUCCUCAAGGAUGCAGCAUGACUUUAGACAACUGCUUUAUUCUUCACAGUAUAAACCUUAAUUAAAGCUUCAAGGGAGCUGAGUCGAUCAUUGUUGAUGCUUCUUUGCUCUUGAUUUUGUUGAUAAAAUCCAGGUAGUUGAGCAGGUCUGUUCUGUUCACUAGGUGCUGCAGCAGUUUGAUUCUAAUUACUCCAUGAAAAGUUUGGGUGUUGUUUCCAUCCAGGAUUGUAAGUGUUUGAAUAUGGAUUGUUCUGGUUCUGUCUAUUGAAGCUGCCCACAUAGUUGAUUAACGCUGGAUUUCCAAGACAAUUGUCAAAUAAAUGCCUCUCUCCACAAUAAACACAAGAUACUUCAGCAACUUAGUUGGCAGAUGCUGGAGCAGUGAUCAUAGCUUUCACCAUAUUUGUUAAUGAGGUUACUUGGGCUGACAAUGUUGUCAAGGCAUCUACGUUAUGGACUCCUGUUGUUGCUCUUACUGCAGCUUAUCUGUUUGAUGGCCACUGAUAGUUAUUGUUGGCUAUCCUCUCCAAAAUUUAAUAAGCCUCAUUGCAAGGUUUAGAUAACAAUGUCCUAUUUGCUGAAGUAUACACCAUCAAUCUAGUGCUUGGGUUGAGACCAUUAUAGAAAGUUUCCAAUUAUAUACAUCAAAGUAUACCACGAUGAGGACAUCUCCUGUGUAACUCCUUAAAUCUUUCCCAUGCAUCAUACAAACUCUCAUCUUCAAGUUCAUGGAAAGAUGUGACCUCAUUCCUCAAUUUUGCAUUCUUGGUCAUGGGAAGUAUUUCAUCAAAAAUUUAUCAGCCAAGUCAUUCCAUGUGGUGAUAGAAUCUGGUGGUAAAGAAUUCAAUCAUGGUCUUACUAGAUCUCUCAAAGAAAAUGGGAAAAUUCUGAGUCUCAAUGCUUCCUGCGAUGCUCCAGCAAUCUUGAAAGUAUCACUUCCAAAAAUAACUUAAGGUGUAAAUGAGGAUCUUCGGAUGGCAAACCAUUAAAUUGCCCUACUAUUUGAAGCAUUUGAAACAUCAUGCGUUUGAGUUCAAAAUUGUCAGCUUGAACGUCGGGUCUAACUAUUCCCAGAUGUAUGGCUUGAGGAGUCAACACUGCGUAGUCUCGAAUAGCUCUCUCUCUAACGUUCGCCAUGUGAAUAAUGUUGUUGUUCCCUGGUUGCCUUGGAAUAUAUUGUCCAUUUAGACUUUCAUGUACAUUGACUGGUUGUAUUUCCUCUCUACGGUUCAAGUUUCUCAAAUCUUGCAAAUCAUCCAUUGCUACAGCAGCUUGUAAUUCUCGAUGCUCUCUUCUCAAUCUCCUUACAGUUCUUUCAAUUUCUGGAUCAAACUGGAAUUCAACAGAUUCAUAUUUCCGCAUGCAAGGGUUGCUAGAUCACCUAUGUAAAAAAAAAUAAACAAAUCAAAAAAAAAUUAAAAAUUAGCAUUGUUAACGUAUUGGUAUGAAUUCAAAUGCUAUUGGUGUCAAUCUGCAAGUGUACACAAUAAGUAAUAUAAUAAUGAGUAUUCGAGAUCGUCUCCACUUGGAUUGAUGUUAUUAGACUUGCUACAACAACCUUAACAGUGCAAAUUUUGUUCUAAAUUAAGAUAAAAUAAUUAAUGAAAUUCAUAUACUAAUUAAAAUAAAAAUGCAAUAAAUAAAAUGCAACAAAGUAAACUAUCACAUCAAGCUCAAGGAUAAAACCAAUGGGAAUAUAGAGUAGUUGAGUGAAUAAACUCUCUUAAUGGUUUUGACUAUUUUUCUAAUGUUUGGCUCGGUUGCUACAGCAUUUGCUACAGCACUGGGCAGCAUCCUUAUGUAUCCUCAGUAGUCGCAUGUUGGAUAUCUUAUAUCUAUAUGCAAUCUAACAGUGAUUAGUUGUUAUGUCAACAUAAGAUGUAACAUUACACGCUUAUGUUUUAUUUACCCUACAAGCUGAAUCUCUAUGUCUAGUUCAUCAUUAAUCUUAGACUAAGCAUGGCCCUUUUAGGACUCAAGUAAAACUCAAUCCAAGAAACUCAAUCUAAAACCAAGUAUUGCUUUGAUAUGUUCCACUAAGAUAGGCUCUUUUGUGGCUCUUCCUUAGCUAAUAUCAUUAAAUGGGUGAUCAGCCGAAAUAAUGGCUCGGGUACCACUCCUUCAAUGAGGUGUACUUGGCCUCCUCACUUUUUGGGGUGUGAACUAGUUCACCCAAAAACUCAAAUAUUACUUUCUCUCUUGCUCAACAAAAGUGCUUGUGCAGAUGGACCAAACUGAAAAAUAGCUGCUCCAAAGGUACACCGGAAACCCCAAAAAGAAAGUUGGACUCCCUCUUUUCUAUGCCUUAUAAAUAGCUAUCAAAUUUGGAUAAGUUGGAGAAGCUGGACCUGAUUGAUCAAAAUUUUUCAUCUAUUUAUGGGGACGAACCACCAAAUAUGUGUAGAGGGUGAUGCAGGGGUACCCCACCAUCACCCAUAUUUUAUUUUCUAGUAGUUGGAAAGUAUAGAUCGCUCCAGUGAGUACUUCAAUGCCUUUCUUGGCCGUCUGAGAACCAGUUCGUCAGUUACCCCAAGAUCCAUCUCUUUUAAGGGCACAUUUCCUCUACAUGCUCCAAGGACAAAAAUAAAAUCCCAAGGCUCCUUUCCUUGAAGCCCUCUAAAUGAUGGUUAUAUAGGAGAUUAAUUCUUUUUUAUUUUAUUUAUUUAUUUAUAUAUACAUAUCAUCUCUUUUUUUUAUAGCACCAUUAUUAGGAAUACGUAAUCAUCCUUAUUUUCAAAUACAAUUGAGUGAUGGAAAACAUAAAACAUAAGGUGAUACUCCACAUUGGAGUAGGAAAAGAUGAUAGGUACCAAAGAAAAAAAAAUUUUUUUUUCAAAGGCUCAAAGGGGUUAACUAUGUAUUCUUUAUAAUAGGGUUGGCUAAAAAACUCAAACGGACCAAAGAUGGCCUUCUAUCAUUUUUUAGGGCUUUAAAUAAUCUUUCAUAUCCACUAGUUCAAUGGACUUUUAGAUGCGGCUGCACAAACUUUCUCUUUUUUUUUUUUUACUUCUUUUUUUUUAAAGAAAAUAUUGAGAUCUUGUACAAUAAAUUGUGAAGCUGUAUAGGCAAAUAGAGUUAUUCUCCAAGGAUAAUAGGCUAAAAAAACUCACUUGGUCUUUUCAUGAUAUGUACAUUCCUCCAAAUUGCUUAAUCAAUUUCACUCAUCAAAUUUCUCAAUUUACGUUUCAACAUGCAAAGGGAAGAACAUAGUGUAACAUAACUCAAGGCCAAAGAUAAUACAAAUACCAAAAUUUAAAAAUCAUCAUAUUAUCCAAUGUUAAAAGAUCACACUGAAAAAGAAAACUCUUUUUUUUUUUCUUUUGGUUAAAGAAACACUAAAAAAUUGGGACUGAUUGCAGAAACUUAAGGGAGAUGAUUAAGAGAAAAAGAGAAAAAGACAGAAAACAAAAAGUUAGAAGACAUUUUUUUUUUGGAAACAAAACACUAAACUUAAAAAGAUGCGUUUCUAUAGACACUACAUUCUAUAUUUUGCCAUCUUCGACUAAAAUUUUUAUCCAAAGGUAGUCUUUACAACAAAAAUUAGUAAAAAUAUCAUCAGGAUUGAGACAUUCCACAAUUAUCAACUAUUCCCUUCCCCCAACCUGAGGAGACAUUGUCCUCAAUGUCUAAAGAAAGGAGUAGAGUUUAGAAGAUAUCACCUGGUCACUGCUGGAAAUAUUUACAAAUGGAGAGUUAAAUCUAAUUUACAUUUUUUACGAGAGUUACUGCCAUCGUCAUCAGUUGCCCAAUCCAACGCCAAAGUCAUGGGAUCUGGCUCUGGUUUGUAAGCGUGCAAAAGAUCAAAUAACUCAUUAGCAGUAGGAGCACAAAUGAAGAGUUUUUUCGCUGAGGAUGGAAUGAAAUAAUUUUUUAUUGCAUGAUUAAGAAAUGUUAUUAAGUCAUCAUAAAAGUUAUCAACAUUUAACAACCGAUGGUUUUUUAUGGAUAUUCAAAUGGGCCCAAGAAUCAAAUGUAAUUAGCGCCUCCAAAGUUGCAAGGUCUCCUGGCAAGAAAAUGAAAGCGUCAGCAUGAUUUAACAUUUCAGAUAUUCUUUUCUUGCAUACCUGAGACAACUAACUCUUCUCCAGUUGGUGGGUUUGGUAGACACAAAUAUUUUUAAGUUGACUGCUUAAAGUUGCUGCCAUUAGAACAAUUCUAAAAAGAAACAAUUUGUGAGUGCUUGAGAAGGAGCUUCUAUUUAAGGAUCUUGGUGACGAACAUAAUGAUAUAUAUCUGUAAAUAGGGUGGUGUGUUUGUCAAAUGACGCGUGAAGCUUUUAGCUUAAUAAUUCAAAGGCAAACAAUGAAAAGAAAAAGCAAACAGUAAUUAGAUAUAUAUAAAAAAAAAGACACACAAUAAUAAUAAUAAUGCAAAAGAUAAAAGAAUAGUAAAAUAAAAGGAUAUUUACUAGUAGUUGUGAUUGUGGCUCACAUCUUCCUCUGGGUCGAGGAUAGGCUUCGCAUCCAGUUUUCUUAUAAACUGGCAAACAAGGUCUUUUAGAGUCAGAUUCCCAAGACUAAAUUGUGCACUUUCCUUUUGGAAUAGCUUCCACAAAUUUUGAAUUUCACGUUGCACAUAUCCGCUCGGAUACGUCUCAAGAGAUCGUAAGAUAUCAUCCAACGAUUCUUUACUCAUGCCAUCCUUAACGAAUUUGAUUUUAUCUUCACGAUUUACAGAAACCAUUCCUAAAGUUUUACAACGUGGCUUUUUGCAAGCAAGUUUUACACAGUGAGAACAUUCAGAGCCAAGUCGCUUAGCUCUUCUUUUCUUAGCAAAUGUACUUUUACUAAAACCAGGCAUGUAGGAAAUGAAUGGAUCAGAAAACUUACCUGCCAAUCGGACCUUUGCUUCAAUUAAUCAGCGAAUGUCAGCAGGAAUCCCAUUGAUCAUUAACAAAUGCAGUCAUUCACAACGAGCUUUGUAAAUAUUCUUAAGAGCAUUUUGAGGGAGAGAAGGAAAACGUUGAUGCAAAUUUCACUGUAUUUCUUCCAUGCUUGACAUUGAGGUUUUAGUUAUUGUGGGAAACUGAGAAUACCGACUUAAAAAGUCACGAAGUACCGUUAUCCGCCAUUUAUACGGGAGAGUGAAUCAAAACAAAACGAAUUAAAUCUGCAAAAUCAAAUCAAAAGUGAAGAAGAACAACAAAAUAAAACAAAAACACAAGAAAUAUAACUCACCUUCAUCCUUUUAUUGAAUUUACCUCUAGUUCCAAUUGCAGAUUAUAAAUACCAUCCUAUAUUUCCUUGAGUUGUCUUUCUAGAUCUUUGACGUGGGAUACUAACUAUGGUGGUUGUAGAUCCCAAAAAAUCUGAGCAAUUUCCUCAAGUGAAAUUUUACAUGUAAAAGUUCUUUAAGAUGUUCGAAAAGGAAACUUCUCAUGGAGGUACUCAUGACAAGUAUCAAAAUUUGAUGAGCUAAAACAAAAUUGUCAAACAACACACAAUAAAAAACAAUGCAAUGCACUCUAUUCAAGGCAUAGGGAAAAGGAAGGAAAAAAAUCAAACAAUUCAAACUAUAAAGUAAUAGUAAAUCAAAUUCGUAAAAAGUUAAAAUGAAAAGGCUUAAUUAAAAUUUGGUUGGUCACUCAAAUUGAUUUCGGUAUCUGCUUCACGUGGUUGGUAUUCUAGAUAUGGUUUCAAUCUUUGACCAUUAACUUUAAAUGUGACAUCAUCUUUUGGAUACUCAAUUUCUACGGCUCCAUAUGGAUACAUAUUUUUUUACAACAAAUGGACCAUUCCACUUUGACUUUAACUUCCCUAGAAAUAAAUGAAGACGAGAAUUAUAAAGCAACACUUUUUGACCAAUUUCAAAUGUUUUUCGAAAAAUUUGGUUCUUGCCUUAAUAAUUCUGGAAUUCUCAUAUUCAUCAUUCCUUAAUUCCUCAAGUUCAUUUAAUUGCAAUUUACGCACAUUACCAACAUCAUCAAGAUUUGAAUUAAAAGCUUUAGUGGCCCAAAAUGAUUUAUGUUCAAGUUCAACUGGUACUGGCAAGAUUUUCCAUAAACAAGCCGAUAGGGUGACAUUCCUAAAGAUGUUUUAAAAGCAGUACGAUAUGCCCAAAGUGCAUCAGUUAGUCGAAGAGACCAAUCUUUACGGUUUGGAUUAACUAUCUUUUCUAAAAUUUAUUUUAUCUCCCUAUUUGCUAAUUCAACUUGACCACUUGUUUGAGGUUGAUAAGGGGUAACAACUUUAUGUGUAAUUCCAUAUUUCUUCAUUAAGGACUUAAAUAGCUUAUUACAAAAAUGCUUACCUCCAUCACUAAUAAUGGCUCGAGGUAUUCCAAAUCUGCUCAAAAUAUUUUCUUUUAAAAAGCGGAUCACAAUCUUGUGAUCAUUGUACCGACAAGGAAUCGCGUCGAUCCAUUUUGAAACAUAAUCAACAGCAACUAAAAUGUAUAUAAAUCCAAAUGAUGAUGGAAAAGGGCCUAUAAAAUCAAUUUCCCAACAAUCAAAUAUUUCAAUGACAAGGAUUAGGUUUAAAGACAUCAUGUUUCGCUUUGAAAUAGACCAUACCAUUUGGCAAUUCUUACACACUUUACAGAAUGCAUGUGAAUCUUUAAAUAAUGUAACCUAAUAAAAUCCACAAUGCAAUAUUUUUACAGCUAUCAUUUUUAAAGAAAAAUGGCCACCACAUGCUUCAGAAUGACAAAAUUGAAUGACCCUACUUACCUCGUCGUCCGAUAUGUAUCUUCAAAAAAUUUGAUCAGAGCAGUACUUGAACAGGUAUGGAUCAUCCCAGUAAAAGCUUUUCACUUUUGUUAAGAAUUUCUUCUUGUCUUGAGAAUUCCAGUCACAUGGCAUUUCACCUGUUGCAAGAUAAUUAACAAUAUUAGCAUACCAAGGCAUUUUGUUUAUAGAAAAUAAAAAUUCAUCAGGGAAAGAAUCAUUGAUGGGUGUUGUUUCAAUUGAAGACUCAUUCGUAAGUCUUGAAAGAUGAUCUGCAAUAACAUUUUCAGCGCCCUUUUUGUCCUUGAUUGUCAAGUUAAAUUCUUGAAGUAGCAAAAUCCAUUGUAUCAACCUUGGUUUGGCAUCCUGUUUUAACAUUAAAUAUCUCACAGCAGCAUGAUCAGAAUAAACAAUAGUGGAUGAACCAAUUAAAUAUGAAUGAAAUUUAUCCAAUGCAAAUAUUACAGCAAGUAGUUCUUUCUCAGUUGUAGUGUAAUUCAUUUGAGCAUUAUUCAAAGUUCUACUUGCAUUAUAGAUGACAGAAGGCUUACAUUCUUUUCUUUGACCCAGAACAGCGCCAACGACAUAAUCACUAAUAUCACACAUUAGCUCAAAAGGUAAAGACCAAUCAUUAUUGGGGCUGAUGUCAAAAGAGUAGUUAUUUUUUCAAAAGCUUGUUGACAAUCUUUAGUCCAUUCAAAAGGUGUCUUUUAUUAGGAGGUUACAAAGUGGUCUAGAUAUGGCACUAAAGCCAUUUAUAAACCCCCUAUAAAAUCCUGCAUGUCCUAAAAAGGAACGAACUUCUCUAAUUGUCUUUGGUGAGGGUAAUUUUGAAAUGACUUCAACUUUGGCUUUGUCAACUUCAAUUCCUUUUGAAGACACAACAUGGCCCAAAACGAUUCCAAAAGUGGUCAUGAAAUGGCAUUUUUCCCAAUUUAAAACUAGUCAUUUUUCUUUGCACAUUUCCAAAACUUUUUCUAGAUUAUCAAUACAUGUAUCAAAAGAAUUAUCAAAUACAGUUAAAUCAUCCAUAAAAACCUCUAAACAAUUUUCAACCAUGUCACUAAAAAUGCUUAGCAUGCACUUUUUAAAUGUUGCAGGAGCAUUACAAAGUCCAAAGGGCAUUCUCCUAAAUGCAAAUGUUCUAAAUAGGCAUGUGAAUGUAGUCUUUUCCUAGUCUUCUAAGGCUAUACGGAUUUGAUAAUAGCCAGAGUAACUAAUAAGAAAGUAGUAGUAGGGAUGUCCAACUACUCUUUCGAGAAUUUGGUCUAGAAAUGGAAGAGGAAAAUAAUAUUUUCUAGUGGCAUCAUUUAAUUUUCUGUAAUCAAUGCACAUGCGCCAACUAGAUGGAAUUCGUGUUGGGAUUAGUUUACCUUUUUCAUUUUUUACAACGGUUAUUCUAUAUUUCUUUGGUACUACUUGUGUUGGACUUACCCAUUUACUAUCAGAGAUAGGAUAGAUAAUUCUUACAUCUAAUAGUUUAAGGACCUCAUUCUUUACCACUUCUUUUAUAUGAGGGUUUAGUCUUCUUUUUGGUUGACGGGUUGUUUUGGCAUUUUCCUGUAAGUGUAUUCGGUGUGUGCAAAUUAAAAGAUUAAUGCCUUUUAUAUCUUUUAAGGUCCAACCAAAUGCAAUUUUAUGUCUUUUUAGUACAGAUAACAACUUACCUUCUUGAUCAUGUGUGAGUUGGGAAGAAAUUACCACCGGAUACGUCUGCUGCUCUCCAAGAUAGGCAUACUUCAAUUCUUCUGGUAAGGGCUUUAAUUCAAGCUCUGGUGCUUCCUCUUUGAUUAGUUCUUCAGGUUGUACUGUAUUUUCAAAGUUCGAUUGGUCAUCGUCACCUGUAAGUACCUGCAUAGAAUCAAGUGUAGAACAUAUAUUAGCAGUAUCACAAUUUAAUUCUUUACUUGAUUCAAAAGAACCAGCAAAACAAAUUUCCACAGAGGUUGUAAAAUUCUCAUCCUGAAUGUGUUCCUCAAUGAUUGGCUCGAUGAGAUCAAUCUCCUUAUUCUCAUUAUCAUCAUCUUCUUGGUGGUGAGAUUGUUUACACAUGUUAAACACAUUGAGUUCCAAUGUCAUGUCCGAAAGAUAAAUUCAUUAAUCCAUUCCUGCAAUUAAUCAAAGUAUUAGCAGUAGCUAAAAAUGGUCGACCCAAUAUAAGAGGAAUUUGUUUGCAUUCAUUAGCAAUUGGGUCCAUUCCCAAAAAAUUAAAAUCAACAAGAUAUAUGAAUUUAAUCGAUCUAACAGCAAGUAAAAGAGUGGUAGAAGUUGGUUUUAACUCACCGAGAUUGAGUUGUUGGUACACUGAGUAAGGAAGCAAAUUAUCACUGGCCCCAAGGUCAAGUAGAGCAUGUCCAAUUUUAUGAUCCCCAAUAGUGUAAGAAAUAGUUGGACAACCAGGAUCCUUGUAUUUCAAAGCACUAUUGGUUGAGAGAAUGGAACUUACAUGUUCUGCCAGAAAAGCUUUCUUUUGCACUUUAUGUUUCUUUUUCAUCAUGCACAGAUCUUUCAAAAAUUUAGCAUAAGAAAGCACCUGUUUAAUGACAUCCAGCAAAGGAAUGUUGACCUUUACUUGUUUAAAAACUUCAUAAAUUUCUAGACUGCGGUUUGAUUUCUUUGGCUUGAUUAGUGCCUGAAGAAAUAAGGGUACAAGAGGAGAGUUGGUUAUUUCUUCAUGGGUUAAAGGUUCGACAGACUCUUCCCUAUUUUCUGAAAUUGAAUCUUUACUAGUUUCACGAGGGUCCACAAUGUAUUUUUCGAUCACUUUACCACCACGAAGGGUUAUAACCGAUUUGACUUGACUCAUAUUUUGGUUUCCUGAAUUUUCCAUUUGAGGAUGUUGUUGACUCUUGGGGUUUGGUUAAGGUUGAGCAGGAAACUUUCCUUUUUCAUGCAUGGUCAGAGCAGAUGUAAGUUUGGAGAUAAUUUUUGUCAAAUUGGUUAAGGUUUGCAUCAUUUGGUUAUUGAUCGACUCGUGUUUUUCAAUAAACGAAUGCAAUGUGUCUUCCAGAGUUUUUCUUGGUGGUGAGACAUAUGGUGGGUAACUCUGGGGGUUUUGGAAAUUUUGACGUGGAGGAACUGGUUGUGAAGGUUGUGCAUGAUUAUCAUUUCUCCAACUGAAAUUUGGGUGGUUUCUCCAACCAGAAUUGUAAGUUUGGGAGUAUGGAUUUGGAUUUGACCUUUUGAAAUUGUCAACGACAUUUACUUGUUCGUGCAAACUUUCUCUCAAUGCUGGCAAAGUUAGACAGUCCUGCGUAGAAUGGUCAGUAGAAUCGCAAACAUAACAUGAAAUAUUUUGAACAGACUUUACAUGAUCAUUCUUUUUCAACUCUAAUGCUUUGACUUUUCUAGCUAAUGUUGCAAAUUUAGCUUGAAAAUCAUGGUCUUCCCUAAGGUUAUGCAUGCCUCCACCAGAUGGAGAUGACUGGGGUUUACUUGAUGACUCAUAAGAACCAAUUGUAUCUCAGUGUUGUGCAUUCUCUGCUAUAUAGUUAAGAUAGUCUAAUGCAUCUUCAGGACUUUUAUUCCUAAACUCACCAUUAUGGAUCAUUUCAACGACUUGUCUACCUUGGGAUGUUAAUCCCUCGUAGAAAUAAGACACUAAUCUCCAUGUUUCAAAACUGUGGUGUGGGAAAAUGUUAAGUAGUUCUUUAAACGUAUCCCAAUAUUGGUAGAGGGUUUCUCUUGGUUUUUAAGUGAAUGUGGUGAUUUGUCUUUUGAAAGAAUUAGUUUUGUGGGGUGGGAAGAAUUUUUUCAAAAAUUGUGCUUGCAUUACAUCCCAAGUUCUGAUGGAUCCUGACCUAAGAUUUUGUAGCCAAGUUUUAGCUUUAUCCUUUAGUGAGAAAUGAAAAAACUUAAGCCUGAAUAUAUUCAUGCUACAAUUUUGAUCAGUACAUGUGUUACAGACUUCCUCAAAUUCCCUUAAAUGCAAAUAUGAAUUUUCAUAUUCAAAACCAUAAAAAGUAUGAAGAAAUUGAAUGAUACCAGGUUUGAAAUUAAAACGUGAUACAUCAUGAGGGAAAACUAUGCAUGAUGGUGAUCCUGUUCUAGUAGGAUGCAUGAAGUCUCUAAGGGUCCUAGGCUGUUCAUGAAGAUUUUACAAGGCUUGGUCAUUUUCGUGCUCCGAAAAAUUUUCAGCUCCGAUCUCAGCCAUAUCUAAGGGUGGUGAAAGUGAUCUAAUUAAUCUGCCACUAUUUGUACGAGACCAACGAUGCCUGCAAUGCUAAUGAUGUGUGCUAAACCAAUGAUGCAUAAAACGCUAAAUGAAAAUUGCAGAAAAUAAAAAUAAACAGGAAAUUAAAUAAGCAAAAAUACGAAAUAAAAAUAAACAAACUGAAAAUAAAUAAAAUAAAUAAAUUAGGCAGUGAAACCAGCCAUAAACAAAGAAAUUAAAAGAAACAAUUUAGGCGGUAUUUUAAAACCAGCCAUAUAACAAAACAUAAAAUUAAAUAGAUUAAUGUAUAAGAAUAAAUAAACUGAAAUUAAAAUGCUAGGCGGUAGAACCGACCAUAUAAACAAAAAUACAUAAAUUAACAAAAUUUAAAUAACAGUCAGGCAGUAGAACCGACCAUUUAAAAUAAAUGCGGAAAGUAAAUUGCAUAAAUUUAAAGAAAUAAAUUCGAUUUGGGGAUUGAUUUGCAAAGGUUUCUGGGCUAAAAUGAAGUUUAUCACAAAUUUUAUGAAUAAUGUUAAAGUUUGAAAAGAGGAGGGGUGCUAACUGAAGUUUUGGAAAAAGAGAAUAAAAUAGAAUCACGAAGAGAUAGUAACAAAAAAAAUUAAAAUAAAAUAAAGUAAAGACAAACUAACACCAAAUUUAGAAAACUCCCCGGCAACGGCGCCAAAAACUUGACACGACUUAAAAAUAUAUUAACCCGGUGAGUACGGGGUCGAACUACAAAGAAUUUUAAAUCUAGUAGUCAAUUUAAAACUAAGAAAAUUAAUUGUGGGGAAAAGAAAUUAUUUGAAAUCAAUUUAAAAAUAUGCUAAGGUUCGGGAUCCACUCUCUGUAUUCAAACUAUAGUUUUAAUACUCUCUCAUUUAUAUUUUGCAUCACUUUUACCAGUUAAUUAUUAUAUCAUUUAAUUUUAUGUGUGUGGAUAAAUAUGGAAUAAAGUACCUAAUGUGCCACACUAUAUUAAAGUGUCGACAUUAUGUCAAAAUACCAUACAUAUCCAAAAAAAUGUAUAAAUUAAUAUGACAUAAAAAUAACUAGAAAAGAAUAAAAUAAAUUUUAAAACUCAUUUGAGAAAAUAAUAGAUUUAAUAGUUUGAAAUAUUGAGCUUCACCCUUCACCUCAGCUUAGUAAAAUUAGCCACUCAUAUUGAAAGAAAACACAACACUUUAUUUAUUUGAUAAACUUUUGAAAUACGUUACAAGAAAGUUGAUUACACAACAAAAGAAGAAAAAGACACAAUUCAUCAGUUACACUCUAUUCUCUCUUGGCUUAAGCUCUCUCUGCUCAACUCUCUCACUUCUCCAUGCCUCGCUCCCUACAUUUCCUUGCCCUUUUAUAGGCAAGGAAUGCAUUAUCUUUAUUUAUUUUAUUAUUAUUAUUAUUAUUAUUAUUAUUAUUAUUAUUAUUAUUAUUAUAUAUAUAUAUAUAUAUAUAUAUGUACAUUGAAAUGUGUAAUGGUCAAGUGGCCAUCAUGGCCACUUGACCAUCACGAGAAACCAAAUUGCUUGGUUUUUGUUCUUUUGUUCUUUUUUCAUUUUUUUAUUUUUUAUUCAUUUUAAUUUUUUAAUUUUUUAUUUAGUUAUAUCUCAUCAAUAACGCUUCCAAAUUGCUCCAGCAGUCCUUCUUUGUUCCCGCUUUCAAUUCCAAUUUAUUCCUAAAAAAUAUUUAUAAGAUAAAAAUUAACAUAUUACGAAUUAAUUUAACACAAAAAUUUAUUUGGGGAGCAUUCAUAUAAUUUAGGGAAAAUAUCCACCGUCCACCCGUUUUUUACACAUUUUUUAAAAAUACACAAUUCCUUCAUUUUUUGGCUGGAAUCCACCUAAAGUUACAUUUUGUUUCACUUUUCCACUUCCGUUUGGAAUCCGUUAAGAAAACUAACGGAAACUUAAAAAAAUGAUCAUUUUACCCCCAAAACAAAAAUUACAAUUUCACCCUAAAAAUGUUAAAAAUAAUCAGAUUUAAUGAUGAAUAUCAUUAUUGGUACGUUAAUGAAGUACAAAAACAUCUUAACUACUAGAGAUUAUAACUCAAUGAAUAAUAAAACUCUACUUAUCUUAAAUUCAAUUGAUGGUUUGUGAGAUUGGGCUAUUUUUAAUGCUACUGUUAUAAUUUAGCAUUCUAAUUACAGACAUAUUUAAAAAAAAAACUUGCAUUUGAUGGUUGUGCAAUUAAUUUCUUUAUUGACCGAUGGGGAAAAUAAUUAGAUUUAAUCUAAUUAUUUUUGGCAAUUUUUAAAGUGAAAUUGUAAUUUUCGUUUUGAGGGGUAAAAUGGUCAUUUUUUUAAGUUUCCAUUAGUUUUCUUAACGGAUUCCAAACGGAAGUGGAAAAGUGAAACAAAAUGUAACUUUAGGUGGAUUCCAGCUAAAAAAUAAAGGAAUUGUGUAUUUUUGAAAAAGGUGUAAAAAACGGGUGGACGGUGAAUAUUUUCCCUAUAAUUUAUAAGUUAUGCGCGCAUUAAUCAACACUUUAAGUGAAAAACUAAUAAUUUUAUCCUUAUUACACGUACACUUUUUAGUGUUAAUCAUACAAUAUUAGUAUUUCAAAAAAAUUAGGUGCAAUUUGCAUCACUAUAGUUAACAGUACAUCCCAACUAGGUUGGCACCUGUUGAACUAUCUAUCAUUUGCAAAUUCACAACCUUUCCAGUAGUAAACUUUUUUUCCAAAAAGUUGCAAAGAAAGAAGGUCUCUAGUCUCUAGAGGGGACUUCAAUGUUCUUUACUAUGCAUAAUCUGGAUCCACUUCAUCUUGAUCGACAUCCAAACUCUCAAUUUGUUUCAUUGAAGCAUUUUACCAAUCUUAUUACACUCAGCUUUUAGCAUCUUUCCAUCUUUCAAAUGCAUCAAAGAGUGUAAUGUCUCUGAUGACAAUUUUGAUCGACAUUCAUCUAGAACUCUACUAUCUACACUAAAAGCUGACUCUGAUGCUACAAUUGAAGCUAGAGGGGUUAGUGGAUCACGGGCCACAAUGAAUAGUAUAGGGGAAAAAGAUGUCUUAUCCAUCCAAAAUUUUAAAUUAUCAAAAUUUUACGAUUGUGAAGGAGUUAAUAAAUCUUCAAGAUUAACAUAACAAUACCUUCACCAUUCAUUACGAUUAGUAUCAAUACUAGAAGCAAUACCAUUACUUUUGAGCAACAAAAGGUUAGCUGGAUUUCUAUAAGAAGUUGAUGCUUGUUGAACAUUAGAAUAUGUAUUGGUUGAUCCAAAUUUAUUUUGAUAAAAAUUAAAAAGUUCAUGCAUAAAGGACGUAAUUGUGUUAGAAUUUGUUUCAAGCCCUGUUAGCAAAUUUUUAGUGAUAUUCUCAACUAAAAAUUUUGUACCAACUUCCUUGAUUGUAGGAUCCAACACUACUGCAAAUAUAAAUAGGUGGGGCAUAUCUUUCCAAUAUUUUUAGAAUUUUUCAUCCAUAGCAUCACAAAUAUUUUUAAACAUAAUAUUUUCACUAAAAGUCUUAAAAGCAUAACUCAUAUUAUACAAGUGGAUUAACAUUCUACAUGAAGUAUGACUCAUAAAUAGUAGAAUAUGCAAGAGUAGUAUUAUAAAAUACCUUCAAAAAAUGCAUAAAUUUAAAUGCAACAUUUCAAUCAUAAUCAGUGAUAUGAUAAUCUUCAUCAUGCAUUAUCUCAUUGUUAAAACUAGAAAUUGCUUUAGAAUAGUUUUGGCAAGAAAGCAACAUCAAAUAUGUAGAAUUCCAACAAACUUUCAUGUCAAUGUUGAAUUUCCUCUUUUUUAAUCCAAAAAUUUUCAAUGUAGAUAAAAACUAUUGUUGCCUUAAAGGUGCUCUAAUAUAUAAAAUGGUUGUUUUUUUUUUUUUAAAUAAUGAUUCAUAUGGUCAUACCAGCUUAAACAAUUAAAUCAAUAAUAUGACAUACGCAUUUCACAUGAAAACAUUUUGAGCCAUGUGCAAGUGUGAGAGUAGAAAUAUUUUGCAAAAACAUAUCAAUUGUGGUUGUAUUGACUGAUGCAUUAUCAAAUGAUAUUCUAAACAAUUUAUCAGUAAUUUCAUAUUCUCUUAAAACAGACAUUAUGAUUGAGUAAAUUACUGAACCAAUAUGAGGAUAUUCUAAUUCAUGAAAUGCAAGCAAUUUUUUUUCAAACUGCAUUUGCCAUUAAUCUCAUGUAUAGAGUGCUAAGUCUUACAAAAAUAACCAACCAUAUUAAUACCAGUCCAACAAUAAGAAGAAAUUGAAAUAACACCAUUAAAAUUGAUAAAAGUAUUAAUCAAGAAUUUUUUCAUGUCAUGAAAAUUUUUGGUAAAAUCACGUUUUAAUGUAUUUCUAGGCACUUUCUUAAGUUGAGGGCUCAACAUACCUUUCCAGAAAAUUUAUCAGACGUUCAUCUUCUGGAAAUGUUAAAGGUUGCUCUACUGUAGCAAUAUACCUAGUCAAUCCUUCUUGCAUGUUCUGUUGUGAAUAUUUAAAUGAUGUUAUAGUACUAGAAGGUCCAAAACCAUACUGUGAAAUUGGGGUUUGUGUUGGGUCUUGUGGUGCGUGUUUUGCCUGGCAAGUUUCCAUAUGUUGUUUGAGAUAUCCGGUUCCACAUUUACUUUUGACACUUAAAAAGGCUUGGAAAAUUGAUGUUCUUGGCUAUUUGGAGGUAAUAGUAGGACCAGUAGUGGCAGAAGUAGAACCACUUUGACUUGCUUAAGAAGUAGGAGGAGAUCGCUGGUGGGACAAUAAAUAUAUUAUUUGGAUCUAGUUCUUGUGUAGCAAUUUCUUCAUUUGGAGCUUCCUCCCCCUCUUCAACAAAAUUUAAAUUCUUAUUCAACUCAAAACGCCUUCCCUCAUGAUUGAUGUGAGAGUGAGACAUUUUAUGUGAAUAAUUUUUUGGUAAAUAAAAGUAGUUGUGUAUUUGUACGGCUGGAAAAAAUAAAAAAUUCAGUGACCAAGAGAGACGUGUAUUAAAUGGUGUUUAAUGGCGUUUCACUUUUGUUUGAGAUUUGAGUAACAAAAAGAAGUUACUGGAAUUGUAGGAGAGUUUAGAGGAGAUUGAGUAGAGAGUAAAGACGAGACACAAGAACAAAUGAGGAGAUAGAGAUUGAGAAUUGAGAUAAACUUGAAAAUGAUUUAAUUGUUUAAAUAGAAUAAAAAAGUAAAAAUAUUAACAGUCAAAUGUGGCAAACAUGCAAAGCUUCCUGCAAGCCUGCAACAAAUUAGACCGUUGCAUUUAUUUACUUUUUUUUUUGUUUCAAAUUUUUGUUCGUUUUGUCCGUUGGGUGAGUAAUAAAAUUAAUUCAAAAUUUUUUUAUUAUUAAAUAAUAAUAAAAAGUUAGUUUCUGAUCGGUGCACCCCGAGCUGUAAAAUUGAGUAGUCAUUUCAAUUUUACUAUUGUAACGAUGGAAUUUAAAAGUUGUGUGCAAUGCAAUCAAUUCAAAAUUUAAAAUUUUUGAAAGUUGCCGACAAUGAUAUUUAAAUAAUAGACAAUUGUAACUCGUAAGCAUUGUGCUCACCUUGUGUGAGACUGUAGUCGUAGUCAAAAAUUCAAAUCAUAAUUCAACGAUUUUUAUUUAUUUUUUAAAUAAUAAAUUAAUAUUCAAAUUAAAUACUUUUCAUUUUGGGUUCGUGCCAACAAGGCAACAAUGCAAUUUUUUUCAUUUCUUUUAUUAUUUUUUUGGAAAAUGUUCUUUAUUUCUUUUAUUAUUAUUUUUUUAAAUAAUUUAAUAAUGUUUUCCUACCAACCACACGCUUGCCUCUACGACUCCACAGCUCCACAAAAGUCAAGAACCCAAGAUUCACUCAUUCACAACACCAGUAUUUAUAUUUCACUAAAUAUUUCUACUUUCUCAACCACUUUCACCUAUUAAAGUAAUAAAAUCAAUUUUUGUCUUUUUACUACUACCUAAUAAUUAUAUAUGCAUGCCAAAACACUAUGAGUCUAUGACGAUUCAAAAUUCUUCUUCUUUUCUUUUUCCCUCAAACUUUCCAAUAUUCCAAAACCAAAAGCACAAUGGAUCCUCAAGAACAUAAUAUAAAUGCAGAAGAAGCUCAACAACCUCAAGAAUACAAUGUCUAUGCCGUUGGACCUCAACAAAACAACAAUGCAAGGUUAAAUAAGUCCAGAAGCUGUCAUUUAAAUAAUUUUUUUCAAAAUUUUACUACAGUAAGGGAGGAAAUAAUAGAUAAUGGUUCGCGUAGUCCUUACAAACGGAUGAUCUUCGAGUAUAACUAUUGUCAUUGAGAAAUUAUUUAUUCAAAUGCCCAUGGUACAAGGGCUUUUUGUCGACACGUGUCAAAUUUUUUAGCUCGCCAUCAAGGCCAAGACAGAAUUAACCUUGCUCAUUUAUCGUAACCAUAAUUGUGAUUAAUAAACGUUAUUUUGGCUUAAUAAUCAAUAUGUCAUAUUUUCAUAGUUGUGAUUUUUCGUAAUCUGUAUUUCCUAGUUGUAAGUUGUGACUUGUGACUUGUUAUAAUUGAUAUCUCGUAGUUGUAAUUUCUUGUAAUCAUUAUUCUAAGAUUGUAAUUUUAGUUUUUAUUAGUCAUUACUAUGAUGUAUGUAAUUGAAUUUAUGUAUUGUUGCAUUAUAAUUGGUGAAAUUAAAUAUAUAGUUGUGAAAUUGUGAUAAACUUAUAAUGAAAUGUUAAUUGUUCCUUUAAUAAAAAUUGUUGUUGUUGUUGUUGUUGUUGUUAUAAGUGCAUUGACUGAUGGGCUUAAAAAACACGCUAGGCAUGUGGGGUUGAGGAAAAAAAAAGUUGAUGGACAUUUUAUGAGCAUGGAACAACAUUGCCCGUCCACUUGGUGGACCGUGCCAUGCCGACCGUGGGCCUUGGUUUAACCCCAUCGACUAUCUUUAGUUUCAAAUUAAUUAAUUAUUAAUUUAUGAAUUAAUUGGUUCUUGUAGAAAAAUAAAUUUUGUUUUGAAAUUUCAUUAUCUAAUAAAUUUAUCGAAUUUUUAACUUACCAUGUUAGCCUUAGACAGGAUGGAAAAAACUAUUAUUUAAUCAAAAUUAUCAAUUUAUCAAGUACUAAUUUAACGAUAUUCUACUGUAAUAAAUCUUAUAAAUUUAUCAAGUAUAAAAUUACAGAGGUUUUACUAUAGAAGGUUAAAAAUUUUCCUUUACCCCAACCUUUAUCUUUUAAAAAAGAAAUUAAAAAUAAGAAAAUAGGAAAAAAAUGUGAUUUUGAUUUAGACCAAGUAUAUGAUGAUUUUAAGGUUAUUUUUUUCUUAAGUCCUUGCUGUUUAUCGGAAAAACUUAGAAAUUAAAAGUUUUCAAAAUACAUCUGUUAAAUCCUUAUUAUCAAUUCAAAUUUGUUUCAUUCAAGUUUUUGACUGAAUUUUACUAUUAGAAAAAAUAACAUUAUGGCAUUUUAAUCGGAUUUAAUUGAUUUGUUAAAAAAACAAACAUUAUGGCUUUUAAGGGUUGUUUCAGCUGACAAAGAUUACUCUUAGAUAUAUCCUAAAGGAAGCCCAAAUUAAUGUUAGAAAAUCAUUGCUUAAUGCCUUAAUUUAUUACUUGUUUUUCUGUUUUAACAGUUUUUUAUUGCUCAACUCUGCUUCAUAAAAUUAUGUAUAUGCAAUAUUUACAAGGUGCUAUGCUAUUGUAACUCGUCAUUGAACUUCAAUUUUAGAAAAUUUAAUUGUAGAUAAAGGAUCUUGAAAGUGAAUAGAUCGUACAUUGAUGUAAGAAUAUUGUGCUGAAAGUGAAAAAAAAAAAAAACACUCAAAGUGGGGGACUUAUGUGUGCAAUGGAACAAUAAAAAAUGACAAAUAAUGUGAAAGACCCUCAAGUUUCAUGUUGUUAAAUCUAUUGUAAUUAUUGAGCAAACGGGUUAAUUAUAACUUUGGAAAAAAUAAUAAUUAAGAAACUAUGAUAAAAUGAGCUUUAAACCAUUAAUGUGAAGUAUGAAUAAAAAAGAUUUGAAUUUGGAGGAGUUUGAGUGAUAUAUAUUGUUGGAUUCAUCUCAUUUGGGUGGUCCAAAGGCUUCCUUGGUGUGCAAAUAUCACUAAGUUUUGGACUUGGAUGAAAUUAGCUAGAGAAUAAUAAGUAUAAAAGAAAAGCAAGCCUUGGUAAUGAUAUAAAAAAAGGAAGAAAAAGAUGAGAGAAAAAGAGAGAGACAGUGGCGUAAUAUUUGCUUCUAGGGGCAAGUGUUUUAACUCUGUUUUCUCGUAAAUUUGGAGGGUAAGUUCCUAGCAUCAUCCUCUACAGUUCUACUAGUCUUGAUUUUUGUUUUAUCCUCUCCUUGGUUGUUAUUUGAGAUAUCUAUUUGUUUACGAUGUUGUCCUUAUUGAUUUUUGGUCCUCAACAACUGGGCAAUGACAUUGUUGUGUACUUGGCACCGUUGAUUGAAGACUUGCAAACUUUAUAGGAUGUUGGGGUGGAGGCUUACAAUGCUAAUAGAAAGAAAUUCUUUAAUCUAAGGGUUGUUUUGCUAUGGACCAUAAAUGACUUUCCAACAUACGGGAAUUUAGAGGGUUGUACUGUUAAAGGAUAUAAUGCAUGUCCAUAUUGUGGCUUAGAUGCACCUAAAUGUAGACUGAAAGAUGGUGGGAAAAAUGCAAUGGCUAGUAUGAAAGGUGUUGCAGACGUUUUGGAGGUGCUAAUAUGGAUGCUCCAGAGAGUAGUAAUGCGACCAGGGGUGUGAAUAUAGGUGCUACGCAGAACUAAAAGCUGAAAACGAGGAAAGAGAGGAUUGUUGUACAAUAUAAUGUAUUAGGCGUUCCUGCUGGUGAUGAAGCCACUGAGCUAGCUUCCUAUCUUGGAGUAUUAGCUAGUAGUUCAGUUUCGAUUUUAUUUUCUGAUUGGCGUAAAGUUCCAGCAGAGACGAAGGAGCGUUUAUGGGAGUCCAUUCAGGUAAAUGUCCAAAUUCUUUAAUCUAUUGAUCUUUAAUCAAUUGUUCUGGUCUUGGUAAUUAUUAGAAUAUCAUAUAUGGUAUUAGGAUUGCUUCAUCGUUCAUCCUAAAAGUAAGAAGUAGCUGCUGCAAUCAAUUGGGCAUGCAUUUCGUAACUUCAAGUACAUGUUGAUAAAAAAGUACAUUGUGCCAUUCGCACAAGACCGGAAGAGACUAUACAGACCUCCAAUUGAUUAUCCCCAAAUCAAGAAACCUAUUUUGAUAAAGUUUGUCGACAAACGUUUAUCAGAUGCCUUUCAAGUUAGUAUCUUUGACUUAGGCUUUAUGUUUGACUUAGGUUUUCUCACUUGUUAAUAUUUGUUGGAUAUAUACCAAUAAACACCUCGGUAUGUUGAAGUUAUUCAGAAAGUCAGUUGUGCUAAUAAGGAGAAAAGAGCCUCCAACAAGUUAAAUCAUCGACUUAGUCGAAGAGGAUAUGUUGGAUUAAUGCAAGAUAUGGUAAGUACAUGGCUAUCAAUUUAUAUUAGGUUAAUUUGUUUAAAAUAUUAAUUAUUAAGUGGACUUAAAUAAUAUGAUUUGUUUAUCCACCAGUGCUCAGAAACCAGUCUUUUAGAAGACUUAGUAGACAUGAGUGAACUUUGGAAGAGAGCCCGGGGAAUGAAAAUUGGGGUUACAACCUUGAAACUGAGAAGAUUGUUAUGAAAAUGGUGAGGAGCUUCAAUAAAGUUAAAUAUUCUUUAAUUAGUUUAGCGUGAGUAGAUUACAACUAUAUAUUAUUACUAAUUUAUUUUUUAUGGUGAUAGGAAAAGCUCAAAAAAGAGGCUAAGAAAGGCUCCUUGAAGUCAGAUGGAAGAAACAAUAUACUUGCACAAUCAUUGGGAAAGCUUCCUCGAAUUGGCCAUAUGCAAGGUCUUGGUAAAUUUGUAACACCUACCGAGUACUUUCACAUAGUUCAUGGGCAUAAUAAACAUGUUGCAGAGACUGACUUGUAUGCCUGGGAGAAAGAAAUUGAAAGUCAGCUGGAGAAAAUCACCAAACAAUUAAAGAAGACACCUCGCCACUCAAAUGUAGGAAGUCCCACCUAUUCCUAGCAAUGGUGUUGUUGAUUGCUUAGAAGAAAAGGAUAAUGACAAGGUGGAUGUAGUUGAACAGAAGGUUAGUAACUUUUUUUUUCCAGCCUUAGUGCAUAUACUAUAUUAGUAGGUUUAUUUAGUUUAGAUUUUUGCCUUUGUAAUUUUUAGGAGCCCCUAGCUUAGAAAACUCAGAUGGCCAAGAGAGGAAAUCCUCAACUAAAAAAAGGGUAGAAAAGCAAAAAGAAGUUGAUAAAAAGGAUAAGAGUAAACCUAAGAAGAAAAUAGGGACAACAAAAAACAUUACUGUCAUGCCAAGAAAAAGUCCAAGACUUAACACCAACUUGCCAAUGGGUGAUGCAAAUGAGGGGGAAAAACCAAAGCUUGGUAGUGCCAGAAAGCCAUUAUUUCAGGAGAAUGUGCAAUUAGCUAAUGGUCUAUAGCAAGUUCCACCCAUAGCCCAAAAAUAAGGGCUACAAAUCUGAACAAAAACAAAAGGAAGAAAGGUGCAGUGCAGCAUGUGUCGAGAAACACUAGGCACACAGCAGUAAUACCAAAAACAAUCAUCCAAUGCUGCAACUCUUUGGCACAUUAUAUGACAUGUACUUGCCUCCAUUCGGUUGGAUUCAAUAUUUGAUUGAUGAUAAUGUAUUUCAGCUAGAAGGUAUUGUAGCCCAUGUUGGGAAAAUGAAGUGUGAUGCGAUGAUGACGAUGCAAGUGAUAAGAGUUAAUGCUAUUGAAGUAUAUAUUGCGUAAGAGAUUUUUGUUUUUCUUUACACUUGAAUUAAUUUAUAUGAUGUUGCAAUACUUGUCUAAUGACAAGUUUUGGUAUUUUGCAUCCACUAUUUCAAGUUGUUGUAUGACUCGAUUAUCCCAAACAAAAAAGGAACAAGACCAUUUGGAUUCAUCUAUCCAGGUUGUGUCACCCCAUCCUAGACAAAUACCAGACAUUUCCCAUCCCAGCAGAGCAGAAGGUGUGUGCAAGCGCUUGAAAAAAGCUUAUAAAGGACAAUUCUUGUUUGUGCCAUACAAUCCUAGGUCUGGAAAUUUCAAACUGUAAUAAAGUGUUUUAAUAAUUAUUUAUUUAUUUUAUCUUGUCUUUGAUAAGUGUUGCUUGGCUUUCUUUGUAUUUUUUUUUUUCUAUUUUAGCUUCCAUUGGGUUUUGGUUGUGAUUGAUGUGGCAAAAAAAGAAGUGUUUUAUUUAGAUCCUAGGGGGUACGAUGCUCCUUAUCCUGAUUUAGAACAACUGAUUAAAUCGUAUGUAUUCCUUUCCAUCUCAUAAUCCUAAUAUUCUCGCUUUUUUUAAUAUAUUUUUAAUAUUUUAACCAAUGUACUUUAUUCAUACAGUGCUAUGACACUGUUCUCAGCUGAGGAUUGUAAGGAAAGAUGGAAUUAUAACCCUAAUAUGAGAUUUGUGAAGGUAAACAUAUUAUCUUAACUAAAAUUCUGUGUAUCUAUCAUUUUAAGCCUAAAAUAGAAUAUAUUUAUAUUGAUUUUUUUGGUUUAUAACUGUGAAUAGACCCCUCAGCAACUGGGAAGCGUGGAAUGUGGCUAUUAUGUCUUGAGGUUUAUAAAAGACAUUAUAGCAGACCUUAGUUUGCUAAUGAAUGAUGUGAGUCAGUGAUGAAUAAAAUCAUAGGAUUGGUUUAUACCAUACGCACUGCAUUGUUAUGGAAAUUUGACAAUGUUGAUUUUAUGGUUUUCAGUUCCAUUGAAAGGUCAUGUAUACUCAGGCUGAGCUAGAUGAAGUUUGUUUAGAGUGGGUUAACCAUUGUUCUUAAAUCAUUAACGCAACAAAAAAUGGUUAGUAUGAAUCUAAAACUAUACACAAACAUUUUUAUUACUUAUAUAUUAUAAUUGGUUAAAAACUAUAGACAAAGUGGCAAUAACAGCGACCUAGCUAGCUACCUAGGUUUCUUGAACUAGGCUUAAUCUUCUAUUUGAACAACAAACAACUGCUGGCAAAGUUGUUAUCCUGAUAACAACAACAUUAUUUAGAGAUGAGAUUGGUACUUCACUCAAACUCUUGUAGAGGAAUAUUAAGAUAUACUUCCUUAGAAGUUCAAUAUUCCACAAAUACUUGAUACUAAGAUAUUUCUUAAGAGUUCAAUAAUCCUUAAAUACUUGAUAUACUUACCAAUGUAGUAGUCAUCUUUAUUUUGAACUCUUUGAUAUGGAAUCCUCUUACACGCCAAUUUGCUUCUUUUAUUCCUCCAAAAUAUUCUCCAAGAUUCCAUAUAAUCUAAUUUUAAUUAAUUUCGACGACUAAAUACAUCUCUAAUAAAAGGAAACUAAUCCCUAAUAAAAGAAAUAAAUAAAUUAAAAAGUUAUUGACAAGAUGAUGCCAAUAAUAAAAGCCUUAACAAUCUCCCCCUUUGGCAUCCUUGUAGUCAAAACAUAAACUAACCAAUUUUAUAGUCUUCAAAUGGCGUGUGUAUUGGGAAGAUAGAUCACGAGCAAUAACCUACGCAUAGGCAACAAAAGCAUACGAAGAACUAACCAAAGCAAAAAUAAUUAGUCACCGUUAAUUCAAGAUAAAAAUCAUCUAUAAUAAAUAAAUGCAACGUCUAUUGUUCAAUUGAGAAAAUUAACUUUCCCUUUAAGAAAAAUAAUCUCAUAUCAACAAAUGACGAUAGCAAUAAUGCAUAAUAAAAGAAGUAAUAAAGAUCAUAUGCAAAUCAAACAAGCUCCCCUUAGAGAAAGAAUAAAUAAACUCCACAUUUAUUAUCGAAAUUGAAUUCCUUAAACAAAAUAAAAAACCACUCUCCCCCUUUCACGAGGCAAGAAAAAAUAAAAUACGUUAAUCUCCCCCUUUUUUACAAAAGGAACCAAAGCACAAUAAAGAACAUAAACGAAAAUUGAAAUAGCAUAUCCUAAACUAGGUAAAAGCAAAACUAACGAACAAAGGGGCAUAAAGCUAAUGAAUCAAGGGUAUUAAACACACCUAAUGUCAUCAAGAGUUGUGUUCAAUGCAUUCAACGUGACCUAAUAAAUCUAAAGUCAUCUAAUCAUCCAAGUGAUGGAGAGUGGAGUGAAUUGUUUGAAGCUCAAAAUUGAUAGUGGCUGAAUUUAGGAAAGCAUUCUCAAUUGAAGUAUCUUCAUCUUGAUCACAAACAACACCAAGGGACUUCAACAUAGGAUAGGAUGGUUCAAUAUAAAUAGGAAAAGAAGGAAAGACCUCAUUUCUUCAAUCAAAGUAUAAUUCUAAGAAGUCAAAACUUGAUAAAUCAAGGAAGGGAAUGGUAAUGCAUGUCUCUCCCAAAAGGCAUCAGUAUUUUUCAUAAUCAAAUCAAAAGCCAACUUGCUAAAGUUGAAAGAAACCUCACCUCCAAUUAAAAAAAAAACUUUAGCAAAUAAAAGAUCCACUAUAGCAUAAUUUUCAGUAGGAUACCAAUUGUGUGCUCCAAUCUAAUACAAAGCUUGAUAUCUAGAAUCAAGUUUGGAAACCAAAAGGUCUUUAGGCCAAGGUGAAUACCUUCCUAAAAGUCAAGUAACAAUAGUAGACAUGUCCAAGGUAUUCAUGUGCUUCCAGACAUUAUUAUGAUCAAAAUCUUUACUCCCAAAUCGACUAUUGAUUAAAAAUAGGGAAAACUUCAAGAUACGUCCUCUGACAUAAGUUUUAUGGAGAAAACUACGCUUAGUCUCAUCUGCAGUAUUCUUAUUCAAAUUGGCAUAGAAUUCACGAAAUAUGUUAGAUGCAUAUGAAGAGAUAUUCUUAAUGAUGUUUUCUAAACCAGUAACAAUAAUGGAUGAUUCAAUCUCAAAAGGAAUAAACUUAAAAAUAGCAACAAUGCAUUAAGAAUGAAAUUUUCUUUUAAGCAAGAGAUCAAGACCAUCAGUAGGAGAAUGAGUAUAGUACCUUUUACUAUAACCACAUGGUAACACAUAACUAAAGAUUAAGUGGCCGCUAUUUUGAUGAAUUGGAGACUUUGGGACAUGCUCAUCUGAAUUGGCUUCACUAGGACUUCUUCAAUUGAAUCGACAUGGCCAUUACAAGAUCCAACAAAAUUGUUGAGUGAAUUGGUGCAAUCGGCAUAUGUAUCUAUCCUUGUGUAUUGAGCAAUUUCUAUAUAGUUUCUAUCGUAGGCCAUGGGUUGUCAUCCUUCUCUUCUUCAUGAGUAGCAUGCAGCACAUUAAUUGGAUCAAAUCCAUGCACAUUGGAAUCACCUAGAACAUACACUUAACUUGUUGAACAUGUAUCUUUGAUUUCUUUUUCAUGGAACUUGAUCUUUUAGAAACUAUGAUGUACAGCCUGAAAAAGAACUAAAGCAAAGAAGCUCUAGAGAUAUAGGCUGCUGUUUGCGUAAGAGAGAAUGAGAAAAACGAGAUAAAAAAAAGCCCUUAUUCCUAGACCUUAUGUGGCAAGGAAAGUGUAAUUUAGAUAGAAAUCAAUUAUUAUACUUUCCAUAAAUAAUAAUAAUAAAUCAAAUAAGGUCAUAGGGUAUUUAUAAAACAAUAAUAAAUAAGAUAUACCGUAAUAAAAUUAUAAAUAAGAACUAUUUUCAAUGACAAUUGCAAAAACCACAAGUAUAAUGCAAAAACACGUCAGAAGGACGUCAUUGAGGAUCAUGUCAAAUUUUGAAAAACCGCGCAGUUACAGGAAAGUAUGCCCUACCUAAAAAUGGUCAGGUGCUAAUAACUAUGGCCAAUGGGCCGUGCCGUGCCGGCACGACCCACCAACUAUCGGCCCACAAGGGCUCGUGGGCCGGCACGGCACGGCCCACUAAAUUGGUGGGCCGUGCCGUGUCGUGCCUACAUUUUUUUUAAUUGAGCCCGGCACGGCCCACGGCACGAGCCCGCUCGUGCCGUGCUCGUGCCGUGCCGAAAAAAAGCCCACCAAUUUUUUUUUUUUUUUUGCGUGCUUAAAAAAGCCCACGUGCCUAGCGUGCUUUAUUCAAGCCCACGUGCCUGACGUGCUUUUUUAAGGCCACCAACAUAAUAAUAACAAUAAUAAUAAUAAUAAUAAUAUUCACAAUCAUAAUCAUAUUAAUUUUUAUUAAGAGAGCAAUUAACAUUUUAUUAUUAGUUUAUCACAAUUUCACAACUAUAUAUUUUAUUUCACAAUAAUCAAUCAUAAUUCAUAACACAACAAUACAUAAAUUUAAUUUAAUUUAAUUCCAUAGAUCAUAAUAAUAAUUAAUUAAAAUUAAAAAUACAAUCCUCGAAUAAUCAUUACAAUAAGUCAUAACUACGAAAUAUUAAUAUAACAAAUCAUUUAUUUAAACUAAGAUUUAAUGAUUUAAAUUAAUUUUUAAAAGUCUAUGCUAAAAAAUAUAUUAAAACAUUUAAUUUCAUAACAUUUUAUAUUUACUUUUUGUUAAAAAAAUUUACUUAGAUAUAUUUUGGCCCACGUGCUAUUAAUGGCUCACGGGCCGCGUGCUAGCCCACUAAUGAACCGUGCUUAUUACGUGCUUUUUCGCGUGCCGUGCUUUGGCCCAUCUCUAAUCGUGCCGUGCUUUAAAGCCCGCGUGCCUAAAAUUCUAGGCCCGGCACGGCCCACGUGCGUGCCGUGACGUGCCUCGUGCCUCACCAAAACGUGCUCGUGCCGUGCCGUGCCGUACGGACACGUGCCGCCCGGCCCAUUGGCCACCUUUAGGUGCUAAUAACACAAUUACAGAAAGGCCCCUAAACACUCGAGAAACCUCGAAAAGCCCUAAAUCAUGAAAAAACCCUAAAACUAAAAUGCAUGCAUAUAUGUAUCAUGCAAUCGUCCAUGCAAUGAUGAUUAAAAUUCCCUCUUUGAUAAAUGAAACACAUAAUUAAAAACUUUUAGGAUUAGGUUAAAGAGACAAGUUGUUAAACACAAGUUUAAACCCAAUUUUUCAACCAUUGGAUUAAAUUUAAAUGAAUGGUCAAGAUUAGAUGACGUGAGUUAUCAAUUUCAUUAAUAGCUUUCUUCCUUCUCUCUUUAAUUUUUAAUUCUCUUUCUUCUUUUAUUAAAGAUUCUCUCUUUUCUCUCUCCUAUAAAUUUUUGUAAAUGGAAUAAUUAAAACCAUCAAAAUUAAUUUACUUACAUAAUCCAUCAAAAUUAAUUUACUUACCAACAGUGAAAUAAAGUAGCAAUAUAUGGAACAAACUUGUACAAUUUUUGCUCUAUAGUUUCAGAACCAACUCUACAAGUCGUAUAUGAACAACCUUCAUCAAUAAAUUUCCUAAAAGGUUUUAAUCAAAAACCUUCAUCAAUGAUUGUGAUUUUUUUAUUAAAACCUUUUAUAUGGAACAAAUUGUACAAUUUUUGCUCCAUAGUUUCAGAACCAACUCUACAAGUCGUAUAUGCACAACCUUCAUCAAUAAACUUCGUAAAAGGUUUUAAUAAAAAAUCACAACCAUUUCCUAUCAAACAACAUUGUUCUUUUCCAUUAUAUUUUAAAUUAAUUUACUUAUAUAAUUUCUAAAUGGAAUAAAUAAAAGUUUAUACAGACACACAAAGCGAAAUAAAAUUGAUAUGAAGCCAAAAAAAUAACAUUGAUAUGAAUCUGAUCAUUUCAUCAUGAAGCAUACGUAAAUAAAUAAGGAUGCAAUUGAAGAAGAUUGAGAAAAAGGCAAUCUUCGUCAGCACAGCCACUAAUUGAAGAAAGUAAUGUGUGUAGAAGAAGGACAAGUGCUUCUAGGUAAUUAAAAUGGGCUAGUUUACAGUUACAAAUAGAUUAUGUAAGUUAGGUAAUUAAAAUGGGCUAGUUUACAGUUACAAAUAGAUUAUGUAAGUUAGGGAAUUAAAAUGGGCUAGUUUACAGUUACAAAUAGAUUAUGUAAGUUAUAUAAAUUAAUUUUGAUAGCUUUAAUUAUUCCAUUUACAAUCAUUUAUAGGAGAGAGAAAAGAGAAAGUCUUAAAUAAAAGAAGAAAGAGAACUAAACAUUAAAGAGAGGAGAGAGAAAGAUAUUAAUGAAAUUAAUAACUCAUGUAAUCUAAUCCUGACCCUUCAUUUCAAUCUAAUCCAUUGGUUGAAAAAUUGUGUUAAACUUGUGCCUACAAAUGUGUCUCUUGAAUCUACCCCAAAAAUUUUAUGCUAUAAGACAUCUUAAAACAAAAAUGCACUUUUGUAAAAUAAAUAUAUGAUUUUUGAACAAUUAAAAAGGCGUGUUCAUCAAUAAUCAUCACAAUACACACAAAAUCAAGAUAAUCAAACUUUAAUCAAUUAAAUCAAUAGAAGAUUAGUUAAAUUUUAAACUUUUGUAUGUGUGUGCAUGAUAUAAAUCCGUCAUGACUCAAUCUCGAUUUUUCUCAAAAUCAAAAAUUUUUGUAUUGAAAAAUAGAAUAAACAAGUCAAACUAACCUUAUCAUCUUAAUCUUUGAAUUGACUUUUUCAAUGUAACAGGCAGUGUAAUAAGAGAUUGCAAUAAUAAAAUUUUUCAUUCUACUGUAUAUAUUAUUUUUUUAAAUGUUUACAGUUAAUAACUUUCAUCUUACCUCUUAAGGUAGCCUUUUUCUGAUGGUAGUUCGUUCUUUGUCGUAUUUCGAGUACGCAGACUCAAAUUACUCAAUGAUAGCUUCACUCUUAAAAGUUACAGGUAGCUAUUUCUAAUUGAGGUGCCUACAUAUCUUGAUAUCUACAGUUGAGAUAAGAGUUAAAAGCAAAAAGUCAAUGUUCAAUCCAUUAAUCUCAACAUCAGAAGUCUCAAAAUUGAAAAUCAAGUACUUCCAAGAUAUAUGUGCAUAAGUUUAAAUUAAACCAAUCAAAAAUUGUUUCAAGCUUUCAAGUCAUCAAAACAAGACUUUUAUGCGCAUAGUGAUUUAAAUUGAGAACAUGUCAUGCAAAAACACAUGCGAAUGAUGUAUUAAUCAUGUCAUGAGAUGCAAAAAAAUAAUGAUACAUAUAUAAAAUGUUAGAACAUGGCUACAUAGAACAAAUACCUAAAACUUUUCUUAAGGAAUCAAGUCUACAUGCAUCCAAAGCUUUAAUAAAGAUAUCCGCAAGCUAAUUUUUUGUUUUAAUCUACUCCUGAAAUAUAGUCUUGUUUUCAACUAAAUCACGAACAAAAUGAUGUAUGAUAUUUAUAUGCUUAGUUCUAGAAUGUUGAACAUGAUUCUUUGAAAUAUUGAUUGCACUUGUAUUAUCAUAAUAUACAGUAAGAAUAUCCUGAGCGAAACCAUAAUCUUCGAGCAUUUGCUUCAACCAAAGUAAUUGAGUACAACACUACCAAUGGCAAUAUAUUCUGCCUUAGCAGUAAAUAAAGAAAUUGAGUGUUGUUUCUUAGAGCAUCACCAAAAGACUCUUCAAAUAAGAUUUUAUUACUUAUUUGAAGAGCCACAUCAGCAUUUAAGGCUCUAAAAGACACUCCAAUUAAGAUUCUUCAAAUAAGAAAUAAUCAUCUCUCUUCAAAUUUGAAGAGUUAUUUUCUCUCUCUUCAAUUUAUAUUUUAUUACUUUUUGUUGGAGAAAGAGAGAGAAGUGCUUUAAUUACUAUUGACUUUUCCUUUAAAAAAUAGUUAUUUUAAUUAAAAUAAUAUUAACUCAUUUCUAUUUGAAGAGUCUUUUGGAGAAUAACAUAAUUUUUCACUCUUCUAUUUGCCACAUAGGUAAGCAAAUAGAUAUUUGAAGAGUAAAAUUUAUAGAACCUUUUGGAGAUACUCUUACUAUGCCAAGAUACAAAAUGGUUACCAAGAUAAAAACAACCUCCAAUGGUACUCUUUCUAUCAUCAGAAUUACCUACAUAAUCAGCAUCGCUAUAUCUUGCAAGACUUGAAUUUGUGUCUUUAGUACACCAAAUUCCAUCAUUAAUAGUUUCAUUUACAAAAUGAAUGACAUGUUUCGAUGCAGAUAAAUGAGAUACUUUUAGAUUUGCUUGGUACGUAGCAGAAACACCAACACUAAAACAAAUAUCUGCCCUACAUCUAGUUAAAUAAAGUAAGCUACCAAUCAUGCUUAUGUAUAGACUUGUAUCAACAUUAGAGUCACUAUCAUCUUUAGUUAAUCUUAAAAGUGCUCAUAGGCAUUCUCAUAUAUUUGGCUAAAUCUAGUUCAAAGUUUUUCGCCAAAUUUUUGGCAUAUUUUCUUUGAGAAAUGAAGAUACCAUUUUCAAGUUGUUUCCCUUGUAAGCUGAAAAAAUAGGAUAACAUACUAACCAUGCUCAUUUCAAAUUCAUUAUUCUUUGGAUCAAAAUAUUCCUAAACUUCUGUAAGAGAUAUAUCAUCCAUAUAAAUUUGAGCAAUCAUACUUCUAGGGUUAAGGUAUUUAAUAAAUAAAGUUUUGUCUACUCCCUUUCUUUUGUAGCCUUUUCCAAUCAAGAAUUUGUUUAAUCUUUCAUACCAAGCCUUAGGAGCUUGUUUUAAUCCAUAUAAAACUUUUUUUUAACUUAAAAACAUAAUCAGAAUGAUGUGGGUCUUCAAAACCUUUAAGUUGUUUAACUUAAGCUUCUUCAUUCAAAAUUCCAUUCAAGAAUGAUUUUCUUAAUUUCCAUUUGAAACAAUUUAAAGCUAAUUAAACAAGAUAAUAGCAAUUAAUAGCCUAAUAGAUUCUAGUCUAGCCAUAGGAGUAAAGGUUUCAUCAAAAUCAACACCUUCAAUUUUUGUAUAAUUUGGUACUACUAACCUAGCUUCAUUUCUCACUAUAUUACCAAUUUCAUUUGUUUUAUUCUCGUAAAUCCAUUUGGUGCCAAUAACAUUGGUCUGAUUUGUUUAGGAAUUAGUGUCCAAACAUCAUUACACUCAUAUUGUUCAAGUUCUUCUUGUAUAGCUUUAACCCAAAAUUCAUCCAAUGAGGUUCCUUAGCAUUUUUUGGUUAUUUAAUGAGGUAAAAAAAUUCUUGUUAUUUCCAGAAUUUCCUCGAGUCAAAUUUUAAACCAUCUUGGCAAUCUUAGCCAGGGAUUCGUCUUAACUUCAUUUUCAACGUCAUCAGCAUCAUUAUCAUAAUCAAAUUUUGAAUUUGGUAUCUCAGCUUGAAAAGCAAUACUUUUGUCUUUCUUCUUCUUCAAAUGAUUAGUCUUAAAAGUUUCAAGUUUGUUAAUCACUUGAUUUCUUAUCUGCCAAUAUUUCUUCAAUAGAUAUAACUUCCAUAAGAAAUCUAUCCGGCAAAAACCUCAAAAUUUUUCUAAUUAAUUCUUAUUCAGAAAUUCAUUUACUAAGAGACUUAGAAGUGUUAGCAAUCUUAAGAAGUUUAUCAUUAAAAUCGGUAAUCUUCAUGUUCAUGCAUCUUAAGAUUCUCAAAUUCAAUUGUAAGUUUUUAAAGUUUGGAAUGUUUUACCGUAUUGUUUCCUUCAUGAUUGUCUCAAAGAAUGUCCUAAGCGUCUUUGGCAGUCGUACAUGUAGAGAGUAAAUCAUACUAAUUGAUGUUAACUGCAUUAGCAAUAACAUUGAGAGACUUGGAAUUAAAGCCGUAUUUUGAAUUUUUGCGUUGGAAUAUUCAUCCACAGGCUUAAGAAUUCUAUUUCCAUCUUGAUUAGCCUUAGUGGGUAAAUUGUAUCCUUUUCUUACGCAUUUCAUAGCUCUUAUGUUAAUGGAUUCAAUAAAAAUAGUCAUCCUUUGCUUUCAAUAUGAAUAAUUGGUGCCAUCAAGUAAUAGUGGACAGGUCCGUAGAUCCUCUUUCUCUCUGCAAAUUCAUUCCGACAAAAAUAGAUCAAGAUCGGGAGGAUUGUGUAAAUCAGUUUAGAAUUUCGUGAUUAAAAUCUUGUGUUUUAUUUUGAAGUUUUGUUUUUGUGGUGAAUUUUUACUGGUAGUAAGUCCCGUCCAAGGAUAAGUUUUCCGUUUAGGGCUGUAAAACCAUACCUGUAGCCAUUUUGACCAAACCAAAGAUAGAACCCAGGAUUCUAACCAUGGAUCCUCUUCACUGUAGAGCAUCGUCCUUUUCUAGCUCUUCUUCUGGGAAGACUAGUGACUCAAAGCAUGUUGUGAGUUCAGAAGAAUUUGUUAUUGAGAACUUUGAUAAAGCAAUUGAUUGUUGGGAACUUCCAAAGAUUUCAAAAGAAAAGAUUUACAGAACAAAAAAGCUCGAUUUUUGGAAAAAUGAUUAUGUUAUAAAAACUGAAGAGCGUGAUAUAACUCUUUCAAAGCCUUUUGAAACAAUUAAUUUGUUUUCAGAAAAAUCUUUAAACAAGUUAAAAGAAAAGAAUUUCAAUUACAUUCAUAUAGGUCUAAUCCAAAUAGGCAUAAAGCCCCUUACCAAAGAAGGCCUGGAUACUUCUAUCCUUGUUGUUCUUAGAGAUGGUCGAUUCAUCUCUUUUGAUGAUUCUCUGCUAAGUAGCAUUGAAUCUAGCCUAUGCAAAGGUCCCAUUUCAUUCGAUUGCUAUCCAAACAUAACAUUGUCUCUUAAAGACAAAAACAUUUUGAAAAGCAUGAUUUUACAAAUCAAAACACAUAAUUAUCAUAUGAUUGAGGGAUCUAUCCCUGUUGCAUUGAUUUUUAAAAUCUCAUACAAAGCCAUGAUUACUGCCUUCAGUACUCAACAUAAAUUCCAGUCGAAAAGAGAUGAAACUCUUCUCUUACAGACUGACCUGUCUAGAGCAAACACUGUCAUUCCAAAACCAAUCCAAUGGAAGGAUGUAAAUCUUCCUGAGGAAUGGAUACUUGAAGGAGCCGCUCCACCAGCGAUUCCAAAACAACUUGAGCCUAAUACAGAGUUGCAAAAUGUGACUCAGUAUUCUGAUGGUAAAGUUAAAUUAUCAUUCAGGAGAUCAAGUUCUUCCAGAUUCUCCGAUAAAGCAUCAUGCUCAAGCAUUCCUUCACUAGAAAGGAAAUUUACAAAAGUACCCUCUGUUAUAAAUCUUCCUUUUCAGAGUCAACCUAGGUUCUCCACUUCGGAUUUACCUAGUUCUUCUAUCAGUUCUGUUGACUACACUACAAAAAUACCACAUCCCGUUUACAUUAGCAGUCAACAUGAACAAAGACAGGAAGAGAAAGAAUCUUCUCUUCCAACUUCUCCUACAUUCUCUGCAGUCACAGAAAAUGUUUUAAAUGUCAUUGAAAAGCAUUUUGAAUUAGACAAAACCAUGUUGCAUAAUGAUUUUUAUUCAGAUGAUAAUAAAGAAAAAAGACUAUGGUUUUUCAAACAUUUUUUAAAUCAAAGGAAGGAAAUCCAACAAACUUACUAUGAAUUUGUUAAUUUUCAUCAAGUUCAUAUAUUGUUUUUUGAUUGGUUUGAUAUAUAUUCUUCUUAAAACAACAUUUCCUACCCUUUCAAAGAGUCAAACCCUAUUACUACCAGGAAGAAAACCACUGAGUGGAAACUCUUCGAUAGUAAUAGAACAGUCGAUUCUGAGCAUCCCCCUCUUAGGAGUGUCAUCAUAGAACAUGGUGAACCUCCUGUAGAAAUUAGAGCUUCACCUUACAAAAUCCCAAAGCCAAAUGAUCCUGAAAUCAAUUUAAGUAGUAUUAUUCAACAGAAUAAUUUCUGUAAUACUAACUUAAAUACCAUAGGAAAACAGUUGACUAGAUUGGAAAACCAAUUUCAACAGUCAACCAUAUCUGUUUCUCCAAAUCCAAAAAUUGUUUCUUUAAAAUCAGAUUAUGAUAAAAAGCUUAGAGAACCUAUUUUCAAACCUUUUCAGGUUUCGAAAACUAGUCAGAAGCUUGUCCAGGAAUCAAAGUCUGAUUUUGCCAAAGCCAUUAGAGAACAGCUAGAUAGGAUAGAAGCUUCUUCUUCCUCAUCUAGUAAAGUUCAAAUAGCUCCCGAUACUCCUCAAUCUAGCAAGAUUGAUACUCCUCAGUUGAGUAGAAUUGGAGUACUCGACCAAGACCAGGUUUCUAUUGCCUCUUCUGACUUAGAAACCUUUACUGAAGAACCUAUUCCUAAGGCCAACAAAAUUCAUUGGGAAUUAGCACUCCCUACUUCUAAAUCUCCACCUGAUUUGACCAUAGACAACAGGCCCAGUGCAUUAAAUCAAGCUCGAUAUAAUGCAUCCUCUGUCUAUGAGUGGAAUAUAGAUGGAAUGUCUGAAUACAACAUUUUAGGUGUAUUACAGCAAAUGACCAUGGCAGCCAAUGCUUAUAAAACCCAAUCAGGAACUUCUGACAAAGCCAUUGCAGAAAUCCUAAUUGCCGGUUUUACUGGUCAACUUAAAGGAUGGUGGGAUCAUCUUCUCACCAAAUUGCAGCAAUUAGACAUUCUAAAUGCCAUCCAAACCGAUGAGAAUGGAGCCCCCAUUCUUGAUGAGCUCAAUAAUCCAAUUCAGGAUGCUGUUGCUACCCUGAUAUUGACUAUUUCUCUCCACUUCAUAGGUGACCCUUCUCACCUUAGAGAUAAAAAUGCUGAGUUACUACACAACUUGAGGUGUAGGAAACUUAGUGAUUUCAAUGACUACAAAACCACUUUCUUUACCAGACUUUUCCUAAGAGAUGAUGCAAAUCAUGUAACUUGGAAGGAAAAAUUCCUUGCAGGAUUACCUACCCUUUUAGGAGAAAAGGUAAGGAAUUCGAUCAAAGCCCUUUUUAAUAAUCGUAUUCCUUAUGACGAACUCACUUAUGGUGAAUUAGUCAGCUUUGUCAACAAAGAAGGUUUAAAGAUCUGUCAAGACUUGAAACUUCAGAAACGUCUAAAACAAGAGCUUAGCCAAUCUAAGCAAGAAUUAGGCGGGUUCUGCAAGCAAUUCAACUAUGACCCCUUUAAAGCUUCCACUUCCAGAGACUGUAAUGGUAAGUGUUCUUCAAAACCUUACAAGAAACAUUACAAGUCCAAAAGCCAUAGAAAACCCUUUCAUGAUUUUAGAAAACUCCCUUAUAAGAAACCUUUGAGGCCUUAUAAGAAACAUAGUUUCUCUAAAAAGAAAGAGUUUAAAGCCAAACCUAAAACCCCAUUUAAUUUCAAAGAUGCUACCUGUUUCAAAUGUGGUAUGAAAGGUCAUACUGCACGUUUUUGUAAAAUGAACAGGAGACUCUAAGAGCUUGGUCUCGAGGAGGAAAUCCUUUCAAAAAUAGCCCCUCUUCUGGUCGGAUCUUCUGAUUCUGAGUCUUCCUGGUCAGGUGAUAAUGACCCCCUCCAAGUUGAUGAACUAUUUGAUUCAGAUAGCUCUGCAUCUAGCAAUAGUGAUUCUGAUUCGGAUAAUUCUUAUUUAAAGAAAAUCAAUGUUUUGACAAAAGACCAAGAGAUUAUCCUUGAACUUGUGAAACACAUUUCGGAUCCAAAUCUUCAAAAGGAUUAUCUUGAUAAGCUUUUAAAAACCAUGGAUUCAAGCAAUACAGAAGCGUCUUCUUCUAAAGUCCCUAUUGUCAAAAAGAAUUCUUAUGAUUUAAUUGAAAUUUUGGAUAAGAAGAAAACAAAGAAGUCUACUCCUAAUAUCCAAGACCUCCAAAAGGAGAUUAAGGAUAUUAAACUUGAAAUAAAGGAUUUAAAAGAAAAACAAAAAACUGAUUCUGCAACUAUUCAACUCCUUUUACAAAAACAGUUGCAAGAUACUUCCGAUGAGGAAGUUGAAUCAGAAAAUGAUGAUGUUGAACAAAAAAUUGAUAAUCUUGAGUCAAUUCCAAAUGAUUUUUUGUUUGUUUUAAAGCAAAUCACCACCAGAAAAUAUUUGAUAAAGAUUACUUUAAUUUUUUCAGAUGAUUUUGCGAUAGAUGCCAUUGCUCUUUUUGAUACUGGUGCUGAUUUAAAUUGUAUUCGUAAAGACAUUAUCCCAAAAAGAUUUCAUGAGAAAACUAAUGAAAGACUUUCUGCUGCAAACAAUUCAAAAUUAAGGGUUGAUUCCAAAGUUGAAGCAUCCAUUUACAAUGACAAAAUUGAGUUUAAAACCUCUUUUGUUCUUACAAAUGAUAUACACCAUGCUAUCAUUUUAGGAACACCUUUUAUAAAUUUGAUAACUCCAUAUGCUGUCAACUAUGAUGGUAUAUAUUUCAAAGCAAAAUCCAAAGAACUUGCUUUUUCAUUUAUUGAAAAACCAAAGACCCGAAACCUUAAUAUUGUCAAAGCUUGUUCGGUUUACCAAAACAAAAUCAAUGCUAUUGUAAAGUCUAAACAAGAUGAUUUUUUUUACUUACAAAAGGAUUUAAGUUUUCAAAGAAUUGAGAGUCAAUUACAAAAUGAUAUUAUACAAAGAAAAAUUUCUGAUUUCAAAAAUCUUAUUGAAAAAGAAAUUUGUGCUGAUUUACCAUCUGCUUUUUGGAAUAGGAAACAACAUUUGGUAGAUUUGCCAUAUGAAAAUUCUUUUGAUGAAAAGCAAAUACCCACUAAAGCCCGUCCAAUCCAAAUGAAUUCGGAUUUGGAACAACAUUGUAAAGGAGAAAUUAAUGAUCUUAUUUCCAAAGGUCUUAUUGUAAAAUCUAGGUCACCUUGGUCUUGUGCUGCUUUUUAUGUUAAUAAAAAUUCUGAAAUUGAAAGAGGUGUACCUAGACUUGUGAUAAAUUAUAAACCUUUAAAUAAAGCUUUGAAAUGGAUAAGGUAUCCGAUACCUAACAAAAAAGACUUGCUCCAAAAACUUUGCUCGGCCUUCAUUUUUUCUAAAUUUGAUAUGAAGUCAGGUUUUUGGCAAAUUCAAAUUCAUCCUAAAGACCGUUACAAGACAGCAUUUACUGUUCCUUUUGGUCAAUAUGAGUGGACAGUAAUGCCUUUUGGUUUAAAAAAUGCACCCUCAGAAUUUCAAAGAAUUAUGAAUGACAUUUACAAUCCCUACUCUGAGUUUUGCAUUGUUUAUAUCGAUGAUGUUUUGAUUUUUUCUCAAAGCAUUGAUCAACAUUUCAAACAUUUAAAGACUUUUUAUCUUGCUACAAAAAAGGCUGGAUUAGCUCUUUCCAGUUCGAAAAUUUCAUUAUUUCAAACAAAAGUCAGGUUUCUUGGUCAUCAUAUUUCCAAAGGAACCAUUACUCCUAUUGAAAGAUCUCUUUUAUUUGCGGACAAAUUCCCAGACAAAAUUUUAGAUAAGACCCAAUUACAAAGAUUUCUUGGUAGUUUAAAUUAUGUUCUUGAUUUCUGCCCUAACAUCAAUAGGAUGUCAAAGCCUUUGCAUGAUAGGUUAAAAAAGAAUCCUGUUGCAUGGUCAAAAGAGCAUACCAAAGUUGUUAGAUUAAUAAAGCAGUCAGUUAAAAGCAUUCCAUGUUUGCAUCUUGCAAAUCCUGCAUUUCCUAAAAUUGUUGAAACUGAUGCAUCAGACUUAGGAUAUGGAGGUAUUUUAAAGCAAAAAGAAAAUGAUAAAGAACAGAUAGUACAAUAUGUUUCUGCUCAUUGGAACGAUUGUCAGAAAAACUAUUCUACUAUCAAAAAAGAAAUUCUUUCCAUUGUUUUAUGCAUUACUAAAUUCCAAAGUGAUUUGCUAAACCAAAAAUUUUUACUUAGAAUUGAUUGCAAAGCUGCAAAACAUGUUUUAGAAAAGGAUGUUCAAAACAUUGCAUCAAAACAGAUUUUUGCACGUUGGCAAGCUAUUCUCAGUGUUUUUGAUUUUGAUAUAGAAUUCAUUAAAGGUGACAAGAAUUCUGUUCCUGAUUUUUUAACUCGGGAAUUUCUUCAAAAUAGGUAAUGGCUCCAAAGAAAAGAAGUGACAAAGGAAAAGCUCCUGCUUUCCAAGAACCAUCCAAAGAACUUCAAGCAACCCCUUCUAAAGAAAAACUCCUUUCCUCAGCCAUGCCGAUUAAAUCUUGGAUUGAAUUGGUUGAAGAACAUGAAACCAAAUACAAAUCCAUUUCUUCUGAAGACCAAGUAAAGCAAUGGAUGAGUUCCAUUACAAAAUCACCUGAGCUCAUGAUAGCUCUACAAAGCCUUUCCCAGGUCCAACCUAAAGAGGAAGAAAAACCCACUUCUAAAGAUAUCUCAAAGCCUUCCUCUCAAAACAUUGUUGUUUCUGGUGAGAGCUCAUCCUCCCAAAUUGUGCUCUCUCAGCCAACACCUUCAAAGAAAACCUCUGAUUGGUUUGAUAAAGCCCAUUUUCAAAACAUUAUUUCAAUGGAAGAUGGAUUUUACCAUUCUGAUCCUUUUCAAAGUAUUUCAAAGUUUUUUCCCCAAGGCUGGUUUUUCAAACCAUGGGAUUUGACAAAACCCCAGUCUUACUAUCAAAGCAUUUUGGAAAUUACUGAUUCAGUAAAAUUCAAACAUUUCUUUUUAAGUAAAACCCAUUCUGAGCCGGCCUAUUCUACGGCCACAAUUUUAAAAGUUUUGAGCCCUAACCAGUGGGGUGAUCUGCUCCACAAUUUUAAAACUUUCCCUCUUGAUUUUGAGACUCGUUUACCACACUGUCGGUCUUUCUCCUAUUGGGAUUACCAACAGGCUUGGUAUAACACUUUCUUCAUACAAAACCCUAAAAAAUCCCAUUCCUGGUUAUUUUUCUUUAAUUCAAAAAUAACCGUCCAGAGCCUUCCCAAUUGGUUUCACCAUUGGUGGAAUUAUUUUGGUCCAACUUCUGAAAUUCUUACCCAAAAUGCCCUACAAUGCCUAAACCUUUUCAAAGCCAACUACAAACCUACUGAGUCUGAGAAAAGAUUUCCUCAUUUUCUCUGCUUUUGUACCAAUUUCUUCCUCCCAUAGGUCUGGAUGUGGAGUCUUCGACAUCACACACAGGAUUCCCAUUUUAUCCUCCAAAGAACCUUUAGAGUCAAAUGGUGGUCAAAAUUUGACGAGCAAACCAAAUUAACUACCAACCUUGUCCAAAACUGGCUUUAUGCUCAAGGCCACCUACAACCAGCCAUAAAAGACAUUAAAGCCCAAGGCACUUUCCUCACUCAAAAAUCCAAAGCCCAAGCUCUCCUCGCAAGUGCCAAAACAGAAGAAGAAUACUUCAAAGCAAUGGAACAGCUCCUCGCUUCUAGAUCCAAAUCCUCGAUUGCAGAUUCUACUGAAGAUGAAGACGAUGAUGAUGAGCCAACUGUCUCUCUGGGAGAUGAAAAUGAAGAUGAUUGUUUCGGAAUUUUCUCUCCAAUAAAGCAUUGUAAAUAGUUUAUGUAACUAUUUAAAAAAAAAAAAGUAAUUAUUUUCUUUUCGGGUGGUCCUCUGGACACAAGUGAGAGCGCACAUGUCUCUUCACCCGUGUUAUAUUUUAUUCUGUAUUUCAGUAUUUGUACAAAGCAGUCUACUAUUCAAAGCUACGAUCCAAAGAUUACUGUGCACUCAAAGCCCCGCUACAGUGAACAGUGCAAAGUUCCACGAAUUACUGUGCACUCAAAGCUCCGCUACAGUGAACAGUUUACAAAGCCUUGUAUAUAAUCCAAGAGGAAGACUUAGACUCCUCACGGGUUUUUAUUUUGAGUUUUCAUUUCUCUCUCUUCUCCUCCUUCUCUCUAAAAAAUCUCUCUAAAGCAAGAAGUGUUCGAAGAAAUUUUCUGUUUACGUAAUAGUUCUAUCCUAGAGCUUUGAGUAAUCAGACUAAUUCUUUGCCUUCAACAAUCUUCCCGUCUUUCAAUCUUCCCUUCUGGAAAGAUUUGAAAAAAUUGUAAAGCAGCAACAAAAGCAAAGUGUAUGUUUAGAUCUCUGAUCUAAUUUUAUUUGUAAAGCAAUUUCAAUUCAUGUAAUUUAAUUUUUGUGCAUUUAAAUUUCUGCAAUUUAAUUUUAAAGCAAUUUCUUUUAAGCAUGCUUGCAGACUGAUCUGUAUCAGAUCUGCUUUAUAAAAUAUACAUUCUUCUGAGGCAAAGAGACCAGAUCUCGAUCCUCAGUCGUACCCUUCUCUUCUCCCUCCAUUCCUUCAGAGCACCAUUUCCGGGAACCGGAUCUGGUACUGUGUAUGUUUUAGAAGCCAACCUUAAUGCAUGUUUAAUUCUGUAAAGCCCUGUUGCUAGGUUUGCUAAAAUCAACCUAACUCAGAUCUGGUAAAGACACUUCUAAAAUUGACAAAUCGCGUUUCAAAGCAAAGUAGAUCUCCAGAUCUACCAAAGAAUCUAAUUAAAAUUUGGUAAAGCACCCUAAUCCGGUAUAUCGGCUGGAAACCAGAACGUGCGGACUAUUGAUCUGUUCUAAGUCAGAUCUGGGUCCAAAGGCAGAUUAGGUUCUGCAUCGAUCCGGUAAUACAAUGCCACGUACCAGUUUAGAUCUAAAAUUUUGAUCAAUCGCGUUCCAAAGCAAAUUGAUUUAACAUAGAAACGGUAAGUUCUUCUAAAAUCUGACGAAGCCGAUUCCAUUAAUUGUUUAAUUUGAGUUUUUAAUAAUAAAGUAUUUUGAAAACACAUCCAUCCUUCGAUCCUAUUUCCUUCUGGCUUAAGAAUUCUAUUUCCAUCUUGAUUAGCCUUAGUGGGUAAAUUGUAUCCUUUUCUUACGCAUUUCAUAGCUCUUAUGUUAAUGGAUUCAAUAAAAAUAGUCAUCCUUUGCUUUCAAUAUGAAUAAUUGGUGCCAUCAAGUAAUAGUGGACAGGUCCGUAGAUCCUCUUUCUCUCUGCAAAUUCAUUCCGACAAAAAUAGAUCAAGAUCCCAAAAUCUCACCGAAUAAACCAUUAGUGACACUAUUCUAAUACUAAUUGUUAAAAAUUUAGAUAUAUUUUUAACAAUUGUAGGCAAGAUAAGCAAUAGAUAAACUAAUUUCUUCAAUUAAUUACUGUUUACGAUUAUUUUUACGUGAUUUAGAUCACUAUCCUAUAUUCAUGUGAAGAUUAGAACCUAUUGGAUUCUUACACAAUUUCAGACACCCUUUUAUGCUUGUCGCCACCUCUUUGUAUCUAAUUUAGUUGACCUUGCUUAGUGAGAACCCCUCGUUUUCAAUUGCACUUGCUGCUUUCCUUGAGAUCCCCUCAACACAACAAAUGACCUCUUUGUCUAGAAGAGGUCAAAGUAAAUAUAAAAAAUGUCUAAUGAAAGACUUGAUAUGAUGAAGACUAAAACAUCAUAGAGAUAUGAAACAUCAUAUGCAGCCAAAUAGGUUCCUUCUCAUUCUCUGUAUUGGCUUCAAUAUGUGAAAUACUUCUCUUUAUAUAGGAGUAAUAUUUCACUCAAACCCUAGCAGAGAAAUAUUAAAAUAUACUUCCUUAAUGCUCCAAUAUUCCAUAAAUACUUUAUACUAUAAUACAUUUCGUUAAGAGUCCAAUAUUUCAUAAAUACUUGAUAUAUUUAAAAAUAUAGUAGUCAUCUUUAUUUUUGGAGCUCUUUGAUAUGGGAUCUCUUACACACCAAUUUGCUUUUUCUAUGCGUCGAAAUAUAUUCUCCAAUAUUCCACAUAAUCUAAUUUUAAUUAAUUUCCAAGAGUAGAUAAAUUUCUAAUUAAAGGAAACAAAUCUUAAUAAAAGAAAUAAAUAAAUAAAAAUAUUAUUGACACAAUGAUGCCAAUAAUAAAAUCCUUAACAAAAAAUACAUACAUAAAUGUAAUAAAUAAACAAAUAAGAAACUGUAGAAAGACUUACAAUGGGAAGCCGGCAAUUUGAAUCUUUGUGGUAAUGAUUUGUUGGGCCAUGCAGUUUGGCCUUGGCCAUGGAAUGUUCCACCGUCGGUGAGAGUUAAGCAUCUAAGGGAUUCAAAGGUGAUCUGGAUUUCCUUAUUGGCUAGCUUUUAAAGAUCAGGGGGAGCCACGAUGAGGCCUUGAAGUUGAAAUGAAAUUGGAGCUUUGCAUUGACCUUUAAAUACAACAUAAAUCACUAAAUAUUUUCCUGGUGGCGCCAAUAUCGUGCUAUUGGUAUUCCAAUUGCAAGCUUCUCUCUAAGCAUUUUCAAAAGCCUUAAUUGUUAUUAUUAGUGCCAUCGGCCACAACACCAAAGUCAAUUACAUUGAAAACUCCAUUUGGGAGCUGCAGCCAAACCAAAUAAAACUAGUAUUGCAAGUACUAGCAGCUGACGGCAAGAGCCAUAACCCAUCUUGUUUUUUAUGAUGGAUUAAGUGAUAAUGUUCUUGUUGAAAAAAUAGCAUAUCAAUAUGCUAUUUUCAGUGGGUCCUACUUAGCGAAAGUGAAAAAUCUUGUGAAGUUCGGGUUCUACUCCAUGAAUACUUCGAAAGUGUAUAUUUAUUUACUCAAAAUGGUGCUUGGGUGAAUGAGAAAUUGUCUCUCCAAGUGCACCCUUGAAGUUGAAAAUUUGAAAGGAAAUGAGGUUUAUCCCACAAGGGAAAAAUAAGCCAAGGGAUUUUUGUUUAUUUAUAGACACUUACCCAUGCAUGAGCAAGAAUUAUAAGGAUAGAGGCUCUCUCCACACGCGCGUGUGCAGGGGGGUGCGAAUCCAAGAUCGAUUUGGUUGAACUCAUGUGCGCCCGCGCAUCCUGCGUACACGAAUGUCAGCCCAAAAUCACCCAAGCUUGCAUGGCACGUUUUCAAUAGGCUGUAUUGAAUUGUUAAAAUUGAAUUGGCUGUUACAACAAUUAAAUGGCAUAUAUUGAAUUCGGAAAUUCAAUAUUAUGCUACUGUUACAUCCUCACAUGUGUAUAAAAAGGCAGCUUCCUCUUCUGUUUUUACACACAAGAACAACCAACACACAAAGCACUACAAUAGGUGGUAAAUCUAUUUUAAGGAAACUGUGUUGCAGGCCUCACGUUUAUUUUCUGUUUCUAUUUUCUUUCCCCUACUUUUUUCAUUUGUUCAUUCGUGAUUUCCAGUUCCUGUUUUACGUUGUUGUUUAAAUUAGCUACAGUAUUAAAGUGUUAUCUCACUGUUAAUUUUCUUACAAUCUUAAAACAGAUUUAACGUUGAGAUGGCAACUGAAACUAAUGAUCCAGUUCCGACUGUCCCUGUUUCAGCUUCUGCUGCUGGACCAUCUGUUAUGAAGGAACCAGCCUCUGUGGCAAUUCCUCUGAAUCAUGCAAAAAGACUAGAAAAAUUCAAUGGCCAAAAUUUCAAACGUUGGCAGCAAAAGAUGUUCUUUUACCUGACCACGUUGAACCUUGCGAGGUUCUUGACGGAGGAUGCUCCUAAACCCAAAGAGGGUGAAACGAAUGUUCAAGUUGCAAGUGCAAUUGAUGCAUGGCAUCAUUCUGAUUUUUUAUGUAAAAAUUAUGUAAUGAAUGGCCUUAGUGAUUCCUUCUAUAAUGUAUACAUAGGAAAAAUAAUAGCCAAGGAGCUAUGGGAAUCCUUAGACCGUAAAUAUAAAACUGAGGAUGCGGGUACAAUGAAAUGCAAGUAACGCAACCCAAGAGGGGGGGUGAAUUGGGUUUUUAAAAAUAAUGCAAUACGAUUCGCACAAUAAAUCAAUUUAACGCCUUAAUGAAAUAGAGAACAAUAAAUUCAAACAAGCGUAAAAAUAAAAGAGCAAGGGAAGAGAAAAACAAACACGCGGAUUUUUACUUGGUUCGGCAAUCCUCGCCUACGUCCACGCCUCCAAGCCAACCAAGCUUGAGAAUUUCACUAUCCAAGCCUCCCAAGGCUUCAAGUUUUUACAAUUGACUUUCAAGGUGUCAAUGAACCUUUACAACCAAGAGAUUAUCUCCCCAAUCUCUUCACCUCAAGUGUUUCCCACACUUACACACUCACAAUUUGAUAAGAAAUGAAAAUUACAACAAAAACUCUCUUUAAGAGUGGAUAUGCAACUAAUAGCUCAAUAAUGAUUCAAUCAAUGAUGAUUUUCGUUUUGGAAGCUCAAUAUAUAUUGUAUGAUCUUAUAUUUGCUUGCAUUAGUCCUUAGAAUGAAGUUUGAGUUGAGUUUUUAUAGUGAAAGCCCAAAAACUAGCCGUUAUAGGUAAAUUCCCGCGCCCAAGCGGUUAGCCGCUUGAUUAUCCGGCUAGCCGAUCAGGAACAGUGAUAUUACCGUUAUUUUUGAAUUUUGCUACAGUAAUACUAUUCACUGAAAUUACACUUUAACCCAAAACUUUCUAUAAUUAUAUUAUGGCCCAAAACGUCAUAAAACUUUACAAAUAAAUCUAAUUUAAGAACUUCCUAAGAAUAGUUGUCUUUCCCAAGCUUUUUGAAAUUAUGAUAUGGCCCCAAAGAUUUUAUUAUUUCGCACAAAGGUCCUUUUACCCAUAUUUUUCAAAGUUCUCAAAACCUUUCACUUUAGUCCAAAAUAUUCAUAAAUUAUAGUAUGGCCCAAAAUAUUUCAAAUGUUUGUAAAAACAUCCAACUCCGAAAGUUAAUACUUAUUAAAAUCAAAGAUUUCAAAUCUUAGCAUUUAAGUCCAAAUUACUUGAAUCCACAAAAUACUUUACUUUAUAAAAAUAAAACCUUUUAGUUUAUGAAAAGUAUUUAAUUAAAUUAAUCUCUUGACCUUCUCAAAUGCUAAAUCAUGUAUCAAUUAAAUCAUACCAGCUUUACAAGAAUUUAUCGCACUAAUUUGUUCGUUGAGCUCUAAACUAUUUUCUUGAUGUCACCGUUGUCCGUUGAGUGUCUUCAAUCUUGAUUUCACUUGAUUCACUUGCAUAAAUAUUAUCCUUCAAAAACUAGUGAAAAUGUGAAAUACAAUAUUUAUUAAAUUACUUAAUACACAUGUUUGUUAUCAUCAAAAUUACAUUAUGUAUAGCCUUUUAGGCUAACAAUCUCCCCCUUUUUGAUGAUAUCAAACAUCUCAUGUAUUUUGACAUUAAACUCCCCCUCAAUACAUGGCAUACAUGACUUCAACUUAUAAAUCAAAUUCAAAACAAAAACUCCCCCUGAAUAUUUGAUUUAGAUAAUUUGAAAGCUCCCCCUUAAUAUUUCAAAACCAUGCAUAAAUACUUUAAAUAUAAAUUAUGUAUUACAUGUCUUCAUAUUCAAAAUUCAAAAUAAUAUUCAAAAUUCAAAAUACAUGACUUCUCCCCCUUCAUCAUCAAAAUUACUAGAAAUGUACACUAAGACUGAAAAAUUUAACCAAAAUGACAUUAUCAAAAACUUAUCAUAUUUAUUUUCCGCUGUAAAAAAUAGAUAUAUGCAAUUUGAAACAAGAUCACCAAAAAUAAUUCAAUGAAGAUAUUACCAAUUUUGGGCGAGCAAAAGUUUCGACAGAGUCUCCCCUUAAAAAUGAACAAAUCCUCAAAUACACAAUGUGGUUAAAAACACUUCCAUAUAAACUUAAACAAGUAACACAAACCAACAACUCCACCAAGUCAUCAAACAACACAUAAGAAUUAAGCAUAUAAUUAACCAAAGAGUUAUAAUAUUCCAGGAAUCCGAAAACAUUAUCCAAAUAUAACAUAUCCGAAGAUCAAAUAACAAACAUCCUUAAUCCACAAAUUAAAAACAACAUAUCCAAAUAUCAAAUAACAAGAUGUCAUUCGGAAAUGAAAAAACAACAGUGCAUGAAGAAAUGUAGUGCAGAGUGACAAAAUAAGGAGUAAUGACCGACCUUGGCUUGAAAUUGUUGAGAAAAUGUUUCCAAAGUUGGAGUUGUGGAAAAUGAAUCAACAUAAAGUCCGAAUAAUCUCCAUGAUCAUCCUUACGCUUCUUGGCCACGUGUUUUCCCUUGGACUUGUCACCACCCACCAUUGUUGGAAGAAAAAAGAGCUUAAAAAUGCAAUUUCGGGUUUAACAAAAAUUGAGUGAAAUGGAUUUGUUUAAGGCAAGAAAAUUAAUCCUAGAGAUGAAUGAAGCUAAUUUAUGAUGUAGAGUGAAUUAAAAAUGGGCUAAAGGAAGCUUGAAAAUGAAGAGAGAGAAACGGGUAGAGUGAGAAUUUUUUAUUUUGGGUUUUAUGUGGAGAGUUGAUGAAAUGUUGUUUUGAGAGUGAAAAUUGAAGGAGUAAUGGAUGAAUAAUGAGUUGGAUGAUUGAUUUUAACAAGACAAUGAGUGAAAGAUGAAGAAAUUUGAGAAAGAAAAUGGAGAACACUAUUCACGCGUGAAUGGAAUAAGGAUGGAAUGAUGAAGAACAAGUGAAGAAAUCAUGAUGGUAAAGGGUUUAAUGAAGAUGAAAUGCAUGGGUAUUAGUUUGAAUGGUUGAUUUGGGCAUGAAAAUGGAUGAAAAAGGAAGAAAAUGGAAGUGAAAAUGGAUGGGUUGCUCACGGUUUUGAGUGAAAGAGAGAGCAUGUGCAGAAAAUUAACAAAGGAAGAAGAAGAAGCAAAAAAAAUAUGCCUAACCCGUGACCAAGCGGCUAGCCGCUUGCUCUCGGGUUGGGGACAGUUUCCAAGCGGCUAGGCGGCUAGCCGCCUGGUUGCUGUCCAGCUGCACUCAAGUUGAUUUCCGGCUAAUUUCGAUCAAUUCCGUGACCAUUUUGUGAUCCCGAAACAUCUCAAGAGCCAAUUUAAUGCAUGAUUCAUGAUUUUAAACAUCUAAAAGAUGAUUAAUUCAAACAAAUAAUCCAUCCAACAAGCAUAUAUUUAUGAAGCACAUAAGCAUUCAAAAAUUAAUAAAUCAAACACCACAUAUACCUAACUUGCUUAAACACUUCAUAAACAUUAAUAAUCAUCAAGCAAACGAUUUUAAUAGAUUCAAUAACAUAAAUAGAGAUGUUAAUGCGAAAAUUUCAUCAUCUCAAGUUCAUGCCGAAUUUUUGAAAAUUAUUCUUCACAAAGGGGUUUUGUAAAAAUAUUGGCAAGUUGUUUUUCCGUAGAGAUAAAUUCUAAUGCAAUAUCACCUUUUUGAACACGAUCUCUCAAGAAAUGAUGCCUAAUCUCUAUAUGCUUGGUUCUAGAAUGUUGAAUGGGAUUCUUUGAAAGAUUUAUGGCGCUAGUAUUAUCACACUUGAUAGGAAUUUGUUCAAGAUUAAUACCAUAGUCUCUAAGUGUUUGUUUCAUCCAAAGUGCUUGUGCACAACAACUACCUGCGGCAAUAUAUUCCGCCUCAGUAGUUGAGAGUGCCACGAAUUUUGUUUCUUACUAAACCAUGAAACAAGUGAAUAACCAAGAAAAUGGCAAGUUCCACUAGUACUCUUCCUAUCGACCUUGUGACCAGCAAAAUUGGCAUCCGAAUAACAAGUUAAAUCUAUAUGAGUUCCUCUAGGAUACCAAAGGCCAAUAUCUAUGGUUCCACUCAAAUAACAAAAAAUUCUUUUAACAGCAAGCAAAUGAGAUUCCUUGGGACAUGAUUGAAAUCUUGCACACAUGAUUGAAAUCUUUCACACAAACAUACACUAAACAUGAUAUCGGGUCUACUUGCGGUUAAGUAAAGUAAGGAUCCGAUCAUACCUUGAUACUUUUUAAUAUCAACCUCUUUACCUUUUUCAUCCUUAUCAAGCUUGAUUGUUGUACUCAUUGGAGUAUUCUUGGUAUUUGAUUCAUCAAUACCAAAUCUCUUGAGCAAGUCUUUGACAUACUUAGCUUGGUUGAUGAAGAUCCCCUCAUUGUUUUGUUUGAUUUGAAGUCCAAGAAAAUACUUCAAUUCUCCCAUCAUGCUCAUCUCAAAUUCCUUACUCAUACAAGAGGAAAAUUCUUUGCACAAAGAUUCAUUAGUAGAACUAAAAAUAAUAUCAUCAAUAUAAAUUUGAACAACAAGUAUAUCUUGAUUUUUAUUUUUAAUAAAGAGGAUAGUAUCCGCUCUUCCCAUCGAAAAACCGUUAUCCAACAAGAAAUUUUUAAGCCUAUCAUACCAUACUCUAGGUGCUUGUUUUAAUCCAUACAAUGCUUUUGAUAACUUAUAUACAUGAUUUGGAAAUUUCUCAUUUUCGAAACCAGGGGGUUGUUUCACAUAAACUUCCUCCAUAAUAUAACCAUUUAGGAAAGCACUCUUGACAUCCAUUUGAAAUAAAAUAAAAUCUUUAUGACAUGCAAAUGCUAACAACAUCCUAAUGGAUUCUAAUCUAGCUACAGGUUCAAAUGUUUCAUCGAAAUCGAUUCCUUCUUCUUGUUUGUAUCCUUGAGCCACUAAUCUAGCUUUAUUUCUUACAACCACACCGGAUUCAUCCAUUUUAUUUCUAAAUACCCAUUUAGUGCCUAUAAUGGAUUGAUGUUCUGGUUUAGGAACCAAUUCCCAUACUUUAUUUCUCUCAAAUUGAUUUAACUCCUCUUGCAUUGCCAUAAUCCAAAACUCAUCAUUUUCCGCAUCCGCAAAAGAUUUUGGUUCAAUUCGAGAAAUAAAUGCAGCAUGCUCACAUGUGUUUCUAAGUGAUGAUCUAGUUGUGAUAUCUCUUGAAGGAUCACCUAAUAUUAAAUCCUUAGGAUGAGAGGAAACAUACCUCCACUCCUUGGGGAGUGUUUGAGAACUACCUUCUUGUUGCUCCAGCUCCAUAUUUGUUUGUUCUUCUUGUCUAUCUUCUUGAUUUUCUUGUGGUGCAUGCUCUUGAUUCUCUUUUGACGAUUCUUCUUAUAACUCUCCAUCUGCAUCAUCAUUAACAACUCCUUUCUCCGCAGAGGAGGGGUUAGAUUCAUCAAACGUAACAUGCAUGGAUUCUUUCACAACUAAAGUUCUUUUAUUAUAAACUCUAUAAGCUUUGCUUGAGUUUGAAUACCCGAGAAAGAUGCCAAAUUAGAUUUUGGAUCAAAUUUACCAAGAUUAUCUUUUGUGUUUAAAAUAAAAUAUUUGCAUCCAAAAAUUUUGAAAUAACCAAUAUUGGAUUUUCUAUCUUUCCAAAGCUCAUAGGGAGUUUUAUUGAGAUGAGGUCUAAUCAACACAUGAUUUAAAACAUAACAAGCGGUGUUGACGGCUUCGGCCCAAAAAUAUUUUGGUAAUGCAUUUUCAUUUAACAUGGUCCUAGCCAUUUCUUGAAUAGACCUAUUCUUUCUCUCAACAACUCCAUUUUGUUGUGGAGUCCUAGGUGAUGAAAAUUGAUGCUCAAUGCCAAAAUCAUUACAAAAAUUUUCAAAUGCAUGAUUUUCAAACUCUCCACCAUGAUCACUUCUAAUACAAGUAAUAGAAUAACCCUUUUCAUUUUGAACCUUUUUACAGAAAAUUCUAAAUGCAUCAAUGGCAUCAUCCUUAUUAGCUAAGAAUAAUACCCAUGUGUAUCUAGAAUAAUCAUCUACAAUUACAAAUGCAUAAAAUUUGUCAUUUAAACUAGCAUAUUUAGAGGGUCCAAACAAAUUUAUGUGAAGUAAUUGAAGAGGUUUUAAAGUAAAGAUAUGAUUCUUGUUUUUGAAAGAGGUUUUGAUUUGUUUUCCAAAUUGACAUGCUUCACAAAUUCUAUCCUUUUGAAAACCAAUUUUUGGAAGACCUUUAACUAAAUCGUUUUUCGAAAUUUUUGAAAUUAAAUCCAUGCUUGCAUGUCCUAGUCUUUUAUGCCAUAACCAACCAUCAUCAUGCAAUGCUGAAAAACAUUUAUCAUGAGUAGAUGCACAUUUUAUAUCAAUCGUGUAAACAUUGCCACAUCUAUUUCCCAUAAACAAAAUUUUCCCAUCACAUGCAUUCUCAAUAACACAUCUUGAUUGAUCAAAAACAACUUUAUAACCUUUGUCACAUAGUUGACUAAUGCUAAUCAAAUUGUAUUUCAAAUUUUCAACCAAACACACAUUUUCAAUUAGAGUUGAAGAAAUUUUACCAACAUUUCCAAUUCCGAGAAUUUUUCCUUUUGAGUUAUCUCCAAAGGAUACAUCUCCACCAUUUUCGAUUUUGGUGAAACUUGAGAACCAUGCAUAGUUUCCGGUCAUAUGCCUAGAACAUCCGCUAUCCAAGUACCAUUUAUUUUUCUUUUUCUUCAAGCCCUGCAAAGAAAAUCUUAUGUCUUAGGUACCCAAACCUUUUUGGGUCCUUGAUCGUUAGCAACGGUUCCUUUUGGAACCCACACACAUUUGACACCAUUAUAUGCAUUCCUUUUUACGGGACAUCUAUAUUUCAUGUGACCAUUUUGAUUACAAUAAUGACAAACAAUCUUAUGAUUAUUUGUGGAGGUAGCUUUAACAAAAUAAUUCUUAUAAUACUUUUGCUUCAAGUUAGGCUUAUACCCAAGUCCUCCUUUAUCAAAAACACAUUUUUGGGAGUUAAACAUGUUAUCCAACAUCUUUUGCCCAUUUGUAAAUUUUAGAACAACAUUACUAAGUUCAAUAUUCUUUUUCUUGAGCAUUUCAUUUUCCUUUUUCAAAUCAUCUACAUGUGACUCUAAAUACUCAUGUGAAGUGCUAGAUUUUUCAUUUGAAAAUGCAACUCUAUUAUGCAAGGUUUUAUUCUCUAAUUCUAAUCCUUUAAUCUUCUCAUUCAAUGACUUAUUGCAUUUUUGCAUGGCAUCCUUUUCAUUUGUAGAUUCUAGCAAUUUCUUUUUAAGGCAUGCAUUAUUUUUACCAAUUUUUAUCAACUCAUCAUGCAUUUCUUUAAAAGCAUCAUAUAAUUCAUCAUAGGUUGGAUCAUUUACCUCAUUGAGAUCAUCAUCAUCUCCUAGUGCCAUAAGUGCUAGGUUUGAUACUUCUUGCGACUCAUCUUCAUCACUUGAAUCUUCAUCGCUAUCAUCCCAAGUAGCAACCAUAGCUUUCUUCUUGAGUUUGUUGAGAAGUAGGCAUUCCGAUCUUAUAUGGUCGGGCUUCUUGCACUCAUAGCAUAUGAUUACCUCUUUCUUCUCCUUUUGGUUUUUGAAAUUUCUGAAUUUUCUUCGGUCAUCGGUUUUCUUGAAAAAUUUUAUGAACCUCCUUGCUAGCAUAGCCAACUCCUCAUCAUCCGGCUCACUUUCCCCAUCACUCUCAUAUUUGGUGACUUUGAGAGCAAUGUUUUUCUUCCUUUCCCCAUUUCCUCUUUCAGCUGCCAAAUCUUCCUCAUAAGAAAUAAGAGAACCAAUUAAAUCAUCAAUAGGUAAGAUAUUCAAAUCUUUAGCUUCCUCAAUGGCAGUCCUUUUUGGUCUCCAUUCCUUAGGUAACGACCUAAUGAUUUUCUUAACUUUCUCGCUAUUUGAAAAGGUCUUUCCUAGGGCUCCUAGAGUGUUUACUAUGUCCGUAAAUCUAGUAUACAUAGAAUACACACUCUUAUUUUGUUCCAUUUGGAACAAUUCAUAUUGCCGAGUGUACCUACUAAUUUUAGACUCUUUCACUUGAUUCGUGCCUUCAUAAAUAACUUCAAGUUUGUACCAAAUUUCAUUAGCACUUUCACAACUAGAUACUCUAUGAAACUCUUUCUUAUCGAGUGCACAAAACAAGGCAUUCAUGGCUUUGGAAUUUAGAGAAGCUUUUCUCUUUUCCAAUUCAUUCCAUUCACGUGAAGGUUUUGGAAUGUCUUCCCCAAUUUCAUUUUUAGUCAAAGGCAUAAAUGGACCAUCACAUACAACUUCCCAAAUUUCAUAAUUUAAUGCUUGUAAAUAAAUUCUCAUCCUAGUUUUCCAAUACGGGUAGUCAUUUCCGUCAAAGAACGGUGGCUUAGUUAUGGAUUGUCCUUCCCUAAAGGUUGAAUCAUUUUGGGUUGCCAUGGAUCUUUUACUCUAAACGAUUAAGUCCUAACAAGAGAACCAAGCUCUGAUACCAAAUAAAAUGCAAGUAACGCAACCCAAGAGGGGGGGUGAAUUGGGGUUUUAAAAAUAAUGCAAUACGAUUCGCACAAUAAAUCAAUCUAACGCCUUAUGAAAUAGAGAACAAUAAAUUCAAACAAGUGUAAAAAUAAAAGAGCAAGGGAAGAGAAAAACAAACACGCGGAUUUUUACGUGGUUCGGCAAUCCCCGCCUACGUCCACGCCUCCAAGCCAACCAAGCUCGAGGAUUUCACUAUCCAAGCCUCCCCAGGCUUCAAGUUUUUACAAUUGACUUCCAAGGUGUCAAUGAACCUUUACAACCAAGAGAUUAUCUCCCCAAUCUCUUCACCCCAAGUGUUUCCCACACUUACACUCACAAUUUGAUAAGAAAUGAAAAUUACAACAAAAGCUCUCUUUAAGAGUGGAUAUGCAACUAAUAGCUCAAUAAUGAUUCAAUCAAUGAUGAUUUGCAUUUUGGAAGCUCAAUAUAUGUUGUAUGAUCUUAUAUUUGCUUGCAUUAGUCCUUAGAAUGAAGUUUGAGUUGAGUUUUUAUAGUGAAAGCCCAAAAACUAGCCGUUAUAGGAAAAUUCCGGUGUCCAAGCGGUUAGCCACUUGAUUAUCCGGCUAGCCGCUCAGGAACAGUGAUAUUACCGUUAUUUUUGAAUUUUACUACAGUAAUACUGUUCACUAAAAUUAUACUUUGGCCCAAAACUUUCUAUAAUUAUAUUAUGGCCCAAAACGUCAUAAAACUUUGCAAAUAAGUCCAAUUUAAGAACUUCCUAAGAAUACUUGUCUUUCCUAAACUUUUUGAAAUUAUAAUAUGGCCCCAAAAAUUUUAUUAUUUCACACAAAGGUCCUUUUACCCAUAUUUUUUAAAGUUCUCAAAACCUUUCACUUUAGUCCAAAAUAUUCAUAAAUUAUAGUAUGGCCCAAAACAUUUCAAAUGUUUGUAAAAACAUCCAACUCCGAAAGUUAAUACUUAUUAAAAUCAAAGAUUUCAAAUCUUAGCAUUUAAGUCCAAAUUACUUAAAUCCACAAAAUACUUUACUUUAUAAAAAUAAAACCUUUUAGUUUAUGAAAAGUAUUUAAUUAAAUUAAUCUCUUGACCUUCUCAAAUGCUAAAUCAUGCAUCAAUUAAAUCAUACCAGCUUUACAAGAAUUUAUGGCACUAAUUUGUUCGUUGAGCUCUAAACUAUUUUCUUGAUGUCGCCGUUGUCCGUUGAGUGUCUUCAAUCUUGAUUUCACUUGAUUCACUUGCAUAAAUAUUAUCCUUCAAAAACUAGUAAAAAUGUGAAAUACAAUAUUUAUUAAAUUACUUAAUACACAUGUUUGUUAUCAUCAACAUUACAUUAUGUAUAGCCUUUUAGGCUAACAUACAAAAAGUUUGUUGUUGGCUAUUUCCUAGACUAUAAAUGGUGGAUUCCAAAACUGUAAUGAGUCAAGUACAAGAGCUUCAGAUAAUAUUAUCUGAAAUCCUUGCUGAAGGGAUGAUGUUAAGCGAAACGUUUCAAAUGGUUGCAAUUAUUGAAAAAUUGCCUCUUGCUUCGAAAGAUUUCAAGAGUUAUUUGAAGUAUAAACGCAAGGAAAUGAAUAUUGAAGGGUUGUUUAUGUGGCUAAGGCAAACGUUGUUGAACAUGGACCUAAAAAUAAGAAAAAUAAAAAAUUGGGUCCGAAAGGAGGAAUUUCCAAGAAGCAAACAAAGUUUCAAGGAAAAUAUUUUAAUUGUGAUAAGAUAGGUCACAAGGCUUCGGAUUGCAGGUCGCCUAAAAAGAAGCAAGAGGCAAAUGUGGUGGAAAACAUCACUCAACAUGUUUCAGACAUAAACCUCUCUACAUUGGUUUCAGAAGUGAAUCUGGUUGGCUCUAAUCCGAGAGAAUGGUGGAUUGAUACGGGAGCAACCAGACAUAUUUGCUCGGACAGAGGGUUGUUCACUUCAUUUGAAGUAGUUAGCAAUGGAGAGAAGCUAUUCAUGGGGAAUUCUGCUACAUCUGAGAUUGAGGGUCAAGGGAAGGUGAUUCUGAAGAUGACUUCUAGAAAAGAGCUGACUCUAAACGAUGUGCUUUAUGUGCCAGAAAUUCGGAAGAACUUGGUGUCUGGAUCGCUAUUGAACAAACAUGGUUUCCGAAUGGUGUUUGAGUUAGAUAGGGUAGUUUUGUCAAAGAAUGAGAUGUAUGUGGGAAAGGGUUAUGUUAAUGAUGGGCUAUUUAAGCUCAAUGUAAUGACUCUGAAACCAAAAAUUAAUAAUGAAGCUAGUUCUUCUGCUUAUUUGCUUGAGUCUUCUAAUCUUUGGCAUAGUAGAUUAGGACAUGUUAAUUUUAAUUCAUUGCGUAAAUUAAUUAACAUGAUACAUAUUCCCAAUUUCCAAAUUGAUUUGAAACAUAAGUGUGAAACUUGUGUUGAGGCAAAACUAAGUAGGUCAUCUUUCCAAACAAUUAAAAGAAACAAUGAACCACUUGAUUUAAUACAUAGUGAUAUUUGUGAUUUUAAAUCCAUUCAAAUAAGAGGUGGUAAUAAAUAUUUUAUUACCUUUAUUGAUGAUUGCAUAAAAUAUUGCUAUGUAUAUUUGUUGAAAAGUAAAGAUGAAGCUUUAGAAAAAUCAAAGAAUUAAGGAGUGACCGCGGUGGUGAGUAUGUUAUUCCGUUUGAGUAACUAUAUGAACAAAGUGGAAUCAUACAUCAAGUCACGACUCCAUAUUCACCUCAAUCUAAUGGGAUUGUAGAUCGAAAGAAUUGAGCUUUAAAGGAAAUGAUAAAUGUAAUGUUGAUAAGUUCUGGGUUACCCCAGAAUAUGUGGGGAGAAGCUGUUUUGUCAGCUAAUUAUUUAUUAAAUAAGAUACCCCGAAAGCAAGAAGAUAAAACCCCGUAUGAGCUGUGGAAAGGUAGAGCACCUUCAUAUAAAUUCUUACGAGUGUGGGGGUGUCUUGCUAAAGUAGUGGUUCCUUUAAAUAAAAAAAUGAAAAUAGGACCAAAAACUGUUGACUGCAUUUUCAUUGGUUAUGCACAAAACAGUAGUGCUUAUCAAUUUCUGGUGCAUGAGUCUAAAGUUCUAGAUGUCCACAAAAAUACGAUAAUAGAAUCAAGAAAUGCAUUGUUUUUCGAACUUGUGUUUCCUUGCAAUUCUAGAGUGGAAUCGAGAGAACUAUGACAAUUUCAUGAAACAACAAUUGAAAAUAAAGAAAAUGAUGAAGCUCCAAAAGAAGAAGAAGAACAAGAAGUUGAGGUCAGACGUAGCAAAAGAGCUAGAAUAGAAAAGUCUUUUGGUCCAGACUUUCUGAUGUAUUUGCUAGAAAGUGAACCUCAAAGCUUCAAAGAAACUGUAACUUCACCUGAAGGCCCUUUAUGGAAAGAAGCCAUUAAUAGUGAUUUUGAAUCCAUUUUACAAAAUCAUACCUGAGAGCUUGUAGAUCUUCCUCCAGGAUGUAAACCUUUGGGGUAUAAGUGAAUUUUCAAAAGGAAAAUGAAAGCCGAUGGAUCAAUUGAUAAGUAAAAGGCUAGGCUUGUAAUUAAAUGUUAUAGGCAACGAGAAGGCCUUGAUUACUUUGAUACUUAUUCUCCUGUUACGAGAAUAAAUUCCAUUCGGAUGAUAAUAGUAAUUGCAGCUUUGCGUAAUCUCGAGAUACAUCAAAUGGAUGUAAAGACGGCUUUUGUAAAUGGAGAUUUAAAUGAAGAAAUCUACAUGGAGCACCCUGAAGGUUUUAUAGCUCCAGGACAAGAAAAGAAAGUUUGUAAAUUAGUAAAGUCAUUAUAUGGCUUGAAACAAGAACCAAAACAGUGGCAUGAAAAAUUUGAUCAUACGAUGAUCACAAGUGGAUUUAAGAUCAAUGAGAGUGACAAGUGUGUUUAUGUCAAAGAAACAGAAAAUGACUAUGUCAUUUUAUGUUUAUAUGUUGAUGACAUGCUCAUUGUUGGGAGUGAUGAUGACAUGAUUAAAUCUACCAAGAAUAUGUUGAAGUCUAAGUUUGACAUGAAAGACAUGGGUCUUGUAGAUGUCAUUUUGGGAAUUAAAAUCUCAAGGGCUUCUAAUGGACUUAUUCUAAGUCAAACUCAUUAUGUAGAUCAAAUUCUUGGGAAAUUUAAUAAAGAUGAUAAUACCGUGUCUAAAACUCCAUUAGAUACGAGUAUACAUCUAUCGAAAAACAGAGGAGAAGGUAUUUCUCAAGUAGAAUACGCUAGAAUAAUAGGCAGUCUGAUGUACUUAACAAAUUGUACCAGACCAGAUCUAGCCUAUACAGUAAGUAAACUUAGUAGACAUACAAGUAAUCCAGGAACUAAUCACUGGAAAGCUAUUGUAAGAGUACUCAGGUAUCUUCGAUACACUCGUAAUUAUGGACUGUACUAUACUAGGUAUCCGGAAGUAUUAGAAGGAUAUAGUGAUGCUAACUGGAUAUCUAAUGUAAAAGACUCAAAAUCCACUAGUGGCUAUGUGUUUACACUAACAGGUGUAGCUGUAUCAUGGAGGUCUUCUAAACAGACAGUAAUUGCCAGAUCUACAAUGGAAUAUGAAUUCAUUGCUUUAGAUAAAUGUGGUGAGGAAGUAGAAUGGCUAUGGAAUUUUUUAGAGGGUAUUCCAAAGUGGCCAAAGCCUGUGCCUAUAAUUUGUAUUCAUUACGAUAGUCAAUCAGCUAUCGGUAGGGCACAGAGCAAUAUGUAUAAUGGUAAGUCUAGACACAUACGUCGUAGACAUAAUACCAUUAGACAACUUAUUUCUACUGGAGUUAUUUCUAUUGACUAUGUAAGGUCAAAUGAUAACAUUGCGGAUCCACUAACCAAAGGAUUAAAUAGAAAGCUAGUAGAAAAAUCAUCGAGGGGAAUGAGAUUAAAACCCUUAGAAUGAUUAGUCAAUAACGAAGGAAAACCCAACCUAGUUGACUGGAGAUCCCAAGAUCUAGGUUCAAUGGGACAACCUAAUUGUUAAAGACUAAAGUUGGAUCACUGUGGGGGUCAUUCUCUUGAGAGGAUUACCUCAUUGACCAUUCCUAUGAUGAAACAGUGAUGCUCGUGAGAGAUAAGGUUGAGCUGGGCUCUUACUGAUUCUUAUGCAUCGAAAUUCGAGCGAAGUAAUACGAGUUACUCUUAAUUAAGAUAUCACCUAUGUGAGAGAGAAGUGGGGCCGCUUCAAAGGGAGUUGUUAGGGGUUCAGCUCUUAGAAACUCUGGUAGAACUAGGUAGAUGUUUAAGGCCAAAACGAGCAUAACCAUCAGAACUCAACAGUGUUAAGAGAGAUACCUCUGUGUAGUAUAUGAUCGUUUACACUAACGGCAGAACAGUUCAACGACAUCGCGUCUAUUGAUCAACCAGUAAAGUAAAUAUACUAUCACAAUGGAAGGUUUAAAGGAUAAAACCUACCUAUCCUUUGCUAGGUAUCGAUAUAAUAAACUCGAUCAUUAAGGUCAAAAAUGAUUUUGAUGUCAAAAUUUAGCGGUUUUCUGUUUUACUGCCAAAUUUCAUUCAUGUGGGGGAUUAUUGAAAAAAUAGCAAAUCAAUAUGCUAUUUUGAGGGCACAUUUUGAGUGGGUCCCACUUAGCAAAAGUGGGAAAUCUUGUGAAGUUCAGGUUCUACUCCGUGAAUACUUCGAAAGUGUAUAUUUAUUUACUCAAAAUGGUGCUUGGGUGAAUGAGAAAUUGUCUCUCAAAGUGCACCCUUGAAGUUGAAAAUUUGAAAGGAAUUAUAAGGAUAGAGGGAUUUGUGUUUAUAUAUAGACACUUACCCAUGCAUGAGCAAGAAUUAUAAGGAUAGAGGCUCUCUCCACACGCGCGUGCAGAGGGGGGGUGCGAAUCCAAGACCGAUUUGGUUGAACUCGUGUGCGCCCGCGCAUCCUACGCAUGAGAAUGUCAGCCCAAAAUCACCCAAGCUUGCAUGGCACAUUUUUAAUUUCCUUUUAAAUUUUUGUAACAGUUUUUCAAUUUUUGAAUUCAAAGGAUUUGUAACAGCUUUGCAACUAUUUUUGGGUUGUUAUGCAAAUUCAAUUUUUGAAUUCAAUAGGCUGUAUUGAAUUGUUUAAAUUGAAUUGGCCGUUACAACAAUUAAAUGGCAUAUAUUGAAUUCGGAUAUUCAAUAUUAUACUAUUGUUACAUCCUCACAUGUGUAUAAAAAGGCAGCUUCCUCUUCUGUUUUUACACACAAGAACAACCAACACACAGAGCACUCCAAAAUUUCUUUCCUCCUUCUGACGUUCUGUUUUUUAUCGAGUUUGUAUGCUGUUGUGGUUCGCCAGAAUUAUCAGUCUGUGCUUGACGGAUAAUUAGUACCCGUUGUAUCCUAGGAAAUAGUUACCAGCAAACCUAAAGCACUACAGUAGGUGGUAAAUCUGUUUUAAGGAAACUGUGUUGCAGGCCUCAGGUUUAUUUUCUAUUUCCGUUUUCUUUUCCCUAUUAUUUUUCAUUUGUUCAUUCGUGAUUUCCAGUUGCUGUUUUACGUUGUUGUUUAAAUUAGCUACAAUAUUAAAUUGUUAUCUCACUAUUAAUUUUCUUACAGUUCUCCUGGUGAUCUAUUUAAUUUAAUUAGAUGUUGAUGGUAGAGAUAGAUCACUCAUGUGGAGGCAUUUUAUAAAGUAGUGUGAUAGCUGUUCGUCCACUAAUUACAUAUGAAACAAUACAAGUGGCCUAUUUUAGCAUGAUUUUGGGAGUUACUUUCUUAGUCAAGGGUUACUUUCUUUACUCAAGGGCUAUAGGUCGUUUUCUGUGGUCCAUUCAUCUUUUGCUUUGUGGUUGCUCCGCUAUAUAAUUUCUAACAAAUUCUGUUAACGGCUACGAGUUAUUAAUAAAUAAACUCUAUUGUGUUGCAUGUGGUUGCGUAAGUAAGAAGUUUAACUCAUUCAUAUCAUUUUUUAAUUAACCUGUUUAAACUUCAUGAAUCAAAUGUGAUUUGAUCCAAUAUUUAAGUAAAAAGGGAUAAGUUAUCAAGUAAAAAUGCGAUUUACUAAAUCUUUUAAUUGUAUGCACUGUCGAAAUUAGGGUAAAUAUUUGUUUAAUCCCUAUUUUUAAUUUGGAGUUAGAUGUGUAUUUAGUCAUUGUAUUUUAAAAAGUUUCUCAAAGCCGUUAAAUAUGUGACACUACUGACCUUAUUGUUUCUUUACUUUUACAAUUAUACCCUUACUACAAUUUUGAGCACAUUAAUUAGUUUAUCUAUAAUAAAAAGUUAUCUAAUAAUUAACAAUAAUUAUUUAUUAGUGAAUUAACUAAUAAAUAUUAUUAUGAAAGAAUUGGUACUUUUUGUACAUUGCAAUAUUCUUCCUAAUAAUUAUUUUUAAAGAAGUUAAUACUAGCCAACCUAAAGCAAUAUUUGGAACCUUGCAAUAAUACAUAAAUAAUUUACAAAAUUAACCAUAAAAGUAAAUCAAUAACAAAGAUUUACAUUUAUUUUUAUUUUUUAGCAUUAAUUCUUAAUAAUCUUUUAUAAAUUAAUUAAUUAAUGUCCCUAUAAAUGUUGUUGCAAGGGCAUCAUCAUAAAAACAAAAAAAUAAUAAGGGCAUGAGUGUAACAUAUUUAACAGUAUAGAUGUUUUGAGGUAUUUUAAAAAAUACAAGAAAUAAAUGCAUAACUAAUCAAAAUAUAAGGAUUAAACAAGUAUUUACUUAUCGAAACUAAGUAGAAAUACAAUAGAAUCCUGAACAUUAUUACAUUACCCUUAUAUUGUAAUAUGAAAUUAGUAGAUCAUUUAUUCAUUUUGUCUUGCCUUGCCUUUUUAAGAUCCUGACACGUGUUUGUUGUUAGUUAUUUAUAGUUUAUGAAUAACUUUUCAGGAUUUCUUUAUGAUACUGUAUGUAUUUUUACAGCAUUGAUAGUGGGAUUAAUGUGGACCAUUAGUUUUAAGUAUUUUAAUCUCAAUCGUCCAUUUAAUAUAAUGGAUAAUUAAAUAAUUAAUCAAAAUGUAGCAGGUAGUUUACAAGUUGUUGGUAAAUAUUUUUUUUAAUUUUAAAUUAAUAUUAGUUUGAGAAAAAGCCACACACAUCCCAAGGUUUGCUCAAAUAGUCAUAUAGAUCCACUUAGUUUCAUAAAUGGUAAUACAGACCCCUUAAUUUUCAUAAAUGACUAUUAUACAUUUUGAUUUACACAACCUAAAUAAAUAUACAUAUAGUAAUAGGAUAAAAAUAAUAAUAAAUAUCAUAUGAUACAAAUAAAAUAUUAAAAUAAGUAUAAUUAAUAAAAUAACAUGUAUAAUGAAUUCUUUUAAUAUUAAGUUAUUAUUAAUCUAUCCCGAUGGAUUUAUUAAAAUCUACUAAUCCAAAAAUUGACUUUAAGAUAGAUAUUAAUACAUAUAUAAUUAGAAAAGAUAUUGUAAAUAAAACACUACAAAUUUUUAUAAAUUGUUGUGAGUGUUAGGUAUAACUAUUUCAAUAUUCUAUAUCAUACAUCAUACUUAAGAUGUUGAUUUUGUUGAAGUGUUAUGUUAUUAAACAUUAAGCUUUGCAUUUAUAAUGUGCUACAACUUUAAUGUAAAAUGUAAUAAAAAAUAUAAAGACAUUUUUUAGUAAUCAAUUGUAUUGUAAUAUGAUCAAUUUACCCUACAGUGAUACUUAUUUCUAAACUGACACUCCAAGUAACUUAGGGCAUGUUCAAUAUCAUUUUGUAGCCCCUAUUUUCAUUUUCAUUUUAAUAAUACAGGUGUAAUAUAUGUUUGGUGAGCCUAAACCUUAAAUCAAAUUAUAAAAUGAAUUAAACAGAAUCUAUUUGAUAGUAAUAAAAGUUAAAACAUGUUAAACACGUUUUCUGUAACUUACAAAACGAAUUAUAAAAUAAUAUACUACACGUCUUCCAAAGUAUAGCAAAUAAAAUAUAUUUUACAAACACUACUAUAGAAAGACAUAUAAGACAUAUGUUAAGUUAGUAGAUAUGAUUUUUCUUGUAUUCAUUAAAACAUAUGAAUUGAUACCCACACACACACACACACACACACACACACACACACACAUAUUGAGUACUUCUAUCUACCUGUAUUUAUUAAUAGAAGGGAAAUUAAAAUCGUAAUUACCCUGAUAUAUUAUGAAUUGAUAUGUCACAUAUAAAUAUCAGUGAAAAUUAAUUUUUAGAUUAAUGUUGUAAACCAUUUAUAGGCAUUUAAUUAAUCUAAGGUCAAAUGAAAUAUAUCACAUGACAUUUCAUGUAGUAGUCCAAUUUUUAACACUUGCAUAUAGUUUUGUAAGCUAAUAAGCCAAUGAAAUAUACCACAUGAGAAAUUGAUGGGCUAUUAUUUAUAUUUCACUAUUGGACAAUUAUGGAUCUUCCAAUUCUCUUCCAUGGCCAUAAAUUAGAAUAAAAAAAUCACAUAGUAGAGACUACAUCCAUUUGCAUGCUCUCAAAAUAGAUUUUGAAAUUUAUUUUGCAUGCUUUCAAAAUAAAUUUUGAAAUUAGUUUGGUUACAUGAUAAUCAAAUUAUCUUAUAACAUUAAUGAUAUAAUUUAAGCACUAUUUUAGCAAUUGUGAGUUUUACAUUAAAUCUUCAAAUUAAUUACAUAUUGUCACUCUUUCUUGUUUUGCUUGAAAUUUCUAUUUAAUAAAAUUAUGAAAAGUUGAUAAUGAAUGGUUUAGGAUACAUAGGUAAGAUAAACUUUAAAAGUCUAAUGAAACAUUUCUAUGAAUGUGGGUUUCAUAUGCAUGUUCAUAUAUUUCAUUGAAAUCAUAUAUUUUAUUGAAUUUUGUGUUAUUAAACGAAAUAUGUUAUUCAAGUGAAAAAUGUGAGAAUAUUUAAAACUGUAGGGGUCGUCAUUGAAAUUUCGCAUACUUCUACCAACUCCACGAUCCAACAGUUCACCCCUGUUAACCGGUUAUGUUAUUUUUUUAUUAAUAAAUAUAAUGUACAUUGUUGAUUAAAUCUAAUGGUUAAUAUUGUUUACACUAUUGAUGCUGAAAAAAAUUACAGCAUCAUAGAGGGACCCAACUUUUCAUUGUUUUUGAUUCCAUGAACCACUGAUAAUCAAUAGAUUUAAAAAAGAUAAGCCGAAGACAAGAUGAAUAGAACAUAUAAAUCAGAGGGGGCCCAUGAUCAAAUUUAGGCUGUGCUAAAUUAUAAAUUUAUAGUAUAUAUUAGAGUUAAUGUCAGUGCACAUAAACAAUUAAAAAUUUUACUCUAAACAAAAUGAAAACUUUUAAUAAAACAAGUCUCUAACUCUAACUAGUGACAUGGUAGAUUACUCUUUUUAUAUGAAUUUUAAAGGUCCCAAUUCAAAAUUAACUUAACUAGAAGAUAUAUUUAAUUUAUUUUAAAAGAAAUUGAUUUCGGGAUACAGUUGAGAAAAAAGUGAUAAUUAUAUUCUUAUGGAGAAGAUCAUAAAUCUAUAUGGAUUUUAAGUACUAAGCUGGGCAGUUUAGCCCAGAUUAUCGAUCGCGCCUAACCCAGUUGGGUUUAACUAUGAGCUUUCCUCCAAUAUUCUUUUUUUUUUUUUUUUUGAAUAGCCUCCAAUACACUCUUAAAACUCCAUUUUUAAGGAAAAAAAAAACCAUUAUCGUUAUUAAUACUCACUUUAAUUCGAAAAACUACUUCUUAUAAACAUCGUAAUCUUUCAGUUCAAAACCCAGAAAACACAGUUUUCUUGAUUUUCCAUUAUCCAUCAUGCGUCUAUACUUUUCUUGCUUAAAUAAUUAUUAUAAUACCUUCAAUGAAAGAUUAAAUGUAAUCUUCAAUUCUAUGAUUUUUAAGUUGAAUUGCCUUGUCACAUUAUCCUCUCCAUCAUAUUUUUUGUGCUUUCACAUUAAGAGUAAAAGAAUUCCUGUUGGAUGCAAAUUCAUUAAUCAUUUUAAUCAUUCAUUUGUGAUUAGAAACAAAACAAUAAAAUGAGAGUAAUGAUGAAUAAAAAAAUAAAAAUAAAUCGUGGGUUUAGCGGUGAGUAACGGACGGUGUGGAGGUGACAGUGUGAGAUAGUUUUGAGAGAGAGGAAAAGAGGUGAGAUUUAGAAAGAUUGUUUUGUUCUUUAUCGUAAUUACAUAAAUGAGGGCUUUUAUAAGGUUAAUGGUGGGGGUGGGGCUAUUUUAACGCAUAAAUUCCUUUUUUCACCCUAUUUGUUCUCUCUCUACAUCACUUGCAAAUUAAAAGCUUACCAUUUCACUCUCUAUGGCCAUGGAUUCUUUAUCUUCAUUAAUUCCACUACAUUUUAUUUGUGGCAUUUGAAUUGCGACUUUUUUAUUCUAUUUUAUUUCAAAUGAAACAAAGAUUUAUAAUUUUACACAGAUUUAGGAAAAAUAAAAAAUUUAUAGCUUUCACGAUUACUUAAAAUUCUUGAUACUUAUUUUUGUAUGGGGGGUUUGUUCAUAUAAAUUGAAGACAGGGUAGUUAUUAUUAUUACGUUCUUGGUCGAAGAGCUUUUGAAUAAAAUCAGUAAGCCAACUUAGGGUCUAAAAUUUCCAAGCAAAGCAUGCAAACCCCUUUGACCUCGAGAGCCCUAGUCUUGAAAUAAUGAGCCACUAAACCUUGAUCUGAUAUUGCUUGUAGCUUAUAGGAAAAAUUAAUUUCGAUUAUUCGUAAGAUUUAACAUUCAUUUGCGGAUGAGAAAAUCAAAGGAAUUGGUUAGAGAUGAUCAAGAAUUGUGAGAGAGAGAGAAUAGGGUUAAUUGGGUAAUUUUAUCAAAAUUAAUUCGAUAAUAAAUAUUUUAAUUAAAAAAUAGGUGUAGAGAGAAAAUCGGUGGACGUAAAUGUCCCCAUCCUAAUGGUUGGGGGCUAAUAUAUAUUCGUAAAUAUCCUUAACUUAAAUUACUAUUAUAACUUAAUAUUAAAAAAAAAUAUUUCUCUUCCUAAAAGUUUUUAAGCAGUGAUAAGAAGUCUAAUUACUAAGCAUAUGGGUUUAUUAAGUAUUAUAGUGGGUUAGCCCUACCCUUUGAUUUAUUGGAUAUAAUAAAGGGAGAAUGAUCAUUUAGUUUCUCUUACAAUUUGAUUUUACCGCUUGGUCCUUAAUUUAAUAUCUUAUUAAAGCAAUAUUAAAGAUAAAUAUAACCUUUUAAUUAACAAACAAAUUAAUUAGAAAAAGAAAAUUGAUUCUUCAUUAUUAAGGUAACCCAUAAACUCUAAUAUAAGUUACAUUACAAAUUUUUAUUUAUUUGUUGUCAAUUAGACUUACUGGAGAGAGUUAAUUUAUAAAAAAAUAUAAUAUUUAUGAAAACAUAAAGAAAUGUCAGUCAGCAUACUCUAUGGUAAAUUCUACAUUCAUUUCAUAUAUAAAAGUUCUAUCUACAAGCGCAAUCAAUUAGAAACAAACAGAUGAGCCUUCGUCAAUAUGUCAUGUAGGUUAAUUAUUGUACAUGUCACAAUCAGAGACCAAAAUUUGCAUACGGUUGACUAAUAAGAAGACUUCCUGAGACAUCAAGUUUCAAGUUUCAAGUUAAAAGUUUUAAGUCUUUCUUCAGAUUUUAUGCCCAAACGCCAAAUCCCAAGCUCCCCCUCAAACUUUUAAGGCUUCAUGUUUUCUUGAUCUGAAAACGCCACCCAAAGGUACAUCAUUCUUUCCUUCGUUUCUUUUUCUUCGAGAGCAUCUGCAAGUAAAUUUACUUUCACUCCAUGCUUCCAAUGAUUUGUUUCUUGUUUUAGAUUAUAUAUUUAGCAAAAUAUUCUUUUUCCUCAAAACUACCUAAAAAUUUAGAAUUUAUAUAACUAGUUUUAUCUUAGUCAAUGUAGUGAAGCCAUUUAUCUUAUGCAUCUUUUCUUUACUUAUGUUGCUGCUACUUCAUGACUUUCUAUCAUAUUCCAUAUGUAUAUUGAAUAACUUUACCUUAAUUGCUACUGCAAGACAAGUAUACCUUCAUUAAGUUCUGAAGAGUUUAAUGAAUCCCAUUUUAAAUCUUUUCUUUUUCCCUCACUCAACGGUGGCUAUCAGUAGUUUCUAGAUCUGGUCUAUCAAUUUUUACUUUGUUGUUACUUCUGCCAUACAAUCUCUAACAAAUUGAAGGCUACCAAUUAUUCGGAAAAAUAAAAAAAAACCUUGUGUUUGUGGGGAGAAAAGUAAAAAUUUUAACUCAUUCACAUAGCCUUUUUCAAUUAACCUAUAACCUAUAUAUAAACUUCAUGAAUCAAAUGUGAAUUGAUCCAUUAUUUUAAUUAGAAAGUAAUAAGUUGUCGAGUAAAAGUGGAUGUUAAUACAACACAGUCUCGAACAAUAGUACAUUACCCUUCCAAUUGGGAAAGGCAGAUGAGUGAGAUUAAUUACGAAGAGAAAAGGCGAAAUUUUAUUGAAAAAAUUGAUUGCAUCUUGUAAUGGUAAGCACAAUCCUAUUCGUUGCCUCACGAAAAUGAGCUCAAGGCAGCAACUGUUGAAAAUUCAAAAGUAAAUGGGGCUCACAUGUUGGAUUCAAUUUGAAUGCACCGAAAUCCACAUGCCUUUCUUGAAAAAAUCAAGAAGAGUUGGAGCCGCAUGUUGAUAAUGUGGAAAAGUUGGAGUCUUGGACAUUUGUCAAAAAAAGAGGAAAUUGGUUGCCGAUUUCUUAGACUUUUGUUGUGAUAAUUAAAUGCAUUUAUGGUAAGGCCGGAUUAUAAAUAGAGAAGCAAUUUUCAUUUGUAAAUUAUCCUAAAAAUAUAGAGUGUGAGAACUUAGGUAAACAACUCUCUCAGAGAAUGUAGAGAAAUUCUCUGUGAGAGAGUCUAGAAAAAAAGAACAUUUACAAGUGAGCUCUUAGAAAGUUUAUGAGAGUGUUUCCUUAGGCGCUCAGUUGGGUUCUGCACUAUUUCUAUAUGUAUAAAAGAAUGUCUAUCUUGCGAAAAUUGUUUUGUUCAAGAGUAUAUGUGAGUACUGUGUGUAUUUAAGUAUUUGGAAUGUGAGAUUUCAUUACUCAAAUUUUUAUUAUAUUAAUUGUUAGUAAAAUAAUCAUUCUCUCUUGCAUCCGUUUGCAUCCGUGGGCGUAGGCUUUAUCGUCGAGCCAUCUUGUGUCCUUUAUUUUUUGGUGAAUAUUUGGUGCAUAUUGAUUCUGCAUUUGCACACAAGUGAUAUCAUACCAUAAGAAAUGACACUUCCGCAGCACAACAAGUGGUAUCGAGUUGAUGGUUCGUACUUGGGGUAUACAAUGUUGUUCAUGUAUUCAGUAAUAUUUAUAUGAUAUUGUUCAUGAAUACGAUGAGGCUGAUUGACACUGAAAAGUUUACAUUUAAUAAGGUUAAAAAUUAUCAGUUUCUCACUAACAAUGUUAAUUAAUGGGCUAAUAACUUACAAAUUAUCUCAAUGCUCUCCUAAUAAACUUUUAUGUUAAAUUUAUUUACAAUAUGUUAGUUUUAUGUUCAUUUUUAUUUCAAGAAUAAAGAGGGAAUUGGAACCAAAAGCAGGAAACAAAGAAGAUUGAUGGAGCCAUUUGGAAUGCAUUAUUGAGGAGAUGUAAUUAAUAAAAAAAAAAAAAGGAAGUGAGCUAUACCGUGAUAGUCAAGUGGGCAUUUUAUCACUUGACUAUCACACAUUUCUAUGUAAAUAUAUAAUUGAAAAAAAAUAAAUAAUAAUAAAAUAAAAGAAGAUGAUAUAAUUGUUGUUUAUAAAAGGUAAGGAGAGGAAGAACGAGGGGACGGGCGAGAGAAGACGAGAAAGGAGCUGAGACUGAGACUUAGAAAUUUUUUUUCUUUUGUGUAGUUAACCCUCUUUUAAUAUAUUUCAGAAGUUUUUUAAAUAAAAUGAGUGUUCUGUUUAUCAACAUGAGUGGCUAAAUUUUUUAAGUUGAGAUGAAAGGUGAAGCUCAAGGAUUUAAAUUAUUGAAUUGAUUACUCUUUCAAGUGAGUCCCAAAGUUUAUUUUAUUCGUUUGUAUUUUUUUUCUUUACCAGUUUCUUUUUAUGUCAUGUUAAUUUAUAAAUCUAGAUCUCCUUAGAUCUAUAUAGUAUUUUAGCAUAAUGUCGACACUCUAAUAUAAUUGUGGCACAUUAGGUACUUGAUUUCAUAUUUAUCCAUACAAACGGUUAGUUAAAGAUUAAAUAACAUAAUAAUUAACUAGAAAAAUGAAUGAUGAAUGUAAAAUAUAAAUAUGAGAGAGUAUUAGGACAAAAAUUUGACAACUGAGAGUAGAUCCUGUAAUCUUAACAUUUUUUGUCAGAUUGAUCCAUAUUAAUUUUUUUCUUUAAUUAAUUUUUAUUUAAUAAUUGACUACUAGAUUUUUAUAUUCUAUGUGGUUCGACUCCAGACUCAUUAGAUUAUAUUAUAACUAGACACUGUUAUACUUAAGAAUAAAUAACACUUUUGCAUCACAUCAUAUUUUUAGCGUCAUUCCUGAGAAUUUUCUAAAUUUGGUGUCAGUUUAUCCUUAAUUUUGUCAUUCGUUUAUGUUUUCGUCAUUUUAUUUUAUUUUAUUUCUUUGUAAAACUUCAGUUAACCCCCCACUUCUCUUGAAAUUUUAGUAUUAUCUAUAAAAUUUGUGAAAACUUCAUUUUGACCUAAAAACUUUGCAAAUCAGUCCUUAAAUCGAAUUGGAACUUGGAUCUUAGGAGUAUGACUUAUUCUUUGGACUUUUGGACUUAAAAGACUAAAUGAACUUGGACCUUUGGACUUUGUGCACAUAAUGGACGUGGACUUUUUUAAAAUUAUCAUUAAGGCCCAGAAAUCAAAUUAAUUAUCUAAUUGGUCAUUAAUUCUUAAAAGUUGUUAAAAAGGGGGGAAGAAUUCAUGCCUUGUGGUAAGUAUUCAUUUCCUUCCUUCUUCUUUUAAUUUCUACAAUUUAAUUUUUGUAAUUUUUUUGUGUUAUUUUAUAUGGCUGGUUUAACCAUCUAUUAUUUCAACUUCAACUGGCCAAUUUUGAAUUUAUUUAUUUUUAUUUCACAUUUAUUUAUUUUUGACAUUUAUUUUAUUUGCUUAUUUAAUGUUUAGUUUAUUUUUAUUUGUGCAAUAUUCAUUUAGUGUUUUAUGCAUUAUUCAUUUGUUUGUGUAUCAUUUUCAUAAUUUAAUUUGACACACUUACAAAUCAUCAGCAUUGUAUGCGACAUUGGUCUCGUAUAGAAAGUGGCAAAUUGAUUAGGAGAUCGCCUUCAUCAUCUUUAAACAUAGCCAAUAUCAAAAGUGAUAACAUUUUAAAGUAUGGAAAUAACCAAACCUUGCAAAAUCGUCAUGAACAGCCUAGGACACUUGGAGAUUUCAUGCAUUCUACUAGAACAAGGUUAUCAUUAUGCAUAGAUUUUCCUCUUGAUGCAUCUCAUAUUAAUUUCAAAUCUAGUAUCAUUCAACUUCUACCUAUUUUUCAUGAUUUUGAGUCUGAAAAAUCAAUACUUGUGUUUAAGAGAAUUUGAGGACGUUUGUAACACCGAUACUGAUCGGAAUUGUAGCAUAAACAUAAUUAGACUCAAGUUUUUCUAUUCUCAUUAAAGGAAAAAGUUAAAACUUGGCUACAAAUUUUUUUCUUUUUUUUUCCUAUGCUUUUUUUGGUGUUGUUUGGGUUUUUUUUUAAACUAAACGGAAAAAAACAAAAAAGGAAAAAAAGGAAAGGUUUGGUGGUAGAUGGAGUUAGAUUAGUGAUACCAGGUUUUGGCUCUGAUACCAAACUGAUGCAGCGGAAGUUUAAUGUUUAAAAUAUUCCGUUGAUUCUAGAGAAUACCGGAAUAAAAGAACAACUAAAUUCACGUUGAUUCAAGAGAAUACCGCGAACUUAGGGGUUAAGACUCGUUGAUUCAGAAUACCGAGAAUUAACUGUUCAAAUACUCACAAAGAGAUUUGAAAAUUGAAAUAUUAUUGAACUCAAAAUUCUACCUUCAAAAGCUACAAAAGACACUUAUUUAUACUAAGUAAGACUUAUCCUAAUAUGAUUAGAAAACCUAUUUUAAUAAGACUUAUGCCUAAAUUAGGAAUAUUACCCAAAUAAGCAAUACAUAAACAAUACGACUCUAAAUAGGAAACCAAAUUAAACUAGAAUACAAAUUAAUUAAAAUAUUCCUAAAUAUUAUACAUUUAAAUAUAAUUAGGAUUUCUUCAAUUUCUUGCUCUGCAUCACAAGCCUAUCCACUAAAAAACUUAGAUGCAUUCUUUGUCAACACUGAGUCAAGACGAGCCACUAAUACUAAAGUGGAGUUCCUCGCUAACAAAUAUAGUGUAAAGUGCUCUGUAACAUAUACACCCUAAUUUUUCCUAAUUAAGUGUAUUAUGUAUUUUACAUUACGGUAUUAAUUUUUAAAGUCAUCAGAUUGGUUAUAAAUUAUUAUGGGAAAACUUGACGUGACUCGAUUUCUUAUCAUGAAUUAAUGGAUUUGGGUCGAGUUAAUAAAUGGAUCAUGUUUUGAAUAAAUUUAAAAUUUGUCAUGACAUAAAUUGAGACAAAUCGAACGUGAUAAAGGGUCUUGUAGUCGGAUUUUAUUUUCAUCAUGGGCCUGGUAUUAGCUUAAUUUGUAUUAAGCUAAAAGAAAAAGAGAGGGAACCGUUACUAUAAAUGGAAAGAGAGAGGAGUUGGUUUCCAAAAAUAGAAAGAGAGACUUGUUUGACCCGACCGCGACCUGUGACUUUGACUCGGCUCCAGCCGUUGAUUCCGGCCACCACUCCGGCCGAUCCAGGUACCAAUUUGAAGCUUGAAAGAUGAGCAACAUAUCCUUACCAUCUUCAUCGCUGGAUAAUGGCCAGAUUACCGACGAUUUAGCCCGAAAAGAUCACGGCUCCACCUAUUUUAGUUGCCAUCGAUUUCACUGGAAUUAGGCUGCAUCACCACUUGGAUCUUGAUCCUCAGCUCACCUUCAUUGUUUUUCGACCAACCCCACCACCUAAAACCUCCGUUUUGGCCGUGAACGAUUGUCGGAAAGCUCACGGCUUUGGGAGCACAAUCCGCCGCCAUCGCUGCGUGUGGGAGGUCACUGCGGGCACCAUUGGACUCAUCGAGGUCAGAACUGUCAAGUCUGAGCUUCCUGUCGUCGUUGAUUGAAUUCCCGUCACCGUUGACUGGCAGGGGCAAUUCAGAGGACCCGCAAACGAGAAUCAACCCGCGAACGUUGUUGAUACCGAGUCUGGACAUUGUCACUAUGAGUGGAAUAUUCAAAACAUAUUUUCAUAGUUUAUUAUGAUAGUAAAGCAUAUUUGCAAAAUGAGUAUUUUAAUUAUUUCGAUUUAAUGAUUUUGUCGAAAUGGAUUUUAUUCACGAAUUGAUAUUUUAUUAAAAUGUUAGUUAAUGGAUUUCCGGAUUGAUUUUGAAUAAAUCAUGCUAGUAAUUUUAAGACUAGAAAAAAUGUGUUAGUGAAAAGAACAAUAUGAUUGAUAGUAUGAUUAAAAGGUAUAUGGUUAUGAGUAUAAAGAUUGUUUUGAAGUCAUUCGACAGUACCCUUCCCCUCCAGAUACAGUGAUACAUAUGAUAUGAGAUGAGAGGCCUUUAGGGCCCGUCUGAGUACACACAGAGGCUUUGGGCCGUGUACUUGGGCGCAUUGUCGUUUGGGGACCAGAUCAUCCAUGCACAAAUAUGAUGAGACAUGAUGAGAUAUAUGAGAUGAUACUUACCGGUCUAUCCGUGUAGCUCCGGCGCAUGAUGGUACUUAGAUAGUACAUUAUUGCCUGUUCGUUGAGGUCCGGAAAUGAGACAUGAUGAGAUAUAUGAGAUGAUACUUAUUGGUCUAUCCGUGUAGCUCCGGGGCAUGAUGGUACUUAGAUAGUAUGACAUUGCCUGUCCGUUGAAGUUUGGAUAUGAGAUAUGAGACAUAUGAGAUGAUAUUUUAUUUGAUGAACUUCUUCAAAGAUAAAAUUGAAAUAUUUUUCAAUCGAUUGUUCGCCCCAACGGUGACUAUUGAUAUGAAAAAUACGUAGAUUGAAACAAUGGUUAUACACUCAACUAAAAUUUGUUAUUAACCUUCCCAACGAAGCUAUGUUAACAAAUUUAGGCCCAAAAGGAUAACGAUAAUUAUUUAUCAUGUAUCUACAUGAAAGUAAAUAAUCUAAUGGAUAAUUGGGUCUAGUAAGUGUAGACAUGACUUCCCCAACGGAUAGCUUGUCAAAGCGGUACUAGAUUAUCGUUACAAUAAAUUAAAAUGUAUUUAUGAUUUUUUGCAUUUUUGUCAUUUAUUGUGAAUAUUGUUUCAAAGUAUUUAUGCAUGUGUAUUUUAUUUUUUCAGAAAAUGUCUUCCAUCAACCCAUUAUUAAUUAUCCUUGUUAAAAAUGAACUCACUGGCGAAAAUUAUUUAGAUUGGAAACGCAAUCUAUUUAAUAUUUUCACUGCUAAGGGAAGCAAAUAUGUGUUGACCCAGCCUUGCCCUCCUGAACCAUCGUUAUACGAUUAUAGAAAUCAGAGGGAGCCUUAUGAGAAAUGGUGCGAAGCUAACAAAAUGGCUAAGCGCUAUAUAUUGGCUUCGAUUUCUGUGGAACUGCAUAAGAAACAUCGGAGCAUGGAAACAGCCACUGAAAUAAUGGCUAGUCUUCAUCAGAUGUUUGGGCAAAAUACCCAUUUUGCCAGAGAAGCAGAAUUAAAACGUAUUACGCAUACUAAGAUGGAAGAGGGCACAAAAGUUCGUGUCAUGUCCUCAAAAUGAUGGACUAUUUGAAUGAGGUAGAGAUUCAAGGUGUUCAAAUCAAUGAUAAAUCAAAGAUUAACAUGGUGAUUGAAUCUUUACCUGAUACAUUCAAAGAGUUUAAGGCUAGCUAUAUCUUAAAAGAUAUUACCUUAAUUGAAUUAAUGCACGAACUACAUGCUAUAGAAGAAUUUUAUCAUAGCAGAAAACUUCCUGAAAAAGGAUUCUCUUCAAGGCUUAAGUCGAAAGACAAGAAUGAGCAAGCAAGAGUUGGGAUCGGCAAACUGUCCACUAAAAGAAGUGGCAAGCCAAAAGGAAAGUGUUACAAAUGUGGACAGAAGGGUCACUGGAAGAAAGAUUGUCCUAAGAUUAUUAAGAUUAUUAAAAUUAGGUAUAGGAAAUCUUUAAGCUUCCUAAUUAGUUCAGAUUUCUAUUGAUUCAUACAAUAAUGAAUUCUGAGAUAACUAAUCUUAUUUGUAAUUCAUUUAUUUGGUUUUAGAAAACCAGAGAUUAAGUGAAGAAAGCUUCAAACAGCAGUUGAAGACAUGCUAGUUUAUAUCAAUUGAAAGGCUAGAUCAAUUUUACAAGACUUAAAGUUUUGAUAUUUGUCUUUAUUUUUCCAUAUAUUAGAGGAAUUUAAUUUCGGUGACUUGUUUUAAUAAACAGGAGUACGCUGUUAUUUUUUUAUCCUCUGUUUAUAAAGACAAUUUAUAUCAUAUAAGUCCAUUGAUCUAUUCAAAGCAAGAUAUAAUAAUAAAGAGUAUAUGCAUUUAUCUAAGAAAAGAAAUGUUUCUUCAAACCAAAAUAACCUCUGAUAUUUAUGCUUAAGUCAUAUAAACUAUAAUAAGAUUUUAAGAAAAUGAUUAAUGAUAGACUUGUUGGCCUAUUAAGAUUGAUCAUUGUAACUCUAUAAAUCUUAUUUAGAAAAGUAAUAUGACAAGGAUGCUCGUUUAGAGCUAAAAGCAUAACAUUGUAUUGGAUGAUUUAGCGCAUACAAAUGUAUACGGACUAAUCAGUUUACAUGUCAUAAGAGGUUAUGAGUAUUCUAUCAAUCAUGUUGAUGAAUAUUCAUUUUAUUUAUGUUUGUCUAAAUGUGUCAUGAUUUCAUUGCUUUUGAAAUUCAAAAGAGUACGUGGAUAAGACAGAAGGAAUUAGACAGGAACAUAAAAGCACUUCGAUUUGAUCGAAACAAAGAAUAUCUCUAUGGAGAAUUCAAGCACUAUUUGAUUGUCAAUAAACAAUAUGAUACAAUAGUACAUUUAAAUGGAGAAACAAGAUUCUUUUGGAUAAAACAAGAUAUAUACUAAGUGGUUUAUCAUUUACCUUUUUUAUUCCAGAUACUAGUAUUUAAAACUACAAAGUUUAUUGAACUUAGUCUCAUCUAUCUCAGUGUCUACUACUCCAAGAAAUUAUGAAAAAGUCACAAACAUGGUUUGAGACACAUUUGUAUUUGGAGUUUACUAGUAUUUCUACUAGAAUCAGAGGUAGAGAAGAUGGAUUUGUGUUCAGAAGCUUGCAUGUUUAAGGUAUCUUAAUGGAAUAAGGGAAAGUCUAAAUUAUAGUCCUCAAGAUAGGAAUGUAUUUAUAGACAUAUUCUUUACUUUUUUUGAGGAAGACUAUAUAAUGACUUAUAACCUAAGAGUAAGGUAAAACUAGAUAAAUAAAAGAGAUCAGGUUGAUGCUCAGCUUUCAACACCUGUUAUAGAACAGGAAGAACAGUAACAACCAGCUGAUCAGCACAUGAUUAUCCUUGAAGAACCAUCACUUUUAGAACCUCGUCGUAGUGGGAGGGUAACUAGGUUACCUGCUAGAUACAUGUUAUUGAGAGAAACCUAUAUGAUGAUCUCAGUUGAACAUGUAUAAGAUCCCACUAGUUACAACGAAGCUCUAAUAGACAGAGAUGUUGAAUUUUGGAAAAAGGCCAUGAAUCAAGAAAUGUAAUCUAUGAAUUCCAAUAAAGUCUGGGAACUUGUAGAGGCACCAAAUGGGGUAAAACCUAUAGGGUGCAAGUGGAUCUACAAGAGAAAAAGAGGAGUAAACGGAAGGGUGGAAACAUUUAAAGCAAGAUUAGUAGCCAAAGGGUUUACUCAGAAAAAGGGAAUCAAUUAUGAUGAAACAUUUUCUCUGGUUGCUAUGCUUAAAUCCAUCAAGAUUCUGCUCUCCAUUGCUGCAGUGCUAGAUUAUGAAAUUUGGCAAAUGGAUGUCAAGAUUGCCUUUAUUAACGGGCAUCUUGAAGAAGACAUCUACAUGCAGCAACCAGAUGGAUUCGUACAAAAGGCCAAGAACACAUGGUAUGUAAGUUGCAGAGAUCCAUUUAUGGAUUGAAGCAAGCAUCCCGGUCAUGGAACAUCAGAUUUGAUCAAGCGAUUAAAUCGCUUGGAUUCAUUCAGAACAUUGAUGGACCAUGUGUGUACAAGAAAAUUCAGGGAAAAUUUGUAGCCUUCCUAGUUCUUUGUAUAGACAAUAUUCUCCUGAUUGGAAACGAUAUAGGAGUAUUGACUACAAUAAAGAUUUGGUUAGCAAAACAAUUUGAUAUGAAAGACCUGGGAGAGACAAGUUAUAUUCUUGGUAUCAAGUUACUACGAGACCAAAAGAAUAAAACUUUAGCUUUGUCUCAAGCAGUCUAUAUCGAUAAGAUAUUGGCUAGAUUUAGCAUGGAAAAUUCAAAGACUGGUUUAUUACCAUUCAAACAUGGAAUUACAUUCUCUAAGGAUCAAUCACCUAAAACAUCUGAAGAGAUAGAGAGAAUGAGACGAGUUUCCUAUGCAGAAGUUGUGGGAAGUCUCAUGUAUGCCAUGUUUUGCACUAGGCCAGACAUCUGUUUUGCGGUAGGGAUGGUUAGCAGAUAUCAAUUUAAUCCUGGACCUCAAUACUGGACUACAGUCAAGCAUAUUAUAAAGUAUCUGAAAAGAACUAAAAAUUAUAUGCUUGUGUAUUCUGGUGAUGAACUUAUUCUAGUGGGUUAUAUUAAUUCUGAUUUUUUGUCAGAUAAGGAUUUUAGAAAAUCAACUUCCGGCUAUGUGUUUACAUUAGGAAGUGGAGCUAUUAGUUGGAUGAGUAUGAAACAAUCUUGUAUCACAGACUCCACAACUGAAGCUGAAUAUGUGGCUACAUCUGAAGCUGCAAAAGAAGCUAUAUAGGCUCCGCAAGUUCCUACAAAAUCUUGAGGUGGUACCAGUUGUAACUACACCCCUUAAACUAUUUUGUGAUAAUGGUGGUGCAGUAGUUCAAUCUAAGGAACCACAAGAAACAAAACAUACUGACAGGAAGUAUCAUCUUAUAAGGGAAUAGUGUAGAAAAGUUAUAUGACAGUACCCCAAAUGGCAUUAGAUGCUAAAUGGCAGAUCUUAUUACAAUGGCCAUUAGUGGGAAACCUUUAUAACCUGCACUUAGAGCCCUAGAGCAUGUGCAAUAUGCCAGAUAUGCUUUGAGAGCUAGUGGGAGAUUGUUGGGAAAAUAUGCUCUUUAAAAGCAUAUGUGUUUAUUUAAUUGUAAUAAAUAUUUUUUCUGAUUAAUAAAAUUAAUGAGGUAUUUUAUUCAAAUAUCUAAUUGCAUUAAUAUUUAUAUUAAAGUCCAUUUAAUCAUAUUAUAUGUAUUUAUGUGAUCACCAUGUGGAUUCGCAGAAGACAUAAAUACAAGUUAUCUUAUGAUUAAAUAAAUUUAGUUCGCAGUUGAUAAAUAAAGUUGGGCACUUUAUUUAUGUAUAGACUGUAAUGAAUUCAUUGAAUGAUUUGUCUUAAUCAUAUAUGAAUUUAUUGAUGUAGUACAACUACAUUGAACAUGAUCACAUGUGAGAUUUAAUUAACCUUAAAAUGACUGUCAGACUUAUUAAAUCUCAUAGGCAUUGAUUUUACUGUAAUCUUAAUCUUGAGUUAGUUAUGAUUUCAUGAUUGUAAUUGUUAUUUCAUUUGAGUUACCAAUGGGCACGACACAAAAUUUGGCAAGAUUACCCGGUAUCUUAGUGGGAGCAAUUAUGAGUAUUGACGUUAUGGAUUAACAAUAUAGAAUUUGUACAACACAUCUCUUGAUGGGUUUUCGGCACUUGAUCAUAGAAUUCUCUGGCCAGAGUGUGUCAACAUAUUUAGUAUGUUGAAAAUGAUCAUUAGAGAAAACCAGUAAGUAUCAAGGAAUAAGAUGUUACUAAAUUGAUUGGACAGUUGAGAUAUCAAUUUAAUUAACGAUGUGGUACAAAGGAUUGUGCAGUAAAGAAAUCAAUGUGGCUUGGGACGAAUUAUUAUUCGAGCAUACAAUUAUGGAGGUCAAUUCCAAUCUUUUAAUGGAGUAGAUUUGGAAUUAAAUAAUUAGGCUAGUUUAAUUACAGGCCUAAUUGUUAUAGCCACUAUUGUAUGUUCCCAAAUGAUCCCCGGGUUAGCUCAUUUAAUUGACUGCACCACUACUGGAUUAAUAAGCAAGAUAACUAGCUAUUUGGGUCAAAAGCCUAAAUAUAUCAUUUAGUGGGAGGCUCCAUUUAAUUAGCUUGUGUGUAAGGGGCCUUAUGUUAUUUUACAAGGUGGGUCCCCUAUGGAAAAAGCAAGUAACGUGAGUUUUGUUUUUUAUUAUUUGGAGCCUAGGGUUUUCACUAAAGGGAGAUAUAAAAGGCUUAUUUUCUCUAAAGAAAAAUAGAGCAGCCACUUUAUACAGAUCGGAGAAAAAGAUUUUUCUCUCUAUUGUUGAGAGAAAAAUUUUCUCGUGCUAGUUGCUUUGGUAGUGAUAAAGGCGCCCACACGUCAAGUGCAGAUCGAACCUGAGUCAUAACCUGGAAGAUCAUUGGUGACAGUUCGUGAUCUAACAAGCGUGGUGGUGACGGAUCGUGAUAAAAAAGGAGUGGUGGUGGCGGAUCGUGAUCUAGGAGCCUAAAUCACUUCAACGGAAAAAGCCAAAUCGAAUUUUCAAGGUACGAUUUCAAGAUUACAAAUUCUUAUAUAUUAUAUAAGAGCGAUCUUCAAAAGGUUUUAUAAAAAAUUUAAAAACCUAAUUUUUCCCAAUAGCUUGCCCUUAACUCUGUCUCUAAAUCAGCAGAAGAUAGGCCAACAAUUAAUGGUUCAUAUGGCAAAACCACUUACAAAAUUGUAUCACUCUAGUUAUUCUCAUUAUUAAUACUUUUUAAGCUUUGACUGUUUAGUUUUAUACAAAGUGAGUGAAUUGUGGGACCUUUAUUUUGAUUAUGGAUCUUUCCUUCUACGUAUCUUGUUGAUACUUUAUGUUUCUCUAAUUGCACCAACUUUAGUUAAGGCAAUUAAAGAGCUAAUAGUGAUUUGUUUGAAGAAAAAAAAUAUUCUUUUUUUACUUUUACAUUAUCUGAUAAAGAAUUGUUAUGAAAUGAUUGGCUUAAGUUUCAAGUGAUUAUUUAGGACAAAUGUUAUGCUUCAGUUUACUUUAACUUCUUGAUAGUUCAAUGGAACACAAUUAAAAGCUUUACACCAUCGGAGUAAAUGUGAUGAAUCAAUGAUUGUAUGAGUCUUGUGUUAAGUCAAAAUCAAUUAUUUAGGACCAUAAUUGAUAGCCCCGAGGGCACGAUGCAUAGUAAUGUAUGGCUUCGUUUAUGUCACAAAUGUCACAUUAAUCAUUGAACACAUGGUGAUGAGGAUUACUAUUAAACUUUCAAUGGCAAAGUUUCAAUUUAUAGACUGUCAUAUCAAAGCUCUCUCUCAAGCUUUUAAAGGCAUUGGGUUUUCCUUAGCUGAACACACUUGAAUUGGCAAGCUAGAGAUACAACUUUUAAUACUCUAUUUCUUUUUCUUCAGUUACUUUGCGUGUAAUUUACCUCUAUAUUUUUUUUUCCAAUGAUUUCAUUCUAGAAUUACAAGUUGUACUCCUUGUUUUAUCUUGCUUUAACUCAAUAAAAGCAUUUUAUUGGCUUAUGAAUAGGUGUUAGAUGAGUUCUUUUUUGAGAAAUAAAAUCAAGCCACUACUAGAAAAAUGGUCUUUACUGACACUUGGUUUGUGACAAUUUUUUAAAAAGUAUCAGUAUGUUCAUACAUAUGGACCAUUUUCCAUGUUUAACAUAAAAAUAUCACAAAUUACUGAUAGUAUAGUGUUUGUAACUUAGACAUCAGAGAUUUCUGACAUUAAGGUAUCAGUAAUAAAAAUAAAGUAAUUCUAAUUAAGUUCCAAAUAAAACUCGAACCAAGGACCUCUAGUACUCAAGCGUUUAAGUUCCCAAAAAAAGACCAGGACGUCCAAAUCUCAAAUUUUCUAAUUUAGAAAACUAACUACUAAACCAAACAUUAAUUUUUUUUUAACUUUUAAUUUAGAGAAAAUUUUUAAUCUAUCUCGUCCCUCCUAAACUCCCUAAAUCUAAAAAACCAUAACUUCACCAAAUUCACAAAACUCUAAUCUAACUGCGUCGUCUUAUCAACCCCGACUCUUCUCUCAGCCACUCCUCUCUUAUCUUUAUCUUACAAUCCAACACAAUCUCUUACUAUCUAACUCAAUUUUUCCCUCUCAAUCUUGCCUCUCUUCAACUACCCGAAGGAGAAAGGAAAACAAAGAAGACUCGCCCAUUUGAGUCGUUGCGAGCCGAAAAGCGUACUGACGAGCGCGUUUCGAUCCGCGAAGGCAAUCGCUCGAAUGUUCCCCUAACCCAACCCGGGAACGGAACAGACUGGAGGGAACCACAGUGAAUCAUCGCUUUUGGGCGCAGGCAGCCCUCUACCAUCCAUCCCAUUGCAUUCCAUCGUCUCGCUGGCUCAACUGAACAAUACAGGUUUCGCUUCCUCUCCCUUGCGGUUGAGCCUGCUCUCGAUCCAACUUAAUUUUUCCCUCUCAAUCUCGCCUCUUUUUAAUCCAUAACCUUAAAAUCUUUCUAUUACAAUCCAACAGAAUCUCACGCGGCCGUGAAAUUCUAGCCACUUUUUUGCCUAAUGCCAAUCUUCGUCAUCGAGAAAAAUGAUUUGAGGGUUUAAUUUAGCUCCAAGAUCAUGGACGGAUGCCUUGGUCAAAGUUAAAGAGUGUUGUUAGAGGUUGUUUAAAGAAGAAGAAGCAGAAGCACCACUUAGGUGAAGCAGUUGUAGAUCUGGGCAUGGUAAAUAAAUAAGGUGAGCAUUAGCUAAAUAAUUAAUAAUUAUUAAAUAUUCUCUACUUAUAUGUGAAUUUAGUAAGAAAUUAAUUUAGUUCUUUUUGUUGAAUUUUAAGUAGGUUUACUAAUUCUUUUAUUUUUAUUCAGUUAAUACACGGUUUUAGAAUUUUUUUUUCCACGUUUUGAUUUAUUGAUAUGUGAAUGGUAAAAGUUGUGUUAGUCAUUCAUAGUUUUUAGAGACUGGUAUGGGGUCUGCAAAGUGUUUGAUGAGAUGCUUGUGAGAAUUGUUGGGUGCGUUUCAAUUAGUUGACAUGGUUAGCAAAUUAUAUGCUAACAGGGUACCCAAAUCUCCCCCUUCUCUUCAGGGUAAUUCCAUGCAUUUCUUCUUCCUCUGUUUACACUCUCCUCAUUAUUUUUGGUAGAUAUGUCAUUGUUCUAUAUUAAUGUGUACAAGAUUUCUAUUUUUGGGUUUUGUGUUUCUUUUAUGAUCUUGCUUAUCUACUCUUUCGAAUGGAUGAACAAAAUGUUAUUGGAGGAGAUAAGCAGCUGGUUCACUAGGGGGAAAAAAGUUGUUAGCUUUUGAUUGACUCGUUGUUUUGAGAACGAAGUACCUCUGUUUUUAUUAUAUACAUUAAACGGAAAAAGGCUUAAGCUUUUAUGAAUAAAAAUUCUUACUUUUGCUGUGUACUUACUCUUUGUGAUGAGAUUCUUCUGCUUUGAUUUUGUUUUGGAAGAAAGCCUGGGAUCAGUGAUGUCAAUUAGCACAAGUAGAAAAUGAUAAUAUAAUGUUUUACGUGUCUUUCUUUCAUAGUACAUGGAAACUAUGUAUGAGUGCGUAAGAGAGAAAUCAUGAAAUAAAUAACUUGGCGAUGACCGUGUCGUCGUCGACGGUCUUGUCAUCAUCGGCAGUGGUACUGUUGAGAGAAGAAAGAAAGAACCUUUGAUUCAAGGUGGGGAAUUGUGAAGAUGGCUAGUGAAUCAAACUAGUUCUCCAAAAAUGACAAUGUUUGAGACCUGAGAAGCAUUAUAAAGUUAUGUGCUACUCAUAUUACAUAUAACAUAAAAUCGGUGUUUUGGUCAAUAACUUAAGUAACCACAUAAGAAAGCAAGUUAGUUAAGUUUGUUGACCAUGUGUCAACAAACUGUACAAUCUAAAAAUAAGCUUGUUAUUGAAAUAGGGUAUAUAAGUUGGUUCUGAGAGCUAUCUUCGGGUGUGAUUCUAGGGUCAUGUAGAAAGAGAUUUAAGAUAGAGAAAGCAUCAUCUUGUUCUCUGUAUUGUUUUUGGUAUAAGGCUUUGUAACUGACUCCAUUUUUUAAUCAAUAAAAGCUCGUAUAAAAGCUUUCCCCAUGUAUGUUGGAUGAGCAUUUUUUAUGCACAACUUAACCACAUUAAUCUUUGGCAUUCUUUGUAUUUUUUAUAGUUUGUGUUUUUUAUUAUUUCUAAUCAAGAUUCUUGUUGCUAUAUUGAUUAUGAUUUGAUAUGUUUAAUCAUGUAUUUGUGCAAUAUAAAUUGAUUUAAUCAAUUUGAUCUUGGGCAAUGAUCAAUUUUGUUUAGUUCAAGAACAAGUUGGUUACUACAUGUGAUCCUAUCGGUAAUUUCUCUACUAAAGAGCUCAAGUCAGCAACAAAUAAUUAUGAUACAUAAAAAGUUGGAACACUGAAAAUGGACAACGAGUUCUACAAAACCACCUAGUUUCUAUCAUGAAGUUUGUAGACUCUGAUUAUCCACAAGAAUUUUGUUCUUGUUUUAUUACUCUUGUAUUUAUAUCACAAAUGAGCCACAAAAUGUUUCAAGGUUGAUUGGUUGCUGUCUACAAACUCAAAGACCCAUUCUAGUUUUUUAAUCUAUUGAGUAUGUGUUAAAGGGGCUUGGCCUAAGCUUUCUAGGUAUCCAACCCAAAAAAUUAGACUAUUAGGUGGAGUGACCUAUCCUACAUAUAAAUCAAGUAUCUCCCCUUUACUAGUUAAUGUGGGAUACAACUCAAUAAUUUCCCCUGAAAAAAACCACUAUAAAACUUUGAUCCUUUCAUCUGACACAUUUGAGUUGUUCUACCACUACAUUCUAGCUAAUAGGGUCUGGCUCUAAUACUAAUUGUUAAGAGAACUUGGCCUAGAAUUUCAAAGUAUCUAACCUAAAAGACUAGCCGAUUAGGUGGAGUAACCCAUCCUACUUAUAAAUUCAAGUUUCUCCUCUUUACUAACCCAUAUAGAAUACAACUAAUAAUCAUCCCUUGGACGAAACCACUAUUGCACUCUGGUCUUUUCAUUCGACAUACCUGAGUUGUUCCACUAUUACAUUCUGGUUAUUAGGGUCUGGCUUUGAUAGCAGAUGUUGAAAGGUCAACUUAAAAUGGCUUGCUAAUGGUGCUUAAACAAGUUUGGAAUCAUUAAUACCAAACCUUAGUAAAACUUUCUUGAUAUAGUACUGCUAAGUUAAAAAUAUAACUUUCUUUCUCCUAUCUUUGAUUAUUUCUAUCCCUAGAAUCUUGUUUGCAGCUCUAAGAUCUUUCAUUUCAAAUUCACUACUCAAAGACCCAAAAACUAUUGCAGAGCAAUAGAAAAUGACAAGAUUUCCUUACUCUAGCUCUAUUGGGAGUCUUAUGUGAUUGUAGUAAGCAAAUUUAUGACUAAUCCAAGCUAUGAACAUUUGAGAGUAGUAUAGUGGUUAAUGAGGCUCCUGAGGGCACUGUAGAGUAUGGUUUCAUGUAUGGUGGAUCGAAAGAUGAAGAAUGCAUUUGGAUUGGUUGUGUUGAUUCUGACUUUGCAGGGCACCUCGAUAAAAGAAGAGGUUGUGUUGUAAACUAAAAGGCUACAUUACAUAGUGUGGUUGCAUUAUAUAAAUUGGAGGCUAAGUACACAACUAUUGCAGAAGCUUUCAAGGAGGCUAUUUAAUUUAAUGGAAUGGUCAUUAAACUUGGAGCAAAGUAAGAGUCAGUUAAUGUGUAUUAUCAUAGUCAAAGUGCAAUGCAUCUAAACAAAAAUCAGACUACUCAAGAAAGAACAAAGCAUAUUGAUGUGAAGUUGUAUUUUAUAAGAUUAGAAGUAUUAACAAGAAGUGUGAAGCUUAUGAAGAUACAUACAUAAGAAAAUCAAGCUGAUAUGCUUACCAAAGUUGUACCAUCUGCUAAGUUUAAUCUUCGCAUGAACUUAACAAAGAUUUGUAGGUUUUAAUGGCUACAAGUGUUGAGGAAGAUAGCUGACGAGAGUAGUUAAAGUUAUGAGUUCAAAGUGGAGAUUGAUAAGUAUGAACUCAAAACUCAAAUGACCGGUAUGUAAUUUUGAGGAUUCAUGCUUGUAUGACAUAUCAUUGUUAGAGUUGUAGUGUAGAACCAAUGUGGUUGAGUGUUCUUGUGAACUCAAAUGCUAUUGGUGUCAAUGUACAAAUGUACACAAUAAGUAAUAUGAUAAUAAGUAUUCAAGAUCGUCUACACGUGGAUUGAUGUUACCAGAUUUAAUACAUCAAUCUGUAACAGUGCAAUGAUUGUUCUAAAUUUAAAUAAGAAAAUUGAUAAAAUUAAAUGACUAACUAAAAUAUAAAAUGCAAUAAUUAAAAAUUCAAUAAAUUAAAUUCUCACGUCAAACACAAAAGUAACCAAUGGGAAUGAAGUAGUUGAGUGAUUAAACUUUCUUAAUGGUUUUGACUAUUUCUUGUAAUUUCCGGUUCAGUUGCUAUAGCAUCUGCUACAGCACUGGGCAGAAUCCUUAUAUAUCCUUAGCUGUGGCAUGUUGGAUGUCUUAUAUCUAUAUACAACCGAACAGUGACCAAUUGUUAUGCCAACAUAAGAUAUAGCAUUACACACUUAGAAUCUAUUUACUCUAAAAGGUAAAUCCUUAUGUCUAGUUCAUCACUAAUUUUAGAUUAAGCACGACCCUUUGGAAUCACGUGAAACUCAACUCAGGAAACCAAAUCUAAAAUCAAGUAUUGCUCUGAUAUAUUCCAUUAAGAUAGGCCAUUUUUUGGCUCUUUCUUAGCUUGUAUCAUUAAAUGGGUGGUCAACCGAAAUAAUGAAUAGAAUAAGCUUUACCAGAACAAAAUGCUAUAGCAAACAUGCAGCAACAUAUAAACUUAGUCAAAAAACCAUUAAGAUUAUCUAUCACUCAACCACAAUUAAAUUAGUUCAUGGUUUGCGAAAGAACAAUAAAUAAAUGAGUUUCAGUCAUUAAAUACAUCCCAAUUAAUAAACAGAAAACAAGAGAAGAAUAAAAAAGGUUGAAUUCCCGAUUGAUUUCUGCAAAUUCUCCUUGUUGUAGCCCUUAGUUUAAAUCUUUAAUUCUCUUUUUGUUGGUUAUUUAUACUCAAUUGCUAUUAAUGUCAAUGUGCAAGUGUACACAACAAGUAAUAAAGUGAUGAAUAUUCAAGAUCGUCUCCACAUGGACUGAUGUUACUAGAAAUGCUACAGCAAUCACGAUAGUGCAAACUUCCUUUAGUUCAAGAGGAAUCUAGUUAAAGUUGAUUACUAUCGAAAUUAACAAUUGUAAGAAAAUAAAACAAAUAAAUGAAGUAAUGAAUUAAACUAUAUGAAUUGCGUAAAAAGAAUUUAAUGAGAAUGAAGUAGUUGAAUGAUCAAACUCUCUUCAUGGGCUGACUAUUUUUGUUCAAAUUAACACCAGUUGCUACAGCAAUUACUACAGCACUGGGCAUAAUUAUUUUGGACUUCUCAUACCCUUAAGCACCCUAACAAUGAUCAGUUGUUAUUCUACCUAAGGUAUGGCAUUAUGAACGUACACUCUCUCUACCCUACAAGGUGAAUUCCUAUAUCUAGUUCUUCACAAAUCUUAACUAAAGUGUGGCCCUUUUGGGACUCAAGUCAAACUCAAUCCAGGAAACUUAAAUUAAGAUAAAGUAUUACUCUAAUAAUUUCCUCUAAGACAGACUCUUUUGCGGCUCUCUCUUAACUUGAACUAUUAAAUGGGUGCUCAACCGAAAUAAUGAUUGUAAUAAAAGCUAUCAAAGUAAAAUGUUACAACAAUCUUGCAACAACUCAUAAGAACAGUCAAAACUCAUUGAGAUUGUUUGUCACUCAACUACAAUCAAAUUUAGUUCAUACUUUGAAAAAGAAAAACAAACAGCAAAGUAGCAGCCAUGAAAUACAUCGGUUCAAUCAAAGAAUAAGAAAAGGAACAAGUAAAGAACGAUGAAAAUUGAAUCCAAAAAUAGUUCUGCUAAUUUCUUCACUGGUGCAAACUUGUUUUCCCUUGAACUUUGAUUUUUCCUCUUGAUUCCUUCGAUGUUAAUUCCCCGCCGCUUUUUCAUAUGAUGCGUGCUCUUUUUAUAUCUGAAAACUAGGGUAAACAGAAUCCUAGGGCGCGCAUAAGUCAGAUUAGAAAACUGCAGAUCGCGAUUUUGCAUAUAUCCCGCGCUAAAUUUUCUCUGUCGUUGUUCCAGAAUUGCUACAACAAUGGUUGCUCCAGCAACGACUACAACACUACAUUGUUCCAGAUUUUGUUUCAAUUCUUUUGUAGCCAUGUUCUUCCUCCUUUUCGCAAGCCUAUUGCAUCAGCAUUCCUUCCGUGAAAUAUAAGCUUCUGGAUACCUACACUUAUGCACACAAUUGGAGACGAAUUACUCUAAGUCAAGUAAAAUUUAGUAAGAUUAAACUAAAAUGAAUGUUUAUGCAAAAUGUAACAAAAAUGCAAUAGAAACACAUCAUUUACUCUCUAAGUAAUCUUGAUUUGAGUCUAGAAUUGCUAUAAUAACUCUCAUUUCAUAGAGUUAUCACUUUUCAUAUUGGGCACAUAGUAAACAUUCAAAAUUAUUUGGUGGCUACCAUCUUUUGCACGAAAAAGAAUGUUACCUCUACCCUUCACUGGUACUUUUGAAUCAUCUCCAAAAGCAACAAUGCCAUUCACAUAUUCAUUUAGUUCCAUAAACAUGCUUCUGUUUCCGUUUCCGCUCAUAUGAUUGCUAGCACCUGUGUCAAGAUACCGUGUAUUUUCUUGACCUCCACUUGUGUCAUUGCGUGCUAGUAAAAGAGUGUCAUCUUUACCAUUUUUCUCUUCAACAUAAUUCACUCUCUCAUCAACUUUGGUACUUGGAGCUCUACAUUCUGAAGCAUAAUGCCCAAACUUUUGACAAUUAUAGAAUUGUACUUGGGAUUUGUCAUACCUUGAUCUUGGAUUGCCUCUACCUCGUCCUCUGGUUGAGCUUUCUCCUUUGGCAUAAUUGGAGUUGCUGUUGUUGAAAUUCCAACCUCUACCUCAGACAUAGUGCCUUCUCUCAUUGUCGGAACUUUCUUCUCUUUUUUUUUUGGAUUGACUUCCAUCUUGAGAAGUUGUUCUUCAAUUCCUUGCUUCUUUUUUAUAUUUUUCUUCAUAGGCUUGCAACCUUCCUUGAAGUUGCUCGAUCGUCAUAUCUUUCAAAUCUCUUGUUUCCUCAAUUGUCACAACAAUAUGGUCAAACUUCGAGUCUACUGAUCGAAGUCUUUUUUCAAUGAUCCUUACCUCUUUUAACUCCUCGCCAUUUCUUUUUAAUUCAUUGGAAAUGGUCACAACCCGAGUAAAGUAGUCAAAAAUUGACUCUGACGCCUUCAUGUGUAAGGACUCAAAUUCUCUUCGUAAUGUUUGGAGAUGAACUUUCUUAACUUGCUCCGCUCCUUUGUAAGAGGUCUCUAGUUUCUCCUAUACUUCUUUUGAGGAGGUUGUACUAACAAUCUUUUCAAAAGCAUCUUCAUCUAAUGAUUGAAAGAUGCGAUACUUUGCUUUAUUCUCUUUCUUCUUAAAGUCUUUUAAAUUCGCCUUCUGCGCCGUAGUUAAAGUGGCUUCAUUUUCUGGCACAAUAAAGCCUUUUUCCACGACAUCCCAUAUGCCAUGUGCACCCAAUAGAGCCUUCAUUUUAAUACUCUAGUUGUCAAACUUCCCUUUAAUUGUGGAACUUGAAAUGACAUCAUACUAGUAUUUGCCAUAACUCACAAAUUGAUUGAGAAUUUGGAGAUUCUGAAUGCACAGAUAGAUCCGGCACGUCGAAAAACCUUGGGAGGAACUCGAGUCAACUUUCGGUCAACAGUCAAUGUCGGUUUGGUUGACUUUGUUCUGUCCGGCUUGGUUCGGCUCGCGUUGGCUCGGUUCGACUUGAUUCUGUUCAGCUCCGCUCGGCUUGAUUCUGUUCGGUUCAGUUUGGCUCGGUUCGGUUCAGCUUGCUUCAACUCAGCUCGAUUCGGUUCAGCUUGGUUCAACUCGGUGAGUCGACUUAGUUUCAGGACAGAAAAAUUCCGGCGGCGAGUGUGGGAGCGUCCGGUCUCCAAUCGGGAUGAUCUUUAUGGUAUCGCGUACCUCUCGUCGAGAGCUUCGAUUUAAUAUGCUAUACGGCUAUAUAUAGCUUCGAACACUAGCUCUGAUACCACUUUGUUGGAGAAUUAACAAAUAAAACACACAAAAAACACACUAUGUUAUUUCUUCAACAACACUCCUCACCAAAUACAACUCUUAUUUUUCACUCUUUACAACUUAGAGAAUUUUGUUACUUCACUUGAUGCAUAAACCAAAGGGGAGAGGGGGUAUUUAUACAUUAAACAAACUAAUCACAACCAUUUAAAUAAGAAAUUACAAAAAAUUAAUAACCAUUCAUCUUCACCUACCAAAUCUACCACACCUAACACAAAUAAUUCAAAUCUCACCAACCAUACCUACUCAUGGAACCUUCCAUGAGUUGGGCUUGAAUUUAUUUAUCUUGGAUCAAGUUUAUGAUCCAACAGAUCAUACUACGUUUCAUUAGUUGCAUCGGUAAUCUUUACGUUGGUGAAUUGUUUUUUUUUUUUUUUGGCCGUUGUAUUUACUUCAUAGUCAUCUUCAUGGUUAACUCACUAUGUCUUCUUGACUAGGUUCUUGGCUUUUAUUUAAUAAAUGUCUAGUAUUGUCGACGUUAUUCCAAAAAAAAAAAGAAAAGAAAAAAAGAGUGACUGUUUCAUCCCUCAUAGAUGUUUUUGUCAGAAUCUAUAGCAUUCUCCAUGAAUUCAGAAACAAUUACCCGAAUCCAUACCUGUAGCACGCGAAAGUGGAAGUGGAAGAACCAAGGUUGAAUCACCAUUCAAUUUGGUCGGAAAGCAAUCACAAAAUUGGAAGUCUUCUUAAAUCACAGCAUAAGAAAUUUAUAUGCAAUGGGGCUCGAAUUAUAGAGUUCCCAAAAGUCUAAAGUGAGUUCUCUGCACUUUUCAAAUCUCAACAAUAUUUUGUUCUUCGUGCUUUUAUAUCUACACAUAAAACUAAAUUCUGUGCAAUUCUUAUUUUAUGUGCGUAGAGAGAGAGGAAAAAAAAAAAAGGAGGUAGAGAGGUUAGUGAUAACCACCAUGAUUCAGCUUCCUUUCAUCUUUUCUUUAUUUAUACGCUACUGCUAGUAAUUACUCAAGUGGUAAUUACUUCUAUAUGGGUUGGGUCCGAUCGGUUCAUCUUGUGCAAACCAUCUGGCAACUCCCCUAAGUCUAUCAAGUUGAUUUACUACUUACAUUCCCACUAGAAUUUUAAUUAUUUGCUUCAUCCCUACCAUUAGAAAUUAACGGAAGUAAUUGUGAAAGUAAGCAUAAAACAAUCAUUCAAAGUGUGAUAUUUUUAAAAAUUCAAAAUUAAAAUCUGAAAUAAGUUGUUAGGAUUAGAAAAAAAUUGAAAAAUGAAUGGUUUUUUUUUUUUGGAGCUAAACAGACCAAUCUUUUCCAUUUUCUCUUGGGUUAUAUUUCUGCACAAACAAAACUCUUCUCUUACCCGUGAAAUACUGUGUCACUCAUGAAACCCUUUCUCUUGUAGACAACAUCAAACCCAAAAAUCACUCACGACCGUUAACCAUCCAUACAUUCUGUUGUUCGAGACGUUUGUUUGAUGUGUGGCACAGCAUUUUGAUCGAAUCAGAUCGGUGAAAAUCAGUGGAGAUGGCUCCAAAAUCCUUCGAGGUUAGUUGUUCUAGGUAAACCUACCUUCAUUAUAUAGAAAAAAAUUAUUGUUGAUUUAUCUUUAUAAAUUGUAUAUGUUCGUAUAAAUAAGAAAUAAAGUUGAAAGCUUUACCUGUUUAAAACUACGAAGAUUUUGAAAAAUGAAAUGGGUAUUGAUAUGUAAUGGGUUUGAAAUAUAGAAGUACUAGAACCCCUUUACUUGAAAUGUCAUGAAAUCCUAUAAUGAGGGAUAGAAUUGUAAACGGACAAACUAUUGACUUUAUCUGUUAUCUUUUGACACAGAUGUAAUAGGUAAUUAAAACUCUAGUGGAGAUGUAAGAGGUAAAUAAGACAUAUCUAUCAAGGAUGAAACAUUUAUUUUCCCCCUCAAACAAAACAGAUGUUGGAGUUUCCUUAGCUUUCCAAAUUGGUGGUACAACAUGGAGUAGCUUCUGGACUUUUAUUUCAUAAACAUCUUGCAUUGUCGAGGUUAUUAAAAAUAAAUAAAAUAAAAUAAAAAUCCAGUGGUCGGAGCUUCCUUAGGCUCUCCAAAAUCACUAAUACAACAUGAUAUGUGUUUUAAGCGGAUUUUGGUUGCCAGGAAGAUGGAUAAAAAUCUCACCAAAACAAUGAAUUUUUUUUUAGGAGUUCAGGGUACCUCACUAAAUCGUGGCAUAGGGGGCUGUUUUAGGCUUUAAGGGAGGUGAAGAAGAAGGGUGCCCAGGGUGGAUAAUGGCGAGAAGUCUAAAACGGAGUGAGUUGGUUUGAGAUAGUGUCAGCACACCUGCAAAAUAGCCCAGGUAGGUUAGAGGUGGAGUCGACAGUGGCCGGUGACCACACUCCGAUGCUCAAGUCAGCUACUUAAAUUUUUAUGGAGGUGAGAGCUUGCAAGCUCUCUAAAAUGAAGGCUGAAGGUUGAAGAAGUACAAGGUUCUACGUUCAGAGAAUGUUAUCAUCCUGUCAUCCUCAUUCUCAAUCUUGGCAUUCCCUCCAUGACUUCACUUUGUCGGAUUCUUUACAGAAGAUUCUAAUGGAUUCUCUAAUUAUUUGUUUCAUUGAUAUUUUUCUUUCUUAUAGUUAGAUUCUUUCAAGCAUUUUAAUAAUUUGCCUGCAGAACUUUGGCUACGUUUUGUUGUGGCACCAUGCACUGUUUGAGAAGCAAAGCGAAAUACAACCUUCUGAUUGUUAUCAUUUUCUUUGUCUUAGACCGUCGAGGUUUCUUAAAAAUAAAUAAAUACGAUAGUAUUUAAAAACUUAAAGGACAUAUUACAUAUAAGCUCAAACACUAAUUUUUCAGAUAUUUUAAUUAGUUUUAGAAAAACAAACAAUGUAACAUUUAUAAUCAGAUAUUAAACAAUGAAAAACGAACAUAUCAUUUAAACUUAUGCAUUCAGUCAUAUUCCGAAUUCAAAAAUUCAGAAACCAUUUGCAACAACUUUAAUGGAGAAGUGACCAACUAAGAAAGGCUUGCUAGUGAGAUCACUGCAAUGCCAACCUCAGCGCCAGUGAGAAUAACAAGCUCGCUUGCCUUUUUAUAGAUCCCGGAUCUACGCUUGGAGAAUGUACUCAUCUCCUGUCACCUCAUUUUCAAUCCUCCUCUUCUCAAUCUUUUGAAGAAGUUAAAGGUUGACAUAAAGAAGAUUGAGAAUGAGGAUGACAGGAUGAUAACAUUCUCUGAACGUAGAUCUGGGAUCUACAAGAAAGCGAGUAAGCCUGUCACUCUCACAGGCGCCUAGAUUUGCCAUUAUGGUAGUCUCACCAUCUGGCGAGCCUUACUCCUUUGGUCACCCCUCCAUUGAAGCUGUUGCAAACCGUUUCCUGGGAUUGAACCAGCAGCCUAAUGACAACAGUCACCCUCUUGCUGAGGCUCGACGCCAAUUACCCUCUUUCCAAUACAACAAAAAAGUAUUUUUUCCUUUUAUUUUUCAAUUAGUAAUGUUAAAGCUUGAACAAGGUUUAAGGAAAAUAUCAAGAUAUUUAUAGGGAAUAGCGCGUAAAAUACACCUACGCUCGUGAGCGCGUGCAUGUGUUUAUGCAUAUGUAAAUGUAAACUUAGUUAUGUUCUUUCAAAAUUUACCAACUCAAGCUCUCCAAAUUACUAAUUCAAGCAUCUUACAGAUUAUUUUACCAAAUUAUUGAGAACUAGAAAACAACAACAUUAAUUAUAAAAAAUCUAAGCGUAUCUGACUAAUUCUACCUACUAUACAAGUUACCAAUUGCCUUCUAAGGGCUUGGUCGAGUGGUUUUCAAAUAGUUUUAUUUAGUUGGUCAUCAAAGUUCAAAUUUUGGGCAUGUAAAAGGUUAAAAAAUUGAUUGAGGUAUUGCCCACCUCUCUAUCUUCGAAAAAAAAAAGCAAAAAAAAAUGUGCCCAAUGGGCAUGGCCAAGUAAUUUUCUAAUAGUUUUAUUUGAUUGGCUGCCCAAGUUUGAAUCUUGGAAGGUAGGGUUAAAAAAAUUAAUUUAGAUUUACCGAUUACCCUUAAAAAAAAAAAGCAAAGAAAAUUUUGAUUUUGAUUUAGACUAAAUAUAAACUGAUUUUAAGGGUAUAUUUUUCUUGAGUCCUCGUUUGUAGAAAGAAAUUCACACCAAAAUUUUUAAAAAUACAUUACUUAAGUCCUUGUCAAUACAAAUUUGUCUCCUUCAAGUUCUUGAAUGAAUUUCAUAAUUAAAAAAAAAAAUAGCAUUAUGUCAUUUUACUCAGAUUUAAGCGUUCAGUCUUCUUAUUUUUAAUUUUAUGCAUGACAGUGCCAAGGUUUCAAGCUGACUAAGGUUAGAAAACCUCAGCUUUUAUAUUACUUGUUCUUUCCUAUUUUAACAGUUUCUUGUUGCUCAACCCUACUUCAUAAUUUUACAGGGUCCUUUGCUAUUAUAACCCCUCGUUCAACUUUAAUUUGCCGAUGAAGGAUCUUGAAAGCCAAUAUAUAGACUUGUAUAAAGACAUAAGAUAUUGCGCUGAAAGUGAGAGAAAAAAAAAAUACUCCUGAAGUUAAAAAAAUCUAAAGUAUUUAGUUGAAAGUGGGGACUUAUAUGUAUAGGGAAGAAAAAUAUGUGAUGAUAAAUAAUGUGAAAAACCUUCAAGUAUUUUGGUGUUAAAUCUAUUGUAAUUAUUGAGCAAUUGAAUUAAUUUUUUAAACUGUGAAAAAAUAACAAUUAAUAAACUCAGAUAAAAUAAGCUUUAAACCAUUAAUGUGAAAUAUAAGGUUAUAACUAGCCAGUUGAAGACAUGAAUAAAAUCAAUUUCAAUUUAGAAAAAUUAAAGUGACAUUUUAACAAACUAUGGUCAUGAGUUUCCUUCUUUUUUUCUUUUUUUUUUUCUAUUUUCUCCGCUUUCUCAAAACACAUAAUUAAUAAGCAAGAGCAAACACUUUGUACGCUUUAAUAUACUUGAAUGUAAUUAUGUGACUGCAUGUGUGGUGAAGGAAAUAAAAUCUAUAAUUUUCAAGAAUUAGCACUUAAAGGUCUCAACUAAAUACCCUUAUUUUGUUCCUACAUUACUUCCACUUACGGAUUAUUAUUUUGACAAUAUUGGAAGGCUUCAUUACUUCCAUAUAUGGACUAUCAUUGUACUAUUAUUAGAAGGCUUUUUUAAUUUGUUACCCAAUUAGUCUCACACGUGUAAUUAUGGUACUUCAAUGCUUCUUUUUUUUCAUAUCAAUUAAUCAUUCUUAAAUUUUUUUCCAAAAAUAAUUUUUUUGCUAGAUUUUUUAAGUGAUAAUAUCAUCACUAUAGAUGAUAUAUUAUAAUAUUAACAAUAGUUGGUGUGGCAGACAACCGGGACAAACUCUAUUUAUUUAUUUUUUUUUUAAUUGCACGUACCUUAAUGAAGCUCAAACUCAAGACCUGAGUCCUAAGGAAGCAGCUCCUUACCACAACUUGGCCUCAACUCAAGCGAACUCAUCUCUUCAAACUGGAAUACAACUUUAUCAAAGCCUAAUCAUUUCAUUAAGGUCCAACUGUGUCACCCCAAAGACACCGUAAAAUAAUUUAUUAAUUUUUAAUAAUUUUCUAAUUAUUUAAUAGUCAUUAUUCUUUUCGUUAGCCUUUUGUUUUCAAUUUCCACUGCUUUCAAUUUCCGCUGCGGUAGUCAUAUUCUGUUGAAUAAACAGAAUGAGAGAAUUCUCAUUUCAUAUACCUAUUUUUGGCACGCUCACGAAAAAGAGUCAUUUUAUCACAAAGUACUCACCGAGUAAUUUUCAAAUAAUUUUAUUACACUACCACCAAAAUUUAAAUUCCAGAAGUAAUAGUUGGUGUUGUAAGUCAGGUUUGCGAAGUGCUGGAUGUUCAAGCCACUUCUGACCAUGGGAUGUAUUUAGGUCUUACCUCUUGUAUUGGCAGGAAGAAAAAAGUUGUGUUCCAAAACAUUCGGGACAGAGUUUGGCAGAGAAUUCAAGGAUGGAGUACGAUGAUGCUAUCUAGAGCUGGCAAAGAGAUUUUGCUGAAAACGGCGGUGCAAGCAAUGCCUAACUAUGCCAUGAAUGUCUAUCUCCUCCCUCUUGAUCUUUGUAAAGAGCUUGAGAUCAUGAUGAAUUUGUUUUGGUGGGGUAGUAAACGCAGUGUUAGCCGAAGGAUUUUGGAGGAAUAGGUUUCAAACAACUACAUAUCUUCAAUGUAGCAAUGUUAGGAACUCCAAUGAUGUUUAGGGAUUUAUGCGGUUAUGACUCACCAUCUAUUAUCAAGUAUCUUUAGCAUAUUACCAAUGACUUGUUUACGUAUGCAAUAUGAAUUUCCAUUUUAAUGAGAUAAAAUUUGCCUUGUUAUGAGAGAAAAAGCCGCCAUAUGUGAUUGAUGCAAGCUUUUAUGGCAUGUGACAAAAUUGUCUCAUCUAGAUUAUCGCACUACUCAAAGUGAAAAUAAAGUGUGGAGGAUAAUUCACUUACAACAAUUUUGCAAAUCACUUGUCAAAUGCAUUUAUAGAUGGAUCUAACGUAACCAAGUCAUGUAUACCACAUGUAAAUGUAUCUCACCAAGUAGUUGUUCCUAUUGAAAAUUUUGAUAAAAAUAGCUAAUUGAUUAAUCUAAGGCACACCUAAGGUAUGGUAGACCACUUCGUUUAAAAGAUAAUAUUCAACUAAAAUAAAUAAAAAUAAAAGGUUAGGAUUUUGUUAAUCAGUUGUAAGUAAAAGUGCUACUUCAGAAGAAUAGGUCCUCUCCUAUGUGCCUACAGCGACACUACCUUCUGAAGAGACAAAUACCUCAGAUGUAAGCCAACCUCUUAAUGUAGCUAAGAAUGAAGAAAAGUUUGCAAAUUUUACUCACAAAAUGGAAAGUGUAUAAUCAUAACAAAAAAGCUAUUGACAAUGCUUAUUCAUUUACAAUAGCUACUGAUUUGAUAAAUGAUGAUAUUGACUAAUAGUCCAUUGACGAAUUUAGACUAAGAAAUGAUUGGCCCAAAUAGGAAGAAGCAAUCCAUGUGAAAUUGAUUUUCUUAGCAAAACAUGAUGUUUUUAGACUUAUAAUCCAAAUACCUAUUAUUGUUAAACCAUUGGGUAUAAAUAAAUAUUUUUUUCAAUAACUUAAUGAAAAGAAUGAGGUGGCUAGAUAUAAAGCACGACUUAUUGCACAAGGUUUCUCACAAAAAGUAGUUAUUGAUUAUGAGGAGGUGUAUUUACUAGUAAUUUGUGUAGUUUUGUUCUGAUUCUUGAUUAGUUUGACUAUAUUUGAGAGGUUUAAUAUUUGUUUUAUAGAUGUAGUGACAGUUUAUUUGUAUGAAUCAUUAUUUAUAAAACACACACACACAUAUAUGUAGUGGCGGCGCCACUUGAGAGCCCCUGCUAGAUUUAAAAAAAAUAAACUCAUCUUAUUUUUUAGUGGAUUUACAAUAAAGCCCUUAGUAAAUUUUAAAAAUAACUAAAAGAUCAGUAUUUUAAAUAGUGAUUAGAAUCCAAAAAAAAAAAAUUCAAAAUCAAAUCUAUAACCACCACCAUCAAUCCUUUGCCAAAGAAAACCUCCAUCGGCUACCAUCAGUGAUCAGCUUGUCGUCUAUCUCUGUCCAAUUCCCAUGUCAUCACACCUCUUUGUUUUCAUGUCAUUGCCAUAGACGCUACAACUUGUAGCUCGUAGUCGCAGUCGCAGUCUUGCAUCACCGUAUGGUCCUCGCACUCGCAGCCUUGCAUCACCACAUGGUCCGCAUCUUUGCAUUUUUUCUAGUACUACCAUUGCACCUUUGCAGCUUUUAUAUUAAUUAUCAAGAAUUGAUUAAAUUAUUUUGAUAAUUAAGCACCUCUGUCACUUUAUGAUUUAAUAUUCUAAUUCUUGAAUUAGUUUAUACCUUUUUGAAUUGAAUUGGUUUAUGCCUUUUUUAAUAGAAUAAUAUUAUUAACUUUCAAUUAUUGUGGCGAUGCUUUGUGGAUUGAUAAAGUGGCAAUGCUUUUAACUUUACUGAUUAUAACUAAUAAAAUAAAAAUUCCAUGGCCCAUGGGUGACGCCGUGACGAGUUAGUAACCUAGUGGUUGAGGAUUUAGUCAGGUAGUCGGUUUAUUAAAUUAAUAAUUUGUAAUUUUUUCUUUUUCUUUUUUUUUUGACAUGGAAAUUGUCUUCGGUUUCUCUUUAAAUAAACACAAUUAAUUGUGUUUAUUUGUCACAGUUAUGGAGAAAUAUUACUCAAGAAUGACUGCCACAUGGUUCUCUGCUUGUCUUGUCUAAAUGGGCAACGCCAAUGCGUCGGUGCUUUGCCUUUGUGCCCCAUCUAAUAAUAUAUUAUUAUUAUGAUUAUUAUCUAAUUCAUACAUAAUUCAUGCAUAUCCUUUCUAAGUGAUUGGGUUGCCACUAUUUUACAUCCUUUUUAAUGCAUGUAUUGCUUUAUGCAAGUCUAAAAGAGGUUCUAUGAUAUCAUACAAACUCAAAAAAGUAAGCACCUCUUUCUUUUUAUAUGCAUUUAAUUUUUUACCUACUUGGUGUGCUAGUGUUAUGGUGUAAAGACAAGAUUGAUCUGUAAUCUCAAAACAAAAUUUAGUGGGUGAUGUCAUUGUGCAAUAUCGUCAUGAGCCUUCUGGUUGAUUCAAAAUGUCGGCAUUAUUUAUCGAACAUUAUAGAAUAUAAAAUAAAUUACCAAAUUAUAUUUGAUAGUGAACUGUUUUAUUGAUCUUUGUGCAUGAGACUCAAUUUUCUUAACAGCAAGAGAUUCCAUUUGUCGGCUCAAUAAUUUAUGAAGGUGAGUUUGUAUUUAUAAAUCAUGCGAAUUGCGACCGUCUCUUUAAAGGUGGCAUUUGUUGGAUUCCUUGUACAUUUUAGGUGUUUUUAGUAUGCUGUAUUUUAUUAUAAUGUAUUAUAAUAUAACGUUUUAUAAUGUUUGGUAUUAUAUCGUACAUUAUUAUAUAUAAUAAUUUUUGUAUUAUUAUUUAUAUUAAAUUAAUUUUUUAUAAUUAUAAAUAUCUUAAAAGUUUUAUAGUUUAUAUUUAUUAUUUAAAUUUAUAAAUAUAAAUAAAAUUAUUCACCAACAAUCACCGUGAACCACUGCAAAUUGCUUUGGGCAUUCAUAUAUUGAUAUUUUUUUAACUUCAAUUCUAGUGCUAUUAGAAUCUUUAUCAGCGGAUCUAUACAACGAGUGAGCAAAAGCUUUGAUUCUGAUAUUAUAUAUGCUAUCGAGUAGUUCCAAUGAUAAAGACUCCAUUGGUACCAAAAUUGAUGUCAAAGAAUGCUAAAAUAAUAUUAUUGGUGGUGGAUUGUGGUGGUCAGCGGCGGACAAUAUUUUUAGCAUUCGAAUUUAUUGUUUUAUAAACUAAUAAUAAAUAAAUUAAAUGUGUUGUAAUUGAUUAAAUAAUUCUAUGUUUUAAAAGUCAGCAAUAUAGCUUAUUCAUGGUGGGAUUGUAUAGCAUUACGUUAUGGGCCCAGCAUUACUUUGAUAUUGCGGCAAAAGAUGCAUUAAGGCCUUCGGUUAAUGUUGCUCAAUGCAAAUUUAAUAUAGAAAGCAGAGUCAUUUGAAUCUUUCAUUAAACACAACAUAGCGAGCCAAAAAAAAAAGAUUCAAUGGAUGUACUUGGAGAUUCUCACAUUCAUCAAAAGAAAGGAAGAAGACUGAUACUCUUCCCACUGCCUUUACAAGGCCACAUAAACCCAAUGCUUCAGCUUGCAAACAUUCUCUAUUCAAAAGGCUUUUCAAUCACCAUAAUUCACACCAACUUCAACUCCCCGAAUACCUCAAACUACCCUCAGUCCAGCUUCUGUUCAAUCGAAGACAGCUCUUCAGAAACUGAAGCCUCUACCGCGGAUUUAGUGGCUCUUCUUUCACUACUUAAUGUUCAGUGUGUUGUGCCAUUUCGGAAUUGCUUGGCUAAGUUGUUGUCAAAUGUUGAGGAGGAGGAAAAGGAGCCUAUUGCUUGCUUAAUCACGGAUGCUACUUGGUACUUCACUCAGGCUGUUGCUGAAAGCCUAAAGCUCUCCAGGAUUGUGUUAAGGACUAAUAGCGUCUCUUCAUUUCUUGUUUUUGCCGCCUUUCCAGUUCUAAGCCAAAAGGGUUACUUCCCAAUACGAGGUGCAAUCAAAUUAGUUCUUGCUUCUAGUAUCAAUGAUAAUUUUAUUUGUAGGUAUUAUUUUUAUUUGUAGGUACUGUCUGAUUAUCGAAUCUUGCCCUGGAGAAAUCUCCCCUUAGGAUGAUUGGAAUUCUUAGUACAUCUCAUAAUUUAGUUAUUAUGACAGUAAUUCAUUAUAGUAAUGAGUAAUGAUCAGUGCAAAUGGUACUUGAUAUUAAAAUUAUCUUCUUUUACUAUUUUUGUUCUUCAAUGUUCAGAUUCUCAAUCGGGAGCACCAGUGCCAGAACUUCCACCUCUAAGAGUGAAAGACAUUCCUGUAGUUGAAACCUGUUACCGAGAGACACUACAUCGAUUGGUAACAGAAGCAACCAAUCAGAUGAAGGUCUCCUCCGGAUGCAUAUGGAACUCACUUCAGGAUCUUGAACUUGCUUCUCUAACCAAAUUUCAGCAGGACUUCCCCAUUCCAAUGUUCCCGAUAGGCCCAUUUCACAAGUUCUUUUCAGCUUCUUCAAGUAGCUUACUUGCACAUGACCAAACCUCAAUUUCCUGGUUAGAUAAACAAACACCAAAAUCUGUAAUUUAUGUAAGUUUUGGAAGCAUUGCUGCAAUUAACGAGACCGAAUUUUUAGAAGUAGCUUGGGGCCUAGCCAACAGCAAGGUGCCAUUCCUGUGGGUGGUACGGCCAGGAUUAGUCCGUGGAGCAGAAUGGAUUGAACCAUUGCCACAAGGGUUCCUAGAAACGCUAGAUGGAAGAGGGCAUAUAGUGAAAUGGGCCCCCCAGCAAGAAGUGCUAGCUCAUCCUGCCACUGGAGGAUUUUGGACACAUUGUGGCUGGAAUUCGACAUUGGAAAGUAUAUGUGAAGGUGUCCCCAUGAUAUGCCAGCCUUGUUUUGGUGACCAAAUGGUGAAUGCAAUAUAUGUUAGUGAUGUUUGGAAAGUUGGUUUGCAUUUGGAAAGGAAGCUGGAGAGAGGGGAGGUUGAAAGGACAAUCAGAAGAGUAAUGAAGGAGGCUGAGGGGCAGGAAAUAAGAGUCAGAAUUAUGAUUUUGAAGGAAAAACUCAACCUUUGUCUAAAUCAAGGUGGUUCUUCAUAUCAAUCUCUGGAAAGCUUGAUUAGUUACAUUUUGUCAUUCUAGAUUUUCCAAUAUUUUCAUCACUCUAUCUAAAAGCUGAUUUAGAUAGUGAGUUGUACUCUUUGGCCUUUUCUUGCAUAAACAGUGUCCGAAAUCCGAAUUUUAUAUCUUUGUUGGAGUUUGUGAGCCUUGGUUGUCUUAACUGUACUUCAAAAGUUGGACUUCUAAGCUGAUUUACUAUCUGGGUUCGUUUGUAAUGCUGUUGUUGUUUAAUUCCCCGUUCUUCAUAGAGGAAUUUAGUUGAUUAUAAAUGCCUUGCUCAUUGAAAUAAAGUUUUCAUUCACCAAUAAAAAAUUUAAAGCAGAAGCAUCACAAUGUUCCAUUCACGGUUGAUGAUUAACUCAUGGUGAGAAAUUAACAACAAAAGAAGUGAGAAAUUAAACAGAAAGCAGGAAGCAGAAAGAUUCAAUGGAGAACUAAAGAGAGUUGCAUAUACAACAAAAGAAGCAAAGACGGCUGAUACUCUUCCCACUGCCAUUGCAGGGUCACAUAGAGACCCGUGCUUCAGCUUGCAAGCAUUCUCUAUUCCAGAGACUUUUCAAUCAUUAUAUUUCAAAGCAACUUCAGUGUGAAGCGCGUGGUACAAUUCGGGAUUGGUUGGCUAAGUUGUUGUCAAAUCUUGAGGAAGGAACUACGGCCAAUUUCACAAAUUCUUCCCAGAUAAUUCAUUGUCUUGAGACGAAUCCAUUUCCUGGUUAGCCAAACUGCCACAUGUGCAUAAAUUGGUAAUUUAUGUAAGUUUGGAAAGCAUUGGUGCAGUGCCAUUCUUAGAGAGAGCUUAAGGGCUAGCCAAUAGCGAAGUACCAUUCCUAUGGGUGGUUCGACCAGAUUUAGUCCGUGGAGCAGAAUGGAUUGACCAACUUUCAUUGCUUUUGUGGCUAACCAUUGAUGAUAUAUUGUCACAAGCAGAGUGUUAAUCGUGACAUCCUCAAUUUCCAUCUCUCAUCCUGAAACUCUCAGAUUUUACAGCAGCAGCAUCAUUGAGAAUCUACCAAUUGAUUAUUGGUGACGAUUGGACUUAAUUUCUUUGAUUUAUUUUUACUAUUUAUUUUUUGGUGGUGCAAGUCAUUUCAUUUCCCUGUUGGGGCAUUUUAGGGAACGGUUUGCAACUUUUAACGAACACUAAUCCCUCUCUCAAACCAACUUCAAUUCUUCCGUAACCAGCACUGCUCUUCAUGAAACUCGCAAGAUCCAUUACCCACCAUUUGACUACCUCUUCAACGACCCAAAAACCAAAGCGAGUAAGCACGAAACCAAUCUCCCUCAACUCCAUUAAAGAGCUUCACGCAAAUCUUAUCAGAACCCACCUCCACACGGACCCAUCUUCAAUAUCUAAUGUAAUCAAGUCAUACGCUUUAUCUCCCUCUUAUUUGGACAAAGCCCAUCUUGUUUUUAACCAACUUGAACGACCCACAUUGUUGGUGUUUAACCAUAUGAUCCAAGGUUUGUCACAAAGUGACCAACCAAAUGAAGCCAUUGACAUGUACAAUAAUAUGUAUCAUCAAGGAUUUACUGGUGACAAUUUGACCUUUAUUUUUGUAUUCAAGGCUUGUGCUCGUGUUAAGGAUGUUUUUCAUGGCCAAAAGGUUCAUGCUCAUAUUUUGAAACUUGGAUUUGGAUCGUAUCUCUUUGUUUCAAAUGCUUUGAUUCACUUGUAUGCCUCUUGUGGUCGUUUGGGGUUGGCGCGGAAACUGUUUGAUAUAAUGACUAAUAGAGAUUUGGUUUCUUGGAAUUCUCUAAAUUGUGGUUAUAGUCAGUGCAAAAGGUUUGAAGAGGUAUUGGCUUUGUUUAAUUCUAUGCAAGAAGUUAAUGUAAAGGCUGAUGCGGUGACAAUGGUGAAAGUUAUUUUAGCUUGUAGUAAUUUGGGCAGGUGGGAUAUUGCGGAUUCUAUGGUUAAAUAUAUUGAAGAAAACAAUAUUGAAUUUGAUGUUUACUUGGGGAACACUUUGAUAGAUGUGUAUGGACGGCGUGGUUUGGUGGAUUUGGCACAAGAGGCUUUUAAUCAAAUGCUUGACAAAAAUAUAGUUUCCUGGAAUGCUUUGAUCAUUGGGUAUGCAAAAGUUGGGCAUUUGAUUGAGGCGCAGAAGCUUUUUGAUGAGAUGCCCAGAAGGGAUGUGAUUUCUUGGACUUCUUUGAUCACAGGGUACUCUCGAGGUAACCAAUUUGUUGAGGUGGUGAAGCUUUUUCGUGAAAUGAUGUUAGCUAAGGUGAAACCAGAUGAAAUCACUUUGGCAACUGUGCUUUCAGCAUGUGCCCAUAUUGGGUCACUGGACAUGGGAGAAGCAAUUCACGACUAUAUAAAAGGCAUGGUACAAAAUGUGAUCUUUAUUUGGGGAAUUCGCUUAUCGACAUGUACUGCAAGUGCGGGGUGGUUGAGAAUGCACUAGUUGUGUUUCAUGAGAUGGAAAAGAAGGAUUCUGUUUCCUGGACUUCAAUUAUCUCAGGCCUUGCAGUGAAUGGUUUUGCUGAUUAUGCACUUGAGCUAUUUAUGCAGAUGUUGAGAGAAGGUGUUCGGCCAACUCAUGGAAGCUUUGUUGGCAUUUUACUAGCUUGUACUCAUGCCGGAUUGAUAGAUGAGGGAUUGCAAUAUUUUGAAAGUAUGGAAAAAGUUUAUGGACUAACACCAGAGAUGAAACACUACGGUUGUGUUGUUGAUCUUUUGAGCCGCUCUGGCAAUGUAGAGAAAGCUUAUGAGUUCAUGAAGGCAAUGCCAAUAGCCCCAGAUGUUGUAGUAUGGAGAAUACUGCUGAGUGCUUGUAAACUUCAUGGGAACUUGGUCCUAGCUGAGAUUGCUACCGGCAAGCUUCUCGAAUUGGAUCCUUCUAACAGUGGGAAUUUAUUCUCUUAUCUAAUACUUAUGCAUGUUCAGAUAAAUGGGAUGAUGCUAAUAGAGUUAGAGAAUUAAUGGUGGAGAGUGAUGUGUAUAAGCCAUCUGGUUGGAGUUCCAUUAAUUCUAUGGAACCACAUGUAAUCUAAAGUAAAGAGGAAUCAAUUGAGAGCUGCAACUAAUUACAAUGGACUACUGUAGAUCAGUGUAGUUAGUGCCUGGGUAAUAUCCCUGGAGAAAGAGAAAUGAGCUGUACCUUCACCUCAACCAAUUUGAUAUUGGCUCAAAGAUAAUUGAGAUAAUUGUAAUUGUAGCUCCGAUCCAAAGUUGUACUCAGAAUUUCCUUUUUUUAAUGACAAUUUGAACGUUUAGUAUCAGAGUCCUUGAGACAAUAAAUUAUGUUUGAGGUGCUCAUCUAAGCCUGAAGCUAGAGUGGUUUCAGUAUUGAUUAGAGCUCUAGUGAUGUGGUAAAUCAACUCUAGAAUUGUAUCAGGAGAAAAUUCCAUUGCUUGGAGUGCUAUCAAAAAAAAGUUCAUUACGUUUUCUCUGGGGAUUAUAUAGCUAUGAUGAGCAGGAGAACUGCCCAACGGCAAGACACUGCCUUAUAAGUUCGGAGGAUGUGAGCUGUUCUUCAAGUAAGAAUUAAGCAAAAGUAUUCCAAUUGCAUACUUUCUUCAAAGGAUACUUUUGCAUGAGACAUAAUUGGGUGUAAUUUUUGUGCAUGGAUGACAAAGUUCAUUACAUUUUCUCUGGGGCUUAUAUAGCUAUGAUGAGCAGGAGAACUGGCCAACGGCAAGACACUGUCUUAUAAGUUCGGAGGAUAUGAGCUGUUCUUCAAGUAAUAAUGAAGCAAAGUAUUCCAAUGGCAUGCUUUCUUUAAAGGAUACUUUUGCAUGAGACAUAAUUGGGUAUAAGUUUUGUGCAUGGAUGACAAAUAGAACAGUUGAGUGACAUGAAGUUUGAGGCAACUGUCCAUUGCUAGGUCCUGCUUUGGAGGAGAAUAACUAUCUUAAUUAGGUCUAGUUCAGAUCAGUUUGAAUGUAAAUGCGAGUGAAGCUGUAGAACAUCUUUGCAAGUGUAUAGAGGGAGCCUUUCCUAUAAGAUAUGCAUACCGCAGCAAGUAUAUGAUAUCAUAAUGCUCUUGGCAGAGACCUUCGAAUGUACAAUUGUUUCAUAUGAACUGCAGAGUGAAAACUUUUACUUGGUUAAGCAUCUUAAAUUUAUACUAUUCUGCUCUUGGAUGUGCGAGCCUUCUCUGUCUGUCAAAAUAUUUUUUUCAGAAGAUCUUACAGAGAGGCUAAUGAUAAUGUAUUUAUUUAUUUUUUAUUGGAAUCAAGUUAUUAAAAGUAAAUAGGCAGCAUAUUGAUGCAUUCUGGAAGAAAAAAUUGUUAGCAGAGUGAUAUGGCAUAUACUUUGUGCGUCUUGUAUGCUUUAUCUUCAGCACUUUGCUAUGUGUUUUUCUCCCUAGUGCCUAGAGACUGUCAAUUUUUUUUUCCUUUUUCUUGACAAAACUGAGGAGCUCAAGUUGGGACAGAAUUGUUUCUUAAUUUCUUGCAGACACGGAUUCUCGUUAAUCAAGAUGGUAUAUCAACAUAUAUACUUUGACACAAUACAUAAUAUCAGUUUUCCCCCUUCACUUUUCACAGAUUAAACAUAACCUUGAUGGCAUUUCCACCUUGAGCACUAAUUUCAAAAGCAUCUUCUAUUUCUUUCUGUGUGAAGCCAAACCUGUGGGUUAUCAAUGGCUUAACAUCAAUCUUGCCGCUUCUCAGAAACUCAAUGCAGAGUGGCCAUGUGCUCCUAUACCGAAAUAUGCCAAUUACAUCCACUUCCCUGUCAACCAACAAAACCCUUUAUCAGAAAUUUCCCAAAUUUAUAUUUCAAACGUCGAAAACUGAGGGUGAAUUAUAUAUCUCAUCACCUUGCAGCUGCCGGCGUCAGAGCAACAGUCAUCUCGGUCUUGGCUAAUCCUAUCAGGCAAACUUUGCUUCCUGGACGAGUGGCAUUCAAAGCCGUUGACAUGGUUUUGUCAAACCCAACACAAUCAAAGCUCACAUCAAUGCCUGAACCCAUUGCAUUUUGUAUCUUCCCCACAUCUGUAUCAACAUCCUGCCAAUGUUUUUGCACAGCUUCAAAGUCUAGAAAAACUUGGGAAAGUGAAAACAGAGCGAUAAUCAUCUACAUCUGACAAUUAACCUCGAUAUCUGUUGAGACUUUAACUGUUUCAUCCGAGCCAAGAUUCCUUGCAAUAGAUAGACGCUGAACAUCAACAUCAGUGAUGAUAAUUCUGGGGGCACCAAAUGCUCGAGCAGCUAACAGGGUAACAAGGCCUAUCGGUCCUGAUCCCAUGAUCAUUACAUUGGUUUCAGGUCCAACGUUUGCACGCCGACAGGCAUGGACACCAACACUUAAGGGUUCACACAUUGCUCCUUCCUCCAAGCUCACAUUGUCAGGUAACUUGUAACAUAACUUUGCUGGAUGCACAACCUAGUUGCAGGAAAAAAAAAAUGUCUCCGUUAUUUACAAUUCUUACGUACGUAGACCGCAUGUGAAAUUAAAAAAUUUCUAGUUUGGGAAGCUGAAGACAUCUGAUCAUUGACCUUAUGGGCAAGAGAGCCGUUGGUUGGAGGAGAUCCAAAGAAUCUCAUUUCAGGACAAAGAUUAUAGCUACCAGCUUUGCAGAGACUGCAGUGUCCGCAACUAAUACCAGGUUCUAGAGCCACACGAUCACCCACCUCGAGGGACUUAACUUCACUGCCAACUUAGUCUAUGAUCCCAGCACACUCAUGUCCAAUUACCAUAGGUUUUUUCACAAUAAAAUUGGCACAUCUCAUAGUCUGAUCAUAAACAACAUUUUGCAUACAAUAAGCAGUGACAGCCUUUGGCAUAUUAUACAAUCAUCAAGAUUUUGCAUAGAGACAGACAGAAAGCUUUUUCACCUUGAAGUGAUGAACAUCACUUCCACAUAUUCCAAGAGCCUUAAUUCGUACUUUCACAUCUUGAGGACCUAAAAAUUACACAAUUUUUUUUUUUUUUUUUGGCCAUGGCAUGGCAUGACAAGUGAUCUGAUUAAAUUCAUAGUUGUGCGUAUAGAAUAACAAGAAGAAGAUAAAAAUAUAAUACCUAGGGUAGGCAAAUGAUAUGGCUGAAUUUUCAGAGUUUUGAUUCCAAGCAGCCAGGCAGCCAUGUUCUGAUUCUUGUCUCCUUCGUCAUCUCUGAUUGCUUCAGCCAUUUCAAUGUUUCCCUUUUUUCUUCUCCUCUUGUCUUCUUUUUACACAGUGUUAUUGUGUCUCGUAUUAUCCUAGUUAAAAUUGCCUCUUUUUUUUUUUUUUUUCCCUAUCUCAUUAUAAUUACCUUUUUGAACAGGUAUUCCCUUCCCUCCCAUUAUUGAUUUAUUUAAAUUAUAUGAAUUUUAAAAUAUUAUUUCAUAUGACCAUAUCCAUUAAAAAAAGUCAUGAAAAUCAAAUUAUUGGUUUUCUUUUAAUUCAUAGUAUUAUGGAAUUAUUCUAAAAUAAAACACAAUUAUAAUCGUACAUAUAAAAUGAUAAAUAAUAAAAAUAUAUUAUAAUUUUUUUAUCAUAUAAUUAUAAAAAAUACUCAAUCGCAAAAUAAUUUCAUCGUAACCAAACUCUUUCUUUUAACCUUUUUUAAAAGAUAAAACCAUUCUUUCAUACCAUUUUACAAAAUUAGCCACCACCUACGUACAUUAAGUUGAUUUUGAUUCCUUUGUAAAGAUACAAUUAUUGCACAGUUUGGAUUUCGGGGUCCAUAAAUUCUGAAAAAAAAAAAACAAACAACAAACGGUUCUGAAACCGAUUAAUUCUCUCCACGUAAGCACGUUAUCCUGUUGAAAAAAGAAACCAUAAUCUCUAUCACAAAUUUUUUAAAACUAUCAUUAGUAAUUGGAUUUUUACUUAAAUAAAAAUUAGUCCGAUGAAAACAGAAAUCAAUCAUCUACGCGGAUAAAUACAAAGAACACUUGAUGUUAUGCCUCACUUGUCAUUAAAUAUUCCUGCGGCCGAAUCAAAUCAUAUCCCAUAUCCAGAAUCAGAAUAAAUGGUAGCUUAAAAUAUAGUGUACAGAGUAACGUCUCUGCUGUACACUUGUGUUUUUGAAGGGUAAAAAGCAAAUAUGGGCAAGGGAGGGAUGUCACAAGGAGAAAAGGAAGAUGGAGAAGAAGUUAACAUGGCAGCUUGGCUUCUGGGUGUCAACACCCUCAAGAUUCAGCCUUUUGAGCUUCCUUCUCUGGGUAUUGUUGAUGCGAGAUUCUGGUUACUCUUUCGACCACGACCAGGAUCUCUGUUCGAUCAACUCAACCACGAUCAGGAUCUCUCCUCGUAUGCUUUCUUCUCCAAAUAUUCCUGCGUACACAAAAACAAGUCAGAGCGCACCGGUUGUUUUCCUGAAGUAAACCCUCCGACGCUCAAGUCAGAUAUGAAGGUUUUCUGUUCCUGGGAACGUUAGCCACUAAUCUUAAGGCUCGUUUUUAGUCUCCGUUCCUUAGAGCUUUCUUUUUCUCUGUUAUAAUGUCAAAAAUUCUAACCCUUUUACCUUCGUUGGCUACCUUUUUAUAGGCCUCUUCUGAACCCAGACCUUCCCUCCAUUCGCGCCCGUUAUCCUCCCACCUCUCGAAAGUGGAUGUUCCACUUCUGUAAUCGUGGGUGGUUGUAUGGCCUUCGUGCCUUGAUUCUCGGGUUGGAGAGCACGCCUCGCCAACUGUCGUUGACCGGGUCUCCUCGACUCAAGCUUUAGCUGGAAUGACUUUAUGCUUCUAACAUAGGAUCGGCCUCGCGGAUGGUGCAUUUGUGGAUGAGUAGAAUAUUCCUGCUCCUGCUCCCCUGCUGCCAGAUUCUUACAGUAUAUACUUGCUUGCAAGACCUUGCUACCAGAUGGCUGCUCAUCACAGCUGGUCCUCACCGAAGUACACUCUGCUACCAGGUAUCUGCUCGUCACGGCUGGUCUCGUUGAAGUAUAUCCCCCAAAUACCGGUCCCCCAGUUUCUGGUGUUGGGUAACAUAGUGAGUCGACAACAGAAACUCAACGGUUUUGGCUUGCGUAGGGCAGGAAAAGGUUGCCAAGAGUCGUGUCGCAUUUAAUUACGGAAGAGGUGAUGUGGCAUAAAUCUAUCCCUCCAUUGGAAUUUCAAACCAAGGGUUACGAAACCCUUGGGAUUUGGUGCCGUUAAAUGCUAGCAGCCCAAGGGGUUGUUCCUCAUUAGGAACACUCAAAACCCCCAAACGAGAAACUCGUCGUUUACUCCACGUCUGUUUCUCCGACGAACGAGUUUCGGCAUAAAAGCAUCCAACCAUGUCUCCUUCCGACUGAGCCGUCCCCUCCGACUAAGCCACUACUUCAGGUAUUACUCCUAUUUCCUCACUCAGGGUGUCUCCCGAGCCAGAUGAUCCCUCGUCACCGCUAUUUCGGCCCUAGGAGGUUGUUUGGGCGGACAUUCUCCUAGCACUAGUCCCAACACUAGAUCUAAUGGGUUCUAAGGGGAUCCCGGGGUCAAAGGCAGCAUCGGCGAGCAGACUAGGUAGGAAGUCUAACUCCUCGUCAUCAACCUCAAUGAUUUUCUCUUUACCUUUCGACAUUCCAUAGGCUAUAACCCGAGCACCACCACCAACUAUUACCCAAGAAAAAUAGAGAGAAAAGAGAUAUCAACAACUAUCCAAGACCGCUAUUUCGGCUCGAGGAGGUUGUUUGGGGGGACAUUCUCCUAGCACUAGUCCCAACACUAGAUCUAAUGGGUUCUAAAGGGAUCCCGGGGUCAAAGGCAGCAUCGGCGAGCAGACUAGGUAGGAAGUCUAACUCGUCGUCAUCAACCUCAAUGAUUUUCUCUUUACCUUUCGACAUUCCCUAGGCUAUAACCCGAGCACCACCACCAACUAUUACCCAAGCAAAAUAGAGAGAAAAGAGAUAUCAACAACUAUCCAAGACCGAGGAAAUAGAAGUAAUACCUGAAGUAGUGGGCUCAGUCGGAGGGAACGGCUCAGUCGGAAGGAGACAGGGAUGGAUGCUUUUAUGCCGAAACUCGUUCGUCGGAGAAACAGACGUGGAGUAAACGACGAGUUUCUCGUUUGGGGGUUUUGAGUGUUCCUAAUGAGGAACAACCCCUUGGGCUGCUAGCAUUUAACGGCACCAAAUCCCAAGGGUUUCGUAACCCUUGGUUUGAAAUUCAAAUGGAGGGAUAAAUUUUUUCCACAUCACCUCGUCCAUAAUUAAAUGUGACACGACUCUUGGCAGCCUUUUCCUGCCCUACGCAAGCCAGAAUCGUUGAGUUUUUACUGUCGGCUCACUAUGUUACCCAACACCAGAAACUGGGGGACCGAUGUUUGGGGGAUAUACUUCGACGAGACCAGCCGUGACGAGCAGAUACCUGGUAGCAGAGUGUACUUCGGCGAGGACCAGCUGUGAUGAGCAGCCAUCUGGUAGCAGGUCUCGCAAGCAAGUAUAUACUGUAAGAAUCUGGCAGCAGGGGAGCAGGAGCAGGAAUAUUCUGCUCGUCCAUGAAUGCACCAUCCGCGAGGCCGAUCCUCUGUUAGAAGCGUAAAGUCAUUCCAGCUAAGGCUUGAGUCGAGGAGACCCGGUCAACGACUGUUGGCGAGGCGUGCUCUCCAACCUGAGAAUCAAGGCACGAAGGCCAUACAACCACCCACGAUUACAGAAGUGGAACAUCCACUUUCGAGAGGUGGGAGGAUAACGGGUGCGAAUGGAGGGAAGGUCUGGGUUCAGAAAAGGCCUAUAAAAAGGUAGCCAAUGAAGGUAAAAGAGUUAGAAUUUUUGACAUUAUAAUAGAAAAAAAGAAAGCUCUAAAGAACGGAGACUAAAAACGAGCCUUAAGAUUAGUGACUAACGUUCCCAGGAACAGAAAACCUUCAUAUCUGACUUGAGCGUCGAAGAGUUUAUGCCGGGAAAACAACCGGCGUGCUCUGACUUGUUUCUGUGUACGCAGGAGUAUUUGGAGAAGAAAGCAUACGAAGAGAGAUCCUGAUCGUGGUUGAGUUGAUCGAACAGAGAUCCUGGUCGUGGUCGAAAGAGUAACCAGAAUCUCGUAUCAACAUUUUGGCGCUGUCUGUGGGGAGCUGAUCAAAAAGCUUCUGUUGACAGCAAGAAGAGGAGUAAAGUAAGUGGAAAAACAAUGGAGGCAGGAGAAAGUAGUGCACAAGGGGGUGAUAUGAGGCUUAACGAUUCCGUGACGCUGGGGGAGAUAGCCAGUGAAGCACGGGAAAAAGCCAUGUUUGACCGGAUGGAACGGAUGAAAAAGCAGAUGGAAACCCUGAAAACCAUCCUACAUGAGCUACGGAGUGAACGAAAGGGAACCCAGGAGGAAAGAGUGAGAGGUAGUGGAGUGGCACCAGGUCACGAUAGUACGAGGAGAAGUCAAACCUCCAGGAGAUUUGGUGGUGAGAGAGGUGACUUAUCUCUGCGGGGAGAAAUUCAUAGAGAGGAAGAGCAAUCCCCAGCAAGACAUAUUUUUGAUGAGGACGACGGGGUGGCGAAUGUAGAGGAAACAGAGCUCAGGCAACACUUACAUGAUGUAGAGCAAGAGCGGGAUCAAGUUGCAGCACGUGACCCUGGUCGUGCAGUGCAACUGGAGAAGGAAGUGCGCAGACUAGCGCAGGUAAUUGAUGACAUGCAAGGAAGAAGUAGAGCUCCUGGUUGGAGGAUAAUGCUGAACGGAGAAUCACCGCUCGCAGCAAAGAUCAUGAGGGCAGUCAUUCCAAGAGAUUUUCGCCUCCCAGACCUUAGAUAUUCGAGACGAACUGAUCCGUUGGUGCACAUAGAGCGCUUCAACGACAUAACCGGGGUGCAAGGAUUAUCUCAAGCCCAAAGGUGCAGGGUGUUCCCACUAUCCCUAGAGGGACGUGCACGCGAGUGGUACAUGAAACUUCCUCGAGGGAGCAUUAAAACUUUCGAGCAGAUGUGCAAGGAAUUUGCAGAGCAGUUUCGUGGGGCAAUGGCACCAGAAGAUGACAUGAUGGAGUUGAAAAGCAUGAAGCAGGGAGAGCAAGAAACCCUUCGGGAGUUCAUCAAGAGGUUUCAUCGUGCGGUCCUGGAUUUGGGAGCCUUCAACCAUCCUCAGGCAUUAAGGGGAUUGAAAGAAGGGGUGAAGAUAGGAAGGCUAUGGUACAACUUGAGAAGCCCAGUUAUUCAGACGUAUGCAGCCGCAUACGAGCAGGCUAAGAGGGACAUAGAGAUUGAGGAAGAAAAGACAGUACGGAUUAAGACAGACCAGCUAGAAGGGUUGAGAAAGAAAGAGAAGAGAGCAUUACCAGGAAAUAGGCCGAUCAGGAGGAGGGACCACCAGGCCUCAGGUAGUGGUGCAGGAGGUCGGGUAACCGCUUACCAGCCUCAUCAGAGGUUACCACAGUAUCAGCGCAGCAGGACGCAACCUCCUCGCUCACCAGCUAGGGUGCCUUGGAGAAGGCAUGACUCGGCAUAUGGUGGUCUUCAUCCACACUCCCACGGUAGUAGAGGGAGCAGACCAGAAGCGCUGCCACCGCCUCCAACUCAGAACGGCGCAAAUAGAGAAAGGGCAGUGCACAUGAUCGACCAGAACCAGGACUAUGGGUAGUAUACGUCCUUGAAGAUGCCCCUGGACGAGGUGUACGAGGCCAUAAAGGAUCGGGGGCUACUGUACCUCCCUGCCCCAAUAACAAAGCUACCCAACAGGAGGGAUAGAGGACGCUAUUGUAAGUUCCAUGGCACUCAUGGCCAUACCACUACAGAAUGUAAAGAUCUCAAGACCCAGGUUGAAGAUUUGGUGAGAAAUCGGUACCUGGACGAGUUUAUAGAUGGGACUUUCCUGAUGAUGGCCUCGACAUGUGAAGGGGAGCAGAGUGACAGAAACUUGAGGCGCGAGCAGCCUACAAUAAAAGUGAUAGCUGGGGGCCCAACAUUGGCCGGAGAUUCCAACAGAUUGAGGAAGAAUUAUGCUAGAUACGCCAUGACUAGUAAAGAGGUAUUCUUCAACACCCCAGCAGCCAAACGAGCAAGAGUCAGGCAAGUGCCAAUCAUGUGGACAGAUGAUGAUGAAGAAGGGAUUAUAUACCCCCACGAGGAUGCUUUAGUUAUCAAGGCCACUGUUGCUAGCAAGAAGUUUGACCGGAUACUGGUUGACACAGGGAGCUCAGUUGAUGUGUUGUUUAAGUCAACUCUGGAGGAGAUGGGAAUAGCAGACCUGAAGUUGGAGUACACCAAUACCUCCUUGAAGGGGUUUGGAGGAGGAAAGCUGGUCCCUCUGGGCGUGGUCAAGCUGCCUAUCACGAUUGGGAGCUCCCCGACAGAAAGGACUAUGAUACUAGACUUUGUGGUGGUGGAUGAAGAAGGUCCUUACCAGAUGAUCCUAGGUCGGACAUUUCUGAGGAUGAGCAAAGCAGUACUAUCCAACCAUUAUCUAGCUCUCAAGUACCGGAUGAAUGGGGUAGUUGGAGUGGUACGAGGAGACCAGAGAAUCGCACGAAGCUGUUACUCUUCGGCAGCAAGGGAAGCAAUGCAAAUAACAUCCCUUGAUACCCGAGUGGAAAAUAAGAAUGGCAGACAAGAACUUGUAGAGGAGCUUGAGACAGUAAGCCUGGGACCAGAGAAUCUGGGAAAAACGAUCAGAAUCGGGUCGCGACUUAAAGAAGAGCAGAAGCAGGAGUUGGUGCAAUGCUUGCGGGCUCAUGCAGAUGUGUUUGCUUGGACAUAUGAAGACAUGCUAGGGAUUGAUCCUGAGGUUGCAUGUCAUAAGCUGGCAAUAAAGAAAGGUGCUCGGGCAGUAAGGCAGAAAGAAGGUGCUUCAACUAGGAGAGGUAUGAGGCUAUAAAUGACGAGGUGGAGAAGCUCUUGAAAGCAGGGUUCAUUCGGGAAGUCAAUUAUCCUGAAUGGAUAUCGAAUGUGGUGUUAGUAAAAAAGGCUAAUGGCAAAUGGAGGAUGUGUGUGGACUUCACGGACCUCAACAAGGCAUACCCGAAAGACAGCUUUCCCUUACCAAAGAUUGACCAGCUUGUAGACUCGACAGCUGGACAUGGCCUGCUCAGCUUCAUGGACGCAUUCUCGGGAUACAACCAAAUCCCCAUGUUCGAGUAGGAUGAGGAGAGCACGACAUUUAUUACUAGCCAGGGUCUGUUCUGUUAUAGGGUAAUGCCGUUCGGUCUUAAAAAUGCGGGGGCCACGUACCAAAGGCUGGUGAACAAAGUCUUUAAGCCGUUGAUUGGGAGAACAAUGGAGGUGUAUGUGGACGACAUGAUAACUAAGUCGAAAAUCCCGAAGGAACAUGUCGAGCACCUCGAGGAGACGUUUGCACUUUUGAAGAAGUACAAGAUGAAGCUCAACCCGAAAAAGUGUGCUUUUGGGGUCGAGUCAGGGAAAUUCCUCGGAUUCAUGGUGAGUCAUAGGGGGAUCGAGGCAAAUCCCGAGAAGAUCCAGGCGAUCGUUCAGAUGAGGUCUCUUCGUAACCUGAAGGAGACGCAGAGCCUUACGGGGAAGCUGGCGGCAUUGAGCCGAUUCAUAUCCAAGGCUACAGAUAAGUGUUAGCCAUUCUUUCAAGUGAUAAGAAGAGGGAAGAAAACAGAAUGGACCCCAGAGUGCGAAGAGGCCUUUCAGAGCUUGAAGCAAUACUUGCAGCAAGCACCCCUGCUGUCCACACCAAGGGAUGGGGACAAGUUAUCUUUGUAUUUGGCGGUAUCAGAUCGUGCCACAAGUUCUGUUCUGGUGAGAGAGGAAGAAGGGGUUCAGUAUCCGAUAUACUACACCAGCAAGGCCCUGCUCGACGCUGAGACCCGAUACCCACCGUUGGAGAAAUGGGCACUCGCUCUUGUGGUCGCUGCUCGGAAGCUGAGACCGUACUUUCAAGCAUUCCCCGUCUCAGUAAUAACAAACCAGCCGUUGCGUCAAACCUUACACAAGCCGAAUACCUCUGGUCGGCUCGUGAAGUAGGCUAUAGAGCUGAGCGAGUUCGACAUUGAUUACAAACCCCGAGCAGCGAUAAAGGCGUAAGCAAUGGCCGAUUUCGUAGCAGAAUUUACAGAGCCUGAAACAUGUUUGGACCAGCUGGAUAUUGCUACAGACAACAGCGAAGCCCGAGUAUGGCAGAUGUCUGUAGAUGGGUCAUCAGGGGAGCAGGGAUCAGGAGCAGGAAUUGUCUUGGAAGGCCCAGAAGGGGAGGAGAUCUCUUAUGCUAUAAAGUUAGAAUUCGCAGCCACAAAUAAUCAGGCAGAGUACAAAGCCUUGAUAGCAGGUUUGGAAUUGGCUAAGGCCGUGAAAGCAGAUAGAGUGAAGAUCAAAACUGAUUCCCAGCUGGUUACAAAUCAUGUCAGUGAAAGAUUUCAACCGAGAGAGGAGAAGAUGGAGCAGUACCUGAAGACAGUCAGGUAGAUGAUGGGAAAAUUUGAAGCGGUAAAUGUGAUACAAAUCCCCAGGGAGUAAAAUAAUCGAGCAGAUAUUUUGGCUCGGAUGGCAGCGGUAGCAGACCCAAAAAUGCCAAAGUCGAUCCCUCUGGAGGUGAAGUCUAGCUCGAGCAUCGAGCAGAAUCUGGAGGUGCUGCGGAUAGAACAAAAAUGCUCGUGGAUGGAUCCGAUAAUUUCAUACCUUAGCGACGGGGUAUUACCACCAAAUAAACUACAAGCUCGGAAGAUUAGAGCCCAGGCCUCGAGAUACACGAUGAUUGACGGGGUACUGUAUCGGUGAAGGUAUACGCUACCGUUCCUUCGGUGUUUGGAUGAGGACGACGCGGACUGCGUACUGAGAGAGGUACAUGAAGGAAUUUGCGGAAACCAUUCUGGUGGGAGGUCCCUGGCCCACAAGGUUCUAAGGCAGGGAUAUUUAUGGCCGAUAAUGCACCAAGAUGCGGAGGAGAAGACCAGGAGCUGUGUAAGCUGCCAAAGUUUUGCAAGUUUCUCCAACCAACCACCAGAGAAGCUCACCUCUAUGGCCUCCCCUUGGCCAUUUUCUCAAUGGGGAAUUGAUCUGAUCGGCCCGUUGCCAAAGGGACGAGGAGCAGCAACACAUGCAAUAGUUGCGAUAGACUACUUCACGAAGAGGAUAGAGGUAGAAGCCCUUAGCAGGAUCACAGAGAAGAAGACAACAGACUUCGUGUGGAGAAACCUGGUCUGUCGGUACGGGAUCCCUUAUGCCUUGGUAAUGGAUAAUGGCAGGCAGUUCGAUAAUCACAGCUUCAGGGAUUUCUGCCAGAACCUCGCGAUAGAGUUGAAAUAUUGCUCGCCUGCUCACCCACAGUCUAACGGGCAAGUAGAAGCAACCAACAAGACGAUCAAAAGGCUUUUAAAAAUCAGGCUUGGAGCAAAAAAGGGUGCUUGGGUUGAUGAGCUAUCAGGUGUACUAUGGGCGUACAAGACAACCCAUAAGACAGCAACUGGGGAAACUCCAUUCGCCUUGGCCUUCGGACACGAAGCGGUUGUACCAGCCGAGAUAGGAACAACCACGCACCGGACAGAUCAUUUCGAUGAGCAAGAGAACAACGACCAGAUGUGCUUGAAUCUGGAUCUGCUAACCGAGAAGAGAGAACAAGCGUCGAGGCGAUUAGCCAUUUACCAGCAGAGGGUUGCUCGGUACUAUAACCAGAAGGUAAAUGUACGGCAGUUCAAGGUCGGAGAUUGGGUGUUGAGGAGAGUGAAUCAUAACACGAAAGACUCGGCCCAGGGAGUACUCGGACUAAAUUGGGAGGGGCCAUAUAGGGUCAAGCAGCUAGUUGGACCCGGAGCUUACAAGCUGGUUCGCACGGAUGGCCACGAGGUGAAACGCCCAUGGAACGCGGCACACCUCAGGAAAUAUUUCCAGUAAGACUUGUUCAUGCUUUAAAGUCAUUUAUGUUCGUGCUCGUUGUUUUUAUUUUUUAUUUCUUAUUUCAAAGCAAUCUCAUGUAAGCUGAAUUCAAUAAUAAGUGAAUCAAUGAGGAAUUUCAGUCAACUAUACUGUUGAAAAAUUUUCUAAGGCAUGCAAAGGCUCACCAAGUCUCAAAGCCUGUCUUAUGGCGAGACCAGAAGCCAAGCGUGCCAGGAUCUGCUCGAUCACGCGAAGGCGAGCAGACUCCCAAGCAUUGAAAAAUUUUCUAAGGCAUGCAAAGGCUCACCAAGUCUCAAAUCCUGUCUUAUGGCGAGACCAGAAGCCAAGCGUGCUAGGAUCUGCUCGACCAAGCGAAGGCGAGCAGACUCCCAAGCAUUGAAAAAUUUUCUAAGGCAUGCAAAGGUUCACCAAGUCUCAAAGCCUGUCUUAUGGCGAGACCAGAAGCCAAGCAUGCCAGGAUCUGCUCGACCACGCGAAGGCGAGCAGCCUCCCAAGCAUUUAAAAAUUUUUCUAAGGCAUGCAAAGGCUCACCAAGUCUCAAAGCCUAUCUUAUGGCGAGACCAGAAGCCAAGCGUGCCAGGAUCUGCUCGACCAAGCGAAGGCGAGCAGACUCCCAAGCAUUGAAAAUUUUUCUAAGGCAUUAAAAAGCUCACCAAGUCUCAAAUCCUGUCUUAUGGCGAGACCAGAAGCCAAGCGUGCCAGGAUCUGCUCGACCACGCGAGGGCGAGCAGACUCCCAAGCAUUAAAAAAUUUUCUAAGGCAUGCAAAGGCUCACCAAGUCUCAAAGCCUGUCUUAUGGCGAGACCAGAAGCCAAGCGUGCCAGGAUCUGCUCGACCACGCGAGGGCGAGCAGACUCCCAAGCAUUAAAAAAUUUUCUAAGGCAUGCAAAGGCUCACCAAGUCUCAAAGCCUGUCUUAUGGCGAGACCAGAAGCCAAGCGUGCUAGGAUUUGCUCGACAAAGCGAAGACGAGCAGACUCCCAAGCAUUUAAAAAUUUUUCUAAGGCAUGAAAAGGCCAACCAAGACUCAAAGCCUAUCUUGUGACGAGACCAGAAGCCAAAUAAAUAAAUAAACCAAAACUGCAAUAUGAGAAGGCAAACAAGAACAAUUUUAUUAAGCUUCUAAUAGUCCGCAAAGUUGUUAUAUACAAUGUUCAAAAAGCAAUUACAACACAAGAAAAGUUUAGGAAGACGGCGGGUCAGUUAGCCGAGCAGCUUCAGUUGGUUGUUCCAUCUCAUGUGCAGGGGGUAUCACCAAUUGCGUCCGGGGGGUACUCGCCUCACCAACAUCAGCAGGGACAGCACGAGGAGGAGAGUUGUCCUCCUCAACCACAAUUGGUUCCACCACUUCGACAUCCUCUUUUGCUGCCUCCUCAUCCAUGUGUUGAGCAACACCAGCUGCAAGGUCAUCCAUCUUCAUAUCAGGGUGCUGCUUCCCGAGGACGGCCAUGAUGCAAUGAUAGGAAUGUCGAAGUCCCUGGUCGUAUUUGUUGUCAGCUUCCUUCUCCAAGUUCUCGACCUAACCCGGUGGGAAUCGCGGAGAGAUUCGAACUGAGCCUCGUACAUAGCCUUCUGCCUUUGCAGAUCUUCCUUGACCUUAGUCAGCUCUUCCUCGAGGGUAAUGGCCUUAGCUUGAGCAAGAGAUUCUCGCUCAAUCAACUUCAGAUUCUCGAGAUUCAGGUCUCCUGCUUUCUUCUCAGCAUGGUCAGCUCUGGUCAUCGCUGACUGAAUGUCCUCCUUCAUCUUCCGGUCAUAACGGCCGACCUUGGCCUUAUAGUAAGUGGUCAUGUAGCUGAGAUGGAAAGCGCUAUACUACAUGGCCCUCACCAGCUCACCCAGGGUGCAGCCAUCAAAGUCCUCCAGGUCCUUUUUGCUCACGAGUUUAGAUAGCUCGUUGAGAUAAGGGACCAAGUGCUCUGCUCGGUUGUCAGAUAAACGAGAUCUAGGCCCGACAUGAGGAGAAGAAGAAGCAGGAUCAGUGGCUGCUCCACUAGUUUCUUCGACUUUGGCAGGAGGAGGAGGUAGAGUCUUCAAGGGGGGAACCUGCUGCACAAUGUUCACCCGCUUCGCAGUGGGAGCAUCUUUGUUCUGGUCCCGCUUGGCAGCUUGAGAUCGAGGAUGUUUCCGAGUCAGAGCCCUAAUCACAGCAUCCUCCAUCUUAUGGCCGGGGAACAUCAGACAAGAUUCGACCAGGUUAUAAACAGUUAUCAGCUCUCUGCUUGAGCAGGAAUUGGCCAGUACAGCUUCGACCCGUUUGAGCUGGUCGGGUUUGAGUGGGAAGUGAACACCCCAAGAACCUGCAAUACGAACAGACAUUUGGUUAGAGACAAACCAGUAAAGUGAGAAAAAUUAUGGAGACAAGACAUCUAAAGCGAGCAGGCAACCUGGGACCACGAAACGGGGUGGGACGCGAUAAUCCUUCCCGUCAAUCUGUGCAACCUGACCCCAGGGACCCCCAGCAAAAAAGAACUUUUUCUUCCAAUUCCCACCACCACCAGUUGGUAGAUCGGUUAUGGGUUUCCUGGUUUUAGUAGUUGAUUGGAAAUAAUACCAGCCGGCAUCUUUGGGGCUGCUUUUUAGCUGGUACAGGUGCUUCACCUUAUCAACUGUGGGCUCGCUUUGGCAACAUUUAUCCCACAAUAUGAACAGACCAGAGAGCACUCUCCACCCGUUGGGGUUCAGCUGACCAGGAGUUAAAUUCAACCCGUUAAGUAUCCGGGCAAAGUAGGGUUGCAAAGGACACCUCAGCCCAUACUUAAAACUCUCCAGAAACAGGGUAACAUAUCCCCUAGGGGGCCGGCUAGGAGUAUCCUUCUUUCCUGGGACCUUAAGAGGUAUUUCACCAGGAAUAUUAUACCUAACCCGGAGGUCAGCGAGCUCGUCAAAGGUGGUCGUGCACGUGAUGAAAUCAAUAGCGUAAUCCUAUGAUAGGGCUCUACCUCCUAUUGUAUUCCUCACUUCUGGUCGUGAUGUUUCUGGUGAGGGCAUCUCACCAGAAUCACCUCCCUAGUCCUCACUCGGGGUGUCUUCCGAGCCAUAUGAUCCCUCGUCACCGCUAUUUCAGCUCGAGGAGGUUGUUUAGGGGGACAUUCUCCUAGCACUAGUCCCAACACUAGAUCUAAUGGGUUCUAAGGGGAUCCCGGGGUCAAAGGCAGCAUCGGCGAGCAGACUAGGUAGGAAGUCUAACUCAUCGUCAUCAACCUCAAUGAUUUUCUCUUUACCUUUCGACAUUCCCUAGGCUAUAACCCGAGCACCACCACCAACUAUUACCCAAGCAAAAUAGAGAGAAAAGAGAUAUCAACAACUAUCCAAGACCGAGGAAAUAUGAGUAAUACCUAAAGUACUAGCUCAGUCGGAGGGAACGGCUCAGUCGGAGGGAGACAGGGAUAGAUGCUUUUAUGCCGAAACUCGUUCGCCGGAGAAACAGACGUGGAGUAAACGACGAGUUUCUCGUUUGGGGGUUUUGAGUGUUCCUAAUGAGGAACAACCCCUUGGGCUGCUAGCAUUUAACGGCACCAAAUCCCAAGGGUUUCGUAACCCUUGGUUUGAAAUUCAAAUGGAGGGAUAGAUUUCUGCCACAUCACCUCGUCCGUAAUUAAAUGCGACACGACUCUUGGCAGCCUUUUCCUGCCCUACGCAAGCCAGAACCGUUGAGUUUCUACUGUUGGCUCACUAUGUUACCCAACACCAGAAACUGGGGGACCGGUGUUUGGGGGAUAUACUUCGACGAGACCAGCCAUGAUGAGCAGAUACCUGGUAGCAGAGUGUACUUCGGCGAGGACCAGCUGUGAUGAGCAGCCAUCUGGUAGCAGGGUCUCCCAAGCAAGUAUAUACUGUAAGAAUCUGGCAGCAGGGGAGCAGAAGCAGGAAUAUUCUGCUCGUCCACGAAUGCACCAUCCGCGAGGCCGAUCCUUUGUUAGAAGCAUAAAGCCAUUCCAGCUAAGGCUUGAGUCGAGGAGACCCGGUCAACGACAGUUUGCGAGGCGUGCUCUCCAACGCGAGAAUCAAGGCACGAAGGCCAUACAACCACCCACGAUUACAGAAGUGGAACAUCCACUUUCGAGAUGUGGGAGGAUAACGGGCACGAAUGGAAGGAAGGUCUGGGUUCAGAAGAGGCCUAUAAAAAGGUAGCCAACGAAGGUAAAAGGGUUAGAAUUUUUGACAUUAUAACAGAGAAAAAGAAAGCUCUAAAGAACGAAGACUAAAAACGAGCCUUAAGAUUAGUGGCUAACGUUCCCAGGAACAGAAAACCUUCAUAUCUGACUUGAGCGUCGGAGGGUUUACGCCGAGAAAACAACCGGUGUGCUCUAACUUGUUUCUGUGUACGCAUGAAUAUUUGGAGAAGAAAGCAUACGAGGAGAGAUCCUGAUCGUGGUUGAGUUGAUCGAGCAGAGAUCCUGGUCGUGGUCGAAAGAGUAACCAGAAUCUCGCAUCAACAGGUAUUUUGAUCUUUCUUUCAUCUCUGUCUUGUAUCUUAGAAGUGUUAUGGAAUUUGUUUAUUGGUUGAAGAUAUGAACUUUUGAUAGAUUGAUAGAUAUCUAAAGAGAGAUCUUUGGUUGAAAAACAAUAAAAACACAUCUUCCAAUACAGCUUAUCUCAUACCUCUUACAAUUGAAUUAACUAUCACUCACAAUUAAUGUAAUUCAAACUGAUUGUUUUAACAUCUUUGUUUGUUAUUUGUAAACUGUAGGACCAUAUGAUGUUUUAGUCAGGAUGAAAGCCGUUGGUAUUUGUGGAAGUGAUGUGCAUUAUCUCAAGGUAUUUUUGUUUAUUCCUCUUCAACUUCCUUUAAAUUAUUAUUAUUAUUAUUAUUAUUAUGGCAAUUAAUCUGUCAAAUUGCUGAGAAAUGUUAAUAAUGGAAUAUUUUCACUUUAUGUUAUUCAAAAUAAUACUUGAAUGUUGAAUGUUUGUGUAUUUUCGCAGACCUUGAGGUGUGCCGAUUUUGUUGUGAAAGAGCCUAUGGUGAUUGGGCACGAGUGUGCUGGGGUCAUAGAGAAGGUGGGAAGCGAGGUGAAGACUUUGGUGCCCGGUGACCAUGUGGCCCUGGAACCCGGGAUCAGCUGCUGGCGAUGUGAUCACUGCAAAGGAGGUCGAUACAAUUUGUGUCCAGAGAUGAAAUUUUUUGCAACUCCGCCCGUUCAUGGUUCCCUGGCUAAUCAGGUUGAUUGAAAAUUUACAUUUUGAGCUAAGGUCUAGAGGACUAUGAGAUGACAAAUAUGGUAGACUGACUUUAACACAGUUUAUGCCCUUAUAAAUUUCAGUAAUGAUAUACUUACUACAGUUUUUUUGUUUUUUUUUUUAAUUCUACUACGGUUAGUAUACCAUCACUACAGAACAAAAAAAUUUCAUUACAAGAUAAAAUAAAAUUCCACUGUAAGACAAAUUUUUUUCUUUCUCUUACUGAUUUUGUGCUAACUUUUAUACAUACAUUAUUAUUCUAUAAAUUUUACUGUUUGAUUUUUUUUAGUGUAUUGGAUUAUUACUACAAUAUGAUCUAUGCCCUUGUGAAUUCUGUUGCAUAAAUAGUGGUGUCACUUUACCUGUUCUUCUAAAGGCAUACCGGUUACUGUCAGUUGUGUAGUUCCCAUUUGAUCUUCUGUCCCUCUCGUCGUAUAUUUUUUUAUCUGGCAAUGAUUGUUGAUUCCUUUUAUUUGAAAUGAAAUUGGCUGCUAUCAAAAUUGAUCGGCUACUUGACACAAUGACUAAGAUGCAUUCUCUUGUGUAUAAUAGGUGGUGCAUCCUGCAGACCUAUGUUUUAAGCUGCCCGACAAUGUUAGCCUGGAGGAAGGGGCUAUGUGUGAGCCCUUGAGUGUUGGUGUUCAUGCCUGCCGCCGUGCCAAUAUCGGUCCUGAGACAAAUGUGCUUAUCAUGGGAGCAGGGCCCAUAGGACUUGUCACAAUGCUAGGAGCUCGUGCUUUUGGAGCUCCUAGAAUUGUCAUUGUGGAUGUGGAUGACUAUCGUUUAUCUGUUGCAAAGGAACUUGGUGCAGAUAAUAUUGUUAAAGUUUCAACAAAUUUGCAGGUAUGUUACUGCCCAUUGCCCAGCAGAAGAGUUUAGAAAAGUAAAAGACAUCUCAAAAUCUUCAUGCUCACAAUCCUUCCCUUUCUCUUAAUCAUCAUAACAACAUGUUCUGUUCAACCAACUCUGUUGCAUUAAUACCUUGUUUCAACUUCCUCAGUUCAUUUUUGUUCUCAGUACCUUUUUGUUCUCUGUUUGAAAGUUGACCACUCUAAUCUGCAUUAUUCUUGUUAUCAGAGUAGAGGUGAGCUUGAGCUUUGGUUCGUUUGAAAAUUUUUCAUGUGCUCCUCACGCUUGUUUUUUCUGUUUGAAUAAACCGCUAUGCGUCGAGUAUUUUGCAGGAUAUAGCUGAAGAAGUGGAAAAGAUAGAUAAAGCCAUGGGGACAGGAAUAGAUGUGAGCUUUGAUUGUGCAGGCUUUAACAAAACCAUGUCAACAGCACUGAGUGCUACUCGUGCAGGUGGUAAAGUUUGCCUCGUGGGGAUGGGUCAUCAUGAAAUGACUGUCCCACUCACUCCAGCUGCUGCAAGGUACUUGAUUUAUGGUUUUCUUUUUCAUUUUUUUAUUUAUUGUUUUGGGCUACUCCGUUAUUUACUUUAAGUUUUUAAUUAGUUUCUUGAAAUCUGAAUAAAUUUGAAUUAGUUUGAAUUCAUAAUAUAAUUGAAUAUUUGAAUCUUAAUGAUAUAUUUGUUUUUUUUUUCUGAAUCGCAAAAAAUAAAUUUUAAGUUUUUUUCCUAAAAAAAUAAAAAAACUAAUAUUUUUACAUUUAUACCCCUACAAAUUAUAAAUGUUAAACAAAUAAUAAACAUAUCAAAAAAUAUAAAUAAGAUAAUAUAUUAUCAUAACAUAAAUCAUAUUCAAUUGAAUACAACUCUUUAAUAUUUUAUAUUAUAUAUAUUAAUCAAUUUUAUUAUAGUUUAUGAUGUUUUUAUAUGAAAAAUAUUCAUAAAAAAUUAUGAAAAUAAAUAAUGCUAAUUUGAAGAAAAUAAAAAGAAAAAAUAAUAAUAAUCUACCACUAUAUAUUAUCACAAGUUAUACAAAGAUGGGUAAUGAUGUUAAUUAUUAAAUUUUAUUCAGGUAAAGAUGAAAAUUAAUUAAGGAAAUAGGGAUAUUUUAAAAAAAAAAAACUUGCAAUGAUACCGAUAAGACUUUUUAAAUUAAGCAAAAAAGAUAAAAAAAAUUAACUUAAUAACUUGAUGAAUUAAUGGCUAAAAUUUUUUAUUAAGUUGAAAAAAUAAAAAGACUUAAUGACUUAAUUAAUUAAAAUUAAAUUAAUUAAGUCAAGUCAAAAAAGUAAAUGACCCGUAAGCCUCUAAAAUGUAAAUAAAAAAAUAACACAAAAUUUCGUGGGCGGAGUCAUUUCAUUGUUGGAUUGGGAACAAAUGCAUUUAAGAAAUGAGAGAAUCAAGGAUACCUACCAGAAUGACCAUAAAACCAUCAUUUUUAAGAACAUGUAAAAUGGUAAACAAAAGCUGUUGAAUAAAAGUUGGAAUGUUCUAGAAUCAAUAGACUUGGAAGAAGAAUGUAAACAAAUUCUUGUGCUUGGGUUGUAUGUUUUCCAAUAGAACACGAUGGCAUGUCAAGAACAACUUUCACAAACCAUCUUGUAUGUUGUUUCUGUUUAAUGACUUUUUCUUUCCUUUUCUGGAAACAUAUGUUUAAUGACUUCUUAAGCUGAAUAACACGUUUCGGCUUUUAAUUGGACUAAAAUCCGUCUGAACCUUUUACCCUUAAAUUUAUGAGCAUAAUUGUGAACGCAGGGAGGUGGAUGUGGUGGGGGUGUUUCGCUACAAGAACACCUGGCCACUGUGUCUGGAGUUCCCUAGAAGCGGAAAGAUUGAUGUAAAGCCCCUUGUCACGCAUAGGUUUGGUUUCUCCCAGAAGGAAGUGGAAGAGGCCUUUGAAACAAGUGCUCGUGGUGGUACUGCAAUCAAGGUCAUGUUUAAUCUGUAAAAUACAACGUAAAGUAAACGUUUGGGCAAAAGAUGAAAUAAAAUGGAAUUGUCGCCGAGUAAUAUGAAUCAAAGUGUAGCAUAUUACUUUAUUUCUAUCUAUUACAAAAUAAAAUUCAGAUUUCUCAAGUUUUUUGUUCUUUAUUGUCUGCUCUGUGCUAUAUUUUCUUCAUCCUUUUGUGUAUGCUUAUUUGAAAGCCAAUCAAUAGGUUUCCUGGUUAACAGAUGAUUACCCUGCAAGACAUUUCAGUCACCACUUUCGUUCAGCCGUGAGUUGUGUUUGCUGUAGACAACUGCAGAGUAAUUUCAACAUAGCCGAACUCUUUCCUUUAACCUUCUUAACCUUUUUUAAAAGAUAAAACAAUUCUUUCAAACCAUUUUGCAAAAUUAGCCACCACUCACAUACAUGAAGUUGAUUUUGAUUCCUUUAUGAAGAUACAAUUAUUGCAAGGUUUCGAUUUCGGGGUCCAUAAAUUCUGAAAAAAACAAAAUUAACAAACAACAAACGGUUCUGAAACCGAUAAAUUCUCUCCACGUAAGCACGUUAUCCCGUUGAAAAAAGAAACCAUAAUCUCUAUCACAAAUUUUUUAAAACUGUCAUUAGUAAUUGGAUUUAUCCUUAAAUAAAAAUGAGUCAGAUGAAAACAGAAAUCAAUCAUCUACACGGAUAAAUAAAAAGAACACUUGAUGUUAUGCCUCACUUGUCAUUAAAUAUUCCUGCGACCGAAUCAAAUCAUAUCCCAUAUCCAGAAUCAGAUAGUGUACAGAGUGAAGUCUCUGCUGUACACUUGUGUUUUUGAAGGGUGAAAAGCAAAUAUGGGCAAAGGAGGGAUGUCACAAGGAGAAAAGAAGGAUGGAGAAGAAGUUAACAUGGCAGCUUGGCUUAUGGGUGUCAACACCCUCAAGAUUCAGCCUUUUGAGCUUCCUUCUCUGGGUAUUUUGAUCUUUCUUUCAUUUCAGUCUUGUAUCUUAGAAGUGUUAUGGAAUUUGUUUAUUGGUUGAAGAUAUGAACUUUUGAUAGAUUGAUAGUGUUGGGUGCAAGCGGAAGUGCAGAAAUUUUUUUUAUUUAAGAACAGAGUAUUUUGCUGGAAAUUACUGAAACUUUAUUGCUUAAUUCAUUUUUUCGUUUCUCUCUUACUUUUCAUACAACCAGAGUUCUAUAUUUAUAUGCAUUAUAGACAACUCUAGAGAUUACAUUAAUCAUGCUUUACAUUUCCAAAGCCACAUUGCAAACAUCAAUUCUACCCUUUACUUCACGUUGAAAAACAAACCAAAUAACCCUUCAAACUUCUUGCUCAAUUUACUAGAUUACUAAUUAUAUCUCAACAGAUAGAUAUCUAAAAAGAGAUCUUUGGUUGAAAAACAAUAAAAACACAUCUUCCAAUGCAGCUUAUCUCAUACCUCUUACAAUUGAAUUAACUAUCACUCACAAUUAAUGUAAUUCAAACUGAUUGUUUUAACAUCUUUGUUUGUUAUUUGUAAACUGUAGGACCAUAUGAUGUUUUAGUCAGGAUGAAAGCCGUUGGUAUUUGUGGAAGUGAUGUGCAUUAUCUCAAGGUAUUUUUGUUUAUUCCUCUUCAACUUCCUUUAAAUUAUUAUUAUUAUUAUUAUUAUUAUGGCAAUUAAUCUGUCAAAUUGCUGAGAAAUGUUAAUAAUGGAAUAUUUUCACUUUAUGUUAUUCAAAAUAAUACUUGAAUGUUGAAUGUUUGUGUAUUUUCGCAGACCUUGAGGUGUGCCGAUUUUGUUGUGAAAGAGCCUAUGGUGAUUGGGCACGAGUGUGCUGGGGUCAUAGAGAAGGUGGGAAGCGAGGUGAAGACUUUGGUGCCCGGUGACCGUGUGGCCCUGGAACCAGGGAUCAGCUGCUGGUGAUGUGAUCACUGAAAAGGAGGUCGAUACAAUUUGUGUCCAGAGAUGAAAUUUUUUGCAACUCCGCCAGUUCAUGGUUUUCUGGCUAAUCAGGUUGAUUGAAAAUUUACAUUUUGAACUAAGUUCUAUAGGACUAUGAGAUGAGAAAUAUGGUAGACUGACUUUAACACAGUUUAUGCCCUUAUAAAUUUCAGUAAUGAUAUACUUAGUAUGGUAAGUAUACCAUCACUACAGAACAAAAAAAUUUGAUUACAAGAUAAAAGAAAAUUCCAUUGUAAGACAAUUUUUUUUUUUUUUGUUUUCCCUUACAGAUUUUGUACUAAUAAUUAUACAUACAUUAUUAUUCUAUAAAUUUUACUGUUUGAGAUUUUUUAGUGUCUUAGAUUAUUACUACAAUACGAUCUAUGCCCUUGUGAAUUCUGUUGCAUAAAUAGUGGUGUCACUUUACCUGUUCUUCUAAAAACAUACUGGUUACUGUCAGUUGUGUAGUUCCCAUUUGAUCUUCUGUUCCCUCUUGUCAUAGAUAUUUUAUCUGGAAAUGAUUGUUGAUUCCUUUUAUUUGAAAUGAAAUUGACUGCUAUCAAAAUUGAUCGGCUGCUUGACAUAAUGACUAAGAUGCAUUUCUUGUGUAUAAUAGGUGGUGCAUCCUGCAGACCUAUGUUAUAAGCUUCCGGACAAUGUGAGCCUGGAGGAAGGGGCUAUGUGUGAGCCCUUUAGUGUUGGUGUUCAUGCUUGCCGCCGUGCCAAUAUCGGUCCUGAGACAAAUGUGCUUAUCAUGGGUGCAGGGCCCAUAGGACUUGUCACAAUGCUAGCAGCUCGUGCUUUUCGAGCUCCUAGAAUUGUCAUUGUGGAUGUGGAUGACUAUCGUUUAUCUGUUGCAAAGGAAAUUGGUGCAGAUAAUAUUGUUAAAGUUUCAACAAAUUUGCAGGUAUAUUACUGCUCAUUUCCCAGCAGAAGAGUUUAGAAAAGUAAAAGACAUCUCAAAAUCUUCAUGCUCACAAUCCUUCCCUUUCGGCUUUCUAUUAAUCAUCAUAACAACAUGUUUUGUUCAACCAACUCUGUUGCAUUAAGACCUUGUUCUAACUUCCUCAGUUCAUUUUUGUUCUCAGUACCUUUUGUUUUCUGUUUGAAAGUUGACAACUCUAAUCUGCAUUAUUCUUGUUAUCAGAGUAGAGGUGAGCUUGAGCUUUGGUUCGUUUGAAACCUGUUCAUGUGCUCCUCACCCUUGUUUUUUCUGCUUGAAUAAACCGCUAUGCAUCGAGUAUUUUGCAGGAUAUAGCUGAAGAAGUGGAAAAGAUACAGAAAGCCAUGGGGACAGGAAUAGAUGUGAUCUUUGAUUGUGCAGGCCUUAACAAAACCAUGUCAACAGCACUGGGAGCCACUCGUGCAGGUGGUAAAGUUUGCCUCGUGGGGAUGGGUCAUCAUGAUAUGACUGUCCCACUCACUCCAGCUGCUGCAAAGUAAUUGAUUUACGGUUUUCUUUUCCUUUUUUUUCUUGUUUUGGGCUACUCCGUUAUUUACUUUAGGAAAAUGCUAUAUACCCGGGUCAAACCCCAAAACUAAUUCAAACAACACUGUUUGAUCUUUUUUUCUUUUUCUUUUCAUUCACCUUAAAACGACUCCGUUUUGUUUAGCUAAUGUCAGCCUUAAUUGCUCUCUCUUCAUCUUCGUUUCAACGACAAAAUCGAUUUGGCUUAGACAAAACCGAUUUCAAGAACAUCAGCAACAAAACCGAUUUGGCAAAACCUUUAAGCUUUUAUCUUCCUUCUAGGUGAUUGGAUUUGGCUUAGAUAAGGAAAAAAGGAAAUCUUGAACAAGGUGGCUGCUAGGCGUGAUGGUGGUGCUAAUGGCUAGGUAUGCGUGAUGGUGGCUGCCAGUUGUGGAUCGCGAACGGCUGUGAAACGAAGGGGAAGAUAAAGCAGUUGUUUUACAGAGACAUGGAAGGCGAAUGGCUGGGAGACAAAGAGGAAGAGAAAGCAAUUUUGGGCCGUCGUUGCUUUUGCCUUAACUAAGCCAAAAUGACGUCGUUUUAGGGAGAAUGAAAGGUAAAAAAAAAGAUGAAACAACGUCGUUUGCAUUAGUUUUGGAGUUUGACUCGGGGUAAAUAGCAACGCUAUUUACUUUAAGUUUCUAGUUAGUUUCAGCAAAUUCACUUUAAGAUCACUUUUUUUUUUAAAUAUGAGAAAAUUUGAAUUAGUGAAAUGUUUUUUUUAUCUGAAUUGCUAAAAAUAAAUUUUAAAUUAUUUUUUUAACCUAAAAAAAAUAUAAAAACUAAUAUUUUUACAUUUAUAUCCUUACAAAUUAUAAAUGUUAAACAAAUAAUAAACAUAUCGAAAAAUAUAAAUAAGAUAAUAUAUUAUUAUAACAUAAAUCAUAUUCAGUUGAAUACAACUCUUUAAUAUUUUAUAUUAAAUAUGUUAAUCAAAUUUAUUAUAGUUUAUGAUGUCUUUAUAUGAAAAAUAUUCAUAAAAAAUUAUGAAGAUAAAUAAUGCUAAUUUGAAGAAAAUAAAAAGAUGAAAAUAAUAAUAAUCUACCACUAUAUAUUAUCACAAGUUAUAUAGAGAUGAGUAAUAAUGCUAAUUAUUAAAUUUUAUUCAAGAAAUGAUGAAAAUUAAUUAGUGAGAUAUGAAUAUUUUAGAAAAUAUCUUUUAAUGGUACCAUUAAAACUUUUUAUAUUAAGCAAAAAAAGGUAAAAAAAAAAUAUUAGUUUAAUAACUUAAUGACUUAAUGGCUGAAAUUUUUCAUUAAGUUGAAAAAAAAAAUAGAUUUAAUGACUUAAUUGAUUAAAAUUAAGUCAAUUAAGUCAAGUCAAAAAAGCAAACGACCACUAAGUCUCUAAAAUGCAAAAAAAAAAAAAAACACAAAAUUCGUGGGAGGGGCAUUUCAUUGUUGGAUUUGGGAACAAAUGGAUUUAAAAAAUGAGAGAAUAAAAGUUGAAUACAAUUACCAAAAAGAUCAUAAAGCCAUCAUUUUUAAGAACAUGUAAAAUAUUAAACAAAAAUUGUUGAAUAAAAGUUGGAAUGUUCUAGAAUCAAUAGACUUGGAAGAAGAAUGUAAACAAAUUCUUGUGCUUGGGUUGUAUGUUAUCUAAUAGAACACGAUGGCAUGUCAAGAACAACCUUCACAAACCAUCUUGUAUAUUGUUUCUAUUUAAUGACUGUUUUUCCUUUCCUUUUCUCGAAACAUAUGUUUAAUGACUUCUUAAGCUGAAUAACACGUUUCAGCUUUUAAUUGGACUAAAAUCCGUCUGAGUGUAGUGACUCUAAAAACACAUCUUCUUAGUUAAAAAAAAAAAUCAUUUUCUUUUUCUAUCGUUUUAAGUGUAACCUUUCUAAUUAGUUUUUCUGCAUCAUUUUCACCUUUCUGCAUGCAUAUUUUCUUUUCAUGUUUAGAAUAGGUUAGGGGGUAUAAUGUUGUUUGAAAAAGAAAAUUUGUGAUUUUUUUUAACAUUGGAUGACACGAUGACUUUCAAAUUUUAGUAUUUGUAUUAUCUUUGGUCUUAAGUAAUGUUACGCCAUGUUUUCUACUCUACAUGUUGAUGUUGGAGACAAAUAUGAGUUGCUUGAAGGAAUGUACAUGUCAUAAUAAAUACCAAGUGAGUUUUUUAGCCUGUCAUUUUUCUUGGAGAGUAAUCAUUUUUGCCCAUUCUUCAUACAGCUUAGCAGUUUAUUAUUUUAUACAUGAUCUCUAGAUUUCCUUUGAGUCAAUCCUCUAAAAAAAAAAGAAAAAAAAAUGUGUUACUACAUUUGAAGGUCCAUCUAAUUAGUAGAUAUUGAAGAUUAUUUAGAGCCCUAAAAGACGAUGGAAAUACCAUCUUUGACCCGUUUGAGCUUUUCUAGCCAUCCCUUUUGUAAAAUAUCCAUAGUUAGCCCUUUUAAGCCUUUUAUUUAAUAAAAAAAUUUCUUUAUCAACUUAUCAUCUUGACCCACUUCGAUUUGAUGUCUUACAAAUUCCAUCACAUAUUCAUAUUUGAGAAAAAUGUAAAUAAUUAUCUUGUUCAGUAAAGUUGUGCCAUACAAAAAAAAAAAAACAAAAAUAAAAAAUUUGUUUCAAAAAAAAGGAAAAAAAAAAAAAGAGAAAAAAUUAAUAACAAUAAUAAUAAAUAAGCGAAAUGCACCUUGUAAUUUCCAAAAGAUCUAUUCUUUUUCUCAAACAUAUAUUUUGUUUUCCUUAUUUUCCCUCCUUUGUUAGCUAUAUCCUUAGCCUACGUUGAUUUUAGGGAUCUAUAGUCUGAAGUAGAAACUAGUUAUAUGGGCUAAAAGGAUGUAGUGAUGCAUAUAUAAAAAAAUAGAAAAAAAAAAAAAUUGGGUUGACUAGAAUUUUGUUAGAGUUAAGAUGUACUUUUAUUUUAUUGCUAUUAUUAGUCUGAUUGAAUAAACACGAGUAUUUUAAAAAAAAAUCAAUUUGGGUUUGAAUUUUGUUUUCGCUUAAUUUGCUAGGAACUAGCAAUAAGCUGGUUGGGGGGUGUGUUGAGUGUUAGAAAGUAUACAUUUAUAAAGAAGAAAAUUGUUAUUUUACACUUCAAGUUUCACUAACAUUCGUACUUUUAUGUAUUUAAGUCUCUUGUGAUCUAAUUAUGUGUGUUGUAUUAUAAUUAAGUAUUUUAUGUAUUUUAGGGGUAUUAUGGUCAUUUCAUUAUGAACGAGAGAUCAGGCAGCAAAACAGACAUCACUUUUGAACUCAGGACAAUCGAAAACCUUAGGAGGAGCAUAAAUGGAAAAAUGGCACUGUUCACAUAUACGGUGCUGUCCAUGUUUUUGUUCACGACGCUGUUCACAUAUACGGGAUGAUGAUGUGGCAUUGACCGAUCAGUGUCACAAUCCUAUUGGACUAAAAUUCUUAUGUACUGUUGAUUGGUGACGUGGCAGCACGUUAGUGGAUAAAAAAUUAUGCUUACGGUAUAUGCAUAUACACGGAACUAUUUACAACCAAACCUCGUCACUAUUCAAGCCGCCUCACUGUUCAUACCGCGUCACUAUUCAAACCGCGUGAUCAAACUGCAUAUUGUUGACUGAUGACGUGGCGCAAUCCUGAGCGUCCAAAAUAUUUUUAAUUCGAUGGCCAUGAUUUACUCAGUGUAUCUAUAAAAAGGGGGCUCCCCCCUAAUUUGGCACCCCUGAAUUUAUUUUUGAGUUUCAUUUCUGUAAUUCCUUCUCCAUCUUGUAUUUUCUACGUAUUUUAAUAAAUUCCUAUUUUAAUUUAAAUUUUAGGAUAAUCUAAAUCACUUCCAUCACAAAUCUAAUCGCCCACUUAGAAAAUUAACUCUACACACAAUUAAAAUACACCUCCUCGUGGGAUCGACACUCGUCACCAUUAAUCUAUUCUACAAUAGAUUUCUGCACUUGCGAGUUCAAUAAAAUUUGCACAGUAGAUAUCAGGUCGCUUUAUUUCUUAAUUAUGUAGCUCCUCCUUCAAGUUCUAGCAAGUUUUCAUAUUGGUGGAAGUUCAUUUGGGCAUUGUCCAUUUCUAGCAAAUUUAAGUUACUUUUCUGGCGAGCACUCCAUGAAAUCCUUCCCACCUCUUGCAAUGUUUUCAAAUGUAACCUCUUGUAACCUUUUCAAAUGACUUCUGUAAAUUGAGUACGAUGUGUAUGGAUGGGUCAAAAUAGGUUACUUUGAACUUUUAGAGUCAGUUUGGUAAUACUGCAACUUUUAAAAUAAUUACUGUUAACGGUGUUGUAAAAAUAAUCAGCUAUGAAGAGAAUUAGUUGAAUGGUUGGUAAAAUUUAUUUUUAAAAAUAUUGCUAGUUUUAAAAACAGUCCUAUCUAUUUAGUAAAUCUUAUUGUUAAGCUACUAUAGAAUGUAAAUGACUAGAUUAGGGCAAAAUAUUGAAUAAAAUUUAUUUAUACAUUUAUAAACUUAAAUAUAAAAUAUUUUUUAUUACGUAUAUAGUAAAUUAAUAACUAAAAUAAAUAUUUUAUAUUAUUUUGAGAAUCAAUUUUUUGUUACUUUUCAAAAUCUAUUAUAGGAUAUGGUGAUUUUGCCAAAAAGAUUUCUAAAAAAAUUUAUUAAACACCAAAAUUAUCUUUUAUUUUAAAUCCCCCAAAAGCAAUCUUACUAUAUCAGAAGUAAUUUGAGAAAGAGUUAGGGCUGAUGUGAGUAUUUUCACCUAAAGUUUGUAAAUCCAUGAUAUUUCUUUACCUUCACUUUCUAGUAUGUCAACUAUUAUUUGUGCGUAUGUUUAGCUUUUCAAAAUCACUUAUGAGUUAUGGCCUCCCAAAAGUAAUUUUACUAUAUUAGUAGUAAUUCGUGAAAGGAUUGGGGCUGAUGUGAGUAUUUUUCCCUAAAGCUUAUACAUUAAUAAGUAUUUUUCCCUAAAGCUUAUUCAUUAAGCCAUGAUAUUUCUUUGCCUUUACUUUCUGAUAGGUUGACUAUCAUUUGUGUCUAUGGCUCAUAACAUUCUUUUCUGGAAUAUUUUCCAGCUAUCUAUUAGAUGCUGAAAAUUCUUGUGAGUCAUAUUCAAACUAAAAUUCUUAUAUGGAGUUGCUGGCACUUAUACAAAGUGUAUUUUCAUGGAAGAACUUAGUGCAAAAGAAAGUUUGUUGGACAUUUUGUACCCAAGGUCUAGUUAAUUUUUCUGAGUUACUAUAAAGGUUUCAUCAAAUUUCUAUUUUAUUUUUCCAAUGAAUUUAAUUUUUCCUCUGUCUGUGCAUAAUACGAACAAGAGGACUUUAGAUGAGGGUAUCCAGAUCCUAAUUUGACUUAAGCAAAAAGAAUUGGUUGCUCACAUUGAAUUUUGGGUAAACCAAACACUGAAGAUGAACAACCAUAAUUUGCUACUAUUGAUGUUGUUGCAGAUCAUAACCUAGCCACUAGCUUCCUAUAUAGAUACUAAACUAGUACAAACCCUGUUAGAUUUAGGUGCCCCAUUAUGGGCUGACUUUUAUCCAACUUGAGAGAUAAGAUAAUCUUACAAUUUAUCUAGGAUUCUUAUAAGAUAAACUUAAUGUUUUAUCUAAAUCCUAAUCAUAUAAGUUGUGGCUUAUUCAAAUAACUCUAGAAAGUUUAUUUAAAUUAAAUUACAUUUAUUGUACUAUAUAAGCACUACAUGGGUGGGUGCAAAUACGUAUAAUAAUAAUAAUAAGAAUCAGAGUACAUCAUAAAGUGAGUGAGAGAAAAGAGAAAAUGCAGUGGGUUCUUACUUCAUGAAUUGAGGGAAUUUUCUAACCACGUGAUUGUCCUCCAACCAUCAGUGACAUAAACUCAUUAAGAUCCAUUUGUGAAGGUUCCAGUAAUCAGUUCCUCUUCGUAGCGAUCUGUUCGUGAAGGUUCUAGGAGAUUGGAAGGAAUCUAUUAUUUAUUUCCGCAGAUCCUUGACUAUUUGUUUCUGCAUCAACCAACAAGGUAUGAAUUUGGUUGAUAAAAUAAAAUUGCAUUAUUGAUUGAGGAAAUCAACAUUAGUAUCAUAGCUUGUGUAGCUUAUGUCUUGAUCUUGAGUGCUUAUGUAUGCUGAUAUGCCAUGUUCUUCUAUGAAAAUUUGUUUCUCGCUCUAAAAUCACACAUUAAUGGUAUAUGAUGAAAUACAUACUGUUAAAGAAUGAAAUCCGGACUAUAAGUACAUGAACAUACAUGGAAUAUAUCUAGAAUCCCAUUUGAUCUAAUAUGCUCUUAAGUGAUAAAUAAAUUGAAACUCUAAGUUAUGAACCCGAAUGCUUAUUUUGCUCAUAAAAUUUUUUAUGUUCAUUCAUUCUCUACAAUUUGGUAUCAUUAGAAAGGUCUUUUAAUUAUCUUUACAAUGGUAUAUCAUGUGCAUUAUUUGGCCUUGUAAAUUGAGAGAACGAAGUAUUUGAAUUUCUGGUUCGAAAUUUGAAAUUUUUGUUCAAAUUGAAGAAGAUAAAUAGUAUUCUAUGUGCAAUCUCACUCUCGGGUAUGAUGUGUAAGCUCCAUUUGUACACUAAAAAAAAUUUAAGACCAGAUUUGAAUUCAAGAUGUCAAAUAAGGUCAGUAGGUUAGAAAAUUGAGAGCAAAAUGUGCCCGGAAGCUGGAGCAUGUGUCACACGCGCCAAGAAAGAGAGUUAAGCCGAAUAUGUAAUCGGCUUGGUAGUAAACUGGCUUCGUCAGAGCCGCGCGAACCAGAUCAGACCGAACCAAGUGUCAGCGCUAGUUAGCGUGCCAAGCGUGGCCACAUUGGUCCACGCGUGACAGUAGCGCGCAGCGCACGUCCAACCUUCCUGACCUCGGAUUGCAAUAUUGUGUUACGGCAACUGCACGAGAAUUCAAUUUCCUAUUUUUCUGUAUUUUAAAAUUAAAAUUUUGUUUCUAUUUUUAAUUAUUUUAUUUUAUUUUAUUUUUCUAACAUACUUGAAUUUAGAAAUAAAAAUAGUUUUAUAGAAAUUAAAUUCACACAAUAUGAAUCUUAAUUGUAAAGAAUGUCAUAUCUAGUCGGAGGAAAUAUAAAAUACUUAAAAUAUUAUGAGGAUUAUUAAAGUUUGACGUAGUAAUGUGAAUUUAUGCAUGUCUAGGAAAAUUCUAUCAAAAUGACAAUAAAAGUCUAAGAAAAUGAGGUACUUAAGUGGGACUAUCUUAUCCCUACCUCUUUCUUGAGAAUUUUCCUAAUGCUUAUUCACUUGAAAAUAUGCAUGAAGGCUUUUUUAUCCCUCAAAACUAAAAUGAAAAGUUUUAUUAUUAAAAUAAUAAAAGGAUUAAUAAUAAUAGAAUUAAUAUUUUUUGCACAAAAGGACUAAAUGAUGAUGAUUUAAUUAUUUGGGAAGGAUGAUUAUUAGGAGCUUGGAUGAAUUUUCGAUUCUAAUCCUUGUAUUAAAUAAUCAUGUUGAGUCUUGUGUUUAUGACAAAAUUAUAAAUGUGUAUAAGAAUCAUGCUAAUUAACGUUUUUUCUCUAUGUUUUAUUGUGGCUAUAAGAAAUGGCAUCUUCAAAGAAUAUCGUGGCCGAAUUGAAUAAAGGAGAAAAAUUGAACGGUGACAAUUAUGACAUUUGGCACCAAAAGGUUCAAUAUGUUCUCAAUGAACAAGAGACUCUUGAGACUCUCAAUACAGUAAUUAAGCUGAGGAGCUUGAGAGCAGUCUUUCUGAACAAUACAAUAAGGAUCUUGAGGCUUAUCCGUCUUGGAAAAGGAAGAACAACAGUGCUCGCAUUAUGUUGCUGAGUGUUGGUAUAAAUUUAAAUGCUAUUGGUGUCUAUGUGCAAAUGUACACAAUAAGUAAUAUAAUUAUAAGUAUUCAAGAUCAUUUCCACAGGGAUUGAUGUUAUUGAAAUUGCUACAACAAUCUUAACAGUGCAGUUUGCCUUAAAUGAAAAUAAAUUAACAAUUAAAUUAAUAAAUUGUGUAAUAAAAUGCAAUAAAUAAAUAUGCAGAAAAGAAAAACUUUAACGUCACACACACAAGGAUAAAAUCAAUAGGAAUGAAGUAGUUGAGUGAUUAAACUCUCUUAAUGGUUUUGAUUAUUUCUUGUAAUUCUAAGUUCAGUUGCUAUAGCAUCUGCUACAGUAUUGGGUAGAAUCAUUAUGUAUCAUCAGCUAGCGCAUGUUGGAUGUCUUACAUCUAUAUACAACCUAACAAUGACCAAUUGUUAUACCAACAUAAGAUAUAUCAUUGCAUGUUUAAGGUUUAUUUACCCUACAAGGUGAAUCCUUAUGUCUAGUUCAUCACUAAUUUUAGAUUAAGUAUGACCCUUUUGGAAUUAAGUUAAACUCAACUCAGGAAGCCCAAUCCAAAAUCAAGUAUUGUUCUGAUAUGUUCCACUAAGAUAGGCCUUUUUGUACUCUUUCUUAGCUUGUAUCAUUAUGGGUGGUCAGCCGAAAUAAUGAAUGUAAAUAAGCUUUACUAAAAUAAAAUGCUAUAGCAAACACGCAACAACAUAUAAAUCCAGUCGAUAGCCCAUUAAGAUUAUUUAUCACUCAACCACAAGUAAAUUUAGUUCAUAGUUUGUGAAAGGAAAGUAAACAACAAAGUUUAAGCCAUCGAAUACUUCUUCAUGAUCAAAGAAUAAACAAGCAAACAAGAAAUAAUAAGAAAGAUUGAAUUCCAAUUGAUUCCCACAAAUUUUCCACUGAUUGCAGCCUUGAUUCUUGCUCUUGAAUUCUAUUUUUUCUUUGUUUCUUUUCGGUUUUUGAUCUUAGUUGACAACCCCUUCUUUUCCUUUGCAUGUAUCCUUCCUUUAUAGCUGAAAACUAGGGUAAAUUAAAGUCUAGGGCGUGCAUAUUCCAGAUUAGGAAACUACAGAUCACAAUCUGAUAAGUGCCUCGAGCAAAAUCUUCUCUGUUGUUGUUCCAGGAUUAUUACAACAAUUGAUGCUACAACAACCACUACAGCAUCUACAUUGUUUCAUAUUUGUUUUAAUUUUUUCUAUAACCAAGUCCUGUUCCAUUUUUUGCAAGCCUAUUGCCACAACAUCCUUCCCAUGAAAUUUGAACUUCCGGUUACCUACAAUUAUGCAUAUGUUUUAAGUACACGACUUUUGAAAUCAAACAAACUUUUAUUAAACUUAAACUAAAAUGAAUGUUAAUGUAAACUAUCAUUAAAAUGCACUAAAACACAUCAAUUACUCUCUAAGUAAUCUUGAUUUGACCCUAAAAGUAUCAUGAUAACUCUCAUUUCAUAGAGUUAUCACUGAGCUGCAUGCAAGAUGACCUUAUGUGUAAGUUCGAAGAGUAUUGUAUGCCUCAUGAAAUGUAGCUUGAAUGAAAAGUUAGGUGGUACUUCGACCACUAAAUAAAAAGGGCUCAACAUAAAAAAUGAUGGACAUGUAUUGACUGAUGAGCAAUAUGUUCAGGCAAUCAUACGAUCGCUUCCUAAUAAUUAGGAAUAUAUGAGAGUUAACAUGGCUCAUAAUUAUAGCAUUAAGACAUUUAAUGAUAUCAAGUGUCAUUUGGAACUAGAAAGCUUCUAGCCAACUCUAUAUGGCUAACUCUAAGCCGUAGAAAGCUUUGGGCUUCAAGCGCAAAAAAAGAAGGAAUACUUUUCAAAGGAAAAAGAGAAUUGUGACAGCUCAAGGGAACCCUAAUAAUAGAAAGUGCAUGAAAGGAAAGCGCGUUGGAUAUAAGAAAGACAAGACUAAAAUGAAUUGUUAUAAUUGUGGCAAAUUAGGCCACUUUGCUCGUGAAUGCACUGAGCCAAAAAGGUACCAUUCAUCUCCAUAAAUUUAUGUUCUAACUAUGUGAUAAAUUUUAUUUUUUUAACUGAAUCUCGUCCUUCAAGGACUGUAGACUCAGGACCAACAGACCACAUAGCUGAAGAGCGUGGAGCAUUUGUGAAGUAUCGUCAAAUUAAUCAAGGAACAAAAUGGUAUACGUGGGUAACAACUCAAGGGUUGAGGCAAAAGGAAUUGACACUUGCAAGUUAGAGUUGCGUGGUGGCCAAAUAUUUUAUCUCCAUGAUGUUCUUUAUACUCUAAACAUCCAAUAAAACUUAGUCUCUGUUACUGUUCUUCUUAUGAUGGGAUAUCAAUUACAAUUUUAUAGUGCUAGUUUAAAGAUUGUUCUUAAUUCAACUCUAGUUGCUGGUGGUUAUUUAUUAGAUGGUUUUCCUCUUUUGGAUACUAAUUAUUAUGAUUCCAAUAAUAAUUGUUUUUUGGUAAAUGCAUUUUCCAAUGUGGAUAUAAAUACUUGGCAUGCUAUACUAGGACAUGUAGGGCAAGAAAGAAUGAAUAGAUUAGUUAGAGAAAGCUUAUUAGGCUCACUCGCCAAUAUUGACUUGCCUAUUUGUGAAAGUUGUCUAGCUGGAAAAGCAACUAGAAAACCAUUUGGCAAAGCUACUAGAGCUGAAAGUCCAUUGUAAAUAGUCCAUUUUGACAUUCGUGGACCAAUGAGUGUGAGGGCUAAAUAUGGAACCUUGUAUUUUUAUCACAUUUAUUAAUGACUACUUACGCUUUGGUCAUGUUUAUUUGAUUUCUCAUAAAUCUGAAGCAUUGGAUUGCUUUAGAUCAUACUUGAAUUUAGUAGAGAAUCAAUUAGAAAAAAUAUCAAAGUCUUAAGAACAUAUCGUGGGUGUGAAUACCUUUUAAAGCAGUUCAAGGAAUUGUGCAAUAAUAAAGGUAUUGAGAAACAACUAACUAUUCUAAGGACUCCACAACAAAAUGGUGUUGCAGAAAUGAGGAAUAGAACAUUACUCGAGAUGGUUAGGUCUAUGAUGGCAUUAUUGACUGCCAUUUAUGUACUUAAUUGAGUUCCAAGUAAGUCAGUAAGUUUUACUCCAUAUGAGUUGUGGAUAGUUAGAAAACUUGAUCUUACUCAUUUGCGUCCCUGGGGGUCUGCAACGUAUAUUCACAACUCAUCUCAUAAACAUGGGAAAUUGGGUCCAAGAGGAAAGAAACGUUUCUUUAUAAGAUACCUAAAACACUCCAAAAGAUAUGUAUUCAUAGGUGAACAUGAUGAUGGAAAUAUAACUGAGACAAAGUCAGGAGAUGUUUCAUUUUUGGAAAAUGAAUUAUUAGCAUUUCAGAAGUUGACAAAGAUGUUACAUUUUUGGAAAAUGAAUUAUUAGCAUUUUAGAAGUUGACAAAGACAUUCAUCUAUAUGAGUUGAAUGAUUCAGAGGUUAAUGACACUUCUGAUUUACAAAUUGAGAGAAACUUAGAUAUAACUGGGAAUACUAAUCCUAGUAGGAGUCACCCACAAGAUGAGCCUACUCCACAAGACAACUCAAUUCGUAAAAGCAAUUGCAUACCCAUCCCACGUCGUCGUUUUGAGAUUGAGAAUGAGGCAUUUAUAGUUGCUUUACAUGAUGGUGAUGAGCCAAGAACUUAUAGAGACGCCAUCACAUUAUCAACUAAGGAAUUAUGGAUUGAGGUAAUGAAUGGAUGAAAAAAUAGAGUCUAUGAAAUCAAACCAUAUCUGGGACUUGGGUGAUCUACUGCUUAACUGAAAGGCUAUUGGAAACAAAUGGUUUUUACGUGUUAAACAAAAGGCGGAUGGCAUAAUUGAAUGAUACAAGGCACGCUUGGUAGCGAAAGGAUAUACCCAAUAAAAGGGUAUAAAUUAUGAGGAAAUGUUUUCUUCAGUAGUAAAGUUUGCUUUUAUAAGAUUAAUUUUAGUAAUUGUUGCACACAUGGACCUUGAAUUACAUCAAAUGGAUGUUAAAACAAUUUUUCUCAAUGGAGAACUAGAGGAAGAAAUUUAUAUGAAACAGUUAGAGGGUUAUAUAACCAGUUACCAAGAGCGCAAAAUUUGCAAGCUAAAAAGGUCUAUAUAUGGGCUAAAAUAAUCCUCUAGACAAUGGUAUCUUAGGUUUCAUUAAUCUGUAAUGUCUUAUGGGUUCUCGAUGACAGAAGAAGACCAUUGUGUGUAUGUUAAAAGGUUUGAAGGUAACUUUGUUGUCUUAUCUCUAUUUGUAGACGAUAUAUUGUUGGCUGAAAAUAAUAAGGAGUUUGUCCAAAUCAUCAAGGAAUGGUUAUUUUCAAACUUUGAAAUGAAAGAUAUGGGUAAAGCAUUUUAUAUCUUGGGAGUUAAAAUCCGUAAGGAUCGUUCCAGAAAACUUCUAAUUUUAUCACAAGAGUCUUACAUUAGAAGAAUUCUUAAAAAAAUUAAAAUAGAUAAGCGUAAACCUAUAGAUACUCCCAUCUCCAAAAACACAAACUCUUAGCCUUGAAACGUGUCCAAUGAAUCUAAAAGAACAUAGUGAAAUGACACGAGUUCCAUACUCGAAUGCUAUUGGAAGUCUCAUGUACGCUAUGAGGUGUACAAGGCCAAAUAUUUAUUAUGUUAUGGGGUUGGUAAGCAGAUACCAAUCAAAUCCUGGGCGCAAACAUUGGAAUGCUGUCAAAAGGAUUUUAGCAUAUUUGAAAGGCACUGACUAUUCUUUAUGUUAUCAAGGAGGUGUUUUAUGCUUAAUUACAUACACAUACGACGAUUAAGGAGGCGAUCAUGAUGAGCACAAAUCAAUCUCAUGAUAUGUAUUGCUAUUGAGUCGCGGUGCGAUCUCAUAGAAUAGCAAAAAGCAAACAUGCAUGGCUCUGUCGACUAUAGAAGCAGAAUAUGUGGCAUGUUUAGUUGUAGUAUAAGAGGUUGUUUGGCUUAAGCGUUUCUUAGAUGAUCUUAAGAUUGUUACUGUGAUAGCCAAGCAGCCAUAUCCUUUACAAAGGAUAUAAAAUACCACAACAAGUCCAAACACAUAGAGACCAAGUACAACUUUUUAAGAGAUAUUGUGGUGAAAAAAGAAGUGUUGAUGUAACACAUAUCAACACGCUUCAUGAUUGCAGCCCAUUUACUAAUGCCAUGACAUGAAAUGUUUAUCUCACACAUACGCGAUCUUUGGGGUUAUGUAGAUUGUAAAGUUGUACUUGAUGAGAUUUUGUUUUUUGGAUGAUUUUAAUAACAUUUUUUUUAAUUUUCAACUUAUAUUAGCAUGAUUACACACAUAUAUGAGUACUAAAAGAUGUCUUUAAGUUCCGAUUGGCUUUCUUACACAAGUAGUCGCCUUAGUUGUUAAGAAAAGCAAACUGAGAUGAGACACAAGAUUAAGAAAAAGUACGAGAUACGUUCUAAUGGAGAUUAUAUCUUGAAAAUGUCGCCUUGACUAGAUCAAGAUGAGAACAUGAUUGAGCUAGAUACGAGUUCAUUUGGCGCCUUAUAAAGGCGAGCUUAUUGAGACUCAAUUUGGGCUCUUGAAUAGCGACUAAUUUCAUAUAUGUACAAUGAAUUGUUAAACAUAUGCUCUUAUACAAAGAGAAUUCAAGGUAACGCGUGAUUCAUAACAUGCGUGCUUUUGUGACCAAAAAGAAAAAUGAGUGAAUGAAUCCCUGCUUCCUCAUUGUGUAAGUUCCUUUGAGGUAUAAGAAGGACCUCGACAGUUAUCUUUAGUCACCAUCGACUAUAUCUUAAAGGGAAAGACUGGUGAUAACUACUCUAGCAUGUUUUUCUAUGACCAUGAGGUUAUUCGACCUAUGAAACAUGUCUAAGAAAACAAUGAGCCUAGAACUAAAAGAUAUGAGUAGGAUGGGAAGAUUUAUUCUCUUUACAUCUGACUUAUGCAUUCACCGGUUGAUUGUAUAAUCUACUUAGGGAUGAAUAUAAUUGUGAAUACAUAAAGUGCAUAACGUCAAACAUAAUUUUUGUUAAGGGAUUAAAUAUGCUUGUACCAAUGUAAUGGAAAAUGAAAUCUAGGAUACAUGAUGAACAAGUUAUUUGAAUCUUUUGCAAAUAGUGCAAUUGAGAUUUCUUAUCUCCAGUAGAUAUAUUGUGUUCAUGGGUCACACGUUGCAUUUACCUGUAUGAUACUGUUGUAGUGGCUUUGUGCCCAAAUACCCUACUCUCGUUGCUUUGGUUACUCAGUCAUCCCAUCACAUGCGAGUGGGAGAUGUUAUAUUUAGGCACCCAUGAUGGGCUGACUUUAUCCAACUUGAGAGAUAAGUUAAACUUAUAAUUUAUCUAGGAUUGUUAUAAGAUAAACUUAGUGUUUUACCUGAAUCCUAGUCAUAUAAGAUGCGGCUUAUUCAAAUAACUAUAGGAAGUUUAUUUGAAUUACACUACAUUUAUUGUACUAUAUAAGCACUAAAUGGGUGGGUGCAAAUGCGUACAAUAAUAAUAAUAAUAAGAAUCAAAGUAACAUCAUAAAGAGAGUGAUAGAAAAGGUAAAAGGUAGUGGGUUAUUGCUUUGUGAAUUGAGCGGAUUUUCUAGCCACGUGAUUGUCCUUCGACCAUCAUUGACAUAAGCUCAUUAUGAUGCAUUCGUGAAGGUUCCAGUAAUCAGUUCCUCUUUGUUGCGAUAUGUUCGUGAAGGUUCUUGGAAAUCCGUUCUUGGAGAUUGGAAGGAAUCUAUUAUUUGUUUCUGCAAAUUUGUGACGAUUUGUUUUUGCAUCAACCAACAAGGUAUGAAUUUGGUUGAUAAAAUAAAAUUGCAUUAUUGAUUAAGAAAAUCAACAAACCCAUUAUUUGAAAUGAGCCACUCUAUCAGUUAACAUUGAAUUGUUUUAUGGUUGCUAUAAUAAUUUUAAAAUAAAUUUAAUUUUUAUCUACAAUUUCAUUUCUUAAAUUAGGAGGUGUAAAAUAAGACAUUAAUUUUGGCAAUUAAAAGCAAAAGAAUUGCAGGGAAUAAAUUCGGCAACUAAAGUGGUAGUAAAAUAAUUUUUGAAUUUUUUUGUGGGGAAUUAGUACGGCCAAGUUCCUUGCAAAAAUCAGGGCUUACAUUGGCUGCUAAAAAGGACUUUUUGUGAGGCCACUUAUUGCAACCAUUAAUAUUUUUGUUAAUACAUAAAUUUUGGCUGCAAAUCGUUUUUGCCACCAAAAUUGUUCUUAUAUUUGUGAGGAAAACUUUUGGUGGCAAAAACUAAUUUUUCUUGUAGUGCUUUUGCUCGAAAACCCUUGUUUCUUAUAAUUUGUAGUCUUGAUUCGCACUCUCAUCACAAAAAAUUAGGGGAUUGAUGUUUGGGGAUAAAAUAUGGUGACCACAAUCCAAUGUUUGCUUGAAACCUAAACAUGCUUGACUCCAAUAAAAUAAAGGUUAAUUGCUAAUGAGCUGAGGAGAGAAAAACUAUCAAGAGCAGAUAUCGUGGAAGGAGAAAAGUUAAGAUUAGUCAAAGUGCAAUAGUACUACUUAAGUAGUACUUUCUUUUUCUGUCUGAAACCUGAAUAGGUUUAAAUUUUGUUGAAAUAUGAAUGACAUUUCAUUUAUCUUUUUUAAACAUAUAAGUGGAAUCUCAUUUGUUCUUAUAAAUUAAAAAAAAAUUAACAUAGUUAUUUGAUAUUUUAUGUCCCUACAAGUCAAAUAAAAAGAAAAAGAAAAAAAGGACUGGGUUUUACAUUUUAGGAAAAAAAUAUUUAAUAAAUAUACUUUUGGGAUAUUAUGUUUACUUCCUAUCAAAACAUUUUUUCAUUUAGAUAAAAGUCACAAAGUUUAUAUUUUCUAUUUAGAUGUAAAUGUUUGAAUAUCAGACAUAUGUUAUGAAAACAAAUAAGUAAAUUAAAAAAAAAGAAAAAAAUAAUAAAAUUUUAGACUUCAGACAUUUAGCAAACAGACCUUCAACAAAAAUACCCCGUCUAUUUCCUCUAAAAAAUUAGGGAUGAUGUUUAUCUUCAAACAUUUCACUUUGAGAGUCCAAGGGGAAGAGAAUUCUAACCACUAUAAAGACCUGGAAAUUCAAAAUAAGUUAAACUUUUCUCUCUUUAGACUUCCUUUUACUUUUUAACUGUGUUUACAUUGAGAUUUUUUCUUUCCUUUUCUAUUACACUAAAAAUCGAAAACUAUUUUUUUUUAGUAAACCCAAAAAAUUGACUUGAGUGCCAGAAAUUAACGUCAGAAAAACUUAUAUCACCUCUUAUUGCUUUUUAUGUUGCAAGUAUUUGCGGAGAAUCUGCUUGAGUUCAUGGAUUCGUCCAGAAUUUAAGAGAUUGGCAAACUGCCCUCACACAUAAAAAUUUAAAUGUUGGCUUUGAGGUUUAGUUGCUAGCUAACAAAUCGACUAAACGAGAUUUUAAUGUCAACAACAUGUAUUAAUUAAGAGUUUGAAAACCUUUCAUCUCUAAUGACAUAUUAAUUUCAGCUUAAAUAAACUAGUAUUAAUUAAUUUCCUACUUUUCCAAUUCUCAGAUAAACUCGAAACCGAGCAAUCUUUUGACUCUGGCCAUCUUCAUUCCAAGCAGCCUUAAACUUCUCCAUCACAUUUUCUGUCAAAAGCUCAACACCUUUGUCGUUAGCCUUCUGAUAUGCUGAACAUGACCUUAUGAACUUGAAGUAAUCAUCUAAAUCCAUCAGCUUCUCUACAACAAACUGAUCGAACGGCCCCGUAUUCUCAUAUCCAUCAACAGGCUCAAAUGGAAAAUCAAUGCUCAUGUACUUGUUGUCCACCAAUUUACGUUGUGGUGCCCAAAAUGGCUUACAAUCAAUGGUAUCGAAUGGUUUGAAAACUGCACCGACGGAUUCAUUGAUUUCGGGAUGGUGUAAGUCCAUGCAGCUAUUACUCCACUAGAUUUUUUGAGUACCCAUUUUACUUGUUUGUAAAAUUGACGUAAGUCAAACCAAUGUAGUGCUGAAGCAAUUGUCACUAGAUCUACACUUGAUUGUGUUGCCACAUUUUGCUCAAGCUCAGUUAUGGACAUGGUUGGAGGAGUAAGUUGAUACCGAAUGUUGGGGAGCUUUAUUGCGAAUUUUAGUUGUUUUGGGCUUGUAUCUGUAGCAAUGACGUGUUGAUAGAUCUGUGCUAGCUGAAAACAUAAAAUUGUGAGAAAUCAUAAAAUAUAGUAGGCUAUAACAAAAGUACUCAGAAUUGAGAGGGCCUAAUAGUAAAUUACAUAGGUAUCGUGAAAUUUCAACUGGUACUUCAUUUUUUGGGUAAUUUAACUUUUUUCAUCCCCAAAGUGUUGGGAAAAUAUGCUCUUUUAAAGCAUAUGUGUUUAUUUAAUUGUAAUAAAUAUUUUUUCUGAUUAAUAAAAUUAAUGAGGUAUUUUAUUCAAAUAUCUUAAUUGCAUUAAUAUUUUUAUUAAAGUCCAUUUAAUCAUAUUAUAUGUAUUUAUGUGAUCACCAUGUAGAUUCACAGAAGACAUAAAUACAAGUUAUCUUAUGAUUAAAUAAAUUUAGUUCGCAGUUGAUACAUAAAGUUGGGCACUUUAUUUAGGUAUAGACUGUAAUAAAUUCAUUGAAUGAUUUGUUUUAAUCAUGUAUGAAUUUAUUAAUGUAGUACGACUACAUUGAACAUGACCACAUAUGAGAUUUAAUUAACUUUGUAAUAACUGUCAGACUUAUUAAAUCUCAUAGGCAUUGAUUUUAUUGUAAUCUUAAUCUUGAGUUAAUUAUGAUUUCAUGAUUGUAAUUGUUAUUCCAUUUGAGUUACCAAUGGGCAUGACAUAUACUUGUAGUCUAGAUUACCCGGUAUCUUGGUGGGAGCAUUUAUGAGUAUUGGAGUUAUAGAUUAACAAUAUAGAAUUUGUACAACACAUCUCUUGAUGGGUUUUCGGCACUUGAUCAUAGAAUUUUCUGGCCAGAGUGUGUCAACAUAUUUAGUAUGUUGAAAAUGAUCAUUAGAGAAAACCAGUAAGUAUCAAAGAAUAAGAUGUUAUUAAAUUGAUUGGACAGUUGAAAUAUCAAUUUAAUUAACGAUGUGGUACAAAGGAUUGUGCAGUAAAGAAAUCAAUGUGGCUUGGGACGAAUUAUUAUUUGAGCAUACAAUUAUGGAAGUCAAUUCUAAUCUUUUAGUGGAGUAGAUUUGGAAUUAAAUAAUUGGACUAGUUUAAUUACAGGCCUAAUUAUUGUAGCUACUAUUGUAUGUUCCCAAAUGAUCCCAGGGUUAGCUCAUUUAAUUGACUGCACCACUACUGGAUUAAUAAGCAAGAUAACUAGUUAUUUGGGUCAAAAGCCUAAACAUAUCAUUUAGUGGGAGGCUCCAUUUAAUUAGCUUGUGUGUAAGGGGCCUUAUGUUAUUUUACAAGGUCGGUCCCCUAUAGAAAAAGCAAGUAACGUGAGUUUUUUUUUUUCAUUAUUUGGAGCUUAGGGUUUUCACUAAAAGGAGAUAUAAAAGGCUUAUUUUCUCUAAAGAAAAAGUGUGCAGCCACUUUAUACAGAUCAGAGAAAAAGAUUUUUCUCUCUAUUGUUGAGAGAAAAAUUUUCUCAUGCUAGUUGCUUUGGUAGUGAUAAAGGCGCCCAUACGUCAAGUGCAGAUCAAACCUGAGUCAUAACCUGGAAGAUCAUUGGUGAUAGUUCGUGAUCUAACAAGCGUGGUGGUGACGGAUCGUGGUCUAACAGGCGUGGUGGUGACGGAUCGUGAUCUGGGAGCCUAAAUCACUUCAGCGGAAAAAUCUAAAUCGGAUUUUCAAGGUACGAUUUCUAGAUUACAAAUUCUUAUAUAUUAUAUGAGAGCGAUCUUAAAAAUGUUUUAUAAAAAAUUUAAAAAUCUAAUCGUUCCCCAACACAAAGUGGCUAGGCUACCCUAGGCUUCACCUAGCUCCGCCCUUGGGAGAUAGAUAAGAUUUUUCAUUACUAGUAUUACAAUUAAAUUUUCAAAUAAUUUAGGUACUAAUUUGAAAAUAGUACAUCACUUAAUUGCCCAAUAAAAAUAAUUGUAAUUUAACUGGGGAUGGUAAGGAGGAGGAAAGGGGAUCAAUAUCUCUAUACUCAUUUUCAAUCCUUUGCUUAUAUCUCUAUACUGUCCCUCUUCCCUCCAAAAUUGUUUGAGGGUAGGAGACAAGAUUCCCAAUGGUACCUAAUCUCUAAAUAACUGAUACUUUUAUUUUCUAAACUUUAUUUAAUCGUAUUAAAGUAAAAGUAUAAAAUUAUUUUACAACACAAAAACAUCAAAGUAAACUAAAGUAUUUAAAAUCAUUUCCUUAUUAAGCAAAAGUAGAGCUUCAAAAUUGAACACACGUAAAAAAUCACAUGGUCUAAAUCAUCAACAAGAUUAUCUUCAUCAAUUUUCAAGUGCUCAAAUUAGCUAUUAUUUAUAUUUUCUAUAAAUACUAUGAUAAGGAAAUUAUAUGGUAUUUGUUAUAAUAUUUGUUAUUUAUGCAAUGAUAUUUGUUAUUUAUAUUCUUACCACUAUAAAUUAAAUUUUAAAUAUAUUUAUUAAAAAUGUAAAAAAAAUUAAAAUUAUAAAUUAUAAAUAGAAAUGGAGAAAUGGGGGAUGGAGAUUUCAUCGAACCCCCGUCCCUUCCUCCAAUGAGAUAUUAGGUAUUUAAUUAUACCCUUAUAUAUUUUCCCCGAUCUUUAAACAGAGGAUGUAAAAUUAUUCCUACACCCUCCCCAAAUGGAGAAAACCUUUCAAGACUCGUCCUUGUGGAAAUUUCUACCAUCCGUAAAUUUAGCAGUUAUGUAAUUCAAUAGUCUUAUAACUUGGGACCAUAAUUCUGAAAUAUUCAUUGGGAACUUUAGUAUUAUUCAAUAAUAAAAACUAAAGAUGUGCCGCUUCCGGUGCCGACGUCCCAUGCAAGGUUGCGUUUGGGUGUUUUAGAGUCAAUUAAUUUGAACAAUUCUUUUGGAUAAUUUGGUCGUGCUACCGCGUAUAGGUUUGCCUGCUUAAUGAACAAUUCUGCCAUCUUUUCUGUUUUUUUCCUAAGUGUUGAGAAUGUAGAAUUAAGAUAAAUCUACUCAUUUGGUUUCGUUUCGUUUCUUUUCUUCUUUAUAUAGGUUUUAGAAUUUGAUGAAGUGGACAAAUAGACAGAUUUUAGUUCGAAAUUAAUUUGGUAAUGUUUAUCUCGGGAAGCCGCAAUAGAACUAGGACAAUCUCAUAAAGUCUUAAAUUUCGACCGAAUUUUUCUUUCUUCCCUUAAUUUUCAAAAAUUAAAUACUUAUGUACUUGCCUUUUCGGUCGCAAAAAUGAUUUACCCAUCUCAUCAAUGAGCCCCACCUCAAUUAUACUUUGGCAAAUUUUUUGGGACAAUUUUAUUUUUGAUUCAAGCGUUAAAGGUAUCUACUAGAAUAUUCAACUUUCACUUUAUUCUUUUAUGAGGUUAAGAUGGUGGAGCUACAAGUGAAUCAACCUCAUGACGAGCGGGAGUUCAUGCCCUGUUAGAGAAAAUAAUUUAAAAAAAAAAUUAAAGAGGUGACUAUUUGAGUUACUAAUUAGACCCCAUUAAAUUUUCUAAAAUAACCUGUUAAAUUUAUUAAAAAUUGUCCCAUAAAUUCACAAACGCAUAACAAUUAAAUUUUGAUUUUUGAGAAUGAAAGGAAUUUAGAUCUAUUACAAAUAGAUGUAGGCAGUUAAAACCCUAAAAUUAACAACUUAAUUAAUUUUCAAAAAAAAUUGUUCACCGUUACUGUUUAGUGUUUACUACUAUUGUUUAUUGUUCACAGCUACUGUUCAUCUCCAUAAAAAAUAUUAAUUUUUCAAAAACACAAUAAAUUGCAGAAAUUAAAUGACACGGAGAUUUUUACAUGGUUUGGAUUAAUGAAUCCUACAUCCACGAGGUUACGCCUAGAUAAAAAACAAUUCACUAAGUUGAAAUGUUACAACUUAUGGAUUUACCGAACUUAAGACUCUCACUUACAGUUUAUCACAAUACAAUUUACUCAACCUUCGACUGAAUCUGUUUCUCUUGAAUAAUUGCUACCCCUCUUGAUCAACGAUACUCAAGGCACUUUGCAAAGUGAUAAAUAGCAAUUCUUCAAUGUCUAGUGAUCCAAGAUCCACCACAGAGAUGAAAAGAAGAUAAGAAAACAAAUCAACACAAAAUUGUGCGCCAAAUCCGGAUUCUCUAGGGAGGAGGCUGAAUUUUGCUUCUCUGCUUUAUUCUUUGUAUUGCGUGCUUUCAAUUGUGAAAUAUCUCUCUUUAUAUAGGCACUAGGGUUUCACAAAAAUAACAAGUCUUCAAAGACUAGAAUUCUUUCCAAAUAAAGUUUUUUUCCUCUUAUAAUUCUUAUGAAUCUGAAUAGAAAUGAGUAUGAUAUUUUUGCCUUGCUCGUCUCCCAAGAAAUAUCUAGAGCAUUUAAUAAACUUUUUAUUUGAACCAACUUCUUGCCCUAAUUAAAUCUAAUGUGCCAAUCUCAUCAUUAAUUGACUUGCAAAAUUAGACUUCUAAUUAAAUUAUGAAUAAAAUAUUCCUAAUAAAUUGGAAUCUCAUUAAAUUAGGAAAUUAAUAAAUUAAUCCCUAUUACAAGAUAUGCAAUAAAUAAAAUUCUAAUUUAACUAAAAUUGCUAUAAAAUGCCAAUUCUAUAAAUAAUGGACUUACCAGAGAAUUAUAAAAACUUUCACUUUAAUUGAAAAGAGGAAAGUUUUUACUAUUAUUUAAUUUAGUCUCAUUUUAUCUAUUAAAAUAAUAUCUGCAAACUCAUUAACCCAUAAAAUUUUAAUUUUUACAUUUCAUCAUUAUGUAAUUUAGUCCUUAGUAAUUAUUUUUUCAAAAUUCGCUACUGAUUGGAGUUAGCUCCCUAUCAUUCCUCGUUCUCAUUUAGGUUCUAUCAAAGAUAUCAAAGCAAAGAUUAUUUGGUAUUCAAUUACAUUGCUUCGAUUCAAUGUAAAUGCAUGUAGGUCCGGGUUGCCUUACUUUGUGGUCCAUUGGCGUAAUGAAUUUCAAUGGGAAUUGCAGACAUCUUCAUGUACGGUUUUUCUGAUACUGCACUCCACAUGAUUUUUUUUUAUCUUGCGGUGUACUUUUUUUAUCCGGUAGUUAUCUAUAUUUUGUCUUCUAAUAAUGUGUGCUUGUAUAUAAUUUUUUGUAGAUUUAUCAUCCAUGGUUGCAUUACUAUUAGCAUGCUCCGAAAGAUCUUGUUUUUUUCUUUUCGAAGAUUCCGCAUUUCUUAAUUUCAAAAUCAGCAUGCUCUCCGUCCUUACGCAUUUGUCUUCUGUAAUCAACAUAGUCAUUAACGAAAUUUCAACAAGGUAGAGCAGCAUUCAACAAGGUUAGGCUUCUUUUUGAAUUAGGAGUAGACUUUUAAUUAAUUUUUUAUGGAAGUUGGUGGCUAUCCACAUCAACUUAGACCUAUUUAACUAGUCGUGGUCAAUUAGCUAAGCUAUUUGGGUGAUCACCAAAGAAAAAUUGAAACAGGAACAUAGUACACGCCGUUUGCAUUAAUUGGCCAUUUGACAAAAUAGCUCAAGAGAUCGGAUGGCUAAAGAGCUAUGCACAACAAUAAAUUGUAGAAAUCCUAAUUAAAGUAAAAUUUACAACAUCCAGAAUUAUUUUAAUUAACUUGUAUUCUACUUAAUUUGAUUUUCUAUUUAAAGUUUCAUUAUUUAAGUAUAACUUAUUUAAGUUGUAUUCUUAAUUUAGAUUUAAGUCAUAUGAAAAUAGAUUUACUAGUCAAAUUAGGAUAAAUCAUAAGUAGUAUAAAUAAGUGUUUUUUGUAGUAUUUACAAAAGGUCUUGAUUAUUUGUUAUUGAUUGUUUCUUGGGAUAUACUCAGUUUGAGUUUUACACCCGUUGUCGACAUUAUGUGGAAUCAACAAAUUUUUAACACCUUAGAUUUACGCGUAUUCUUAGAAUCAACGUGAAUUUAGCUUACUUCUUUAUUAUGAUAUUCUUAAGAAUCAACAGAGUACUAAAAAUAUCACUAUUGAUCCGUCACAAUAUAGCUCUUUUCUUUUCAUUGCGUCAGUUUCAUUGCAGACCGUUUUAUUGUAGAGCCACGCUAUACUAGUUUAGUACUAAAGCUAAAAAAAUGGUAUUACAAAUCUGCCCCCCAUCUACCACCAAAACCUUCCCUUUCUCUCUUUUUUUAGCUUUUUUAUUUUUCCGUUUAGCUUUAUUAAAAAAAUCAAAUUAGAAAAAACUAAAAAAAAACACAAAAAAAGAAAUAAAAAAUCCUAAAUUUUUAAAGCCUACCCACCACUGACCGCCACCACUGCCAUCACUCCACCAGCCUUCACCGUUGUUUGACACCACCACCAAACUCAGCAGCCACACUGGACAAAAUACCAACCAACUUCGUCCUUAAGCCACCAUCAGAGCCCAUGUGAAACACCCAAACCCGCAAGCUUUUUGCCCACUCGCCACCACCAAGCCACCAAGCUUUUCCAUCAAUUUACUACACCACCAUAAGCCCAAGCAAUAGGCGACCAUAAUGUCACGGGAUGAGAGUUUUGCGUAGCAAACCAGUGCGGCACUUAGACGACUUCUAACACACAAGUCACUAAGUAAGCCUAGAUCACUUCUCAACCAGUGAAGCAAGAAUGCUUGCGGACAAUGCUAGAGAGAAGUAGAACAAUAUGGCCAAUAAUAUAUUUUAUUACACACUAAAGAAUAAAUUACAAGAGAGCUUUACAAGAGACCUAGAGAGCUUGUGUGUGCUUGAGUGUUUGUGUGUGGUGUGGUUGGUGGGCAAAUGAGGGGGCUCACCCCUAUUUGUAGGUGUUGGAGUGUUAGCUAUAGAGAGUUCCAUGCAACUUGCAUAAAUAUCCUAGGGGUCUAAGUGAAGAGUCCUAGAAACUUCUAACUAUUUACAAAUUGUAAAGAAAUCUAGAUCUUGGGCCGGGCUUGGGUGAUUUGCUAAGCGCACCACGGUUGGCUAGUUGUGUUGGUGGCCCAUUUCUGAGCGUAUCCCGCUUCUAAGUGCAUCCCACCUUGUGUGCUAAGCGUAUCCCACUUCUAAGCGCACUCCACUUCGAGGCGAACUUUUGCUAAGCGGACCCGCGUGCGCGGAAUUAACCUUCGGUUGCGGGAGAUUUGAACGGCCCGUGACAAUAAGCCUAGCUAUCUGCUGUUGUAAAGCCGCCAUAAGCCACCACAAAAAACUCUCAAAACCCAAGAGUUUCACAACUUCAAUAUGCUUCCAUCACCAUGAAUCUAGCCAAUCCACGGCCACCAUCAUGUUCUUUACCACUAACUCUAUUAGGUCUGGCCAUUAUCACACCAAAUCACGGCCACCAGCUGCCAGCAACACCAAACCUUGAAAGUUAGAUUAUUUACAAUUUUGCUAUUAGUUGUAUUUUUAAUUUGAGUGGAUAAAAAAUGAUGAAGACAAAUAAAGGUCCAUAUUGUCUUCUUGAGUUUGAAGAUAUCUUAGAUAUUGUGGUAAUCCUAAUGAUGUUUUUGACUAGAUUUGCAUGAUGUAUAGUUUGGAAGAGGAAUAUGUUUGUUUGCCUAUAAACUCGAAAGUCGAAGAAUUUGUUUAGGAUAUUGGUUGGCCAUUUAUAUCUAUCAUAACCCCUCAACAUCCAACCAUUGAUUUCAAUCAACUCCGAUAUUUGGUGAACCAAUUUUUGAAGAUGAGAAGCCUGAGAUUUUUCAACCUGUGGAAAAUUUUGAGAAAAACUCAUUUAUCCUCAAUAUUAGCUCUGAAGAUUUAUAUGGUCAGUACGAUAAGAUAUGGUUAGAGAGAUUAUUGCUUGAAGAUUUUAUCUCAUGCUAUUGGAUAAGAUGGAUUAAUAUUGUCACCAAGGUUGGAAAGUUCAAGUUUGUUCAUCAAUAUCAAGAUGAAUUUUCUCCAUCUUGACGGGAAUGAUGGAGGGUAAGAAAUUGAAGAAAUCAUAAUUAGAUUGAAAUUUAUAAUAUUUAGGAUUGUUUUAAUUAAUUUAUAUUCUAAUUUAAUAUAGUUUCCUAAUUAGAGUUUCAUUGUUCAUGCAUAACUUAUUUAAGUUGUAUUCCUAAUUUAGGUUUAAUUCUUAUGAAAAUAGGUUUACUAGUCAAAUUAGGAUAAGUUGUAUUCCUAAAUUAGUAUAAAUAAAUAUCUUUUAUAGCUUUUACAAGAGGCAUUUAUUAUUUGUUAUUGAUUUAUUUCUUGGAAUGAAAUCUUUGUUUAAGUUUUAUUCUUGUUACUUCUCGGCGUUCUAUGGAAUCAAUGAGUUUUAACACCCUAGAUCCACGGGUAUUCUUAUAAUCAAUGCGGAUUUAGCUUAUUUCUUUUUUGGUAAUAUUCCCAAGCUUAAAUGGAGUAUUGAAAAUAUCUCUAUCUAUCCAUCACCUUGCAUUUUCUAUCCAUCUAUUGUGUCAGUUCCAUUGCAGAGCAUUCUAUUGCCUUAAAGUAUCAAGAUUUAAACCUAUUCAUUUGAAACCACACAUUUAUAUAUUCUAAAUUUGAAGCCCGCAGUAUUUUCUUGAAAAUUAUUUAUCUUCAAUUUUGCCUUAGUAAUUUAUCUAGAAGCCAUAUGCCUCAAUAAAACAACUAAAAGCCAUAGGACUUAGUACACAAUCAAGCUCAUCCAACUAAAACAAAGCCAUUUGUGGAAUUGAUACGAAGCCUUACUUGAAGACAAAUCUCACCAAAGUAGAAUAAGUUUCAGUUACAAUAUUUCAAAUUAGCCCAUGAUCAUAACUCAGUGCUUACAAAAUCACAUCACAGUCAAAGAUAUGUGGAAACAAAAUUAUUGAAGAAGAAGAUAUGCUCAACAAUUCAUGCUUCCAACAUAAUUCUGCGGCAACAAUAUCGAGCUCGCUAACUGAUAGGCACAUAGUCGGUUCUAAAUCAAAAUGCUAUCACAUAUAAGCAUGGUGAAAAUCAUUGACAUGACAAGGUUACAGCAUGCCAAAAAUAGUGGUUACAAUUAUGAUUGAAGUUACAGUCUUGAAGAAAUCAUUAUUGAUCUCAUAGUGAUAGCAUACAUUCUUAAAUGCAUGAUGCCUAAAUAGUUGAUUAAAUUGUUAAUUAAGAUAUCUAUACCUAUUAAGAUUAGUAUUAAAUUUUAUGAGCUUUUAUAUUCAUAUGUAUUUUAUUUUAUAUGAUGAUGUCUAACAAAUUUAUCUUUUGAAAGGAUGUGGAUCUUUAAAGGGGAUUGCAUGAUAUAAAAUAUUUAACUAACAGUGCAACUACACAUACAAUCCUUUGAAAUUAGAAAUAUUUUAUGAGUUUAUAAUUAUUUGAAGCUAAGUUGAAUACCGUCUUAGGUCCUAUAGAUCUGAUCGAGGGCUCUGAAAGAGCAUGUUCAUAUUACCAAGUGGUACAUAAUUAUAUAUCCAUGAUGCUCUCUGUAUUCACCAAAGACUAGAAGAAAUCUUUUGAGUUUUGUCAUAUAAAGAUAAUAAAUGAGAAUAGUACAGAAUAUCUCUAUAUUACUUCUACUAUCUCAGAAAAAAAAAUUUAUUAAAAAACCUUCCCACUUUGUCAUCUGGCUUAUAUCAUCUGAUGAUGAAAGUAAUUGAGAGUAUGCUGUCAUAAACCAGACACUUUGUGAUCUAAAAGCUUUUCGUGCUUUGGCAUGAUCGUCUUAGUCACGUUAGGUCAGCUAUGAUGAGUAGAAUUGUUGAAAAUUCUCAUGGACAAACUUUAAAGGAUUUAAAGAUUAUUUUAUCCAAUAAGGAUAAUUGCACUGCUUGUUCUCAAGGCAAAUUAGUGGUCAAACUAGCUCGUUCUAAGAUUAGCCUUGAAUCUCCGUCAUUCUUACAAAUAAUUUAGGGAGAUACAUGUUGAUUUAUUAUUCCACUCAAUGGUCCAUUUCUUUAUUUCAUGGUCUUGAUUGAUGCAUUUGUACGAUGGUCAUAUGUCUGAUUAUUAUCCACAUAUAAAAUUGCAUUUGCUAGAUUGUUUACCAAGUUAUCAGAUUACGUGCACAAUUUUAAGAUUAUCUAGAUAAUACUGAUGAAUUCACUUUUAAAGAUUUUAAUGAUUACUGCAUAUUAGUUAGUAUUGACGUAGCGCACCCAGUACCAUAUGUUUAUACUUUAAAUGGAUUGGUAUCAAACAUCUUCAAGUAAUUGCAAGAACUUUGUUUUUAUAUAACCUGAUUACCUAGUUUUUGCAUUACGACAUACUAUUCUGCAUGUUGCCGCAUUGAUUCGCUUGAGGCCUACUGUUAUCACUAGUAUUCGCAUUGCAAUUGGUACUAAGGCAUCAACUAAUAUAUCUCAUUUGUGCAGUUUGGCUAUACUGUACAAGUGCCAAUUUGCACCUCGCUGGCAUACUAAAAUAGAACUCGAAUGAUGUUUAGGGAUUUAUGCGGUUAUGACUCACCAUCUAUUAUCAAGUAUCUUUAGCAUAUUACCAAUGACUUGUUUACGUAUGCAAUAUGAAUUUCCAUUUUAAUGAGAUAAAAUUUGCCUUUUUAUGAGAGAAAAAGCCGCCAUAUGAUGAUUGAUGCAAGCUUUUAUGGCAUGUGACAAAAUUGUCUCAUCUAGAUUAUCGCACUACUCAAAGUGAAAAUAAAGUGUGGAGGAUAAUUCACUUACAACAAUUUUGCAAAUCACUUGUCAAAUGCAUUUAUAGAUGGAUCUAAAGUAACCAAGUCAUGUCUACCACAUGUAAAUGCAUCUCACCAAGUAGUUGUUCCUAUUGAAAUUUUUGAUAAAAAUAGCUAAUAGAUUAAUCUAAGGCACACCUAAGGUAUGGUAGACCACUUGGUUUAAAAGAUAAUAUUCAACUAAAAUAAAAAAAAAUAAAAGGUUAGGAUUUUGUUAAUCAGUUGUAAGUAAAAGUGCUACUUCAGAAGAAUAGGUCCUCUCCUACGUGCCUACAGCGACACUACCUUCUGAAGAGAUAAAUACCUCAGAUGUAAGCCAACCUCUUAAUGUAGCUAAGAAUGAAGAAAAGUUUGCAAAUUUUACUCACAAAAUGGAAAGUGUAUAAUCAUAACAAAAAAGCUAUUGACAAUGCUUAUUCAUUUACAAUAGCUACUGAUUUGAUAAAUGAUGAUAUUGACUAAUAGUCCAUUGACGAAUUUAGACUAAGACAUGAUUGGCCCAAAUAGGAAGAAGCAAUCCAUGUGAAAUUGAUUUCCUUAGCAAAACAUGAUGUUUUUAGACUUAUAAUCCAAAUACCUAUUAUUGUUAAACCAUUAGGUGUAAAUAAAUAUUUUUUUAGAGGUGGCUAGAUAUAAAGCACGACUUAUUGCACAAGGUUUCUCACAAAAAGUAGUUAUUGAUUAUGAGGAGGUGUAUUUACUAGUAAUUUGUGUAGUUUUGUUCUGAUUCUUGAUUAGUUUGACUAUAUCUGAGAGGUUUAAUAUUUGUUUUAUGGAUGUAUUUAUUUGUAUGAAUCAUUAUUUAUAACACACACACACACAUAUGCAGUGGCGGCGCCACUUGAGAGCCCCUGCUAGAUUUAAAAAAAAAUAAACUCAUCUUAUUUUUUAGUGCAUUUACAAUAAAGCCCCUAGAAAAUUUUAAAAAUAACUAAAAGAUCAGUAUUUUAAAUAGUGAUUAGAAUCCAAAAAAAAUUCAAAAUCAAAUCCAUAACCACCACCAUCAAUCAUUUGCCAAAGAAAACCUCCAUCGGCUACCAUCAGUGAUCAGCUUGUCGUCUAUCUCUGUCCAAUUCCCAUGUCAUCACACCUCUUUGUUUUCAUGUCAUUGCCAUAGACGCUACAACUUGUAGCUCGUAGUCGCAGUCGCAGUCUUGCAUCACCGUAUGGUCCUCGCACUCGCAGCCUUGCAUCACCACAUGGUCCGCAUCUUUGCAUUUUUUCUAGUACUACCAUUGCACCUUUACAGCUUUUAUAUUAAUUAUCAAGAAUUGAUUAAAUUAUUUUGAUAAUUAAGCACCUCUGUCACUUUAUGAUUUAAUAUUCUAAUUCUUGAAUUAGUUUAUACCUUUUUGAAUUGAAUUGGUUUAUGCCUUUUUUAAUAGAAUAAUAUUAUUAACUUUCAAUUAUUGUGGCGAUGCUUUGUGGAUUGAUAAAGGGGCAAUGCUUUUAACUUUACUGAUUAUAACUAAUAAAAUAAAAAUUCCAUGGCCCAUGGGUGACGCCGUGACGAGUUAGUAACCUAGUGGUUGAGGAUUUAGUCGGGUAGUCGGUUUAUUAAAUUAAUAAUUUGUAAUUUUUUCUUUUUUUUUUUUAGAUUUUGACAUGGAAAUUGUCUUCAGUUUCUCUUUAAAUAAACACAAUUAAUUGUGUUUAGUUGUCACAGUUAUGGAGAAAUAUUACUCAAGAAAGCCAUUGUCACAACCUUCUCCAAAAAAAACCAAAAUACAGCUCAAAUCAAGAUGUAGAAUUCAAUUUACAAGAUCCUCCUACAGAUCCUGGUUUACAAAUUUCAAUCUCUUGUUAUAGUCUUAAUAUUCAAGAUUAAGUCCGAAGAACAUACUUAUAGAGAGGUUCUGUUCAACCUAAAAAUCACAACUUCAAACUUUUAGAUUUUGGAAACCAAAAAAGGCAGUUUGGUAGUAAUUGGUUUGGGAAAUUUAGAUCUUGGUUGGAAUAUAGUAUAGAAAAAGAUGCGGCAUUUUGUCUCUUUUGUUAUCCUUUUAAAGAAGAGAUUGGUAAUAAAGGGGGUGGUGAUUCAUUUGUUGGUAAUGGUUUUAGAAAUUGGAGGAAACCUGAAAAAUUUGUUGAACAUAGGGGAGAUGUUGAUAGUGCCCAUAACAAAGCUAGAGAAAAUGUGAAAUGUUGAUGAAUCAAAAUUAACACAUUCAAACAGCUUACACAAGACAUUCUGACAAGUAUCUAAGCGAUUAUCGAGCUCACAUGAUGGCUACUAUUGAUUGCAUUAGGUUUUUAUUAAAACAAGGGCUUGCAUUUCGUGGGCAUGAUGAGUCUAGAGAUUCAGGCAAACGAGAGAAUUUUCUUCAGCUUCUAUUUUCUUGUCGAUCAUAAUGAAGACAUUAAUGCUGUUACUUUUGAUAAUGCUCCUGAAAAUCUUCAAAUGAGAUUCAAAAAGACAUUGUAAGUUGUGCUACAGUUGAAACUACCAACAUUAUUAUUAAAGAGAUGGGCGAUAUUUUGUUUUCUAUCCUUAUUGAUGAAUCUCGUGAUAUUUUUACAAAGGAGCAAAUGGCUGUUGUUUUGCGUUAUGUGGAUAAAAAUGGCUAUGUGGUUGAGCAUUUUAUUGGGAUUGAACAUGUUACUAGUACUACAUCUAUUUCACUUAAAGAGGCACUUGACAAACUAUUUUCCAGACAUGGUUUGAGUAUGUCUAGGUUGCACAGACAAGGAUACGAUGAAGCAAGCAAUAUGUAAGGUGAGUUCAAUGAUCUUAAAGCACUGAUUUUGGAGGACAACAGAUGUGCUUUUUUUAUUCAUUGUUUUGCACAUCAACUUAAAUUGGCUUUAAUUUAUGUGGCAAAAAAGCAUGAAUAUGUUAAUUCUCUUUUUCAGUUUAGUUACAAUGUUAGUCAACGUUGUUGGUGCUUCAUGAAAACAUUGUGAUAUUCUUCAAGAGAAACAUGCUCAAGCAGUUAUUAAAGCAUUCAAUGAUGGUGAAAUAUCAAGUGGACGAGGUUUAAAUCAAGAGGUUACUUAAAAGAAAUAUGUUGACACACGUUGCUCACAGUAUGGUAUGUUAUUGAGCAUAAUCACCAUGUUUCCAUCUAUUAUUGACGUGCUUGAGAUAAUUUCGAAUGAGGGAAAUUCUGAACAAAGAUUUCAAGCUACAAUGUUAUUUAAGUGCAUGCAAUUAUUUGAUUUUGUGUUUAGUUUGUUGUUAAUGAAAAAAAUUCUUGGAUUUGCACAUGAGUUAUCACAAGCAUUACAAAAAAAGGAUUAGGACAUUGUGAAUGGUAUAAAAUUAAUUGGAGUGUAUAAGAGAAACUUGAAAAAAAUGAGAGAAAAUUGAUAGGACUCUUUACUUGGUGAAACUUCUUCUUAUUGUGUGAAGCAUGAUAUUGAUGUUCCUAAUAUGGAUGAUUUGUUUCAAACUUAAGGGAGAUCACAACGCAAGGCUCAAAAUAUUACAAAUUUGCAUCGUUUUCGUGUUGAAUUAUUUUAUGCAAUUUUGGACAUGCAACUUCAAAAAUUAAGCAAUCGUUUCAAUGAGACGAAUACUGAGUUGUUCUUUGUGUGGCAUGUCCAUGACCUAAUGACACAUUUGCAGCUUUUUAUAGACAGAAACUACUUCGCCUUGCUGAGUUUUAUCCAAAUGAUUUUUCUCCAGUGGAUCUUGUGGCACUUAAAACUCAACUUGAUAUUUAUAUUAUGGAUGUGGGUGCUGACAACAAAUUUUCAGGAUUGAAAGGGAUUGGUGAGCUAGCAAGAAAAUUGGUUGAGACUAAGAAGUAUCAAUUAUAUUAAUUAGUUUAUUUAUUGGUGACAUUAGUAUUGAUUUUACUAGUUACCACAUCUACAAUAGAAAGGGCAUUUUCAGCUAUGAAUUUUGUGAAAAAUCAUCUUCGAAAUCGGAUGGGAGAUCAAUGGUUGAAUCAUAGUAUUGUUGUAUACAUAGAAAAUGAUAUAUUUUGUAGUCUUGACAAUGAGGUUAUUCUUCAACGUUUUCAACAUAUGAAACCUCAUUGAGGACAUUAUAACUGUAUUGAAUUAAAUACUUUAAGGAACUUUUAUUUUAAUAUAUAUCAUUUAUUGACUACUUUCUUAAAUUAAAUUAUUAUUUAAACUUAGCCUCUACUAAAAUUAAUUUCUGGCACCACCACUUCACAUAUGCAUAUAUAUAUAAAAUGCUUAAACAUCCCUGUCAUCACAUUAUGGCUUGUAUUCUAUAAAGCUUCAAAAAUCUUUAAACAAAUUGAAACAAUCUAGACACAUUUGGCAUAGUCAAUGAAUACUUGAUCAAGGAUACAUGCACUAUAAGAAAAUAGCUCGGAUGUGACGGUGUAUAUGACUGCAAAAUUGGGGGUCGCAAAAGAUACUAAACUACUUUGCCGCGUGUCUCAAAGCUAUUUUCUUGGUAACACGUGACCAUUUUGGGACAUAAAAAACCAGUCACAAAAAAAAUUCUAAAAAAAAAGAGUGAUGAUAAAGCCACAAACUCUUGUACAAACUUAUUUUAUACAAAUUGAUGUGGCAUUAAUUUAUUGGUUGAAUGAAAAUAUAAAAUAAUAUAAAUAAAUCAUGUAGGCCAAGAAAUAUUUAAUUCAACCAAUGAAUUAACGUCACAUCAUUUUGUACAAAAUAAGUUAGUAUAAGAGUUUGUGACUAUAUCAUUACUCAAUAAAAAAGUAGUUUGGCCCUUAACUCCUCGAAACUGUAACCGCCAGAACGCCACACAAUUAAGUCCUUACCAAUGAAGCCAAAAGCAAAAAGCUUGUUGGAAUUUAAAGUUUAAACAUAUUUAAAACAUUUUAUUUUUGUACAACUUAUUCCAUUAUUCAUCAUUUUCACUUGUGCAUUUCAUUUUAUUUCCAAUUCACUAUUUUAGUUACAUUAUCUGUUUGCAUCAUAUUUGACAACUCUGAAAUUAAAUCUCAUAAUUACAUAUUCUCUUUUAAUUAAUUGUGCUUUUGAGUCCUAAUUUGAAUCAUUUGUAUACCUAAAAUUAGAGUUUGAAUCGAUUACAAUAAUUAGGGAUUCGAAAACCAAAAAUGAAUAGGGUUUUGAUUAUCUUUCCUUUUGAAUUUUUAUCCUCAUUUCUAUUUCUAUGACUUAUUUAAUUGGCGAAGCUUUUUCAUAGUCCAUUUAUAUUCAUAGGAUUUAAACGAACAAUUGUUUCCUAACAUUUCCUAACGGCUCUUUUUUUCUUUCUCCCCAAUUAUAAGUAAAUUUACUAUUUAGCUUUUGAAUUUGUUGAUUAAAUGCAGCAUUGAUAAGAUUUUAGAUAUUGUCAUACUUCAUGUAAAGAGCUUGAUUAAUGUUUAACAGUUCAAUUUACUGUAUUAAAUAAUUUUUGUUAAUGUCGAAAUCCGAUCGAGUCGGUUAGCGGCUCGAUACUAGACCCUUGCAUCAGCAUUAAAUUUGUUUGGUGGGGAAGCGGCUUGCCAAACACUAAGAACACCCUCCGACCAUUACCAAAUAACCUAAGAAAACCUGAAAUCACAAAUAAUGGUAAGAGGCACCAAAAGUUUUUUCUGCGAUAACCCUCUAAUGCUCAAGUCACUUUAUAGGUUUACUAGAAUAAAAAUAAAUAAUUUCUAUUUUAAACAAAAACAUAGAUCAAAAAAUCAAAAAUAAAACCAAGUACCAAUAUGAAGAACGGAUUUUUUUUUUCAGCUUGGCUGAAUCCUUCACCCUCAAAAAAAAAAAAAAAAAAAAAAAAAAAAAACAAAGUAGUAGGUAGCAAUGUUGGCAUGGGCAACCCCACUUCCGUUUGAAAUUCUCCAUUUUCCCCACUCCCAAGAGCCCAUUCCUCCUUUUGCUCACCAUCCUUUAUAAUUUUUUAUACUCGUCUCCCCAAAAUGGCCUUUGAAUACAUAAGUGAAUGUCUAGGCUUUGGUAAGGGUGGUUCGGUCAUUGCCUUUUACAAGUAAGAUGGGUGGUGUUGAAAAAUGAGGAGUGCACGUCCUCUUCAGUAAAUCCCACUAACAAUUUCAUUUUCUUUAUUAAUUAAUCUUUUUUUAUCUCCAAACACUAGUCCCCCAAUUUCUAGUGUUGAGAGUGUAACGAAUAAAGACUGAAAACUUUAUAAAAAACUCCCUUGACCGAUUGGGUAGAUCAAGAAAACAGCAGUCGCUGCUGCAACAUAAUUUUAAAAUGACCUCGAGGUGACUUCUAUGAGUCGGCUCAGGGUUGCUGAAAUUAACCUCGCCAUGGGCAAAAGAGUUGAGCGAAUUUUAAGUUUUAUUCCUCACGUCAAGGAGAUUUUGAGCUUACAACCUUUAUUACUAACUUAAGCUGUUUUAAGCAACUCUUAUCAGUUUAAGGAUGUAUGCUUAUCUUGAGCAAAUUUUAAGGCUUUUUUUUUAACUUUUAACUAACUUAAGCAAUUUUAAGCUACUCUUAUUAAUUUAAGGUCUUAUACCUUACUUGGAAUAAGUUUUAAGGCUUUUAACCUUGUACUGACUUGAGCAACUUUAAACAACUCUUGUCAGUUUAAGGUUUUAUACCUUACUUAGAGCAUGUUUCAAGACUUUUAACCUUUUAUCGACUCUCGUUGCUUUUUAUUGUGCCUUAUAAAAUAUUAAUAAAUUUCAUCUAUAAACUUUGUUUGGUUCUCAAUGCUAGCCUACAACUCUCCUUUCAUAAAUUGUUCUCACAUUGAGUAAGUUUCAAGAAAUCAAGUUGAUUAAGUGUUAUCAUUAGCCCUUAUUCGUGCUCAAUCAAUUUGAUAAGUAAAAGUUGUCCCUAUUUCGUAAAUUAUUAGUAGGUAAAUACUAUACCCGCAAAUAAAGGUGGCAAAUGCAUGUUUUGAUAUAGACAGCAAGACAUAAAUUUGUUAGAAUUUCUGACCCGAUUAGCGUGCAACUUUAGCAUCAAUGUCUCCUUCUAGGUGAGCCUGCCUCAUACGCAAAUGUAUCAAAAAUUGACUUGGCCAUUCAAAUAAGAGUUUGUCAAAUACACGACAGACAUAAAUUAUAGAUGUGAUAUCAUUCACUAGGAAUUAUGUAAUUCAAAAACAUAGGUUAAAUAGCAGCGAGUCUAAUGUCCAAGUGUCUAAAGUCAUCAUUGUUACGAAACAACUCAAACCAAACUGCAACUUAUAAAUUAUCCACAAAGUAGCUCACAAAAUCAAACACAGUGGCGGGGCUUCUAGCCAUUUAUGACUGAUGCUUCUAAUCAUUUAUUUAUGCAUCUAGGUUUUUUUUAUGGAUAAGCAUCCUUUGUACUCCAUUAAAAGUCCUCUGUUAAAGGUCCAUAUAGUAUUAUUUAUUAUUGCUAUGAAUAUUGAAAUUUAAAUGAAAAAUAAACCAUAGCAUUUUAGUAUAUGUAAUCACAAAAGAGAUGGCAGUUUAAACCAUUAAACAAAGUCAUAUCAUUAUAUAUGAUGCAAUAUAUAAUCGUUGUAUUAAAAAAUGGCUAAUGAUGAUGAGUUAAAAACCCAAUCUUGCAGAUACCUUAAGUCAAUAAACAGAUUUGAAGAAUAAAAUAAAAUCAUGAUUUUAGAACAAGUGACCUUGUUUGAGUUCUAAGAAUUCUGUACUAUCUUGUAGUGAAAUUGCAUAACAGAAUUCCCUGCAUAUUCUUCACACGAAAACGAGCUGCGUGGUCGAAUUAUUGGGUGUAAAACUAGCAGAAAAUACCCUGAAGAAACCAAAGAUCCAUGGGUUUUUUAUGCUUGUCACCAAAUAGGUUUAACUAUAUAUAUGAGUAACCUUUAUUUAAGAACUUGAACAUUGAUAAUAUUGCAAACCAAUUAUUCUUUUGGGCAGACUUUAUGUCUAGAAUCCAAUGCAACGAGAGUACAAAUAUGUAACCAAAAUAAUGAUGGCAACGACAUUAUGAAUCUAAGAAGCCAGAACAAAGCUAAUUGUUACUUAUUUAAGACAUUAUGCCAAGCAUGUGGUGGGCAAAUUUAAAAUAAAUUUAUUUGUAAGUGUAAUAGAAUGUAAUCUUGCUCAAUCAAUUAUGAAUGAAGCCAGUUCUAGCAAGCUGAUUUUAUAAGAAAAUAUUUUCAAUGAAUUCCAAAAUAUAAUAUUCAGUUCUUUCAUCAAGGAUAUCAUGCAUGUUAGUGAAGAAUUUGCAAACAUCUCAUUUUCGAUAAACUAAUCAUCAUGCCAAUUGUAAUUUAAAUUCUAAUGAACAUUUACUUAGAACACUGCAAAGAUAAAUAAGUGAAAACUAGGGAUGGCAAUGGGGAGGGGAGGGGAGGGGACCAAUCUCCCCGUACGCAUCCCCGAUAUUUUGCGUAUGUCCCCGUCCCCGUCAGAAUUACUUGAGAGAAUCUCCAUCCCCUCCCCGAAUAAUAACAUGGGAUCCCCGAGGGUCCCCGAUCCCCGAAUAACUAAUAUAUUUUUUUUUUCGAUUUUGGGUUAAUGAUAUUAAAAUAAAAAAUUUAAAUAAAAGUAAAGUUCGAAAUAUAUCUUACAUUAAUAUCCAUUACAAAAGUCACAUACAUUAAAUUAAUAAGUAGUGCAGCAUGCAAGGGAUACAAACUUCUUUUACAAACUAUUAUGAACAAAUUAAUAGUCUAAUACAAAAUUGUUACAAAUAAAAUCGAAUUUAGAUUCAAAAUUAACUUUUUCAAUGGUGGCGUGGACACUUUAUAAAUGUGGACUAUUCCCUUUACAACACAAUAGUUAAAUCGGAGAAAAUCAAGAGCAAAUAUUAGAUUAGAUUAGAUUAGAUAUUAAAAUUUUGAUCGCUGUGGGCAAUUAUAAUAUCUAAAAAUAAAUAAAUAAAUAGAUUUAAGUUUAAAAUAUUUAAAUAAUAUUAAAAUUAAAAAAUUUUGGGCUAAUAGAAUCUACUCGGUCUUUUUAAUGUCCUAAAUAAAAAUUUAGGACUUUAAUUAGUUAAUUAGGCCUAAAAGUUUAAUAAUAUAAAUAUUUUGAUAUUUUUUAUUUUUACCAAUAUUUAUAAUUUAAAUUUUAUUAUUUAUUUACUAGUAAUUUUAAAAAAUUAAAAUAAAAUUAAAAAUUAAAAUGGGGAAAUGGGUAGGAGAUGGGGAUUCCACCUCAUCCCCGUCCCCUCCCCGAAUAAGAAAUUGGAUAAAAAAAUUUCUCCGUCCCUUCCCCGAAUAAGAAAUUGGGUAUGAAAUUAUCUCCAUACCCUCCCCGAAUGGGAAAAAUUCCCGAGGGUACCCGUCCCCGUGGGAAUUUUUGCCAUCCCUAGUGAAAACCUUCACAGGCGGCAUUCCAUUUAAGCAUUGGCUUCCUCGUUUGAGCAAGUUCAUCCAUUUAGGCAAUAAGCAUGCUUAAAAUAGGAAAUAACUGAAGAUUUCAGAAGCCAAUUAAUUAACUGAUGCACAUUCAGAAGCUUAUACAAUUUCGUGGAGAUAAAUAAAGACUUUGGAAAUAAGCAUGCUUAAAAUAGGAACUUAUUUGAUGUGCAUGGCUUUAUAAGUUGCAUGCAAGAUUCACUUUACCAAUUCAAAAAGAUUUCAUGCAUAAGUCUUGCCUAAACUAAAUUGCACAUGCAUGGCAUUAUAUAUGGAAACCAAAUUGAAGAAAAAGGAAAUCAAAGUGGACGACAUGUGCGUGGCAAUUAAGGGAAGCAAAUUAAUUGCUUUAAAUUAGAAAUAAAAUCCAAUAAGGAUUUGGCCAAUCUUUGGGCAUUAUAAAAGCCAAUUUUUGGCUUUUGAUUCAGGGAGUGGACAGCCAUACAUAUGCAACACCGGCGGCAAGAAGAGCAGAAAAGGAAAUGAGAAGCCAGAAGAAAGAAAUGGAGAGUUAGCCACUUGAAUUAAUCUCCAUUAUUGGUUUUAUCAAAUUUCUUAUUCCUAAUUCAAUUAUGUUAAGCUAGAUUUUCUAUUUGGUUAAGCGUGAAUUCAAAACCCCAAACAUGUCAUAUGAUUAAUGUUCAAUUUCUAUCAUUCAAUUUAUUUAAUUGAGAUUGUUUAUGUUCUUCUAUAAUUAAUUAUUAUGAUUUUAUUCUUGUUUUAUUUGAGUGGCCAAUUAGAUAGGACUUGAAUGAAUUCUAUUACCAGAUUAAAAUUAUUGAUCCGUAAUUGUCUUGAUAUUUUAAUCAUUAAUAGUAGAUUGGAAUAAGUGAUUUUAAUUGGAGAACAUAACCUAGGUUAAAUAAUCCGAGCUUAUGUGUUUAUUACCUAAAUCAACCUAAUAUCUUUCUCUGCUUAAUGCUUCCAUUAUCUUAAAUUUAAAGAGUUUGUUUUAAAUUAUUUAAUGGUUAGAGAUUAGGUGAAAAACUUAUUUUGCCUAACGACAUACUAAGGAAAGCUUGAGACUAACAGAGCUUAAUGUUGUCUACGGUUGAUAGUUUCAAUAGAAAUUAAUGAUAGAAUUGAUAUAUUAUGUGCAUGUUUGAUGGUGGCAAAUGAUCAUUUAACUAAAGUUUUUAUCAUUAUUAUUUCUUUCUCCUUUAGUUCGAGUUUUUAUUAAAUUAUUUUUUUGUAGUUUUAAUUUCUUUAUUUCUUGCUAUUUAUUUAACAUUCAUAAACCUCCUUUUUUUAUUCAUCAUUGCCAUUUUCUUUAGUUAGAUUAAUUUAUGUUAUUAUUACUACUAUUAUUUUAUUUUAAAUCCUCUUUAGAGUUGAUAAUAAAUAUAACUAGCAUACUUUUUGUGUGAUCGAUCCUUACUCGCCCUGUACUAGUUAUUUAUACUAGUAGUAAAGUUUUAAAUUUGGUGCACUCUAACGACACUACCAUGUUUCAACUGGUUAGCCCGAUUUACUGUAUAUAAAAUUUAUUAGUGUGUGAAAGAGUAUAAAUAGCAGCUAGAGCACAAGACUUUAAGAAGUUACCGUACACCUUAAUAUAGCUGUAAGUUAGUUAACAAUAUAUAUGUGCAUACGACAAUGAAAAUGCUUCACCAGGUUGGCCUAAUUUAUUAUAUAUAUAAUUUAUUAAUGUAUGAAAGAGUAUAACUAGCAACUAAAGUAUUUGAUUUCACUACAAGAAAAUAGGUAAUAGAUGACGGAAAAUAACUAUCAUAAAAAUGGAUGCAUGACAAACAAUCUAUCCGUCAUCUAUGUUACUGUCAUUAAUUUAUGAUAAAAAAAUUUUCCACCAUGAAUUUAUGAUAGUUUUUAAUAGUCAUAUAUAUGUCACACUAUUUUAGUGGGAAUUUCAAAAUUAUUUGAAUUUUUGGCAUUUUUGUAAAUUUUUUGGCAGGAAAAUGGUUAUUAUUUCAAUUAAUAAUAUUUAAAAAUAUUAUUAUAUUCCAUCAAAAAAUAUUAUUAUUUUUUAUUUUGAUUUUAGAUUAUUCUUUCUUAAAUUGCAUUAUUAUUAUUAUUAUUGAAUUUUGGUUAUUCUUAUUUGAAUUGUAUUAUUAUUAUUAUUUCUUCAAAUUUACAAAUUCUACACAUUUGUUUUCAGAAAAUCUAAUGAUAAUAUUUAAAAAAUAAAUAACAAAAUACAUGAAAUUUAAUAUAUAUUAAAACAAGUUUAAUCAUAUACAAACUAUAUUGUUGAAGUAUUUUCAAAUUACAUCGAUCCCAAAAUAAACUACAAUUUCACCAGCCGCAAAAUACUUGCACCAAAAAUCAAAGUCCGCCAAAACCACAGCUAAAAUCUUGAUGCAGCAACAAAAUCCAAAUUGAUAGUACCUGAAAACAAACAUAACACAGAUAACAAACUAUGGCACGUUAAUAGUCUUUAAUGCCACCGUGCCAGAAUAUUUCAUCCAAAUUAAAUUAAGAUGCACAAUCUAUUUUGAGAGGAUGAACAAAUUAUUCUAUGAAUACAAUCUAUGGAAGCCCUACCUUAUGCUGCUCUAAGCCACACCAAGGUUCAACAUUGAUUAAACUUUUAUCACAACCAAUUGUGCAUGAUAUAAAGGAACAAGUUUGACAACAUAAUGCAAAUAAAGCUAACUCGUAAUAUAAAUAAGGCUAAGUCAAUGAGAAGUUUUUAUCAUCUUGGUAUAGACACUUUAUUGAAAUUUGUUUCAGAGGAUAAUUUAUUUACAUAAUCUAAUAGAGAAGCUUGUGCCGACUACAAUUAUUUAUAUAAAAGCUAGAUGAAAGCUAGACAGAAUGAGUUCUAGGUAAUUAUAGACAACAAGUAUUAUUGCAGCAUUUUGCUAAAUUAGAACAAAAAUUCACCUUUGUACAAUUAUGCCUAGACUUGAAACAAGAGCAUGCAUUGUGCAGGUAUGAAGGUCACAUGCAUUUGCCAUAGUCUUGACAAUUGACCUCUUCAAAGCAAAUGUAGCUAGGACGUUUCGGGGGACAUGACACACAACAUGUAUGGCAACGAUUGGAGCAACAAACCCACAUAAGAGCAGAGCAAAAAUUUUCCCUGCUGAGAAUUCAUGUGCAUUAUCAAUUUAUAUAUAAUUCAUUGAAUUUCAUUUUAACAUGCAAAUUUUCAAAAAGAAAGUAAGUUUGAUCAGUGAAACUCAAACAAACAAAAGAUCACAGCAUUUAGCUUUGGGAAAUUUAAAAUUCAUUGAAAGACUAGAAAGCCAAUUAGGGGCAUGGAUGCCUUGCUAAAUAUGCUAGUUAUUUUUAAAAGGUUACAGCCUAAAAUGCAUGCUUAUAGCUAAUAAAGUUAAAGCUAAAGCUACUUUAAUUCAUAUGGAAAAUAAAUAAUUUUCCUGUUUAUGUCUGACAAGAAAGCGAAAGAGAGAGUAUAGACCAAAUAAUAUAAGGCUUGAAGUUUCUAGUUAGCAUAUUACUAAAUAUAAUGCUGCAGAAAUUUUAUUUACCUCUAAAGUACUUCUUGACAUGGCCAAUAUCAUAUUUGCCUACAGCUCCAACUAACUCAAUCUCCAUCAUACUCUUCUUUUGUGUUGUCAUAUGACGAGUUGCACCCUGAGAACAAGUAAAAGAAGAUAUAGUCCCUUUUGAAGGGCAGACCUUGUUGGCUAAUGGAGAUGUGAGGAUUUGUAUACUGAGCAAGCAACGACCUGGAAAUUACCUUUCAAUAUCUAUAAUAGCACCAUUUCUCAAAGGUAAAAAGACCUUGAUUGUAUCCUUGAAUUCACUCUCAUAGCUUUCAUCUUUCUUCCUAUAAUAGACAGAAACCAAUAAUCACUUGUCGAUGAUUAAGCAAAAUAUAACUACUUCCAUUUAGCAUAGAGAUCAACCCAUUAGUUUAGGGAUAUUGACAGAGGAAGGGAACCACAAUUUAAUGCCUCUUGCACCAACAACAGCACCCGAGUAGAACCUAUUGAAUUUUUUUAAGAUAUAAGAAUAAACUUCAAACUACAAAUAAGGGUCAAAAGGAUGAAAUUGAAGAUUAACAAGAUGAAACAGAGACACAGGCAUAUGGAAAUAACUAACAUGUAAUGACCACAGAUUAAACCUUGGUUGAUUCCACCAAUUACCAAAAAGAUCAUAUUCCACUGAAACUAUAAAAAAUGCUUAAGAGUUAAAAUCUAAAUGUAAAAUCACAAAUAACAGUAAAUUUUUACUACCCGUAAAGAAAAUGGUCCCUAGAUAGUGCUAAUGACACAUAAUCCAUAAGCGUCCCUAAGUAACAAGAACCAUUAGUAAAGGUUGUAUUACUAUCAUCAAGCAUAACUAUACUGUAUUAGAUUUACACAUCAUAGGGGUAUACAAUACAAGCAUCUCUUACAACUGAUAAAAGUUAAUAAUAAGAAACAAAAAGAAUAAAAUUCAUCAUUUUCUAAGAAAACUCAUAGCUAUAUUCCUCUUACAGAUUACAGAACCUUACAAGAAUAGUUAACUACUAGAUGCAGCUUAGUUUCUUCAUGCUAAGUCAAAUUCUUAUUGAGUUAACCCAGCAACUCAUAAUCCAACUCUCACCUUCGUGCCUCUUUAGUCAAAUCAGAAAAGACCUGCAAAAAUUAAUCAAUUAAUUAUAGUUGCAUUGAUUCCAAUUUUAAAGCUAAUCAAUUUUAGAAAUCUACUAACUUAUUUUCCUUACAUUUUGGAAUAAAAAUAAAAUAACAAAAACUAAUCAAACAAGCAAAAGCAAACCAACCUGACGGGCAGCCAAUUCAUUGAAGCCACUAGGAUUUCUUUGCAAAUCUUUGAUCAAAGCAAAAGCAACCUUCUCAUCUCCCUUGCUUGGCUCCCUUUCUUAAAAAUUAGAAGUCUAUUUGCUAUCAACAACGUUCGUAGGCACGGCAACAACAAGCGUUCUUUGAGAGAGCGAUUUACAGUUAUUGAGGCUGCGAUUGUGGUUUUUUGCUGUAACUUCAUUCAUGGUGGCUGUAGAUGUGAGCAUUUACCUAGGUCGAUUGAGAGUGGCUGUGGGUUUAUGUGGAUUAACGGUGGCUGUCAGGACGCUAGGGUUUCAAGUGGUUUUGUGAGAGAAGAGUUCAGUGAGAGAGUGUGUGGUAGGGGUGGUAAAAAUAUCCGUCUGGUGCAGAUCCGGAUCAUAUUCAGGUGUUAUGGAUGGGGUAUUAUCCGACCUGGGUAUGAAGUUGGAUCGAUUUUGAAUAUCACUUGAUAAAUUUGGAACUCUAAUUUUAUUAAAAAAAUAUUAUAAAAUAUAUAUUAUUUUAAAUAUUUAUAUUUAUUUGACUCAUUUAUUAUACAGAUAUAAAGUUUUAAACACUUAAACUUUAUAUUUUCAUGUCAAAUUUUGUUGAAAUAAAUUUAAAACUUAUAAAAUUACCAAAAAAUAAAAAAUAUAUACACAUAUAAUAUUAAAAAAUAUAAAAUUUGAGUACCCAAAUUAAAACCCGGCCUGAACCCGGACCCGGACCUAGACUGAUUGCAUCCAGGCAAGGUCCGGUCAUUACAAUACCCGGACCUGACCCGAGGUUUUGCCAUCCCUAGUGUGUGGUGACCUCAACACUUAGGAAAAAAGAUCGAGGGUAUCUUUUUAAUUUAAACUCUUUAUGUUUACUUUUAAUAAUUUAUUUUUAAUUUAUAAUAAAAAAUUCAUAAUAUUAAAUAUUUUAAAUUUAUGAGCAAAAAGUCGUCGUUCUAAUUUACGUGAAAACGACGACGUUUCUUGAGUUAUAUAAAAUUUUAUUUUAAAUAAUACCCAAAAUUUUAUUCAAAGAAGCGCUAAAAUUAAGUAAACAUUAAAAUUCUAUCAUGAAUCAUUGACGUAAUAUAUUCUUUUUGGUUAUAAGGAGCUACUGACUUCGAAAGUAUGUGCAAAAUCAAGCACUUCUUGAGGCUUCAAUUGCUUAAGGGUACCUUAUGGAGGAAAGUAUGAAUUUUUGUUAAAGUUACAUUGACAAGGUAGAAACCAAAAGUAACCGACCAUUUUGUAAUGAUGUUGGUGGUAACAAAAUUGGGUGUCCUCGCAGUAAAGGGGCUAAAUUAUGUCUUAAUAAUGUUUCAUGGGUUCAGGUGCACAAAUAUGUGCUAUUUAACACAGAUACUGUAACCAUUUUUCCCUGAGUAUGUAGUGUAUAUUUUUUGUUCAAAUAUUUUGAUCUCUAGUUUUUAAUUAUCAUUUAUCCAGUGAUUUACUAAGUAAUGAUUGAAUUGACAUAGGGCAACAUCUAGCAAUUCUCAAGCGAGAGAUAUUGCGUGGUGCAAAACAUCACAUUAAAAAAGUUCACAAUGAAGUAUUUCACACAUAGUUUUCGAAUAAUGUAAGUCUCUCAAACAUUGCCAUUGUGAAUUAUUGUUUUAAGUAAUAGCAAUUUUUUAUUUCUAAUAUGUAUUUAUAGGUUAAAACUUUGCAACGAGCGUCAAUUGUAGAAUUCUUUGAAGAAAUUUUAAAUCUAGCCAACGGUCCAAAGAAGUUUGCACAAAGAUCCAAAGGCUACACUGUUAAUAGCUGCUGAUUCUGCACAAAAGAUAAUGAUAAGAAUAAAACAACAUAAAAUUUUGGUGUUGUAUUAAAGGCUGACACAAUGAGCUAUACUGAUGCAAGGGAUAAAAAUCCUCACUUGGGCAAAGUUACAUUUCAUGGUAUGUUAAAAGACAUUAUAGAAAUUCAUUAUAAUAAUGACAUGAAGUUUGUUCUUUUCACGCGUGAUUUGGUUGAUGAUCGAUUCAGAAAGAUACUUGAUGAGUUUAAUUUUACAAUGGUGAAUUUCAACCAUUUGUUAUAUAAAAAUAAUCAAGUUUGGCAUGAACCUUUCAUUCUAGCGGGGCAAGUAGAACAAGUUUGUUAUGUCCAAGACCCUGUAGAUUUAGAUUGGCAUGUUGUUAUGAGUUUAAUUUUACAAUGGUGAGUUUCAACCAUUAAUUCAUAUAAAAAUAAUCAAUUUGGGGGAUGAACCUUUCAUUCUGGGCGGCAAGCAGGACAAGUUUGUUAUGUCCAAGACCCUAUAGAUUUAGAUUGGCAUGUUGUUAUGAAAAUGACAAUUAGGGAAUUGUAUGACAAUUAUUCUUAUAGCCCAUUGAUAAUGCCUCAAGUUGAGUUAUAUCUCAAUAACAGUUGGAUGAGAGUGUGUAUAUGUGUGAUGAAGAUAUUGCUUGGGUUAAGAAGGGGGUUGAUGUGACAACUGUGGAAAUUAAUUCUGUGAAUGAUGAUGAUGAUGAUCUUAGCAUGGAAGAUAUUGAUUAGAUUCAUUAUUUUGACAUCAAUAUUAACAUAUAAUUUGUAAUAAUGUAUGCAUUUUGAGGGGCAAAGUUUAUUAUGUUCCCCCCAUAGAGGUGUUUUUACUUUUUAUCACAUCAAUAAAUCAUGUUACUGCUUUUCAGUAGUAAUUAAUUUUCGCCUAUAUCUAUUGUUAUUGUUGUCGUAUUGACAAGUUUAUUACACAUUAACAAGUUCAUUAUGUAUUUUAGUGUAUAAUUGUAGUUUAUCAUGGUGCCGAAAAGAAAUAGACACUACUACAAAAAUGUAAAACAAUGACACAUACAUUAUGACGGUUUAUUUAAAAAACCGUCAUUAAAAAUAUUUAAUGACGGUUAUUAUAUGAACGGUCAUAAUAUGUACUAUUUAUAAUGACGGUUCUAUUAUAAAACCGUCAUUAAAUAUCAUGCUAAAAAUAUAAUUUUAUUUUUAAUAACGGUUACUUAUAAAAACAGUCAUUAUAAAUUUCAAACUUUUAAUGACGGUUCUAUUAUAUAACCGUCAUUAAAUAUCAAGUUAUUAUUUUUAAUGACGGUUUAUAAAAAAAAUCGUCAUUAAAAAUAAUUACUUUUUAUGACGGUUUUACUAUAUAACCGUCAUUAAGUAUCAAGUUAUUAUUUUUAAUGACGGUUUUUUUUAUAAACCGUCAUUAAAAGUCAUUACAUAUUAAACUAUUAUUUUUUAUGACGGUUCUAUUAUAUAACCGUCAUUAAAUAUCAAGUUAUUAUUUUUAAUGACGAUUUAUAAAAAAAACGGUCAUUAAAAAUCAUUACAUAUUAAAUUAUUAUUUUUUAUGACGGUUCUACUAUAUAACUGUCAUUAAAUAUAAAAUUAUUAUUUUUAAUGAUGGUUUUUAAACAAAACCGUCAUUAAAAAUUACUAAUGACGGUUACAUAUAUAAACUGUCAUUAACUAUAAAAUGUUAUUUUGAAUGACGCCAUUAAAAAGCUACAAUAUUUUUAAUGACGGUGUUUAAUAACCGUCAUCGAAUAGAAAGAAUCAUUUUUAAUACAUUUCAUGACCGUUUUAUAAUAACCGUCGUUAUAUGUUAUUUGCCUUAAAAAAUUUAUAAAAAAAAGCCGAUAAAAGGAAUAAAGGAAACGCGCAAUCCCUAACCACUCACAUUCCUUAUCUUCUUCUUCAAUUUUCACGAAUUACAAUCACAACGACUCACUCAGUCACACACACCAGCCCUAACCCUACCUAAGCUAUCAAACGCCAAUGCCGCUGCCGCUGUCAAAUCGAUUCAAGUGCUCCGGCGCUGAGUCUAGCCGUCCUUGAGCCGAUUUGCUUCCUUUUUCUGCCGCCGCUGUCAAUCUCUGCCAUUUUUGAGCCGAUUCACUUCCGCAAAAUAGCUGCUGUCAUCUCUGCCGACAUUGCCUCUGUGUUCGUUCACCGUCAGAUGCAGUGUUAUUGUGGUGACACUGCCUCCGCUGUCAAGUCAGUUCAAAUUUUCUGGGUGCUAUCUCGAAAAUGUUGGUGAGAUUGUUGCCAAUGAUAUUCUAAAAUUUUGAAUUCAGGGUUAUUGUUUCACCACUGUGAGUUGCUUUCUCCAAUUUUGCAAUUCUUUCCUCUUAAUUUGCUUUGAAAUAUUUGCUCGUUGGAUUUAUUUCCUCUUCAUUUAUAAUCGAUUUGGUGAUUUUGUGUUGUGUAGCUUGUACCUUAGUCUCUCCUUUUCCUUUCAUAAUAUUAUAAAAUAUGUCGUGCACUUUGGCCUUUCGUUUCUUGAUUUUCUUGGUUAAUGAAUUUGGAAAAAGAGUGAAUUAUGGGUAAGGGGAUAGAAAAUCACAUUGACAGAAAAGAGGACUGAAACGCCCUGAUUUUUACUAAGUGGAGUUUACUUAUUUGUUAAAAAAAUAAAUUUUAAAUUAUUAAUGAUUUAAUUGUCUUAUGCUUAUUAUAUUGUUCGUAAAAUUUUUGUUACAAGUCCAGCCCAUGAACCUCUUUAUGUUUUAGCAUUUCUUUAUUUAUUUACGAAACGAAAACCAGCGUUCGAAUUCAAAAGGAACAAAACAGAAAAAGGAAGAAAGGAAACAAGAGGAUAACAGGACGUGAGAGAGGAGAAGAGGGAGAAAGAAGAGAAAGACAAGAGAGGCUAGGUGAAGGAUUUGGAUUUAAAGAGAGAGAAUUCAAUUUCAGAGCAAAAUAUUAAAUAUCUGGCUUUUUAAAUUUGUAAGCCUUAUUCAAUUUCAGGGCAAAAUAUUAAAUAUCUGGCUUUUUAAAUUUGUAAGCCUUCUUUCUCAGUUCACUUUAUUCUUUUAUUUUUCUUCAAAAUUCUUGUUUAAAUUGGCAUGCAUGUUGAUGUUGUUAAGUCAUUUCUAAAUUAACUUGCAUGCAUGAUUAAAAUUCUGUUUAUUUAGGUAUUAUGUCAUUGAAAUUAGUCUCUUUUGCCAUGCUUGUUUCAAGUUCCGAUUCUUAUUUGAAAAAAAAAAAUUUCUAUGUUUGUUCCAUAAUCUGUUUUGGGUAUUAAAGUUGAUACUACCUAGCAAAUUCUAAACUGUAAUGGCUGAUUUCUUCUCUUAUUUUUGUUUAAUCUAUUCAAAUUCAUGUAUAAAUUUACAGGUGUCAGAUAUUUGCCUAAUUAUCAUGUAUGUGUUAAAUUCAUUUUGGGUGAAUUUUUAUACUAUUUAAUCAACUUCAAAGUUACAUGGGUUUGGCCAAUUAUCACAUAAUCUCUUCUUUGACUAUUUGAUUAGAUUUUUGUUCAUGCGUGGCUUAAUUAAUUUCGAAAUCUUCUUACUUGUGAGUGUGGUCAAACCCCAAACAAAUGAAGAAGUCUUCUGGUUUUAUGUCAUAAAUAGAAUGCCUGUAAAUAUAAAAUCGAGAUUGAGCUAAUGAGUGAAAAUGAUGAUACUUGGAUUUUUUGAGGCUCUGUUUUUUUUUUCUUUACUUUAAAAGCUAAUUUGUUUAGCUUUACCUUUGAUUUGAAUUUUUUGCUUCUGUUCUUUGCAGCCAACCUAUGAAAAUGGUGAUAAUCGGGCUCCAAUAAAUAUUGAUUUAAUAGGAACCACAUUGGUAAGCCUAGUUGCAAGACAAGAACUACUUUGCAAAGCAUGCUAUGUGUAUAAUUCUGAGCAUUAAGGAUUCAGUUUCUGAAGGGCAAGCUUGCUGGCUGGGUAUAAAUGUUCCAAGUGCCAAUCCCACCUUAUGUAAGCACAAAAUAUAGUCUCCAUUUCCUUUUUGGAUUAUAUUUGUUUGUAUAGUUAUAUGAUACUGGAUUUUAAUUUAAGAAUUUGUGCAGUACAUUUUUUUACUGUUAGGAGUUAGUUUGAUCAAGGUUAUUUAAGUACUAAACUGUUAUAAUUGAGCUUGUAUGCAUUUAAGUUCUUUAUAUGUAAAUGACAAUUAUAUCAAUGUGUAAUGUAAAUUGAAAUUUGCCAAUGUGGCUUCAAUUGUACAGUUUAGAAUGUGAAAAUAACUAUCUAAAUUUUAAUUUAAAAAAACAAUUGAAGUAUAGUAAUUUUAAAUUGUUAUUUUUUUUUAUUUUUACUCGUGCAAAAGAUGACGGUUCUUAUAUAAGAACAGUCAUCAAAGAGCGAUAUAAGAUGACUGUUAUGAUACAAAACCGUCAUUAAAAAUUGAUAUUUAAUGACGGUUAUUAAAAAUCCGUCAUUAAAAGUAUAUAUUUAAUGACGGUUAUUGGCAAAAAACGGUCAUUAAAACUUAUGUACCUAUAGCAUAUAAUGACGGUUUAUUAGAAUAACCGUCAUAAUAAGUAUACAUUUAAUGACGGUUUUUAAACUGUCAUAAAAAAUGUACCCCUUUUAACGUCGCUGUCUAAGAUGACGGUUUUAAAACCGUCAUCUUAUGUCUUUUAAAACCGUCAUUAAAGGCCAAUUUUGUAGUAGUGAGAGGUUUAUCCAUGGAUAGCUUACUUCAGCAGCAAGCAGAAUAACAAAAACAGUUAUGCUCCUCUUCUCGUUCGCAUUCACAUGCACCACAAGAUGAAGGUGUGUAUUGUCAUGUAUUCUAACAUACAAUCCUUUUUUUUUCCCCUUAUAUUAAUGCAUCAUGUGCUACUUUUUUUUUUGUUUUUGGAUAAUUUUUCUAUUAUUCCUAUUUCUUGAUUGUUUUUUACUAUUUUUAGCCUUUUUUUUCUUGUUUAUGGGUUAAUUUAGAUUAUUAUAUUUUGGUUAAUUUUGUAGUUUGGAGUGAGUCAUCAUUUAUUAGGCAAACUCUUGUCCUGCCCUUGGUCUAGAUAUAUUUGGAAGGAAGUAAAGUUAUGUAAUGCGUACACUUCAUCGUUCAAGUCACUGUCGCAAAAAUAUUGGUUUUAUUUUUAAACUAUCACUAACCUGAUUUGGCUUUCAUGUGUUGCAACAAUAACUAAUUACUUCUUUCUUAGUCUAACCUUUUUAUUUAUUUAUUUUUUUCAAUGUUUUAACGGUUAAAGUUAUAAGACAAUAACUUAUUUUGUAUUGAAUUAUAGGAGAACAUUGAUGCUCCAGAAGCCUAUAAACUUCAUUGUUUAAGGCACAUUAGUAAACUAUGGAAGGCUUGGAGGUCUAGAGUGAAGACUGACUAUUAUGCUGCUUAGACAAAUGAAGAGUCUCUUGCAUCUAUUCUUGAUAGAGUUAUUGAAGAGCAAUGGAGGACACAUGUAGCAUAUUGGGAUAAUGAGGAAGUUAAGGUAUAUGGUUAAUAACAAUAUUAUGAUAAUACUAUCUUAUUAGGAUAGUAAUUUAAGAAUUUACUUCAGUAGUAAUUACAUAUAUAGUAUUUACAGGCAUGUGCUGAACAGAAUAAGAUUAACCAUUCACAACUAUCUUCCCUUCCUAGAACAGGUCGAACUUCGUUUCCCCCAAAAAAGAAAAGAAGAAGAAAUAAAAACAAUACCUAUUUGCGGCUGAUUUUGGGUUAAUGAAAUAAAAUCACAUAACCAAGCCAAGAACAAUAAAUUUAUUUUUUGUUGGGGAGCGGGGUGCCUCGCUUGUUUGGUGCAUGCGGGUUGUUUAGGCUUUUUGUGGAGUGAAGGAAGAUUGAGAUGGCGGUGGAUAUGGCGGAGGUCUGAUUUCAAGUACGGAGGGCUGGUGAAAAUUGCCUUAAACCUGCAAAACAACCAAAAAAGAGGUCAGAGGUGGAGCUGGGGUGGCCCGCGACCACACUUCGACGCUCAAGUCAGAGUUGGGUUAUCUCAGGUUAGAGAGCUUGCAAACUCUCGGUAAUGGAAGUUUUGAGGUUGAAGAAACCUUAGUUUUUGGUGGUGUGUGUGUGAACUUAAUUGAUAAAAAUUAAACCUGAGUAUUUAUAUGGUGUACCCCGGUCGCUGUGCCACCUGGCAUUAUAUUAUUAGCGUUCCCUGCUGCCAUGUCAGGAAUAUUCUUAUUUUCAUGCGUAUGGCAACUUAGGCAUUUCAAAAAUAUUUGUGGAGAGCAAGUUUGAGGCAUUUGCAUGUGCUAGGCGUAGUGGAGUGGUCUCGCGUACCUCUGCAAUUCCGUUGUAAUUUUGCAGGUGUGGCAGGAAAAACUGGUGGUCCCAACUGUCAUAAUAUCAAACUUUUGACGGAUUCGUUGGUUGACAGGCAGCUGUCUCCUCUUUUGUAGCAUGAGAUUUCCUCACCGAUUCUUUAUUUUUUGACACUAUUCAACCGAUCUUUUUGAGAUUCGGGGCCCACCUAUCCAUUGACAUUUUUACGAAGACCUUUUACACUUAUAUAGUGUACCCGAGGUACCCCCAUAGCACUUAGGGUAGCCGGGGUACCUAGGGUACCUGGGGUAUCCAAGGUACCAGAAGUUAGCAAAUUUCUUAAAUAUCGACACGUGGCACUUUAUCAUUGGCCUCAUGUUUCCUUCCCAAACAACAUCCCUCUAGUUUCUUUAUGGCGAAUGUAAUUGAGGCACAAGAAAUUCUUGGAGGAACUGUGUGUGACACGUGGCGAUAUUUACUUUUUUUUUUUUACAAACAUUGAACUGAUGCAUGUCUUCACGUCUCUCCAGCUUCUCUUGGGAAGUGGUAACCGUCUGACACAUAAUUUGAAUUUGAAAACACCUCUCUGUAAAAUUAUUUGACCUCUCGCUUUAUGAAGUACGAUUUGUCAGGUUUAAUUAAAAUCUAUUCCGCUCCUUUUAUGUUACCACUUUACUUUGAAAAUCUCAAAAAAUCUCCUAUUAAGUGUAAUUGCUUCCAGUGGCUUCUUCUUGCUCCCUGGCUUUUCAUCUUUUCCUUAGCUUUAUUUCUUAUUCUUUUUGGCUUAGUCUUUUUCUUUAGCUUCUCAUCUUCUCUUGGGCUCCAUGAACAUUCCAUAAACAGGUUAAAAAAAGUCUUCCUUUACUUUCUCUUUUUUCUUUCUUCUUCUCGACCCACCAUCAUUCUUUCUUUCUCUUUUUUUUUUUGGCCUUUUCACGUGACCUUUUUCAUGGGUUCUUUCUUAUUUUCCCUCUCUUUCUCUUUUCUUCUUUCUUCUUUCAAUCAACUCUCUUUUUCCUCUUUUUUUUUCUCUCUUUUUUUUUCUUUUUCUUUUCUUUCCUUUCUUUUUCUUUUCCUUCCCUCUCGGUUGCAAUUCUUUUUGCGCGUUUUCGGUGGGCUCUUGGCGGUUGUUGCGGCGGUCUUCGGUGCCCGAUCUGUCCGGCGCACGGCUGCGUCUCGCGGCUUCUAGCGAGAUCUCCUUCCGGCGGGUUUGGCUCGGUGCUUCUCUCCCCCACAUUGUCUUCUUCACUUCUUUUUCUUCUCUCUUUUCUUCUCUACUGCGUUUUCUUUGGCUUUUUUUUUUAUCCAGACUUCUUUUUUUUUUUAAUCAUCCUAGCUCCUUUUUUUUUAUCAUCCAGGCUCAUUUUUUUUUUUUUACUUCUUUUCCUUUUUUUUUAAUCCAUGCUCCCUUUUUUUUGUUGAAACCUCUAACGGGUUUCAUUGUGCCUAUUACAGCCUAUGCACAGCUUCAUCUUUUAAGCAAUUUCUGGUGAUCCGCGACUUCUCUUGGCGAUUUACAGUCUAUUCAUCUCCAAACUUGCUUUUUUUUUUGCGACUAAAAUUUGCUGCUCUCGGUGAAAUCUAGGUAUGAAUUUUUAUACUUAUUUUUGGCUUCUUUAUUUUGAAAAAUAUUGUGGCUUUGUUUCUGGAUUUCAUGCAAAGUGUUGGUGCUUUUUUUUUUAUGCUUUUAUUGGUGGAUGUUGGUGUUUGACUUGUGAUGGAUGAGGCCUAGAGUUGUGGGGGCAUGUUUUGAUGUGGAGAUUUUCUUUUUAACUUGUGUCUUGUGUUUUUAGGGGAACAAAAUGGGGAGAAAAAGAGUUGGGAUAAAGGGUCUAAAUAUUGUUGAUGAUUCGGGUGGUGAGGAGGCCCCAUGUUCUAGGUCAGCCCCUUUUGUAUCCAUUAGCGAUGACGAUGGGUCUCCUUCGGGUAGCCCCAAAUUGUCCCAAACUGAUCCUUGUAGUAAAUCUAAAACUAGGGGCAAACAACCGGUUAGGGCAGCCCGUAAGAAAAUCCGUGUAAAACAUUUCAGACGCAAAUCUCCUGCCCCUAUCAGCAUUCCUGAGCCUCCCCUGGUCUCCCCUUCUGUCUCUGUAGCUCGUAGGCUCUAUUCACUAGGGGGUAGGCUAGCUAUUCCAAGAGAUUUAGAAAGGGUUAGAGCUAAAUAUAACAUACAUCCUUCUGUCCGCCUUGGGGUACCUCGCAAGGGCGAGCACCCCCAUUCUGAUAGUGUAGCAAUUCAUAUUGACUUUUUCGACUUAGGUCUCUGUUUGCCUCUUCAGCCAUUUUUUAGAAAAAUGUUCACUGAGAUGCAGAUUGCUCUCGGACAGUUAUCUUUACCCGGUUGGAGAUUGCUCACGGGUUUGGAGGUUCUGUGGCUGGAUGUAUUUGGGGAGAAUAUUUCUUAUGGAGAUCUGAGGGGGCUUUAUCAGUUGAAAAAACUGGCUGGUUUAUCCGUAGCUUAUUUUGCUACUUGGGGGGUUCAUGGUAGCUUGGUGAGACCGGAUCCCUUGCUGAAAAAGGGCUAUAGAUAUGGGUGGUUCGUGGCUAAAGGCGAGUGGGGGAGGAGUAUGCCAGCGGGGAAUGAUGUUGUGUAAGUUCGGAACUUCUUCAAUGAAGAUGGUAUGUAUUUUUCUCCUCCUCUCUCCCUUUUUUUUUAUGUAUAUAUACAUUUCUCGGAUGAAUUUUCUUCUUAUUCGUUGUUUCUUGGGACUUUUACAGACAUUACUUGGACUAAAGGGACAUGCCCAGUUCAUGAAGUGGGGAGAAAAGUGAGUGGUGUCAUAGAGAAGUUUCAGUCUUUGCAGAGUGAGGAUGAUGUUCUGAGCACUACCCGGCUGGCGAGAGCUGGUUUGAUUGAGGAGAGCCUUCCAUCUUCUUUGGGGGGCGAUUUACGUAUGGCUAUGUGGUGUCGCUAGGGUACCCUGCCUUCACUGGUUCUGUGGGGGGUGCCCCCAUCUUUUGCACAAUUUUUUUUUUUGCGGCCAUCUCUUAUUUUUUGUUAAUGUAUCUUUUUGCCAGUGUCGAUUCUGAUGUUUAUUUUUCUGAUCCAUCUCUAUGUUGCACUUUUUUUUUUGUUUGCUUGAUGUUGGAUAGGUAUGGACCCUUUCGCUGAAGAUUUUGAAGCCUUUUUCAGUCGCAUGAGCGGCAGCUCCUCCGCUACCCUAGGUACCUCAGCAAAGGGUGAUUAACCUCCCAUUGUUCCAGGCGCCAAGGGAAAAUUGCUCGUUUCCUCUUUUGGGGGUUCUCGGGGUACCCCGACUACCCACAAGAGGAAGUUUGGCUCCCUUUUCAUGGCUCUUGGAGAUCUUAUGAAGGGUGAGCUGGACCCAGUGGCAAACAAGCGGAUAUCUCACCUGGGCGAUUGCUUCCUCCAUUCCUCUGAGUGUAUUUCUACAGACAUGGCCAUGGAGGCAGAUAAAUUGGACUUAAAUGAGCACUAUAGCCGAGUGCUCAAGGCUUGUCAUGACGUGAGUGCCUCCCUCUUUCUCAUUUUUAUUUUUUUAUAUAUAUCAUCUUGACUCCCUUUUCUUCUCUUUAUUAUUAUUAUAAUUUUUUGUGUGUAGGCGGCCUUCUACCUUAGCCACAGUUUCCACGACUUUAGUGGCAUCUCGGCUGCAUAGGCUGAGGUGGAGAGGCUGCGAGGGGAGGCAGACUCGGUCAGUCUCGGGAAGAGAAGCUCGGAGAGGAGGGCAGGGCUUUGCAGAGGCGUUUGGACAACUACGCCUGGGAGAACAGCCGAAUGUCCAAGAAGUUAGAAGAGGUGGAGUCUAAGCACGGCGAGCUACUAUCUCGCCAAUAGGAGAUUAUGGACAAGGCUUUUACUCUUAUCAUGACUGAGGUCUGGAGCGUCGACCCAGAGCUGGUGGUACCCCGGGUGGAGAAAUGGGUGGACAAGUCGACCAUCCUGAAAGCGAUAGAGGACAAGAGGGUAACCCAGACUCCACCAUCUCACAGCCCACAGCAGUCUUUUGGGAUACCCUAGGUACCCCAGGCGGAUCUCCCUUCUGUUAGCGCUGUUUAUGAGGGUAGCAACUCUUUGACAUUGAGUGUUCCUGUUGAUGCCCCCGUUGAAGGGAGCGGUGGAGAGGAUGUCCCUCUUUCUGCGUGAUCUUACUUACUAUUUAGAGUUUUAUCCCGAGAUGUCUCAGCAGUUUUCUUUCUUUGCUUUUGUACAUUUUGUAGUAUGGUAUCAUCCUUUUGAUGUGUUGGGAUAGUUUUCUUUUGAAAGGUUGCCUCGACAAUCUCGCUACUUGUUCGCAUUAAACUUCUGCAAUAGACUUGAUUUGACAUGCCAUUGAAUUCCUUGCUUAUGAUUGAUUUUGUAUAGACUUAUGGGGGUUCCUCGGGUACCCCAGGUACCCCCUGAUGUAUUUUUGGCGCUUGCGUGGUGAUUUCCGUAGAUAUGCUCGCUGCUCGUCUUAAUAAAGAUUAUGACGUAUCUCAAAUAAUUUAAUAAUUCAUGUAUCAUCAUAAUUUAAAAUUAAAUUCAUAAUUGGCGCAACUAGGAUAUAAAUAAAGAUUAUGACGUAUCUCAAAUAGACUCUUGGAGUUUCCUUGGGUACCCCAGGUAUCUUUUUUUUUUUUGUUCGGGGACCUUCUUGGCCCCAUUUCUUGCAGAAAUGGUAAAAAGCAUGCUUGUUUUGCCAUAUGUUUCUAGUCAAUAUUUAAUGAAAUCAUUCGAAUAGAGGUGCAUGCUUGCCUACCUCAUUUCGUUUAGGCAUCCAACUCUUGUGAUUGCCAUUUGUCUAUUCUUUACUUGGCUCAAGUUAAAGAAUGGAGGUGUGGGUGUGUGCAUACCUUAACGGAGUCUUAUGGCGCUAGGGUAUGCUGGUUUACCUUGCCCAUGGGUCUUCUCUGACCCUCCCUUUUUAAAUUUUUUGUAUUCUUUCUUAUUGGCUUUGACCUCGAACAGAUCUUCACGAUCAAAUCGGGUCAGAUACCCCAGGUUCCUCAGACUAUCUUGAAAUGGAGUAAUUAUAGCUGAAAGGUGCAUACAAAACACGGCGUAAUAAGAUUGAGUCACAUUAAUGGCGAAAGUUUAACCAUAAUCACAUUUGGUAAUCAAAAGAAGAACAUUACAUAAGACUGACUCAUUCUCCCAAUGAGAAUAGGAAACUGUAUAGAUAUCCACUCUCUGGGACUUAGGAAAUUAAAAUUUUCACUUGCACAUGUAGGGUACCCUAAGUACCUUUCAUGACUUUACCAUAUUACACACAUAGUAAAGAAAAUAGGAGAUAGAUAAAGUGAACGAUAGGGUUUAAGACACUGUCCUCAUGUUAGUAGUACUUCCUUAGCAUUGCGGCGUUCAGGGAUGCUUGACGAUUGUUCCAUCUAUGUGGAGUAGGCUGUACGCCCCCGAUCCUAUUGGCUUGUCUAUGCGAUAUGGGCCUUCCCAAUUUACUCUGAAAGAGCCCUCCAAGGGUAUUCGGGUGUUCUGAGUUACCCAUCGUAUGACUAAAUACCCUUUCUUGAAUGAUUUGGGGCGUACCCUCUUGUCAUAUAAAUCUAAAACGCGAUGCUGGUAUAUUGCAACCUUCAAUUCUGCUUUGGCCCUUUUUUCUUCAACAAGAUCAAGACUGGAUGCAAUGAAAGAGGCAUUCUCGGCUUCAUCAAAGUAUGUGGUUCUGUGAGAGGGUAUCCUGAUUUCUGCUAGAAUGAUUGCAUCAGUCCCGAAUGCCAGAGAAAAUAGGGUUUCCCCAGUUGAAGUAUUCUGAGUUUUCUGAUAGGCCCAAAGAACGCCGGGUAACUCGUCAACCCAAGCUCAUUUCCUUUCCUCCAGCCUCUUCUUUAGGAUACCCUUGAUGAUUUUGUUGAUGGCUUCCACCUGUCCAUUAGAUUGCGGGUGAGCCGGAGAAGUAAAUCGGUUGGCUAUCCCAAGCUCCGAGCAGAAACUCCGAAAUUGAAUUACUUCCUGUUGCCGCUGACAAUUGCAUUAGGGAUACCAUAUCUGCAUAUGAGGUUCCUCCAAAAAAAAUCAAUGGUUUUUCUCUCAGUAAUACUUGCCAACGGCUCCGCUUCUCCCCACUUUGUAAAAUAGUCAACGACUACAAUUGCAUAUUUAGCUUGCCCUCUCCCGGUUGGCAGUGGGCCAAUGAGAUCUAUAUCCCAAACAGCAAAUGGCCAUGAAGAAGACAUGACAGUUAACUUUUUUGGUGGAAGGUGGGGUACCUUGGCAAAUCUUUGGCACUUGUCACAACUCUUGACCAUAUUUUUAGUAUCCUCCCGCAUCGUAGGCCAAUAAAAUCCUUGACGAAGGGCCUUUUGUGCCAAUGAUUGUGCUCCAUAGUGGUUACCGCAAAUUCCUUCGUGUAUCUCUCUCAUGACAUAUUCGGCAUGUUCAUCUCCCAAAUACUUUAAGUAAGGGAGGGUAAACCCUCUUCUGUAUAAGGUAUCCUCGAUGAGACAGUAUCGUGCAUCUUUAUACUUUAGCCUCCUUACUUCACUUUUGUCUGAGGGCAUAUCCCUACUUCUGAGGUACCUUAUGAUUGGUUGCAUCUAGGGUACCCCAGCAGUUAUCGACCCUACUUCUUCUGGCUCAAGUAGAUUAACACUGGUUGUAGGUAUAUACUCAGUAGUGAUUGGACCAACCGACAGAGUUGAGCGUGGCUUGAAAAUGUUGUCGAACUCACUCAAUUCAAGAGACCAGCGAAGAAAUCUUCCAGACAUGUCCAACUUCUGGAGGAUUUGUCGAAGGGGAAGGUUUGUUACAACACCAAUGGUGUGGGCCUGAAAAUACGGCCGAAGUUUCCUUGCAGAGAUUAUCAAAGCCAAAACCAGCUUCUCUGUGGCGGGGUACUUAUUUUUCGCAUCCACCAUUGCCCUACUAGUGUAGUAUAUAGGCCGUUGCACCCCAUCUUCAUUUUCUCUAAGCAUCAUCGAGCUAGUGGCGUGCUCGGAAACGGCAAGGUACAAUAAAAGCACUUCUUUGGGCUUACGCUUGGCGAGCAACGGCGAAUUAACGAGGUACUCCUUUAACUUCUAAAAAGCCUCUUCGCACUCGGCGGUCCAUUGGAGCUUUUUCCCCGCUUUCAAAGCUUUAAAAAAUGGCUUGCACCGGUCGGUGGCCUUGGAGAUGAAACGACUCAAGGCGGCUAUCCGGCUAGCUAAGUUCUGGACUUCUUUGAUAGUACUUGGUGACUUUAUCCCAAGAACCGCCUGGAUUUUGUCGGGGUUAGCCUCAAUCCCCGCUGUUGCACAAUAAAUCCAAGGAAUUUACCCGAAGUCACCCCGAAUGCACAUUUCUCAGGAUUUAGGCGCAUCUGAUGCUUUCUCAAAAUAUUGAAGGUGUCUUUGAGGUGCCCAGCGUGAUCACUGGCGUACACCAACUUUAUUAUCAUAUCAUCGAUAUACACCUCCAUGGUACGACCGAUUUGCUGUUUGAAGACCUUGUUUACGAAACGCUGAUAGGUGGUGCCUGCAUUCUUCAAACCAAAAGGCAUAACCUUGUAGCAGUACAACCCACGGUUGGUGAUGAAGGUCGUUUUAUCUUGAUCGGGCUCGUAUAUUGGAAUUUGGUUGUACCUGAAGAAAGUAUCCAUGAAACUAAGCAUCUCAUGUCCCGUCAUAGCAUCGACCAGUUGGUCUACCCAGGGAAGCGGGAAGCUAUCCUUAGGACAUGACUUGUUUAAAUCCGUGAAAUCUACACACAUGCGCCAUUUUCCGUUGGACUUCUUAACCAAGACAACAUUUGACACCCAGUCGGGAUACACCAUCUCCCUAAUAAACCUCGCUGCUAGUAAUCGGUCCACUUCUUGUUCAAUGGCGUCAUAGCAUUCCUGGUUGAAAGUUUGACGUUUCUACUUAACAGGCCUAUGAUGUGGAUCGACAUUGAGCUUGUGACAGGCGAUAGAAGGCGGUAUACCCGGUAUGUCCGCGUGAGACUAAGCGAACACAUCAAUAUUUUCCUUUAAAAACUCAAUAAGUUGCUCUCGGUGUUGGUCAGGGAGGUUGGAGCCUACCUUGACCAUCUUGGUUGGGUCAUUAUUACAGAUCAAAAUAGACACAAGAUCCUUAACCAGUGCUCCUCACUUUUCAUCUUUCGGUAUCCGGGGAUCCAAGGGUACCUCAACCUCUCCUAUUGAUGCAGAACUGGGACUUUGGGGUACAUGUGGUGCCCUAGGAGCUAUUACAUCCACUUCCAUUGCCCAAAAUUCUUGUGGCGCUUGGGAUAUUUAGGAAUUCGUGGACCGUUGAGCUUUCUUACGUGCAGCUCUCCCGAGUCUAGCGAGUGCCCGCUUGGAUAUACUGGCAAGUGGCCUUGUGCUGACGGGCUACCCCUCCAAGAGCAUAUUGGAGGCAAUUUGAUAACUCAUCUUCAAGGCGACAGAGUAACAUCCUCGAGCCGAUUAUUGAUCCCCUUUGAUUGUGAUAAUUUCCCCGGCGGUUGGAAUCUUCAUGGUGAGGUAAUGCAUGGAGAUUGUUGCUUUAGUUGUUGCUAAAAAUGGUCUUCCCAAGAUGAUAUUAUAGGCACUGGGAUGAUUAACAAUAAGGAAGUCGAUCAUAUGGACCACUCGGUAGGGUACCUUGCCGAUUGUAAACGGGCAAAGUGAUGAUACCCUUGGGAAUAGCCAUGUCUCCUACAAAACCAACGAGUGGCGUGUCACAUGGAGUGAUCCUUGGCCAUUCGAUUAGUAGUUGAUCUAGGGCGCUUUUAAAGAUGAUGUCCACGGAACUGUCGGUGUCCACCAGAGUCCUCGCGACCUUACCGGUGGCGACUUUUAAUGUUAUAACCAGAGCAUCAUCAUGGGGGUAUGAGACACUUUCCGCAUCUUUCUCUGUAAAGAGAAUUGGGACGGGAUGGUCGGGUACCCGGGGUACCCUAAAGUGAUUUUGACAAGUGAAGUUCACUUCUUUUCCAAGGCGAUCCAAAAUUGGCGACUUGCUAUAACGUUUGAUGGCCCGUCUAGAUUCCCCCGCGACGAUAGGACCUUCUACUAUGACCGCCAUAACUUCCCCAAACACAAAUUCUUUUCAAAAUGAGUGAGAGUAUGUUAGUGACCAAACGUACCGGUACGCAACACCUCUUGGUGGAAGCGGGUUACGUACUCGGCUAAAGACUCCAAUUCCCCUUGCUUGAUGAAAGCAAGCUUGGAAGAUGCUAUAUCUUGGGAGGAUGCAUAACCAAACUCAUGAACAUAAUUUUUUAGGAGUUGGUCUAAGGAAGAUACACUACCUUCCUUCAACGAUCGGAACCAUGAUUUGGCAGGUCCAGUGAGGGUAUGCAGGAACAUCCGGCACAUAGCAUUGUCACCCACUCCUUUAAUCAUCAUCUGGUCACGAUACAACUCAGUAUGUUCCACGGGAUCUGAGGUAUCAAAGUAUUGUUGUAUUUGAGGCAUGGUGAACGCUUUCGGGAGAACCGCUGUCCGAAUCUCCAUGGUGAACGGCGAGUUACAUUCUGCUGGCGCUAGAGUAUUGGUGGGGUUUUGUUUUCCAGAAAUGAGCUUCACUUGAGCUUCGAGGUACUCCAUUUUUUCCAGGAACUCGCAGGGUACCCCAGGUGCAUCUGAGGAUGCCGUAGUUGUUUGGGAAGCUCUUUUAGCGUUCAACUUGUGCCGGAGAUCUUCAUGGACUUUUUGUUUAUGUUUGGUACCCUGGCUACUACGGGAAUAGCAAGAGGCAGUGGAGCAUUCUUCCCGAGAGCCGCAGGUUUGAAACUUUGAACAGGUGCCCGAUGGCCCGUGCUUUGGUAUACUUCCCUUCGGUAUUUUAGAUCUUUGUAUGAUCUGUUUCUCACCGUAUGGAGGCAGGACAUCUUGAAUUACCGAGGAAGUGGCUGCCUCGAGUACCCGAGAUCCUACUGCUCUGAGAAUCGUGUGAGCUAAAUCCUCAAAGUGUUUAUGAGUAACGGGCUCCUCGUCGGGUUGAAUACCAGUUGAUUGCUUAACUGAUUUGCUUUUCUCUAGGCGGGAUGCCCUCUUUGUUGAGUCACCCCUCUCAUCACUGUUGUGGUCCUUCGCUCUAUCAUGACCUAGCAUUUGGUUAUCAGCGGGUACGUCGGGUGCCAUAGUGGCACAAGCACAUGUACUGACAAGCUCAGCACCGUGUGGAGGCUUUUUGCUCGCUCCCCACAGACGGCGCCAAUUGUUUGCGGUUGAUUUUGAGUUAACGAAAUAAAAUCACAAAACCAAGCCAAGAACAAUAAAUUUAUUUUUUGUUGGGGAGCGGGGUGCCUUGCUUGUUCGACGCAUGCCGGUUAUUUAGGCUUUUUUUGGAGUGAAGGGGGAUUGAGAUGGCGGUGGAUAUGGCGGAGGUCUGACUUCAGAUACAGAGGGCUGGUGGAAAUUGCCUUAAACCUGUAAAACAACCAAAAAAGAGGUCAGAGGUGGAGCCGGGGGUGGCCGGCGACCACACUCCGAUGCUCAAGUCAGAGUUGGGGUAUCUCAGGUUAGAGAACUUGCAAGCUCUCGGUAAUGGAGGUUUUGAGGUUGAAGAAAUCUUAGUUUUUAGUGGUGUGCGUAUGAACUUAAUUGAUAAAAAUUAAACCUGAGUAUUUAUAUGGUGUACCCCGGUCGCCGUGCCACCUGGCGUUAUAUUAUUGGCAUUCCCUGCUGCCAUGUCAGGAAUAUUCUUAUUUUCAUGCGUAUGGCGGCUUAGGUGUUUCAAAAAUAUUCGUGGAGAGCAAGUUUGAGGUGUAUUCACAUGCUAGGCGUAGUGGAGUGGUCCCACGUACCUCUGCAAUUUCGUUGUAAUUUUACAGGUGUGGCAGGAAAAGCUGGUGGUCCCAACUGUCAUAAUAUCAAACUUUUGGCGGAUUCGCUGACGUGACAGACGGUUGUCUCCUCUUUUGUAGCACGAGAUUUCCUCACUGAUUCCUUAUUUUUUUACACGUAUUCAACCGAUCUUUUUGAGAUUCGGGGCCCACCUAUCCCUUGACAUUUUUACGAAGACUUUUUACACCCUUAUAUGGUGUACCCGAGGUACCCCCAGAGCACUUCGGGUAGCCGGGGUACCUAGGGUACCUAGGAUAUCCAAGGUACUCGAAGUAAGCUAAUUUCUUAAAUAUCGACACGUGGCGCUUCAUCAUUGGCCUCAUGUUUCCUUCCCAAACAAUACCCAUUUUCUUAAUAUAAUGCUAGACUGUGUUCUCCUUUUUCAGUUUAUCUUUGAGCAACAACUUACUUAAUGUAAUGCCAAAUUGAGGUUGUCGAUAACUUGUAGGAAUCUGCACUUAUACUUAUUUUAUAAUCUAGAUUUAAAUUCAUGUGUCUGAUGGAGCUGAAUCAUUUUUGUUUCUUUCGGAUAGUAAAUGAGACAUUGUUUUCACUAAAAUUAAUGUCAAGAAUUUCUUGCCCUAACUAUUUCUAUCUUAUUGCAUAUUUAGGUAAUUUUCUAAAAAAAAAAAAAGAAAGAAAAAAGCAACAACUGAGAUAUGAAUCUUAUGUCUAUUAUGAAGAGAUAUAAGCUUAUUUGUCACUCUUAUGUCUAAAAUUUUUAGAUGAAGAAAAAUAGGAAAAAGACAGAUCAGAUAAGUGCGUUCGUAGAGGCUCGAACAAGAUCUUAUGGUAGCAUAAGUGAUGUGGAGAGUGAACAAAUAAUUGCAAGUGAUUUUUUUUUACAAUAUUAUAAUUCCUUACUUUUGUAAAUGCUAUAAUUAAUAUUGUCAAUUUACGAGGUCAAUUCAAUAAAAAUCUGUCUAAAAUACCCAUUAAGCAACAAACAAAAUUUGUUAGAGAGCAAGUAUUCACUCAAGUGAUGGGAACUGAUGGUCAUGGAUGUGCUUGAACUUAUGGUCAAAGUCCAUCAACUUCAUAUGUCUCACGUCAGAAUGUGACUCACGGUUAUAAAAUGUUACAAAAUGAGUUAAUUCUUCUCCAGUCGAAUCACAGAGAAUUAAAAUCCAAAUACAAUGACUUGCAAUCCAAAUAUAGUGACUUGCAAUCUAAAUAUCUUGAUUGCAAUCUAGUUAUGGUAAGUUCCAAUUGGUGACAUGCAAGUCAAGUAUGAUCGACUAUGUUCAUUUUUACAGCAGUAUUUCAACUAUUGUGAUGAUAAGAUGAGUCAAUUCAUAAGUGAUCAGGUAUAACUAUUUUAACUAACAUAAUUUUUAGCUAAAACUUUACACUGCAAUCUAUUUAAUAUGUGUUCUUUGUUAAUAGGUUCCAUACACAUCCAAUCCGCAUCAUCAUAAUACAACUGCUAGUUCUAAUUACGACCUCGAGUUAUAGGUAACUUUGUAUUUUUAAUAUUUCCUUUUUUAUAUUUUGUCUAAUUCUAAAUAUUUUAUUGGUUGAUUUCUUGAUAUAUAUUUGCUCUCAAUUACUUGUUCGCUAGACAUUUGUUAAAGAAACGUGAUGAUAUGCGAACUUAGAGCAUGAAAUGAAUCUCAUUAUGUAUUUACUUGAUUAGAUUUUGUUGAGUUACACUAUUGCUUUAACUUUAGAUAUCUAAACUGCAUUGAUUAAGGUUAAAGAAGAGUAUAAAAUCAUUAUACUGAACUGCAUGGAUAUCACAGUCUAAAGAUUUAUUCUUAAUCCUUCCCAAAGUCAUUUCUGUUAUUCAUGGACAUUGGUUGUGUUUAAUAUUACUUAUACUUUUUUAACUUAUUAUUUUCUACAGACUCUUGAGAGAGAGCAGGCAUUGGGUUCUCUUUAGACUUGCUGUAGGCAUUAGAUUCUAGAGAGAUAGAUUUCAUUGUCUAUGUGUCAAUUCUAUUUUGUAUUGACUAAUAAACAAACUUAUGAUUAAUGCUUUGUUUUAGAGGACUUAAUAUUAUAAAGUUGAAUCUGUUUGUAACAAAUGAUGAUGUUUUCAUAUAAUUUUGUAUUGAUUUUUUUUCAUUUUAAUUGAAAGUAUUGCAUUAUCAUUUUAAUUGAAGAAAAUUAGAUUUGUCAAAUAUUUUAAAUUUGAAACUGCUUGAACCAGUCACCAAGGUUUUAACCUAAUGAUAUGUGUGAUUACUUAAAGCUUUCUGACAUGCUUCAAUUUUAUUUGUUUAUGUGACUACUUAAAGCUCUAUUUGUAGGUUUCAAUUUUUGUUAUUUAUGUGAUUGCUUAAAGUCAUCAUAAAAUAUGGUGACCCAUUCUAUCUUUUGUGGUGGUAGGUUCACAAUCACAAAAGACACUUUGUGAUGCCAUGUCACCAGUAAUAUAAACUCUAGGAGGCUCAUAUAUGUUAGUGCUACCUGCCAUCUCAAAGAGGUCACAAGAGGUCAUAUGUGAUGGCAAAACAACGGACAUAUAAACUACUUUUUUUUUUUGUAGUGGUAAAUGAUCUUAUUUGUCCUUCAAUAUUUAUAAAUAAGCUAAAAUUUUGAUUUGCUAUCAUAGCAGUCUAUGUUGAAGAUAUGAAUUUGAUUGCAAUUCUCAGAGAUCUCCAAAAGACUACUGAUUAUUUGAAAAAAAGAGUUUAAAAUGAAAGAUUUUGAGAAACAACUAGAUACUAUUUAGAUAUAUAGACGGAGCACAUGUCUAAUCGUAUCCUUUUCCAUCAGUCAAUUAUACUAAAAAGAUUUUGAAAUGUUUCAAUAUGAAUAAAGCUUACCCAUUAAGUACCCCAAUGAGAGUCUAAUUCUUGUCCAAAGACAAACCUAUUUUGUCCUAAACAGGAUGAUGAACAGGUACUUAGUCCUAAAUUACCAUAGUUGAAUGUCGCUCCGAUGUAUUUAGCCCAAUGUACUAGACUAGACAUAUUUAGUUUUAAACUAACUAGACAACAUUAGGAUGGUGUUAAACAUCUAUUUUUGUAUCUUUGUGGAACUAUUUAUUUGGGUUUAUUUUAUUCUAAUCUACUAACUGUUGACUUUCAUUCAUAUUCAACAUAAAAUUAGUGGGAGAUCCAGAAGUGUAAAUUUUGAUAUCUAAUUACAAAAGCGGAUCACAGUGAGGUUAUGUCACUGUAGAGAUAGAAGACAAUCUCAUGGAAAAUCUUCAUGCCACUGUAUGCUUAUGGUUGAAGGAUAAUCAUAAUUAAAGAAAAUCCUCUUAGAUCAUAUUGCAAGAGCUCACUGCCUUUUCUCUCAUUUUCAAUCUCUAUACUCUUUAUUAUGUUAUUAUCCAUACUUAUUUUAGACACAAUAGGUAUGUUGAUAUAGAAGCUAAAAAGGGUGAUUGAUGUUAACUGAAAGACUUCAUAAGACUUAAAAUCCAAUUAGAUUUACAAUAGUCAUAUGAAACUCUAUUUAAAAUAAGCUUUUAGAUGUUUCUUUUUGUUGGGCCAGUCUAGCCUAUUAUGGGGCGCCAAUUCCAACAUCUCUCUCGCACGUGAUAGGUGACACUAUAAACAAAGUAACGAGAGUAAUAAGGCUUGAAGCCUUAAAUACAAUAUCAUAUAGGCAAAUGCAACAUGUGACCUAUGAACAAGUUGGAGCUAAAAUAUCAAGAAAUAUUAAUUGUAAACAAAUGCAAAAGAUUAGAAAUUUUGUUCUUUAUGUAUCCUAGAUUUUAUUUUUACUACUUCAAUCUAAGCAUAUUUUAUCCUUUAGUAAAAUAUAUGCUUGACUCAAUAAGCUCUAUAUAUCCACAAUUGUAACUAUCUCUAUAUGGAUUACAACUGGGCAACUGGUGAAUAAACUAGUCAGAUGCAAGAAAAAAAAUCUUUUGAUUCUACUCAUAUUUUGAAAAUUCUAGACCAAUUGGUUUCUUAGACAUUUUUCACAAGCAGCAUAACAUCAAAGCCAUAAAUAACAUUCUAAAGUGGCAAACAUUAAUCUUUUACCCCAAAAUAUAGUUGACGUUGACUAAGGAUACCAACCAAGGUUCAUUUUUAUCUUGAAGGAACUUACAUAAUGAGGAAGUAAGGAUUCAUUAAGUUUUUUCUUCACUCAUUUUCCCUAUUGACCAUAAUAAGCGCGCACGAUAUGAAUCACAGUUAUAAUGAAUUCUAUUCUAAUAAACAGCAUAUGUCUAAUUAUUCACUGUACAUAUCGUUGUUCAGUCAGCACUAAAAGUGCCUGGCUUGAAUUUUAAUAAGCUUGCCUUCAUAAGGUGUUAAACUCAUAUCUAGUUUAAAUUAAGUUUCCAUGACAAUGGAGUGUAUUGUAGUUGGUCUAAUAACUUACUUAAUGUGACCUCAUCUUGACCUAGUUGAGGCGACACAUUAUUCAGAAUUACAAAACUCCAAGACAAUAUACCACAUAUCUAAUUGUUUUGUAAUUCUAUAUGUCUCAUCCCAGCUUGCUACUAUAGCAACUGAGGCGACCUCUCGUGUAAGAUAGCUGGUCUUAACCUGACGACAUAUCUUUUUACAACCUUAUAUAUGUGGUUAUGCUAGCUACACAUUUUAAGUAUUAAUUGGGUACUUCAUUGUUAACAAUUUGGUGUUAUAAGAAUAUCUAGCAAUGACAUUCUUAAUCUAUAACAAUAAGCCUGCAAAUCUGAAAUGCAAGUUAUGCAACGCAAGAGGGGGGUGAAUUGGGAUUUUAAAACUUAUGCUAAACAAUUCGCACAACAAUUUAAUCUAUUGCCUUAAUCAAAUCAAAAACAAUAAAUUCAAUAAAGUACAAUAAUAAAAGAGUAAGGGAAGAGAGAGCAAACACAACAAUUUUUACGUGGUUCGGCAAUCCCCGCCUACGUCCACGCCUCCAAGCCAACCAAGCUUGAAGAUUUCACUAUCCAAGCCUCCCAAGGCUUCAAGUUCUUUACAACUGACUUCUAAAGUGUUAAUAAACCUUUACAACCAAGAGAUUAUCUUCCAAUCUCUUCACUCAAGUGUUUCUCACACUUAAACACUCACAAAUUUGAUGAUGAAAUAAAGAUUACAACAAUGAACUCUCUUUUAGAGUAAAUGUACAAAUGAUAGCAUAAUAAAGAGUUAAUUUAUGAUGAUUUUCGAAUUUGGAAGCUCAAAAUAUGUUGUUUGCCCUUUUUUAUGCUUACAAGAGUCUCAAAAUUGAAGUUGGAGUUGAGUUUUUAUAGUUAAAGCCCGAAAACUAGCCGUUAUGGGCAAAUUUCAGCAAGCAAGCAACUAGCCGCUUAAUUUAUCUGGCUCGCCGCUUCCGAGCAGUAAAGUUACCAUUAAAUUUCAAUUUUACUACAGUAACAUUGUUCAUGAAAUUAUAUUUGUGCCCAAAAAUUUUUGUAAUUAUACUAUGGCCCAACACGUCAUAAAACUUUACUAACAUGUCCAACUUUAGAAUUUCUACAUAAUACUUGCUAUUCUCAAAAUUUUUUGAAAUUAUGAUAUGGUUCAAUACAUGAUAAUAUUUUUUAAAAUAUUCCUAUUCAAAAUUUAACAUAAUACUUAUAAAUUUCAAAGUUUUCAAAAAAUUUUCAAUUUAGUCCAAAAUUUGAAAGUGCGAAGUUUUCCUCAGGCGGCUAGCCGCUAGCCCUCAGGCGGUUAGCCGCUAACUCUCUGUCCACUUAUGAUAUUUACACUCAGGCCCUUAAACUUUUAUAAAUUAUAAUAUAGCUAAAAAGUUUCAAAUAUUUGCAAAUAAGUCCAACUCCGGAAUUCAAAAUAAUACUUAUUAAAAUCAAAGAUUGCAAAACUUUUUUAUUUACUCCACAUCUUGAAAAAUAACUAACUUCAUAAGAUACUUAGCUUAUACUUGUAAAACUUUUUAUAUGUGAAAAAAUAAUGAUUUAUUAAACAAAAUCUUGAGCUUCUCAAAUACUAAACCAUUCAUAUACUAAAUUAUACUAGCUUUACAAGAAUUGUUGCAAUAAUGAGUCUGUUGAGCUCUAAACUUUAUUCGUGAUCGCGCCGUUGUCCGUUGAGUGUCUUGAGCUUGAUUUCACGUGAUUCACUUCAUCGUAAAUAUUAUCCUUCAAGAACUAGUGAAAAUGUGAAAUAUAAUAUUUUUCAAAUUACUUAAGACACAUGUUUGUUAUUAUCAAAAUUACAAUACGUAUAGCCCUUUAGGCUAACAAAAUCUACAAUAGGUCAAGCUUAUACCACUAAACAUCUCUACUCACCUCUUUGUACUGAUCUAUACCAUAUUGUGUAUUAUAAAAUUGCAAUAUUUUAUUUAUCAAUAUGGUACAUAAAUGUCCUCUAUAUGUAAAACCUUUUUGUUUGGUUUAUCAUUUUCAAUCAUUAGUCUUUAAUUACUUAUGACAAUCUCAAGAUAUUAUAAAGAUUACUUAACAAAAUAUGCGUAUAGAAAUAUCCUCGUUAUGGACAAAGCUAUGCAUGUUUAUUAUCUGAAUAUCGUAUGUAAUAGCACUAAUGUUUUGCUAAGAUAUGUGCAUUUUUCUAGAGGUCAAUUUUCACUCAUCUAGAUUGCCAUACUUGUUGGUAUUCAAGUGCAAAUUUUCCCAUUGGUACAAAGUGUAGUUCACAGUGCCAUAAAAGUAUGCUAAAUACCUAUUUGAGAAACUCAAUGCUUUAUUCAGGAUUCGAUUAGUAUUUCUUACCCAUCUCAUAGCAUAUAUCAAGUGUUGUACAUCUCAGUGUACCUGAGACCAUUAUUGGCAUUGAAAUAAAGAACACUAGCCAUUUUAUUUUUUUGUAGAGGACUCUUCAAGGCCAUACAUUUUUCAUAUCUACAGGAGUAUCCAUUUAGCUUUCAAUUUGUCAUUUUGAAUCUUUUAAGAAUGUUUCUAAUCUAAAUAUAACUCUUAUGAUAGUGUUAAAAAUUUCUUAAAGGAUUCUAUUUAGAUUUAAAUUCCUAAAAUAUAAGCAGCUUUGCCCAUAUUUCAUUGGAUAAUCAAUACCAAUGGUUUUGACAAGAUCCUUUUUUUUAAAAAAAAUUCUAGUCAUCUAAAAAUAUCAUCUACAUGUAUAAAUGCAUUGGCUAUCUUAAAUCAUCCAAUAUUUGUAAUUAAAUAAGGCUUGAUGAAAAUUAAGAUUCCAUUAUUAAGAGAAUGUUGUAGAUAAUAUAGAUAUAUAGACUUUUUAGAGCAAGCCGACUAUGCACUUAAGGUCUUUAGCAAAAGCCUUCUAAGCAUGCAAUCUACGCACUCAAAAUCUUUAAUAAAAUUCUUUUGAGCAAGUAAACUAUGAGCUUAAAAGUUUUGGCAACAUUAUUUAGAGCGUGCAACUAUGCGCUUAAAAGCUUUAGCAACGACACCUAGUAUUUGUUCCAUAUAUAUAUAUAUAUAUAUAUAUAUAUAUUUCUUCCUCUGAUUUUUUACUGAGAUGCAUUUAUUACAUCUAUUGAUAUGAUGAUGAAUGCAUGUGCAAGUUGACCAGAAAUAAUUGCCUUAGAGAAACCUCUAAGCCAAACGUUUUUUCUAAUUUAAACUCCUUAGAUAUAACUUUUAACAGUCCAUAUUGUACUUAUGCCUAUCGCUUUACACAUGCACAACCUUAUUAUUUGCAAUGGUUUAUUUAGCAAUUGACCAACUGUGACUCGGACAUAAUUGUUAUUUAAUGACUUUAUCUAUUAAUCAUUGCUUUUAUCUAUAGUUCCUUAGAAUUUAGAGUGACAACUCUAUACAAAUAAUCCUAGCUUAUGACCAUAGUAUGAAAUAAUUGUUAAGAAAUUCCUUUCAAUCUCUAAAAGACAAUAUAGGAUUCAUUUUCAAUUAUUCCAUUGAAUUGAGUUAUCUGGUAGAGCUAUCUCAUUAGGCGUUUGUUCAUACUUGAAUCAAGAUUUCUUAGUAAAUCUAACCUAUACUCAAUUCUUAACUCAAAAGUGAUAUCAUAAAAAUGAUAAUCCAAAUCAUGAUUUAGGAUAUAUAUUUAUCAACUUCUAUGACGCUUAGGAAUUCAAAAUUUUCAAGUUUGUGGUUUCUUAUCUAGCCACUAUCUUAGCCAUUCAUUUAACAUUAAACACAUGUUUUAUUUGCUUAUUUGAAUUUUGAAGUAAGGUUAGAUACUUUACCUAUAGCUGGAGUACUUAAGUGACUCAUUAUAUGAGAAAUUAUUUAAGUAUUUAAGGUGCAAUUAAAUAGAGUAUCUCCAAAUAACAUAUUGGAAAAACUUAUGUGCUACUAUUACUUUAUCAAUUGUCUUAAUGCCUUAUCCCUUAAUUUCCACUACUCCAAGUAGUGCGUUACUAUAAGAAUCAUCAAUUAUCUAUCUAUAUCUUUCUUAUAUAUAGUGCUGAUACAACUUUUCCCGAGAUUAAUGACAAGUUAGCACUUGAAACAGAGGAAGAAGCCCAGCUGGUCGAGGAGCCCAUAAAAGGUCCAGCUCGUAUGCGCAGGGCACCAACAUACCUCAAGGAUUACAUUACCUAAGGAAUAUUCGAGAAGGAACAAAAAGAGUGAGAAAGAUGGCAGCUGUGAUUUUGGUUAUUUUGUUGUGACUGUUUUUUUUGCCAAUCAUUACAUAGUUGGUUAGUUACGCGUGUAUUGUUGAGGGCUAAAAGAUAUAUGUAGAGAGAAACACGUCAUAAAAGGGAAUGAAAUGGAAAAUAUUCUUCUUCUCUCUCUGUCUCUCCUGUUAUCUCUGUUUCUCAUCUAAUUUCAAUUCUUUUUUGCUUCUUUUUGCUGGAGUCAGCACUUACUCGAAAAGUGUAAAUCUACGAUAUAAGCUCUGAGUUGCAGAGUUGUACAAUUGGUACUUUCAUUGACUUCUUCUUCUUAAAAAAAAAUCCACCAUGACUGAGAAAACAAAGACGAUUGAUUCUGAGGUUCUUUCCGCUAUUAAGGAGCUUCUUGAGAAGCAAACGCUCUCUGUUCAUCAGACCUUACAACAAUACAUGUCCACUGUAGAUUCCCGUUUUGAGGAAUUCCAAGCUCAAAUCCGUGGUUUUGUUGGCGUUUUGAGUGGCCCUUUACGAUCAUCAGAGCCGAUGUCAGCGUUUACAGAGGGUUCUGCUGGGGGCACAAACUUUUCAGCGCUUUUACGUUCCAUGAAAAUGGACAUCCCCAAGUUUGACGACUCGGAUUCGACCGGGUGGGAUUUUCGCAUCAACGAGUUUUUUUACCUCCAUGGGACCCCAGAUAAUUUGCGUUUUGCAUUGUAUCGUUUCACAUGGAAGGGAGAGCCGUUGCUUGGUAUCAAUGGAUGAAAGCUAACAAUCUAUUAACCACUUGGUGAAGUUUUUUUGUCAGUCUUAAGAGUCGCUUUGGAGCUUCCAUGUAUGAAGACCAUCAAGGGAAUCUUUCAAAGUUAACGCAGACCUCCACAGCUGCUGACUUUCAGUCUGCUUUUGAAGACCUAAUGAACAAAGUUACUGGUAUAUCUGAGCCUUUGUUAAUUAGUUUCUUUAUCACGGGUUUAAAACCCGAUAUCCGUCGUGAGUUGUUGUUUACUCGACCGACUUCUCUGAUGAAAGCCUUUGCUCUUGCUAGAGCUUAUGAGGCUAGAUCUGAUGAAGUUAAAACAACCAGUCGUUCUUGGUCAAAAUGGCCUCCUACUACACCUCUAGCUCCACAAAAUUUCCCCCCUGUUUUACCAAAUACUUCCACUUUAAAAAUACCAAUACUCUGGCUGCCCUUGUUAUUACUACACCAAAACCACCAUCUCAACCUCCAUUAUUACCAACCCCAAAUUUACCAAUCCGUCGCCUUACUCCAGCUGAGUUACGGGAUAAAAGAGAAAAAUGGUUAUGUUAUAAUUGUGAUAAAAAAUAUAGUGCAAACCAUCGUUGCCGCAACAAAUUCUUGUUGUUGAUGGGUACUGAUGAUGAGGAGUGUGACCCGGGGGAGGAUAUGAAUGUCAUUGAGCAAACUGAGGAAGUGGUUACCGCAGACAUUUCAAUCUUGAAUGCCUUGGCUAGACAGUCCAAUCCGCGGUUUCUGUGUGUCUUGGGUGAAAUUAACGGACAUCAAUUCCAUGUUCUUAUAGACAGCGGCAGUACUCACAAUUUCAUCAAACCGCAGCUAGCUGAACGGGUUGGACUUUCGAUUCAAUCCACCUCAACUUUUCGAGUUUAUAUCGGCAACGAGGAUUUUCUGGUUUGUCGAUUUCACUGCCCGGAUGUGCCAAUUGUUAUUCAAGGCCAUGAGUUUCGCUUGGAUUUCUUUGUUUUACCAAUUGAGGGACCGGAGGUAGUUUUGGGCAUCCAGUGGCUUCAACGCCUUGGGCGUGUCUCCACAGAUUAUUCAGAGAUGACUAUGGAAUUUUUUUGGGAGGGUAAGCAAGUCCUUUUACGAGGUGAUCCUAUUCAACUCCCUAAUUUGAUCUCUUUUAAUCAAUUUCAAGCAUUGUUACACAGCGAAGAAGUUGACACUUUAUUCGAGCUACAUUCCCUCUCCAGUAACACAUCCGAAUCCCAUAUUCCUAACUCCACAUCCUCAACUUUUGAAAUCGACUUACCCACUUCCUUGUCAAAAUCUAUUUAUCUUCUCCUCCAUAAAUAUAAGGCAGUCUUUGCUCCGCCAACUGGCCUCCCUCCCCAGAGAAAUAUAGACCACAAAAUUCACCUCACUCCUAAUUGCAAACCCGUCAAUGUCAGGCCAUACCGUUAUCCUCAGUUUCAAAAAAAUGAGAUGGAGAAAUUAGUUCAUGAAAUGCUUGAGCAGGGAAUUAUUAAACCAAGUCAUAGCCUUUUCUCCUCACCAGUGUUGUUAGUAAGGAAGAAAGACGGUACAUAUCGCUUCUAUGUUGACUACCGUGCUUUGAAUGCGGUAACAGUGAAGGACAAAUUCCCAAUCCCUACCAUCGAUGAAUUAUUUGAUGAACUUGGUGGCGCAAGGGUAUUUAGCAAACUGGAUUUGAGAGCAGGAUAUCAUCAGAUCAGAGUCCAUAAACGUGACACUUACAAGACAGUGUUUCGCACGCACGAAGGGCACUACAAAUUUCUUGUCAUGCCAUUUGGAUUGACCAACGAGCCGUCCACCUUCCAAGCGACAAUGAACCAAUUAUUUACUUCUUUUUUUAGCAAAUUUGUUAUAGUCUUUUUUGAUGAUAUUUUGGUAUAUAGUUCUUCUUUGGCUGAUCAUGUGUGUCACUUGGAGCAGGUUUUAUUGCGUUUACAAUCACAUCGAUUUUCUGCCAAACUCUCUAAAUGUUUAUUUUGUCAAGAGACCAUUACUUACUUGGGACAUAUAGUCUCUGCUCAUGGUGUUCAAGCCGAUCUUCAAAAGAUUACCGCCAUGGUGGAUUGGCCCUUGCCCAAAAUAGUGAAGCAACUGAGGGGAUUUUUGGGGCUCACUGGGUAUUAUCAGCGAUUUAUACAGGGUUAUGCAACUAUUGCAGCUCCACUUAUAGAAUUAUUAUGCAAGGAUGUCUUCCGUUGGAAUGCGGCAGCCACUAAAGCCUUUAAUAAAUUGAAAGAUGCCAUGGUAAAAGCUCUUGUAUUGCUCCUACCUAACUUUGAAUUAGAAUUUGUCAUUGAAACUGAUGCAUCAAAUGUGGGAAUUGGGGCGGUAUUAAUGCAAGUGGGUCACCCCAUAGCUUAUUUCAGUAAAAUAUUGGGACCUUGGUUGCGGGCAUCGUCGACAUACAUCAAAGGACUACAUGUCAUUGUGUGUGCCGUGCUAAAAUGACGACAAAAUCUCCUCGGCAUAUUGUUCAUCGUCCAUACAGAUCACAAAAGCAUUAAAGAAUUAUUUCAACAAGUAAUCCAAACUCCUGAUUAGCAAGCUUACGUCCAAAAGUUAUUAGGAUUCCAUUUCAGAAUUGACUAUAAGGCUGGAAGCUCGAAUCAAGCUGCGGAUGCACUGUCACGUAUACAUAAAGAUACACCUCCUGAAUCACAAAUGGUUCCAGCACUCUGUUUAGCAAUGGUUAGUCAACCCUCUAUUGAUUUAUUACAAGCCUUGCUAAAGGAAAAUCCAACCUUAGAUGACAUGUUACUCUCCACAAGAAGUUGGCGGCGGGAACCUGUUGUGCAAAUUUUAAUGUACUCGCAAGCGCACGAAUCUAUUGUAGUAUAGAUCAAUGGUGACAAGUGUCGAUCCCACGAGGAGGUGGAUUUUAAUUAUGUGUAGAAUUAAUUUUGUAAAUGGGUGGUUGGAUUUAUGGUGGAAGUUAUUUGAAUUAUCCUAAAAUUGGAAUUGAAAUGGCGAGAAUAAAUUCUAAAAUUAGAAUUGCAAUGGCGAGAAUAAAUUGAAGAGAAAUGUAUUGAAAUGACGUACUUGGGUAUCUGGAUCCGUAUCAACAUGCAUCAUGGGCUAAAUAUUCCUUAUUAAUGCCAAUUAAAUCAUGAAGGGGGAAUCCACACCUCAUGAACCACGCUCUAAUCAAUAUGGUGCUAAGGGCUUAUCGUGCCAAAUAAUAAUAACCUUAUACUAGAGAGCCGGUGUAACCAAGGCGGUAUCUAGACAAGAUUAUUAUUAUUUGUCGACAAGAAGUCAAAACAUCCACAAAAACUAGAGGGGAAGUGAAAAUAAAUUUACCAAAUUAAGCCCAUGACACAUGUUGAGACUUCACCUUCAACCCAAGCUUGAAAGAAAAUUAGCCACUCAUAAUUGAAAUAGGGGCAAAAUGGGAAUUUAUUAAAAUACAUAGAAAAUACAAGAUGGAGAAGGAAUUACAAAAAAUGGAUUCAGAGAUAUCAAAUUAGGGGGAAGGCCCCCUUUUUAUAGAUACAUGGAGUAAAUCAUGGCCAUCGGAUUAAAAACAGUUUGGACGCUCAGGAUUGCGCCACGUCAUCAGUCAACAGUCCACGGUUUGACCACGUGGAUGAACAGUAACACGGUUUGGUUGAAAAUAAUCCUGUGUGAUGCAUGCACCGUACGCGAGAUUUUUCGUCCACUGAUAUGCUACCACGUCACCAUCAACAGUACAUAAGAAUUUUAGUCCAACAGGAUCGUGACACCUCAUCAGUCAAUACCACAUCAUCGGUCAAUGCCACGUCAUCGAUCCGUCUAUGUGAACAGUGCCGUGAACAGUAACCUAUACAGUACCGUAUACGCGAAUAGUACCGUACAUGUGAAUAGUGCCAUUUUUCCUUUUAUGCUCCUCCUAAGGUUUUCGACCGUCCUGAGUUCAAAAGUGAUGUCUGUUUUGCCGUCUGAUCUCUCUUUUAUUGUGAAAUGACUAUAAUGCCCCUAAAAUACAUAAAAUACUUAAUUAAAAUAACACACACGUAAUUACAUCACAAGAAGGUUAAAUAUAUAAAAGUAAGAGUUGUUAGUAAGACUUGAAAUGUAAAAUGAUGGUUUUCUCCUUUAUAAAUAUACAUUUUCUAACACUCAACACACCCCCCAACCAGCUUAUUGCUAGUCCCUAGCAAAUAAAGCGAAAACAAAAUUUAAAUUCAAAAUGAUUUUUUUUUUUUUUUAGAAACACUCGUGUUUAUUCAAUCAGAUUAAUGAUAGCAAUCAAAUAAAAGUAUAAGCAUUAUCUCCAGUCUAAAGCAACAUCACACCCACAUCAACCAUCCACAUGAAUUGGCCCAGUAGACUUUGUUAUAGCUACUUUCAAGAAUGACAUGUCAAACCCCAAAAUCUCACUGGAAGUAGUGACACUCUCACAAAGAAAUUAAACCCAAAAAAUAGUCACUCCAAUGAAUGGUAAUUGAGAGAAAAUAAUGAAGAAGUGAUAUCACAUGCUCUUACCAAGAUGAAAUAAAUAUGUCCUCAGCUUAGAAAUAAUACGAUCUCAAGUCAAAUAAAAAAAUGUUAGUCAACCCAAUUUAUUUAUUUAUUUUUUAUAUGCACCACUACAUCUUUUUAGCCCAUAUAACUAGCUUCUACUUCAAACUAUAGUUCCCUAAAAUCAAGAAGGACUUUUAUUAGGACGUAACGUAGGUUAGGGAUAUGGCUAACAAAGAAAGGAAAUAAGGAAAACAAAGUGUAUGUUUGAGAAAAAUGCAGAGAUUUUUUUUUUUUUUUGAAGUUGCAAGGUGUAUUUCACCUAUUGUUGUUUAUUUUUUAUUCUUUUGAAACAACAACUUUUUUUUUUUUUGUUUUUUGGCUUUUAUUUGGCAUAACUUCACUGAACAACAUAAUUAUUUACAUUUUCUCAAACAUAAAUAGGUGAUGGAACUUAUAAGACAUAAGGUAAUACUCCAAAUCGGAGUGGGUCAAGAUGAUAAGUUGACAAAGAAAAGGUUUUUUUUUUUUUUUUAAAGGCUUAAAAGGGGUAACUAUGGAUAUUUAAUAAAAGGGAUGGCUAGAAAGGCUCAAACAGAUCAAAGAUGGCAUUUCCAUCGUCUUUUAGGGCUCUAAAUAAUUAUCCAUACUACUAGUUAGAUGGGCCUCCCAAUGUAGCAACACACAUUUUUUUCUUUUUUCUUUUUUUUCUUUUUUUUAAUUUACAAUUUUUUUUUUAAGGGUUAACUCAAAAGCAAUUUAGAGAUCGUGUGUAAAAUAAUAAACUGCUAAGCUGUAUAAAGAGUGGGCAAAAGGGUUAUUCUCCAAGAAAAAUAAUAGGCUCAAAAACUCACUUGGUAAUUAUUAUGACAUGUUCAUUCCUUCAAGCAACUCACAUUUGUCUCCGACAUCAACAUGUAGAGCAGCAAACAUAACGUAACAUCACUUAAGACCAAAGAUAAUACAAAUACUAAAAUUUGAAAUUAAUCAUGUCAUCCAAUGUUAAAACAAAUCACACAAUUUUUUUUUUUCAAACGAUAUUCUACCCCCCAACCUAUUCUAAGCAUGAAAGGAAAAUAUGCAUGCAGAAAUGUGAAAAUGAUGUAGAAAAAUUAAUUAGAAAAAGAAUUGUUUUUUUUUAAACUAAGAAGAUGCGUUUCUAGAGGCACUAUACUCCAUAUUCAGCCAUCUUCGACUAAAAAAUUUGAAAAUAUAUAUUUAUAAAGGAGAAAGAGGAAGAAAACGGUUUUUUUUUUUUUUAAAACGAUGAAGAUACGUUUCUAGAGUAACUACACUCCAUAUUCAGCCAUCUUCAACACAAAACGUUAGCAACAGGUAGUUUCUACAACAAAAAAUCAGUAAAAACUUAACCAAGAUUCCACAAUUGUCGACUAUUCCCUCCCCCCAACCAGAACGAAACAUUGUCCUCAAUGUUUUAAAGGAAAGAAGUAGAGUUUAGAAGACAUCACCUAGGUGGUGUAAUGCCCCUAAAAUACAUAAAAUACUUAAUUAAAAUAACACACACGUAAUUACAUCACAAGAAGGUUAAAUACAUAAAAGAGAGAGUUGUUAGUAAGACUUGAAAUGUAAAAUGAUGGUUUUCUCCUUUAUAAAUAUACAUUUUCUAACACUCAACAGAACCCUUUCCCCUGAUUUUUUUGUUCACAAUGGGUUCUUAUUAUUCCGCCACCGCUACUAUAUCAGUCCAUAUUCAUCUUUGAAACCAUUAUUGCUCAAAGAAUUUCAUGACACAGCAAUGGCGGGUCACGCGGGCAUCAAAAGAACUUUGAUUCGACUGUCAUCUAAUUUUUAUUGGCCCAAAAUGCGAGCUAAUGUGGAACAAUAUAUUGUUGCUUGUCUCACCUGUCAACAAAUCAAAUAUUCCACCCAAGCCCCUGCAGGACUACUCCAGCCUUUUCCCAUCCCUUCACUUGUUUUGGAUGAAUUGCCUAUGGAUUUUAUUACGGGGCUACCCAAUUCUAAAGGAUUUGAAGUUAUUUUGGUUGUGGUCGAUCGUUCGACGAAAUCAGCCCAUUUCGGAGCAUUGCCAUCUCAGUUCACUACCCAAAAGACAGCCAUGUUAUUCACUGAAUUAGUAGUGAGAUUACAUGGUUUUCCCAGUUCAAUCAUUUUAGACUGAUAUCUAGUAUUCAUGAGCCAUUUUUGGCAAAAAUUAUUUAAAUUGAGUGGCACCACAUUACGCCACAGCAUCGCUUAUCAUCCACAAACCGACGGCCAAUCCGAGGUGGUAAACCGUGGCCUAUAGCAAUAUCUCCGUGCCUUCACUCAAGACAAACCUCAUUCUUGGUCAACUUUUUUGGGAUGGGCCGAAUUUUGUUACAACACCAGUUAUCAUAGUAGCUUGCGAAUGACACAUUUCCAAGCUCUUUACGGACGCUUACCGCCUACAAUUCCUAGCUAUUCCAAGGGCUCUACUUUAAUCCAAGCAUUAGAAGACCUGUUGUUCGAAAGAGAUGAAUUGUUGCGUUGUCUGAGAGCAAACUUAUGUCAAGCUCAGCACCGAAUGGCACAAAAAGCUAACAAGCAUCGAAGGGAAUUGCAACUGCAGAUGGGUGAAAAAGUACUGGUAUGCUUACAACCUUAUAGGCAAUCAUCUGUUGCCAACCGCACUUCUCACAAGCUGGCAAAGCACUACUGUUGGCCAUUUCGGGUAUUGGAGAGAAUUGGUUCUGUUGCUUAUAAAUUAGAAUUGCCCGCUGGUAGUAAAAUUCACCUUGUUUUCCAUAUAUCCUUACUCAAGCCUUAUGUUGGGGAUUCUCAUGUUAACAUUCAUUCCCUGGAUCCUGCAAGUGUGAACAACAAGACCCUUUCUUCCCCUAUAGCUAUUUGUGCUAAGCGCUCGGUGCUUAAACAAGGGAAGGAGUUUCGUCAAGUUUUUGUACAAUGGUCUGAUUGUGCCCCCAAAAAUUCUACUUGGGAAGAUUAUGAUGAUUUUCGCAAGACAUAUCCCGAGCUUCACCUUGAGGACAAGCUAAACUCUCAAGGGAUGGGGAAUGAUACAACCUUACCCGAGAUUAAUGACAAGUCAGCACUUAAAACAGAGGAAGAAGCCCAGCUGGUCGAGGAACCUAUAAAAGGUCCUGCUCGUAUGCGCAGGGCACCAAUAUACCUCAAGGAUUACAUUACCUAAGGAAUAUUCGAGAAGGAACAAAAAGAGUGAGAAAGAUGGCAGUUGUGAUUUUGGUUAUUUUGUUGUGAUUGUUUUUUUUAUCCAAUCAUUACAUAGUUGGUUAGUUAUGCGUGUAUUGUUAAGGGGUAAAAGAUAUAUGUAGAGAGAAACACGUCAUAAAAGGGAAUGAAAUGGCAAAAAUUCUUCUUCUCUCUCUGUCUCUCCUGUUAUCUCUGUUUCUCAUCUAAUUUCAAUUCUUUUUUGCUUCUUUUUGCUGGAGUCAGCACUUACUCGAAAAGUGUAAAUCUACGAUAUAAGCUCUGAGUUUCAGAGUUGUAUCAAGUGCCCAGAAUUACUUGGAAAGAUAUGCAUAUUUCGGUUCAUCUUUAUUCCUUACAAUAUUCAAGAAAAUCCUAAAGUAACGUAAUAUAACUGAUUUAUAGGAGAUCAUAAAGAUUAGUUCAAACUUGAUAUAUGCAUAAACAUAGUCACUAUAGGCUUCAUUCUUACCCUUUACAUUCUUUUUACUAUAAGUGUCAAAAUGGACAUUUACUAUUUUCCAAGUUAUUCUUCUACAUUAAACAACUAUUCAAUAUAUGCUUUAUCAUUGUAGCGAGUGAGCCCAAUGUUCUCUGUCUAGCGAACUUAGCCAUUUGUCUCAGUCCAAUAUGCAAAUUUUAACAUGUACAUUAUCACCACAAAAUGAUGCAUAAUGAUCAACUUUUCAUAAAACCUCUUUUCAAAAGUGGUUAGAAAACACUCAAAUGUAAAAAUCUUAGAUGGUUAAUGAUAAAGACUAAGUUUUUAUUGUAUAUUUGUCAUUGGAAAAAUAAGGACCACGCAAUACCAACUUGCAGGUGCUUAUACUUUUAACUUCUACAGCGAGUAUAUUCCCAUAUGUACUUUCUUUUCCUUUGACAAUUAUAAAAGAAAAAAAAUUCAAAAACUUUUUGUUAUCUCUAGUCCCAAGGCAUGGCUACCUAGUCUAUUUAUGUUCGAUGCAAUCACGAGUGAAUAACUGAAAUACAUGGUGAGUAAGCAUCUUUGUAUUGUCCUUCUAUUUUCUAUUUUCUAAGCAUGCUUGCCUCAUUUGGCAAUUUCUAGCAUUUGAUUGCUGAGAUUAGGAUUAAGUCCUAAACUCCCACUAGAAAAGAUUACCCUUUCUCUUAUGCUCAAAGCUUGAAGCUUUCCACAAGCUAAACUCUUUCUUGUUAAGUUGAUUUAGAAAGCAUUACUGGUUCUAUGCACUUAUUUUCUCAAACUAGUAUCAAUCACAUGAUGUUUGCUAAAAGUAUUAGCUGUCUCUAGGUGCCUAUUUUCUAUAUAUAUUUGAUUAGAAGUUCUAGUAGUCUAUUGGCACCAUUCUUCAAAUCCUUAAGGUUAUGCAUUAUAUAAACUCUCAUAUUGUCACAACUAUUAGGGUUGGACAUUUUAUUGCCUGGACCUAACAUUGACAUUUACAAUGUGUCUAGCAUAUUUGAACUCUAUUAUAUGAGCAACCUAAUACAUCUUAUUAAUAAGCUCAUAAAAUAUGUUACUCGGCAACGAGAUGCGAGAAUGCUCUUAUCUUCUAAAGAGAAGAUUUAAAGUCUCAUGAUUUAAUUCCAAAUCAUAAAAUAAAUUCAAUCAAUGUUAUAUAGUAUUCAUUUGAUACACAUUUAAUAUAUUUUGCCACAACCAUAUACCAAAUUAAUGAAAAUUUCAUAUAAGGAUUGGAAUCAAAAAGUCAUUGAGGCUUUCAAUCAUCAUCUUUUCCAAACAUUAAAUCAAUUUAAUUAUAUUUUAUUGCUCAAAACAUUUAGUUCAAUUAUUAUUUUUUCCUAGAAUCUUAAUAUUAGAACUCUCACUAUGAAUUUAUAAAUAUAAUGGGAAUAAAGUAGCCUUCAUACAUUUGUUCAUGUGAAUAAUACACCAGAAAUUUUCCUAGGAAAUCGAUGGGGUCUAAUAGUCCCACUUAAAUACCCAAUUUUCUUAGAUUAUUAUCGUCUUUUUGACAAAAUUUUUCUAGAUAUAUCAUACAUUCACAAUACUACCCUAUGCUGUAGAUUUAUUAAUCCCAAUACAUUUUAAUCUUCUUGUGUUCUCAUUAAAAUGAUUACAUUUGACAAGAAAAUAUAAUUCAUAAAUCAGCUCAUCAUGAUCAUCAUAUGGAUUAAUAAAAACAUUCAUGCUUGUCUUAAAACAAACAGUAUAAAUUAUCUCUACAAGUAUUAGAUAAUUUACCAAUAUGCAUUAUUAGGAGAGCACAUAUAUUAACGUGUUGAAACAGCUCUCAUAGAAGCAUAAUACUGUCAAUCGCAUCUCAAAAUAUUUAAAAAAUUAUUUUUCUCAAAUUUUAUCUCACUUUUAAAUUAUUAUUUUAUUUAAACAUCUUCAAAAGAAUUUAAUUCAAAAAAAUUUAAUAUAAGCAGUAAAUUAUUUUUAGAUCACAAAAUAAAAGAGGAUAAAAUUACAAGUCAGUUACCGUAAAUAGCGCCAAAAUAGAAGUUAAGAUAAUCUCUUGUUGUAAAGGUCCACUUUUAAAACUUUGGGAGGCUUGGAUAAUGAAAAACUCAAGCUUGGUUUGCUUGGAGGCGUGGACGUAAGUGGGGAUUGCCGAACCACGUAAAAAUCUUUGUGUUUACUCUCUCUUCCUUUACUCUUUUAUUUUCAAAUUUUGUUAAAUUUAUUGUUUUGGAUUUAUUAAGGCAUUAGAUUAAAUGGUUGUGUAGUUUCAUAGCUUAAAUUUUAGAAACCCAAUUCACCCUCUCUUGGGUUGCAUAACUAGUAUUUCAUUUGGUAUCAGAGCUUGGUUCUCUUAUUAGGACUUAACCGUCUAGAGUAAAAGAUCCAUGGCAACGCAAAAUGACUCAAUCUUUAGGGAAGGACAAUCCAUAACUAGACCACAUUUCUUUGAAGGUAAUGACUACCCAUAUUGAAAAACUAGGAUGAGAAUUUAUUUGAAAGCUUUAGGUUAUGAAAUUUGGCAAGUUGUUUGUGAUGGUUCAUCCAUGCCUAUGACUAAAAAUGAAGUACAAGAUGAUAUUCCAAAACCUUCAAGUCAAUAAAUUGAGUUAGAAAAGAAAAAGAUAUUUUUGAACUCUAAGGUAAUAAAUGCUUUGUUUUAUGCUCUUGAUAAGAAAGAUUUUCGUAGAGUGUCUAGUUGUAAGAGUGCUCAAGAAAUAUGAAACAAACUUGAAGUUGUCUAUGAAGGGAAAAAUCAAGUUAAAGAGUCUAAGAUUAGUAAAUAUACUCGACAAAAUGAAUUGCUCCAAAUGGAACAAAAUGAGAGCAUGUAUUGUAUGUAUACUAGGUUUACGGAUAUUGUGAACACAUUAGGAGCCCUAGGAAAAAUGUUUUCGAAUAGCAAAAAAGUUAAGAAAAUUAUUAGGUCUUUACCAAUGGAAUAGAGACCUAAAAGAACUGUCAUAGAGGAAGCUAAAUAUUUAAACGCUUUGCCUAUUGAUGAUUUAAUUGGUUCUCUAAUUUCAUAUGAGAAAGAUUUGACAGCAGAAAAUGGCAAUGAGGAAAAAAAGAAGAAAAACAUUGCACUUAAAGCAUCAAAACGUGAGAGUGAUGAGGAAAGCGAGCUUGAUGAUGAAGGCAUGGCUAUGAUGUCCAAGAGGUUAAAAAAAUUCUUCAAGAAAGCCAGUGCGCGGAAAAGAUUCAGAAACUACAAGAACUAAAAGGAGAAGAAGGAGCCAAUUACUUGUUAUGAGUACAAGAAUCUUAGAAACAUGCGAUCAAAAUGUCCUCUUCUCAACAAACUUAAGAAGAAGGCAAUAGUAGCCAUAUAAGAUGACAGGGAUAAGAAAACAAGUGAUGAUAAAGAGCAACAAGAGAUGUAAAAUCUAGCUCUCAUGGAAAUUGGGGAUGAAUUGUUUGACGAACUUGAUGAAGUAAGCGAUCUUACCUAUGAUUAAUUAUAUGAUGCUUUUAAGGAAUUGCAUGAUGAUUGGAUAAAAAUUAGCAAAAAAAUACAUGCCGUAAAAAGAAAAUGCUAGAACUUUCAAAUGAAAACGAUGCCUUGCAAAAUACAAUGAUUCAUUGAAUGAAAAGAUCAAGGGAUUAGAAUUAGAUAAUGAAAUGUUGUAUGGUAGGAUUACAACAUUUAAAUGUAAACAAAGUACUUCAUAUGAGUAUGAAAAAUCACAUGUUGAUGAAUUGAUAAAAGAAAAUGAAGUGCUUAAGAAAAAGAGUAAUGGACUCAAUGAAAUUAUGUUAAAAUUCACAAGUGGUCAAAAGAAUUUAGAAAAAUUGCUGAACUCUAAAAAAUGUAUAUUUUAUAAAGGAGGACUUAGGUAUAAGCCUAACUUGAAGCAAAAGUAUUAUAGGAAUUACUUUGUUAAAGUUACCUCCACUAGUGAUCAUAAAAUUAUUUGUCAUUAUUGCAAUCAAAAUGGUCAUAUAAAAUACAGAUGUCCAAUGAAAAGAAAUGCAUACAAUGGAGUCAAAUGUGUUUGGGCUCCAAAAGGAACCAUUGCUAACACUCAAAGACCCAAAAAGAUUUGGGUACCUCAGACUUGAAAUUUCCUCUGCAUGGUUUUAAGAAAAAGAAGAAUAAAUGACACUUGGACAGUGGUUGCUCAAGGCAUAUGACUGAAAAUUAUUCAUGGUUUUCAAGUUUUACCAAGACUUGAAAUUUCCUCUGCAUGGUUUUAAGAAAAAGAAGAAUAAAUGACACUUGGACAGUGGUUGCUCAAGGCAUAUGACUAAAAAUUAUUCAUGGUUUUCAAGUUUUACCAAGAUUGAAAAUGGUGGAGAUGUGUCAUUUGGAGAUAAUUCAAAAGGAAAGAUUAUCGGUAUCAGUAAUGUUAGUAAAGAAUCCUCUACUCUUAUUGAAAAUGUGUGUUUGGUUGAAAACUUGAAACACAACUUACUUAGCAUUAGUCAAUUGUGUGAUAAAGGCUAUAGAGUUAUCUUUGAUAAAUCGAAAUGUGUUAUUGAGAAUGCAUAUGAUGGCAAGAUUUUGUUUGUAGGAAAUAGAUGUGUUAAUGUUUACACCAUUAAUAUAGAUUGUGCAUCUACUAAUGAUAAAUGUUUCUCUGCAUUGCAUGAUGAUGGCUGGUUAUGGCAUAGAAGACUAGGUCAUGCAAGUAUGAAUUUAAUUUCAAAGAUUUCAAAAAAUGAUUUGGUUAAUGGUCUUCCAAAAAUUAGUUUUCAAAAAGAUAGAAUUUGUGAAGCUUGCUAAUUUGAAAAAUAAAUCAAAACUUCUUUAAAAAAAAGAACCAUGUCUUAACUUCAAAAUCACUUCAACUACUUCACAUGGAUUUGUUUGGACCUUCUAGAUAUGCUAGUUUAAGUGGCAAAUAUUAUGCAUUUUUUAUUGUGGAUGAUUAUUCUAGAUACACAUGGAUAUUGUUCUUUGCUAAUAAGGAUGAUGUUUUUAAUGCAUUUAGAAUUUUCUAUAAAAAGGUUUAAAAUAAAAAGGGAUAUGUAAUUUCUUGUAUUAGAAGUGAUCAUGGUAGAGAAUUUGAAAAUCAUGCAUUUGAGAAUUUUUGUAAUGAUUUUAGCAUUGAGCAUCAAUUUUCAUCACCUAGGACUCCACAACAAAAUAGAGUUAUUGAGAGAAAGAAUAGGUCUAUCCAAGAAAUAGUUAGGACUAUGUUGAAUGAAAAUAUUUUAUCUAAGUAUCUAUGGGCCGAAACCGUCAACACCGUUUGUUAUGGCUUAAAUCGUGUGUUAAUUAGACCUUAUCUCAAUAAGACUCCCUAUGAGCUUUGGAAAGAUAAAAAACACAACAUUGGUUAUUUCAAAAUUUUUGGAUGCAAAUGUUUUAUCUUGAAUGCAAAAGAUAAUCUUUGCAAAUUUGAUCCAAAAUAUGAUAUUGGUAUUUUUCUUGGUUAUUCAAACACAAGCAAAGCUUAUAGAGUGUAUAAUAAAAGAACUUUGGUUUUGAAAGAAUCUAUGCAUCCGAUAUUUGAUGAGUCUAAUCCUUCCUCUACAGAGAAAGUUGUUGUCGAUAAUGAUGUAGAUGAAGAGUCAUAACAAGGAUUAUCAAAAGAUAAAAAAGAUGAUGCAUCACAUGAAAAUCAAGAGGAUAGACAAUGAGAACAAAUAAAUAUGGAGCAAUAAGAAGGUAUGUCUCAAACACUCCCCAAGGAGUGGAGGUAUGUUUCCCCUCAUCCUAAGGAUUUAAUUUUAGGUGAUCCUUCAAGAGAUGUUACCACUAAAUUAUUAUUUAGAAAUACUUGUGAGCAUGCUGCAUUUAUAUCUAAAAUUGAACCAAACUUCUUUGCGGAUGCGGAAAAUGAUGAAUCUUGGAUCAUGGCAAUGUAAGAGGAGUUGAAUCAAUUUGAGAGAAAAAAUGUGUGGAAAUUAGUUUCUAAACCGGAAUAUCAAUCUAUUAUAGGCACUAAAUGGGUAUUUAGAAAUAAAAUGGAUGAAUCCGGUGUGGUUGUAAGGAAUAAAGCUAGAUUAGUGGCUCAAGGAUACAACCAAGAAGAAUGAAUCGAUUUUGAUGAAACAUUUGCACCUGUAGCUAAAUUAGAAUCCAUUAGGAUAUUGUUAGCAUUUUCAUGUCAUAAAGAUUUCAUUUUAUAUCAAAUGGAUGUCAAAAGUACUUUCUUAAAUUGUUAUAUUAUGGAGGAAGUUUAUAAGUUGUCUAAAGCAUUGAAUGGAUUUAAAACAUGUACCUAGAGCAUGGUAUGACAAGCUUAAAAAUUUCUUGGUGGAUAACAAGUUUUCAAUGGGAAAAGUAGAUGCUACUCUCUUUGUUAAGUAUAAGAACCAAGAUAUACUUGUUGUUCAAAUUUAUGUUGAUGAUAUUAUCUUUGGUUCUACUAAUGAGUCUUUAUGCAAGGAGUUUUCAUCUUGUAUGAAUAAGGAAUUUGAAAUGAGCAUGAUGAGAUAAUUGAAGUAUUUCCUUGGACUUCAAAUCAAACAAAACAAUAAGGGAAUAUUCAUCAACCAAGCUAAAUAUGUCAAAGAUCUACUCAGGAGAUUUGACAUUGAUGACUCAAAGUCUAAGAGACCUCCAAUGAGCACAACAAUCAAACUUAACAAAGAUUAAAAAGGUAAUAAGAUUGAUAUCAAAAUGUAUCCAGGUAUGAUCGGCUCUUUACUUUACUUAGCUGCAAGUAGACCCGAUAUCAUGUUUAGUUGUAUGUUUGUGUGCAAGAUUUCAAUCAUGUCCCAAGGAAUCUCAUUUGCUCGCUGUGAAAAGAAUUUUUCGUUAUUUGAAUAGAUCUAUAGAUCUUGGUGUUUGGUAUCCUAGAGGAAUCCAUAUAGAUUUAACUUGUUAUUCGGAUGCCGAUUUUGCCGAUUAUAAAAUCGAUAGGAUAAGCACUAGUGAAAUGUGUCAUUUCUUAGGUCAUUCUCUUGUUUCAUGGUUUAGUAAGAAACAAAAUUUGGUUUCACUCUCAACCACUGAGACAGAAUAUAUUGCCGCAGGUAGUUGUGCACAAACUCUUUGGAUGAAACAAACAUAUAGAGAUUAGACAUCAUUUCUUGAGAGAUUAUGUUCAAAAGGGAGAUAUUGCAUUAGAAUUUAUCUCUACAGAAAAAAAAAUUGCCUAUAUUUUUACAAAACAUCUUUGCGAAAAAUAAUUUUCAAAAAUUCGACAUGAACUUGGGAUAAUGACAUUUUUACAUUAACAUCUCUAAUCAUAUUAUUGAAUCUAUUAAAAUUGAUUGAUUGAUGAUUUUUUUAUGAUAAUGAAGUUUUUAAGCAUGAUAAAUGAGUGAUGUAUUUGAAUCAUUAAUCUAUGAAUGCUUACAUGUCUCAUGAUUGUGUGAUGUAUAAGCAUGAUAAAUGUGUUACAUAUUUAAAUUUAUAAUCUUUGAAUAUUUAUAAUUAUGAUUCAUGCAUUAAAAUGACUUUUGAAAGUGUUCGCGAUCACGAAAUGGUCUUGGAAUAGAUCAAAAUUAGCCGGAAAGCAAACAUUUGUGCAAAAAGGUAGGAAAAAGGCGGCUACCCGCCUGCCCCAAAUGGCUAGCCGCUUGGGCACUGCCCCAAACCCGAGAGCAAGCGGCUAGCCGUUUGCCUCCAAGUGACUAGCUGCUUGGUCACGGUUUUUAUACAUUUCUUCCCCCUUUCUCUUGCUUUCUUCAACCUUUCUCUACUCUCUCUCAUGGUUGUUCAUCUCUUCUCCAUUUCCUCCUAAAUUUUCUUCAUUUCUCACUCAUUUUCAUGCCAAAAUCAAUCUUUCAAACCAUUACCCAUGCAUUUAACCUUCAUUAAACACUUCCCAAUCAUCAUUUCAUCAUUUGUUUCUCCAAAUCUACAAAUUAAAACCUAAGUUUACCUAUUUCUCUUUCUUCUAUUUUAAGCUCUUUUUAGCUCAUUUUUUGUCCAAUUAAUACCAUACAUUGCCUUAAAUCAUCUCUAGGAUCAAUUUUAUUGAUUCAAGCACAUCCAUUUCACUUAAAAUCUUGAAAAUCCGAAUUUGGGUAUUUAAACUUGUUCUUGUUUUCAACAAUGGUUGGUGGUGAAAAAUCCAAGGAAAAACAUGUAGCCAAGAAGCACAAGGAAGAUCAUGGAGACCAUCUGGAGUUCAUAUUAACCCAUUUUCCGCAACCACCUUUUCAGAAACAUUUUCACGACAAAUUUAUGUCGAGGUUAGUGCUUGCCCCCUAUUUUGUCAAUCUUCGUCAUUUGGAGAAUUUAGCAAUUUUUCAUAAAUCUCUUAGUGAUUUUCUUAUUGAUAUGGGCUGGGAAAAUGUUUUAGUUCUUAAGGAACGAUAUUAUGAAAAUUUAGUCAAAGUUUUUUAUUCGAAUAUGGUUAUUUCUUCGCAAACUAUAAAUAAAAUUGUUACAAGUGUUGGGGGAAUACAUAUUGAGUUUGAUGUUGUGGAUUUAAAUCAUAUUCUUAGAACUCAAAUGAAAGGUUGGAACAUUAUACUGCUAGAAGCAAAAUAGAUUAUCCGUGGUAUUCAGUUGAGGAUAUUGUUCGGAAAAUUUGUAGACGUUUCGAUUUGUCUUCUAAGUUUUGUAAAUCUACCUUGAAAUCUCAAGCCUUACCCUUUUAACUUAGGAUCCUUCAUUAUGUUCUUUAACAUGUCAUUAGUCCUAGGUCUAGACAUGGGGAUGAAGUUACCCGAUUAGAUGUGGCCUUAUUGGAUAGCAUUCUAUAGGGUGGGGUGCUAAAUGUCGGUUAUAUUAUUAUUCAUCAUAUGCUUAGCACUCUAUGUAUAGCUAAACAAUCCCUUCCUCAUGGAAGCAUUAUUUCCUACAUUCUCAAACAUUUUCGGGUACCCAUAAUCGAACCAACCUUUUUGAAUCCUAAGGAAUUAAGAGAUGAAGCUAUAGCUAAUUUAGGGUUUAUAUGGGUGGAAGAUAAAUGGUGUAAAGACCAGAGAUGCAAAAACAAGGGUACUGCACUAGCUCCUACAGAUCAUUGUUUCUUUAACGAUGUUCUUCCACCAAACCAACUCCCUUGAUCUCAGAGCUCCACAGCGCUCACAUCCUUCGCCUUCCGAGGGUCCUUCCCAUUCUAUUUCAGCAGACCCUGAGGAUCCAAUGUAGCAGCUAUUGACUGAAGUGCAUUCUCUUUCCGAGCAGCAGAGCCAACUUUAGUCCCAGUUUGAGGCCUUUCAAAUUCAGUCCACUUCGGAGCAACAACGCCUUUUUAAGCAGUAGCAGCGUUUAUUUGAUCAACGGCAUCGACUCUUUGCUCAACAAUAGUAGCUUCUUGAUGGCCAGCAAUGACUUUUCACUGCUCUUAGGUUUCCACCACCAUCCUCCUCAUCACAUCCACCAUCUCCAUAGUGUUCUAUAAUUUUUUAUCUUGAUUUCAGUUCUUCGUUUUAUUUUGCACUACAUUUUCAUAUGCAUUGUUGUUUUACUUAUGGAUUAAAGAUGAUUGUUGUUUGAUAUUUAAAUGUUUUAUAUUUGGAUGAUAUUUUAUGGAUUCUGGGAUAACUCUUUGGUUACUUGCAUGCUUGAUUUUAUAUGUUUCUUGAUUAACUAUUGAGAUGUUAUUUUUGGUCUGAGCAUGGAGUUAUAGUAAUUGUUAUGAUGAAGAGGGAGAAGUCAUGUAUUUUGAUUUUGAAAUAUUGAUGCAUGAUUUUGAAAUAUCUAGGGGGAGCAUACAUUUGUUAAAGAUCAUGUAUUCAGGGAGAGUUCAUAGUUCAUUUAUAUGUUGAAUUAUGUAUAUCAUAUAUUAAGGGGGAGUAUAAAUGUCAAAAUACAUUAAAUGUUUAUCAUCAUAAAAAAGGAAGAGAUUGUUAGCCUAAAGGGCUACACAUAUUUUAAUUUUGAUGAUAAAAAAACAUAUGUCUUAAGUAAUAUGAUAAAUAUUGUAUUUCACAUUUUCACUAGUUCUUGAAGGACAAUAUUUAUGCAAAUGAAUCACGUGAAAUCAGGCUCAAGGCACUCAACAGAUAACGGCUUGAUCAAGAACAAAGUUUAGCUCAUUGGAGUCAUUAUUGUAACAAAUUCUUAUAAAGCCUGUAUGAUUUAAUAUAUGUAUGGUUUAGCAUUUGAGAAGCUCAAGAUUUUAUUUAAUAAAUCAUUACAUCAUUGACAUUAAGUGUGAAAUGAUCAAAAAAAUGUGUAAAUCACACAUAAAACUAGUAAAUUGAUGGAAAAUAGAGUAAAUUAAUGUUGAAGUUGUCAAUUACACGAAGAAAUUGUAAACAAAACAAAAACUUAGAAAAAUGACAUAAAACUUGUAAAUUGACAUUAAGUGUGAAAUGAAACAAAAAAUUUAUAAACCACACAUAAAACUAGUAAAUUGAUGAAAAAAAUGGGUAAAUUAAUGUUGGAGUUGUAAAUUGCAAGAACUAGUAAACAAAACAAAAACUUAGAAAAAUGACAUAGAAAUUGUAAAUUGACAUUAAGUGUGAAAUGAAACAAAAAAAAAGUGUAAAUACACAUAAAACUAGUAAAUUGAUGGAAAGAGAGGUAAAUUAAUGAUAAAGUUGUAAAUUAGAAGAAAAAAGUGUAAACAAAACAAAAACUUAGAAAAAUGACAUAAAACUUGUAAAUUGACAUUAAGUGUGAAAUGAAACAAAAAAAAAGUGUAAAUACACAUAAAACUAGUAAAUUGAUGGAAAGAGAGGUAAAUUAAUGAUAAAGUUGUAAAUUAGAAGAAAAAAGUGUAAACAAAACAAAAACUUAGAAAAAUGACAUAAAACUUGUAAAUUGACAUUAAGUGUGAAAUGAAACAAAAAAGUUGUAAACCACACAUAAAACUAGUAAAUUGAUGGAAAAAUAGAUAAAUUAAUGUUGGAGUUGUAAAUUAUAGGAAGAACUUGUAAACAAAACAAAAACUUAGAAAAAUGACAUAAAACUUCUAAAUUGACAUUAUGUGUGAAAUAAAACAAAAAAUUUGUAAACAACAUAUAAAACUAGUAAAUUGAUGGGAAAAUUGAUAAAUUAAUGUUUGAGUUGUAAAUUGCAAGAACUUGGGAACAAAACAAAAACUUGUAACUAUUGCAUAAAACUUGUAAAUCAACAUUAACUUGUAAAUGUUGUGUAAAACUUGUAAAUCACACAAAAAAUGUAACUUGUAAAUGUUCCAUUUUAAAGUGGGGUCAUUCUAUAAUGCCGUAAUCUGCACUCAUUUAAUUAAAAAAGAAUUCAAAGCAAAACUAAAAGACACAAAUUACAUACAUGUCUAGGAGCCAUAUCAAAGGUGUUAUAUAACUUGUCCAAUUAAUAAAUUCUCUUAGGGGUCAGAACGUGCUCACUCAUUUCCAAAGCUAUUAAUGAUAAGAACUUUCAUCAUUAAUUGAUAUGGCCAGUGUAGAAAAAAAAUGAAAAAUCCCUCCAACAUCAAAGCGCAAGGAUAAGUUUAGAAUUACACUUUUUAAAUUUUGGUUAAUAUAUAAACGUCUAUAUGAAAAUAGAAAAUCGUUUGGGAAUAACUUUUUUUUUCUUUUUUUAAUGAGUGUAGAAAUAAAAUUUUAAAAUCGCCAAACCGAAAAGAAAAACAGGGGAAUGAAAAGAGAGCCCACGUUUCUCCUCUGUUUUGUUUUUAUUGUUAUCAAACAUGGGAAUGAAGAGAUCAGCUCUUGUCGCAAGCGCAAAUUUUUUUAUCUACCUUUUAAAUGCAGUUGAUUGUAAGUAUAUCCUCGAUCCCAAGUACUUAGAAGUAAAUUACGCAGGGGUCGUGGAUUGUGCGCGAAAGUGCUGGAAGCACCCAUUGUUUAUUAGGAAAAGCAGUUGAUUGUAACUAUAUAUAUCUGCGGUCCCAAGUACUUAGAAGUAAAUGCUCUUGGAAUUUCUAUUGCAGUUCAUGAGAUGUUUCCCUUUCAAAUAGCUCGUCUGAUACCAUUAACAUGUUCAUCUUUCUGUAGAUUGAUGUUGACAUAGGUUAUUCUACUGUUGCUAGUGUAGUUUUGGGCCUUGCCGUAAUUGGUGUAAUUACGACAUUGAUAGUUGACAUGGCUUUCCUUGUACAGGUAUGCAUGAUUGUUUUUUUUGCACUUGUAAAUGGACACCACGGAAAAGACAUGAUUUUGAGAUAUUGCAGAAUAAUUUGCAUUUUUGCAUGCUGGAAUGUUCUCAGAAUGGUAUAACGCUUCGCGUCUCUUCUUUAUCUUGCUCUUUUGUAUGCAGGCAAAUACUACAGAUGAAUUACCGGAGCGACUGAUUGGUGUUAUACGUGUUUCUCAUAUAGAACUCAAGUCUGCUAUUGUCCCAAAGUUGGAACCAGAAACAUCAUGACUCUGGCUCCUUUUCACCUCAACUUUUUUUUUUUAAAUUUAAAAAAGCAUUUGUUUUAGGUAUACAUACAUGUAUUUUGAUCCCAUUUUCAUUGUAAUUUCUCAUUUACUUUGAAUGAAAGUCAUUGGUGUUUCCAAAUGGGAAUUUUGCAUUAAAAACAGAAGAAUAGUUAAUAGGAAAUUUUCUGAUUCUUUAGUUACUAUUUUUGGAAUGAGUGUGAUAGCAUUAAAGUUGGUUACUUGGUUUCUUAAUGUUGUACUCGCAAACAAGUAAACUGCUCGAUUCCCAACUGCGACUUAACUGGUUUCUAACUUUUUUGUAUACACUAAUUUUUCUUAUUUAAUAAGUACUACUAUUAAAACUCAACAACUAACAAAGAUACUAAUAAAAAAAAAUGAUUUUCUUGUGAUGUUGUAGAAAUAAUUAUGGGUUUACUUAUUUCCACAAGAUCUGUAACAAAGUCUUGACUUCACGAAAUUCUUUUAAUUUAAAGCGCGCUGGUCUGAGAAGGUCAGUUUGAUGGAUUAAUUCCUUUUAAUACUGGUCGAGAUAAUUUUAGUAUACUCAUAAAAAAUCUUACUCUGAUAAUGCAUGCCACAAAUGUUAUCAACAUUGUCUUGUGCUGUUUCCUUUACCUAAAGAUCCUCUAUUAAAACAGGUUAGAAAUCAAAUGCUUAAAAUACCAAUUGAACAUAAAAUACAGAGGUUUAAACAAAAUCUAAUUGAAUAUUGCAUGAAACAUGAAUCAUCAAUUCAAGUCGUUCCUUAAACGGAGAAUCCAUCAAACAAAUCCAAAGUGUCUUGCAAGUCUGUAGCAUGACAAAAAAAUUGUAAAUAAGUUUAUAACCAAAUUAUUCCGGUACAAGAGAACGAGCAAGAUGAAUCAUGUACAAGAGAUUGGCCUGGUUCGAGAUAGCUUUUUCACUGUACCUAAAGGUUUGGCUCAAUCUCUUCUUUAGAAUUCUGUACAUUUUGUAAUUACUCGUGUAAGCAGGCAUACAUCACCACCAUAACAAUAAUAAAGCAAGAGUAAUGAUACCGCCACAACCUCUUGUGCACAAACAAUAUUGUAUAAAUUAAUGUGACACAAUAUGAUUGCUUAAACAAAAAUAUCACAUGACCGUCAUAAUUUAUUUAUUAGUAUUAUAUAUUUUCAGUAAACCAAUCAUAUUAUGCCACAUUAGUUGCUAUAAAAAUAAUUUGCUAGAUAGCGCCAACACUUAAUUGAUACUCACCAUUUCAUUGAACAAGUUUUUUAUGGUGUCAUUGAGGUUGCCUUCCCAACAUCCUUCAUCAUCAUAAUCUACUUCGUCAUCAUCUUCUUCUUCGGUGAGUUUCACUUUGUUUAGCUUUGGUGUAUCUAUGACUCCUUGAGAGAAAAUCAUCAUCUUUGGGCAUCGCCUCGCAAUUACUUGUUUCAAGGAUGGGAACUUGAGAGUGUAAUUACCCGAACAAAAGCUUGUUAGCCUUGGCAAACAAUCAAGUGUCAAGCACUUCAAUUUCUUGAAAACAAUGCAAUCUUUCGUUUCUUCUCCAACCUGCGAUUGUAUGAUUUCUUCUAUCAUUUUGCAAUCUAGCAUUAUCCUCCACCCUGGUGCUCUGCUCCUUCCUUGCAUGUCAUCUAUUACCUGUGUUAAUCUGCGCACUUCUUCUUCUAAUUGUACAGCACGACCAGGGUCACGUGCUGCAACCUGGUCUCGUUCUUGCUCAACGUCAUGCAGGUGUUGCCGAAGUUCUCUUUCCUCUGCAUUCGCCAUUCCAUCAUCGUUGUCAAAGUUCUGUCUCCCUGGGGAUUGAUCUUCUCCUUUGUGACUUUCCCCCCGUAGAGAAGAGUUACCUCCCUCACCACCAGAUCUUCUGGUAGACCGACUUCUCAUCAAGUUAUCGUGUCCUGGUGUCAUUCCGCCACUUCUCACCCCUUCCUCAUGAACUCCCAUUCGUUCACUCCUCAUUUUGUGUAAGAUGGUUGUCAGGGUCUCCAUCUGCUUUUCCAUCCGUUCCAUCCGGUCAUACAUGGCUUUUUCCCGUGCUUCAUUGGCUAUCUCUCUCAAUGUCACGGACUCGUUAAGCCUCAAGUCACCUCCUUGUGCACUACUUCCUCCCACAUCCAUUGUUUCUUCACUUGCUUUCUUCUUCCUCUUUCUAUCAAUAGAAGCUUUUUUAUCAGCUCCCCACAGACGGCGCCAAAAUGUUGAUGCAAGAUUUUGGUUCUCUGCUAGACCACGACCAAAUCCUCUCCUCAACUAACUCGACCACGAUCAGGAUCUCUCCUUGUAAGACUUCUUCUCUACAGACUCCUGCGUACACAGAAACAAAUCAAAGCACGCCGGGUGUUUCCCGGCGUAAACCCUCCUACGCUCAAGUCAGAAAUGAAGGUUUCGAGUCCCUGGGAAAGUUAGCCACUAAUCUUAUGGCUUAUUUUCAGUAUCAAUUAUUCAGAGCUCUCUUUAUCUCAGUUUCAAUGUCAAAAAAUCUAACCCUUUUACCUUCGUUGGCUACCUUUUUAUAGGCUCCCUCUGAAUCUCGGCCACUACCAUUACCUCCCCCAACUCUCGGACGUGGGCGCUCCGUUAUCUUAGUCGUGGCUGGAUGGACUUCGUGCCUUGAUUCUCGGGUAGGAAGGCACGUCCUGCCAACCGUCAUUGACCGGGUCUCCUCACCUCGACCUCUAGCAGGAAUCGUUUUAUGCUCCUGGCAGGAGGCCGGCUCCCGCUAUGGCCCCUUGGAGGGUGCAUUCGUGUACGAGCAUAACAAUCCUGCUCGUAUUCCUCUACUACCAUACCUCUGCGGAAUAUACAUGUUCGUGGCAUCCUACUACCAGAUACCUGCUUAUCAUGGCUGGUCUUAACGAGGUAUUACCCCCAAACAGUUAGUAUUAUUGUGCAUCGUCACUUAUCAUCCGUUCUUUCUUUCUCAACAUUCCUAGAAGGAAUUCCAAUUUUAUCAAACUCGAGUUUUGUCUAAAUAUUAUCCAAUAUAAUUAGGAUCCGCUUCUCUUUCUUCAAUCUUUGACAUAGUUGAUGUGCUCUGUGGAAUAUACUAUCAUUCAAGUCAAAUUUCAUCCCUAAAUCAGAAGCUAGCUGGUCUUGAAUUUUCUGAGGAUCUGGGUUCUGUGUUAGCUCAGCCAUAACGACCUCAUCGAACAAGUUAUCUUCCAUCACUUGCUUUGCAACUUGCUUGACUAGCGUGGUUUUACCCACGUCGCCCAUCUCGUAGACCCCAAUUAUGUUGUGCUUAUUAUCCUUCAACGCCUCGACAACAUCCUGAAAUACUUUCAUUCUUGAAUCAAAGGCCGCGAAAUCUUUCACUUCCAUAUGUUCUGCCCGCUUUGGAGUAGGACGGUAGGAAACAUUAGAGAAGUUGCCUUUUCCCACGAGACUAGCGGCAGCUUCUGCGGCCUUUGCUGCUUGUUUACUGAGCUUGUAACGAGAAAUCAAGUUUGGGCACAAUCCUUGAAACAGAACUUCUUAGCUCUAUCUUCAUCAUCAGUGAUGGAUUUUGCAGCUCCCGGAGUGAAUUCCUUGACGCUAUUAAGCAGCCAGUCUGCAACAUCCUUGUAAAUCUCAUCUCCUUGUUCAGUAACCUGAUGAACGGGUAUUUCCACCCUUUCUCUUUUAUAUUCCAGCCGCUUCACUUUAUCUUUUAGCUCAUCUAUGUAGCUCUGGUACUUGAACAUAUAAGAUAUCUGCCGUAUAAUCGGUUUGAACAGCGACCUUGCACCUUCUGAUACGAUGCUGGAAAAAGCAGCCAGACCCACUUCUGCCAUUGCCUGCUGCUUAACAAAUCUAAUAAAAUGUCAAAGAAAGGAAUACAAAUAAAUUAAAAUGAACUAGAGGGAAAGACAAAAAAGGAAAAGAUGGUGAACAGUAUCACUACAUUGAUCUUGAAUCAACUGACACAUAAACAGAGUAUUUUUUCUUCUUUGUUAAGGAUCAGAGUUUUUGCUAUUAACAAAAACGUACUUCAAGUGUCUAAAAAAAAAACAACCAUAAAUUUACCAUAAAUGAACAAUAACUAUAAAACUCAAGCAAAACAAGCCAUAGAAUUUUUUUCUUGGAAAGUGGAUGGAAAUUAAGAAAGAAAUGCUAUAAAGAUCAAGCAUCAGAGAUUAUGCUAUUAAAAGAAAUUAAUUGAAGGUUUUAGAACAAGUGCACCUGUUUAAUUAUGUGGGAUCAGAAAGCUGAUAAGCUUUUGUAAUCGCCUUGAAUAUUUAAGAACAAUUUCAAUGAGUAAAAAAUUUAUGUUACCUGCAGAGGAAUGUGAUUAUAGAGAGCUUAUGAGAGCAAUGACAAUGAUUUGCAAAAGAAGAAGACUUAAUCAUGCAGCCCUUAAUAUUUAUUAAAUGACUUGUGAUCAUUUCUUUUAUGAAUAAAAUGCCAACAGCAAAAACAGAAAAAAGAGCCAAAUUUACUAGGGUGGCGUUUGUUUUUUAACUUAAUGACUUAAAGUGACUUAACUUAAUUAAUUAAGUUAAUUAGAGGUGUUUGUUUUUAUAACUUAAUAAGACUUUUUAGAUAAUUUUGACUUAAUAAAAUAAGCUAAUUUUUUUGGCUUUUUACUUAAUGGAAAAAUCUGAAUUAAGUCAAUUACUUGCUAAUGUAAAAAAUAUCCCUGUUUUAUAAUUUAUUUUUCAUGUCUAUCCCAAAACUCACCCAUAUAUAUUUACCCCACAUAAAAAUAUCUCUGUUUUUUCUUUCUUAUAUUAUAUACGAUAAAAUUUGAAAUUUAUGGUAUUUUAUAUAUUAAAAAAUCAAAAUAAUUAUGUAUUCACUUGAAUAUAGUUUUACUUAUAAAUGUUAAAAUAUUGUGGUAUUUAAUAUAUUAUUUAUUUGACAUUCAAAUUUAAUAAGGAUACAAAUGUAAAAGUACAUAUUUUUAGCUUUUUAAGUUGAAAAAAACAAACAACUUAAUACUUAUUUUUCAAGAUUCAGACAAAAAAACAAACAUAUUAUUCAGAUUCAGACAUUCAGACCUAUUCAGAAUUCAGACUAAUUCAGAUCUAUUCAGAUUUCAGACAAAAAAACAAACGCCACCUAAGUCUUAUUUUAUUUUUAAUUUCUUUUAUUUUCAUUUGCCGAAGAGGGAAUCUCUCUCUCUUCUUCUUCUUUUUUUUAAGGGAAUCUCCUUACCUAAUAUGACAAAAUGAAAGCAAUCUGUAAAUAGUACAAUAAUCAUAUAAUAUAAUAAGUAAAAAUACCCAUAUAUUUAUAAUAUUAAUGAUGGGAUCCAUAUGUUAAUACUAAUUAAAUUGGUGGACCAGAAUUUUUUUUACCAUACUUGUUUUCUAUAUAAUUAAAAUUGAAACGACAGAGAAAAAUUGUCGUAUUGAUUGUUUCGAAUUCGAUUGUGGAGUUCCGUUGUGGAUAGCACUUCCAAUAUUGAAAAUGAAGCUUUCAUCAACUUUCUCUCACGGACACGUACCGUCAUGCAUAUUGCAUUAUUUCCCUAGAAAAGCAAGAUUAAUUCUUUUAAUAAGCAAACGCGUAGGUGGGAAUCCAUUGACUAAACGAGUGGAACAACAAUAUCAAACCAAUGAUAAGCAUGCUCAAGAUGCUUAAGUGGGAAAACAAAUUAUGACAGAUAAUUCAAAAUCUGAAUCCGCCUGAUGGACGGGUUUGACCACCCAGAUCAAGAUAAGCGAGUCCAGGCAACUAAUCUGAACCAUUCUCCUUUAGUAACAGGGGAAUGAAAUUAUAUCGAUGAUAGAUAAUUUCAAAACAGGGGAAUGAAAACAGAGGAACCUGUUUUUCCUUCCUUUUCUUCCCCCCCCCCCCCCCCCCCCCCAACUCUUCUUCUUUUAUAUAUUUUCCUUGGAAUUUUUGGCAAACGAAAAAAAAAUUGAGAAUGAUUUCAGGAAAACAGGUGGAUAAUAACUAAAAUAUAUAUUUUUAUAUCAAUAAUGCUACACAUCCCAAAUUUCUUAUCCCAAAAAGUUAUCCCAAAUGAUGUGUCAUUAAUUGAGUGGUUGAUAAUUAUUUACAAUAUCCAAGUGAAUUAAUUGUAUUAUCUCACCAACCAAUUGAUAAAUGCCACAUCAUUUGGGAUAACUUUUUGGGAUAAAAAAUUUGGGAUGUGUAGCAUUAUUGUUUUUAUAUAUUUGAUAAACGCGCUCACUAUUAAUAGAAUUCAUUAAAUAUCAUAAUUUAAAUAACUUCUUGUCAUUGAUUGAGGGUACAUUUGAGAUUUCUUUUACUUCCCAAUAAUUAACUUCUAUGUUGAUUCUCAGAAAAUUAAUUUUACGAAUAAUUUAGUAGGGUGUUUGGUAAAUGAUGAUUAUUUGACAGUCAAUUUUCAAAUAAUCUACUAUACAAAUUUGGUAAGUGAAAAUUAAAAGUGUAAUAUUCAUGUGCAAUGAUAAAAAUGUACUUGUUUGCUUAAUUGUACUUUAUUUAGAAUAUUAUUAUUUACAUCAUUUUUUUUAUUUACUGGAUUUUUUUAAGAGUAUAUUCUAUUUUCUUUAUUGCAUAUUUAUAUCAUUUUUUAUUAAAUAUUUUAAUUUACAAUAAAACUAACUUUAAUAUUUUUUUAACUAAAAAAUUUGUUAUGCAGUUUGUAAUGUGCACAAAUGCUAACAUAUUAUUAAAUUGAUUAAUAAAUAAGUGCAAAAAGAAAAUGCAAAAAUUUAAUCUUUAUAUAAACUUUUAUGUACAUAUAACUAUUGCAAUCAAAGUAGUUCAUAAAAAUAAAAUAUUAUAGACAUGUGUGUAAAAAAAAUAUAUAACUAUAAUAUUGUCCACUCACUAAACUUGCAGCACUAUUAUUUCUCAAUGUCCCCAUCUCUCGACCUUUAGGAACAUUAAUACCAUGAUCUUCUUCUUGAAUUCGACCUCCAUUUCCACAGUAUCAACAAGGCGAUCAAUUUGCUGUGACAGCCUUUCAACUCCUCCCACUUUCCUCCAUUUUGCAGCCGCUCUUUUCCUUUUCUUUCUUUGAUAGCUUCAAUAGGAACAAACUCAUCUAACGACAAGUACAUUCUUCAACCAGAGUGGAAUUGGUAGUUGAUAUUUUACUACUCUCAGAUGGUGUCUAAAGACUCUAAACAUGGUCACCAGUGAUUGUUAUAUUAAAAAAAAUUCUAUUCAAUUUUUCCUCUGACUUUUUGUCGAUACCUUUCAUGCAAAAUCUACUUGCUUCAGAAAUUUCUUACGUAUGUUGAUAUCAUAUUAAAGUGAAUUCACGAUCCUAUAUUAUUUUGCAUGACAUCAAAAUUUAGCCGAAUGGUAAAGAAUUUCCCUUUUUGUUUGUCCCACAACUAUAUAGUCUCAUUUCUGGCAAUAAGCUCACAAUAUGCACGGAAAUGAAGAUUUAUUAAAAACUUCCCUGUAAUAUUAAACACUAAACAAUAUCACUAUGUUGUGCAAAUGGUGCCUCGUCAACAAUUUGAUGUUCAUUUUGUUGCUCGGGUGAAUAUGACUACUUGCUUUGCGAAUCCAUGCUUUGUCGUUUGGAUGGAGGACGGGCCAUCUUUUUAUUUUAGAUGCUUUGAGAGACUUUUGAUUUAAUGAUUGAAUGCAGUCAAUUAACAAAAGCUUACAUAUUAUGUAGGUGCUGAUAUGUAUGUUCUUGAUAAAGUAGAUUUAUUUACAUCCAAGCCAACGGAGCCAAAGACAUUUCGUUAAUAAUAUACACGAUAAUUAUUUUUGUUAAACUGAUUUCUGGUUAAUAAGACCUAUGAAAGCAAUCAAAGAAACCAUUGAACUCAGAGGAAAGCCAUGAUUAAAUAUACUGCGGAGCAUAUGAGCUCGUUUUUUGAUCUCUUGAUCACUCAUAAGCUUUUCUAUACCACUCACUAUAUCAUCCUUUUGAAUCGAUUUUGAUUGAUCAUCAGAGAUCAUGUACCCCACCUUGAGAUGAUUGAUCACAAAUUUGGCAUUGUAAUGUUGAUCACCUCUAAUUGGCCAUGCUAAAAUUGGGACUCGACAACCAAUUGCUUCUACUGUUGAAUUCCAUCUACAGUGAGAUAAAAAUCCACCCGUUGAUUGAUGACUCAAUAUCAAUAAUUGUGGCGCCCAUCCAUCUAUUAUCAAACCCUUCUUACCGACUUUAUUAUCCAAACCACUACGAAAAUAACUGUCUUCUGCUGGUUUGUCCAAAUGACGUAGAGGAUCCAAUCUACCUGCACCACCUUGAAUUACCCAAAUAAACAGUCGAUUUGAUGCCUCUAAAGCAUUGGCUAGUACUAAAUACUCAUCUAAGGUCGGAUCCACUUCAGUACCAAAUGACACAUAUAACACAGAUCCGCAUGAUUUUAAAUUCAACCAUUGAACGAUCUCAUCUUCCGUCACGUUAGAACUCCGCCGGUUGGUUCUCAUCUCAUGAUCACGAAGCAUUGAACCGGCAGAUUUGUAAAAUUGUUCAGGUAACAAUGGGCCCACUCCCCACACCGGCUUUCCCAAUUGAUUGGCUAAAUAAUUAAGAAAUGGUCCCUCAAGACCAUCACACGUGUUGAACAUCAACGCCAUUGAUCUCUCCACUUCCUUCAUCCAGUGUGGUUGAUCACCAGCUUCUGGUGGACCUAUUUUCUCGGAACCGGGUGCACCUCGCAGAGGUGGUGGACCACCAGGAGGGGGCCCAUGAGGCCUGUGUUUAAGGUCUGAUUCAAAUAAAGCCAUGUCCACGGGUAACCCAGGAAGUAAACGGGCCUCUCCCGGUUUGACAUCUUGGAUGCGAGCCUGCCACAUGGCACACUCCACAGCUGCCGAGCAAGCACCAGAAGUGAAGAACCCAACAAUGGGAACUUCAAAAAUCUUGAAAACAUCAGCCGUCCAGCCCAUCAUAACGUCGAUGACUGCACAAACGGGUCGGCUUUCGGGUUCCCGGGUUGAAAGGAGGUUUCGAAGGCCUUGAAGCAUUUGGCUGUGCAUGACAACAUGGGGGUGAGGAGGCGAAGGUGGUGGUAGUGGCGGAGAUGAGGAGGGUAUUUCAGUAACUUCAAAGAGAGGGUAUUGGUGAAACGAGGAAGGGAUGAUGCUGGUGGCGGAAAUGUGAGAAGGAAUGAUGAGGGUAGAUUUGUAAUUACGAGAAGCGAUUUGCUUGCAUAAUUCAAUGCAUGGAAAUAGAUGUCCCUGACCGAAGAAUGGGACAAUCCAAAUCUCGGCCUCAGCAGCAGUAGCAACAGAGCUUGACAUCUUUUUGAAUUAUUUUAUACUUAAUUGUACUGUUUGCUUUUACCAUCAUUCAUAAAACACUCUUUGUUAUAUAUAAAGAGAUGACUUAAUGGAGAAGUAAGUUUUUUAGUUUUACAGUUUUACUAGUAGGUGAGCUCUGAGUUUGAUAAUUUGAUUGUUAGUUUUGGUUGGUUAGUUAUUAGAAAGCAUCUUUAAGAAAAUUCAUUCCAGUUUCAACUCAAAUUAAUAAUAUUGUUCAAAUUAAUUACUCGAUAAAUAAAUAAUUAGAGACAAAUCUAUUCCUAAUCUCACAUUUAUAAAAUAAGGAUUGAAAUAAGUUCUUGUGGGUUCGAACUCAAGCCCUCAAGCCGAGUGGCUGGAACUUGACUACUUUAUAUAUAUAUAUAUAUAUAUGUAUUCCUUCUUUCAUUGAACGUCUUCUGUUAUAUAAUGAAAAAGAUAAGUUGAUAAAGAAGGGUUCUACUUUUACUAGUAGAUGAGCUUUAAGUUGAGAAGGUUAGCCCUCAAAUGUUCCUUGCUAAGUUAAAUAUCUACCAUUCAAAUCAACAUUCCUUAGACUAUUAUUCAAGUGAGAUGUCUGAGUAACAUAUGCUUGAGUUCGGUGCCUAGCAAUUCGUGUGAUACAUGAAACCAACCAAUAUGAAAACCAAAUCAAGUUGGUAGGUUUACAUUAAUUUAAAUUAACUUUCAAGUUUCAACAUUAUAACAUAAAUAAAUAGCAUAAGCUAAUUUUUAUUUUCAAGUAAAUAUGUUUAUCGUUUAAAAUUAAUUUUUCUUGCGGUAAAUGCAACACUAAGAAGGAGUGAAGAGGGUAUUUUGUAGGGUAUACCCCCACCUUUUAUUUCAUUUCAUUAUUAAAAAAUAAAGGCUCGAUUCAACAUUCAACUAAAAUUAACAAUUGCAUGAUAAAAUUACUUGAGAAUAAAAAUUAAAAUAAAAAAGAAUCAGCAACUAAAAAACGACGUAAAAAUACCGCAUAGAAGUUUUUCGUCACGAGAUAUUUUUGGGUUGAGACAACACUUGUAUAACAGAGCAUAAAGAUUGAAUGACGGUGAGAAUAAGAAGGAAAACGGCACCGCAGACCGAAAUGCCAGCCCAUGGAGUAUUGACGUAAUUUUAUUUCAAGUUUGCCUCUCAUUUGUAGCACGUUCUUUUGCAGUGAUCAUUCAAUCCUUUGCUGCUUUGCAUAGCCCAGAAAAAUAGAAGCUAUCAGCCAGCAGAGUGGUACCUCUGGAAAGGUUAUUUAUAAGCGUUGACGCUGCCUCCUUAUCCGGCAACCAGUUCUCAAUGAUUCCGUUCUGAACAAGCAACUCGACGUCCUUCGCUGUGUUCACGAGAUGAUGAAUAAGGAACACGUAAUCAUUUAUGUAAUUCUCUGAGUAAUGCCGUUGUUCAAAGGCAAUGAGAUUACGAAAUAAGGAUUCCGUUUCCAGCUGUAGCUUCAGUUUCGGAAUAUGCAAUGUCCUGUUUUUGAAUUCUAUGGCGAACAAAUCAUUGCUCUUGCUCAAACUGAAGUGGACUCCAGCUUGGUGGAGAUCAGUCACACUUGGUGCGGUUUUACCUUUGUGGUAUUGCUGACCUUCUUGUUUUUCCUGAUCCCUCGAUGAAGGUAGAUGACAAAUCCGUAGAAAAUCAAAGAAAUGCUCUACCCUAGCCUCAGUUUAAGGAGGGAAUUUUUGCUGAUUACCUUGUACCGCCUCUAAACCCUUGAAGUACUCAUAUGUGACUGUGAUGAUGGUUGGAUUUUCAUGUUGGUCAGGGAUUUCAAUUGCCGCUAGAGCAAAAAGAUCCUCAAGAAUGAAGAAAGGAAGCUGAUUCUCAAGCAACCACAUAUCAUACCAUAUAUCCUCUAUUAAAUAUGGUUUAUGAAAUAUAUGAUCAUCUUUUUUUUGAAGUUGACGGAAAUGAUACCUCAAUAAGAGUUCAAUGAUGAAGGCAGCAUCCAGCAGAAUCAUUUCAAUGAAUUUAUCACUACUUAAAUCGAUUUUUUCUGCAUAAGAACCUCGUAAUUCUGCUCCUCUGAACUUUAUAACUUGAACAAACUCAUCAAAGCUUAUUUUGAUCCAUUGAAGAAGUAACGCAGGUACCGCUGUUGAUGUUCUUCCAUGAACUGUAAGUUUGCUUUGCCAUGGUGAAGAGGGCCAAUUGAGACUACCUGAGGUGUAUAUGCCUUUUCAUUUAUCUGAUGUAAUCGCUCUGGAACUCUGUAGAUGCAGCAGUUUCAGGGUAAGGGUGAUAAUUUUUCCAACUUAACUUGCAAGCACUCUUCCAUGUUAUAAACUGAAAACACGGUGCGAAAUUUGAUCAAUUCAACAGUUAAUAAGGCAUAGUGAUUUAAAAAGAAUUUAAAAAAAAAAUACAAGAGCAUUCUUACACGCACAGAAGCCCCUCAAUCCCUACUACUUGCAGGGCUGUAGCCACUAGCCAGGAUUCAAUGAUAUACCGGACUGAACUAAAAGGAACAACAUUCUUAGGAAUAUGUUAUCGGCAUUUCUCAGGCCAUCAACAAAGCAGUUUCAAUGCUUCUUAUAUAAUUCCAUGGAUUAUUCCUUGCCUUCACAGAUGAUAUAAUCACAAUUCAUAUAUUCAUUUCUCCAGAUUCUGUAUAAGUGGACCAUAACUAUGGAAAACUUGAACCAUUUUUUUAAGAAUGCAACAGCCAUUUGAUUGGUCCAUGUCAGAAGUUAAUCUGGGGAAAGAAGCUUGAUCUAGCUGCAAAAUUCUCUCCUUCAAUCAGUCAGUUUGGGGCAGCAACAAGAUCAAAGCCACCAUGCAAACUUUCACUAAAGUUUAUAUAAUAUUCACUAAAGUUCAUAUAAUAUUCUUGAACCUCAUCUUAAGUAAAGCAACAAAAGCCUUCACUGUUUCUUGACACCUUUAUUUCUCUAACACAUAGCAUAACAUUUUUAAAUUGCAUAAAGCACACAAGUACUUUAGUUUGUAACAACACAGAUAAUAAAUACCAUUUUAUAGCUUUAACAAAAGCAUACAAAAUUCUUAAACCUUGUCUCAAGCAAUUCAUUAAUGCCACAAGGAUAUCUUUUUGCCUCCUACAGUUUUUAUUGUUCCAGAAAUUCAUAUAUUCUUCUUUAUCAAAUUAAGUAAUUUUCCUUUUUCAGAAACUCAAGAAGGUUUCAACCGCAUGGAAAUACAACACAUGAUUACUACUAUUCCCGGAUUAAGAAAUUCAUCAAUGCAAUAUAAACAUACAUUUUCAUUAGACAUCAGAAUCAAAGAAUCAUUGAUGCAUCAAAUCUGUACACCCAAAAAAAAUGAAAACAUCAAGAGAAAAUACCAUAUGGACCCUUUACAACCCUUAUAAUGAGUUCAGACCCCCUAAUCCAAUUUAAUAGAUUUGAGGAUCCCUACAAUGUGCAAUACAAAAUUUCCCAAUACUAAUUAGAGCAAAGUCUAGAAAACGAAACUUACAUAUUGUACAAAAUCAUGAAAACCAGAAAUGACAAAAAAAACUGCAUAUGUAAUUUUUGGGUCUCUUCAACAUAUCUUCCAUCCAAAUCAAACAAGAAUCGAUAAAUCAACAACAUUCAUUUUAAACGACAUAUUACCACAAUAAAAAUUGUCAACCAAGCCUCAUAUUAACCUCUUUUGCAUUAUUUGGUAAAUAUAUUUGUUCUUCUCAAAAAAAAAAAAAAAAAACGCUUUCUUAAUCAAGAAUCAAAUAAUAUAUAUGAAUCUAAGUUGAAGUCAGUCUUGGGUUUGAUGAAAUAGCUUGCAUUGUGAUUUAGAUUGGAAAGGGAGUUGAUUUUUGCUGACUGAGAGAGAGAGAGAAAGUUGAGACUUAAGAGAGUGUUGCUAAUUUUCUAUGGUGCAAACAAGGGUAACUGGGUCAUAGUUCAAAAUGAAGGUCCAAAAUUUACUAAAGCUAUUAAGGAGCCGAAAACCCAUAAUGGCUUCCCUCAAAUAAAUAAAAUUUUCAAGCAUAGAGUUUUUGUUUCUUCUUAAGAUUUCCUUGUCAUACUUACCCAUAAUUUGAAAAUGCCUGAUAUUGCCUGCAAAUAAACUUAUAUAUAUUGAUUAACAAUAUAAACAAGCACUAUGAGGUUUUAGGCCUGAAAGAACAUUAGGGUUGAAAUGACAACCAUCUAUUUAAGUAACAAAAUCUUCUGAUAAUUUGAUGCUUAAUAAAUUGAGCAGAGAUGACAUAUCAAUCAUGUUAUGAUGUGGAAGUUAUGAUUAUAUUCAUCUUAAGAAUAAGAUCUUUCAGACACUGGCAGAUUAGUAUCAAAAUACUCAGCAUAAGACCUACAAACUAGAAAUCACGCACUAAUUAUUGAACUCAGCACAUAAGUUGAUCUUUUAUAAGCUAUAAAACAAAUCUGCUAUAACAUAAGAAAGUGGGAUUUAUCACCAGACAAAUAUUUCGGUGAAACUCAAGCUGAUGGAAGGAUAUCCAAAGCAACCUCCUUAAGGGAAGGCAUCACUUCCUGCUGAUGCAAACAUAUAUAUUUAUUACUCACUUUCUUGAGGACCUUCCAGGAACCUGGGUAGCACCUAACAGGAAGUGGAAAAGAAAAAAAUGUAAAAUAUAAGUUAAACAGCAGGAAAACAGUAAGUGACUCUAGGCAAGCAUUAAUAUGUUGCCGCAGGAAAAGCGUCAGUAACUAGCCAGCAAACCUGAAAAGGGUUCCUCCAUUGCGACCCUUAAAAUUGUGAAUGUAAUAUAUGGUCUCCAUCACAGGAAAAAGUGUUUUGGAUAGUGCAGCCAGCUUAGGGUAGAAGAAUGAUGGAUAAUCUUUAGCUCAUUUAAGGAAAUUCUCUCUGAUCCUUUCAUUGCACAUGCCAAAACAACUCUACUACAACCAACUCACCAAUUCUUUUUGUUAAGUCAUUGCUAUUUAUUUAUUUUUUUUAAAAGUCUUCUUUGCAACAUUUUAGUGAAAGAUAUAACAUUAAUUCCCCUUCUAGAUUUCUGUGAGUGAAUCUCAAAUUAUUGUAUUCAUAAAUAGAAGCAAAAAACCCACUUUACUUUCAAUUUUUGCAAAAAAGAUACCAAUUGAAGGACCAAAAAGUUGUAAACAAGCAAUUCAAUGGAUGGGUAUCUAGAAACUGUUAUAUAGCAUCAAAAUCAUACUAAAUUUACAGAAAGUACAAUAAUAAUGAAAGAAUGGUGAAGGAUACACCCAGACCUUAUCCGGUCAAGCUCUCCAUUGAAUAUAAUUAGUUUCCGGGCAGUAUUGAAGACAGCUUCUUUGUAAAGCUCUUCAACCACAAGCAUUUCUACAAGACAAAAGAAAAGCAAAAUUAAUGACCUUAAGGAAUGAAUGUCAAUGAGAAGACAAGGUGUAAGACUACCAUUGACAUUAAAAUAUGGAUAGGCGACUAGAAACAAUUCAUCUUCCGGCUUCACACGGUCAGCCAUUUUGACCUUCUCAGUGAAUCCAAAAUCCUCAAAGAAUGAAGGUUUUGUUAGAUAGUCCAACUUAAAUGAUGCUCCUUCAAAGACCGAUUUUCGUGCAAAUUUGACUUCAUUUGCCUCUGGGAAAAACUAAAAACCAAAUGACAGACUAAGAUCACGAAACGAAUCAUGAACACAGAUAUCAGAUAAUCAGAAAUGGGCCUUAAACAGACUACUAACAGAGUAGGAAAUGCAUACAGAAAACAUUAUUCAUACACCUUAUGCACAUGAAAUAUAUAUGUAGAGGGAUCCUCUUAUGAAUUUAGCUUAUAUCCUAAUAUGAGACAAUGAACAAUUGGAUGCCAUCUAAGGGCUAACAUUUGUUUGAUUUAUUAUAUGAAAAAUAAAAAUAAAAAACAAAACAAAACAGAGUUGAUUGAUGGCCUUUGAUGGAUUGCUUACACUCCUAAAGUGCAGAGCCUGAUUGAUGCCAUGCUUUAACUGCCCCACACACACUUGAUCUUAUUAUCUCUCUUUUCGAAUAUAUAAUCGUUGCCUUUCAUCCUGAACCAGCUGUCCUUCCAGGCACCAGCUGUGUUUUCUUCAAUUCAGUGAAACAUUCACUUUCUGGUAAGAAUAAACUUGUCCUUCCUCAAAAAUUCAGCUUCUGAAAUUCAGCUUCUGACUAUGAAGCUUUCUUUUUUAAAACAAUUACUAUUCUAGCAUAAUGCAUCUAAUUGAAGACAACUCAGAAUUGAAAAAGCCAUAUUUUAAUGUCUGCUGUUGGGACCUCAAGACCAGGAACAAAAAGCUUUUUUCUAACAGUUGCGUUAACAAGUGGAAAUAGCUUUUUUCUGAAGGACCCAACAUUGCAUUGAAAGAGUCAACAAAAGGAUUGGCGUCAUAUUUAGUCCAGCAAGAAUUUUGUGGACUUAACACAAUGGUUAAUAAUUCGCCCAGCGGUCACUUUGUCCAACUACUGGCAACCUUGACGGUGGAAAUGCAUCUUUCAAAUGUUGGCAGGCUCUAGCUUCUUGAUGUACUGUUGAUAGAAAUGCAUAUUUCAAAAGUUGGCCGGCUCAAAUUGCCGAGACUUUGGUUUCUUGCAUUUCAAACCCACAAAUAAAACUUUGGUAGAACCCCAGAAAGAGCUACACCUCCCAAAUGUGAUGACAAAUGAAGAGACCAUGCCUAGUGCUUGGUUCGGCAAAUGAGUAAGUCUGAAAGAAAUUGAGGGAAACCUUUCCCACAGAGAGUCAUAUUGAACGUUACAAUUUGAUGACUUUGUCCCUCUGUUGCCCAUAACCUUCUUUAUCUCUUUUCUUGGUCAUAAAUAAUCAAACAUAUAUUAGUCGUUAGAUGCAAUCCACUCACUGACAUCUCAUGUCCACAAUCAAUCAGCCAUAUUUUAAUAGAAAUGAAAACAUUUUAAUAAAAAAGAAUGAGAUGGGAACAAAAUCAAACUUGACAGACAAGGGUCUAUGUGAUUUUAAAGAUGCUUGGUGAAAGUCAUAUUCAAGAGUUCAACAGUCAGUUCUAUCACCUAUGGCAAAGUAACCACCACAACUAAAGCAAUUACAAAACAUCAAGAAGCUUGAACUUGGCAAGAGUUCUCAUUAACAGUAUACUUCAGAAAUUAAGACACACUUAAAGUGCAAGCUUUUGGAAUUAUUUAAGGGGUUAAAAUCUCCUAUGGUCACAGCUAACAAUUACUAAUCACAAAUCCCAAAAAACAGAUAUGCAAAAAGCUGCAAAAGAACAAUAUUAGCAACUGAUGUCUCCUUUUGCUCGGACAAAGGUUCUCAUAACAAAGGACUUAGUGAUUGUCUGUCACAUGUUUAUGUUAAGGGGAAAAUGGAAGUUUGUUUUAGUCAAUCUCAUGUCUAAUGGCAUUCAUAAGGAACCCAAAAAUAAAAGAAAAAAUAAAGAGUUAGUACGUGUUUCUUGCAGCAUAAAGAAAAUUUAUCAUCCAUGAAAAAGGUAGUAUGGAAAAAGCUAACUCAUUUAUACGCCAACGGAGAAAAACUUGUCGUCCACCCACUAAGGACCCACCAUUGGCAGGUCUGAUGGAUCCCAUGGAUGGGAACCACAAACUUUUUUUUAUUUUAAAUGACAUCGGUAUUGUACCCAUAUCAUUUAGUUUGUCGAUUCCACUGAUGGGACUCGUCAAACUUGCCAAAUGGCAGGUCCUCAGCGGGCAGGCGCAUCGCUUUAGCAUCCUUCUCCACCGAUGACCAAAUCUGGACUCAUUUAAAAAGAAUACAAAGCAAAACCAACUGACACAAAUUGCAUAGAGGUCUAGGACCCAAAUUAAUGCCGUUAACUCAUCCAAUUAAUACAUUCUCUUAGGGAUCAUACCAUGGUAUGACAUUUCAAAAGAAACUAAAAGGAAAACAACUGCACAAAUUGCACUGAACUCAAAAAGACCUGUUGAAGGUGUUCACUGGUCCAACUAAUAAAAGUCAUCAAGGAUUGUAUCGGGGACUUGGGACCAAUCCUGCCUUUACUAGAGAAAGGGGGUUUAGGAUAAAGAAGAUAACCUCUUUUCCUAGUGCCCUUUUGGACAAAAAUGAAUUCCUGCUACAUUCUGAGAAUAAAACCAUAGACAUCUAACUUCUGAUAUCUAGUAAAUCUGGUAAAACCUUGGCAGUUGCACUUGCGGCAGAAAUUAGUUCCACCUUGGUUUACAGAACAGAAAUUUUUCGUAUGCUUGUAUUUAUUUGUUUUUUAUACACACAUAUACACAUACACACAAACAGUACCUUCACUUUGAAGGAAAGAUUAAAAUAACACUGCUCACAUACACAAUACUUACUAUUCUAGUUCGUGUCACUUUCUCCGGAGUCACAAACAGAUCACAGAAUUCACAUAUUAACCGCAUACUUCCAGUCAUUUCUAUUCCUCCUUCACCAUCACCUGCCGCACAAUUACAAAAAGUGAGAGGUAAUAACCAAGAUAUUUGGGUUGCUCUUGGGUGGGGGUGGGAGGUAAGGGUUAGUUGUGGAGGGCACCUGGUACAGAAUCAAGGCCAGCUGUCGGGAAUUCAAUCUCCUGAAACAUAUACUUGUUCAUCAUAAAGUAUAUACGUAUUCUGCAGUCAAUGCGUGCUUAUAGUUCUUCAAUUAUCCAGCAAUAACUCACCAUCAACUUCCUGCCAUCCUUCACGGCUAAUUCAGCAGCCAUUUUUGCCUGUUUAAAGGCCAAAAGCCCAAAAUAAGCGGAUGCUGCUACUCCUAUACUUAUUAUCUAACUACUACAGAACAGAUGAUACGCAUCAAGUUGUAUCAAGAGAGACACCAAGUUGUGUUUUCCAAGAGUUUCCAAAGCAGUUCUGUUCCUUUGUCUAAUUUUUAGACUGCUUUGACAACUCAUCUCAAAGGUGCCACUCAUCCAAUGUGAAGUGGUGACAGUGGUUUAGAGUUUUAAACUAAAUGCAGAACUAGUAGUACUUUGAAAGUAUAUUCAUCCUAAGAUACCAUAACACAGGGAUUCUUACACAAAAACAAUAACUUUGAUGUCGAGAGCAGAUGAUUUCACAAAAGCAGAUGUUUUGAUUUAAGUCUCCAAACCCCCACCAAGAAAAUGUUCAACGGAUAUAGAAAUAUGAUCCAUAUAUCUGUAACUUAAAUUGUGAAAGUCGCUGAUCAACCCCGUGAAUGUUUUUGGAUUAAACAACAAGCAGGACCCAAUGCCUGGUUUCUAAUAGCUUCAAAAAGGCCAAAUUGGUUUUAAAUGUCUCCCGCUUUUCAUUUAACAAGUUUAAGCAUCCCUUUGGCAUUGCAAUUGGGGAUCUCAGAUAUAUAGACUGUUUGGUAAACUCUUAAAGCCGCAGCUCUUAAGCAAAAAUAAUUUUAUCUCAUAAUUGAUUGAUUAAAAACUUUUAUUAUGUUUAUUAGUUUUAUAAAAAAUAUUAUUUAUAAGUCAUAUUUACCUAACACAGUCAACUUUUACAACACAGCUAUAACUUUUCUUUCUUUUUUCACCACAUACAUAUAGUUAAAAACUACAAGACCUCGAUAUCAAACAGAUCCUAAAGGUUAAUGUAAUAAAAAGAUAAAUAAACAAAUGUAAAAGCCAGCGUACUUGAUCAAGAAGCUCUGAAUAGUCACUGGGAAAGGGAACAUCGACGUUAAUGGAGUUAUUGCCAUCGCUUGAAACCGAAUUGGUGAGACAACUGCGUUUUCUUCUAUACGGCGAAAAUGUGAUGAUUCUUUGACCACUGAAAUUUUCAUUACUACAUUUUAUCGAAAAUUUUCUACAAUUUGCCUGUAAUUAGUGGCAAUCAAUCGGUUAAGAAACAAUCUAAAAAAAUUUUAAAACAAUGAUUACAGACUCAGAGUAUACCUGUCGACGUGGAAUUGAAGGAACCGGGAUAGGAACCGUAGGGAGGGCGAUGGCUGAAUUGGAGGAUAACGGCAUUUUGAAAUUGGGUAAUUUUUAGGGACCUCCCCUGAGGUUUGACGUAUUGACACUUAGAUAGAAAGUAUAACUGUAAUUACAGAGACCUCCCCUACAGUCUGUACUCAGUUUCCUUGACUGUUAGUUGACUGGUGAUAUGUCAAAAAUACCCUUGAUUCGAGAAAAGACCUCAACACCCUUAGUGCUAACUAUCAAAUUAAUCAUUACACUUUAACACGCUUGGGAAACAAAUAUUUGACAUCAAAUAUUCAUCAAUUGUAAAAAGCAAAAAAAAAAUUACUAGGAAACUAGGGCUAGCGAUAGUAUACAGUGAAAAAAAUUUUAAAAAUUAAGUACCCUUGGUGCUAAAUAUCAAAUUAAUCAUUACACUUUUAACACCUUUGGGAAAUAAAAAAUUGACAUCAAAUAUUCAUCAAUUGUAAAAAGAAAAAAUAUAUAGUAGGGAAACUAGGACUAGCAAUACUAUAUAGUGAAUUAAAUUUUAAAAAUUUAACAUAAUACAACAGUUCAAAGCCAAAUUUGGUAUAUCCAAUAGACAACAACCUAUUGUUAACAUUUGUUUAAUUCCAUUGAUCAUUAAAGUGCUCUUAGUUACACCGAUUUUUUCAACCAUCUCCUUUGACUCAAGAAUUCAAUCUCCACCACUAACUUCAACUGUUGCCCUUUCCUCUUCCAUUUCUUUGUGACGUAUAGCUACCUUAUUUUUCAGAUUUUCAGCAUAUUCUGCCUUCUUUCCUUCCAAUUAUUCCUGCCAAUUACUAGAUGUGUUGAAGAUGAAAUGGGAAGUAAAACAAAGAAAGAAAAAAGAAUCUAGAAUAAGAAGAGACAGGUUACCUCAAUCUUUUUCAGUUGGGCUUACAAAAUUCCUUCUUGCUAUUUGUCAUUAAUAAAACAAAUUUCUUCAAAAUUUAAAUCUUUUACACAAACAUCAUCCAAAAUUUCUUCAUUUUAUUUGUCACUAAUGCUUUUUUUAUCAAGCAACUAAAAAUUCUCCAUAUUAAGGAGCACAAGCAAUAUCCUUUUCAGCUUCUUCAAAGCAUCACAAACAAACCCUUAUUUUCCAAUAUUAUUAAUGCAUGUAACUUCACUAAUUUCUAAUAUGCAUUGGUAUUUUUAGUUCAAGCACAUGUUAAGAAGUUAAUUCCUCCAAAUAGCAUCCAUAUUCUUCAUAACAGUGCUAACCCGUUUUCAUUUGACAAAGAAGUCACAUAAAAAUCACUAAUUUCUAACACAUAUGUUAUUAUUAGCUCUUAACUUGACAAAUCCAGAUAGCUAAGGUCUGAAAGUAAUAAACAACAUGCAUCUUCUCCAAUACAUCAACAAAUUGAUAUCAUUUUUUUUUAUGAACAACACAAUGCCAACCGUUCUCCAACACUUCAGCCCAUUUUCAUUUUCAAACAAUAAAAAAAAAACCCAAUCUAUGAUUAAAAUAAAAUAAAAUUUCAAUUUUAUUUUAAAACAUAAUAAAUAUUAAACCAAAAAAAUUAAAUCCGAAAUUGUUUCAAAGACUAACCUUCUUUGAAUUCAAGUUAAUAACAGUCAUGUCCGACGCCGAAUAGUCAGCUAUUUUCACCUGACACCACCCUUAGGCCACCAUCGAUGCUUUUCUUGUUAAUAAAUCUAAGUUAAAGUUGCGGAACUUGGCAAUAAAAAUCUGAUUUUUUCAUCUUCAAAGCAUUUAGAGAUGAGGAGUGCAUGUGGGCCUCGGUUGAUUGAAAGAGAAAAUGGUUUUGUGAUGAGUUAGGUUGAUGAAAGAGAGCAAGCAUUCUUCCAUCCUCUAGUUAGUGGUUACUGAUUUUCAUCGGGAUUGUUUGAGUGUUUCAGUGGGUUUAUCUUGAAAUUAGCUUUUUACUUAGGGUGGGGCUUUUUGAACCCACUAAUUUACUCAAUAAAUCCACUUUUAAAAAUAAUUUUUUAUCAUUAAAAUACCCCUAAAUUAAAUUACAGUUAUGGACACUAGAAUAUAAUUAAAAAAAAAAAACAGAAUUUUUACUCUUUAAACCCAUCUUUAUAUUCAACAUAGUUUUAUAGAACCCUAAUCAAAUUUUCAUUAAACCCUAAUCAAUCAAGAGGUGGGAUUCUUCUCUUAAGCCAUAUAUAUUGUUAAAUAGGCACAUGUGAGUUGAUUCAAAGUAACAAAAUUAAUUGUUAUUGAUUUGAUGGAUAUUGAUUUUAUGGAGGAUUAAUUGUUUAAUUGUUAUGAUUCGUUUGGGAAUGACCCCUCACUCAAAAUUGUUUAAUUAAUAUUGAUGAUUAAAUUUUCAAUUAAUAAUCAAUUAUUGUUUUUUCCCAAAUUCUGAAAAAAAUUAUUUUUUCUCAAAUUCCUCAUAUUAGAUUUUCAUACCAUCAUACAAGAUUUUUCUCACCACUAUAAUAUAACUCAAAAAAAUAAUUUCAUGAUGACAACUAUUUUCUCCAUUUAGAAUGUUUUGAUUCAUUUGUCCUUGAACGAGGGCCAUUCACUCAAAAUUGAUUAUUAAAUUUUCAAUUAAUAAUCAAUUUCCAAUCUAAUGGGUUUAUAAAUGAAUAUUAUGGGUUUAAUGAGUAAAAUCACUAUUAUUAUAAAAAUUGGGUUUAGAAAGGGCAUAUUAGGUAUUUUAGUGGGUUUACUGAGUAAAAUUUAAAAUUUUAAAAUUUAAAGAUGGGUUUAUUUAGUAAAUAUGUUUAUUGAGUAAAUUGGUGGGUUCAAAUAGCCCCACCCUUUUACUUAUUUCAAUUUUAAAUGCGUUUUUACUAAUUUACCCUCCUAUACUGACAAUAUACGAAACUGAGUACAGACAGUAGGGGAUGUUUCUGUAAUUACGGACAUACUUCUAUCUAAGUGUCAAUACAUCAAACCUUAGGGGAGGUCCCUAAAAAUUACCCUUUUGAAAUUUGAACCGCAAAGUAAAGAGAGAAUAAACGCGCCCCUUUCAAAUACCGUGCUCUUUUGUGCCUGGGAAUUUAACUAAUUUAUGCGAAUAAUAAAAUUUAUGAAUUUAGUAAAUUAUUCAUUAUAAUAAUAUUGAGAGGUUGUGCAUUAUUUUAUUAGUAAGGAUACAGUAAUUAUAAAAUUAAUUGAAUUAAAAUAACUGGUCCGCGAGAUUUAUUUUUUUAUUUUAUAUUUUUAUUUAAUCAAUGAAUUAAUGUUAUAUCAUUUGUAUAAAAGUUUGUGAGACAAUUGCAUUUUCUUCUAUACGCCGAAAAUGUGAUGAUUCUUUGACCACUGAAAUUUUCAUUAGUACAUUUUGUCGGAACAUUUCUACAAUUUACCUGCAAUUACUGACAAUUAAUCGGUUAAGAAACAAUUCAAUUUUUAAAAAUAAAAUUACAGAUUCAGAGUAUACCUGUCGACAGGGAAUUGAAAGAAUUGGAAUGGAACCGUAGGAAGGGCGAUGGCUGUAUUGGAUGAUAACGGCAUUUUGAAAAACAAACUAAAGAGAGAACAGAGAAGUAACGUGCCCCUUGCAAAUACCGUGCUUUUUUUAAGUUGGGAUUUAAAUAAUUUAUACGAAUAAUAAAAUUUAUAAAUUUAGUAAAAUAUUUAUAAGAAAAUAAAUAUUGCAAGAAUGUGCAUUAUGUUAUUAUUAAUGAUAUAGUAACAAUAAAAUUGAUUGAAUUAAAUAAUUAUUCGUCUGCGUGAGUUAUAUUAUUAUUUUAUACUUUAUUUUGUCAAAAAAUUUAUGUUACAUCUGUUUGUAUAAAAAAAAUUUAUUUUUAUUAUUACUCUUUUUUUAUUUUUUAGAAAAUGAUCCGCAUUAUCAAGUAAAGGGUGACUCAGAAUUCCGUUUAUUUGAGUGUCUAAAAUCUGAUAAAUAUCCGCCAACUCAAAUAUAUAAAUAGAGAGAGUGAAAAUAUAAUUAUUAUUAAAUAAAAUUUUUGAAUAUAAACAAAACAAAUUGAUCGGAUCUAGUUUCUUGAAGUACCUCAUCCGAACAUUACCUUUAAUUGAACAUAAGCACAGUUAACUAGCACAUUCGCCAAAAAAGCCUCGGCCCAGUGUUGGGCUUAUUAAAAUAAAAUGGAAAAAUGACACAGAGACCCCUAACAUUUGAAUAAGGGACACAAAACUUCUUAAUGUUUCAAAAAAGACACUCAGACCCCUAUUUCUUAAUAGUAAAUUAUAAUUUUACCAUUAUACCCUUAUAGCAUAUUAAAAAAUAAUUGUUCAUUAUCCAAUUUAUUUCUAUAUUAUUAAAAAAAUUACGAAUAUAACUUUAUUACCCAAUUUUUCCAUUUAAUUUUUAUCAAAUUUUAUCUUCAAACUAAAUAAAUUUAAUCCAUUGCUCAAAAAUAAAAAUAAAUUAAAUUGAUUAUUAAUAUAAAAAAAUAACAUAUAUUAAAUUAAAAUAAAUUGAAUUUACAUAUGGAGAAUUGUUAUUUUUAGAAAUUAUCAAUUUAAUUUAUAUAUAAGAAAUUAUAAGAAAUAACAUAUGAAGAAUUGUUAUUUUUAUUAUAUUAAUAAUCAAUUUAAUUUAUUUUUAUUUUUGAGCAAUGGAUUAAAUUUAUUUAAUUUGAAGAUAAAAUUUGAUAAAAAUUAAAUGGAAAAAUUGGGUAAUAAAUUUAUAUUCAUAAUUUUUUUAAUAAUAUAGAAAUAAAUUGGAUAAUGAACAAUUAUUUUUUAAUAUGCUAUAAGGGUAUAAUGGUAAAAUUAUAAUUUACUAUUAAGAAAUAGGGGUCUGAGUGUCUUUUUUGAAACAUUAGGGGGUUUUGUGUCCCUUAUUCAAACGUUAAGGGUCUCUGUGUCCUUUUCCCAAAUAAAAUUAAGGUCAUAAGUUUGAGUCUCAGACUCUCAGUAGGAAUUACUAGUCUCUGUAUUACUUUUAGACUACAGUAUUAAUAGGGACGUAUGUAGUAUAGAGCAGCUAACUUUUAAAUUUUUUUAUAAUCAUUACAAAAAAAUUUAUUUAAAACAGUGUCUCAACUGAAUUAUAAAAUUAUGAAAGUGCGUUAGUUAAUUUAAAAAAAAAAAUUCAUGUUGCCCCAAAUAAAAUGUCUAAUUUUAAAUAAUUUGAUCAAUUAUUAAUAUAUUAUGAAACUUAAAUAAAAACAAAAGACAAUAGAUUAUUAUGAUAAAACCAAUUGAAAACAAAAAGAUUAAAAUUUCACUUUAUUGUUUUUAUUUUUAUGGUUUCUUUCCAAUGCUUUGAAUAGAAAACACGCUUUCUUUAUUUGUUUGUCAUAUUGUCAAUGUGUGGAUUUCAUUCCAAUUCUCUAAAUCAAUAGUACUUUCCUUCAAUUAUUUAAUAUUUCAACAUUGAUCCAUAAAUUGUAAGUCUAGCUAAUUUAAAUUUUCAAUUUUUUGAUCAAACUUUUAUCUAGUUUUAAAAUCCCUAACUUUAUCAUUUAUUCAUAUUUGCUCUUUAUUGCACUGUAUGAAUAUUUUUGUUAUUAUUAAAAGAUUUUGAAAACAAAUUAAGUGAUAACUUAGUUUUAUAUAUAGAAAUCUAUACUUUUGAUUAUAUUGAAAAUGAAACUAUCAUAUAUUCUUUUCAACAUAUAAAAUCAUGUCAAGGAGUUUUCAAUAAGAACAAUUAUAUAUAAGUAAAUUUAUUAUCAAUGAAUAUUAUAACUGCAAUGUUAUAUGUUGCUAUCUAAAUUUUUAGAAAUGUAUUAUAUUUUAAAUACGGUGUUAAUCAAAUACAUGCAGUCAGACUCGACAAGGAGCACAGCUGUGCAUGUGGUAUGUUCCCAUUUGGAGGUUUUGGGGUCCACAACACAAUUCCCCAAAUGAGAAUUUACCACAUGUGCAAUUGUGAACUCAAAUCAUGUUUAAUUUUAAAUGUGUCCCAACUUGAUCAAUAUCGUGGUUGCGUCCUUGACUAUAAAUACAUGUAUUUUAAUUCUCACAGGUAUUGCUUCUACAAGUAAUCCUUCCUAGUAUAAAGCUUUGUAGCUUUUUAAAUUAACUAAAAAAAAAACUUGUAAAAGAAAGUGUGAUCAGGCCCGGACUUUCAAAUAAUUGGGCAUUUUUAGGCUUGAAAAUUUUAUUUCAAUUAUAGAGUCAGGCUCGGAAAUGGCUAAGCACGGGCCUGACUCGACCCACUGCCAUCCUUGCGAAUAUACUAUUGAUCCAUUACGAGCUCAUCAGUUAAAUUCAUAAUCACUAUAAAUGUGUUCCUAUCAUUCAAAACUCAUACAAUCUAAAAUUGUAAAUACACAAAAAGGUUUUCAAAGACCUCCAAAAGAAUGCCAAUAGUCUAACUCUCUAAUUUAUUUCGCAUAGGAUAUGAGUCAGGUCAACUAAGCUAAACUAAUGUUGAAAAAAAGAAGCAAAUUAAUGUUGGAGUGGUCAAUUGGUCUUCAGAAUUGUAAGAAUAAAAAACUUUGAAAAAUGACAUAAAACUCAUAAAUUAACAUUAACUGUAAAUUAAACAAACAAAUUGUAAUCCACACAUAGGAUAGUUUGACAGAAAAAUAAGUAAAUUAAUGUUGGAGUUGAAAAUUGGCCUUCAGAAUUAGAAGAAAUACAAAAAAUUAAACAAAACAACAUAAAACUCGUAAAUUCACAUUAAGUGUGAAAUGAAACUAAAAAAUUGCAAAUCAUUGGUAGUGUCGUUAAGGUGCAUCAAAUUUAAAACCUUACCACUAAUAUAAAUAAUUAGUACAGAGCGAGUAAGGAUCAAUCCCACAAAGACUAUGUAGUUAUAUUUAUUAUCAACUCUAAAGCAAGAUUUAAAAUAAAAUAAUAGUAGUAAUAAUAAUAGUAAUAAUAAUAUAAAUUAAUCUACCUAAAGAAAAUGCCAAUUAUAAAUAAAAAGGGGGUUCAUGAAUUUUUAACUAAAUAGUAAGAAGUAAAGAAAUUAAAACUACGAACAAGAAUUUAAUAAAAACUCUAAUUAAAGGAGAAAGAAAUAAUAAUGAUGAAAACUUUGGUUAAAGGAUCAUUCGCCACCACCAAACAUGCACAUAAUGUAUCAAUUCUAUUAUCAAUUUAUAUUGAAACUAUCAACCGUAGACAACAAUAAGCUCUGUUAGUCUCAAUCUUUCCUUAGUGUGUCGUUAGGCAAAACAAGCUCUUCACCUAAUCUCUAACCAUUAAAUAAUUUAAAACAAGCUCUUUAAAUUUAAGAUAAUGGAAGCAUUAAACAAAUAAAGAUAUUAGGUUGAUCUAGGCAAUAAACACACAAGCUUGGAUUAUUUAACCUAGGUUAUGUUCUCCAAUUGAAAUCAUUGAUUCCAACCUGCUACUAAUGAUUAAAAUACCAAGACAAUUACGGAUCAAGAAUUUUAAUCUAGCAAUAGAAUUUAUUCAAGUCCUAUCUAAUUGGCCACUCAAAUAAAACAAGAAUAAACCAUAAACAUUAAUUAUAGAAGAACAUAAACAAUCUCAAUUAAAUAAAUUGAAUGGUAGAAUUUAAAUUUAAUUGCAUAGCAUGUUUAGGGUUUUGAAUUCACCCUCAACCAAAUAAAAAUUUAGCCUAACAUAAUUGAAUUGAGAAUAAGAAAAUUGACAAAACCAAUCAUGGAGAUUAAUUCAAGCGGCUGCCCUUUUCUUCAAUUCCUUUUCGGUUUCUCCCUUGCUUUUCUUUCUUCCGGCUGCUAGUUCCUUAAAUCCUCUUGGCUGCCGAAUAUCUUCCAGUGUUGCUUCCGCUUGAUCCUAUUUAUAAUGCUUCAAUUGUGGCUUUUUAAAUCCUUGCUUGGAAAGAAUUAAUUUCAAAGCCCAAAACCGCCACUUUCAUGCUUCAAUUAAUAAGCCAAUAAUGAUUUCCUCAAGCCAAAAGGCUUUAUUCUCUUUCCUUUCACGUGGCCACUUUUGGUUUGCAAUCUUUGUUUUCCAAUUUUGCUUUCAUGUGAUGGCUUGGCUUGUUGGUUGGCUUGGCUUCCUUUUUGACUUUCAUUUUCUAAUUUUAGCUCCAUGUGCAACAUUAAUUUUGCUUGGCCCAUACAAGCUUUAAUUAAAUUUAUUUUCUAAUUCCUUCCAAUUCUUGAUCUCUUGUGCACUUUUGUCUCUCAAUCUUCAAUUAAAUUUCUUUCCUGAAUGCUCCGAUUUAAUUUCUCUUUAAUUCCAGAAUAUACCUAAAAUAACAAAAUAAAUAAAACUAAGAUAAAAAUUAACACAAUAAAAUAUAAUUUACUAAAUUAAAAAUUAACUAAAAUAACUAGAAUAUUUAAGACCAAAACAAGAAAAAUAUAGAGAAAUUAAUAGCAAAAUAUAUGGAAAAUAUGCACUUAUCAAUCAUACAUAGGACUAGAAGCAUGACAUAAAACUCGUAAAAUGACAUUAAGUGUGAAGUAAAACAAAAAAUACGUAAACCACACAUAAAACUAGUAAAUUGAUGAAAAAAUAGGUAAAUUAAUGUUAGAGUUGUAAAUUGCAAGAAGAACUUGUAAACAAAACAAAAAUCUAGAAAAAUGACAUAGAACUUGUAAAUUGACAUUAAGUGUGAAAUGAAACAAAAAUUUUGUAAACCACACAAAAAACUAGUAAAUUAAUGGAAAAAAUUGUAAAUUAAUGAUGGAGUUGUAAAUUAAAAAAAGUGUAAAAAAAAAACAUAGAAAAAUGACAUAGAACUUGUAAAUUGACAUUAAAUGUGAAAUGAAACAAAAAAUUUGUAAACGACACAUAAAACUAGUAAAUUGAUGGAAAAUGGGUAAAUUAAUGUUGAAGUUGUAAAUUACAAGAAGAACUUGUAAACAACACAAAAACUUCGAAAAAUGAUAUAGAACUCAUAAAUUGGCAUUAAGUGUGAAAUGAAACAAAAUUUUUGUAAACUACAAAUAAGACUAGUAAAUUAAUAGAAAAAAUGGUAAAUUAAUGAUGGAGUUGUAAAUUAUAAGAAGAAAGUGUAAACAAAACAAAAACUUACAAAAAUGACAUAAAACUUAUAAAUUGACAUUAAGCGUGAAAUGAAAUAAAAAAUUUGUAAACCACACAUAAAACUAGUAAAUUGAUGGAAAAAUGGGUAAAUUAAUGUUGGAGUUAUAAAUUGUAAAAAAAACUUGUAAACAAAACAAAAACUUUAAAAAAUGACAUAGAAUUUGUUAAUUGACAUUAAGUGGAAAUGAAACGAAAAAUUUGUAAAUGACAUAUAAAACUAGUAAAUUGAUGGAAAAAUAGGUAAAUUAAUGUUAGAGUUGUAAAUUGUAAGAAGAACUUGUAAAAUAAACAAAAACUUAGAAAAAUGAUAUAGAACUUGCAAAUUGACAUUAAGUGUCAAAUGAAACAAAAAAUUUGUAAACGACACAUAAAACUAGUAAAUUGAUGGAAAAAUGAGUGAAUUAAUGUUAGAGUUGUAAAUUGUAAAAAGAACUUGUAAACAAAACAAAAACUUAAAAAAAUGACAUAAAACUUAUAAAUUGAUAUUAAGUGUGAAAUGAAACAAAAAAUUUGUAAACCACACAUAAAAUUAGUAAAUUGAUGGAAAAAUAGGUAAAUUAAUGUUGGAGUUGUAAAUUGCAAGAAAAACUUGUAAACAAAACAAAAACUUAGAAAAAUGACAUAGAAUUUGUAAAUUAACAUUAAGUGUGAAAUGAAACAAAAAGUUUGUAAACCACACAUAAAACUAGUAAUUUAAUGGAAAAAAUGGUAAAUUAAUGAUGGAGUUGUAAAUUAGAAGGAGAAAGUGUAAACAAAACAAAAACUUAGAAAAAUGACAUAAAACUUGUAAAUUGACAUUAAGUGUGAAAUGAAAUAAAAAAUUUGUAAAUCACACAUAAAACUAGUACAUUGAUGGAAAAAUGGGUAAAUUAAAGUUUGAAUUGUAAAUUGUAAGAAGAACUUGUAAACAAAACAAAACUUUGAAAAAUGAUAUAGAACUAAUAAAUUGACAUUAAGUGUAAAAUGAAACAAAAAAUUUAUAAACCACACAUAAAACUAGUAAAUUGAUGGAAAAAUGGAUAAAUUAUUGUUGGAGUUGUAAAUUGGAAGAAGAAUUUAUAAACAAAACAAAAACUUAGAAAAAUAACAUAGAACUUAUAAAUUGACAUUAAGUGUGAAAUGAAACAAAAUAUUUGUAAACCACACAUAAAACUAGUAAAUUAAUGGAAAAAAUGGUAAAUUAUUGAUGGAGUUGUAAAUUAGAAGAAUGUGUAAACAAAAGAAAAACUUAGAAAAAUGACAUAAAAUUUGUAAAUUGACAUUAAAUGUGAAAUGAAACAAAAAAUUUGUAAACAACACAUAAAACUAGUAAAUUGAUGGAAAAAUGGGUAAAUUAAGGUUUGAGUUGUAAAUUGCAUGAAGAACUUGUAAACAAAAUAAAAACUUGUAAUUGUUGCAUAAAACUUGUAAAUCAACAUUAACUUGUAAAUGUUGUAUAAAACUUAUAAAUCACACAUAAGAUUAUUAAAUAUAACUUGGAACUUGAAUAAAAAUGAGUAAUUAUCUGCAACUUAGGUAACAAGUUACCUAUUUAUUUAGAAUUAGUGAUGGAUUUUUAUUCAAAUCUAACGGUUCACGUCAAUUAUGGCAUCAAUGUCGUAACUUUAGUUACAGCAUUAUAGAAUGACACAUAAGAUUAUAGUGACACAAUUCUUUCUAUAUUAGAUAGAAAGAAUUGUGUAUGGCGAGGUCGGGUACUUGUUGAUAUAUAUAUAUAUAUAUAUCUUCCUUUCCGAUCAAAUAAAUCCAUAAUUUUUUUUCUACUCUAUGCACCUAGACAAUAAUGAUGAAUAAAUUACAAAUAUAGACGUAGAUUCAAAGAUCAUAAUAUUUUUACACGUGUAAACACAAUUUUCUAAUCAUUUGAUUAGAAAAAAAAAUGAAGGGUCAAGAUUAUAUGGCAUAGGUUAUUCAUAAUUCUCUCAUUAAUACUCUAUCUCCAUCCUCUCUCUCUCUCUCUCUCUCAUUUGAGCUAAAUUUUUUAUCUGUUCUCUUAUUUAUUUUUUUAAUUCUAUCCGUAAUUUUAUAUCACUAUAAUUACCAUGAUAAAAUUUGGAUAAUUUCAAUGAAAAUAAUUUUUUUUUUUAACAAUACGAGGUGAUCACCGAACUUUUCAUUUAAUAUCAUUAACUAGAACAAAGCCACAAAGCCAAUGUUCCAAACAUAAAGUGAUAAAGGUAUGUGUUCUUGUCUGAGUGGCAAGGGAUAGUAUCUUCUUGGGGUAAAAGCUCAUUUAGUCCCUAUAUUUUAAUAUUAGUGUCCAUUUAGUCCCCGUAUUUUUAAAAAUACCUCGAAACAUGCCUACCGUUAAAGUAUUGAUACCCCUAUCGUUACUUUUUAUUUUUUUUAGCUUACUUUUACAAUAUUACCCUUUUAUAAUAAUUUUUUUGUUUGGACAUUAAUAAAAAUAAAAUAAUUAAAUUACCAAUUUAACCCUAAAAAAUUAUAUUAAUUUUUAAUUGUCAAAAAUUAAAUUGUCAAAAAUUGUAUGCAAACUAUCAAGUGUGCAAAUGGUGCUUGCAAAAAAAUUAAUAUAUAUUUUUUUAUUUUUUAGGGUUAAAUUGAUAAUUUAAUUAUUUUAUUUUUAUUAAUGUCCAAACAAAAAAAUUAUUAUAAAAGGGUAAUAUUGUAAAAGUAAGCCAAAAGAAAUAAAAAGUAAUGGUAGGGGUAUCAAUACUUUAACAGCAAAGAUGUUUCAAGGUAUUUUUAAAAAUACAGGGAUUAAAUAGACACUAAUAUUAAAAUACAAGGACUAAAUAGGUUUUUACCCCAUCUUCUUGCAUAAAAGAUUAAUGACAUCAGAAUUACCGUAUUUAGGAAAGUGGAACAUUUAUACGGACAACCUAUAAAAAAUUUCAAAAAGCUAAUCAGCAAAAAAUAAGUAUUUUAAUUCAAAAUUUUGUACUUGGAUUUUCCUGUCCUUUUAUACAGCAUUGAUAAUGGGGUUGCUAUAAAUCCUUUGAUUUAAAUAUUUUAAUUUAUAUAAUUAAUUUAAUUAAGUGAAUAAAUAAUUAGUUAAUUAAUGGCGUUACCUUUAAAAUAAAGUUGAUAAUUCAAAUUAAAUAGAGAUAUUUAUGAAUUUAACACGAAGAAAGAGAAGUUGUAGUGACAGUUGUAGUGUCAAUUACAUUUAUAAUUUCAUUUGUAGUGAAAGUGAGAGUUCCAAUAUGCAAUAUACAAAGAGUGUGUGUGUGUAAAAUUGUGCGUAAGUGAGAUGCUGCCGUUGGAUGAAUUGAAUGGACAUGAUUCAUUGUCAAUGUGGGACCCACAACUGAAGGAAAAAAACUUAGUCAUAGGCUUUACAUACUGGCCCACAAAUAAAAUGCAAGGAAAAGGACAAUCAACCCCUAAUGUUUGGGAAAAAAAAUAUAAACCUCUUUAGCAUCCCAAAAAAGAUGGGAAAUUUACGAAAAUAACCAUUAAUAUUUUAUUAUUUUCGCAAUUAACCUUCUCAACUUUUUUCUAUCAACAUUAGCCAAACACAAGCCUUUCUUCCCAAAUUACCCUUCUUUACAGAACAAAACCAACAUUGUUUCUCCCAUAUCGCCAAACUAAAAGCAGCUUUUCACUCUUGAAUCAUCAGCCAACGACGACCGCAAAAGACAACGGUAAAAGUGAUAUCCGAUCAUAAUCUAUCUGGAUCUAACACAAAUCGACAUCACUUAGUGGUAUGAAUUAUUUUCUGAACUUACUGAACUGAGUCGGGUGAAUCUGAAUCUGGCGACAGGUUGCCUGUCGCACCCACUCUAGAGAUUCAUUAAAAUUGUAUUAUUUUAAUAGGACUCAAAAUUUUUUUUUUUAUAAUUUCAGGCUUAAUGGAUUCAGUUGUACUUGAAUUGUGUUACGAUGGUUGGUGGGAGACAUUAGAGAAUGGCCGUAUGGAGUACGUGAAUGGUAAAAAUCGAGCUUUUUUGGUUGGAAAAAAUUAUCUGUUUGAUCAGUUAUUGGCAAGAGUAUACGAGGUGUUACAAAUAAACCCUAAUGACUAUAGUAUCACAAUGAAGACAACUUUGAGGUCUAGUAACACAUUAUAUCGUAUAUGUGCAAUGCCCAUGGAUAUAUGUGAUGAUGAAAUGGUGAGGAUUGUGUUGCAUAUGGCAUCUGACGUAGCUAAUUUUGGAUGCAUUCCUAUAUUCGUGACCACAUCACCUCGAGUUCCGAGCGAAGGUAUUGAGCCACAUGUCGAUACAGAAACUUCGUUUAGAGCAAAUAUGUCUGGCCCUGAUAAUGAUGAAGAGGUGUUGCUAAGGACAAUAUCGCUGCAGCAAUAUUACUCUUUAAUCCACGACAAUUAUGACAACAUUGAUGAUAAUGGCGUUACGUUACAGGAUGUUGGAGCAACGGUAUUUCCAAUAACAACGUCGUUGGAGCAACGAUAUUCUCCGUAUCACAGCAAUGAUUUUCGGGACAAUGAUGAUUUUCAUAAUGAGACAGAGGGGGAUAAUGUUUGUGCAAAACCUUCUAAUAAUAUGAGGCGGGGCACUCGUUUCAAUAAUGAUGGUGAUGAUGGAGGAGCCGGUCCUUCGAAUGUUCCGUCGUUUCAGCAUGAGGAUGAGUGUGAAGACAAUACUCCUGUGAAUAACAGAGGCAAUAGACCUAUUCCUUCUAUGGUUCGAUCGAGAAGGAGAAUUGACCCCCUUACAAGUCUUGCUCCAACUUUGCCUUCGAACAUGGUUGCUCCAAGCUUUGUUAGCAAUUGUGACUCAGAUGAUAUCAGCGUGGGUAAGCUAUUUGCUGAGAAGAAUGAGCUUAUAUUACAACUACGCAAGGUGGCCUUUAGAGAUAAGUUUGAUUUCAAGAUUGCACGGUCUACUACGACACGUUUCGAGGCUCACUGUUGUUCAGAAUCAUGUAAAUGGCGUAUUCGAGCAACUAGAAGUUCGAACGAGCAAAAUGUUCCUUGGGUGGUGAAGAGAAUUGAUAAUGUACACACUUGUCAUAAUGAGGUAUUGGUUGAUGGACGUCAUCAAGUAAGGAGCCGGGUUGUCGGUCAUAUUAUCGCAGAAAAAUAUAUUCAAGAUAAGAGGAUUUAUACUUCCAAUGACAUAAGAGCAGAUAUGCAACAAGAAUACGGUGUUCAGUUAACAUACCAGCAUGCAUAUAGGGCGAGAGAAGUUGGUCUUGAAAUAGUUCGCGGCAACCCUGCAGAGCCAUACAACUUGCUCCCUAAAUACUCUCACGUACUAACUACAGCGAAUGAGGGUACAGUCACUCACCUCGAGCAGGAUGGAGAUGGUAAUUUCUUAUACUAUUUUGUAGCACUCGGAUCUUCCAUCAAGGGGUUUAUGCAGUACAUUCGGCCUGUCAUUGCUGUAGAUGGUACUCAUCUGAAGGGACUAUAUUGUGGAAGCAUGUUCGUGGCAACAUGUCUUGAUGGUAACAAUCAAUUGUAUCCGUUAGCCAUUGGGAUCAUGGAUUCAGAAAACAAUGAUGCUUGGGAAUGGUUUAUGAUGAAGUUACACGGAGUGAUUGGUGAUAGACCUAAGUUGGUAAUUAUCUCUGAUCGAUGCACUGCCAUAAGGAGAGCCGUUCUUAAAGUAUUUCACAAUGCAACUCAUGGCGUUUGUUUUUACCACGUCAAAGGUAACAUUAAGUCACAAUUUAGAAUGUCCAAAGCUCUUUGGGAUGAAUUUGAGCCUGUCUUUAUUAAUGCAGCAAAAGCAUAUGGCCACGAGGAAUUUAAGAGACAACUUGAGGGGUUGUGGAUGAUCCACUCGGGUGCGGCUGAUUACCUAGAAAAUAAUGUCGGUACGUGUAAUUGGGCAAUGUCUCAGUUUAAAGGUAGGAGGUACAACAUUCUUACCACCAACAUCGCGGAGAGUGUUAAUGCUUUCAUGAGGGAACCUCGAAAAUUUCCUGUUACUCAUCUUGUUGAUCACUUUAGGAAAACAUUGCAGCAAUGGUUUUAUGAUAGAAAAAUUGUGGCUGAAUCAAUGACUACUCGGCUAACAACAUGGGCGGAUGAAAUAGUAACUGAGAGGAGAACUAUAGCUGAAAGAAUGAUAGUUCGGCCGGUGUCUCCGCAUCGCUUUCAAGUUAUAGGCGGUGGGCUUAAAGAAGUGUUGGUUGACUUGCAACACCGCAAUCGCCAGUUUCGGGCUCUUGUUGCGGCGCUCUCUUAACUGCGAUAACUUUCCACGGGUCUUCACUUCGCAACUCAGGUCGGAUAUUGUAGAAGCCAACAUAUUCCAACCAUCGAGGGAAUAUAACUUCAAGUGGCUUGAAUUUCAACUUGUACCUUUUGUCGUCGCGAAAUGUGAGUAAUGAGUCAUAAAUCCAGACUUUAUUUUUCCGAAAGUCAACUCGUGCUAGUACCCAAUGCGCGCCGUCCAAGUUAACAGGGAUGAGUAACUGCAUAUAAAAAUUGAAAAACAUGUUCGUUAUAUAUGCAAUUGAAAUACAACAAAGAAAAAGCAACAACUCGAAUAUUUUCAUUAUAGAGCAUGUGAAAUGUAAUAAAAUACAUACCAUAUCGACAUCCGUCAUUGUGUGCUGUUACCCACAAAGAUAACUAUUCAAGCGGUCGUCGAAUACCAUUGAAUCGACUGCACAAUUCUCGUUAUUCCAUAACUGAUUCAAGAACACCUAGUACAUAGAUAACCAAGAAACUGCCGCUUUGUUAAUUUUUCCUCUUUGGCUUUUACGACCGAAGAUAACAUACACAUGCUCGAAAUUCGACUAGGAAAGUGAUCAGCAUAACAAAAAUACAUCUUGCCUACUUCAAUAUCCGGUGAUUCUGAUUUCGCCAUGUAUCUGUAAUAUUUAUAAAAUUAUUACAUUACAUUUACAGAAAAAAAAAUUGACUCGUUAAAAAAAAAAAAACUCUAAUUUUUGGUGCGACAGGGCCUGUCGCACCAGAUUUGGUACGACAGCGUGUCGCGCAUGGGCCCGCGCUGCUGCCCAGCGAUGGGCGCGCGCGCGCGCCCUGCCCCUCCCUCCCCACCCCUAAAAUUAAGCGCAAUCACUCCAAAAUCGAAAACAAUACUCCCAAACACCACCAACCACCACAAACAUCAUCACCACCACUAUUAUUCUCAAGCUAUAACUAUUAUUAUUCUAAAAUCUCACUUUAAAUUAAGGAAAUUAAGAAAAAUGACUAACCUAGGUUUUGUUAAAGGUUGUAGAUCGUAGAUAGGAUGCCGUUGAGAGAUGGAGCCGCCGCCGAUGAGGGUUGAUGUCGCCGCCGAUGAUGGGAGUUGGAUCGGUUUGGGAGAGAUGAGUGAAAGGGAGUGUUGGGGGAGAGAUGAGGGAGGGGUAUUUUAGUCUCAAAUGUUGUUUUAUGGCUAAUGUUGAUAGAAAUAUUUUUGGGGGGUUAAGAUGAAAAAAAGCAAAUUUUUUUUGGUUAUUACUGUAAAUUUCCCAAAAAAGAUACAUAACUCCAUUCUUAUUAAUAAAUUCCAUUUGUUUUAAUGAUAAAUUUAAUUUUAAUCACUGCUAUAUCCCUAUAAUAAAUAAAUCAAGAUAAUGACCUAAGGCAUGUUAUUGAUGACGUGUAUAAUGAAAUCAAUAAUUUUUUAUUUAAAACUUAAAAUUGAGAUAUAAUUAUUUUUUACCUAAACUAUUCACUUUAUAAUAGUAAUUACAAAUUAAAAAUAAAUUUACUAUUAAAACAAAUAUAAUUACUAACAAAAAGGAGGGUUAUUUUCCUUUUUUGAAAUGAUUUGCAAGCAUUUGGGGCUCAGAGUCCUUUUAAAGAAAAUGAAUUCAAUCCCUCCUCUCUCAUCUCUAUCUCUACACCUUACCCCCUGCAGAUGGCUUAUUCUUCAUUUUUCCUUGGUAGAGGAUAUAAGGUUCUUUAAAUCCCACAUAAAUUCCACCAAAAAAUACAAGAUUUACAUAUCACUACUAGGUAAACGCAAAUUAAUGAUAGAAAUUUUACGACACAUAUCAUUGGGUCACUGGUGUAUCAUAAAAGCAUGACAUAUUCAUGACUUUUAUCACACUGACAUUUAUAAAUGAUGGAUGUAUGUUAUGCAUGUAGUUUACAUAUAUGAGCAUGACAAAUUUAUGUCAUGAUAAGAAACGACGUCGUUCUCUAUUAUUGAAUUAUUGAUUUUAACUACUUUUAUUUGUACACAUGUCAAAUUUUGAUUGAAUAUUUCAUUAGACUUAGAAAAAAGCUUACCUGCACUAUAUUUCAUAGUAUAAAAAUAAGAGAAUAAAACCCUAAACCAAAAAUUUGCUUAAAUGUAAAACUCUUCUCUGCUCUCAUCACGCUCAACAACCUUAACUCUCACUGCCCUAACAGCAGUUGAAAUGAUCAUCUAGCAAAAUGAGAUAUAUGAUGCGUUGCAUACCGUGGCAAUCUAAGCGAGAAAUCCUUUGACUUUGGCAAGCACGAGAUCGCCGACCUUCCAUUGGCGACGAGUAGCAGUCAUGGCUAUGGCUUUGCUUUCUCCUUUUCUCAAACUUAGCACCAUUAUUGGAGAAUUGCACCACACUUAAUCGAUAAAAAUGUACGACAACAAACAAGUUGAAGCUAACAAAAUAGAUGGAUUGAGAGAAGCAUGCCAAAAUUGCUCUUGUGAGGGUUCUGUUUAGCUGUCUAGGGGUCUCAAGGCACGAUUUGGCAAUGAAAUUUGCAGGCAUUGAAACACAUAAAUCGGACAAAAGAAGGGUGAGUAUCUCAAAACCCUAAUUUGUGCAAGAGUGAGCAAGUGAUUGUGUAUGUUAAUAUGAGUGUCUGAUUGUUUCUAUGUAAUAUUGGGGGUUAUUGUGGUUGAAGAUGCACGAAAAUUCAAUCAUGUGACUACUUGACAUUACAAAAAUUCAAGAGAUGAUCUCUACUGUCAUCUUUAAAUUCAAAUCUCGGUAGCGGCAGCGAGCAAACAUCGCGCGUCAUCUUGUGUCUUUCUUUUCCUCUCCAAAGCCAAACACCAAAGUAAACAUGUUGUGGUGAGUCCAAUUGCUCAUUUAUUUUGUUGAAUUUGGUGUCUAAUUGAUUUAAUCUUUGAGAUCUACGGUUUGUUUCUCUUUUUAGGUUCUGAAAUUAGAAAACAAUUGAAUCUUUAUUACAGUGAUGAGAGCCGAGUUCAACAAUAAUUAAAAAGUUAAAAAUAAGAUUCUAUUUCAUGAAAUUUUAUAGCUGAUUAAAAGAGAGAGGGCAUUGAUUGUUCAGCGAAAACCAGUUGAGAAAUAAAGCGUUAUGAGCAAUGAAGAUGAGGCUAAAUCUGAAGAGAUGAUGAAGAAUGAGAGUGCUUUUCUUCUUGCUUGGUUGGGUAUUGGUGGAAUCAUUCUUUUUCAAAGUAUUGCUCUUGUGGCUUCGGGUAUGUUAAUUGAUGAAAAAUAGAGCCCUCGUUGUUAAAUUUUGUUGAUGCAUAUAUUGCUUUGCUUUUCAAUUCCAGAUGAGUAAUUUGGUAAUUUAGUUGAAUUUUUGUGAUUUUUUUCCCUUUUGCCUGGAAGAUUCCUUGAAUUGAAUAAUUAGUACACUUGAUUAGAUUGAUUUCAUAGACUAGUUAUUAGUUAAAAACUAAUGUGCCAAUUGUUAUCCUUAAAAGUGUAAAUUUUAGAGUUUAGGAGUAGACUUGAUUGUUCAAAUUCAGCGAACAAAGAUUAAUUUUUAAAUAACAACUUCGCAAAAUUAUAAUCUUUGUUGCCAAUCAGUUGCUUUUGCAUGCUAUAGAAGUUUAAGCCGUCACAGGAAGUGCCUAGUGCUGGAGUUUUUCUAGAUUGUAUUUUCCUCUCAUUUCUCUUGACAAUUGAGCUGAAGUCCAAACAAAUGACAUGCCAUCAGAUUUCUAAACAAAAUCUCUAUUUAAUAGCUAAGAUAUUUAGGAUCUUGGUCUAAUGAACUUGAGACCAACCUCCAAGUCCACAUGAAAGUGCAGUUGCAUACAAACAUAUGAUGAACUAGUUGGUAAAAUGUAUCAAAACCUUGCCUGUCAGCCUAAAUCUUAGGUACACGAUCAUGUAAAUAUACUCAAGUUGGCUAUCUUUUGUAAGAUUUGCUGGCCCUGCAAAACGAACCAAAUUAAAAAUUGAGUUCUUAACUGAUGUGCAUGUGCUCCAGAUAGGUUUCAGAUAUUUUAUGAAGCUCAGUAUUUAUUAGUUGUUUCCUCGAUUAUUGAAUCAUUCAAUGGUAGUUGCAUGUCUCAUUGAUUGCUAUUGAUAAUGCUUUAAUUCUUUGUUGCUGUUUUUUUACUUUUUCUGCAGUUGUUAACUGCAGUUUCCUGUUGUUUUCCUGCUGUUUUCUACUAUUUUAGUUGUUGUUUCAUGUUGUUUUCCUGAUGUUUCCUAUGAUUUUACUUGUUGUUUGCUGCUAUUAGUGUCGAUAGCUGCUGUUUUAUCUAAUGUUUGGUGUUGUGUUUCGCCACUUUUCUUUUUGUUGUUUUACAAUAUUUUCGUUCAUUAUCCAUUACCUAAUUUUGUAGUGGGGACAAAUUUAUUAGGUACUAGGUUAAUGGCAACAUGUUGACAAUGGAUCCAGCGACUCAAAUGUAUAGAAUUCUUAAGCAUACAAACCAUGAAUACCUUUUUCAGGUUGUUUAAAUUGUGAAAAAAUAUGAAUUUUUUUGUGGGUUUUUUUUAGACUAUCGUUUACAUGAAUACCUCUCAAGCAACUGGAUAUGUUGGUGUUCUUAUAAUAACAAGGUAUGUAUGUUCCAUUCUGCUAUUUUUGUGCUCUUUGGUACAUGGUUUGAGGAAAUUAAAAUAAUCUUUGUUGAUUAUCCGCUAAUAAAUUUUGGUAUGCGACAUAAUAUUUAAUGACCUAUGUGAGAAUUAAUAUUGUGACAUUGUGUUUGAAGCAUCUGAUUUCUGUUGAUUGGUGCUAUUCAUUGUAUGGUUUUUUAGAAAUAAAAUUUUAGUUGCAAGAGACUUCAUCUAAUUUUGAUUUUGUAGCUACACUUGAAUCUUAUUCAUGUAGUUGUGUAGCUUCGAACAUCAAUGGUGGUUUUUUAAAUCUGGUGGCUAAAACAGGAAGAACAAUGUUGUGGCGAAGAUUUUUUGUUAAAUUAAAAGAAUUUAAGUAAGUUAAAUAUAUUGGCUCAUCGAAGAAGGCAGAAUUUUUUUCCUCACUGUUAUAUCAUGCUCCAGAUCUACUGUAUUUGAGAUGGAUUAUACAAGCAUAGGGAAUUGACAAUUGAUCAUUAUGGGAGCAUUUUAAACAUGCCCAAGUUAGAAAGUAAAAGUCAGCAUACUCAUUUUCGUUGUUGCAUGUAUAUUGAUGAAGUGUUGUUCAUUAAUUGCUAUGCUACCAUCAUGGAAAGCAUAUACUGAUGAAGUGUUGAUUCAACUAUGAAUUGUUGUACUUAUUUUAUUUGAUAACUGAUAGCUGAUAGUGUUGUAGAUGGAUUUGCUAAUUAUGAUAUAUGAAUUUGAAUUAUGAAUUAUGGUUUAUGAAUUAUGAGAUUGUGAGUGUAUUGUAGAAUAUUAGUUGUUUUUUAGCUGCUGCUGCUAAAACUAAAAAAUUCAAUUCUAAAAAAAAUUAAUAUUGAUAAUUCAAAUUUGGCACCAAUAAUAUAUUUUAAUUUUAAAAUUAAUCUUAAUAAAUCUUGCCAAAUAAUAUUUAAAAUAAAUUUAAUUUCCUGCCAAAUAUAUUUUAAAAAUUGUCAAAAUUCCCUCUAGAUUUAAUAAAGUUUAAAAAAUUAAAUAAUUUUAUUAUUUCUAGACUAAUUAAUUAAAUGUCAUCUUUGUAUGGCAUAUAAUAGUCAUGCAUCAAAAAUGUUUAUGAUAUAAACUAGUCAUGCGCGAAUUUUUUUAAUUAAAAUGAUUAUGACACAAUUGUGACAGAUAAUAUGUCAUGUAUUAGAUGAAGUAUAAAAAUUGUUAUCUAAUUUUCUUAACAUUAUAAUCAAGGACGGUUAUUCAACCGUCAUGCUCUAUAGCACAUGAUGGGUAAAAACCGUCAUAAAGCUCUUUUUUUUUUUUCUAAUAGUGUGUGUAGGCGCCCACUUUGAUUUAAUGUCAUAAGUUUCGCAGAGCCAUUCAUUACCAUCCAAUUUUGGAUGUCAUCCUUCCACCUUGUUUUAAUUCGAACUCAUCAGUAGUCUUUGAAUCCUAUAUAUAUUUUUAGAAUUUUUUUUUUUAACAAGAAUUUAUGAGAUGAUAUAUACCUUCACUCAACCUUCGAAAAAAUUAAUUCAAAAUGUGCAAUCCUAAUUCCUACGACUAAAAAGAAAAUCACAAGCAUUGUUUUGGGGGGGGGGGGGGGGGGGGAAGGAAGAGUGAUUGAAUUCUUCCACAUUUUCUUUUUCAUUUAUAUGUGGGUCCCACGAUGUAAAGUGCUUGACUUAAGUUAUUUUAUUCUUUAGCUGCGGGUGACAGCAAAUUCUAUUCAUACAAUUCAUGUCACAGAUAGCAUCUCAUAUCCACGCAAUUCACAAUUUCCGGAUAUCCGCAUGUAUGCUUAUGUAUACUUUUCAGUUUACACUCUAUAAAUGAGAAGCCGAUAAUACGUUGAAUUUUUUUGAUCUACAAUUGUAUUCAACAAAAUGUCUUUCAAUGAUAUUAAUCAAGAAUUAUAAAAGAAAAAUUCUAUAAUACAGUGAUUAAAACUGUAGUAUCAAUGACAUGAUAAACAUAAAUUUUAUAAAUUUCACAUAAAACUAGUUAAUGAAAGGUAAAAUAAAUAUAUUAGUAUAAGAGUGGUAAAUUUGUGUUUUAACAUCACAAAUAAAAUAAAAACUUAUAAAAAUAAUAUAAAACAUUAAAUCAAUAUUAAAAUUUCAUUAAACAAAAAAUAAUUUAUUUAUUUAAUUAAAUUAAACAAAGAAAAAAUUCAUUCAUCAAUUGAAAAAAAAAGUGAAAUAAAAACAAUUGGAAUAAGUUUUAUUGAUUUUGAUUAACCAUAAAUUCUAUAUUUAUUCUAAGAUAUUCAUACUUUUUUUUUUUCAUUUUCUAUCAUAGUAUUAUUUACUGCACAAGUCCAUUAAGCAAAAUUAUUUUUCUUGAUGUGGAUCAAGGCAAAAUAAAAUAAAAAGAUAUACUUAUAUUACUAGAUAUAUAUGAUAUAUCAAUAAAAUUAGAUCUAAUUUUCUGUUUUAUACAUACUUCAUUCAGCUUUUAACUAUUCUUCUCACUUUUAUUUAAAGAUUAUUUGGGGUUAUUGCCGAGGAAGUUUUGAAGGAUGUAAAAUUACCUUAUCUUAUAAACAGCUUUGAAAAAUAUGAAAAGAAUAGUUAUUCAAAUUCCAAUUUUGAGAAUAAAUUUUAUCCUUAAUAAAAUUCACAUUUAUCAUCACAUGUGUUAAAUAAACCCAAAGCUUCGUUAUUCAAUUUAGAAACAAAAUCAGCAAAUAUAUAAGGUGAUCAUUAUUAUAAUGAGUUUUUAUUUUAUACUUGUAAAGUUUUUAAUAAUUCUUAUGUUAAUUUACUUGUUUUACAUUGAAUUUACAAGUUUUAUGUUUUAGUUAUCUAAUUGAUGUUUUAUUUUACAUUUAAUGUUGAUUACAAGUUUUAUGUUAUAUUAGAGUUUUUUUUUAUUUACUAAUGAUACACCAAUUUACUAUUUUUAUGUUAAUUUACUUAUUUUACUUUCUAUUUACAAUUCUUAUGUUUCAUUUACAUAAUUUAUAUUUUAUUUUACAUUUGAAGUUGAUUUAAAAGUUUUAUGUUACAUUUGUAAGUUUUUAUUUUGUUUAGUAAUAAUACUCCAAUUUACCUCUCCUAUGUUAAUUUACUUAUUUAAUCUUUGUUUUACAAGUCUUAUGCUCCAUUUUCACAAUUUUAUGUUUUGUUUUAUACUUAAUGUUGAUUUAUAAGUUUUAUGCUACAUUUAUAAGUUUUCUUUUUCAUUUACAAAUAUACACCAAUUUAUCACUCUUAUGUUAAUUUGCUUAUUUUACCUUUCAUUUACAAGUCUUAUGUUCUAUUUACACAAUUUAUGUUUUAUUUUGUACUUAAUUUUGAUUUACAAGUUUUAUAUUACAUUUCCAAGUUUUUGUUUUGUUUACCAAUAGGACACCGAUAGCCACUAAUUGACAUUAAAAAGUGUACAUUUAAUAGGGAUAAAACUAUCAAUUUUUUACUUACAGUGUCGAUUAAUGCAUUCAUUAUUCCUAAAUUAUCUUAACACUCUCCAAAUAUAUAUGUAUGUUAAAUUAAUUUGUAAUAUGUUAAUUUUAUUUUAAUUUUAUAUUGUAGAUAUAUUUUAAGAAUAAAGAGGAGUUGGAACUUGGAAGCGAGAAACAAAUAAGAAUUGUUGGAACCAUUUGGAAUGCAUUAUUGAGGAGAUGUAAUAAAUUAAAAUAUUAAAUAAAAAAAAGUGAGCAAACAUGCUCGUAAUGGUCAAGUUGCUAUUUUGCCAAUUGACCAUCACACUUCUCUCUCUCUCUCUCUCUCUCUCUCUCUCUUUAUAUAUAUAUAUAUAUAUAUUAUAAAAAAUUAAAAAAAAUAAAGAAUAAUAAAAUAAAAGAAGAGGAUGCAUUGCUCACCUAUGAAAGGCGAGCGGAAACAAGUAGUAGAGUGAGGGAGAGAACAAGAGGGAAGUUGAGGAAUUCUUUCCUUUUUUUUUAGAAGUUUGUUAAAUAAAAUGAAUGUUUUUCUUUUCAAUAUAACUGUGGCACAUUAGGUAUUUGAUCCCAUAUUUAUCCACACAAAUGGUUAGUUGAAAAUUAAAUGGAAAAAUAAGUAACUGGCAAAAGAAAUGCAAAAUAUAAAUUUGGGAGAGUAUUGUAACCAUAAUUUGAAAUCCGAGAGUGGAUCUCGUAACCUUAGCAUAUUUUUAGAUUGAUUCCUAUUAAUUUCUUUUCCAACAUUUAAUUUUCUUUGUGAAAUAAAUUAAGUAGUAGAUUUUAAAUUUCAUGUGGUUUGACCUUGGACUCACCGGAUUAUAUUAUAAUUAGACACUCUUAUACUUAGGAGUAAUAACACUUUUGACUCGUGUCAACCACUCUUAUGUUAAUUUACUUAUUUUACCUUUAAUUUACAAGUCUUAUAUUCUAUUUACACAAUUUAUAUUUUAUUUUAUACUUAAUGUUGGUUUGCAAGGUUUAUGUUCCAUUUGUAUGUUAUCAUUUUGUUUACCAAUAACACCCUAAUUUACUAUUCCUAUGUUAAUUUAAUUAUUUUACCUUUCAUUUAUAAAUCUUACGUUUCAUUCACACAAUUUAUACUUUAUUUUGCACUUAAUAUUGAUUUAUAAGUUUUAUGCUACAUGUGUAAGUUUUUAUUUUGUUUAUUAAUAAUACACCAAUUUACCAUUCGUAUGUUAAUUCAAUUCUUUUACCUUUCAUCUAUAAGUCUUAUGUUCUAUUUACACAAUUUAAGUUUUAUUUUACACUUAAUAUUGAUUUACAAAGUUUACGUUACAUUUGUAAGUUUAUAUUUUGUUUAUCAAUAAUAUACCAAUUUACCAUUUCUAUGUUAAUUUAAUUCUUUUUCCUUUCACUUAUAAGUCUUAUGUUCUAUUUACACAAUUUAUGUUUUAUUGUACACUUAAUAUUGAUUUACAAGUUUUAUGUUACUUUUGUAAGUUUAUAUUUUGUUUACCAGUAAUUCACCAAUUUACCAUUCCUAGAUUAAUUUACUUUUUUAACCUUUGAUUUAUAUGUCUUAUGUUCUAUUUACAUAGUUUAUAAUUUAUUUUACAUUUAAUGUUGAUUUACAAGUUUUAUAUUAAAUUUACAUGUCAUAUGUUUCAUUUACAUAAUUCAUGUUUACAUACGGUAUUGAUAUCGUGAUUUUAAUCAUGGCAUUAUAGAAUAACCCUAAAAUUGAGAGGAAAACUAAAUUUUAUAAACAAGAGUUUUCCAAAUUAAUGACAACUUAUAAUUAUGCAAGUAAUAUAGUUUUCAUUGAUUUAACUAUUCCAUUUAUAGAUUUACAGGAGAGAGGAAAGAGAAAAUUGGAAUAGGAGAAAAAAUAAAAUUAAACAUUAAAAAAAGAAGAGAGAAAAAUAUUAAUGAAGUUAGAAAUUCUUAUCAUCUAAUGUUAACGCUUCAUUCUUAUUUCCAUUUUACAACACUCAAUCAUCUGACAUUAUUAUUAUUGUUGUUGUUGUUGUUGUUGUUGUUGUUAGUACUACUACCACCAUCUUCUUUACCAAUCCCGAGAUAAAUUCAUACUGAACGAUCUUUUAGCCAAAAGUUUCAACACACUUAUCCUUAGCCAGACCUGACUUUAAGUAUGCAAAAUGAAUUUAGAUUUAGUGUUGAACUGAGUUUUUUACUAAUUCUUUAAAAAGAUACAAUUAGUAGUUAUUAAAUAAGAAUAUAAAACUAAUUAAAUCUUAAAUCUUAAUUAUGUAUUGUUGUACAUGCAUGUGAGGCAGCUCGGGUCAACAUUGGAUCCAAAUCCAUGGCAAAUAACUCUCCAAAUCCAUCAUUUCCUCUAUGACAAAGUGAUCAAAUGGCCCCUUAUUCUCUGCUCCAUGAUGUGCUAAUAAUUUAUAUAUUAAUUUAAUAUUUCAUUAACUUAAUUUUAUGUCAAAUUAUAUUCUCUUAUGUUAAUUUUUAUCUUAAUUUUAAUAUUUUGUUGUUUUAGGUAUAAUCUAGGACUAGAGAGGAGUUAAAUCAUAACAUUCAGAAAAAAAUCUAAUUGAAAGAAUCAGAAAGGGAAAAAAUAAAGAAAUUUAAUUGAAACAAAUCAAGGAAGAUUUACCAUCAUGCAUGCAAUCACGUGGGGGAGGGGGGGAGCAUUUAAGAUUUAGUUGACAAAUAUGGCAUGUACGUGAACUUGGGUUUUUGAAUUUGCAAUAUAAUGGCCUAAGAACUUAAAGGUAGCUUGGCUUACUUUUGUGAGUUUGUCUUUUUAAUCCUUUUGGGUUAAGGAUUUAAAGGUCACCGAUUGAGCAUUACAAAAAGAAGAAAACAGGGCAAAAGCCGAAGUAGCCUCACGAAUAGAAUCAGGUAGAAGCACCCGCAAGACAUCCAGAGAGAAGCCAGAUUAAUUCUUGAGUUUUUCUUUCCCUCUUCUCUAUUGCUGUGCUUGAAUGUUCCCUACAAUGUUUAUGAAUUCUUUUUAUAUUCCAAUGAAAUAAUUUAUUUUGCUAGGGCUACAACAUAGCCUAACUAUGAAAUUUAAUUCCAUAAAUCUAUGUUAUUUUUAGUUUAUUAUUCCAUGAUUGGGUGUUCAUUAUUGUGCUUAAUGCUUUUAAAUAUUUGGCCAAUAUUUGAAUGAUUUGAGGAUAUAUAAUGAGAGCAAGAGGAGAUUUAUGUAUUUUUCCUGUAUGUAAUGGAUGUCAUGAAUUGAACGAAAGACAGAGAUGUGCCAACGUGAUUUAUGCAGUUUUAUCUAAGAACUUCCAUAGAACUUAAUGAAUUUUUACAUAUUUAAAUUCACUUAGAGAUAUAGUUAGUUAAUAUAUGAGGGUAUUUUUUUUAUAUUAUUCGAGAUAAGAUAUUGAAUAGAUUAGGGAAAUUUACUAUCAAUAUGCAUGAUAAUCUUUAAUAGUAUCGAUGGAGGAUUAAAUUGGAUUGGUUAUAGGGAAAGCAUAUGUCCUAAUUUCUAAAUCUCUUGGUGAUUUUUAUUACUGCUUGCAUCUUUAUUUAAUUUUUAGUUAUUUUGUUUUAUCUAGUUUUUAAUCGAAAUUCACUUAUUCAGUUAUUCAAAUAGAAUAGGGUUAGAAUAAUUGAAGUAACUAAUAGAAUAUACAAUCUCUAUGGGACGAUACUCUACUCUUCAUUAUAUUACUCGUGUUGACUACUACACUUGCUAAUACGCAACAAGUUUUUGGCUCCGUUGCUGGGGAUUUUUUGGAUUAGUAUUGAUACCAACUAACCUUAGUUUAAUUUCAAUUUUAUUUUUAUUUUUAUUUUUUUUAUUUUAUUUUCAUUUUCUUGUUUAAUUUUAUAAGACAUUCAAGAAGUUUUGAUUUAUUGCCUUUUGAUGCAGAGAUUGAAUGUACCUAUAGAAGGCUCAAUAGGGAAAGAAGAGAAGCUUUGCAGGAAUAACAACUAAUUAUGGCUGAAAAAACAAUACAAGAAAAUAGAGAUGCAAGACUUUUACGAGAUUAUGUUGUGCCUACAAUUAGUGGUACUCGCUCAAGCAUUGCAUGUUGUGCCGUUCAAGCCAAUAAUUUUGGGACUCUUCAUUAUAUUACUCAUGUUGACUACUACACUUGCUAAUACGCAACAAGUUUUUGGCUUCGUUGUUGGGGAUUUUUUGGAUUAGUAUCGAUACCAACUAACCUUAGUUUAAUUUCAAUUUUAUUUUUAUUUUUAUUGUUUUUAUUUUAUUUUCAUUUUCUUGUUUAAUUUUAUAAGACAUUCAAGAAGUUUUGAUUUAUUGCCUUUUGAUGCAGAGAUUGAAUGUACCUAUAGAAGGCUCAACAGGGAAAGAAGAGAAGCUUUGCAGGAAUAACAACUAAUUAUGGCUGAAAAAACAUUACAAGAAAAUAGAGAUGAAGGACUUUUACGAGAUUAUGUUGUGCCUACAAUUAGUGGUACUCGCUCAAGCAUUGCACGCUGUGCCGUUCAAGCCAAUAAUUUUGGGAUAAUCCAGAUGAUUCAGAUGUCAGUACAAUUUUUUGGGAUGCCGAGUGAUGAUUAAAAUGUUCAUAUUGCAAAUUUCCUAGAAAUUUAUGACAUAUUUCAGUAAAAUGGUGUCUUAGACAAUGUUUUCAAGCUAAGGCUUUUUCCCUUCUCACUUAGGGACAAAGCAAAAGAAUGGUUGAACUCGCUCCCUGCUGAUACAAUCAUAACAUGGGAUGACUUAGCGCAGUAGUUUUAGCAAAGUUUUUCCCUUAGUAAAAGCAACCAACUUAAGGAAUGACAUCACAACAUUUGCUCAAUUUGAGAUAGAGUCACUAUAUGAAGCAUGAGAUAGGUACAAAAACCUACUAAGAGAAUGUCCACAUCACGGUCUACCAAUUUGGCUUCAGGUAUAAACAAUUUACAAUGGUUUGGGAUCUACUACUAGAACAAUGAUUGAUGCUGCAGCAGAGGAACUUUAAUGGGAAAAACACCACAAGCAGCUUAUGAAUUGCUGGAGGAGAUGGUCUCUAAUAAUUACCGGUGGUCUUCAGAGCGAUCAAUACCAAGGAGAACUAUAAGAGCCCAUAAUGUUGAUGUUGUCACAAUUUUAACUGAACAGAUGACUGCUUUAUCUAAUAAGCUGGAACAUCUGAAUAUUAGUGCUAUUCAAACGCAAGUGUGUGAAUUAUGUGGGGGAAAUUACACCAUUAUUAACUACCAAGUUAGAAGUCCUUUUGCGUCGUCAUCUAUUGAACAAGCUCAUUAUGUGUCAAACUUCUAGAGGUAACAAAACAACCCGUAUUCUAAUACCUUCAAUCCUGGCUAGAGAAACCAUCAAAAUUUGUCAUCGAAAAACACUCAAAAUACAUUGAAGCCACCUAUAGGAUUCCAAUAAUAAGAAAAGAAGUCAAAUUUAGAAGAUGCUCUUACCCAGCUUAAAACGAAUAUGUCUCAAUUCAUGACCAAAAUACAGACAACUUUUGAAAAUCAAGCUGUAUCAAUCCAGAACCUCGAGGUACAAGUAGGUUAGAUUGCAAACUUACUAUCCAACAUACCACAAGGCUCCCUGCCAAGCAACACUGAGACAAAUUCAAAGGAAAAAAAUGAAUGCAAUUAUGGUUCGAAGUGGUAAACAAUUUAAAGAGUCUCCAAAAGAAGUAAAGGAAGUUGAAGAAGAUAACAUGGAGCAAAAUAAGGACACUACUAGAACACUUGAGACAACAAGUUCAAAAAUUCCCCUAUCACAACAAUCGACACUAGUCAAAGCCUAUGUCCCUCCAAUCUUGUUUCCUUAGUGUCUUCAGAAAAAUAAAUUAGAUAAGUAGUUUUCUAAAUUUCUUGAUGUUCUUAAAAAGUUGCAUAUUAAUAUUCCUUUUGCAAAUGUAUUAGAACACAUGUCGAGCUACACUAAAUUCAUGAAAGAAAUUUUAUUUAAACAAGAGAAAACUAGAAGAGCAUGAAACAAUGUUGUUAACUAAAGAGUCCACUGCAAUUUUACGGAAUAAAUUACCACCGAAGUUGAAAGAUCCAGAGAGUUUUUCUAUUAUUUGCAGUAUUGGAAAUUCUUAUUUUGAUAAAGCUUUAUGUGAUUUAGGUGUAAGUAUUAAUUUAAUCCCUCUAUUUGUUUUUAAGAAAUUAGGACUUGGUAAACCAAAGGCAACAACUAUUUCUCUUCCAUUGGUAGAUAUGUCUAUAAAGUAUCCAAGAGGUAUGAUUGAGGACGUACUUACUAAGAUCGACAAUUUUAUAUUUCUUAUAGAUUUUAUUAUUUUGGAUAUGACUGAAGAUUAGGAAUGCAAAUCAUUUUAGGCUGACCAUUCUUGGCCAUGGGAAGAACUCUUAUUGAUGUCCAAGAAGGAAAACUAAUCAUUAGGGUGCAAGAUGAGCAAAUCACUUUCAAUGUAUUCGAAGCAAUUAAAUGUCCAUCUAAAAUCGACACAUGCCUUUAAAUAGACAUCAUUGACAAAAAAAAAAAAGUAAUUGAAAGCUUUCACAAUAUAAUGUUGAAUGACUCAUUAGAAUGAUGUAUUAUUCACUCUGGGACUACUCAAUUAGAAGAGCUUGGUAGGAGUCCUUAUCGACCAAAACCUUCAAUAGAGGAACCUCCAAAACAUGAGCUUAAGCCUCUACCCUCUCAUUUGAUAUAUGCUUAUUUAGAUGAUAACUUUAAGCUACCAGUUAUUAUUAUUUUUACCUUGACAGAUCUUGAACAGGAAAAGCUACUUCAUGUUUUAAGAGACCACAAAACUGCUCUAGAAUUGACUAUUGUUGACAUCAAGGAAAUAAACCUUUCAAUUUGUAUGUACAAAAUUCUAAUGAAGGAGAUUUAUAAGCCUACAAUGUAGCCACAAAGAUAGCUAAAUCCAAACAUGCAAGAAGUGGUUAAGGCAUAGGUGCUUAAAUUGAUGGAUGCUAGGAUAAUUUACCCAAUUUCUAAUAGUUUACGGGUGAGACUAGUGCACAUGAUACUAAAGAAGUGCAAAAUGAUAGUCAUGAAAUAUAACACCAAUGAACUUAUCCCAACAAAGACAACCACAGGUUGGCGGGUAUGCGUGGAUUAUAGGAAACUUAAUGUUGUUACUAGAAAAGACCACUUUUCACGGCCUUUGUUUGAUUAAAUGUUGGAGAGACUUGCUGGCCAUACUUACUAUUGCCUUUUAGAUAAAUAUUCAGGCUAUAAUCAAAUCUUUAUAGCACCAGAAGAUCAAGAGAAAACCACCUUCACAUGUCCUUAUGGAACAUUUGCUUAUAGAAGAAUGACAUUCGGUUUAUGCAAUGCACCCACUUUUCAGCGUUGUUUAAUGGUUAUAUUUUUUUUAUAUGGUGGAGAGAUUCAUUAAUGUGUUUAUGGAUGAUUUCUCGAUUUUUGGAUCUUCAUUUGAUCAUUGUUUGAACAAUUUAGAUCUAGUUUUGCAGCGAUGUGAAGAGACCAACUUAGUUUUAAAUUAGGAAAAAUGUCACUUUAUAGUGUAAGAAGGCAUUAUACUAGGUCAUCAUAUUUCUACUAAAGAAAUUGAAGUGGAUAGAGCAAAGAUUGAAGUCAUUGAGAAGUUACCACCACCGACUUCCGUGAAAGCUAUAAGAAGUUUUAUAGGCAUGCCGGGUUUAAUCGACGUCUUAUUAAAGAUUUUUCAAAGGUAACGAAACCUUUAUGCAACCUUUUACUCAAGGAUGUUCUUUUUAAUUUUACUGACAAGUGUUUGCAGGCUUUUAAUACUUUGAAAGAAAAACUAACCUCAGCUCCAAUAAAUAUGGCAUCUCAUUGGGAUCUAUCUUUUGAGCUUAUGUGUGAUGCGAGUGAUUUUGUUGUUGGAUAGUUUUUGGGUAGUGGAAUAAAAACAUGUUGCAUGUCAUUUAUUAUGCAAGUCAAUCUCUGACAGACGUGCAAUGGAAUUAUGCUACUACUGAGAAAAAGUUUGGCUGUUGUGUUUGCACUAGAAAAAUUUCGCUCACAUUUGAUUUGCUCAAGGGUGAUAGUUUACACUAUUCAUUCCGCUCUAAGUAUCUAUUCACAAAGGUAAAUGUAAAAUCAAGACUGAUCCAUCGGGUGCUUUUACUAUAAGAAUUUGAUUUAGAGAUUUGAGACAAGAAGGGAUUGAAACUUUGGUGGUGGAUUACUGUUGUGCAAAUUUUAAUGUACUCGCAAGCGCACGAAUCUAUUGUAGUAUAGACUAAUGGUGACGAGUAUCGAUCCCACGAGGAGGUGGAUUUUUAAUUAUAUAUAGAAUUAAUUUUGUAAAUGGGUGGUUGGAAUUGUGGUGGAAGUGAUUUAAAAUAUGCUAAAAUUGGAAUUGUAAUGGCGAGAAUAAAUUGUAGAGAAAAUCGAUUAAAUUGACGUACUUGGGUAUCUGGAUCCGUAUCAACAUGCAUCAUGGGCUAAAUAAUCCGUAUUAAUGCCAAUUAAAUCAUGAGGGGGGAAUCCACACCUCAUGAACCACGCUCUAAUCAAUAUGGUGCUAAGGGCUUAUCGUGCCAAAUAAUAAUAAUCUUAUACUAGAGAGCCGGUGUAACCAAGGCGGUAUCUAGACAAGAUCAGUAUUAUUUGUCGACGAUAAGUCAAAUCAUCCACAAAAACUAGAGGGGAAAAGAAAAUAAAUUUACCAAAUAAAGCCCAUGACACAUGUUGAGACUUCACCUUCAACCCAAGCUUGAAAGAAAAUUAGCCACUCAUAAUUGAACUAGGGGCAAAAUGAGAAUUUAUUAAAAUACAAAGAAAAUACAAGAUGGAGAAGGAAUUACAGAAAAUGGAUCCCAAAAAUGGAUUCAGAGAUAUCAAAUUAAGGGGGGGGAGGCCCCCUUUUUAUAGAUACAUGGAGUAAAUCAUGGCCAUCGGAUUAAAAACAGUUUGGACGCUCAGGAUUGCGCCACGUCAUCAGUCAACAGUCCACAGUUUGACCACGUGGAUGAACAGUAACACGGUUUGGUUGAAAAUAAUCCUGUGUGAUGCAUGCACCGUACGCGAGAUUUUUCGUCCACUGAUAUGCUGCCACGUCACCAUCAACAGUACAUAAGAGUUUUAGUCCAACAGGAUCGUGACACCUCAUCAGUCAAUGCCACAUCAUCGGUCAAUGCCACGUCAUCGUUCGUCUAUGUGAACAGUAUCAUGAACAGUAACGUAUACAAUACCGUACACGUGAAUAGUACCGUACAUGUGAAUAGUGCCAUUUUUCCUUUUAUGCCCCUCCUAAGGUUUUCGACCGUCCUGAGUUCAAAAGUGAUGUCCGUUUUGCCGUCUGAUCUCUCCUUUAUUGUGAAAUGACUAUAAUGCCCCUAAAAUACAUAAAAUACUUAAUUAAAAUAACACACACGUAAUUACAUCACAAGAAGGUUAAAUACAUAAAAGUAAGGGUUGUUAGUAAGACUUGAAAUGUAAAAUGACGGUUUUCUCCUUUAUAAAUAUGCAUUUUCUAACACUCAACACACCCCCCAACCAGCUUAUUGCUAGUCCCUAGCAAAUAAAGCGAAAACAAAAUUCAAAUUCAAAUUUUUUUUUUUAGAAACACUCGUGUUUAUUCAAUCAGAUUAAUGAUAGCAAUCGAAUAAAAGUAUAAGCAUUAUCUCCAGUCUAAAGCAACAUCACACCCACAUCAACCAUCCACAUGAAUUAGCCCAGUAGACUUGGUUAUAGCUACUUUCAAGAAUGACAUAUCAAACCCCAAAAUCUCACUGGAAGUAAUGACACUCUCACAAAGAAAUUAAAACCCAAUAAACAUAGUCACUCCAAUGAAUGGUAAUUGAGAGAGAAAAUAAUAAAGAAAUGAUAUCACAUGCUCUCACCAAGAUGAAAUAAAUAUGCCCUCAGCUUAGAAAUAAUACGAUCUCAAGUCAAAUAAAAUGUUAGUCAACCCACUUUAUUUAUCUUUUUUUUUUUUAUUAUGCAUUACUACAUCUUUUUAGCCCAUAUAACUAGCUUCUACUUCAAACUAUAGUUCCCUAAAAUCAAGAAGGACUUUUAUUAGGACGUAACGUAGGCUAGGGAUAUGGCUAACAAAGAAAGGAAAUAAGGAAAACAAAGUAUAUGUUUGAGAAAAAUGCAGAAUUUUUUUUUUUUUUUUUAAAGUUGCAAGGUGGAUUUCACCUAUUAUUGUUAUUUUUAUUCUUUUGAAACAACAACUUUUGUUUUUUGUUUUUUUUUCUUUUUGCGUUUAUUUGGCAUAACUUCAAUGAACAACAUAAUUAUUUACAUUUUCUCAAACAUAAAUAGGUGAUGGAACUUAAAAGACAUUGGGUAAUACUCCAAAUCGGAGUGGGUCAAGAUGAUAAGUUGACAAAGAAAAUGUUUUUUUUUUUUUUUUUUUUUUUAAAGGCUCAAAAUGGGUAACUAUGGAUAUUUAAUAACAAGGAUGGCUAGAAAGGCUCAAACGGAUCAAAGAUGGCCUUUCCAUCGUUUUUUAGGGCUCUAAAUAAUUAUCCAUAUCUACUAGUUAGAUGGGCCUCCCAAUGUAGCAACACACAUUUUUUUCUUUUUUCUUUUUUUUCUUUUUUUAAUUAUUACCAUUUUUUUUAUAGGGUUAACUCAAAAGAAAUCUAGAGAUCGUGUAUAAAAUAAUAAACUGCUAAGCUGUAUAGAAAAUGGGCAAAAGGGUUACUCUCCAAGAAAAUGAUAGGCUCAACAUCUCACUUGGCACUUAUUUAUGACAUGUUCAUUCCUUCAAGCAACUCAUAUUUGUCUCCGACAUCAACAUGUAAAGUAGCAAACAUAGCGUAACAUCACUUAAGACCAAAGAUAAUACAAAUACUAAAAUUUGAAAUUAAUCAUGUCAUCCAAUGUUAAAACAAAUAACACAAAAUUUUUUUUUUUUUUUUAAACAACAUUCUACCCCCCAACCUAUUCUAAACAUGAAAGGAAAAUAUGCAUGCAGAAAUGUGAAAAUGAUGUAGAAAAAUUAAUUAGAAAAAGAAUUGUUUUUUUUUUUUUUUUAACUAAGAAGAUGCGUUUCUAGAGGCACUACACUCCAUAUUCAGCCAUCUUCGACUCAAAAAUUUGAAACUACAUAUUUAUAAAGGAGAAAGAGGAAGAAAACGAGUUUUUUUUUUUUUUUUUUUUAAAAACGAUGAAGAUGCGUUUCUAGAGUAACUACACUCCAUAUUCAGCCAUCUUCAACAUAAAACGUUAGCAACAGUUAGUUUCUACAACAAAAAAUCAGUAAAAACUUAACCAAGAUUCCACAAUUGUCGACUAUUCCCUCCCCCCAACCAGAACGAAACAUUGUCCUCAAUGUUUUAAAGGAAAGAAGUAGAGUUUAGAAGACAUCACCUGGGUGGUGCAACACAGAAGAAAAUAUUUACAGGCGGAGAGUUAAAUCUAAUUUGUACUUCUUAUUGCGGCUACUGUUACCAUCAUUAUUUGGUCGCUCCAACACAAAGGUCCAGGGGUCUGGCUCCGGUUUAUAAGCUUGUAACAUAUCAAGUAGCUCAUUAGCAGUGUGAGCACAAAGAAAGAGUUUUUUCACAUUAGAAGGAAUGAAAUAGUUUUUUAUUGCAUGGUUAAGAAAUGCGAUAAAGCUAUCAUAAAAGUUAUUGACAUUUAACAAACCGAUGGGUUUCUGGUGAAUGUGUAGAUGGGCCCAAGAUGCUGGUGUCAUAAGUGCCUCUAGUGUUGCAAGAUCUCCUGGAAGGAAAAUAAAAGCAUCAGCAUGAUUAAGCAUUUCAGUUAUUCUUUCUUGCAUACCUGAGACGACUAACUCUUCUCCAGUUGAUGAGUCAGACGAACUGCCCAAUGGUUUUAGGACUCUUGGGAUGAUGCCUAACACUUGACUUCCUCUGAUAAAAGCUGCUUCUGAGACCAUUUUUGAUAACCCUCGGUUAUCUCCUCCAUACACCAAGUGUAAUUUUCUCGCUGCUAUGCUUCGACCAAGAUCUAUGGCUGCCUCCACGAACUCUUUAUGUUUGCCAUAGGUAAAUCCAGAAAGCACACAAAUGUUCUUGAAUUGUCUAUUGGGAGUAGCUGUCAUUGUGAUACUUCUCAAAAACAAUUUGUGAGUGCUUGACAAAAGAUAAAUCACAUUUAAGAGUCUUGGUGACAGUGGGUCACAGCUGUGUAUGAGGUAGCAUGUCAGUGUCAAAUAACGCGUAAAGCACGUGGCUCGCGAGUCAAAAAGGAAACAGUAAAAAAAAAAGAAAAAGCAAACAGUAACAAAAUUAUUAAAGACAAUAAUAAAACAACAGUGAAAUGAAAUAAAAUAACAGUAAAGUAAAAGGAUAUUUACACGUAGUUGCGACUGUGGCUCACAUCUUCCUCUGGUUUUACGUCCAGAAACGGCUUGAACGCCCUCUAUGGGUCGAGGAUAGGCUUCCUAUCCAGUUUUCUUAUAAACUGGCAAACAGGGUCGUUUAUAGUCAGAUUCCCGAGACUAUAUCGUGCAUGCUCUUUCUGGAAUAAUGGCCAUAACUGGAGAAUCGCUCCUUGCACAUAUCCACUAGGAUGCGUUUCAAGAGACAAAAGGAUAUCAUCCAAUGACUCCUUAUUCAAGCCAUCCCUAAUGAAUUGAAUCUUAUCUUCCCUGUUAUCAGACACCAUUCCUAAAGAACAUGGGUUUCUAUCGCAACUCAUUCUGGCACACUUAUGACAAGCAACAGAAAUUCUUCGAGCUCGUUGUUUUCUUGCAUAAUUUCCUUUACCACAACCAGGCAUGAAUGCAAUAAAUUUUGGAGGUAUCUCACCUGCCGAUCGUACUUUAGCCUCGAUUAACCAACGGAUGUCAGCAGGUAUGUUAUUCUUCAUGAGUAAUCGCAUGCGUUCGGACCGAGCUUUAUAGAUCGUAAGGAGGGCAUUCUGAGGAAGUGAAGGGAAUCGCUUGUGAAGCUUCGCUAGAAUCUCGUUUCUGUCCAUACUUUCGCCUCAGAAUGUUAGUUAUUAUGGGAAACUGAAGUAACCGACUUGAUUGUCACGGAGUACCGUUAUCCGCCACUUCACCGCGGUAACAAACUAAAGCACACAAACAGAAAAAUAAAUUAAAACACACAAAGAAAAUUAAAAUCGUCCUCUUAUUGAAUUUACCUCAAGCUCCAACUGGAUGUCGUAAACACUUCUCUCAAUGUCUCUGAGUUGGCGUUCUAAACCCUCAACAUAGGCUACUAACUCUGGUGGUUGUAGAGCCCAAAUGCGUUGUGUUUUACAAAAUUGAAUCUGCUUUUUGAGAUGAGUUUUGACACGUUGAAGUGGUUUAAGAAUGUUCAGGAGGAACGGUCUAAGUAUGGUACUCAUGAUUAACAAUGAUAAGAAAAAAAGAAAACUUAAUGGUAAAACAAACACACUUAUGCAAAAAUAAUUUCAAUUAGCAAAAGACUAAUAAAAAGAAAGAAAGAAAAAUCAAAUCAACAAAAAGAAAAAAUCAAUUCAAAUCUGGUGGGUCACUCAAAUUUAUUUCGGUGUCUUCUCCAUGUGGUUGGUACUCAAGAUAUGGCUUUAAUCUUUGACCAUUAACUUUAAACGUGACACCGUUCUUUGGGUCUUUAAUUUCAAUUGCCCCAUGUGGAAAAACAGUAUGAACAAUAAAGGGACCAGACCAUCGAGAGCGUAACUUACCUGGGAAUAGGUGCAAGCGAGAAUUGAAUAAAAGCACUUUCUGACCUGGAGUGAACGAUUUUCUCAUAAUGUGCUUGUCAUGAAAGAUUUUCAUUCGUUGCUUGUAAAUCUUGGCAUUUUCGUAUGCAUCAUUGCGAAUUUCUUCAAGUUCUGCCAGUUGUAAUCUUCUUUCUGAGCUGGCUUGCUGCAUGUCAAAGUUGAAUUUCUUGAUGGCCCAAUAUGCACGAUGCUCGAGUUCCACAGGUAGGUGGCAAGCUUUUCCAUACACUAGCCUGUAGGGUGACAUCCCAAUCGGGGUCUUGAAAGCCGUUCUAUAUGCCCAUAAUGCAUCAUCAAGUCUUAAUGACCAAUCUUUUCUGUCUGGCCUCACCGUUUUUUCUAAUAUGUGCUUGAUUUCUCGAUUGGAGAUCUCAACUUGGCCACUGGUUUGCGGAUGAUAUGGGGUCGCCACUUUGUGUGUGAUUGAAUACUUUGUCAAAAGAGCCUUGAAUGCUUUGUUACAAAAGUGGGCACCACCAUCACUGAUUAUCGCUCGAGGGAAUCCAAAGCGUGAAACAAUGUUGCUUUUCAAAAAUCCUAUCACCACUUUGUGAUCAUUGGUUCUGCAUGGAAUUGCUUCCACCCAUUUCGAUACGUAGUCAACAGCAACCAAUAUGUAUUGAUGACCAAAAGAUGGAGGAAAGGGUCCCAUGAAGUCGAUACCCCAUACGUCAAAAAUCUCAACCACUAAAAUUGGAUUUAGUGGCAUCAUGUUCCUUCGUGUAAUGCUCCCCAUUUGUUGACACCUAUCACAUGAAGAACAGAAAGUGUAAGCAUCUCGAAAUAUAGUUGGCCAAUAAAAACCACAUUGUAAAACUUUAGUCGCGGUUUUCUUAGCACUGAAGUGGCCUCCACAAGCUUGUGCAUGGCAGAAUGAAAGAAUAUUCUGAAUUUCAUUUUCAGGGACACAUCGUCUAACAAUUUGGUCUGCACAAUACUUGAACAAAUAUGGGUCAUCCCAAAAGAAAUUCUUUAUUUCCGCAAAGAAUUUAGCAUUGUCUUGCUUGGUCCAAUGCUCUGGAAGUUUACCUGUAACAAGAUAAUUAACUAUAUCAGCAUACCAAGGUAAUACUUCCACAUUCAUUAAUUGUUCAUCUGGAAAUGACUCAUUUAAUAUUAAUGGCUCUGUAAUUGUGUCAAAAUGGAGACGAGAGAGGUGGUCCGCCACAACAUUUUCUGUGCCUUUCUUAUCCUUGAAUUCCAAGUCAAAUUCCUGCAAAAGUAACACCCAACGAAUUAGUCUAGCUUUUGCAUCUUUCUUUGUGAGAAGAUAUUUAAGAGCAGCAUGAUCUGUGAAUAUAAUUAUUUUACAACCAAUGAGAUAAGAUCGAAAUUUCUCUAAUGCAAACACUACUGCUAGCAUUUCUUUUUCAGUAGUUGAAUAGUUCAACUGUGCAUCAUUCAAUGUCAUACUAGCAUAGUAAAUAACAUGAGGAAUUCGAUCAACUCUUUGUCCUAAAACUGCUCCUACUGCAUAAUCAGAUGCAUCACACAUAAGCUCAAAUGGUAAGCUCCAGUUUGGGGCCUGAAUGAUGGGUGAUGAUGUCAACAAUUGCUUUAAUUUUUCAAAAGCCAUAAGACAUGAAUCAUUAAAGAUAAAAGGUACAUCCUUAGCAAGUAAAUUACAUAAGGGUCUAGAAACUUUGCUAAAAUCUUUAAUGAAACGUCUAUAGAAACCAGCAUGCCCAAGGAAAGAUCUUACUUCUCUAACUGUUUUGGGUGGAGGAAGAUUAGAAAUGAGAUCCACCUUGGCUUUGUCAACCUCAAUACCUUUGCUUGAAAUGAUGUGACCGAGAACAAUACCUUGUUUUACCAUAAAAUGGCACUUCUCCCAAUUUAAGACUAAGCUCUUCUCGGUACAUCUCUGCAGAACUAGCGUUAGAUGAUGUAAACAUUGAUCAAACGAGUCACCAAAGACAGAAAAAUCAUCCAUAAAGACUUCAAGGAAUCGUUCAACCAUAUCAGAAAAAAUGCUCAACAUGCAUCGUUGAAAUGUAGCAGGUGCAUUACAUAAUCCAAAUGGCAUUCUCCUAUAUGCAAAUGUGCCAAAAGGGCAAGUGAAAGUGGUCUUCUCUUGAUCUUUUGGUGCUAUGGGAAUCUGAUUAUAUCCUGAGUAGCCAUCUAGAAAGCAAUAAAUUUCAUGGCCUGCUAAUCUAUCAAGCAUUUGAUCAAUAAAUGGUAAAGGAAAAUGGUCUUUACGUGUGACAGAAUUCAACUUUCUAUAAUCAAUGCAUACACGCCAUCCUGUAGUUACUCUAGUUGGUAUCAAUUCAUUAUCAGCAUUGGUAACUACUGUGACUCCUGACUUUUUGGGGACAACUUGUACAGGACUGACCCAUGAACUAUCAGAAAUUGGGUAAAUGAUACCUGCAUCUAAUAGCUUAAGGACUUCAGUUCUAACAACUUCUUUCAUGUUAGGAUUUAACCGACGUUGCAUCUCCCUAGUAGUUUUAGCAUUUUCAUCAAGGUGAAUGUAAUGCAUGCAGUCUACUGGGUUUAUACCUUUUAUGUCUGCUAUGGUCCAUCCUAAUGCCCCUUUGUGCUCUUUUAAAACAUCCAACAACUUACCUUUUUGUUCGUCAUUUAGGGAUGAUGAGAUGAUUACCGGCAGAGUACUUUCUUCUCCCAAAAAUGCAUAUUCCAGAGUGUUGGGUAAUGGUUUGAGCUCGAGUUUCGGUGGUGAUUUUGAUGAUGGAAUGAGUUUCUUCUCUGAUGGUGCUAGUUGUUCAACUCUUGACUUCCAUUUAUUAGUGUCCAUGGAUGGUGCUGAGUCAAGUAGGGCGUUGACCUCUUCGACCGAUCUGUCAAUAUCAAAAUCCAAACCAAAGUGAGUUAAACAUGUUUGUAAAGGAUCAUCACUAAGGUUUGAAAGAAAAGUAUUAUCAACUAUUGUUUCUAUUAAAUCCACAUCAACAAUUCCAUCAUCUGCACUGUGAGGUUGUUUGGCAAUGUUGAAAAUGUUUAGCUCCAUAGUCAUGUUGCCGAAGGACAAUUGCAUAUUUCCGGUCCUACAUUGAAUAUGAGCAUCUGCAGUUGCCAAGAAAGGUCGGCCUAGAAUAAUGGGGAUGUGCUUCCUUGAGUCCUGUAUUGGUUGAGUGUCAAUUACAAUGAAAUCAAUAGGAAAAUAAAACUUGUCUACCUGGAUAAGCACGUCCUCUACAAUACCUCGAGGUAUUUUCGUGGACCGAUCUGCAAGCUGUAACACCACUGGAGUUGGGUGUAAUUCUCCCAGUCCAAGUUUCACGAAUACAGAGUAAGGCAACAAAUUUACACUAGCUCCUAAAUCCAACAAAGCAUUCUCAAUUGUGUGGUUCCCUAUACUACAUGAGAUAGUGGGGGAGCCUGGGUCUUUGCAUUUUAAAGGAAUUUUAUGUUGGAGUAUAGAACUAACGUUUUCUGUUAAAAAUGCCUUCUUUUGAACAUGCAUGUUUCUCUUUUUAGUACAAAGGUCUUUAAGAAACUUGGCAUAAGAUGGAACUUGUUUAAUAGCAUCAAGUAAAGGGAUGUUAACACUUACCUGUUUGAAGAUUUCGAGAAUCUCACUUGUGGAUUUUCCCUUUUUUCCUUUCGCUAACCUAUGAGGAAAUGGAGCUUUGGGAACAUAUUCUCGUGGGUUGGUUUUUUCUUUUUCCUCCGGUGGUGAGUCCUCAGCAUUUACAGGUACAAUUUGAUUUUCUUUUGUCACCGGCAUCUCCACUUUAUUGUCGACUUCUUUUCCUUUUCGCAAGGUCAUGAUUGCUUUGACCUCUCCAUGCUGUUGUGGUGAACUGGUACUUGCUUCAUGUACUCCUUUAGGAUUAGGCAUUGGUUGACUUGGAAAUUUUCCUUUCUCAACAGUCAUUGCCAAGGUCUGAACUGAAGAAGCAAGUUGUCCCACCAUCUUCUCGAGGCUUGAAACUGAUUGGGCUUGUGAGUUAAAGCCCGCUCUCAAUUCAUUUCGUAGUCCAUCAAUGGUGCGGUUCUGUUGCUCAAUCGUGGAGUCAGUAACAUUCUUGAAAUUCUGGAAUGAAUCCUCCCAUGGUCUGGGUUGAGAGUAGUUCUGGUUCUGAUUGAAUGGUCUAAAUGGGGGCUGAGAGGCUUGAGGAUUUUGAGGAAUUUGUUGCAUUGGUGGAGCUGGAGCUGCUGGUCCAUUCUGUUGGAAUCCUUGAGACCAUGAAAAAUUGGGGUGGUCUCUCCAUCCAGGGUUAUAUGUGUUGGAGUAUGGGUUGUAAUUAGAUGGCUUUCUCAUUACACCUAUGGCAUUGGCUUGAUCUGGAUAUGAGUCAGGGUCAUGUGAUUCUGUUGAUUUAGCAGUCGAUAACGAUGCUAUUUGUCGAGCAAGACCUUCAACCAUCUCCUUGACUUCUUUGAUUCCCGAAGUUGACUCGCCAAUGUGAACCUCAUUCACUCCUUUAAUUCUUCUAGUAUUCCUGAGUGAUCGACUCCGUUGUUGGGAAUUAUCCGCUUGUCGCUGGAAGAAUUCCCAAAUCUCUGAUGCACUUUUUGACAUUAGCUCUCCUCCACUUGUUGCCAUUAGCCAUUCUUGCACAUUCGGCAAUAAUCCCUCCAAAAAGUAUUGGCAUUGGUGCCAUUUUUCGUACCCAUGAUGUGGACACUUCAAGAGCAGCCCAUUGAAUCGCUCCCACGUUUCGAAAAAUUGCUCGUCAUCUCUUUGGGUAAACUCUGAAAUUUCCCUGCGAAUAGCAUUUGUUUUAUGCACUGGGAAAUAUUUAUUCAAAAAUUUCGUUACCAUUUGUUCCCAUGAUGAAAUGCUAUUGGCAGGCAAUGUAUUAAGCCAUGAACGAGCUCUAUCCUUUAAAGAAAAUGGGAAUAAUCUGAGUUUAACAUCAUCGUCUGAAAAAUUCUCAUAUUUAAAAGUUUGACAAAUGGCAUGAAAAUCAUUCAGAUGAUUAUAUGAGUCCUCAUUUUCUAAGCCAUAAAAUGUGGGGAGACAAUUUAGCACACUAGGUUUUAAUUCAAAACUCCUAGCAGCUACAUUUGGGUAUCUUAUGCAUGAUGUGCUCAAAUUAGCUAAGGGACUAAAAUAGUCCUUAAAUGGCCUCUCCUGUGGUGCUUGUAAAUCCAUUCCAAAUUUAUUUUUAAUGUGCUUUUGUGUGCGAAGUGUUUUUUCUAAUUCAAGGUCUAUAGGUUCAAGAUUAGGUAAUAAUGACCUACGACCAUGCAUGCAAAACAAAUAAAAUAAAAAUAAAGAUGGGAACAAAACAAAUAAAAAUAAAGAAGAGGGAGAAAUUACGAUACUAACCUUAUUGCGCUAUUACAACCUUUCUAUAAAAAUACACAAAAACAAAUACGUGAAAUAAAUUAACUAAAAAUUAAAUUAAUAAGAUAAAGAAAAAAAAUUAUAAAGAAAAAUAAAUUGAAAAUUAAAUUACAGAAUUUUAAAGAAGAGAAAAAGAAAAGAAAUACUAACCUUUAAAUGUAGAUUAACUUUUUUAUUUCUUUUUUAUUUUUUUUUAAAGAACAAAAAAAAAAAACAAGAAAACAAUUAAAUGAAAUUAUUCACAAAAAUUAAAUCUAUGAAUUAAAAUUACUUACCUCCCCGGCAACGGCGCCAAAAACUUGUUGUGCAAAUUUUAAUGUACUCGCAAGCGCACGAAUCUAUUGUAGUAUAGACUAAUGGUGACGAGUGUCGAUCCCACGAGGAGGUGGAUUUUUAAUUAUAUAUAGAAUUAAUUUUGUAAAUGGGUGGUUGGAAUUGUGGUGGAAGUGAUUUAAAAUAUGCUAAAAUUGGAAUUGUAAUGGCGAGAAUAAAUUGUAGAGAAAAUCGAUUAAAUUGACGUACUUGGGUAUUUGGAUCCGUAUCAACAUGCAUCAUGGGCUAAAUAAUCCGUAUUAAUGCCAAUUAAAUCAUGAGGGGGGAAUCCACACCUCAUGAACCACGCUCUAAUCAAUAUGGUGCUAAGGGCUUAUCGUGCCAAAUAAUAAUAAUCUUAUACUAGAGAGCCUGUGUAACCAAAGCGGUAUCUAGACAAGAUCAGUAUUAUUUGUCGACGAUAAGUCAAAUCAUCCACAAAAACUAGAGGGGAAAAGAAAAUACAUUUACCAAAUAAAGCCCAUGACACAUGUUGAGACUUCACCUUCAACCCAAGCUUGAAAGAAAAUUAGCCACUCAUAAUUGAACUAGGGGCAAAAUGGGAAUUUAUUAAAAUACAAAGAAAAUACAAGAUGGAGAAGGAAUUACAGAAAAUGGAUCCCAAAAAUGGAUUCAGAGAUAUCAAAUUAGGGGGGGGAGGCCCCCUUUUUAUAGAUACAUGGAGUAAAUCAUGGCCAUCGGAUUAAAAACAGUUUGGACGCUCAGGAUUGCGCCACGUCAUCAGUCAACAGUCAACAGUCCACGGUUUGACCACGUGGAUGAACAGUAACACGGUUUGACCCGGAUGAACAGUAACACGAUUUGGUUGAAAAUAAUCCUGUGUGAUGCAUGCACCGUACGCGAGAUUUUUCGUCCACUGAUAUGCUGCCACGUCACCAUCAACAGUACAUAAGAGUUUUAGUCCAACAGGAUCGUGACACCUCAUCAGUCAAUGCCACAUCAUCGGUCAAUGCCACGUCAUCGUCCGUCUAUGUGAACAGUAUCAUGAACAGUAACGUAUACAAUACCGUACACGUGAAUAGUACCGUACAUGUGAAUAGUGCCAUUUUUCCUUUUAUGCCCCUCCUAAGGUUUUCGACCGUCCUGAGUUCAAAAGUGAUGUCCGUUUUGCCGUCUGAUCUCUCCUUUAUUGUGAAAUGACUAUAAUGCCCCUAAAAUACAUAAAAUACUUAAUUAAAAUAACACACACGUAAUUACAUCACAAGAAGGUUAAAUACAUAAAAGUAAGGGUUGUUAGUAAGACUUGAAAUGUAAAAUGACGGUUUUCUCCUUUAUAAAUAUGCAUUUUCUAACACUCAACAAUUACUUAUUUCGGUUAGAGCAAAGAGAGCAAAAAGAUAAUGUAGUGGUUUCAAUUAUUGAAGAAUUUUCUAAUGAAAAGUUACUAGUUCUUUAAAAUUUUGAAUGUAUAAUUUUCUAAUAAAAAGUUACUGGUUCUUUAAACUUUUGAAUGUAGAAUUUUCUAAUGAAAAGUUUCUGGUUCUUUAAACUUUUGAAUGUAGUGGUUUCAAUUAUCGAAGAAUUUUCUAAUGAAAAGUUACUGGUUCUUUAAACUUUUGAUGCACCAUGGUAUGCAAAUUUUGUAAACUAUUUGGUGAGCAUCAUUGUUCCUUUUAAUUUAUCAUAUCAACAGAGGCAAAAAGUCCUCUCAUAUGCCAAAUCUUAUUUUUGGGAAGAUCCAUUCUUAUAUAAGUAUUGUUUAAACCAAAUCAUUCAAUGAUGAGUUCUAGAAGAAGAGAUGAGAUGCAUUCUAUAGCACUGUCACUCCUAUGAGGUUGGUGGACACUUUGGUGUAUCCAGAACUUCAGCAAAGGUGCUUCAAUCAAGUUUUUAUUGGCCCAUCUUAUUUAAAGAUGCUUACAUUUUUGUUGCUACUUGUGACUAAUGUCGAAGAACUGGUAACAUUUCAAGGAAGAAUAAAAUGUCGUUAAAUAAUAUUCUUGUAGUAGAAUUGUUUGAUGUUUAGGGAAUCGACUUCAUGUGUCCAUUUCCAUCUUUCUUCAAGAAUAAAUAUAUUCUAGUGGCUGUUGAUUAUAUUUAUAAGUGGGUCGAAGCUGUUGCUUUGCCUUCAAAUGAUGCGAGGGUCGUUGUGAAUUUUUUAAAGAAAAAUAUUUUCUCACAAUUUGGCACUUCAAAAGCCACUAUAAGUGAUGGUGGGAAAUAUUUUUGCAAUUGGCAAAGCCCUCUUAAACAAAUAGGGAGUUACACGUCGAGUUGCCACUCCUUACCAUCCACAAACCAGUGGCCAAGUUGAAGCCUCUAAUCGGGAAUUAAAGAGAAUUUUGGAGAAAACUGUAAAUGUGUCAUAGAAUAAUUGGUCGAAAAAAACUAGACGAUACACUUUAGAUUUAUCAAACAACUUUGAAAACACCUAUUGUUAUGUCUCCUUAUCAUCUAGUAUUUGGAAAAGCAUGCCAUCUGGCUGUUGAACUUAAGCAUAGGGCAUAUUGGGCUAUGAAGAUUUUGAACUUUGACAUGCAAGCUGCAGGAGAGAAGAGAUUGUUGCAACUUAAUGAAAUAGAUGAAUUUCUCAAUGCAACUUAUGAGAAUGCUCAAAUCUGUAAAGCCUGUACUAAAAAUUUGCAUGACAAACAUAUCCUCUGACGUCAAUUUUAGGUUGGUCAAAAGGUUUUAUUAUAUAAUUCUUGACAUUGAUUCUUCCUAGGCAAGUUGUGAUCAUUUUGGUUGGGCCCUUUUACAAUAACACAAGUCUUUCCGUCUGGCGUGGGAGAAAUUUCUCAUUAGGGAUGGCAAAAAUCCCCACGGGGACGGGUACUCUCGGGGAUUUUCUCCAUUCGGUGAGGGUAUGAGGAUAAUUUCAUACCCAAUUUCUUAUUUGGGGAAGGGACGGAGAAAUUUUUUUACCCAAUUUCUUAUUCGGGGAGGGGACGGGGAUGAGGUAAAAUCCCCAUCCCCUACCCAUUUCCCCAUUUUAAUUUUUAAUUUAAUUUUUAUUUUUUAAAAUUACUAGUAAAUAAAUAAUAAAAUUUGAAUUAUAAAAUUAUAAGUAUUGGUAAAAAUAAAAAAUAUCAAAAUAUUUAUAUUAUUAAAAUUUUAUGCCUAAUUAACUAAUUAAAGUCCUAAAUUUUUAUUUAAGACAUUAAAAAGACCAGACAGAUUCUAUUAGCCCAAAACUUUUGUUUUAAUUUUAAUAUUCAUUAAAUAUUUUAAACUUAAAUCUAUUUUUUAUUUAUCUUAAAUCUAUUUUUUAUUUAUUUUUAGAUGUUAUAAUUGCCCACAGCAAAUCACAAUUUUAAUAUAUAAUUUAAUCUAAUAUUUGCUCUUGAUUUGCUUCGACUUAACUAUUGUGCUGUAAAGGGAAUAAUCCACAUUUAUAAAGUGUCCACGCCACCAUUGAAAAGUUAAUUUAGAAUCUAAAUUUGAUUUUAUUUGUAACAAUUUUGUAUUAGGCUAUUAAUUUGUUCAUGAUAGUUUGUAUCCCUUGCAUGCUGCAUUACUUACUAAUUUAAUGUAUGUGACUUUUGUAAUGGAUAUUAAUGUAAGAUAUAUUUCGAACUUUACUUUUAUUUGAAUUUUUUAUUUUAAUAUGAUUAACUCAAAAUCGAAAACAAAAAAAAUGUAUUAGUUAUUCGAGGAUCGGGGACCCUCAGGGAUCCCUUGUUAUUAUUCGGGGAGAGGAUGAAAAUUCUCUUAAAUAAUUUUGACGGGGAUGGGGAGGGGACGGGGACAUACGCAAAAUAUCGGGGAUGGGUAUGGGGAGAUUGGUCCCCUCCCCUCCCCUCCCCAUUGCCAUCCCUAUUUCUCAUGAUACAAACAGGUCAACGGUCAUUGAUUGAAACCCUUUUGGAUGAUUCAUUUGAUAAACACAAGAUAGCUAUUGGGCUGUCUAAUCCUGAAUGACGACCAAAGACAGUCAAGCUAAUGACUAUAAAUUAAGCGCUUCUUAGGAGGCAACCCAAGCUUUCAAAACUUCACUUAUUAUUAUUUUUAUUUUGUAUUUUCAUUUUUCCUUAUUUCAUUUGUUAUUCUUUUCUUUUACUUAUUUUAUUUUAUCUAGGUUUCUGCAUAAGUUUGAGGGUCGACGAUCAUCAACUUUGCACAUGCCUUUCAACGACUCAACUACAAGUUCACAUCUUCAAGUGAAAAACUAGGGAGUUUCUCUUUCCUUUUCUAUCUAUUUACAUUAAGGACAAUGUUGAUUUUAAGUUUGAGGGUGGGAAUAUUUGCUUUCAUUUAAAAAUAAAUAAAUAAAUAAAUAAAAUUUUGUGUUGUUUGUAUGUUGUUUUUAUGCCAAUGAUGAGUAUAUGGUUGAAAAUGAAUAUGGUUCUCAGAAACGGAUGAAUAUUGUCUUAGUUUAUAAUUGAUUCUUGUAUUAAUUUCUCUUGAUUGUGAUUAUUUAAAUAUCUGGAACACUUAUAUUGAUUCUUUCAGAUUGUUUACCUCGAUUCUACAUUACUUGUGGUUACCCUGGCACCACAGUCAGAAAUAAUUACUUAUAACCCUUAAGAGUGAAGCUAUCCUUUAAUAAUUUGGGCCUAUGUACCAUCAACAUGUAAAGGAUAAUCUAUCAUGAAAAGAAGGCUACCUUAUGGGGUAGAGGUAAAAGCUCCUUACUAUAUAUAUAAGAAAAGCAAAAGCAUGUGCUUUACGAGAAAUCCCAAGAAAAUACAAAUUUAGGCAUGUGCAUUUUUAUUUUUUAUUUUUAAAAAAUCAAGAUGAUGAGGUUAGUUUGACCUACUUUGUUUAUUAUUUGAUACAAGGGCUGUUGAUAUUGAAAAUUUUUAGAAUGAGUUUUGAUUGAAUCAAUUUACACACAACAAAAGAAUCCAAUGUGGGAUGAGGCUGACUAUUGAAUUAAAGUUAGAGCUUUGCCGAUAUUUAUAAUUUUCUUUGAGCUAUAUACUUUAUGCAAUCUCUGAGACAUUUUUGAUGAUGUUUAUGGGUACCAUUGCUGAAAACCCUCAUGAGACUUUAACUCGUCCACUAGAGCAGCCUAGGGGUUUAAAAGUUUGUUGCAUAUGCUAAAUGCAAUCGUGAUCACCAGCAAAAGUGGUUCAAUUAGGAUUUUCUUCUCGUAGUUUCCGUUUUAGUUUUUACUCGAGAACUAGCAAAAUGUUAAGUUUGGGGGUAUUUGAUGUGCUAAUAAUUUAUAUAUUAAUUUAAUGUUUCCCUAACUUAAUUUCAUGUCAAAUUAUAUUCUAUUAUGUUAAUUUUUUUCUUAAUUUUUAUAUUUUGUUAUUUUAAGUAUAAUAUGGGAUUAAAGAAGAAUUGAAUUAGAAUAUUCAGGAAAAAAAUCUGCUUGAAAGAAUUAGAAAGGGAAAGAAAUAAAGAAAUUCAAUUUAAACAAAUCAAGCAAGAUUUACCAUCAUGCAUGCAAUCGCGCGCCGGGCGGGGGGGAGGGGGUUGGGGGAUGGUGGGGGUUGUGGAGAUUGAAGAUUUAGUUGACAAAUAUGGCAUGCACGUGAACUUGGGUUCUUGAAUUUGCAAUAUGAUGACGUAAGAAUUUAAAAGCGGUUUGGCUUACUUUCAUGAGUUUGUUUUUUAAUCCUUUUGGGUUAAUGAUUUUAAGGCCAUCGAUUGAGUAUUAUACAAAGAAGAAAACAGGGCAAAAGCCAAAGCAGGCGCAAAAACAAAUCAAGGAGAAGCAGUUACAAGGCAUCCAAAGAGAAGCCGGAUUAAUUCUUGGGUUUUUCUUUUCCUCUUUUCUAUUGUUGUACUUGAAUGUUUCUUAAAAUAUUUAUGAAUUCUUUUAUAUUUCUAUAAACUAAUUUAUUUCGAUGGGGCUACGAUGUAGCCUAAUUAUGAAAAUUUAAUUUCAUAAAUUCAUGUUACUUUUAAUUUAUUAUUUCAUAAUUGAGUGCUCAUUAUUGUGCUUAACACUUUUAAAUAUCUGGCUAAUAUUUGAAUGAUUUGAGGAUACGUAAUGAAACCAAGAGGAGAUUUAUAUAUUUUUGCUCUAUGUAAUGAAUGCCGUGAAUUGAAUGAAAGACAAACAUGGUCUGGUUGCAAGCCGACAAAUCAACUCGACUAGAUUCAUCAUCAACAAUAUUUAUUAAUUUGAGCUUGAAUAAACUAUUAUUAAUUUCCUACUUUUCCAAUUCUCAGAUAAACUGGAAAUCGAGCAACCUUUUUACUCUGGCCAUCUGAAUUCCAAGCAACUUUAAACUUCUCCAUCAUAUUGUCUGUCAAAAGCUCAACACCCCUGUUCUUAGCCGUCUGAUAACCUGAACUUGACCGUAUGAACGUUAAGUAAUCAUCUAAAUCCAUCAACUUCUCUAAAACAAACUGAUCAAACGGCCCCGUAUUAUCCACCCCAUCUACAGGCUCAAAUGGAAAAUCAAUGCUCAUGUACUUGUUCUCCACCAAUUUAUGUUGUGGUUCCCGAAAUGGCUCAUAAUCAACGGAGUGAAAUGACUUGAAAACUGCAUCUACGGACUCGUUGAUUUCGGGCCAGUAGUAGGUCCAUGCCGCUAUUACUCCAUUAGGUUUUUUGAGUACCCAUUUUACUUGUUUGUAAAAUUGAGGCAAGUCAAACCAAUGUAGUGCUGUAGCAAUUGUCACUAGAUCUACACUUGAUUGUGUUGCCACAUUUUGUUCAAGCUCAGUUAUGGACAUGGUUGGAGUAGUAAGUUGAUACCGAAUGUUGGGGAGCUUUAUUGCGAAUUCUAGCUGCUUUGGGCUUGUGUCUGUAGCAAUGACAUUCUUGUAGAUUGGUGCAAGCUGAAGACAUAAUUGAGAAAAAAUAUAAAAUAUAGGAGGCUAUAACAAAAGUACACAAAAUUGAGAAGGCCAUAUAUAAAAAUUACAUAGACAUGGUGAAAUUUCAACCCAUACUCAGUUUUUGUGUUUUUUUUUUUUUCAUCCUCAAGGUUGCCGGGAUACUCUAGUUCCCCCCUCGGUAGUUAGAUAAGAUUUUUCUGUACUAGUCUCACGACUAAAUUUCCAGAUAAUGUGGAUAUUGAUUUGUAGAUAAUACAUACAUAAUUAAUCAAUGAAAAUAAUAGGGAUUAACUAGGGAUUGGCAAUGGGAGGAGAUCGACAUUCCUGUAUCUAUUUCUGAUACUCUACUUAUAUCCUUGUACUCUCCCCGUCCUUUUUAAAAUUGCUUGAGGAUAGGGAUGGGGAUAUCCAAAGACACCCGAUCCCGAACAACUGAUUUUUGAACUUGAUUUAAUCAUAUUAAAGUAAAAAAAUAAAUCAUUUAACAACACAAACACGUCAAAACAAACUAAAAUCAUUAAAAUCAUUUUCAUCAAACUAAUUAAGUUAAUGUCAUCAAAAUUACAAGAUAAUCGAUGAAAUUAAGUAAAAAUAGAACUUCAGGGUUGAACACAUACAUAAAAGUCACAUGGUAUAAACCAUUAAGAAAAUUAUCUUCGUCAAUCUUCAAGUGUUCAUAUCUAUUAUGAUAUUUUUUUUAUUUAUAUCCAUACCAUCACAAUUUAAAUUUUAAAUAUAAUUACUAAAAAUUUUGACAGAAAUAAAUUAAAAUAAAAAAUGGGGAAAUGAGAGAGAUGAGGAAUUCACUGAAUCCUCAUCUUCUCCCUGUAUAAGAUAUUGAGUGUUAAGUUAUCUCUGUUCGUUCCCCGAAUUUUAAUUAAGAUAUAAAAUUGUUCCCACACCCUACACAAAUGGGAAAAAUCCUUCAAGACUAUCCCAUGAGAAUUUCUGCUAUCCCUGAAUUUAACAGUUAUAUAAUUCAACUUUCUUAUAGCUUGGGAUCAGAAUUCUGAAAUAUUAAUAUGGAACUUUUGUAUUAUUCAAAAAUUAAAUCUAAAGAUGUGAAAAGUAAACUUACGGAUGCAGCGGCCUGGCCGCUUCCGGUGCCGACGUCCCAUACAAGCUCGUGUUUGGGUGUUUUAGAGGCAAUGAAUUUGAACAAUUCUUCUGGAUAAUUUGGUCGUGCUUCCGCGUAUUGCUUUGCCUGCUUAACGAACAUAUCUGCCAUCUUUUCUGUUUUUUUCUAAAUAAGUGUUGACAAUAGAAUUGAGAUAAAUCUACUGAUCACUUGUUUCGCUUCUUCUUUAUAUAGGUUUUAGAAUUUGAUGUAGUAGACGAACAGACAAAUUUUAGUUAGAAAUUAAUUUGGUAUGGUUUAUCUGGGGAAGCCCAGAACGAGGACAAGCUCAUAAAGCGUUAAAUUUUGACCGAACUUUUCAUUCUUCCUUUAAUUUUCAAAGAUUCCCUUUUCUUCGCAAAGAUGAUGGUAUGGACUUCAUCAAUGAGUCCACAUCAACUCCACUUAGAGAAUUUUUUUGGGAUAAUUUUGUCAUUAAUUUAAGCUGUUAAAGGUAUCUAAAGAAGUAUUGAACUACUACUUUGCUCUCUUAUGGGGUUAAGAUGGCGGAGUUUAAAGGCAGAUUCACCUCAUGACCAUUAGGAGUUCAAGCUUCCAAUGGAGAAAAUAAUUUUAAAAAAAAGUAAUGAGAUAAUUGUUUGAAUUGUUAAUUAGAACUAUUAAAUUUAUUAAAAUAAUCGUGCUAAAUUUAUAAAAAUAGGUCCAUAAAUUCAUAAACCUAUAAAAUUUAAAUUUUGACUUUGAAACAUAUAAAAGCUCAUGCUUUAAUUAAAAAAAUAAAUGUUCACAGUAGUUAAAUUUAUUAUUAUUUAAUUUAGCCCUAUUAAAUUUACUAAAGUAACCUCUACAAACUCAUUAAUCUAUAAAAUUUUAGUAUUGAUUACAUUUUGUUAUUAUGUAAUUUAAUCCUCUGAAUUCGCUACCAUUUGGAAUUGGCUCUCUAUUAUUACUCGAUCUAGUCCAAGUUCAAUCAAAGUUGGCUCUCUAUUAUUACUUGUUCUAGUCCAAGUUCAAUCAAAGUUGGCUGUCUAUCAUUGACAGUUCUCGUUCAGGUUCAAUGAAAGAGAUCAAAGCAGAGUUUGUUUGCGAUUCAGUUUGUGUAAAUGCAUGUAGGUCCAGGUUGUCUUAUUUUGUGGUCCACUGGUGUAAAGAAUUUAAAAAGUAAUUGGAUAAGAGGAUGCGUCUUGGAUGAUGAAAUGAAGCAAUAACACAUCUUCAUGUGCAGUUUUUACGACGUGCACUCGGUAUGAUUAUGAAUAGUGAUAUAUGCAUAGAAAAUAAUACAAAAUUUAAUAAAAAUUAUAUAAAAAUAAAAAAUUAUUAUCCUGUGGUGUAUUUUUUAUCCUGUAAUUAAUUUUGUUUGUCUUUUAAUAUUGUGUGCUUUUAUAUUAUUUUUUGUACACGUGUCAUUCAUUGUUUCACUACUAUUACCAUGCUCCUAAAAACCUUACUUUUUUUUUUUUUCGGAAGAUGCCGCAUUUGCUUGAUUUCAACAUUGGCAUGCUCGUCCUUCUUACGCUUUUGUCUUUCAAUAAUCAUCAUAUUCAAUGGCAAAAUUUCAACAAGAUAGAGCAAACAUUCAACAAAGAUAAGUCUUCUUAUUGGAUUAGGCAUAGAUUUUUAUUUAAUUUGUUAUGGAAGUUGGUGGCUAUCCACUAUCAGCUUAGAUCAAUUUAACUAGCUAUACUUAAUUAGCUAAGUUAUUUGGGUGAGCAAAGUCAGUUAGUAGUAAAGCUCGGAAAAUCACCUAAGAAAAAUUGAAACAGGACCAUCAAAUUUACACAGUUUGCUUUGAUUGGCCAUUCAACAAAGCAUCUGAAGAGAUUGGAUGGCUAAAGAGCUAAGGCUUGGCUUUGUUUUGAUUGGCUAAUGGAUCCUAUAAAUAGAGAGCACUGCUCUUCGUGAUUUGUAUCCUAAAUUGAAACCUCAUCAAUUACAAAAAUAUCACCUUCCUUUGUAUCAUGUAUUUAUUAAUUUAUACUUUCUACAUAUAUGUUGUCAAUGAUUAUAACACGUUAUUAGUUAGCAUGACAAUCAUUUUGGUACAGGAAGUAUCUUAUCCCGUGCUCUUUUAUUUUAUCUAUUUAAUUAAUAAAGCUAUCUUUAUAAAUAUACUCUGAAGUUGUCAUUAAUUUGGAUCUUCCACAUAAAAAAAAAAAAGACUAGCUAUUGUAUUUCUUCUUGUUUAUUUUAUUUAUUUUUUAUAAUAGAGGGGCUCUACAACGAGCUAAGGUAAAACAUAUCGGGAGUAAGUAAUCCCAUACAAAUCAUUUGCAAUAAAACUAACAACCCCUGGAGGAGGAAUAGAAAAAAGAUGCAAUCCCAAGGGCAGCUCCAAGGCAUAAUUUGUUAGGAAGUCCGCUGCGAAAUUUGGUUCACGAUAUAUGUGGUUGAUGGUUAUAACCCAAUUUCGCUUGAUGAGAUCUCUAAUGGAGCGGAUGAGGUGGGUAUACUCGUUGAUGCUCUCCAUGUGGCUGUUAACCAUCAGAACAACACAGUGGCUAUCCACUUCCACGUGUAAAAACCAAGCACCAUGUUGCCAUGUUAAAAUUAAUCCUUGGUAAAGGCCCCAAAGUUCUGCUGCAAUAACUGAACAGACGCCUAUGUUGAAGCCAAAGCCAGUGAGCCACAUGCCUUGGUGGUUGUGUAUGAGACCUCCAGCACUUGAUGCCCCCAACUCUUUUCUUGCUCCGUCUGUGUUUAGCUUGCACCAGGGCCAGUUAGGUAACUUCCAGGUGAUCAAUCUCUCAAUUUCUCUUGAUCUCAACAACCAAAGAUGAGUUGUUGAUGUUCUGAAUCUCCUCAACUCUAGCUUUAAUAUCUUGUAUUAUACUAAUACUGUCCAUAUUUUGUUGGUGGAAUAGGAACUGAUUCCCCCAGAACCACAAACUCCAAAUAGUAACUCCAAAGUAAAUAUUCCAUUCAAUACUCGAGUCCAUUUGCCCUUUGCUUAGUAAAUUCUGACACAUCCAUUCUUUUAGAUCAAUCGUGAAAAACCAAGGACGAAAGCUCCUAGGAAUUAAGCGAUUUCAGACCGUUUUCGCGACCACACAGUCUCAAAUCACAUGUAUGGUAUUCUCAAGAGUUGAGCCACAUCGAUCACACCACUCGUCCACCAGCAAAUGACGCCUUGACAAUUCAAACCUUGUUUUUCGUUUAUCAUGCAACACCAACCAGAUGACAAAAUGAAUGCUCUGGGGGCCUUUCCAACUCCAUGCAAGACUCCAUAGCUUCUCCUCGUCGCUUAAAAUGGUCUUUGAUAGAGCAUGGUAAGCUGACUUCACGAUAAAACACCCCUUUGCUGAUUCAGCCCAGAAAACUUGGUCUGCACCAUCAUCUGCCAAAGGAGGCUUAUAGGAAGCAAUCCUCAAAAGGAUAUUAUGUGGUAAUAAGAAACUAAAACUCUCCCACAACCAAUUUCCAGCAUUGUCAACAAAGUCCACUACUUUCCUAUGUACUAAAUGGUCUGGAACUGGAGCAAUCUCAUAAUUAAUCAGGGGUUGAUUUUUAGUCACCCAACAAUCCCACCAGAAACGAACCGUUUUACCAUUCCCAACAUUCCACCGAAUCCCCCUCUUAACAGCAUGCCAAAUUUUCCCAAUAGACUUCCAAAGGUAAGAACCAUAUCUGGUUGGCAACUCAUAUGGAAAAUUUUUUGGGUUCACUCCAUAUUUCAUAAGCAGCACUUGAGACCACAGACGUUUUGGAUUGACAGUAAGGUUUCAGCCCACUUUCAUCAACAAAGCUUGAUUCAUUAUGUCCAUGUUCUUAAAACCCAAGCCGCCACAACUUUUUGGACGACAAAUCAUCCCCCAACUAACAAGGCUCAUCUUCCUUUGAUUAUUAGCAUCGCUCCACAUAAAUUUCCUGCAAGCUUGGUCAAUUUUACUUUUAACACUAGCCGGCAAAUUCGUAGUUUGCAUUGCAUAGAUCGGAAUAGUCUUCAGCACUGACUGGACAAGAGUGGCUCUUUCUGCUAAAGAUAAAUGAUUGGCAUUCCACCCAGAGAGGCGUUACUCAACCUUGUCAAUAAUGCUCUGAUAAGUCCGCUUUGAGACUCUAAAAUGUAGGAGAUGCAUUCCAAGAUAAGUUCCCAGAUCUUUUAUUACUGAAAACCCAAGAAAUUCACCUAUUUGUUUAGCCUCAUUUGCUUUAACAUUCUUGGAGAAAAAAAAUUUAAGUUUUAUCCUUGCUGACCUUGGCACCUGAGCUUGCACAGAAAGCAUCAAGGAAACACCAAAUAAAUCUAGCUUGAUCACAAGUUGCCUCAGCAAGUGGGAGAAGAUCAUCAGAAAAAAAAAAGAUGGGUGAUAGGGGUCCCAUUUUGAACUAGGCGCAUUGGUCUCCGAUCUCCCAUAUUUACAGCGUGAGCAAUGCCAUGGUUGAGUCUCUCAAUGCACAAAAAAAAUAUAUAUGGGGAAAUAUGAUUCCUCUACCUAAUUCCCCUAGAUGGCACAAAAUUCUCGGUUAUCUCCCCCUCUCAUAAAACAUUCAUCUAAACUUGAGUAAUACAAUCUAUGAUUAGUUGAACUAAGUCAGAAGGAAUUACAGCCUCUAGGAGAGUGUCAUGGAUGAAACUCCAAGUGAGCUUGUCAUAGGCCUUUUCUAAGUCCACUUUAAUUGUCAUUUGCCCUCUCCUACCAGUUUUCCGCCGCAUGGAGUGAAUCACCUCUUGAGUAAUAACAAUAUUCUCGGUUAUAUGACGUUCUGGGAAAAAACUUAUUUGUUGAGGACCAACAAAAUGAGGUAGGAUCAUUUUUAGCUUGUUGGCAAUCAUCUUGGUGAUUGUCUUAUAAACUAAUGUACAUAAGCUAAUGGGGCGAUACAUUUUUAAAGUCUGAGGAUGAUCAUUCUUAGGAAUCAGAACUAAUAGUGUCCUAUUAAUCUCUGGGGGAACUUUGCCUUGACUGAAAAUGCUCUUAAUAAAACGACAAAAGGAAGGCCGAACCACCCCCCACUGAGACUAGUAAAAAAUGGCAUGCAAACCAUCAAUCCUUAGGGCUUUUAAGGGCUUCAUACUAAAAAUAGUGUUUUUAAUCUCAGCUUCAUCUAAAGGCCCUUGUAAGAAAGACAAAUUUUCUGCAUCUAUCACUGGAAAAUAGCCCCAGAUAUGGUAUUGCUGAGACGGGAUGUUAUCCUCAAAGUAUAACUUGGAAAAAAAAAGUUGUACAGUAUGGCAUUUGAUAUCUUCAACUUCAUACAACCAUUUCACAUUCUCAUCUUUAAUAGCCAUGAUCUUGUUUCUCCUUCUUCUAGUUAGUGUCUUAUAGUGAAAGAAAGUUGUGUUUCUAUCGCCGUGCAUAAUCCAAUCUUUUCUAAACUUUUGCUUCCAAAGCAGCUCUUCUUGAGUAAGAACUGCUUCAAGUUCUCUUUUCAAUUUUAAUUCAAGCCGAAUGAGACCCUUUGUAGUAUAGUCCUCGAGAGCUUUUUUAAUACCACCAAUGCGAGCCAUAGGUCUUCUUUACCUUUAGAAGGUAUUACCAAAAGAAUUUAUGUUCCAGUGUGAGACAUUGCGAGUGAAAGAAAGGGCUGAUUAGAGGUAGGGUUCCAUAGGAUUCCAAUUCGAAGCAACAAAAUUAUCAAAAUCUUUGGUGUGAGCAGAGCCGCCAAGAAUCAAAAUGGUCUCUGUCCCUGACCCCGUCGCUCUUCUUUAUCAAAACGAACUGAUACCGGUCUAUGGACUGACUGAAUUUUCGGUAAAUGAAGCAUAGAGCUAUCUACAAAUUUAUUUAGUCAAUCCUCAUUGCACAUUGCCCUAUCUAGCUGUUUGAAGAGAGCCCCACGAGACCAAGAGAAUCUAGGACCCGUGAACGGAAGGUCAUAUAAAUUGCUUGAUUGGAACCAGUUUAAAAAACUCUUACAAAUCCCACUUUUAUGUAAGGAGCCACCUUUCUUUUCCGAAGUAUAAAUGAUAGCGUUGAAAUCACCAACGAUGAGCCAAGGUCUGCGAGUGCUGUUGGCUAGUAUUCCAGGAUGACCAAAGGUUUUGUCUAUUAGUUUGAACAGGGCUUGCAUAAACAGCAGUCACCCAUGACAAAAAGCCACCAUUGUUAAACAAGUCUCUCCAAUGAAAAUGAAUGAAUUGCUUGUGAUUUAAAGACACUUCGACCUCCAACAAGUCUCUCCACAAAAGCCAGAUUCCCCUAGAGAAACAAAUUGCAUCCACCCUGUGGGACUUGACAAAACCACUUUUCUUGAUGAAACCAUCCGCUCUUAUCCCACUAAUUCUUGGUUCCAAUAGAACAACCAUGGUCGAUUAUAAGUCUUUGUCAGAGACACAAAAGCACUGUGAAAUUUUCGUGAGCUAGCCCCUUGGGCUUUCCAAAACAUUAUAGAAAUAAGCAUAAAAAAAAAGAUAAAGAUAAAAGGGAGAGAUAAGGAGCCUUACUCAACCAAGGUCUCAUCUUCUAGAGAAAUAUCAUCCUAUGAAGAAUCAGUACCCUUACCACUGUCUCCCAUAUAGUCACUGUCAUCUUCAUCAUCAUCUAAAGUCAUCGUUCCUGCUGAUAAGAAUAUGUGUUGAUGAUGACAGUUUGAAUUAGUUAAGUUAGUUAUAGUGACGUGGCAGUCCAGUCAGCAAAUCAUUUGUUAGCUUGUUUAAGUUUGUUAUUCUGUUUCUUAGGAAGUUAACAAACACGUGAAAAUGAUGUAUGUGUUAAGAAGAUUCUGGGAAGCAGUAUAUAAACUUGUAAUCUCAUUCUGUUAGUGAGUUAAUAAAAACAAAUUCUCUUUAAUGAAUUUUCUCUCACUUUCACUUGAAUUUUCUCUGUAAACAAACACUCUAAAUCAGCUGAUCAAUUUCUAAUUUGGUAUCAGAGCCUUGAAUAAUUUCUAGUUCAUGGCUUCUUCAAGUCUGAGUACAAAUGUUUCUUCCGCAAUUUCAACAUUUACUUUCGCAACUCCACUCAAGCUUGACAGAUCAAAUUACACUAUAUGGAAGUCUCAGAUCCUCUCAGCCAUUCGAGCAAAUGAUCUGGAAGGAUUCCUUGAUGGAUCACGUACCUGUCCAAAUCAGCUACGGCCUGGUGAAUCAACAAGCACAGAGGCUGAAAUCAUCUCAGAAAAUUCUGCUUACACUGCUUGGAAAAGACAAGAUCAGAUGAUCCUGAGCUGGAUGAGCAUUGUGGUAAAUUCUAAAACCUCUCGAGAACUUUGGAUGAGUUUAGAGGAACAAUUUGGAUCUGAAACAAUAGCUAAGAAAGUGCAUUUAAAGAUGUUGCUAAAUAACCUUAAGAAAGGAUCCAUGACAAUCACUGAAUACUUUUGUAAACUAAGGUCAGUAACUAAUGAAUUAGCAAUGGCUGGAAGUCCAGUUAGUUCUCUUGACUUCGUUACACAUUUGAUCUCAGGUCUAGGACAGCCUUAUUAUCCUGUUGUGGUCUAUAUUGAGGCAAAUGUUCUUAAAAUGAGCAUCAAUGAAGCUUAUUCUAUGUUGCUAUCUCAUGAAGCUAGACUUGAGAGUAAUCAUUCGAGUGCAGCUAAGGAAACUAAGUUGAAUUUUACUGCUAAUAUGGCUCAAACUGGUAAUAAUCAGAAGAAGUCAGGAAAUAAUGCUAAUUGGAAUACCAACAACCAGGGAAAUUGGAAUGGAAAUUUUGUGAAUAGAAAUGGGAAUGGUAACUUUAACAAUAGAGGAGGUUAUGGAUCUGGCAGAGGUGGCUUUAUGGAACAAAACUCAGGGAGAGGCUGGUUUGGAAAUCAAGGAAGAGGAGGUGGUUCUAAUGGAAAUACUGGUGGAUAUAAUGGAAAUACUGGUGGAUUUGCUGGAAAUGGUGGUUUUAAUGGUGGAAAUCUGGGAUUCUCUGGUGGCUUUGGUAGAGGAGGUGGCAGAGGACACAUUACCUGCCAAAUUUGCUUUAAACCAAAUCAUUCAGCUGUUGAUUGUAAGAACAGAUUUAAUAGAAAUUUUAUUCCACAUUCACAAAUGCAGAAUCAAGGGCCGAGAGCUGCUUAUGUGACUACCUCAGAAGGAGUUGCUGACCAGGGGUGGUAUCUAGACAGUGGAGCCACUCAUCAUCUCACCAACAAUGUGCAAAAUCUGGUUGAAGGUAAUCCUUAUAAUGGCACUCAAUUAUUGUUUGUUGGAAAUGGUCAAGGUCUCACUAUCACACAUAUUGGCUGCACUUAUCUUUCCACUUCUUUUGGCACACAUUUAUCCUUAACCAGUACUUUGUGUGUUCCUAAAAUAACCAAAAACCUCAUCAGUAUAUCUAAGCUUCUUUUAGAUAAUAACAUAAUCAUUGAAUUUUGUUCCACCAUGUGCUUUAUUAAGGACAAGAAGGAGGGAACUUUGCUGGCACAGGGGAUUGUUGAAGGUGGUCUUUACAAGCUACUGUCACUUGAUGUCUCAUCGCUUUACUCUACAGCCUACAAUUCAAAUCUCUCUAAACCGAGUUCCAUGUUGUCAUUUUGUUUUGAUAAUAAAGUUGUAAACUCUCUACAAGAGUCAAACAAUCAUGUGUCAAAAUUGAAUAAUGAAGAUACUUCUGAAGCUUUUUCAUGUUCUGUCUCUGGAAAUUCUUCUAGAGUUGGAAAAAUAUCAGUUCAGUUGUUGUAUAAUAGAUAUGGUCAUCCAAAUAAACAUGCUUUGCAAACAAUUGUGAAAAAUCUUCCCUCACAUUGUCUCUCGAACCAAGUUAUUAGUUUUUGUGAUGCUUGUCAAUAUGGCAAAAUGCAUCAGCUUCAUUUUUCUAUUACUACUAUUAAAACAAAAGCCCCACUUGAACUCUUAUACACAGAUUUAUGGGGACCAGCCCCUGAAUUUUCAAUGAAUGGAUACAGAUAUUACAUCUCAUUUGUGGAUGAUUUUACACGUUAUUCUUGGAUCUUUCCUCUCACAGCAAAGUCAGAAGCCUUAGAAACCUUCAAACACUUCAAACUUCUUGUUGAAAAACAAUUUUCUUUACCUGUCAAAACAUUACAGUCAGAUAUGGGGGGUGAGUUUUUAGCCUUUAAAACCUUUCUUCAGCAAGAGGGUAUAUGUUUUAGGCAUAGCUGUCCAUACACACACCAUCAAAAUGGUGUUGUUGAGAGGAAACACAGGCACAUUGUUGAAACAGGCUUAACACUUCUAGCUCAAUCUCAGUUGCCUCUUUCUUUUUGGUGGGAAGCUUUUCAUACUGCCUCCUUUCUGAUCAAUACGAUGCCCACAUCAGUUCUAAACAAUCUAUCUCCAUUUCAGAAACUACACAAUCAACUACCUGACUACCAAUUUCCUAAAGUGUUUGGUUGCUCCUGUUUUCCAUUUCUCAGGCCUUAUAACCAGCAUAAACUCAACUUUCAUACCCAAAAAUGCAUCUUCAUUGGUUACAGUCCACUUCAUAAAGGUUAUAAGUGUUUAGAUCCCUCUGGUAAAGUGUUCAUUGCUAGGCAUGUUAUCUUCAAUGAAACUGAGUUUCCUUAUAAAGAUUUAUUUUCUAAACACUCAACCUCAAAAGUCUCAGAUGUUACUGGCUUAUCUUCACCAGUACAACUCCCUUUCCUUCAGAAUUCUGCUCGUGUUGACAGUAGCAAUGUAGUGUCACCAUCUACUAAUCUUCCUUCAGCAAUGUCUCCUUCAUCAAGUUCCAGCUCAAUACAGACCUCUUCUUUUUCCCUUCCUUCAGCUGAGCCAACUCACUCAUCUUCAUUACCAUCUUACCAUAUGAUUACCAGAGCUAAAGCUGGUAUUUUCAAACCCAAGUCCUAUCUAGCAGCUACUGCAGAUCUUAAACCAGCUAGUGUUAAAAGUGCCUUGCAAGACCCCAAGUGGUUUCCUGCUAUGAAGGAGGAAUUUGAUGCCCUUCAACGAAAUCAAACCUGGACUUUGGUACCCUCUGAAAGUGCUGCUAGAGUAGUUGGCAACAAAUGGGUAUAUAGGGUAAAAUAUAAUCCUGAUGGGAGCAUUUCUAAGUACAAAGCCAGGUUGGUUGCCAAGGGUUACCAUCAAACUCAAGGGGUGGAUUUCUUUGAAACCUUCAGCCCAGUUGUGAAACCUUGCACAGUCAGGGUUGUUUUAAGUCUAGCAGUGAUGCAUCAUUGGCAGAUUCGGCAGCUGGAUGUCAAUAAUGCUUUUCUAAAUGGUGUGCUAGAAGAAGAUGUGUUCAUGCAUCAGCCACAAGGUUUUAUAGACUCUGCACAUCCAUCUUAUGUUUGCAAAUUAAACAAAGCAUUAUAUGGACUCAAACAAGCUCCUAGAGCUUGGUAUGAGAGGUUAAAAAGUUCCUUACUCAAUAAGGGAUUUCAAUCUUCAAAGUCUGACACCUCUUUGUUCCUUCAACAUUUUGGGCAUGAUAUUGUGCUCAUUCUUAUAUAUGUUGAUGACAUUUUAGUCACUGGUUCUAAUUCUCACCAUAUUGGGGCUGUCAUUCAAUACCUCCAUUCUGAAUUUGCUCUUAAGGAUUUGGGAGAGUUUAACUACUUUCUUGGCAUUGAAGUGACACCUUCAGUUCAGGGGUUGCAUCUAUCUCAAACCAAAUACAUUGGUGAUAUCCUUAGCAAAGCUAAUAUGCUUGAUAGCAAAGGUUUUAACACUCCUAUGAGUCCAGGUGAUAAGCUUAAAAAGAACAGUGGUGCAGCUUUUGAUAAUCCUUCAUUGUACAGAAGUAUUGUGGGUUCUCUUCAAUAUGUGUUGUUGACAAGGCCUAACAUAGCUUAUCCUGUCAACAAGCUCAGUUAAUUUCUGGCUCAUCCAACCAUUUCUCACUGGCAAGCUUGUAAAAGGGUUCUUCGAUAUCUACAAUCCACUUCACACUUUGGCAUUCAGUUUUUCAAUUCAAGUUUUGAGACUUUAACAACAUUUUCUGAUGCUGAUUGGGCAGCAGAUCCAGAUGAUCGGAAGUCCACUGGAGGGUAUUGUGUAUUCUUAGGCUCCAACAUUAUUUCUUGGUCCUCUAAGAAACAAACAAUUGUUUCCCGUUCCUCAGCAGAGUCUGAAUAUCGAGCUCUUGCUUCAGCAACCUCUGAAAUUCUUUGGCUCACUUAUUUGCUUCAAGAACUGAGGAUUCAACUAGAUCACAGUUCUGUUCUGUAUUGUGAUAAUCAAAGUGCUGAGGCCUUAGCUAGCAAUCCCAAGUAUCACUCUCGUACAAAGCACAUUGAGUUGGAUCUUCAUUUCAUCAGAGAGCACGUUGCAAAGAAACAACUCACUGUCAGUCAUGUUUCUAGCUCAGAACAAGUUGCAGACAUUCUCACCAAGCCCCUCUCUUUUGAUCAGUUUGCUUAUCUUCGUACCAAGCUUAAUGUUCUUCCCAGAACUUAAGCUUAAGGGGGGAUGAUAAGAAAAUGUGUUGAUGAUGACAGUUUGAAUUAGUUAAGUUAGUUAUAGUGACGUGGCAGUCCAGUCAGCAAAUCAUUUGUUAGCUUGUUUAAGUUUGUUAUUCUGUUUCUUAGGAAGUUAACAAACACGUGAAAAUGAUGUAUGUGUUAAGAAGAUUCUGGGAAGCAGUAUCUAAACUUGUAAUCUCAUUCUGUUAGUGAGUUAAUAAAAACAAAUUCUCUUUAAUGAAUUUUCUCUCACUUUCACUUGAAUUUUCUCUGUAAACAAACACUCUAAAUCAGCUGAUCAAUUUCUAAUUCCUGCCAUAAUCAGGAGGUUCGUCUUGGGCUUUGGCAAGCUGACCGUUAUCACCACCCACAAGGAAUCCGUGUUGAGGCUCAGCCAGGGUGGGGUUUGUGGAAUUUGUGGGAGAAGCAUGUGUGCCCUUUUGAUUUAAAAAAAAAAUGGUGGUAUGGAACAGGGGGUUUAAGCUAGUUGAUACGAAAAUAAGAUCUAGGUUCAUUGCAACAUGUGCAUGGGUUUUGCUUGAAUUACGUACACUUUGCAUGGCUUUUGUUUUGGUGGACUAGAACAUGUAUGUCACUUAAAUACGGUCCCUCACGUGACAAUAACUUUGGGCUGGAACUAGUAUUAGGUUUUAUCGUUUUCGAAGCUUGCUUCUUUUGUUUUGUUUCAACUCUAAGGUUAUACUUGGCUGGCCCUUGUUUGUUUGAGCUCGGAUUAGUAGGUUCUAUGUUUGUGGCAUUAUUGGAAUCUCCUUCCUCAAAGUUCGCUAACACUGCAAAAUGAGAAUCCUUUCCAUAAUUGCUCCAUUGACCUUGCCCCGAAUCCUGUUGAAAUUCAUUUCCUUUCUCCAAGUGAUCCUUACCCUUUCUGGUGACCACCAUCAAAGGGCCAAAUAUAGGAUAACCACCGGGAGCUAAAGCAUCACCCUUUUCUGCCAUCGCAACCACCAUGUCACCGCUAAUAUCACGAUCCAAAUCUUCUGUUGCACGGUCAGGACAUAGCUAACUGGUAUGCCCAUAUUUGCCACAUGUGAAACAUAUAUGGGGAAGACAUUUAUACUCCAUUUUUUUAACUUUGCCAUCUAGUAGGAAUUGAGAUACAAGAGGCUUGUUAAGUGCUAUAACAACCACAAUACGUGCAAACUUACCCCCCAUGGCUGAUUCAGUAUUGUAGUCUAUUCGAACGACUGUUCCAAUAAUCUAACCAAGCAUCCGAAGGAUUCUUUUGUGGUAGUAAUGCAGGGCUAUACCAGGAAGCCUGAUCCAUGCAAUAAUUGUAUUAAUUGACUCUGUAAAACUAUCAAAGUGAGGAGUCCAUGGCUGCGUGACUAGGCAGUGACCCAUGAUUGUCCAUAGUCCUUGAGUCAAAGCAAAAUCUGCAUCACCCUCUGAACGAAAUCGAACGAGGUAGUAACCGUUAUCCAAAUCAAUGACCGAGAAACCUAGAGCCGACCUUUAAAGAUUUUCCAAUCUAUUACAUAGGACCUUGUAGCCUAUGUGACGUCCUAGAAAUUUAACUAUCACUGAAUUCUGCCAAGGUUUUACGAGUUGCUCAUGGAUUAUUUUUAAGAAAGAGAUAGAUGGUAUGUUGCCAUCAUCCCCUACAGUGAUAUCCUCUGGUCCAAAGACUAGAUCAUCCUCCACACCAAUCAUCUCCUCUUCAUUCCUCUUCUCUGACUCCAUUAACUUAUCUCUAAAUGAAAAGUGCUCAGGGUUGUCACCAUCGUCGCCCUGGGCUAUAAACUUGGCCUUCUUCAUAGCAUGGCCAUCAUUGAUCGAAAGGGUUAGGUCCUUCUCCAUCUCUCUACUUAUAGUAUCUUAUAGUAAACUAAGAAAUAUUAAAGAUCUUCUAGCGUAUUUUGAGUUGUAAAAUGUUUAUUGUUUAUUUUAUAUUACUAAAGUUAAAAGCAAUGGCCAAAUCGUACGAGACAAAAGCAUAAAUCAAGACCAAAGUGUACAAAACCAAGAUUGAAGCAUAAAAAAUUCUGAUUGGAUCCUUAAAGUAUCAAGACUGAAGCCUACUAAUUUGAAGCCACAUAUUUGAAUAUUCUAAAACCCCAGAAGAUAAAUUGAAGAUGACAAAUCCAAUGAAGCAUGAAUUUAAAGCCUACAAUAUUUUUGGUAAAAAUUAUUUAUCUUGAAUUCUACCUCAGUAAUUAGAAGCCAUAUGUCUCAAUAAGUCAUCUGGAAGCUAUGAGACUCAGUAACAUAAUCAAGCUCAUCUAACUGAAAGGAAGUCAUUGCUUGAAUUGAUAUGAAGUCUUAAUUGAAGACAGAAUUCUUCACUCAAUUAAAAUAAGUUUUGAUAGUAAUUUUUCAAAUUAGCCCAACAUCACAACUCUGGGCUUUACAAAAUGACAUCACAGUUGAAGAUAUGUGGAAAGAAAAUGAUUGAUAAAGAAGACAUGCUCAACAUUUUAGGCUUUAAACAUGAUUUUGCAACAACAAUCUCAAGCUCGCUAACCUAAUAGGCACAAAACGUGCUAACCUUACAGGCACAAAGUCGAUUUUUGAAGAAAAAAUUUAUCACAUAGACACAUGGUCAAAAUCAUUGUCAUGAUGAAGUUAUAGACAUGCUAAAAAUCGUGGUUACAAUUAUGAUUGAAGUCACAUUCUUGAAGAAAUCAAGCAUUGGCUAAUAUUAUGCAGAGACAAACUAGGUUGAUUGAGGGGAUGGCUCAAGGUGGUGGUCCUGCUCAGAAUGCUAGAGUCGAAGGGUAAGGUGUUGCUGCUAGAGGCAGAAUGGUGGCAACUUUAGAGCAAUUCCAAAAGUUGGGGCCUCCUGUGUUCCGUGGGACAACUGACCCUAUGGCAGCUGUUGGUAUGAAUUCAAAUGCUAUUGGUGUCAAUGUGCAAGUGUACACAACAAGUAAUAUAAUGAUGACUAUUCGAGAUCGUCUCCACUGGGAUUGAUGUUAUCAGACUUACUACAGCAAUCUUAACAGUGCAGAUUUUGUUCUGAAUUAAGAUAAAACAAUUAAUGAAAUUAAUAUACUAAUUAAAAUAAAAACGCAAUAAAUAAAAUGCAACAAAGUAAACUAUCACAUUAAGCUCAAGGAUAAAACCAAUGGAAAUAUAGAGUAGUUGAGUGAAUAAACUCUCUUAAUGGUUUUGACUAUUUUUCUAAUGUUUGACUCGGUUGCUACAGCAUUUGCUACAGCACUAGGUAGAAUCCUUAUGUAUUCUCAGCCGUCGCAUGUUGGAUAUCUUAUAUCUAUAUGCAACCUAAUAGUGAUUAGUUGUUAUACCAAUAUAAGAUAUAACAUUACACGCUUAGGUUCUAUUUACUCUACAAGGUGAAUCCCUAUGUCUAGUUCAUCACUAAUCUUAGAUUAAGUAUGGCCCUUUUGGGAUUCAAGUAAAACUCAAUCUAGGAAACCCAAUUUAAAACCAAAUAUUGCUCUGAUAUGUUCCACUAAGAUAGACCCUUUUGUGGCUCUUCCUUAGCUAAUAUUAUUAAAAAACUUGAUUUAUAUUAUAAAAUCUUUCAUUUCAUAUUUAAAUAUUAUUAUUACAUAUUAUAAAUUCCAAAUACUUCAAGAAACAAGAUAUGAGAUAAUCCACCCUUAUAACUGAAUAAUCUAAAUUAAAUACAUAAAACUUUCUACUGUCCAAUCAUAUGCCUACUAGUUGUAACUAAAUUUAACAUUUCUAAAAGCUAAAAUGAGAAGGAUGAUUGCCUUCACUCUUUCAAAAUAAGUAGUGCAAUUGAGUUAUCAUAACACCAGAUUCUUCAUUCUCCAUUCAAUAAUGGAUGGGUUAGGAUACAAGUGAAGUUGAGGAUGAAACACUUCAAACAUAUUGAUCAAAUUUGCAUAUGAAUACAUGGAAAAAGGAAAAAAAAAAUUGCUUGUCAAUUUCCAACCAUUAGAGAAACAAUGGUUAACAGAAAUAAACUUUUGUCAUAUUUGUGUUUUUGGCUAAUUUCUAUGUUUGAAACCAUCAUGUCCCACAUAUCUUCAACUGGAAACAGUGGCAGUUGGAUUCCAAGAUUUUUAGAAUAAGAAAACCGAACCUAGUAAGCUCGUGGAUAUUUGUAUCUUUACUAAAUGUACAUAAAUCAUUUAACAAAGUAUUACCAAGAUAAUAAAAAUAGUUAAUGCAGUAAAGUGCAUCACAUAUUUUAAAUACAUAUAUACUUUAUUCGCUCAAUGUAAUGCUAAUAAAAAAUUCAAACUGAAAAUGAAAGCAAAGCAAAGUGAUAGUGUGUGCAUUAGAAAAAAACUCAAAAAUCACAGCAUUUGCAAUUUCAUUUGAAAAUUUUACAUUUGCAACACAAAACUCAAGCAUCAAAACAAAACUUGAUUUAAUGAGAAUAAAAAAUGAUGUAAUUACCAUUAAAUUAAGCCUGAGAUACAUAAUUAAAAUUAAAAAAUAAUGAAACAAAACAGUGAGGGAGAAAGGAAGUACCGUUAGGGAAAGCAAAAAGCUGAGAUUAAGGAAACAUAGUGAGUCUAAAACUUGAAGCUUUUUCGCUUUUCCUUUUCACAACCAGAAAUGGUUUAUGCUUUUCCUAUCUGUGUUCGUUUUAAAUUAAAUUAAAUUAUUUUAUUAUAUUUGGCUAAGAAGAAAAGAGCCAGCAAAGUGAAAAGUCUCCAACAGUCCAAGCUACGCAAGCUACAUUUGAAGGCUGGACCCUGCCUACACAUCUACUUAGGGGUGGGCAUCGGAUCAUAUUCGGGUCAAUUCGAUCCGAUCCGAACUGAUCUGAAUAUGUUCGGAUCGGAUUCAGAUUGACCUCUAAAUCCAAUCGGAUAGAAACUUUGCAAUCCGAUCGGAUUUGAUUCAGAUCGGAUCGGAUUUGGAUCAAUCCGAUCAAUCCGAUCAGAUUGCACUUAAAAAAAAACUUAAAUAUAAAUAAAUUAAAAGCUUAAAAGACAAACCUCUUCUACCCUAAAUUCCCAAAUCAUAAACGAAUUGAACCUAGCCAGCCACAAAGGCACGUAUUCAGCCAACCCAGCCAUCAAGCUUCGCGCCUGCCGGCUAGCCGCAUGUCGAUGACGCCCCUUUCCAUGCGCCGAUGACGUCCCAGGCAACAACAACCAAUCGAAGAUGACAGCAAGUACUGCUUGUUGUCUGCUACUGUCAUCUUUAGUUCUUGCUAUCUGCUGUCAUCUUCUCGCUUGAUGCUUGCUAUCUGCUGAUCUUCAGUUCUUCUUCUUCUGUUAUUUUUCCUCUUUCUUAACCUUAACAGUUGGUGCUGGGUGUUUGCUUUUGUUUGUUUAACUAGUUUUUUUUUCCUUUACAUAUACAUAUAAUUCGAAUUUAAUCCCAAGAUGACAGCAAGUACUGCUUGUUGUCUGCUACUGUCAUCUUCAGUUCUUGCUAUCUGCUGUCAUCUUCCUGCUUGCUGCCUGUUGUCUGUUGAUCUUUGAUUCUUCUUCUUCUGCGUUCCCCCCCUUUAAUCUUAACAGUUGGUGUUGGGUGUUUGCUUUUGUUUGUAUAACUAGUUUUCUUUUUUCCUUUACAUAUUCAUAUAAUCCGAAUUUAAUCCGGAGCUAUUAAUCCGAUCCGAAUCCGAAAUAAUCAUCCGAUCCGAAUCUGAUCCGAAUAAUUCGGAUCGGAUUCGGAUCGGAUGAUUAUUUCGGAUUAAUUCGGAUGGUUUUUAUCCCAAUCCGAACAAUUUGAAAUCCGAUAGGAUUGAUCCGAAUCCGAUCCGAAUCCGUUUUUGCCCACCCCUACAUCUACUGAAAGAUUUGUUAGUGACCAUGACUUCCAUUAAUUUCUAAGCACUCAAAUUGUGUUUUUGCCAUUAUUUCAAGUAAAACAUUUAAAUUUUAAAAUGUAUUAGAUUUUAAAAAAAAAAAUUGAUUUUUUUAAUUAUAAGCACUAAGAUUGUGUUUAUCCUAAUUUAUUCCCCACAAUUACAGUUAUGGUUGCAUCUAAAUUAUUGUAAAAUUUAUUAACUUAAACUUUAUAAUUUGUAAUCUGAUUAUGGAAUGUUUAUUUUUUUGAAUAUUGGCUUAUAAUCCUUUCUUUGCACAUGGAGACCAUUUGAAUUAUUAUUUUUUUCUAUGAGAUAUAUAACACAACUAAUAUAUCUAUAAUUAGAAGGCAAUGGAAACUAUGAGGAAGAAGUUAGCUCCACACACAACCUAAUAAGAGAAAAGAUAACUCUCAUCCAAAAAUAUAUUAAAAACAUAUUUAACUCUUAUAAAUUACUAAAAAUAGUAGCUCAACCACAAUUUAACGAGGGAGAAGACAACUCCACCCACAAACUACUAACGUGAGAAAAGACAACUCUUAUCCAAAUAUAUUAUUAAGAAUAUUUAGAAAGAGAAAAGAGUUUGUUGGGACAUGAAUCUAGACUCUUUAGUUUAAAUUGAGAUUUUUGGACCAAUACCCACAAUUAUUUGAUCGAAUUAAAUGGAAAGUAAUUUAUAUUUUCAUCAAUUUAACACAAAAAUCGGCUUUCCCAAAUCCACUUAUCAUAUCCUAGAAGGCUAAAACAUCACAAAACAUAAUGAACUAUCUACACAUAAAGGCCAAAUGACAAACUAGAUUUGAAAUCAUAUCACUCAGAGGAAUAAUAUAUUGGCCUAUAACUAGCGCUCUGACUCUUAGACUAAAAUAAAGAAAACCAAUUAUCAUUGCCAUCUUGAAUCAAUUCUUCUAAUUUUCUAGUUUAUCACUAAAUUCUCUAACAAAAUAGAAUCUUUAAGAUAACCAAUACAACUCAAACAAGCUUAAUUCAUAAUAAAAUUACAAAAUGAAGAAUGAACCAAUUGAUAACGAAAAUAUCACAAGAAGUCAUCUUAGUUUCAAAAUCACUAAUAAUUAAAAAAAAAUAUUGCCUGAUUAAUUCGAUCGAGAACCUCUUCUCUCUUCGCUGCUUCUUCUUUGCGUUCAUAAAGCCCAACUUCAAUCGAAAACUUCAACCCUAAAGGAAUCAAAAUCAGGGUUUCAUGUAGAAAAAAAAGUAAUUAUAAAUAAAGAUAAAACAAAACCUUUUUCAAGUCACGGGUUCUUUGUAUAUCAGCCUAUGUGGAUCCCACGAUUGAUAUUGGUUUCGUCUAAUUAGCUGGCGACAGUGACGAACUCAUUCUCUUUUUUUGAAUCAAACUUUCAAACCCUAACUUUAGCCAAGUUCUUCACAAAAAUUUGAGGCUUAUUUCCAGGGGUAUUUUAGCUCAAGGAUGGUGGCUUUGAAGGUUUAUAGAAGCAGCUUGUGAGGUAGAUCAUUGUUAGAUAGAGAGAGAGGUAGAGACAAAGAGAGAGAGAGAGAGAGAAAGAGAGAGAGAAGAGAGCUUCAGUUCAGAGAAGAAAAUGGUCAUGGGGAUAGAUUUUUUGCUCAUCAAAAUUUUUAGAUUUUAGGUUUCCAUGUACACCUCAUUAAAACGGCAUAGUUUCUAGAUAAUUUAAUUUAAUUUAUAAUAAUUACUACAUCAAGCGAAAAUACAACUUGUGGUCUAGUUGUUUAACGUUUAAAAUUAAAAAGCUAAAGCUUAGAAGUCUGCGGUUCGACUCCUAGCAUAUACAAAAUGAAAAUUUUAUUUUUUUAAUUACUGAUACUUUAAUGUCACAUAUCUUUGAUACUUAUCUAUUAAAUGCAGAAAAUGUCCCAAAUGCAUGUAAUUACUGAUACUUUUUAAUAUAGUGUCACAAGAUAAGUGUCAACAAAUACCAUUUUUCUUGUAGUGUUAAUUAAAAAAAUUCGAUUUUACCCACAAUGAAUUACACAGUAAACAACAGUAAAUUAACGGAAGGGUGUUUUGAGCUUUUUUUUUUUUAAAGUAUGGAUGAAAUGAACUGUUGUUUGAAUAAUAAGGAUGAAUUAGGCUAUUGCAACAAAUUCAAGGGACGAAAAAAAAUUUUUUCUUUUACUUAGGUGCUGUUUAUUUUUUAGUUUGAAGUUUGAAUUUAAUUUUUUUUAGACAUUUUUUUAUUUUAGAUUAUUUUUUUUAACUUAUCACUUAUUGUCAUAUAGUUUUAUCUGAAUAGAAAAAGUGGAAAAAGUUCACUUUAUUUGAAGUCUGAAGUCUAAAUAUAAAUUUUUAAUUUCAAAUCUCAAAAAUACCCUUAACAAUUCAUGUAUUUCCAAUAUUAUGUAUAAACCUUAUAUUUUUGUAUUAUUCUUGAAGUUGUUUUUCUAAUUGCUUUAAAUUUUUAUUCACAUGAUAAUAUUAACUAAACUGAAAUAUUGAACAAAUCAAAUUAUGUUAAUUGUGAUGAAUCAAAAAUAAAAUAAUAGUGUUGACUUUAUAAUAAAAUUUGAUGUUAUAAUUACAUCUUUCAUUAAAAAAAUAAAAGAAGAUCAAUAAUGAUAAUAUUUUUUUUAAUGUUACCAAACUAAUCAACCUGUGAAAAUUAUAACUGUGAAGAACAAAUAUAUGCACCACUCAAAAUGAUAUUUAUGCCAAAUUACUAGUUUUUAGGAUUUUCUCUUUAGAUGUUGAAAAAGAAAAACAAAGAUGUCAUUCAGAUAUUUUCAUUCAUAUUUAUUCAGAUUUUAGUUAAAUUCAGAUCUAUUCAUAUUUCAGAUAAAAAAACAAAUGCAAUCUUAGUUUAUAGGUAUAGGACUCCACUCAAGCAUGGUUUUUAAUAUAAAGAGAGAGAGAGAGGAGAGAGAAAAUUGAUAAAAGAAAGAGUAAUGAUAAAAAUUAAAAUAAUGCUCGUGGGCAUUUUAGUCAAUUCAAGUUGAGAUGAAUGGAAAUAAAAAAAUAAAGAGUAAACCUAUUUGAAGUUUUAAACCCAUAAAAAAAAUAUUUUAUGUUGUGUUUCUCCCAGUACCCAUUAAUUAAAUUUUAAAUUUAUGAUUAUCCUUUAAACAUCCCUCUUAAUUUCAAAAAUAGCCCUUUAUUCUUUUCCACCAUAAUGGUGUUUUAAGCGAUACAUAAAAUGUUUUUCUACCAUAACUUUGAAUUUCAAAAACUUGCUUUAGUGUUGGUUAAAAAUAGUUCUUUUUCAGGAUUAAUUAAAGUUUCUUAUCAUAAACUCAUUGUAAUUUUUUCUUAGUUGACGAAACUUUACAAAACUGAAUUUGUGUCCCUAGCAAUGCCACUUUGAAGCUUUUACAAAAUUAAUUGUGAUGUCACUGAUGUGUCUAUUAUUUUCAACUACAAUCAAGCCAUAAAACCUUGUCAAUCUUGUAAUAUGUUGGGGUUGGGGAUUUGGCGAGGGUAUUGUAAUUAAAAACUUCAAUUACAUUAAAAGAUUUAGGAAUAAUGUUUUAAUUAUAGAUUCAUAGUGGAAAUCCUUUUUUGGGAUCCUUUUAUUAAGCUGUAGUCACAGUCAAAUAAUCAUUUGGCUUUAAGUUUUUGAUAUAUAUAUAUAUAUAUAUAUAUAUACAUGCACACAUAUACAUACAUACAUAUGUAUGUAUAUAUAUUCAACAGAGAAGAUUGAAACUAUAUGUAACACAUUGGACUGAACUUGCCCAUGAGCUAUCUGAUCUAAAAUUAUUGAUGAACUAGACAUAGGGGUUCACCUUGUAUGGAAAAUAGAAUCUAGAUAGUUUAAUGCUAUAUUUAAUAUUGGCGUAACAAUUGGUCACUGUUAGAUUGCAUUAGAUAUAAGAUAUCCAACAAGCGACAGCUGAGGAUGCAUAAGGGAUUCUACCCAGUGUUGUCGCAACAGUUUCUCAAUUAGAAAGACAGUAAACACCAUUAAGUCACAUUGCUUUUAUCCCUCUGUCUGAAGUGAUAAUUUUCUUUACUACAUUUUUUAUUUAUUGUAUUUUUAUUUUAAUUAGUUUAUUAGUAUUAUUAGUCGAUUUAUUUCCAAUUAAAACAAAACUGCGUUGUUAAGAUUGUUAUAGCAAAUAUGAUGACAUAAAUCCCUAUGGAGACAAUCUGGAUACUCAUCAGUAUAUUACUUAUUGUGUACACUUGCACAUUGACAUCCAUAGCAUUAAAGAUUUUACACACCACAUAUUUACAAAUUAAAGAAGGCUUUGUAUAGUUUAAAAUAAGCACUUAGAGCUUAGCUUGCUAGAUUCAAGUAUGUAAGGCUUUCUCAGUGGCAUUUUCAGCACUCCAAGUCUGAUAACUCUCUUUUCCUCAAAUGGGAUAGAGGUCUUUUGGUUCUAGUUUUGGCAUAUGUUUAUGACAUGAUCAUCACUAGCUCCAGCUCUUUUAUAGUUCAACAGGUUAUUCAAGAAAUGCGUUACACAUUUGCUUUAAAAGACUUGGCAAAGAUCCAUUAUUUUCUAGGCAUUGAAGUCAUAAAGACUCAAAAUAUAGUUCAUUUAUCUCAAGCCAAAUAUAUUGUCGACAUUUUAGAAAAACAUGGACAUGGCUAGUUGUAGUCCAAUGCCUAUACCUAUGUGAACUGGUCAUAUCUUAAAGACUUAGGUGAUGAAAUUGAUAAUGCAUCUUAGUGUAAAAGUGUUAUUAGAGCUUUGUAAUAUGCCACUCUCACAACGCGAGAGCUAGCCUUCUCAAUUAACAAAUUAAGCCUAUUUUUCUUAUGUCCAAGGACUCAUCAUUAGGAAGCAUGAAUAAGACUCUUGAUAUACUUGAAGGGUACUUUACAUUUUGGAUUGCAUUUCUAUAGUUGUCGUGCUAUGCAGUUAAACUAUUUUGUAUAAUAUUAUUGGGCUUGUGAUAGAGACGAUAAGGAUUUGCAAUAUAUCCAGGUCCCAACUUGGUUUUAUAGUUAUCUAAGAACCAAUCAGUGGUCUUUCGAUCAAGAACAAAGGCUGAGUAUAUAGCUUUAACUCAUUCAACCUAGCACCAUGCCUAUAAUCUGAAUCAAGAAGCAACUGCUUUGGCGUAUAACCCCAUUUAUCAUGCUAAAACCAAACACAUUGAGCUGGACAUACAUUUCAUUAGAGACAAAGUUGUAGCCAAGCAAAUUCAAGUUUGUUUUAUACUAAGUGCAGACCAAACAACUAAUUUGUUAACCAAAGCACAUACUUUUAAACGGCUCCAUUACUUGCGUAGCAAGUUGAAUGUUCAUUCUAGACAUUUUAACUUGAGGGAGGUUGCAAGUGAAUCAGAUUUUACUUGAAUGCAGAGCAUAUGGUGCAGCCAACAGCAGCAGAUCAACUACUAAGCUAAUGUAGCAGAAUUAGCUAUUUGGUUUAACUUGUAUUAAGCAAAGCUCACGUGAGCAUAACAGAAUAAAAAGCAUUUAUAACGGAAUUAGAAGCAUGUAGAAUUCAACACUAUAAAUAUGUAAUGUGCUUUCAUUUCAAUUAAUUAAUUAGAAUCUUCUACAAGUUUCUUCAAAAUAUUCUCUCUCGUUUUCUAGUAUUUCUUGCUACUUUCUUACUUGCCAAACAUCUUCCAAUAUUCUAAUAUUGUACAAGUCAAAAUGUCAAACCAGUGCAUGGCUUGAGCAUUAAUUGUUGACACGACUCAAAAGUAUAUUACUCCCAAGUAUAAGAUUAUCUAGUUAUAAUAUAACCCGGUAAAUCCGGGAUCAAAUCACAGAGAAUUUAAAAUCUAGUUGUCAAUUUAUUGGACAAAGAAAAUUAAUUGUGGUAAAAGAAAUCACUAGAAAAAAAAUUAAAAAUAUGCUAAGGUUACGAGAUCCACUCUUAAUAUUCAAACUAUAAUUUUAAUACUUUCUCAUUUAUAUAUUUUUCUCACUUUUACCAGUUAAUUAUAUCAUUUAAUUCUAUAUGUGUGGAUAAAUAUGGAAUAAAGUACCUAAUGUGCCACAACUGUAUUAAUGUAUCGACAUUAUGUCAAAAUACCAUAUAAAUCCAAAAGAAUGUAUAAAUUAACAUGACAUAAAAAUAACCAGAAAAGAAUAAAAUAAACUUAAAAACUCACUUUGAGAAAGUAAUAAAUUUAAUAGUUUGAAACUUUGAGCUUUACCAUUCACCUUAGCUUAGUAAAAUUAGCCACUCAUAUUGAAAGAAAACACAACAUUCUUUUUAUUUGAUAAACUUUUAAAAUAUGUUAUAAAGAAAAUUGAUACAGAUGGAAACAAGAAAAGAAAAGUAAGAAAGAAAGAAAUUCUUCAGCUGCACCCUUGGCUACCACUCUCUCUCUCAGCUCUUGGCUCAACUCCCCCCUAAAUUGCUUGCAUCCCCUUGCCUUUUAUAGGUAAGGGAAGCAUCUUCUUUUCUUUUCUUUUAUUAAUAUUAAUAUUUUAUUUUAUUUUUAUAUUAUAUAUACAUAUUGAAAGGGGUGAUGGCCAGGAGGCGUGAUGGCCUCUUGACCAUCACAAGCAACCAAAUCAUAGUUGCCUUUUGUUCUUUUGUUCUUUUUAUUAUUAUUAUUUAUUACAUCUCCUUAAUGAUGCAUUCUAAAUUGCUCCAACAAUCCUUCUUUGUUCCCGCUUUCGAUUCCAAUUCCAUCUUUAUUCCUGAAAAAUAUUUACAAGAUAAAAAUUAACGUAUUACAAAUUAAUUUUACAUAAAAAUAUAUUUGGGGAGUAUUAAGAUAAUUUAUAAGUAAUGAGCACAUUAAUCGACAUAAUAAGUGAAAAACUAAUAAUUUUAUCGUUAUUAAAUGUACACUUUUUAAUGCCAAUCAAUUGUCGCUUAGAUCAAAGGUUGAUUGUGCCGCCAUGUUUUAUUCAAGCUUAAAAAUGGACAUAGGACAUUGCUGGUGUAGUGAACUGUAUCGAUUGUUGGUGGCUUUGUCGCAAAUUCUAAUUGUUUUGGGCUUGUAUUCGUGCCUGUGACAUUUUUCAAGAUCCUAGGUCUGAAAAUUUAUGGAAUGACUUAAAAAUGUUUGAUUUACUCUCAAGUAUAAGAGUACCUAGUUAUAAUAUAUCUCGGUGAGUCCGAGGUCGAUCCACAGAGAAAAGAUUUAAUUUGUUUAUUUUAUUUUAUCUAAAAUUUGAAAAUAAAACUUAAAUAUAAACAACUUAAUUUAAAUAAAACUAUGAAAUUGAAUUAGUUAGGGUUGUGGAUUCACUCUUAGUUGUAAAUAAAACUUAAUAAAUUCUUUUUGCCAUUUUUUUAGAUUUAUUGCCCAAAAGAUUCAUUAUAUAAAUUAUUAUUAUUUUCCCUUUAAUUUUAUAAUGGAUUAAGUAUUCAUUGUGCCAAAAUUUAAUUUGUCUACAAUAAGUCAAAAUACCAUUUUACCAUACCUUAUAUUAAGAUAAAAAGAAUUUAUUGUGCCAAACUCCCUUGUUUGUCUACAAUAAAUCAAAAUUUCAUAAUAUAAAAUACGUAUAAAAUUAAAUAGAAAAUAACUUAAUUUAUAAAAUUAAAAAUAGAAUUUGAUUAAAUCAUAUUUAUUUCCUAAGAGUUUCACCUUCCCCUAACUAUUAAUAUUUAGCUAAACAUUUUUUUAAUAAAGGAAAUUACUAAAAUUGAAAGACACAUAAUUAAAAAUGGAAUUUGAAAAUUGAAAUAAAACUAAUUUUAUUGAUUGAAAAUAAAUUACAAAGAGAGAUGAAAAGAAGAAUUUGGGGGGAAAGAAGAGAAGAGAAGGUGUGGAGAGGUGUGUUCACCCCCCUCUAUUUAUACUAAUACAUGGUAAAUUCUCACCACACAAAUAAAAAAUCUAAUUACAUCUUAACCUUACAUUUGUCCCACUAAUAAUCCCACUAAUGAAACAUAAACCUAACUUAUCCACUCAAGCAUAUCCAAUACAUUUCACUAACAAUUACCAUACCUAACAUGAUAAAAACUUAUAAUUUUACAAUUGCCACAUUUACCUUGGUAAAAACGUAAAAAUUUACAACAAAAGUCUUGGAUCCUCCUCGACAAUGACGUAAUUUCUCGGACUUCCGGAAUCCAAAUUUGACAUCCAUACAUUUGUUCGGAGCCUCAAAUUGCAUGAAAUUAUUAUUUUUACCUAAUAAACAUAAAAUACAUAAAAUCAAAUAUUUAGAAAAAUAAUUAGAAAUUCACAAUAUGUUGCACAAUUACAAAUAUAAAUUACAUUAAUAAAACAAUAUAACAUUUUUACCCUUAAUAAACAUGCAAUUUUUAACACUAAUCACACCCCCCCAACUAGCUUAUUGCUAGCCCCUAGCAAUUAAAGCGUUAUAUUAAAUUAAGAUUUACAAAAUUCACAUGCAAGUUAAUAGUUGUUCAUCUAUCCUCUAAAUUACCAAAUAAAUAAACUCUCCCAAAUUUUUUUUAACUCUUGGUCGUCCACUCAUUAUCCAGAAUAUCAUAAACCUUAUUUCCUGCUCAAGUAAUUAACACAAUACUUAUGGGGUUUCAUUAAAAGAAAACAACAUUUUCGUUCUAAAACUCAUUAGAAAUUCUAUCUUUAGGCGGUAGAUUAUUCAAGCUUUUUUUUUAAAUUGCAUUUUUAACCCAUGUAGCGAGCUUUAGGUCAGUGACUCCCAGACCAGUUGACCUUAGGACAAUCCAUAAUUAGGCCACCUUUCUUUGACUUUAAUGAUUACCCAUAUUGAAAAACUAGGAGAAUUUAUUUGUAAGCUUUAGGUUAUAAAAUUUGGCAUGGUUCAUUCAUGUCUAUGACUAAAAAUAAAGUGGGAGAUGAUAUUAAAAAACCUUCAAGUCAAUGAAGUGAGUUAGAAAAGAAAAAGAUAUCUUUAAACUCUAAGGCAGUGAAUGCUUUGUUUUAUACUCUUGAUAAGAAAGAUUUUCUUAGAGUGUCUAGUUGUGAGAGUGCUCAAGAAAUAUGAAACAAACUUGAAGUUGUCUAUGAAGGGACAAAUCAAGUUAAAGAGUCUAAGAUUAGUAAAUAUACUCGACAAUAUGAAUUGUUCUAAAUGGAACAAAAUGAGAGCGUGUAUUCUAUUUAUACUAGGUUUACAUAUAUUGUGAACACAUUAGAAGCCCUAGGAAAAAUAUUUUCGAAUAGCAAAAAAGUUAAGAAAAUUAUUAGGUCUUUACCAAUGGAAUGGAGACCUAAGAGAACUGCCAUAGAGGAAGCUAAAGAUUUAAACACUUUGCGUAUUGAUGAUUUAAUUGGUUUUCCUAUUUCAUAUGAGGAGGAUUUGACAGCAGAAAACAACAAUAAGGAAAAAAAAAAAGCAUUGCACUUAAAGCAUCAAAGCAUGCGAGUGAUGAGGAAAGCGAGCUUGAUGAUGAAGAUAUGGCUAUAUUGUCCAAGAGGUUUAAAAAAUUCUUCAAGAAAGCCGAUGAGCGGAAAAGAUUCAGAAACUACAAGAACCAAAAGGAGAAGAAGGAGCUAAUUACUUGUUAUGAGUGCAAGAAUCCUGGACACAUAUGAUUGGAAUGUCCUCUUCUCAAAAAGCUUAAGAAGAAGGCAAUAAUAGCCAUAUGGGAUGUUAGUGAUAAGGAAACAAGUGAGGAUAAAGAGCAACAAGAGAUGUAAAAUCUAGCUCUCAUGGAAAUUGGGAUGAAUCGUUUGAUGAACUUGAUGAAGUAAGUGAUCUACCUAUGAUUAAUUAUAUAAUGCUUUUAAGGAAUUGCAUGAUGCAUGCCUUAAAAGGAAAAUGCUAGAACUUUCAAAUGAAAAGGGUGUCUUGCAAAAUGCAAUGAUUCAUUGAAUAAAAAGAUCAAGGGAUUGGAAUUAGAUAAUGAAAUGUUGUAUGAUAUGAUUACAUCAUUUAAAUGUAAAUAAAGUACUUCAUGUGAGCAUGAAAAAUCACAUGUUGAUAAAUUGAUAAAAGAAAAUGAAGUGCUUAAGAAAAAGAGUAAUGAACUCAACAAAAUUGUGUUAAAAUUCACAAGUGGUCAAAAGAAUUUAGAAAAAUUACUGAACUCUAAAAAAUGUGUAUUUGAUAAAGGAGGACUUGGGUAUAAGCCUAGCUUGACUUGAAGCAAAAGUAUUAUAGGAAUUACUUUGUUAAAGCUACCUCCACUAGUGAUCAUAAAAUUAAUUGUCAUUAUUGCAAUCAAAAUGGUCAUAUGAAAUAUAGAUGUCUAAUGAAAAGAAAUGCAUUCAAUGGAGUCAAAUGUGUAGCUCCAAAAGGAACUAUUGCUAACACUCAAGGACCCAAAGAAAUUUGGGUACCUAAGACUUGAAAUUUCCUUUGCAUGGUUUGAAGAAGAAAAAGAAUAAACGGCACCUGGACAGUGGUUGCUCAAGGCAUAUGACUGAAAAUUAUUCUUGGUUUUCAAGUUUUACCAAGAUUGAAAACAGUAGAGAUGUGUCAUUUGGAGAUAAUUCAAAAGGAAAGAUUAUCAGUAUCGGUAAUAUUAGUAAAAAAUCCUCUACUCUUAUUGAAAAUGUGUGUUUGGUUGAAAACUUGAAAUACAACUUACUUAGCAUUAGUCAAUUGUGUGAUAAUAGAGUUAUCUUUGAUAAAUCGAAAUGUGUUAUUGAGAAUGCAUAUGAUGGCAAGAUUUUGUUUGUAGAAAAUAGAUGUGUUAAUGUUUAUAUCAUUAAUAUAGAUUGUGUAUCUACUAAUGAUAAAUGUUUCUCUGCAUUACAUGAUUAUGGUUGGUUAUGGUAUAGAAGACUAGGUCAUGCAAGUAUGGAUUUGAUUUCAAAGAUUUCAAAAAAUGAUUUGGUUAAUGGCCUUCCAAAAAUUAGUUUUCAAAAAGAUAGAAUUUGUGAAGUUUGCCAAUUUGAAAAAUAAAUCAAAACUUCUUUAAAAAAAAGAACCAUGUCUCAACUUCAAAACCACUUCAACUACUUCACAUGGAUUUGUUUGGACCUUCUAGAUAUGUAGUUUAAGUGGCAAAUAUAUGCAUUUGUGAUUGUGAAUGAGUAUUCUAGAUACACAUGAGUAUUGUUCUUUGCUAAUAAGAAUGAUGCCUUGGAUGCAUUUAGAAUUUUCUAUAAAAAGGUUCAAAAUGAAAAGGGAUGUGCGAUUUCUUGUAUUAGAAGUGAUCAUGUGGAGAAUUUGAAAAUCAUGUAUUUGAGAAUUUUUGUAACGAUUUUGGCAUUGAGUAUCAAUUUCAUCACCUAGCACUCUACAACAAAAUAGAGUUGUUGAGAGAAAGAAUAGGCCUAUCCAAGAAAUAGCUAGGACCAUGUUGAAUGAAAAUAGUUUACUUAAGUAUCUUUGGGUCAAAAACGUCAACAUUGUUUGUUAUGUUUUAAAUCAUAUGUUUAUUAGACCUUAUCUCAAUAAGACUCCCUAUGAGCUUUGGAAAGAUAAAAAACCCAACAUUGGUUAUUUCAAAAUUUUUGGAUGCAAAUGUUUUAUUUUGAACGCAAAAGAUAAUCUUGGCAAAUUUGAUCUAAAAUCUUAUAUUGAUAUUUUUCUUGGUUAUUCAAAUACAAGCAAAACUUAUAGAGUGUAUAAUAAAAGAACUUUGGUUGUGGAAGAAUCUAUGCAUGCUAUAUUUGAUGAGUCUAAUCCCUCUAUGGAGAGAGUUGUUGUCGAUAAUGAUAUAGAUGAACAGUCACAACAAGGAUUAGCAAAAGAUAAACAAGAUGAUGCAUCACAUGAAAAUAAAGAGGAUAGACAAUGAGAAUAAAUAAAUGAGGAGCAACAAGAAGGUAUGUCUCAAACACUCCCCAAGGAGUGGAGGUAUGUUUCUCCUCAUCCUAAGGAUUUAAUUUUAGGUGAUCCUUCAAGAGAUGUUACCACUAGAUUAUCAUUUAGAAAUACUUGUGAGCACGCUGCAUUCAUAUCUCAAAUUGAACCAAAUUCUUUGCGGAUGCGAAAAAUGAUGAAUCUUGGAUCAUGGCAAUACAAGAGGAGUUGAAUCAAUUUGAGAGAAACAGUGUGUGGAAAUUAGUUUCUAAAUCGGAACAUCAAUCUAUUAGGCACUAAAUGGGUAUUUAGAAAUAAAUUGAAUAAAUCCAGUGUGGUUGUAAGGAAUAAAGAUAGAUUAGUGGCUCAAAGAUACAACCAAGAAGAAGGAAUUGAUUUUGAUGAAACAUUUGCACUUGUAGCUAGAUUAGAAUCCAUUAGGAUGUUGUUAGCAUUUGUAUGUCAUAAAGAUUUCAUUUUUAAUCAAAUAGAUGUCAAAAAUACUUUCUUAAAUGGUUAUAUUAUGGAGGAACUUUAUAAGUUUUCUAAAGCACUGUAUGGAUUUAAAACAAGCACCUAGAGCAUCGUAUGACAAGCUUAAAAAUUUCUUGCUGGAUAAUGAGUUUUCAAUGGGAAAAGCAGAUACUACUCUCUUUGUUAAGCAUAAGAACCAAGAUAUACUUGUUGUUCAAAUUUAUGUUGAUGAUAUUAUCUUUGGUUCUACUAAUGAGUUUUUGUGCAAGGAGUUUUCAUCUUGUAUGAUGGGAGAAUUAAAGUAUUUCCUUGGACUUCAAAUCAAACAAAACAAUGAGGGAAUCUUCAUCAACCAAGCUAAAUAUGUCAAAGAUCUACUCAAAAGAUUUGACAUUGAUGACUCAAAUCCAAGAGACCUCCAAUGAGCACAACAAUCAAGCUUGACAAAGAUGAAAAAGAUAAUAAGAUUGAUAUAAAAAUGUAUCGAGGUAUAAUCAGCUCUUUACUUUACUUAGCCGCAAGUAGACCUGAUAUCAUGUUUAGCGUAUGUUUGUGUGCAAGAUUUCAAUCAUGUCCCAAGGAAUCUCAUUUGCUUGCUAUGAAAAGAAUUUUUCGUUAUUUGAAUAGAACUAUAGAUCUUGGCCUUUGUUAUCCUAGAGGAACCUAUAUAGAUUUAACUUAUUAUUCGGAUGUCAAUUUUGCCGGUUAUAAAAUCGAUAGGAAAAGCAUUAGUGGAACAUGUCAUUUCUUGGGUCAUUCUCUUAUUUCAUGGUUUAGUAAGAAACAAAAUUCGGUUUCACUCUCAACCACCGAGGCAGAAUAUAUUGCCGCAGGUAGUUGUUGUCCACAAACUCUUUGGAUGAAACAAACACUUAGAGAUUAUGAAUCUUGAACAAAUUCUUAUCAUGUAUAAUAAUAUUAGUGCUAUAAAUCUAUUAAAGAAUCCCAUUUAGCACUCUAGAACCAAGCAUAUAGAGAUUAGACAUCAUUUCUUGAGAGAUUAUGUUCAAAAGGGCGACAUUGCAUUAGAAUUUAUCUAUACAGGAAAAAAAAAACUUGCCUCUAUUUUUACAAAACCUCUUUGCGAAAAAUAAUUUUCAAAAAUUUGGCAUGAACUUGGGAUAAUGAAAUUUUCGCAUUAACAUCUCUAAUCAUGUUAUUGAAUCUAUUAAAAUUGAUUGAUUGAUGAUUUGUUUAUGAUUACAAAGUUUUUAAGCAUGAUAAAUGAGUGAUGUAUUUGAAUCAAUAAUCUUUGAAUGCUUACAUCUCUCAUGAUUGUGUGAUGUAUAUGUAUGAUAAAUGUGUUAUAUAUUUAAAUUUAUAAUCUUUGAAUAUUUAUAAUUAUGAUUCAUGCAUUAAAAUGGCUUUUGAAAGUGUUCGGGAUCACGAAAUGGUUUUUGAAUCGAUCAAAAUUAGCUGGAAAGCAAACAUUUGUGCAAAAGGGCAGCAAAGAGAUAGUUACCCGCCUGCCCCAAACUCGAGAACAAGCGGCUAGCCAUUUGCCUCUAAGCGACUAGCCGCUUGGUCACGGUUUUUAUACAUUUCUUCCCCCUUUCUCUUGCUUUCUUCAACCUUUCUCUACUCUCUUUCAUGGCCGUUCAUCUCUCCUCCAUUUCCUCUUAAAUUAUUUUCAUUUCUCAGUCAUUUUCAUGCCAAAAUCAAUCUUUUUAACCAUUACCCAUGCAUUUAACCUUCAUUAAACACGUCCCAAUCAUCAUUUCAUCACUUGUUUCUCCAAAUCUAAAAAUCAAAACCUAAGCUUACCUAUAUCUCUCUCUCUUCUAUUUUAAGCUCUUUUUAGCUCUUUUUUUUUUUUAUCCAAUUAAUACCAUACAUUGCCUUAAAUCAUCUCUAGGAUCAAUUUUAUUGAUUCAAAUACAUUCAUUUCACUCAAAAUCUUGAAAAUUCGAAUUUAGAUAUUAAAGCUUGUUCUUGUUUUCAACAAUAGUUAGUAGCCAAAAAUCCAAGGGAAAGCAUAUAGCCAAGAAGUGCAAGGAAGAUCAUGGAGACAAUCUGGAGUUCAUAUUAACCCAUUUUCUGCAACCACCUUUUCAGAAAUGUUUUCACGAUAAAUUUAUGUCGAGGUUGGUUAUUGCCCCCUAUUUUGUCAAUCUUCGUCAUUCGGAGAAUUUAGCAAUUUUUGAUAAAUCUCUUAGUGAUUUUCUUAUUGACAUGGGUUAGAAAAAUGUUUUAGAUUUCAAGGAACGAUGUUAUGAAAUUUAGUUAAAGUUUUUUAUUCGAAUAUGGUUAUUUCUUUGCAAACUAUAAAUAGAAUUGUUACAAGUGUUGGGGGAAUACAUAUUGAGUUUGAUGUUGUGGAUUUAAAUCAUAUUCUUAGAACUCCAAAUGAAAGGUUGGAACAUUCUACUACUAAAAGCAAAAGAGAUUAUUUGUGGUAUUCAGUUGAGGAUAUUGUUCGAAAAAUUUGUAGAUGUUUCGAUUUGUCCUUUAAGUUUUGUAAAUCUACCUUGAAAUCUCAAGCCUUACCCCUUCAACUUAGGAUCCUUCAUUAUGUUCUUUAACAUGUCAUUAGUCUUAGGCCUGGACAUGGGGAUGAAGUUACCCGAUUAGAUGUGGCCUUAUUGGAUAGUAUUCUAAAGGGUAGGGUGCUAAAUGUCAGUUAUAUUAUUCUUCAUCAUAUACUUAGCACUCCAUGUAUAGCAAAACGAUCCCUUCCUCAUGGAAGCAUUUUUACCUACAUUCUCAAACAAUUUUGGGUACCCAUAAUUGAACCAACAUUUUUUAAUCCUAAGGAAUUAAGAGAUGAAGCUAUAGCCAAUUUAGGGUUUAUAUGGACGGAAGAUAAAUGGUGUAAAAACCAGAGAUACAAAAACAAGGGUACUACAUUAGCUCCUAUAGAUCAUCGUUUCUUUAACGAUGUUCUUCCACCAAACCAGCUCCUUGAUCUCAAUGCUCCACAGCGCUCACAUCCUUUGUCUUCUGAGGGUCCUUCAUAUUCUACUUCAGCAGACCUUGAGGAUCCAAUACAGUAGCUAUUGACUGAAGUGCAUUCUCUUUUUGAGCCGCAGAGCCAAUUUCAGUCCCAGUUUGAGGCCUUUCAAAUUCAGUCCACUUCGGAGCAACAACGCCUGUUUAAGCAGUAACAGCGUUUAUUUAAUCAAUGACAUCGACUCUUUGCUCAACAACAGUAGCUUCUUGAUGGUCAACAACAACUUUUCGCUGCUCUUAGGUUUCCACCACCAUCCUCAUUAUCACAUUCACCAUCUUCAUAGUGUUCUAUUCUUUUUCAUCUUGAUUUCAGUUCUUUGUUUUAUUCUGCACUACAUUUUCAUAAGCAUUGUUGUUUUACUUAUGGAUUAAAGAUGAUUGUUGUUUGAUAUUUAAAUGUUUUACAUUUGGAUGAUAUUUUAUGGAUUCUUGGAUAACUCUUUGGUUACUUGCAUGCUUGAUUUUUAUAUGUUUCUUGAUUAUCUAUUGAGAUGUUAUUUUUGGUCUGAGCAUGGAGUUAUAGUAAUUGUGACGAUGAAGAGGGAGAAGUCAUGUAUUUUGAUCUUGAAAUAUUGAUGCAUGAUUUUGAAAUAUUUAGGGGGAGCAUACAUUUGUUAAAGAUCAUGUAUUCAGGGAGAGUUCAUAGUUCAUUUAUAUGUUGAAUUAUGUAUGCCAUAUAUUAAGGGGGAGUAUAAAUGUCAAAAUACAUGAAAUGUUUGUCAUCAUCAAAAAAAGAAAGAUUGUUAGCCUAAAGGGUUACAUAUAUUGUAAUUUUGAUGAUAAAAAACAUAUGUCUUAAGUAAUAUGAUAAAUAUUGUAUUUCACAUUUUCACUAGUUCUUGAAGUAUAAUAUUUAGGCAAGUGAAUCACGUGAAAUCAGGCUCAAGGCACUCAACGUACAAUAGCUCGAUCAAGAACAAAAUUUAGUUCAACGGAGUCAUUAUUGCGACAAAUUAUUGUAAAGCUAAUAUGAUUUAAUGUAUGCAGGGUUUAGCAUUUAAAAAGCUCAAGAAGUUGUGGGUAAAAAUAUAAUUUUUAAAAUAAUAUUAUUGUAGCAAAAUUCAAAUUGCAACGGUAACUUGCAUUGUAUUAAGUGGUGAGCCGGCUAGUUAAGAGGCUAAUCGCUUGCUUGCAGGUUUUGUCCAUAAUGGCUGGUUUUUGUAUCAAAACUAUAUAAAAUCAAAUCCAGUUCAUUUUUAAAGACUUUUACAAGUAUAAACAAGUGUAAACAACAUAUUUUAAGCUUCUAAUUCGCAAAUCAUCAUAGAUUAAAUAUUCAUUGAGUUAUUAUUAAGAGGUUAAUAUCGUAGAGGUUACCGGGCGAAGCCAAAUUGAACUUGGAGAAUCUUAGUAAGUGUUCAAUUUUGACCAGAAUUUUUCAUUUUCAAUCUUUAAUUUUCAAAGAUUAACCAUUAUGGACUUGCUUUUUUUUGUUUGUGCUUCAAUAAGCUAGUCUUCUUUCACAUUGCUUAAUUACAAAAUUUUACUAUUAAUACAUCAAUUUAUUAAUUUUUUAUUAUUUUACUUAUUUUACUUUAUAUUUACAAGUCUUAUACUCCAUUUUUAAAUUUUAAAUUUUAUUUUACAAAUAACGUUGAUUUAUAAAUUUUAUAUUAAAUUCACAAAUUUUCUGUUUGAUUUACAUAAUCUAAGUUUAAUCACAGUAUUGAUACCAUGGUUUUAGUCACUACUUUAAUUAACAACUAGAUACGGAAAAAAUUAUAUAUUUUCAGGGGCGGACCCAGAGCUUUAUAUUACCCCGGGCUAAAUUAAAAAUUUUAUAUUAUGGAGUGAACAUAAACAUUUAUAAGUAAAAAAAGUACAUCAAAUAAGGGGAUGCAAAAAACCCUAUAAAUAUGUACUUUAAAUAAAAAUAAGUAUACAAAAAGACUAGAAAAUAAAAGAUAAUUCAAAUAUAAAAAUACUAUUUUUUAAUUAUGGAAUAUAACAUUGAAACAUAUAUUAACAUCUAAUUAUAUAAGAAUUAAAAAAUCAAUUAAGAAUUUCAAGUUUGAAUAAAUCAAUACAUGUAAUUAUAAUCAAUUAAAAUAUUGCAAAUAGAACUUUAUGUUUGAAAAGUACUUAAUUACCAAGCUUAAAUAAAUUAAACAAUUAAAAUUUAUUCAUCUUUUUAAAUUAUAAAAAUAUUAGUUGUCAAGAGUUUCAAUAAUAAACUAAACUCUAACCUAGUAAAAAGGUAUUUGUGCGCCAUUAUUUAUUUGCCAGGCACUCUGACUCACUUUUAAAAAUCAGAUCAAAAUACUCAAAUGUUAUUUUCUAACUUAUCCUCUUAGUUAAUGUAACUAAUAAAUAAAAUCUCAACAUUCACAUAAAAAUUUUAUGAAAUUGUUAAUAAUUUUUAUUAUAUAUCUUUUUAGUAUUUUUAAUACUAGUGACAAUGUUAUAUUACAUUGACAUACUUUUUUAAAUUAAAAUUUUAAAAACAAAUUAAAGUAGUAAUAACAUUUUAGACCCCUAAUGUUUUCAUUCUAUUCAAUAAGUAUAUAAUUUAAUCAUUUUAUAAAAUAAGCCACUAAUAAAAAAAUAUAAUUGAAUUAGGGAUAUAUUUAAAAAUAAAGUAAAAACUCUAUUGUUUUAUGAAAUUGGAUGAAAACAUAAAAACAACUGAAUUAGGGACUUAUAUAAAAAUAAAGUAAAAACUCUAUUCUUAUAUAGAAUAAUCUAAAGACAAGGGGUUUAAAUGAUUGUUUCUGGACUAGACCGGGCUACAGCCCGAUCUAGCCCAGCUGUAGGUCCGCCACUGUAUAUUUUAACUAACUCAUUACAUGAAGCUUUUAAUAUAUUAUAUUCUAAAAUAAUUAAAAAAUAUAGGACAAAAAUCCUGACAUUCUUGCUGUUUUUGGAACGUUAUAGUGGCAACUUUUUAUUUUAUUAGUAUAUAAGAGUGAAAAUCAAAUCUCAUCCCUAUCACUAAGUAGUAUACUUCCCAAAAAAAAAAAAAAAAAGAAUUUGACUGUCAUUUAAUUACAUUAAAAAAAAUGUCAUAGAAAGUGUUGUGUCAGUUUUAAUCAGAGGAUGGGAGUGCAUUACGACUAUUGUAUAUAUGUUAUGUUUUCAUGAUGAUGUUGUUUAAAUAUUUAGUGCUUGUUUGGUAUGACUUAUUUAAUAACUAUAAGUGCUUAUUUAAUCUCAUAAGUUCAUAUCAUAAUUUUUAUUGUUGUUUGGUUGUUUUUCUAAUAGAGCUUUUAAAACUUAAAUAAGUUAUUUUACCUCUACUACUAAAAGCUCCAAUUUUGAGCUUUUGAGAGUAGAGGCUGAGAAGUUUUUUUUUUUUUAAAUGUCAAAAUAUCUAAAAUAUCCUCUACUUAUUUAAUAAUUGUAUUUAUUAUUUUUAUAAUAUAACUUUAAAAAACUUGCCUAUUAUAAUAACUUCAUAAAUUUUUAAUAAAAAUUUUUAUUGACAACCAAACAACUAAAUAUUUUUUAGUAAAAACUCGAUUUACAAAAGCUCUAUUAACAAAAACUCUAUUUAAAUAAGCUCUACUUUAAAAGCUGUACUAAACAGAGCCUUAAACCGAUACCUAAUAAUAACACAAAGCAGCUCGAGCCUAGCUCACCCAACUAAUGAAAAAGAAAAUGAUUUAGCCUCCUGCUAUUAGAUAGGUGUAAUGCAUGCAUGUAAUACACACAUUUAUUCAAAAGAAAAUACAUUUAUUUAUUCAAAAGGAAAUACAUUUGUAUGACAGAUGUAUGAGUAAUGCAGUGCCAAAAGUCUUCACUUAAAAGUUGAAGGCAUAUCAUCAAAACACGUGACCCCUAGAGAUAGAAACUUGAACAUUCACAAUGAUCAAUGCAACUUGUCCUUCAUUGUUCCAGAAGAUAGCUAGGCACAUUAAUCCUCCAACAUUUCUCAAUGGAUUUCAAAAUCAUCGACAAUAUAUAGCUUUAUGGUUCCCUUUUUUUUAUUCUAAUAUUGAAAUUAAUUGGUAACUUCACAGAACUGACAAUUUCUUGGCACUCAUUUUGUAGGGAAUUGAGAUUGUAACUUACAAAUUUAAUAGCAUUUUGAAGCCAAGGAAAUCUAGUCUCAAUUAAUAUGACUCUAGCUUCAGGAGAUUAUGUCUCUAGACAAAUACUGAUGAUCAUGAAGUGACGGAUGCAUUCUAGUGAUAUAUUCCUUAAAUCGCUUAUAUAUUAUGAUUUUUUUCAGAUCUAAUGACCCAGUAAUUAUUUUUGAGCACAUAUAACACCUAGAUCAUUAAUAAUGGUGAUCAGCAUUGUUUUAAGAUUUAGAGCAAAUUAUGUGAUAGCCUAGGGACACUUGGCCAAAUGUUUCCUACAGUUAAAACAAGAUGUUUGUUAAAGUAUCUCAAUAAAGAGUAAGAUGGCGGGAAAGCUGUAGUUCAAUAUGCAGAGAUCUUUUGGCAUUUGGAAACAAUAAUCUUGAAGGUUCUAGAUCCUCACCAGGAUGAAAAGGCCAGAAAUUGAUCAACAAAAUGAAGGGUGCAUAAUAUGCAGCAAGUGAAGACAACAGUACACAACGGUCUUAUCAUCAUUGUGCAUAUUCAUCAAUUAGUCUCAGUCAUAAAUCAACAAUUGUAACAGUUGUAAGUAUAGUACAGAGACCUUAUGUAAAAAGCAAGUGAACUCAUGAAUAAAGAUGUGCUGGUUACAUCAAAUUAUUCUGUGCAUUGCUUUCGUAUUAUUCUCUGCACAAAAUAGCCAUCAUUUUAUGUAAUUUAAACUUGGUAUCGGAGCUCUCAUUCCAGAAAUGGGCGUGAUUCAAUAUCGUAGUUCAACUGAGGAGGUUGACCUUAGUGAGCAAACACUUGAAACACCAGCAGUAACACAACAGUCAUCAUCCUUAAUUAUUGGGCAAAACUCCUCUCAAAUUUUCCUUUUCAGUGUCCACAGAACUUGACAGAACUAUGUCAUCUAGAGGACCAAGGUCAUGCCUGCCAUACGUCGCAAUGGUCUGGAGCACCUCAUUAGUGACUCACAAGACAUACCAACCAAAUAUAUCAUCAGUACUGAGGAUGACGGCACAACCAAAUCAAAACUAAGACCAAAUUUUGUGAUGUGUUGCAAACCGGACCAACUACUCCUUAGUUGGCUUCUUUCUACAAUCACAGAAAGUAUUAUUUGUGCUGUGACUCAUUGCACAGCUUCUCAGUUGUUGACAGUGCUGGAGAAAAUUUACUCUUCACAGUCCAUGGCUAGGUCAAUAGUGCUAAGGAUGCAACUGCAUAGCACUAGAAAAGACAAUAUGAUUAUCAGUGAAUACUGCACCAAGAUGAGAAAUCUGGUAACGGAACUUGUUACUGCUAGAAAGAUUGUCUCAAAUGAAGAUCUCUGCAACCACAUUAUCACAGGACUUGACAGAAGCUAUGAGUCUGUGUUGGGGAGCCGGACUUCAAUGCUUUAAAACAUUCCUUUUUGAAGAACUCUGCUCAAUCCUCUACAGCCAUGAAGCAAGACUUGAACAGCAAGCCACUGCUGAAGCACAAGCUGCCUAUGAGGCAAAUGUCACCAUGAAACACAAGUGUGGGAUGAAUGAGAAGAAGGAAGGUCAUGGGAAAGGAUACAAUCCAAACCAAGGACCUGGAAAGUCUCAUGGAGGCAGAGGAAGCAACAAUAACAGCUUAAGAGGAAGGGGCAGAGGUAGAUAUGGAGGAAAGAAAACAGUCUUUAAGCCUGAUGUCACCUGUCAUAUUUUGCUUCAAAGUUGGUUACACUACAGUGAGUGUUGGCACAUACGUGAGGAAGACUUUGUGCCCAGAAACAAUGAGCAACAACACCAAAGAGCGGCCUUUGUUGUAGCUAAUGAAGGAGUGCUUGAAACAGGGUGGAACCUAGACAGUCGUACGACAAACUAUGUGACUAAUGACCUCAACAACUUGAGCAUGAGAUCUGAGUAUAAAGGUAAUUCCUUUCUCAUGGUUUGAAAUGGACACAAAUUAAAAAUAUCACACACUGGCACAAUACUAUUUCCUUUAUCUUUUGGUUAAAAAAGAAGAUACUUGACUCUUAAGAAUGUUUAAUAAUGUUCUAUAUGUACUUGAUAUAACCAAUAAUCUCCUUAGCAUGUCAAGUUUGAUCUCAGAAAACCAUCUUAAUAUCUUGUUUACUGAAAAACAUUGUUGUUGUAAAGGACAAGCUGGGGAGUGCUCUUCUUCAAAGAACGAAUCAUGGAGGACUGUUUGUGGUCAGUAGAACUGCUGAAAAUAAAGCGGGAAGUGUUGCUGUCAAUUCUCUUUUAAGUUCACAGUCUUUUUUUGCAAUUAUAAUAGAGUCAAAUUCAGUUGAGUUUGAUUCUAAGUCGGCAGAGUUUGAAUGUGUUCAGUCUAUUGAGUCAAAUAAAAAUCGAGUUGGAUAUGUGAAGCAAUUAGACCUUUUAGAUAGAAAGUUUGGUCAUCCAAGUGAUGCUGUACUCAAAAUAAUAGUGUCAAGCUGUAAUAAUAUCUCAGCCUUAAAUAAAAAAGAAUCAAGUUCCUUUUGUUCAGCCCAUAUAUAUAGAAAGAACCAUAAGCUAAGCUUCAAAAAAAGCUCACGGACUAAAACGCAAGCAACAUUAGAAUUAUUGCACAAUGAUAUCACCUAUUCCAUUAGGAGAAAGAUACAAAUACUAAGCAUAGUAGAUGACCACACUAGGUACACUUCACUAGGACAUUUCCACUCAUUAACAAAUCUGAAACAACAAAAAUCUUUAAAAAAUUUAAAGAACAAGUGGAAAGAACAUCAGAAAAGAAAACUUAAGUGCUUAAGUGACUGAGAGGUGAAUUUAGGCCAUUAAAGGGUAUGUAGAGAUAUGAGGAAUAGUCUUUAUAUAUUCAUGCCCUUACACUUCAAUGAAGAAUUGAGUGGAACUGUAUAUAUGCCACAACCAGAUGAAUUUGAAAGCAAGGAAAAUUGGAAAAACCAAGCUAUGUCUGUGAUUGGAAAAAGCACUAUAUGGCUUAAAGCAGGCACAAGGAGUAUGGUAUAAGAAGCUGAGAGGAGUUUUGCUGACUUGCGGAUUCAAAAAGCAAUCUCAGACAAAUCGCAGACACAUUAUUAUUUCUCGGGAAGAAUAAGGGAAAGUCAGUAUAUGUACUUAUAUAUGAUGAUGACAUAUUGAUCACAGGAAGUGACCAAAGAACGACUGAAGGCGUUAUCAAACAAUUGAAUGAAAGUUUUGCUUUUAAAUUACCUCGCAUACCCAUCUAUUUUAUGCAAAUUGAAGCAAAAAGAGACUGUGGAGGGAGGCACUCGUGCUAAGAAAAGUAUAUACAGGAUCUACUAAAGAAAACCAAAAUGUUACAGCUAUAAGAAUAGUACGGAGACCUUGUAUGAAAAGCAAGUGAACUCAUGAAUAAAGAUAUGUCGGUUAUAUCAAGUUAUUCUAUGCAUUGCUUUCAAAUUAUUCUCUGCACGAUAGCCAUCAUUUUCAGUAAUUUAAACUCUUACGCUAAUUGGAAAAUGCACUGGCUUGCUUCUGCAGUAAUGUGGUUGUUGGAUUGGACCAUUGAUUUUAAGUGAUGAAGACAAAAUUCAACAAGGAACUCAUACGAGCCACAUGGAAAAAUUCAUUUUUAAUCAUUAUUAAUCACAUAAUAUGAUCCAUGUAGCAAAAAUUAAAUUUAUUAUUAAUAUGAGCCAAGGACUAAUUAUUUCAUACAACAAAGACAACAUUAUGGUAUUUGUUAUUUAGCUUUAUUAUAUGUUGUUCCCUUUCUAUAAAUAAGACUUCGAGCCGUAUUGAAUAAAUAAGGUGAAAGUUAAUUAUCUGCAAUCAUGACAUAUUCCCAAGAUUCAAAAAUCAAUUCAAAUGCCACCUAACAAUAUUUAUUAAAAAUUAAAAAAAUAAAUAUAAAUAGAAACAAAUUAAUGAUUUUCGACUACCCCAAAAUCUAACACAUUUUUUAUCCUGCUGAUAUCUAAAAUCUUGAUUCUCUCAAACUAACAAGAGUUAGAAACAAAACCUAGUCAAAGCAGUGGAUUUAAUUAUACAUUUGUAAAAAUUAUGGCAUCAUCCAUUUUGGAUGCCACAUUAUUUUUAUAUCUAUCGCAAUUUGAUGAGGCAAAGGAAAAAUGAUGACUUUUUUCGAUGAGAAAAAAGAAAGAUGGCUUGUUUUUUAAUGAAGAACAAAAAAAUGACUUCAUUUUAGUGAGGCAAGAGAAUAUUGAUUGCUUCUUUUAUCUUCUUCACUGCUUGUUUCGGUUGCAAUAUUUCAAAUUAGUGCAUGAUUAAAAUUCUGUUUUUUAUAAAAUCACAUCACAGAUGAAGAUAUGUGGAAAGAAAAUUAUCGACGAAGAAGACAUACUUAACAUUUCGUGCUAUAAACAUGAUUCUGCAGCAAUAAUAUAGAGCUCACUAACUUGAUACACAUAAAGUUGGUUUUGAAGCAAAAUGCUAUCACACAGAAUCGUGGUGAAAAUCAUUGACAUGACAAGGUCAUAGUCGUGCUAAAAAUCAUGGUUACAAUUAUGAUUGACGUCAUGAUCUUGAAGAAAUCAUUAUCAACCUUAUAAUGAUAGUAUACAUCUGGAUAUCUUAGAUACAUGAGGCGUAAACAGUUGAUUUAAUUGGUUAUAAAGAUAUCUAUACCUGUUAAGAUUACUAUUAAAUUUUAUUAGCUUUUAUAUUCCUAUCUAUUUUAUUUUUUAUGACGAUGCCUAACAUAUUUUACUCGUGAAAGGAUAUAGAUACUCAAAGGGGAUUGCAUCAUAAAGAAAUGUGUUUAGCUGGCACUAUAACUACACUAACUAUCCUUUGAAAUAAUAAAUAUUUUAUGAGUUUGUAAUCAUUUGAAGCUAAGAUAAGUGCCAUCUUAGGUCCUGUUGAGAUCUAGUUGAAGACUCCAGAACAUUCACGUUCAUAUUACCAAGUUAUAACAAAAUUACAUAUCUAUAAUGCUCUGUAUUCACUAAGAGUAGAAGAAAUCUUUUGAGUUUCAAAUAUAUUCGCAGUAAUGAAUUUCAUAUAGAGAAAAUAAAUGAGAAUAAUACAAAAUGUCUCUAUAUUACUUCUAGUGUCUUAGGUAAAAAUGUAUAUUGGAAAAGCUUUCUACUUUCUGAUCUGACUUAUAUUCAUACAACGAUAAAACUAGUUGGGAGCUACACAAUCAUGAACCAAAGACUUUGUGAUUCAAAAGUUUUUAUAUCUCAGUCACCUAGGCCAUGAUGAGUAGAAUUAUCGAGAAUUCUUAUGGACAUCAUUUAAAGAAUCUAAAGAUUAUUCUCUCCAAUGAGAAUAGUUGCACUACUUGUUCCUAGGGUAAAUUAGCACUUAGACCAUCAGAUUCGAAGAUUGGUCUUGAAUCUCUAUUGUUCCUACAAAUAAUUCAGGCAGAUAUAUGUGGACUUAUUAGCCCAUCUAGUGGUCUAUUUCAUUAUUUUAUGGUCUUGAUUGAUGCAUUUGACAGUAGUCAUAUGUUUAUUUAUUAUUUAUAUACAACAUUGUAUUUACUAGAUUGCUUGCACAAGUUAUUAAGUUACCUGCACAAUUUUAAGAUUAUCUAGACAAUGCUAGUAAGUUUACGUCUAAAGUUAUUGGUGAUACUACAGUUCUUUGGGAUUGAUAUAGAGCACCCAAUAUCACAUAACUUAGAAGGGAUUGGUAGAAUCCUUCAUCAAACUGCUUUAGCUGAUUAUAAGAACUUUAUUGUUUCAUGCUCAAUUACCUAUUUUUUGCAUAUGGACAUACUAUUUUGCAUGCUAUGGUACUAAUACCUAGAGGCAUACUGCCUAUCACCAAUAUUCCUCAUUGCAAUUAGUACAUGGCAUCAACCUAAUAUAUCUCAUUUGUGCACUUUUGGCUAUAUUGUGCAAGUUCUUGCGACACCCCCCUAGUGUACUGAAAUAAGACUUCAACGAUAUUUUGAAUUUUAUGUGCAUUUUGACUAUCUAUUAUCAGAUGUCUUAAACCUAUUACCAAUAAUUUUUUUACCGCAUGCUUUUACGAAUUUCCAUUUUAAUGAGAUAAAAUUUCCUUUGUUGGAGAAAAAAAAAAAGCCACCAUAUGCUGGGAAUGAGCUUUUAUAAUAAGUGACAAAAUUGUCUCCUCUAGAUUACCAUACCACUCAAAGUGAAAAUGAAAUGUGGUGAAUAAUUCUCUUACAAAAAAUUAUAAAUCGCUUGUUAGUUGUAUUUACAAAUGUAUCUAAAGUAAUCAAGUCAUAUGUACUGGCUGCAAAUGUACUUGGCCAAUUAGUUGCUCCUAAUUUUAAUAAAUAAAUAAAACUAUUUGAAUCGUCUAUGGCACGCCUUAAGUAUUGUAGACCCAUUGGCUCAAAGGACAACAUUCUGCUGAAAAGAAAAACAAAAAGUUAGGAUCUGUUAUCAUGAAUGAUCAGGCUCUAAGUGAAAGUGGUCCUUCAAAGCAAAAGGUCCUUGAUGAGAACUAUGUGCCUACAGUAACACUACCUCCUAAAGAGACAAUUACCUUAAAUAUGGCCAAGCACUUGAUGUGGCUUAGAAUGAAGAAAAUACACAAAUUUUGCUCACAAAAAAAGGUGUGGAAUCUUAAAGAAACAAUCAUCGAUGAUAAUUUGCGUUUACAGUAGCCACUGGUUUAAUAAAUGAUGAUAUUGAACUGUAAUCCAUUGAUAUGUAGAUUGAGACAUGAUUGGCCUGCAUAGGAAGAAGCAAUCCAUAUGAAGUUGGCUUCUUUGGCAAAAUGAUUAUUUUUUAAUGUAACCUAAAUACCUACUUGUAUUAAAUCUGUUGGAUAUAAAUAGAUAUUUUUUAAGAAAUGUAACUAAAAGAAUAAGGUCAUUAUAUAUAAAGCACGACUCAUUACACAAGGUUUUUUUACAGAGACUAGGUAUUGACUAUGGGAUACCUAUUUAUUGGUAGUGCAUAUAGUUACAUUCCAAUUCUUCUAUUUGAGAGGCUUGAUACGCAUUUAAUAGAUAAGUGAUAGGUUUUUGUGUGUAUGAAAACUCCUAAAGGAUUCAAAAUGCUUAAAGCAUUGUAGUCACCACAUUGUAGCUUGUAUUCUACAAAGCUAUAGAAAUCUUUAUAUGAAUUGAAACAAUCUUGACAUAUCUGAUAAAGUUUCCUUAGUGACUACAUGAUCAAGGAAAGAUACAUGAAUGAUCUUAUUUGUCUUCGUGUAUCUAUAAACAAGCUAAAAUCUAGAUUUGCUAUUGCAGUAGUCUAUGUUGAUAAUAUGAAUUUGAUUGGAACUCUCAAAAAUGUCCAAAAGCCUACUGAUUAUUUAAAAAAGAGAGUUUAAAAUGAAAAUUUUGGGGAAAACUAGAUACUAUGUAAAGUUAUAGAUCGAGCACAAAUCUAAAAAUAUCUUCAUUUUUUAGUAAAAUUAUUAUGAAAAGAUAUUAAAAUGUUUUAAUAUGGACAAAACUUCUCUAUCAAUUACCCCAAUGGUAGUUUCAUCUCUUGAUCUUAAAAAGAUUCAUUUAAUCCUAAAGAGGAUGAUGACCAAGUGCUUGCUUCUUCAAAUACCAUAAGUUGAAUGCCCGUUGGUGCUUUAAUAUAUUUAGCCCAAUGUACUAUAGCUGUGUUCAAUAACUUGUUAGCAAGGUUUAAAUCUUGAAUUGAGCUAGACGACAUUGGAAUGGUGUUAAACAUCUUUUUCAUGAUCCUCUUGGAAUUAUCAAUUUCAGUUUAUUUUAUUCUAGUAAAUUAACCAAAAAUCUAAGUCUUAUUAGUUUUGCAGAUAUCCUCAUAAAGCUCGUUCUUAGAGGGGUUAUGUUUUUACUUAUAAUAAAUAUUGAUUUCUUAAAAAUAUGUGAAGUUGACUCUUGUACUUGCAUUUUCCAAUCGCUUUGAGAUCCUUGUAUUGCAUGAAGCAAGUAGAGAAUACUUAUGGUUGCGGUCCAUUAUGCAUCAUAUCCAGGAUGCUGAUAAAUUAUCUUCAAGUGCAGACAUCCAAACGGUAAUAUAUGAAAAUAAUGUUUCUUGUAUAGCUCAAUUCAAGAGAGCAUAUAUCAAAGGAGAUUGAACAAGGUUACCUCACCAAAGUUCUUCAAUACUCAUGAGCUCCAACAAAAUAAGACGAUCGAUAUCAAGCAGAUACAUUACACAAAUAAUUUUGCAUAUAUAUUUAUUGAAGCUCUAUGCAUAUCAACAUUUUAGAAAAUAGUAUAUGGCAUCAGAAUGUGCCAUUUAAACAGAAUAUCGAGACGAUCAUUAGUGGAAUGCUCAUCAGGAGAAGAAAAAUUUUACCAAAGAAGAAUUUCAAUAAUUAAAUUGGAUACAUCUGCACUAUUCUCGUUUUUUUCCCUUUGAAUAGAUUUUUCUACAAGAUUUUAGUGGCAAAGGUUUUUAAUUAGAUAAUUUAAACCACAUGCAGCCCACUUUAUGGUUCGCUAAAUUAUAUUUCUUUUGGUUGAGCUUUUUUUCUAUUGAGUUUUUCCAUAACAAAAGUCAAAUACAAUUAUCGUGAAGUGGUGGAUACCAAAGUGGGGGUGUUAUGGAAAUUAGUGAUUUAAAAAACAAUUCAAGAGAUUUGACGGCUAAAGAGCUAAACAAGUCAAUCAAUUCUGGGUAUUAAGAUCACGAUGUGUCCUAAGGCUUGGCUGUGUUUUAAUUAGCUGAUGGAUUCGCUGAAUAGAGAGCACUACUCUUUGUAAUUUGUAUCCGAAGGCUUGGCUGUGUUUUAAUCGGUUGAUGGAUCCUAUAAAUAGGGAGCACUGCUCUUUGUAAUUUGUAUCUGAAAUUGAAAGCGUUAUCAAUUACAAUAAUAUCAUCUUUCUUUAUAUCAUCUAUUUAUCUAUUUAUACGUCUUACCUAUAUUCUCAAUAAUUAUAUUAUAAUUGAUAUUUUUAUUGUUUAUUGUUCACUGAAUAAUUCUUUUUUUAACCUUUGCUUACUAAUGGAAUUCUUUUUUUUUUUUAAUAUUCUCUUUAGCGUAUGAAAUUGAUACAAUUUAUUUUUUUCGAUUUUAGUACUUUUUUCGUUCAACUACUUAGGAAUUGUUUGGUAAUGAGAUGAUGUGGUUUUUAAUAUACAGUUGUUGGGAUACAAGCUAAAUUUGUCAAAGAAAAGCUUAUAGAUUAGGGUAAAUAAUAAGUUUUGUAUUAAUUUUUAUAUUUAACAAUUAUUACAAAAAUUAUGAAAUAAAAAAAAAACCACCAGCUAGGCAGUGGAGCCACAACGUAGUGUGUUUUACCAAACACCCUAAUAACUGAACUUUGGCAACCUCGCUGUUGGAAAUCAGGCCCAAACAGAUCCCUAACUAGGGUGUUUAAAUGUCUACAAUUAAGAUUAGUUUAGAAAAUAAGUUCCUAUUUAGUAUUGAGGGGCUAUCUACAGCUAAUGUCGAACAAAAUUGUAACUAUGAAAUAAAAGUUAAUAAUAUAUAGUAAAUAUAAUUUUUAAACAAUAAUUUUGAUAAAAUUAAUAAAGGCAUAAUAUUUUUUUUUAUCUUAUAUGUAUAAAAUCAAAUAAACUUAACUUCUAAACUACAACAACUAAUAUUUAUCAAACACUUUAAUGUUGUAUCUUAAAAUCUAUAACUAUCCAACCUCAAUUUUAAAUAGGGCCCAAGUAUGGGUAAUGCGUGGGAUUUAGCAUCUCACAACUUACCUAGCAUGUUAUUAGUGAAAUUACAUUUACAAUAUUUUUAGCCCACUUACGUAGAUGGAUCAACUGGCUGUUAACAUGUUCUCCACCAUGGUCAUCAGAGUUCAAGAAAAGGAUUUAUACUGUUUAGUAGGUGAAGUUUCACAUUUCCAUCCAAAUAAUUUAUUAAAAAAAUAAAUCAAGAGUAUUCAUUGUGAAAAAGAAGUUUUUGUCCAAACAUUAAAAGGAUCUUCCAAAUUAAUGUAAAACAUAGAGCACAAACGAGUUAAUACUCAUUUAUAUAUCAAGUUAAACGGGUUAAUUUUGUGUUAAUUGUGUUAUAGAUAGGCAAGAGUAAGAGACACAAACAAGAUCAAAAGGAUUAUCUUAGAUGGAAAAUUCUAUAGUACUGUAACAAAAAUUACGGUAUUAAUGCCGUAGUUAUUUUAUACUGUUGGAUGAGAUCAACGGUGUACAAUAAUUAAAAUAUAAUAAAAAAUGUAAAUUUUUUUUCUUUAACCGGUUUACAGCCGGUUAUUUAUUUAUAAAAAAAUAAAUUUAACUGGCUAAAACAGUGGCGAAAAAGAAGUGGUUUUUGUUUGCCUCCAAUACUCUUUUCCUACUGAUAAUUGCUUUGGAAGUUGCUCGAAGCAAAAACCGAGGCAAAAACAAGCGAAAAAGAAGAAGCCCUACAACGACGUCGUUGAGGAGAACCGAGCUGAGUUCUUGAUCGUGAAGCGGUUUUGAGUCGACGAUAACGACCCGAAGUUGGCGAUUGAUACCGUAAUCGGCGCCAGCGAUUAAUAACCAUAUAAUCCUCUGCUGCCCUUAAUCUUGUUGAGGGGAAGAGAACCAUGGCAAAUUACUAAUAAAAAUAAGGCAAGUUGCAGGCCACUGAUUCUCCUCUACCACAUUUGCAUUGUCGUUAAUUUCAACAUGUGUUUUUUUUUUUUACAAUUUAUUUGACCAAGACACACAAAUAUAUAUAGAGGAGAGAGCAUGCACUAGACUUUGAUAUGAUUUUUUCUUGUUAUUACAAGUAUUACUUGAAUACAAGUAAUAUGUCCUGUUCUGAAAACACAUAUUGUCGAAUUAUGUAAUGUUCAUUUGGUUUGUAUCUUAUAAUUUCUCUAGUUUAUUCAAUCUGAUUUGCUGACACUUAUGCCCAAUAGCCGUAGUUUCCUUUUUUACAAAUCCACUUAGAAAAAUUUCUUUGUUAGUGGUUCUAUUUUUAUUUAUUUAUUUUUGAGUGAUUUGCCAAUGAGUUAAAUUUGUGCUUGGAUCCUACAUAUUGGUAGUUAACGUUGAUGCUUUGUUGGAAUUUCUAAUAGAGUGAGUAAAUUUUGUUGAAAUUUCUAAGUAGAGUCUUCAAGUUAUUUGUUGAAAUGCCCGAGAGAAAUAAUGUGUUUGUAUAUGUUCUAUUAUUCAAAUAUGAGGUAUGAAAAUGAAAAUGAAAAUAAAAAUUUUGCGUUUGGGUAAAUUUUCUAUUGUAUUUGGAAUGAUUUGCUGUUGUUUUUUAGUUAAAUUUUUCUAGUGUUUUGGGUUUCAUUUGCUACAGUUUUUAGGUUAAAUUUUCUACUGUUUCUGGGCCAAUUGGCUGUUGUUUUUCAGUUUAAUUUUCUACUAUUUUUAGAUAAAUUUACUGCUGUUUUUGGGUUAUAUUUUUUGCUGUUUUCAAGUAAAUUUUUUGGUGUUUUGAGCUUCAUUUGCUAUUGCUUUAGGUUAAAUUUUAUACUGUUCCUGGGUCAAUUGGCUGCUGUUUUCAGUUUAAUUUUUUGCUAUUUUUAGAUAAAUUUACUACUAUUUUUGGGUUAUAUUUUCUGUUGUUUCUUGGUAAAUUUUUUCUAGUGUUUUGGGCUUCAUUUGCUGCUGCUUUUAGAUUAAAUUUUCUGUUGUUUUUGGGUCAAUUGGCUGCUUUUUUCAAUUUCAUUUUUUGUUCUUUUUAGAUAAAUUUACUACUAUUUUUGGGUUAUAUUUUCUGUUGUUUUUAGAUAAAUUUACUAUUAUUUUUGGGCUUCAUUUGCUGCUGCUUUUGGGUUAAAUUUUUUGUUAUUUCUGAGUCAAUUGGCUGUUGUUUUUUAGUUUAAUUUUUUACUCUUUUUAGAUAAAUUUACACCGGUUUUUGGGUUAUAUUUUCUGCUGUUAUUAGAUAAAUUUAUUGUUGUUUUUGGGUUUAAUUUGUUGUUACUUUUGGGUUAAAUUUUUUGCUAUUUCUGAGUAAAUUUGCUGUUGUUUUUCAGUUAAAUUUUCUGUUGUUUUUGGAUAAAUUUACUGUUGUUUCCAGAUAAUUUUUUUUGCUGUUUUGGGCUUCAUUUACUGCUGUUUUUAUGUUAAAUUUGUUGCUGCUUCUGGGGUAAAUUUGCUGUUGUUUUUCAAUUAAAUUUUUUGUUGUUUUUAGAUUAAUUUUUUUUUUGUAUAUUGGGCUUCAUUUGCUGCUGUUUUGUGUUAAAUUUUUUGUGUUCUAGGUAAAUUUAUUGCUUUUUUUAGUUAAUUUUUUUGUUUUUUUUGGAUAAAUUUACUACUAUUUUUUGGGUUAGAUUUUUUGCUAUUUUCUGGUAAAUUUGCUGUUGUUUUGUGCAUAGAGCUGGCCGAAAAAUGGUCAUGAUGCAUUUUGAAUGCGGAAUGAUGGAGAUUGGUAGUAAAAGUUGCUUGUGUUGUUUUUGCUGCUACUUGCUCUAUUUGAGCUUCUAGAAAUUGUUAAGGGUAGCUGGGAAGAAGAAAGAGAUGAUGAGAAAUGCAAAUUGUUUGUGAGCUUUAGAUUGAUGUACCAAGCCAAUAGUUAUAUUGCAAAAUAUCUGUUUUUUUUUAGUUUGUUAAUUUUAUUUUUUUGGAUUAUAACUAAUGCUAUAAAUAGUUAUUGUUUGUCACUGUUCUGGAAGCAAAUACUAGUCUAACUUUCUAGGAAAGGUGUUCCUAAUUCUUGCUUGGGUGAUUGAAUUUUGUAUUGAAAUGUUUAUUUCUAAAAUAUUUUUAGAGGAUCCAAAACUUGUGAUAUUUGACAUUUCUUUUUGUGCUUAAUAUCUUCAUGUACAGGUUCUUGUAAACUUGAAAAUGGCAGAAAAUGUAGAAUGAGAAUGAUUUCAAGGAGAAUGAUAAUGUGAACCAAGAAAAUGAAAUUUUAAGAAAAAAUCGGCCUUUCAUUGAGCAUAUUUGCACCUCGGAUUAUGAUGAAUGGUUGCACGGCCUACGUGCUAGCAGAUUUAGAUGUGGAUUUGGUGAAUAUUGGCUUUGCAUGUUUGGAGAAUUGAGAGAGAGAGAUUCAUAUUUGGGGAAUGACGAAUAGGAACUACGUUUUAAUUUUUCAUUUUGUCGUUCUCGUCUUCUAUGUUGCCAUUGAGACUUGAGAGCCGAGCCUUUUUUUUACCGCUUUCACUUAAAAAGGAAAAUGAAUAUUAUAAGGAAACGACGUAGUUUUUUGGUGAAUUUUAAAUGUUAUAAUUUUUUGUUGUUGUUUAUAUCUUAAUUAUAUAACAUUAUUUUUUAAAAUAAGUUAAAGAUAAAAUUUAUAACAUUUAUAUAUAUACCUAAAAUAUAUAUAGAACCACUUAUGUUAUGAUUUGUUUUUGGGUUCAGAUUUAUCAUUUUUAGUUAAAUUUUAAAUUUAUGAUUUUAUACCUAAUUUUUCAUUUGGGAAAGGGACAUGGUCGAUUUUUAUAAACUAAUUUAAAGAAAAAUGAUAGGUUUAUGGUUUUAUUAAUAUAUUAUAAUUAAUAAUAAUAAUAAUUUUUGAAUAAAUAAUCACUAUAAUUAAAAUAUAAAAUAAUAAUUAUGAUAAUAAUUCAUUAAGUACAUAUAUUACAUGCAAGGAAGACUAGGCUCGACUUUUAGUCUAAUUGACUUGACCUGAAUUUUUUGGCCUUUGACUGGAAUUUAAUGGUUAGGCUUGGGUCUAAAUAUUAGAGCCCAAUUAAAUUCAUAUUAGGGUUCGGGACCUAUAUGCCCGACCCGACCUGACUUGACCUGACCAUAAAACCUAAAAAAAAUGUAAUAAUAUGAUUACGGCCUUGAAUAAUCUUUAUUUUUAUGUUACUUCAAACAAUUUCUAAAGCUUUUAUAUUUUACUGUAUAUGGAGAGGCUAUGUCCAAUUUUUAAAUUUUAAAUUAACUAAAAAUAAAAAAAAAACUUUAAAAGAAAGUGUGAUCAGGCCUAGGCUUUCAAAUAAUAGGGCCUUUUUGGGCUUGAAAAUUUUAUUUCAGUUAUAGAGUCAGGCUCAGAAAUGGCUAAGCACAGGCCUAACUCGACCCACUGCCAUCCUUUCGAAUAGACUAUUGAUCCAUUAUGAACUCAUCAAUUAAAUUCAUGAUCAUAGUAAAUGUGUUACUAUCAUUCUUUUGUUUGCAAGAACAACUUGUAAACAAAUAAAAACUUAGUAAAAUGACACAGAAUUUGUAAAUUGACAUUAAGUGUAAAAUAAAAUAAAAAAUUUGUAAACCACACAUAAAACUAGUAAAUUGAUGGAAAAUUGGGUAAAUUAAUGUUCGAAUUGUAAAUUGCAAGAAAAACUUGUAAAUAAAACAAAAAUUUAGAAAAAUGACAUAAAACUUGUAAAUUAACAUUAAAUAUAAAAUGAAACAAUAAAUUUGUAAACCACACAUAAAACAGGUAAAUUUAAGGAAAAAUGGGUAAAUUAAUGUUGAAGUUGUAAUUUGCAAGAAGAACUUGUAAGCAAAAUAAAAAUUUAGAAAAAUAACAUAAAACUUGUAAAUUGAUAUUAUGUGUGAAAUAAAACAAAAAAUUUGUAAACCACACAUAAAACUAGUAAAUUGAUGAGAAAAUGGGUAAGUUAAUAUUUGAGUUGUAAAUUGCAAGAAGAACUUAUAAACAAAACAAAACCAAACCUUAGAAAAAUGACAUAGAACUUGUAAAUUGACAUUAAGUGUGAAAUGAAACAAAAAAUUUGUAAGCCACACAUAAAACUAAUAAAUUAAUAGAAAAAUAGAUAAAUUAAUGUUAGAAUUGUAAAAUACAAGAGGAACUUGUAAACAAAAUAAAAAUUUAGAAAAAUGAUAUAGAACUUGUACUUUGACAUUAAGUGUGAAAUGAACUAAAAAUAUGUAAAUCACAAUUAAAACUAGUAAAUUGAUGGAAAUGAUCCCCGGGUUAGCUCAUUUAAUUACUGCACCACUACUGGAUUAAUAAGCAAGACAACUGGCUAUUUGGGUCAAAAGCCUAAAUAUAUCAUUUAGUGGGAGGCUCCAUUUAAUUAGCUUAUGUGUAAGGGGUCUUAUGUUAUUUUACAAGGUGGGUCCCCUAUAGAAAAAACAAGUAACGUGAGUUUUGAUUUUCAUUAUUUGGAGUCUAGGGUUUUCACUAAAGGGAGAUAUAAAAAGGCUUAUUUUCUCUAAAGAAAAAAGAGCAGCCCCUUUAUACAAAUCAGAGAAAAAGAUUUUUCUCUUAGUUAUUGAGAGAAAAAUUUUCUCGUGCUAGUUGCUUUGAUAGUGAUAAAGGCAUCCACACGUCAAGUGCAGAUCGACCUUGAGUCAUAACCUGGAAGAUCAUUGUGACAAUUUGUGAUCUAACAAGCGUAGUGGUGACAGAUCGUGAUCUAACAUGAGUGGUGGUGACGGAUCGUGAUCUGGGAGCCUAAAUCACUUCAACAGAAAAAAGCCAAAUCGGAUUUUCAAGGUACGAUUUCUAGAUUACAAAUUCUUAUAUAUGAUAUGAGAGCGAUCUUAAAAGGUUUUAUAAAAAUUUAAAAACUAUAUUUUUCUCCAACAAUUGGUAUCAGAGCCAUCUCAUAUUAAUAUAUAAGAAUAUUGUAUGAAAUCAAUCUUGAAAUUUAUAUAUUAGAGUGGCACAAUUUAUUCAAAUAUAUAUUAUUAUUUUAAUAUAUGAAUAAAGCAUGGUUUUGGUUUGUCUUAAUUCAUGGUUAGAUUUUACACUGUAUUUUUUCUUCGGAUCUGUAACAAGAGGGGUGACUUUUCAUCACGAUGUUUCCCUCUUGAUUUAUUUUACUGUUAUAGAAUUUUUGUAAGCCAAAAUUGGCCUAGGAAAUUUGUAAAUCAAUCAUGGAUGUCAGAUCAUAGGAAACGAAGGCCGGAUAUUUUGAUAGCACCAAUAAACCAGCGCGUGCGGCCAGCAAUGGCCAGCGGCCCGCGCUGCACGUGCUGCAGCUGCAAGCAACGCUGCCAGCAGCGUGUAGCUCACGGGUUCCAUCAUUUGGUGGCUUUCCGGCGUGGCGGCAAUGGUUAAAUCGGCGUCGAACUUGGAUGAACAGUGACUGGCUUUGUGGUGAUGGCGGCUGGGGAGAGUAAAAGAUGGAUUUAGGGUUUCAAUGGUUUUUAUCAUUGAGAUCCCUAUGGCUCCAUAUUUUUUUUCUUUUUGGGCAGACACGUUUAAAUUUUUGCAGUUAAGUCCAAAAACAGUUUUGGGCUUAAGGAAUCAUAGUUUAUGCUCAAUUUCAAUUGGGCUUAAUGGAUUAAAAUGCAUAGAUAAAAUUGAACACAUUAAAUUUAUUUUUGGUCCAAAAGUUUUAUUUUAAUAAAAAAAAUUAAUUAUUUAUUUAUUUCCUUUCAAAAUUAAAGUUGGACCAAUAAUAAAUUUAAAAGCCCAAUUUCCCCUAGUCCAUCAACAAAGACAAGCUUAUGAAGAUGGACAUUGACAAGAAGCCCAAUGAAGAUUAGGCUUAGGGUUAAUGUAUUUUUCAUUAUUAGGAAAACCAUGAAUUAAGAUUAUUUAAUUAUUUGUUUUAUAUGUUAUGUUUUGGAUGAUAACAUGCCAUAAUAACAUGUCAUAUAGAAUAGGUAGUGUCACUCUAUGCAUAAUGAUACAUGUCAUUCAUUAAUAAUGAAUUUCAUUAUAUUGUUUGAAAUUUGUGUAUGCUUAAUAAUAUUGGAUAUCAUCUAGAUAAUAUUAUAGGAAGCAUGCAAUUAACAAUAUGUAUGUUUUAAAAGGAAAAACCAAUUUUAAAAUAUUGAGUGGGAGAGGGAAAAUUCAAGAUAAUUUUCCCACGGACUCCAUUGUUAGUUCAAUAAUAAAAUUAUAUAUAUACAUCGACUUCAUGAUACGGUGAUGCUCCCUUCGGAGGGUAUAUAUAUUAGAUAUUUUACUUGAUGAACUUCUUCAAAGAUAAAAUUGAAAUAUUUUUCAAUCGAUUGUUCACCCCAACGAUGACUAUUGAUAUGAAAAAUACGUAGAUUGAAACAAUGGUUAUACACUCAACUAAAAUUUGUUAUUAACCUUCCCAACGAAGUUCUGUUAACAAAUUUAGGCCAAAAAAGGAUAACGAUAAUUAUUUAUCAUGUCUCUACAUGAAAGUAAAUAAUCCAAUGGGUAAUUGGGUCUAGUAAGUAUAGACAUGACUUCCCCAACGGAUAGCUUGUCAAAGCAGAACUAGAUUAUCGUUACAAUAAAUUAAAAUGCAUUUAUGGUUUUAUGCAUUUAAACAAACUCACUGGAGAGAACUAUAUAGAUUUGAAAAUAAAUCUAUUCAUUGUCCUGACUGCUAAAAAUUAUAAAUAUGUCUUAACCCAGCCAUGCCCUCCAGUUCCAGCGGAUGAUGCUCAUAGAAAUCAGAGGAGGCUUUAUGAGAAAUGGCAAAAGGCCAAUGAAAUGGCAAAAUGCUACAUUUUAUCCUCGAUUUCUAACAUUCUGCAGACCAAACAUCAGAACUUGGAGACUGCCACUGAAAUAAUGGAUAGUCUCCAACAGAUGUUCGGGCAGAGUACUCGCUCCGCGAGACAAGCAGUGCUGAAAGGAAUUAUGAACAGUAAAAUGGGGAAGGGCACAAGAGUUCGUGAUUAUGUCCUCAAAAUGAUGGAUUAUUUGAAUGAGGCUGAGAUUCAAGGAGCACAAAUCGAUGAUAACUCAAAGAUUGACACGGUGCUAGAAUCUCUGCCAGAAACAUUCAAGGAGUUUAAGGUCAAUUAUAGCAUGAACAAAAGAAACAUGACCUUAACUGAAUUGAUGAACGAACUCCAUUAUGCUGAAGAGAUCUAUCGUGCUGAGAAAUCUCUGGGAAGUAUAAAUAUUGCUGAAAAAGGUUCUUCUAGAUCUAAGCCGAAAGGCAAAUGUAAGAAGAAAGCUGGGAAAAAGAGACCGUCUACCAAGCAAUAUGGCGAGCCAAAAGGCAAAUGCUUCAAGUGUGAACAGAAAGGUCACUAAAAAAAGGAUUGCCCUAAGAUUGUGAAAUCAGGUAUGGGAAAUCUUUUUGUAAUUGAGGCUUGUUUAGUUCAGAAUCCUAUUGACACUUGGGUGUUGGAUUCAAGAGCAACUAAUCAUAUUUGUAAUUUACUUUAUUGGUUUCAGGAAACUAGGAAAAUAAGUGAAGGAAGCGUAAAGCUGCAGUUAGGGACAGGACAAUUCGUGUUGCAGUGAAGACUGGAUCUAUUUUAUUAUCUUUUAAUAAUGAGACUUUAGUUUUGAAUAAUUGUCUUUAUGUUCCAGACAUUAAGAGGAAUUUAAUUUCAGUAGCUUGUUUGUCAAAGCAAGGGUACACUGUAAACUUUGGAUCCUCUAUUUCUAUUUUUCAUAAUAAGAGACUUAUUUGUUCUGGUACAUUAGAAGAUAAUUUAUAUCAUUUAAGUCCAACGAUCCAUUCUAUGCAUGACACAAUGAUCAAUAAUGAUGAGCAUACACAUUUUUCUAAGAAAAUAAAUAUUUCUUCCAACCAAUGUUACCUCUGGCAUUUACGUUUGGGUCAUAUCAACCAAAAUAGGAUACAGAGAAUGAUCAAAGAUGGGCUCUUAGGUCCAUUAGAAAAUGAAUUAUUGCCACUCUAUGAAUCCUGUUUAGAAGGAAAAAUGACCAAAAGGCCAUUCUCGGCCAAAGGAGUACGUGCAACAGUACCACUUGAAUUGGUACAUACAGAUGUAUGUGGACCAAUCAAUAUACAAGCUCGAGGAGGUUAUGAGUAUUUCAUCACUUUCACUGAUGAUUACUCGAGAUACAGUUAUGUUUAUCUGAUGCGUCACAAGUCUGAAGCUCUUGAGAAAUUCAAAGAGUAUAGGGCUGAGACAGAAAAGCAAUUAGAUAAGAACAUAAAGAAACUUCGAUUUGAUCAAGGUGGUGAAUUUCUCUCAGGAGAUUUCAAAGAGUAUCUGGUUGAAAAUGGGAUUAUAUCUCAAUUGACUGCCCCGGGAACACCACAAAAAACUGAGGUAGCUGAAAGAAGAAAUAGAACUCUUUUGGAUAUGGUGAGAUCUAUGCUUAGUUAUUCGUCAAUACUAAUCUCUUUUUGGGGACUAGCACUGGAAACUGCAGUUUACCUCUUGAACUUAUUUCCAUUUAAGUCAGUGCCUAAAACCCCAAUAGAAUUAUGGUCAGGUCGCAAACCAAGUUUACGACAUGUCGGUAUUUGGGGAUCACCAGCACAUGUGCUGAAACCAAAGGCAGACAAAAUGGAUUCACGUUCUGAGGUUUGUAUGUUUGGGGGGUAUCCCAAAGGAAUAAGGGGAAGUUUAUUUUAUAGUCCUCAAGAUAGGAAAGUGAUUGCGAGCACACAUUUCACUUCCCUCAAGGAAGACUAUAUGAAUAACUUCAAACCUAAGAGUAAUGUAAUACUUAAAGAACUGUCAGGUGAUCAGGUUGAUGCUCAGCUUUCAACGCUUCAACGCCUGUUACAGAACAAGAAGAACAACAACAACCAGAUGAUCAACACAGGAUUAUUCCUGAACAACCAUCACUUUUAGAAUCUCGUUGUAGUGGGAGGGUAACUAGGUUACCUGCGAGAUACAUGCUUUUGGGAGAAACCUAUAUUGCUAUCUCAGAUGAACAUUUACAAGAUCCCACUAGUUACAAUGAAGCUCUAAUAGAUAGAGAUGUUGAAUUUUGGAAAAAGGCAAAGAAUUAAGAAAUGGAAUCUAUGUAUUCCAAUAAAGUCUGGGAACUUGUAGAGGCACCAAAUGGGGUAAAACCUAUAGGGUACAAGUGGAUCUACAAGAGAAAAAGAGGAGUAGACGGAAGGGUGGAAACAUUUAAAGCAAGAUUAGUAGCCAAAGAGUUUACUCAGAAAGAGUGAAUCGAUUAUGAGGAAACCUUUUCUCCGGUUGUUAUGCUUAAAUCCAUCAGGAUUCUGCUCUCCAUUGCUGCAAUGCUAGAUUAUGAAAUUUGCCAAAUGGAUGUCAAGACUGCCUUUCUUAACGGGCAUCUUGAAGAAACAUCUACAUGCAACAACCAGAUGGAUUUAUACAAAAAGGCCAAGAACACAUGGUAUGUAAGUUGCAGAGAUCCAUUUAUGGAUUGAAGCAAGCAUCCCGGUCAUGGAACAUCAGAUUUGAUCAAGUGAUUAAAUCAUUUGGAUUCAUUCAGAACAUUGAUGAACCAUGUGUGUACAAGAAAAUUCAAGAAAAAUCUGUAGCCUUCCUAAUUUUUUAUGUAGACGGUAUUCUCUUAAUUGGAAACGAUAUAGGAGUAUUGACUACAAUAAAGAGUUGGUUAGCAAAACAAUUUGAUAUGAAAGACCUGGGAGAGGCAAGUUAUAUUUUUGGUAUCAAGUUACUACGAGACCGGAAAAAUAAAACUUUAGCCUUGUCUCAAGCGGUCUAUAUCGAUAAGAUAUUGGCUAGAUUUAGCAUGGAAAAUUCCAAGACUGGUUUAUUACCAUUCAGACAUGGAAUUACAUUCUUUAAGGAUCAAUCACCUAAAACAUCUGAAGAGAUAGAGAGAAUGAGACGAGUUCCCUAUGCAGAAGCUGUGGGAAGUCUCAGGUAUGUCAUGCUUUGCACUAGGCCAGACAUCUGUUUUGUGGUAGGGAUGGUUAGUAGAUAUCAAUCUAAUCCUGGACCUGAACACUGGACUACGGUCAAGCAUAUAAUGAAGUAUCUGAAAAGAACUAAAAAUUAUAUACUUGUGUAUUCUGGUGAUGAACUCAUUCCAGUGCGUUAUACUGAUUCUGACUUUAUGUCAGAUAAGCAUUCCAGAAAAUCAACUUCCGGCUAUGUGUUUACAUUGGGAAGUGGAGCUAUUAGUUGGAGGAGUGUGAAACAAUCUUGUAUCGCAGACUCCACAACUGAAGCUGAAUAUGUGGCUGCAUUCGAAGCUGCAAAAGAAGCUAUAUGGCUCCGCAAGUUCCUAUAAGAUCUUGAGGUGGUACCUGCUGUAACUGCACCCGUUAAACUAUUUUGCGAUAAUAGUGGUGCAGUAGCUCAAUCUAAGGAACCAAGGAACCAUAAGAAACAAAAACAUAUUGAGAGGAAGUAUCAUCUUAUAAGGGAUAUAGUGCAGAGAGAUGAUGUGGAGGUUACUCAAAUUGCGUCACAGUAAAACUUGGCAGAUCCUUUUACUAAGGCCAUACCUGGGAAACCUGUUAACUUUCACUUAGAAUCCAUGGGCAUGCGUGAGAUGCCAAAUAUGCUUUGAGAGAUAGUGGGAGAUUGUUGGGAAAAUAUGUUCUUUAAAAGCAUAUGUGUUUAUUUAAUUGUAAUAAAUAAUUUUCCUGAUUAAUAAAAUAAAUGAGGUAUUUUAUUCAAAUAUCUUAAUUGCAUUAAUAUUUUUAUUAAAGUCCAUUUAAUCAUAUUAUAUGUAUUUAUGUGAUCACUAUGUGGAUUCACAGAAGACAUAAAUACAAGUUAUCUUAUGAUUAAAUAAAUUUAGUUCGCAGUUGAUAAAUAAAGUUGGACACUUUAUUUAGGUAUAGACUGUAAUAAAUUCAUUGAAUGAUUUGUCUUAAUCAUGUAUGAAUUUAUUGAUGUAGUACGACUACAUUGAACAUGAUCACAUAUGAGAUUUAAUUAACUUUGUAAUAACUGUCAGACUUAUUAUAUCUCAUAGGCAUUGAUUUUACUGUAAUCUUAAUCUUGAGUUAAUUAUGAUUUCAUGAUUGUAAUUGUUAUUCCAUUUGAGUUACCAAUGGGCACGACACAUACUUGUGGUCAAGAUUACUCGGUAUCUUGGUGGGAGCAAUUAUGAGUAUUGGAGUUAUGGAUUAACAAUAUAGAAUUUGUACAACACAUCUCUUGAUGAGUUUUCGGCACUUAAUCAUAGAAUUCUCUGGCCAGAGUGUGUCAACAUAUUUAGUAUGUUGAAAAUGAUUAUUAGAGAAAACCAGUAAGUAUCAAGGAACAAGAUGUAAUUAAAUUGAUUGGACAGUUGAGAUAUUGAUUUAAUUAAUGAUGUGGUACAAAGGAUUGUGAAGUAAAUAAAUAAAUGUGGCUUGAGACGAAUUAUUAUUCGAGCAUACAAUUAUGGAGGUCAAUUCCAAUCUUUUAGUGGAGUAGAUUUGGAAUUAAAUAAUUAGGUUAUUUUAAUUACAGGCCUAAUUGUUAUAGCCACUAUUGUAUGUUCUCAAAUGAUCCCCGGGUUAGCUCAUUUAAUUGACUACACCACUACUGGAUUAAUAAGCAAGAUAACUAGUUAUUUGGGUUAAAAGCCUAAAUAUAUCAUUUAGUGGGAGGCUCCAUUGAAUUAGCCUGUGUGUAAGGGGCCUUAUGUUAUUUUACAAGGUGGGUCCCCUAUAGAAAAAGCAAGUAACGUGAGUUUUGAUUUUCAUUAUUUGGAGCCUAUGGUUUUCACUAAAGGGAGAUAUAAAAAGGCUUAUUUUCUCUAAAGAAAAAAGAGCAGCCUCUUUAUACAUAUUAGAGAAAAAGAUUUUUCUCUUAGUUAUUAAGAGAAAAAUUUUCUCGUGCUAGUUGCUUUGGUAGUGAUAAAGGCGCCCACACGUCAAGUGUAGAUCAACUCUGAGUCAUAACCUGGAAGAUCAUUGGUGACAGUUCAUGAUCUAACAAGCGUGGUGGUGACGGAUCGUGAUCUAACAGGAGUGGAGGUGAUGGAUCGUGAUCUGGGAGCCUAAAUCACUUCAACAGAAAAAACUAAAUCGGAUUUUCAAGGUACGAUUUCUAGAUUACAAAUUCUUAUAUAUUGUAUGAGAGCAAUCUUAAAAGGUUUUAUAAAAAUUUAAAAACUAUAUUUUUCUCCAUCAGCAGGAAGUGCCAAGUGCUGUAGUUUUUCUAGAUUGUAUUUUCCUCUCAUUUCUCUUGACAAUUGAGCUGAAGUCCAAACAAAUGACAUACCAUCAGAUUUCUAAACAAAAUCUCUAUUUAAUAGCUAAGAUAUUUAGGAUCUUGGUCUAAUGAACUUGAGACCAACCUCCAAGUCCACAUGAAAGUGUAGUCGCAUACAAACAUAUGAUGAACUAGUUGGUAAAAUGUAUCAAAACCUUGCCUGUCAGCCUAAAUCUUAGGUACACGAUCAUGUAAAUAUAAUCAAGUUGGCUAUCUUUUGUAAGAUUUGCUGGCCCUGCAAAAUGAACCAAAUUAAAAAUUGAGUUCUUAACUGAUGUGCAUGUGCUCCAGAUAGGUUUCAGAUAUUUUAUGAAGCUCAAUAUUUAUUAGUUGUUUCCUCGAUUAUUGAAUCAUUCAAUGGUAGUUGCAUGUCUCAUUGAUUGCUAUUGAUAAUGCUUUAAUUCUUUGUUGCUGUUUUUUUACUUUUCCUGCAGUUGUUAACUGCAGUUUCCUGUUGUUUUCCUGCUAUUUUCUACUAUUUUAGUUGUUGUUUCAUGUUGUUUUCUUGACGUUUCCUAUGAUUUUACCUGUUGUUUGCUGCUAUUAGUGUCGAUAGCUGCUAUUUUAUCUAAUGUUUGGUGUUGUUUUUCGCCACUUUUCUUCUUGUUGUUUUACAAUAUUUUCUUUCAUUAUCCAUUACCUAAUUUUGUAGUGGGGGCAAAUUUAUUAGGUACUAGGUUAAUGGCAACAUGUUGACAAUGGAUCCAGCGACUCAAAUGUAUAGAAUUCUUAAGCAUACAAACCAUGAAUACCUUUUUCAAGUUGUUUAAAUUGUGAAAAAAUAUGAAAUUUGUUGUGGGUUUUUUUUAGACUAUCGUUUACGUGAAUACCUCUCAGGCAACUGGAUAUGUUGGUGUUCUUAUCAUAACAAGGUAUGUAUGUUCCAUUCUGCUAUUUUUGUGCUCUUUGGUACAUGGUUUGAGGAAAUUAAAAUAAUCUUUGUUGAUUAUCCGCUAAUAAAUUUUGGUAUGCGACAUAAUAUUUAAUGACCUAUGUGAGAAUUAAUAUUGUGACAUUGUGUUUGAAGCAUCUGAUUUUUGUUGAUUGGUGCUAUUCAUUGUACGGUUUUUUAGAAAUAAAAUUUUAGUUGCAAGAGACUUCAUCUAAUUUUGAUUUUGUAGCUAUAUUUGAAUCCUAUUCAUGUAGUUGUGUAGCUUCGAACAUCAAUGGUGGUUUUUUAAAUCUGGUGGCUAAAAAAGGAAGAACAAUGUUGUGGCGAAUAUUUUUUGUUAAAUUAAAAGAAUUUAAGUAAGUUAAAUAUAUUGGUUCAUCGAAGAAGGUAGGAUUUUUUCCCUCACUGUUAUAUCAUGAUCCAGAUCUACUGUAUUUGAGAUGGAUUAUACAAGCAUAGGGAAUUGACAAUUGAUCAUUAUGGGAGCAUUUUAAACAUGCCCAAGUUAGCACUACAAGAAAAAUGACCUACCAUGACAGUCCUCUGUGUGACAGUUUUUGGUCUGCAGAGCUACUACGAUAGAUGGAUGAUAAUUUUUUUUUCUAUCAUUCAUUUAUGACAUACUUGUGAUAGAAAUUUCAUCUAUCAAGCACUUAUGAUAGACUGAUGAUAAAUUAUUUGGUUAUCAAGAAGUAAUGACAAGUUUGUGAUAUAAUUUAGAUCAUCAAGUAGCUUUUUUAUUUUGACUUUAUUUCACAAGGUUGACUGAAAAUUUUAAAAUGAAUGAAAAAAAUAAAUAAAGAAUAAACGGUACCGUUUGGAUUAAAAGUUUCUCUUUGGACAAGAAACGACACCGUUUAGAUUGAAGCUAAAUAAAAACAAAACCCUCUUCAGUUUUCACUAAUCGAAUUUUUUUUCCCUAAGUGUCGGCACUCUCACUCACUCUCAUCUCUCGCUCAGUCACUCUCGUCAAUCUCACACUCACAAAGCCCUUUUCACCCGAAAUCUUUGCAUGGGCACUGAACCACUGCCGCCAUUCUCUUAUAUUUGACUAUCAAUUUUGGCUCUCACCGAGAACUAUAUGGAAUACCCACCAAACGCAUGUGCUUCUACUAUUGAAUUUCAAUACCCUAACUGAGAGCCCACGCUCACCCACUAUUGUAACCGUUCGAUCAAUACAGGUAAAUAAUAUUUCUAGUGUUGUGUUCCAUUUCAAUUUUAAUGUUCUUGUCAAACUCGAACCCUAUAUAUGUAAACUUAAAAACCCUAGAUGUGUUCUUGUCAAAUUCGAACCCUACACACCUAAAUCUUGUAAAACCUAGAUGUUUUCUUGUCAAAUUUGAACCCUGUACGUGUAAAACUUGAAAAUCCUAGGUGUGCUCUUGUUAAAUUUGGAUCUAUUUGAUUGGUCUUCUAUGUUUCUUUAUUUAUGGAAUUUUAAACAUUUAUUUGAUUUUUUUGGAAUUUAAUUAUUAUAGUUUUAUUGUUAAAUUAAUUUGAUUUAGGCUGUAAAGAUCCUUGCCAAUUUAAUCGUGAUGGGUGUUGGGAUAUUGUCUAGGCUGCUUUAUCUUUGGGGUUUUCUAAUAACUAAUUUUUUUUUUCACUUUUUUGUGGAUGCAUGGAACUAUAUAUAUAGAUAAUUCUCAAAUUCGUUCACUGUGAUGCAAAGUCUUUUUUUUUUCAAUUUCAUUGGUUAAAUUCACUAAUUCGUUGAAAUUAGUGGUGAUUGUGGGCCGAGUCGCAUGUGCAGGAAGUGGUGUCAGGUCUGGGCGCACAUUGAGUCAUGCACUUGGUGGGCAAUUGGUAUUGUUUCUAUUGUGUGGGUUGGAAAUAAUGUCAAUAUCAUCCAACCAAUGUGUGUUUCUAGUGGCUGUUUUUGCACCGAGCAGAUAAUUUAUUAUUACAUCAGAGUUCCCCAUCCCUUGUUUCUCUUUUGGGUAAUGCAGGUAUUGACUAGUUCAUUUCCAUUUUCAUUUGUCUUGAGGGAAUGUUAUCAAUUUUUCGAUCUUACAAGAUAUUGAUUGAUACAUAUGUGUACAAUACAUUAAAAAUCGUUAAACAUUUUGCUCUUAGUUACAAUUUUGAAUGAAUGUCACAUGGAAAGAUCCUCUAAGAAUAUCAAUAGUAUUGUGGUUUCUACUCAAUUUCCACUCUCCGCACUCAUAUGAGCAUGGUUUGAAUCUCAAGCCUUUUGUACCAUUCAAAAAUUUAUACCAAUUAACAACAUAGCUUGCUAGCACCACAAAUUAUUUCAACUCCAAGGCAGAGAAUUCCUAGAAGAUAUAUACAUAUUGAUAUAUACUUGCAUGUAGCCGUAUGCUCACUACCUUCGAAUUGGGGAUAUAGUCACUAUUUUUGUAUUCCCUCCAAGUGUUUGAUAAAAAGCAUGAAUGAAUCUUGGCUCUUUAAUUGUUGCAGGCCAUUUCUACCUAUGAGGAGCAAAGGAAUAUGAAGCUUAUUAUAUUCAUUCACAAAGCAAAGCUGAUACAAUUCAUGGCAAAGCUUGAUGAGGUGUUGUAUUUAAUCUUGCUCAUGAGAUCAAUUACCUAUCUUGUUGGACUUUAUUCUUGUAAUUAAGGUCCAUCCAAAGUUGAUGGCUUGUUUGUCAGAAAGAUAAUCUGAAGGCUAUGAUUGAUUACUUGCGGGCCGAUGGAAAUGUCUCCAUGAUUGGUUUAUGAGGUUGUUAAAUUACUAAAUAGGUAUAUUUACUUUUCAUGAGCUUUAUCUUCGUUUUUCCUUUAUGGAAAUGUCUCUAUGAUUGUAACUUUUAACACGUGGAACUCUUGAACCCUAUGUUUAGUUAUAUACUUAUAUUGGGACUUGUAUAAAUUAAUAUGAUGGUUUUAUUAUUAUUAUUAUUAUUAGUAGUAGUAGUAGUAGUAGUAGCAGCAGCUACAAAAGAUCAAAAGAACUUAAAGGUGUGGCUUGUGGCUUUCUUGCUGUUUGGGCUUUAACUGCUGCCUCACUUGUCAUUGUUGCUAAUCUGGUGUGCCACGUCCAUUUCAGUGUAAUUACAUAAGUUAGUUUGCUUGAUUAAUUAAUUAAUUAGUUAGCGGAUUGAAUAGCCAGAGUACUACAUUUUGCAUAGGUCUGAUGCUGGAUGAAUUUUCAUGUCUUGGCUUUGGGGCUGCUGGAUUUUGCUGCUGGAAGACUAGAUUUUGCAAUUUUGUUGCUGGAAGACUACAUUUUGUGUAGGUUUGUUGCUGGAUGUUGCUGAAUGCGGAGUACUUUGCUUGGUUUUGGAUUGGUCUUUGUUGUCUAUUGGCUCGACUUUGGAAUAUGGAUUAACUAAUGUAAUGUACUUUGGAUAUUUUUAUGGUUAAUAAAGUUCACUAAUUUAGUUCAUUAGUUUUGGAUUUAAUUGCAUUUAGUAAUUUAUUUUCUUUCAUAUAAUUUUAAUAAUUUUAAUAAUUUAAAUUUUUAAAUUUCAUAAUUUUUAUUUUAAAUUAAUAAAUAAAAUAAAUAAUCAAUUUUUUCAAAAAAAAUGUGAUAGAAAAUACUAGUCAUACACACAAUUGAUAUCCCAAAAAAAAAAUACAAUCCAAAAAUUUCUAAAAAAAUGAAAAUAUAAAAUAAAAAAAUAAUUUCCCUCUUCUAAGUAGUAUGACAUAAUUAUGAUAGGUAAAAUCUAUCACAACUUGUGACGCGAUUUUAUCUGUCAUCUUUUCUUGACGCUGGCUAUAAUGACAGUAAGGAUAACCGUCAUCUACCCCCUAAGAUGAAAGUUUUUACCUAUCAUAAUAGGUCAUUUUUCUUGUAGUGUAGAAAGUAGAAGUCAGCAUGCUCAUUUUCGUUGUUGCAUGUGUUGUUCAUUAAUUGCUACGCUACCGUUGUGGAAAGCAUAUACUGAUGAAGUGUUGAUUCAACUAUGAAUUGUUGUACUUAUUUUAUUUGAUAACUGAUAGCUGAUAGUGUUGUAGAUGGAUUUGCUAAUUAUGAUAUAUGAAUUUCAACUAUGAAUUAUGGUUUAUGAAUUAUGAGAUUGUGAGUGUAUUGUAGAAUAUUAGUUAUUUUUUAGCUGCUAAUAAUAAUAAUAAUAAUAAUAAUAAUAAUAAUAUAUUCAAUUCUCAAAAAAAUUAAUAUUGAUAAUUCAAAUUUGGCUCCAAUAAUAUAUUUUAAUUUUAAAAUUAAUCUUAAUAAAUCUUGCCAAAUAAUAUUUAAAAUAAAUUUAAUUUCCUGCCAAAUAUAUUUUAAAAUUUUUUCAAAAUUCCCUCUAGAUUUAAUAAAGUUUAAAAAAAAUUAAAUAAUUUUAUUAUUUGUAGACUAAUUAAUUAAAUGACAUCUUUGUAUGACAUAUAAUAGUCAUGCAUUAAAAAUGUUUAUGAUAUAAACUAGUCAUGCGCGAAAUUUUUUUAUUAAAAUAAUUAUGACACAAUUGUGACAGAUAAUAAGUCAUGUAUUAGAUGAUAUAUAAAAAUUGUUAUCUAAUUUUCUUGACAUUAGAAUCAAGGACGGUUGUUCAACCGUCAUACUCUAUAGCACAUGAUGGGUAAAAACCGUCAUAAAAUCCUUUUUUUCUAAUAGUGUGUGUAGGCGCCCACUUUGAUCUAAUGUCUUAAGUUUCGCAGAACCAUUCAUUACCAUCCAAUUGUACUUUUUGGAUGUCAUCCUUCCACCUUGUUUUAAUUUGAACUCAUCAGUAGUCUUUGAAUCCUAUAUACAUUUUUAGAAAACUUUUUUUUAAAGAAGAAUAUAUGAGAUGAUAUAUACCUUCACUCAACCUUCGAAAAAAUUAAUUCAAAAUGUGCAAUCCUAAUUCCUACGACUAAAAAGAAAAUCACAAGCAUUGUUUUGGGUGGGGGUGGGGGUGGGGGUGGGUGGGGGAAGCGGCGGGGAAGGAAGAGUGAUUGAAUUCUUCCACAUUUUCUUUUUCAUUUAUAUGUGGGUUCCACGAUGUAAAGUGCUUGACUUAAGUUAUUUUAUUCUUUAGCCGCGGGUGACAGCAAAUUCUAUUCAUACAAUUCAUGUCACGGAUAGCAUCUCAUAUCCGCAAUUCACAAUUUCCGGAUAUCCGCAUGUAUGCUUGUGUAUACUUUUCAGUUUACACUCUAUAAAUGAGAAGCCGAUAAUACGUUGAAUUUUUUUAAUCUACAAUUGUAUUCAACAAAAUGUCUUUCAAUAUUAAUCAAGAAUUAUAAAAGAAAAAUUCUAUAAUACAGUGAUUAAAACUGUAGUAUCAAUGACAUGAUAAAUAUAAAUUCUAUAAAUUUCACAUAAAACUAGUUAAUGGAAGGUAAAAUAAAUAUAUUAGUAUAAGAGUGGUAAAUUUGUGUUUUAACAUCACAAAUAAAAUAAAAUUUUACAAGUUUUAAUGUUAAAUAAAUUUUACAUUUAAUGUUGAUUUACAAGUUUUAUAUUAAAUUUACAUGUCAUAUGUUUCAUUUACAUAAUUCAUGUUUACAUACGGUAUUGAUAUCGUGAUUUUAAUCAUGGCAUUAUAGAAUAACCCUAAAAUUGAGAGGAAAACUAAAUUUUAUAAACAAGAGUUUUCCAAAUUAAUGACAGCUUAUAAUUAUGCAAGUAAUAUAGUUUUCAUUGAUUUAACUAUUCCAUUUAUAGAUUUACAGGAGAGAGGAAAGAGAAAAUUGGAAUAGGAGAAAAAAUAAAAUUAAACAUUAAAAAAAGAAGAGAGAAAAAUAUUAAUGAAGUUAGAAAUUCUUAUCAUCUAAUGUUAGCGCUUCAUUCUUAUUUCCAUUUUACAACACUCAAUCAUCUGACAUUAUUAUUGUUGUUGUUGUUGUUGUUGUUAGUACUACUACCACCAUCUUCUUUACCAAUCCUCAGAUAAAUUCAUACUGAACGAUCUUUUGGCCCUGUCCAUCUUCAUUCAAAGCACAUUUAAACCUCUCUAGCAUAGUUUUAGCCUAAAGUUUCAACACACUUAUCCUUAGCAAAAUGAAUUUAGAUUUAGUAUUGAACUGAGUUUUUUACUAAUUCUUUAAAAAGAUACAAUUAUUAGUUAUUAAAUAAGAAUAUAAAACUAAUUAAAUCUUAAAUCUUAAUUAUGUAUUGUUAUACAUGCAUGUGAGGCAGCUCAGGUCAACAUUAGAUCCAAAUCCAUGGCAAAUAACUCUCCAAAUCUAUCAUUUUCUCUAUGAUAAAGUGAUCAAAUGGCCCCUUAUUCUCUGCUCCAUGAUGUGCUAAUAAUUUAUAUACUAAUUUAAUGUUUCAUUAACUUAAUUUUAUGUCAAAUUAUAUUCUUUUAUGUUAAUUUUUAUCUUAAUUUUAAUAUUUUGUUGUUUUAGGUAUAAUUUAGGAUUAGAGAGGAGUCAAAUCAUAACAUUCAGAAAGAAAUCUAAUUGAAAGAAUUAGAAAGGGGAAAAAAUAAAGAAAUUUAAUUGAAACAAAUCAAGGAAGAUUUACCAUCAUGCAUGCAAUCACGUGGGGGAGGGGGGAGGGGGGAGGCAUUUAAGAUUUAGUUGACAAAUAUGGCAUGUACGUGAACUUGGGCUUUUGAAUUUGCAAUAUAAUGGCCUAAGAACUUAAAGGUUGCUUGGCUUACUUUUGUGAGUUUGUCUUUUUAAUCCUUUUGGGUUAAGGAUUUAAAGGUCACCGAUUGAGCAUUACAAAAAGAAAAAAAAAAAAAUAGGGCAAAAGCCGAAGUAGCCUCACGAAUAGAAUCAGGUAGAAGCACCCGCAAGACAUCCAGAGAGAAGCCAGAUUAAUUCUUGAGUUUUUCUUUCCCUCUUCUCUAUUGCUGUGCUUGAAUGUUCCCUACAAUGUUUAUGAAUUCUUUUUACAUUCAAAUGAAAUAAUUUAUUUUGCUAGGGCUACAACGUAACCUAACUAUGAAAUUUAAUUCCAUAAAUCUAUGUUAUUUUUAGUUUAUUAUUCCAUUAUUGGGUGUUCAUUAUUGUGCUUGAUGCUUUUAAAUAUAUGACCAAUAUUUGAAUGAUUUGAUGAUACAUAAUGAGAGCAAGAGGAGAUUUAUGUAUUUUUCCUAUAUGUAAUGGAUGCCAUGAAUUGAACGAAAGAUAGAGAUGUGCCAACGCGAUUCGUGCAGUUUUAUCUAAGAAUUUCCAUAGAACUUAAUGAGUUUUUACAUAUUUAAAUUCACUUAGAGAUAUAGUUAGUUAAUAUAUGAGGGUAUUUUUUAUAUUAUUCGAGAUAAGAUAUUGAAUAGAUUAGGGAAAUUCACUAUCAAUAUGCAUGAUAAUCUUUAAUAGUAUCGAUGGCGGAUUAAAUUGGAUUGGUUAUAGGGAAAUCAUAUGUCCUAAUGUCUAAAUCUCUUGGUGAUUUUUAUUACUACUUGCAUCUUUAUUUAAUUUUUAGUUAUUUUAAUUUAUCUAGUUUUUAAUCGAAAUUCACUUAUUCAGUUAUUCAAAUAGAAUAGGGUUAGAAUAAUUGAAGUAACUAAUAGAAUAUACAAUCUCUACGGGACGAUACUCUACUCUUCAUUAUAUUCCUCGUGUUGACUAAUGCACUUGCUAAUACGCAACAAGUUUUUGGCUCCGUUGCUGGGGAUUGUUUGGAUUAGUAUUGAUACCCACUAACCAUAGUUUAAUUUCAAUUUUAUUUUUAUUUUUAUUGUUUUUAUUUUAUUUUCAUUUUCUUGUUUAAUUUUAUAAGACAUUCAAGAAGUUUUGAUUUAUUGCCUUUUGAUGCAGAGAUUGAACGUACCUAUAGAAGGCUCAACAGGGAAAGAAGAGAAGCUUUGCAGGAAUAACAACUAAUUAUGGCUGAAAAAAUAAUACAAGAAAAUAAAGAUGCAAGACUUUUACGAGAUUAUGUUGUGCCUACAAUUAGUGGUACUCGCUCAAGCAUUGCACGUUGUGCCGUUCAAGCCAAUAAUUUUGGGAUAAUCCAGAUGAUUCAGAUGUCAGUACAAUUUGUUGCACUAUUCAUUCCGCUCUAAGUAUCUAUUCACAAAGGUAAAUGUAAAACCAAGGCUGAUCAAUUGGGUGCUUUUACUAUAAGAAUUUGAUUUAGAGAUUUGAGACAAUAAUGGAUUUGAAACUUUGGUGGUGGAUUACUUAUUUCGAUUAGAGCAAAGAGAGCAAAAAGAUAAUGUAGUGGUUUCAAUUAUCGAAGAAUUUUCUAAUGAAAAGUUACUAGUUCUUUAAACUUUUGAAUGUAGAAUUUUCUAAUAAAAAGUUACUGGUUCUUUAAACUUUUGAAUGUAGAAUUUUCUAAUGAAAAGUUUCUGGUUCUUUAAACUUUUGAAUGUAGUGGUUUCCAUUAUUGAAGAAUUUUCUAAUGAAAAGUUACUGGUUCUUUAAACUUUUGAUGCACCAUAGUAUGCAAAUUUUGUAAAUUAUUUGGUGAGCAUCAUUGUUCCUUUUAAUUUAUCAUAUCAAUAGAAGCAAAAAUCCCUCUCAUAUGCCAAAUCUUAUUUUUGGGAAGAUCCAUUCUUAUAUAAGUAUUGUUUAAACCAAAUCAUUCAAUGAUGAGUCCUAGAAGAAGAGAUGAGAUGCAUUCUAUAGCACUGUCACUCCUAUGAGGUUGGUGGACACUUUGGUGUAUCCAGAACUGCAGCAAAGGUGCUUCAAUCAAGUUUUUAUUGGCCUGUCUUAUUUAAAGAUGCUUACAUUUUUGUUGUUACUUGUGACUAAUGUCGAAAAACUGGUAACAUUUCAAGGAAGAAUAAAAUGUCAUUAAAUAAUAUUCUUGUAGUAGAAUUGUUUGAUGUUUAGGGAAUCGACUUCAUGUGCCCAUUUCCAUCUUUCUUCAAGAAUAAGUAUAUUCUAGUGGCUGUUGAUUAUAUUUCUAAGUGGGUCAAAGCUGUUGAUUUGCCUUCAAAUGAUGUAAGGGUCGUUGUGAAUUUUUUAAAGAAAAAUAUUUUCUCACAAUUUGGCACUCCAAAAGCCACUAUAAGUGAUGGUGGGAAAUAUUUUUGCAAUUGGCAAAGCCCUCUUGAACAAAUAUGGAGUUACACAUAGAGUUGCCACUCCUUACCAUCCACAAACCAGUGGCCAAGUUGAAGCCUUUAAUUGGGAAUUAAAGAGAAUUUUGGAGAAAACUGUAAACGGGUCACAGAACAAUUGGUCAAAAAAACUAGACGAUACACUCUAGGUUAAUCAAACGGUUUUGAAAACACCUAUUGUUAUGUCUCCUUAUCAUCCAGUAUUUAGAAAAGCAUGCCAUCUACCUGUUGAACUUAAGCAUAGGGCAUAUUGGGCUAUGAAGAUUUUGAACUUUGACAUGCAAGCUGCAAGAGAGAAGAGAUUGUUGCAACUUAAUAAAAUAGAUGAAUUUCUCAAUGCAAAUUAUGAGAAUGCUCGAAUCUAUAAAGCCUGCACUAAAAAUUUGCAUGACAAACAUAUCCUCAGACGUGAAUUUUAGGUUGGUCAAAAGGUUUUAUUAUAUAAUUCUUGACAUUGACUCUUCCUAGGCAAGUUGCGAUCAUGUUGGUCGGGCCCUUUUACAAUAACACAAGUCUUUCUGUCUGGCAUGGGAGAAAUUUCUCAUGUACAAACAUGUCAACGGUCAUUAAUUGAAACCCUUUUAGAUGAUUCAUUUGAUAAACACAAGAUAGCUAUUGGGCUAUCUAAUCCUGAAUGACGACCAAAGACAGUCAAGCUAAUGACUAUAAAUUAAUCGCUUCUUAAGAGGCAACCCAAGCUUUCAAAACUUCACUUAUUAUUAUUUUUAUUUUGUAUUUUUAUUUUUCCUUAUUUCAUUUGUUAUUCUUUUCUUUUACUUAUUUUAUUUUAUCUAGGUUUCUGCAUAAGUUUGAGGGUCGACGAUCAUCAACUUUGCACAUGCCUUUCAACGACUCAACUAUAAGUUCACAUCUUCAAGUGCAAAACUGGGGAGUUUCUCUGUUCCUUUUCUAUCUAUUUACAUUAAGGACAAUGUUGAUUUUAAGUUUGAGGGUGGGAAUAUUUGCUUUCAUUUAAAAAAAUAAAAAAAUAAAAUUUUGUGUUCUUUGUAUGUUGUUUUUAUGCCAAUGAUGAGUAUAUGGUUGAAAAUGAAUAUGGUUCUCAUAAACGGAUGAAUAUUGUCUUAAUUUAUAAUUGAUUCUUGUAUUAAUUUCUCUUAAUUAUGAUUAUUUAAAUAUCUCGAACACUUAUAUCGAAUCUUUCAGAUUGUUUACCUCGAUUCUACAUUACUUGUGUUUACCCUAGCACCACAGUCAGAAAUAGUUACUUAUAACCCUUAAGAGUGAAGCUAUCCUUUAAUAAUUUGGGUCUAUGUACCAUCAACAUGUAAAGGAUAAUCUACCAUGAAAAGAAGACUACCAUAAGGGGUGGAGGUAAAAGCUUCUUACUAUAUAUAUAAGAAAAGCAAAAGAAUGUGCUUUACGAGAAAUCCCAAGAAAAUACAAAUUUAGGCAUCUGCAUUUUUAUUUUUAUUUUUAAAAUAUCAAGAUGAUGAGGUUAGUUUGACCUACUUUGUUUAUUAUUUGAUACAAGAGCUGUUGAUAUUGAAAAUUUUGAGAAUGAAUUUUGAUUGAAUCGAUUUACACACAACAGAAGAAUCUAAUGUGAGAUGAGGCUGACUAUUGAAUUAAAGUUAGAGCUUUACCGAUAUUUAUAAUUUUCUUUGAGCUAUAUACUUUAUGCAAUCUCUGAGGUAUUUUUUAUGAUAUUUUUGGAUACCAUUGCUGGAAACCUUCAUGAGACUUUAACUCGUCCACUAGAGCAGCCUAGGGGCUUAAAGGUUUGUUGUAUAUGCUAAAUGCAAUCGUGAUCACCAGCAAAAGUGGUUCAAUUAGGAUUUUCUUCUCGUAGUUUCCAUUUUAGUUUUUACUCGAGAACUUGUAAAAUGUUAAGUUUGGGGUAUUUGAUGUGCUAAUAAUUUAUAUAUUAAUUGAAUGUUUCCUAACUUAAUUUCAUGUCAAAUUAUAUUCUAUUAUGUUAAUUUUUAUAUUUUGUUAUUUUAGGUAUAAUAUGGGAUUAAAGAGGAAUUGAAUUAGAACAUUCAAGAAAAAAUCUACUUGAAGGAAUUAGAAAGAGAAAGAAAUAAAAAAAUUCAAUUUAAACAAAUCAAGCAAGAUUUACCAUCAUGCAUGCAAUCGCGGGGAGUGGGUGGGGGGAGCAUUGAAGAUUUAGUUGACAAAUAUGGCAUGCACGUGAACUUGGGCAUUUGAAUUUGCAAUAUGAUGACCUAAGAAUUUAAAAGCGGCUUGGCUUACUUUCAUGAGUUUGUUUUUUAAUCCUUUUGGGUUAGUGAUUUAAAGGCCAUCGAUUGAGUAUUAUCAAAAGAAGAAAAUAGGGCAAAAGCCAAAGCAGGCGCACAAACAGAAUCAAGGAGAAGCAACUAUAAGACAUCCAAAGAGAAGCCGGAUUAAUUUUUGAAUUUUUCUUUUCCUCUUUUCCAUUGUUGUACUUGAAUGUUCCCUAAAAUGUUUAUGAAUUCUUUUAUAUUCCUAUGAAAUAAUUUAUUUUAUUGGAGCUACGAUGUAACAUAACUAUGAAAAUUUAAUUUCAUAAAUUUUCUUCGUGUAGUUUCCAUUUUAGUUUUUACUCGAGAACUCGUAAAAUGUUAAGUUUGGGGGUAUUUGAUGUGCUAAUAAUUUAUCUAUUAAUUGAAUGUUUCCCUAACUUAAUUUCAUGUCAAAUUGUAUUCUAUUAUGUUAAUUUUUAUGUUAAUUUUUAUAUUUUGUUAUUUUAGGUAUAAUAUGGGAUUAAAGAGGAAUUGAAUUAGAACAUUCAAGAAAAAAUCUACUUGAAGGAAUUAGAAAGAGAAAGAAAUAAAAAAAUUCAAUUUAAACAAAUCAAGCAAGAUUUACCAUCAUGCAUGCAAUCGCGGGGAGUGGGUGGGGGGAGCAUUGAAGAUUUAGUUGACAAAUAUGGCAUGCACGUGAACUUGGGCAUUUGAAUUUGCAAUAUGAUGACCUAAGAAUUUAAAAGCGGCUUGGCUUACUUUCAUGAGUUUGUUUUUUAAUCCUUUUGGGUUAAUGAUUUAAAGGCCAUCGAUUGAGUAUUAUCAAAAGAAGAAAACAGGGCAAAAGCCAAAGCAGGCACACAAACAAAAUCAAGGAGAAGCAACUAUAAGACAUCCAAAGAGAAGCCGGAUUAAUUUUUGAAUUUUUCUUUUCCUCUUUUCCAUUGUUGUACUUGAAUGUUCCCUAAAAUGUUUAUGAAUUCUUUUUAUAUUCCUAUGAAAUAAUUUAUUUUACUGGAGCUACGAUGUAGCAUAACUAUGAAAAUUUAAUUUCAUAAAUUUAUGUUACUUUUAAUUUAUUAUUCCAUGAUUGAGUACUCAUUAUUGUGCUUGUUGGUGCAAAUUUUGUCUCAACUUAUGAUAUAGAAAUUUCGACUGAGGACAACCCCCUUAGGACUUGGGUUCCUCUUUGUUAGAUUUUAUGAUGGUGAGUUCAUUCUUUGGGCUGAUUUUUAUGGGCCUUUAUAUAUGCUCUUCUGAGUCCACUUCCUUAGGCAAUCAGAAGGUCCUUAUCUUGUGAUGCUCUAUAAAUACAAGAAAAUGAUCAGAGGGCCGGCGGUCAAUUCAAGUUACUGGACUUUUGGAAAUAUAAAUUUAGAAAGAGAAAGAUUAGAGGGAGAAAGUUAGCAUUUUCUCAUUUUGAGUCUCUUUUUUGUCUUACCUUUUAAUGAGAAUGAAAGACAUAUUUAUCGACCAAACUGAUUUGACUUGGGUCCUAGUUAUUUUGAUGACAAAUGUCAUUGUUCUUGUGACAUUUGACAACACUUGUCCUCUAGUGCCCAUGUGGAUUGAUACAUGGAUAUACAAACUUAUCUACAGAUUAGAGGAAGGAACGUUUUAUCCUUAGAUUAUUUUUACUAAGACCUUGGGAUCAGAAGAGCCUUCAAACUUAGGAGGUUUGUCCUAGGAUAAGAGCCUAGAACCUUAGCACGUUUUGGACUUUAAAUCCUUGCCACCUAGUUGAUUUAUCCUAGGUGAUUUGUCUCAGGAUAGGAAUCUAGGACCUUGGCUCCUUUUGGACUUUGAAACCUUGUUACUUAGGAGGAUCAUUCUAGGUAAUUUGUCCACCACUUCGUGGGCUUAAUUGGGAGGAAAUUUAUUAGAUAUGCCUUAUUGAGAUUAAAUUUAUUUGGGCCUUAUUAGACUUAUUUUAUUUUUGGUCCAAUAGUGCUUAAUGCUUUUAAAUAUCAGACCAAUAUUUGAAUGAUUUGAGGAUACGUAAUGAGACCAAGAGGAGAUUUAUGUAUUUUUGCUCUGUGUAAUGAAUGUCGUGAAUUGAAUGAAAGACAAAGAUGCACCAGCGUGAUUCGUGCAAUUUUAUCUAAGAAUUUCUAUAGAGCUUAAUGAAUUUUUACAUAUUUAAAUUUACAUGGAGAUAUAGUUAGUUAAUAUGUCACUACUACAAAAUGAGUCAAUAAUGACGGUUUUAAAAGACAUAAGAUGACGGUUUUAAAACCGUCAUCUUAGGCCGCGACAUUAAAAGGGGUAUACUUUUUAUGACGGUUCAUAAACCGUCAUAAAAAGUCUAUUUAUAAUGACGGUUAAUUUCUUUAACCGUCAUUAUUGGCCAAUUUCCAUUGGUUUUUAAUGACGGUUUUGGUAUUAAACCGUCAUUAAAAAGUGACAUUUAAUGACGGUUAUUUAGAAAACCGUCAUCAAAUAUAACUUUUAAUGACGGUUGUUAUAACAAAACCGUCAUUAAAAGUUAAUAUUUAAUGACGGUUUAUUUUUAAAACCGUCAUUAAAUAUUGAAAUAACAUUUAAUGACGGUUUUAAAAAGGAACAGUCAUCUUUGUUGGAGAACACUACAUUUAAUGACAGUUUUUUUCAAAUAACCGUCAUCUUUGUUGUUGAUUUAAAAAAAAAAAAUAAAUAUGGCAAUUUUAAAACCAUUCCAAGCCCCUAUUUUAAUUCUAAUUUCCUUUCGAGCUCUUUACAAUUAACUUUUAACAAAUGUUUCAUAUACAAAAAGAUAGCUCUACAAAAUACUUUAACAAUAAUAAAACUUUAACAAUAUAUACCAGUUAGCUUUCACAUCAAAAUUCUUGCAACUCUUUAAUAUCUACUAAUGAAUCUACUAGCAACCAACAAGAUUGGCACAAUGGGAGAACCUUUUCUGCCCUAAUCAUAGAUUUGGCAAGUCUUCAACCAACAUGAGAUCUAAACCAUAGAUUUGGCAAAACUAGGGAACUGAAGCUCCAGAUUGGACUGAACCUUUUCUGCCCUAAUCAUAGCAGGAGACUUGGGUUCAAUGGGAGAACAUUUCCCAUCAAUCAAGCUGCAAAUUAAGCCCAAAAGCAUUCAUUUAGUCAUAAAUCAAAUUAAUUCAAAUCAAGUCAAAUCUACAAUAAAGUUAAAAAAUAAAAAGUGGUCACUAACAUCCUAAUCUUCCCUCCUCCUAGAAUCAGGCUCGACCUGUUCAAAUUCAUAAUUUUUUCUAUUAAAACAAUUUAGCAGCUCAAGAAUAAAAUAUGAUAGCCAGUAGCAAAAGUAAAAUGAGAAUAAUAUUGUUUGAGGUGAAGAACAAUAAAGGCAGCUUACGGUUAUAGGAACAGGGGUGAUUCAUCAUUACAGAAGGCUUUGCUACAGAGCUAUCUUUUUUAUUAGAGAUUACAGUCCGGAACAGAAUGAGGAUAAUGAAUUGGCAAGAUUGAUUUUUCAGGUGGACUCUUCUUGAACUUUAAUAUAAUCAAACAAAUUUGUACUAAGACUUUAAGGUUUUGAAGAAUAGUCCAUGGGUAAUUGCUCUGGCCACUCAAUAUCAUUCAAAACUUGUGAAAUUGAGGUGAAAUCAUUUCAGCUUUCACAAUAAAUAAUGUUCCCAAAAGACAAAUCAAUAUAUUUUUAUUUGGCUGCAUAAUAAUUUAUCAGCACAUCAUCUAUAUGUUGUACAUCUAUUUUUUUUUUCAAAUUCAAAGAUUUAUAAGUUGAGAGAGCACUUUAAAUAAAAGAACUAGAGGAUACUCAAAGCCCCAUAGAAUACCAUCUUUAUCUCAUCUCCCCUAGCUUGUAUCUCUAAAAAAUACUAGUCUAAUUGUAUCUGCAAAUUAAAUUCCUCAUAGGCAGCCCUGCAUUAUAGCAUGUAGAGAACAAUGUUAACACACUACUUUUUUUUCUUUUUUUUUUUCCAAUCAAAGAAGCCUACUACAAGAAAAAUAGUUGAGUAUUAUAAUAAUCAACAUGAACAUAUUUUGCUACUCAACCUUUUAUUAAACUUCAAAGUAAUAUUGACCAACCUCAAGUAAUCAUCCAAAUCCUUGUACUUGAUAACCUCAACAAUUUUUCCCAUUCGCUCCUCCAUCUUUGAAUCUUACCCAUUGUUCAUUUUCACUAUAUAUAUAAAUCAUCUACAAUUUUAUUAGCUACAAAUACAGCGCAUAUGCUCAAUUUAAAUCAUUGAUCCUAUUACAUUUAAGAUGUUUAAACAAUUUUUCUACAUUAUCUACUUAGAUUUGUGUACAAACCUAGCAAUUUCCUUGAUAGAAGCAAACUAAGAAUAAAUGUAAGAAAACUGUAAAAUAUUAAAGACCAAGGAUCCAGUACAGUCAUCCAAAUUGACUAUAUAAUCAACAAAAAUGCAAGACCCAAAAAAUGGGUAGUUGACAUCAAAUUAAUUUUCAACAGAAUGCUACCACCACAAAAUUAAAUCCAACUCCUAAAUACAACAAAUCAAAUUAACAAAGCCAUACCCAACUCAGGCAGAGACUGUGUCAGGUAUCAUCGAAUGGACCCGCAGCUCGCGUUUUACGCAUCUCUGAUCAAAUCAACAAAAGCCUACAGAAAUUAAAUGAUUAGAUAAAGGAAAUUACAAAUUGUGAGGAAACUAGUUUAGGAAGAAGAAAGAGGGAAAUCGCAUUUGAAAAGAUUUACACAAUUUCCCCGCUUACCUGACAGGAAAAUCCAAAAUUUAAACCCCACCCCCCCCCCCCCCCCCCCCCCCCGGAAAAGAGAAAAGAGAUCACGCAAGAGUACCCAAUUGAAACAAAGUUGAAAACAAUAAUUUGCAUACCUUAAAUGAAAAGAAAAAAAAAAAGAACUGGUAGUUACUAAUAAUUUUGAUUUUUAUAGAACAAACCCCUCAACAAUUAAGGCUCAAAAUUGACAAAAAUUUAAAUUUCAUAAUUCAAAACCCCCUGCAAAUUGACAAGCACUAGAAUACCCAAAUCAAAACGCACCCACAAAACAAAAAAUAUUACUAGAAAUCUGUGAAGAUUUACCAAGUGUAGAAGCAACAGCAACCGAGCUAUGGCUUUUCAGGCAACUACGCCAUUAUUCUCACUGAAGGUAGCAACAAAAGCUACGGAAAGUGAAACUCUGGUGCAACAGCAACAAUGGAUACGAUUCAAAUGAAAACUCCAAAAUAAUGGCGGCUAGGGUUUUGAUCGUUUUCAACAAUAGCAACUAGGUCAAGUGAAAAAGUCGUUGACAAGGGAUAGGACUAGCGAUAUAGGUGUCGACAACGUAAGAACGACAAUAAAUUCGGCCUUCGGUAUCUGGUUGUUGGAGAUCGAUUUCGAUGAGUUCGAAGAGUCGAGAGUGAUAAGUUUGUAAACACUCGGAGAAAAUUUUGAGUUCAUAAACUCUCAAAACUCACCGUUUGCAGACUAAAUAUAAUUUUGUAGUUGUGACUUUUAAUGACGGUUUUAUCUAAAAACCGUCAUUAAAAGUAAUAGAUGUUUUAACGACGGUUGUUAAAUAAAACCGUCAUUAAAAGUAAUAGUUGAAUAUUUAAUGACAGUUAUAUAAUAAAACCGUCAUGAUAAAUUUUGAAUAUUUAAUGACAGUUAUAUAAUAAAACCGUCAUAAUAAAUUUUGAAUUUUUAAUGACUGUUUUUAUAAAUAACGGUCAUUAAAAAUAAGAUUGACAUUUAAUGACGGUUAUAUAACAGAACCGUCAUUAAAAAUUUAAAAUUUACAAUGACUGUUUUUAUAAAUAACCGUCAUUAAAAGUAAUACUAUAUAUUUAAUGACGGUUAUAUAACAAAACCGUCAUUAUAAAUUUCUAACUUUUAAUGACCGUUUUUAUAAAUAACCGUCAUUAAAAAUAAAAAUAUAUUUUAACAUAAUGUUUAAUGAUGGUUCUAUAAUAGAACCGUCAUUAUAAAUGUUAGAUAUUAUGACGGUUUUUCUAAGAACCGUCAUCAAAUAUUUUUAAUGACGGUUAUUAAAAAUAACGGUCAUAACAUAUGGGUCAUUAUUUAGCAUUUUUGUAGUAGUAUGUGGGGGUAUUUUUGAUAUUAUUCGGGAGAUGAUAUUAAAUAAAUUAGGAAAAUUCACUGUCAACAUGAGUAAUAAUCUUUAAUAACAUCGAUGGAUGAUUAAAUUGAAUUGGUUAUAGUAAAACCGGAUGUCAUAGUGUCUAAAUCUCUUAGUGAUAUUUAUUACUACUUGCAUCUUUAUUUAAUUUUUAGUUAUUUUAUUUUAUUUUAUUUAGUUUUUAAUUUAAAUUCACUUAUUUGGUUAUUCAAAUAAAUUAGAGUUAGAAUAAUUUCAGUAUUUAAUAAGACAUACAAUCUUCGUGGAAUAAUACUCACUCUUCAUUAUUUUACUUGAGCCAACUAGUACGUACACUUGCUAAUUUACACAACACUCCAUCCGAAGGCUCAAACGAAAAUCUGUCAUGUGCUUGUUUUCCACCGAUUAACGUUGUCCCAAUAUGGUUCAUAAUCAACGGUGUAAAGCGGUUUGAAAACUGCAUCGAUGGAUAUGUUCACUUCUGGGACUGUGCCGCUCCACCGUAGCUAUUACACCAUUGGAUUUUUUGAGUACCCCUUUUACUUGAUUGUAAAACUAAAAAUGACUCGGUCGAACCAGUGCACGGCUUGAGCAAUUGUCACUAGAUCUAUAGUUGAUUGUGCUGCGACAGUUUGUUCAAGUUCAGGACAUUGGUGGUGCAGUGCAGCGAUAUCAAAUCGUCGGUAGCUUUGUUGCAAAUUCCAAUUGUUUGGGGCUUGGGUCCGAGCCUAUAACAUUUUUUAACAUCCCAGCUAGUUGAAAAUUUACAUUCAAAUAUAAAGUUAGGGUAGGUAGCAAUGCAGGGUUUUGGUUCUACGGGGGACCAUUAAAGAAAAUAAAAACUAAAGCUGGCUGUAACAUUAUAUCAGUAAAAUUAAGAUGCUAAUAUCGUAGGAGUUAUCAGGCGAAGCCAAAUUGAACUUGGGAAACCUUAGAAGUGUUCAAUUUUGACCCCGAUUUUUCAUUUUUAACUUUUUAAAACUUUCGAAGAUUAAAUAGGCAUGGACUUGGCUUUUUUCCUUUGUGCUUCAAUUAUUGUAAAUGUUGGUCCGGGUUGUCUUACCUUGUGGUUCAUUGUUGUAAAGAAUUUUAAUAUUAAUGGAAACAGAGGAUCCAUCGUGGUCUCUUUGGAACAUCCGAUAAAAUUAGAACCGAUACAGAGAAUGAAGAGAAUGCACCAUGGAUGAUGAAAUGAAGCAACAAGACGUUCAGUUUUCACAACUUAUACUCCAAGCUUAGUAUCUAAAUUUUCAUAAAAAUGAAGUAAUUCAUUGCAAAUUCAACUUUUCUCUCUUUAGACUAUCUUUUACUUUUCACUCUCUUUAUGGACGUGUUUUCUUUCAUUUUCUGUUAUACUAAAAACCAGGGACUAUUUCUAUUUUUUUAAUAAAUCCAAAAAAUUAAUUUCAACGCCAGAAAAACUUCUUGCCUAUUAUUGAUUUCUGUUAUAGUAAGUGUUCGUGGAGAAUUUUGUUCGAGUUCGUGGAUUCCUGCUGAAAAUUCAAGAGAUUGACAAACCGCUCUCCUAUAUAUAAAUUUAAAUACUGACAUGGAGGUCUGGUUGCAAGCCGACAAAUCAACUCGACUAGAUUCAUCAUCAACAAUAUGUAUUAAUUUGAGCUUGAAUAAACUAUUAUUAAUUUCCUACUUUUCCAAUUCUCAGAUAAACUGGAAAUCGAGCAACCUUUUUACUCUGGCCAUCUGAAUUCCAAGCAACUUUAAACUUCUCCAUCAUAUUGUCUGUCAAAAGCUCAACACCCCUGUUCUUAGCCGUCUGAUAACCUGAACUUGACCGUAUGAACGUUAAGUAAUCAUCUAAAUCCAUCAACUUCUCUAAAACAAACUGAUCAAACGGCCCCGUAUUAUCCACCCCAUCUACAGGCUCAAAUGGAAAAUCAAUGCUCAUGUACUUGUUCUCCACCAAUUUAUGUUGUGGUUCCCGAAAUGGCUCAUAAUCAACGGAGUGAAAUGACUUGAAAACUGCAUCUACGGACUCGUUGAUUUCGGGCCAGUAGUAGGUCCAUGCCGCUAUUACUCCAUUAGGUUUUUUGAGUACCCAUUUUACUUGUUUGUAAAAUUGAGGCAAGUCAAACCAAUGUAGUGCUGUAGCAAUUGUCACUAGAUCUACACUUGAUUGUGUUGCCACAUUUUGUUCAAGCUCAGUUAUGGACAUGGUUGGAGGAGUAAGUUGAUACCGAAUGUUGGGGAGCUUUAUUGCGAAUUCUAGCUGCUUUGGGCUUGUGUCUGUAGCAAUGACAUUCUUGUAGAUUGGUGCAAGCUGAAGACAUAAUUGAGAAAAAAUAUAAAAUAUAGGAGGCUAUAACAAAAGUACACAAAAUUGAGAAGGCCAUAUAUAAAAAUUACAUAGACAUGGUGAAAUUUCAACCCAUACUCAGUUUUUGUGUUUUUUUUUUUUUCAUCCUCAAGGUUGCCGGGAUACUCUAGUUCCCCCCUCGGUAGUUAGAUAAGAUUUUUCUGUACUAGUCUCACGACUAAAUUUCCAGAUAAUGUGGAUAUUGAUUUGUAGAUAAUACAUACAUAAUUAAUCAAUGAAAAUAAUAGGGAUUUAACUAGGGAUUGGCAAUGGGAGGAGAUCGACAUUCCUGUAUCAAUUUCUGAUACUCUACUUGUAUCCUUGUACUCUCCCCGUCCUUUCUAAGAUUGCUUGAGGAUAGGGAUGGGGAUCCCCAAAGACACCCGAUCCCGAACAACUGAUUUUUGAACUUGAUUUAAUCAUAUUAAAGUAAAAAAAUAAAUCAUUUAACAAAACAAACACAUCAAAACAAACUAAAAUCAUUAAAAUCAUUUUCAUCAAACUAAUUAAGUUAAUGUCAUCAAAAUUACAAGAUAAUCAAUGAAAUUAAGUAAAAAUAGAACUUCAGGGUUGAACACAUACAUAAAAGUCACAUGGUAUAAACCAUUAAGAAAUUUAUCUUCGUCAAUCUUCAAGUGUUCAUAUCUAUUAUGAUAUUUUUUUUAUUUAUAUCCAUACCAUCACAAUUUAAAUUUUAAAUAUAAUUACUAAAAAUUUUGACAAAAAUAAAUUAAAAUAAAAAAUGGGGAAAUGAGAGAGAUGAGGAAUUCACUGAAUCCUCAUCUUCUCCCUGUAUAAGAUAUUGAGUGUUAAGUUAUCUCUGUUCGUUCCCCGAAUUUUAAUUAAAAUAUAAAAUUGUUCCCACACCCUACACAAAUGGGAAAAAUCCUUCAAGACUCGUCCCAUGAGAAUUUCUGCUAUCCCUGAAUUUAACAGUUAUAUAAUUCAACUUUCUUAUAGCUUGGGAUCAGAAUUCUGAAAUAUUAAUAUGGAACUUUUGUAUUAUUCAAAAAUUAAAUCUAAAGAUGUGAAAAGUAAACUUACGGAUGCAGCGCCCUGGCCGCUUCCGGUGCCGACGUCCCAUACAAGCUCGUGUUUGGGUGUUUUAGAGGCAAUGAAUUUGAACAAUUCUUCUGGAUAAUUUGGUCGUGCUUCCGCGUAUUGCUUUGCCUGCUUAACGAACAUAUCUGCCAUCUUUUCUGUUUUUUUCUAAAUAAGUGUUGACAAUAGAAUUGAGAUAAAUCUACUGAUCACUUGUUUCGUUUCUUCUUUAUAUAGGUUUUAGAAUUUGAUGUAGUAGACGAACAGACAAAUUUUAGUUAGAAAUUAAUUUGGUAUGGUUUAUCUGGGGAAGCCCAGAACGAGGACAAGCUCAUAAAGCGUUAAAUUUUGACCGAACUUUUCAUUCUUCCUUUAAAUUUCAAAGAUUCCCUUUUCUUCGCAAAGAUGAUGGUAUGGACUUCAUCAAUGAGCCCACAUCAACUCCACUUAGAGAAUUUUUUUGGGAUAAUUUUGUCAUUAAUUUAAGCUGUUAAAGGUAUCUAAAGAAGUAUUGAACUACUACUUUGCUCUCUUAUGGGGGUUAAGAUGGCGGAGUUUAAAGGCAGAUUCACCUCAUGACCAUUAGGAGUUCAAGCUUCCAAUGGAGAAAAUAAUUUAAAAAAAAGUAAUGAGAUGAUUGUUUGAAUUAUUAAUUAGAACCAUUAAAUUUAUUAAAAUAAUCGUGUUAAAUUUAUAAAAAUAGGUCCAUAAAUUCAUAAACCUAUAAAAUUUAAAAUUUGACUUUGAAACAUAUAAAAGCUCAUGCUUUAUUUAAAAAAAUAAAUGUUUACAAUAGUCAAAUUUAUUAUUAUUUAAUUUAGCCCUAUUAAAUUUACUAAAGUAACCUCUACAAACUCAUUAAUCUAUAAAAUUUUAGUAUUGAUUACAUUUUGUUAUUAUAUAAUUUAAUCCUCUGAAUUCGCUACCAUUUGGAAUUGGCUCUCUAUUAUUACUCGAUCUAGUCCAAGUUCAAUCAAAGUUGGCUCUCUAUUAUUACUUGUUCUAGUCCAAGUUCAAUCAAAGUUGGCUGUCUAUCAUUGACAGUUCUCGUUCAGGUUCAAUGAAAGAGAUCAAAGCAGAGUUUGUUUGCGAUUCAGUUUGUGUAAAUGCAUGUAGGUCCAGGUUGUCUUAUUUUGUGGUCCACUGGUGUAAAGAAUUUAAAAAGUAAUUGGAUAAGAGGAUGCGUCUUGGAUGAUGAAAUGAAGCAAUAACACAUCUUCAUGUGCAGUUUUUACGACGUGCACUCGGUAUGAUUAUGAAUAGUGAUAUAUGCAUAGAAAAUAAUACAAAAUUUAAUAAAAAUUAUAUAAAAAUAAAAAAUUAUUAUCCUGUGGUGUAUUUUUUAUCCUGUAAUUAAUUUUGUUUGUCUUUUAAUAUUGUGUGCUUUUAUAUUAUUUUUUGUACACGUGUCAUUCAUUGUUUCACUACUAUUACCAUGCUCCUAAAAACCUUACUUUUUUUUUUUUCGGAAGAUGCCGCAUUUGCUUGAUUUCAACAUUGGCAUGCUCGUCCUUCUUACGCUUUUGUCUUUCAAUAAUCAUCAUAUUCAAUGGCAAAAUUUCAACAAGAUAGAGCAAACAUUCAACAAAGAUAAGUCUUCUUAUUGGAUUAGGCAUAGAUUUUUAUUUAAUUUGUUAUGGAAGUUGGUGGCUAUCCACUAUCAGCUUAGAUCAAUUUAACUAGCUAUACUUAAUUAGCUAAGUUAUUUGGGUGAGCAAAGUCAGUUAGUAGUAAAGCUCGGAAAAUCACCUAAGAAAAAUUGAAACAGGACCAUCAAAUAUACACAGUUUGCUUUGAUUGGCCAUUCAACAAAGCAUCUGAAGAGAUUGGAUGGCUAAAGAGCUAAGGCUUGGCUUUGUUUUGAUUGGCUAAUGGAUCCUAUAAAUAGAGAGCACUGCUCUUCGUGAUUUGUAUCCUAAAUUGAAACCUCAUCAAUUACAAAAAUAUCACCUUUCUUUGUAUCAUGUAUUUAUUAAUUUAUACUUUCUACAUAUAUGUUGUCAAUGAUUAUAACACGUUAUUAGUUAGCAUGACAAUCAUUUUGGUACAGGAAGUAUCUUAUCCCCUGCUCUUUUAUUUUAUCUAUUUAAUUAAUAAAGCUAUCUUUAUAAAUAUACUCUGAAGUUGUCAUUAAUUUGGAUCUUCCACAAUUAAAAAAAAUAUGACUAGCUAUUGUAUUUCUUCUUGUUUAUUUUUUAUUUUUUUUAUAAUAGAGGGGCUCUAGAACGAGCUAAGGUAAAACAUAUCGGGAGUAAGUAAUCCCAUAUAAAUCAUUUGCAAUAAAACUAACAACCCCGGGAGGAGGAAUAGAAAAAAGAUGCAAUCCCAAGGGCAGCUCCAAGGCAUAAUUUGAUAAGAAGUCCGCUGUGAAAUUUGCUUCACGAUAUAUGUGGUUGAUGGUUAUAACCCAAUUUCGCUUGAUGAGAUCUCUAAUGGAGCGGAUGAGGAGGGUAUACUCGUUGAUGCUCUCCAUGUGGCUGUUAACCAUCUGAACAACACAGUGGCUAUCCACUUCCACGUGUAAAAACCAAGCACCAUGUUGCCAUGUUAAAAUUAAUCCUUGGUAAAGGCCCCAAAGUUCUGCUGCAAUAACUGAAUAGACGCCUAUGUUGAAGCCAAAGCCAGUGAGCCACAUGCCUUGGUGGUUGUGUAUGAGACCUCCAGCACUUGAUGCCCCCAACUCUUUUCUUGCUCCGUCUUUGUUUAGCUUGCACCAGGGCCAGUUAGGUAACUUCCAGGUGAUCAAUCUCUCAAUUUCUCUUGAUCUCAACAACCAAAGAUGAGUUGUUGAUGUUCUGAAUCUCCUCAACUCUAGCUUUAAUAUCUUGUAUUAUACUAAUACCGUCCAUAUUUUGUUGGUGGAAUAGGAACUGAUUCCCCCAGAACCACAAACUCCAAAUAGUAACUCCAAAGCAAAUAUUCCAUUCAAUACUCGAGUCCAUUUGCCCUUUGCUUAGUAAAUUCUGACACAUCCAUUCUUUUAGAUCAGUCGUGAAAAACCAAGGACAAAAGCUCCCAGGAAUUAAGCGAUUUCCGACCGUUUUCGCGACCACACAGUCUCAAAUCACAUGUAUGGUAUUCUCAAGAGUUGAGCCACAUCGAUCACACCAGUCGUCCACCAGCAAAUGACGCCUUGACAAUUCAAACCUUGUUUUUCGUUUAUCAUGCAACACCAACCAGAUGAAAAAAUGAAUGCUCUAGGGGCCUUUCCAACUCCAUGCAAGACUCCAUAGCUUCUCCUCGUCGCUUAAAAUGGUCUUUGAUAGAGCAUGGUAAGCUGACUUCACGAUAAAACACCCCUUUGCUGAUUCAGCCCAGAAAACUUGGUCUGCACCAUCAUCUGCCAAAGGAGACUUAUAGGAAGCAAUCCUAAAAAGGAUAUUAUGUGGUAAUAAGAAACUAAAACUCCCCCACAACCAAUUUCCAGCAUUGUCAACAAAGUCCACUACUUUCCUUUGUACUAAAUGGUGUGGAACUGGAGCAAUCGCAUAAUUAAUCAGGGGUUGAUUUUUAGUCCCCCAACAAUCCCAUCAGAAACGAACCGUUUUACCAUUCCCAACAUUCCACCGAAUCCCCCUCUUAACAGCAUGCCAAAUUUUCCCAAUAGGCUUCCAAAGGUAAGAACCAUAUUUGGUUGGCAACUCAUAUGGCAAAUUUUUUGGGUUCACUCCAUAUUUCGUAAGCAGCACUUGAGACCACAGACUUUUUGGAUUGACAGUAAGGUUUCAGCCCACUUUCAUCAACAAAGCUUGAUUCAUUAUGUCCAUGUUCUUAAAACCCAAGCCGCCACAACCUUUUGGACGACAAAUCAUCCCCCAACUAACAAGGCUCAUCUUCCUUUGAUUAUUAGCAUCGCUCCACAUAAAUUUCCUGCAAGCUUGGUCAAUUUUACUUUUAACACUAGCCGGCAAAUUCGUAGUUUGCAUUGCAUAGAUCAGAAUAGUCUUCAGCACUGACUGGACAAGAGUGGCUCUUUCUGCUAAAGAUAAAUGAUUGGCAUUCCACCCAGAGAGGCGUUGCUCAACCUUGUCAAUAAUGCUCUGAUAAGUCCGCUUUGAGACGCUAAAAUGUAGGAGAGGCAUUCCAAGAUAAGUUCCCAGAUCUUUUAUUACUGAAAACCCAAGCAAUUCACCUAUUUGUGUAGCCUCAUUUGCUUUAACAUUCUUGGAGAAAAAAAUUUAAGUUUUAUCCUUGCUGACCUUGGCACCUGAGCUUGCACAGAAAGCAUCAAGGAAACACCAAAUAAAUCUAGCUUGAUCACAAGUUGCCUCAGCAAGUGGGAGAAGAUCAUCAGAAAAAAAAAGAUGGGUGAUAGGGGUCCCAUUUCGAACUAGGCGAAUUGGUCUCCGAUCUCCCAUAUUUACAGCGUGAGCAAUGCCAUGGUUGAGUCUCUCAAUGCACAAAACAAAUAUAUAUGGGGAAAUAGGAUUCCCCUACCUAAUUCCCCUAGAUGGCACAAAAUUCUCGGUUAUCUCCCCCUCCCAUAAAACAUUCAUCUAAACUUGAGUAAUACAAUCUAUGAUUAGCUGAACUAAGUCAGAAGGAAUUACAGCCUCUAGGAUUAAUUGUCAUUUGCCCUCUCCUACUAGUUUUCCGCCGCAUGGAGUGAAUCACCUCGAGUAAUAACAAUAUUCUCGGUUAUAUGACGUUCUGGGACAAAACUUAUUUGUUGAGGACCAACAAAAUGAGGUAGGAUCAUUUUUAGCUUGUUGGCAAUCAUCCUGGUGAUUGUCUUAUAAACUAAUGUACAUAAGCUAAUGGGGCGAUACAUUUUUAAAGUCUGAGACGGGAUGUUAUCCUCAAAGUAUAACUUGGAAAAAAAAAGUUGUACAGUAUGGCAUUUGAUAUCUUCAACUUCUUACAACCAUUUCCCAUUCUCAUCUUUAGUAGCCAUGAUCUUGUUUCUCCUUCUUCUAGUCAGUGUCUUAUGGUGAAAGAAAGUUGUGUUUCUAUCACCGUGCAUAAUCCAAUCUUUUCUAAACUUUUGCUUCCAAAGCAGCUCUUCUUGAGUAAAAACUGCUUCAAGUUCUCUUUUCAAUUUUAAUUCAAGCCGAAUGAGACCCUUUGUAGUAUAGUCCUCGAGAGUUUUUUUAAUACCACCAAUGCGAGCCAUAGGUCUUCUUUACCUUUAGAAGGUAUUACCAAAAGAAUUUAUGUUCCAGUGUGAGACAUUGCGAGUGAAAGAAAGGGCUGAUUAGAGGUAGGGUUCCAUAGGAUUCCAAUUCGAAGCAACAAAAUUAUCAAAAUCUUUCGUGUGAGCAGAGCCGCCAAGAAUCAAAAUGGUCUCUGUCCCUGACCCCGUCGCUCUUCUUUAUCAAAACGAACUGAUACCGGUCUAUGGACUGACUGAAUUUUUGGUAAAUGAAGCAUAGAGCUAUCUACAAAUUUAUUUAGUCAAUCCUCAUUGCACAUUGCCCUAUCUAGCUGUUUGAAGAGAGCCCCACGAGACCAAGUGAAUCUAGGACCUGUGAACUGAAGGUCAUAUAAAUUGCUUGAUUGGAACCAGUUUAAAAAACUCUUACAAAUCCCACUUCUAUGUAAGGAGCCACCUUUCUUUUCCGAAUUAUAAAUGAUAGCGUUGAAAUCACCAACGAUGAGCCAAGGUUCGCGAGUGUUGUUGGCUAGUAUUCCAAGAUGACCAAAGGUUUUGUCUGUUAGUUUGAACAGGGCUUGCAUAAACAGCAGUCACCCAUGACAAAAAGCCACCAUUGUUAAACAUUCGAAAAUGAAUGAAUUGCUUGUGAUUUAAAGACACUUCGACCUCCAACAAGUCUCUCCACAAAAGCCAGAUUCCCCUAGAGAAACAAAUUGCUUCCACCCUGUGGGACUUGACAAAACCACUUUUCUUGAUGAAACCAUCCGCUCUUAUCCCACUAAUUCUUGGUUCCAAUAGAACAACCAUGGUCGAUUAUAAGUCUUUGUCAGAGACACAAAAGCACUGUGAAAUUUUCGUGAGCCAGCCCCUUGGGCUUUCCAAAACAUUAUAGAAAUAAGCAUAAAAAAAAAGAUAAAGAUAAAAGGGAGAGAUAGGGAGCCUUACUCAACCAAGGUCUCAUAACCCAACUCCAUAUCCUUCUCAUCUUCUAGAGAAAUAUCAUCCUCUGAAGAAUCAGUACCCUUACCACUGUCUCCCAUAUAGUCACUGUCAUCUUCAUCAUCAUCUAAAGUCAUCGUUCCUGCCAUAAUCAGGAGGUUCGUCUUGGGCUUUGGCAAGCUGACCGUUAUCACCACCCAUAAGGAAUCCGUGUUGAGGCUCAGCCAGGGUGGGGUUUGUGGAAUUUGUGGGAGAAGCAUGUGUGCCCUUUUGAUUUAAAAAAAAUGGUGGUAUGGAACAGGGGGUUUAAGCUAGUUGAUACGAAAAUAGGAUCUAGGUUCAUUGCAACAUGUGCAUGAGUUUUGCUUGAAUUACGUACACUUUGCAUGGCUUUUGUUUUGGUGGACUAGAACAUGUAUGUCACUUAAAUACGGUCCCUCACGUGACAAUAACUUUGGGCUGGAACUAUUAUUAGGUUUUAUCAUUUUCGAAGCUUGCUUCUUUUGUUUUGUUUCAACUCUAAGGUUAUACUUGGCUGGCCCUUGUUUGUUUGAGCUCGGAUUAGUAGGUUCUAUAUUUGUGGCAUUAUUAGAAUCGCCUUCCUCAAAGUUCGCUAACACUACAAAAUGAGAAUCCUUUCCAUAAUUGCUCCAUUGACCUUGCCGACCUUGCCCCGCAUCCUGUUGAAAUUCAUUUCCUUUCUCCAAGCGAUCCUUACCGUUUCUGGUGACCACCAUCAAAGGGCCAAAUAUAGGAUAACCACCGGGAGCUAAAGCAUCACCCUUUUCUGCCAUCGCACCCACCAUGUCACCGCUAAUAUCACGAUCCAAAUCUUCUGUUGCACGGUCAGGACAUAGCUAACUGGUAUGUCCAUAUUUGCCACAUGUGAAACAUAUAUGGGGAAGACAUUUAUACUCCAUUUUUUUAACUUUGCCAUCUAGUAGGAAUUGAGAUACAAGAGGCUUGUUAAGUGCUAUAACAACCACAAUACGUGCAAAUUUACCCCCCAUGGCUGAUUCAGUAUUGUAGUCUAUUCGAACGACUGUUCCAAUAAUCUAACCAAGCAUCCGAAGGAUUCUUUUGUGGUAGUAAUGCAGGGCUAUACCAGGAAGCCUGAUCCAUGCAAUAAUUGUAUUAAUUGCCUCUGUAAAACUAUCAAAGUGAGGAGUCCAUGGCUGCAUGACUAGGCAGUGACCCAUGAUUGUCCAUAGUCCUUGAGUCAAAGCAAAAUCUGCAUCACCCUCUGAACGAAAUCGAACGAGGUAGUAACCGAUAUCCAAAUCAAUGACCGAGAAACCUAGAGCCGACCUUUAAAGAUUUUCCAAUCUAUUACAUAGGACCUUGUAGCCUAUGUGACGUCCUAGAAAUUUAACAAUCACUGAAUUCUGCCAAGGUUUUACGAGUUGCUCAUGGAUUAUUUUUAAGAAAGAGAUAGAUGGUAUGUUGCCAUCAUCCCCUACAGUGAUAUCCUCUGGUCCAAAGACUAGAUCAUCCUCCACACCAAUCAUCUCCUCUUCAUUCCUCUUCUCUGACUCCAUUAACUUAUCUCUAAAUGAAAAGUGCUCAGGGUUGUCACCAUCGUCGCCCUGGGCUAUAAACUUGGCCUUCUUCGUAGCAUGGCCAUCAUUGAUCGAAAGGGUUAGGUCCUUCUCCAUCUCUCUACUUAUAGUAUCUUAUAGUAAACUAAGAAAUAUUAAAGAUCUUCUAGCGUAUUUUGAGUUGUAAAAUGUUUAAUGUUUAUUUUAUAUUACUAAAGUUAAAAGCAAUGACCAAAUCGUAUGAGACAAAAGCAUAAAUCAAGACCAAAGUGUACAAAACCAAGAUUGAAGCAUAAAAAAUUCUGAUUGGAUCCUUAAAAGUAUCAAGACUGAAGCCUACUAAUUUGAAGCCACAUAUUUGAAUAUUCUAAAACCCCAGAAGAUAAAUUGAAGAUGACAAAUCCAAUGAAGCAUGAAUUUAAAGUCUACAAUAUUUUUGGUAAAAAUUAUUUAUCUUGAAUUCUACCUCAGUAAUUAGAAGCCAUAUGUCUCAAUAAGUCAUCUGGAAGCUAUGAGACUUAGUAACAUAAUCAAGCUCAUCUAACUGAAAGGAAGUCAUUGCUUGAAUUGAUAUGAAGUCUUAAUUGAAGACAGAAUUCUUCACUCAAUUAAAAUAAGUUUUGACAGUAAUUUUUCAAAUUAGCCCAUCAUCACAACUCUGGGCUUUACAAAAUGACAUCACAGUUGAAGAUAUGUGGAAAGAAAAUUUUUGAUAAAGAAGACAUGCUCAACAUUUCAGGCUUUAAACAUGAUUUUGCAACAACAAUAUCAAGCUCGCUAACCUAAUAGGCACAAAACGCGCUAACUGUUGAGUGUUAGAAAAUGUAUAUUUAUAAAGGAGAAAAUCAUCAUUUUACAUUUCAAGUCUUACUAACAACCCUUAUUUUUAUGUAUUUAAGGUUCUUGUAAUUUAAUUAUGUGUGUUUUAUUUUAAUUAAGUAUUUUAUGUAUUUUAGGGGCAUCAUAGUCAUUUCACAAUAAAUGAGAGAUCAAACGGCAAAACGAACAUCACUUUUGAACUCAGGACGGUUGAAAACCUUAGGAGGAGCAUAAAAGGAAAAAUGGCACUGUUCACAUGUACGGUACUGUCUACGUUACUGUUCACGACACUGUUCACAUAGACGGAUUGAUGAUGUGGCAUUGACUGAUGAGGUGUCAUGAUCCUGUUGGUCUAAAAUUCUUAUAUAUUGUUGAUGGUGACGUGGCAGCACAUCAGUGGACCAAAAAUCUCGCGUACGGUACAUGCAUCACACAAGAUUAUUUUCAACCAAACCGCGUCACUGUUCAACCCGGGUCAAACCGUGUUACUGUUCAUCCACGUGGUUAAACCGCGUACUGUUGAGUGAUGACGUGGCGCAAUCUUAAGCGUCCAAACUGUUUUUAAUCCGAUGGCCACGAUUUACUCAAUGUAUCUAUAAAAAGGGGGCCUUCCCCCCUAUUUGAUAUCUCUGAAUCCAUUUUCUGUAAUUACUUCACCAUCUUGUAUUUUCUACGUAUUUUAAUAAUUUUCGUUUUGCCCCUAGUUCAAUUAUGAGUGGCUAAUUUCCUUUCAAGCUUGGGUUGAAAGUGAAGUCUCAACAUGUGUCAUGGGCUUUAUUUGGUAAAUUUAUUUUCUCUUCCCCUCUAGUUUUUGUGGAUGUUUUGACUUCUCGUCGACAAAUAAUAAUAAUCUUGUUUAGUACCGCCUUGGUUUCACCGGCUCCCUAAUACAAGGUUAUUAUUAUUUGGCACGAUAAGCCCUUAGCACCAUAUUGAUUAGAGCGUGGUUCAUGAGGUGUGAAUUCCCCCCUCAUGAUUUAAUUGGCAUUAAUAAGGAUUAUUUAGCCCAUGAUACAUGUUGAUACGGAUCCAGAUAUCCAAGUACAUCAUUUCAAUAGAUUUCACUUCAAUUUAUUCUCGCCAUUUCAAUUCCAAAUUUAGAAUAAUCUAAGUUACUUUCACCACAAAUCCAACCACCUUCAUACAAAAUUAAUUCUACAUAUAAUUAAAAUCCACCUCCUCGUGGGAUCGACACUCAUCACCAUUAAUAUGUCCUACAAUAGAUUCGUGCACUUGCGAGUUUAAUAAAAUUUGCACAACACUAACCUUACAGGCACAAAGUCGAUUUUUGAAUAAAAAAUUUAUCACAUAGACACAUGGUAAAAAUCAUUGUCAUGAUGAAGUUAUAGACAUGCUAAAAAUCGUGGUUACAAUUAUGAUUGAAGUCACAUUCCUGAAGAAAUCAAGCAUUGGCUAAUAUUAUGCAGAGACAAACUAGGUUGAUUGAGGGGAUGGCUCAAGGUGGUGGUCCUGCUCAGAAUGCUAGAGUCGAAGGGUAUGGUGUUGCUGCUAGAGGCAGAAUGGUGGCAACUUUAGAGCAAUUCCAAAAGUUAAGGCCUCCUGUGUUCCGUGGGACAACUAACCCUAUGGCAGCUGUUGGUAUGAAUUCAAAUGCUAUUGGUGUCAUUGUACAAGUGUACACAACAAGUAAUAUAAUGAUGACUAUUUGAGAUCGUCUCCACUGGGAUUGAUGUUAUCAGACUUACUACAGCAAUCUUAACAGUGCAGAUUUUAUUCUGAAUUAAGAUAAAACAAUUAAUGAAAUUAAUAUACUAAUUAAAAUAAAAACGCAAUAAAUAAAAUGCAACAAAGUAAACUAUCACAUCAAGCUCAAGGAUAAAACCAAUGGAAAUAUAGAGUAGUUGAGUGAAUAAACUCUCUUAAUGGUUUUGACUAUUUUUCUAAUGUUUGACUCGGUUGCUACAGCAUUUGCUACAGCACUAGGUAGAAUCCUUAUAUAUCAUCAGCCGUCGCAUGUUGGAUAUCUUAUAUCUAUAUGCAACCUAAUAGUGAUUAGUUGUUAUACCAAUAUAAGAUAUAACAUUACACGCUUAGGUUCUAUUUACCCUACAAGGUGAAUCCCUAUGUCUAGUUCAUCACUAAUCUUAGAUUAAGUAUGGCCCUUUUGGGAUUCAAGUAAAACUCAAUCUAGGAAACCCAAUUUAAAACCAAAUAUUGCUCUGAUAUGUUCCACUAAGAUAGACCCUUUUGUGGCUCUUCCUUAGCUAAUAUCAUUAAAAAACUUGAUUUAUAUUAUAAAAUCUUUCAUUUCAUAUUUACAUAUUAUUAUUACAUAUUAUAAAUUCAAAAUACUUCAAGAAACAAGAUAUGAGAUAAUCCACCCUUAUAACUGAAUAAUCUAAAUUAAAUACAUAAAAAUUUCUACUGUCCAAUCAUAUGCCUACUAGUUGUAACUAAAUUUAACAUUUCUAAAAGCUAAAAUGAGCAAGAUGAUUGCCUUCACUCUUUCAAAAUAAGUAGUGCAAUUGAGUUAUCAUACCACCAGAUUCUUCAUUCUCCAUUCAAUAAUGGAUGGGUUAGGAUACAAGUGAAGUUGAGGAAGAAACACUUCAAACAUAUUGAUCAAAUCUGCAUAUGAAUACAUGGAAAAAGGAAAAAAAAAUUGCUUGUCAAUUUCCAACCAUUAGAGAAACAAUGGUUAACAGAAAUAAACUUUUGUCAUAUUUGUGUUUUUGGCUAAUUUCUAUGUUUGAAACCAUCAUGUCCCACAUAUCUUCAACUGGAAACAGUGGCAGUUGGAUUCCAAGAUUUUUAGAAUAAGGAAACCGAACCUAGUAAGCUCGUGGAUAUUUGUAUCUUUACUAAAUGUACAUAAAUCAUUUAACAGAGUAUUACCAAGAUAAUAAAAAUAGUUAAUGCAGUAAAGUGCAUCACAUAUUUUAAAUACAUAUAUACUUUUAAAUCUAUUCGCUCAAUGUAAUGCUAAUAAAAAAUUCAAACUGAAAAUGAAAGCAAAGCAAAGUGAUAGUGUGUGCAUUAGAAAAAAACUCAAAAAUCACGACAUUUGCAAUUUCAUUUGAAAAUUUUACAUUUGCAACACAAAACUCAAGCAUCAAAACAAAACUUGAUUUAAUGAGAAUAAAAAAUGAUGUAAUUACCAUUAAAUUAAGCCUGAGAUAAAUAAUUAAAAUUAAAAAAUAAUGAAACAAAACAGUGAGGGAGAAAGGAAGUACCGUUAAGGAAAGCAAAAAGCUGAGAUUAAGGAAACAGAGUGAGUCUAAAACUUGAAGCUUUUUCGCUUUUCCUUUUCACAACCAGAAAUGGUUUCUGCUUUUCCUAUCUGUGUUCAUUUUAAAUUAAAUUAAAUUAUUUUAUUUUAUUUGUCUAAGAAGAAAAGAGCCAGCAUAGUGAAAAGUCUCUAACAGUCCAAGCUACACAAGCUACAUUUGAAGGUUGGACCCUGCCUACACAUCUACAGAUCUACUGAAAGAUUUGUUAGUGACCAUGACUUCCAUUAAUUUCUAAGCACUCAAAUUGUGUUUUUGCCAUUCUUUCAAGUAAAAACAUUUAAAUUUUAAAAUGUAUUAGAUUUUUUAAAAAAAAUUUGAUUUUUUUUUAAUUAUAAGCACUAAGAUUGUGUUUAUCCUAAUUUAUUCCCUACAAUUACAGUUAUGGUUGCAUCUAAAUUAUUGUAAAAUUUAUUAACUUAAACUUUAUAAUUUGUAAUCUGAUUAUGGAAUGUUUAUUUUUAUGAAUAUUGGCUUAUAAUCCUUUCUUUGCACAUGGAGACCAUUUGAAUUAUUUUUUUUUUCUAUGAGAUAUAUAACACAACUAAUAUAUCUAUAAUUAGAAGGCAAUGGGAACUAUGAGGAAGAAGUUAGCUCCACACACAACCUAAUAAGAGAAAAGAUAACUCUCAUCCAAAAAUAUAUUAAAAACAUAUUUAACUCUUAUAAAUUACUAAAAAUAGUAGCUCAACCACAAUUUAACGAGGGAGAAGACAACUCCACCCACAAACUACUAACGUGAGAAAAGACAACUCUUAUCCAAAUAUAUUAUUAAGAAUAUUUAGAAAGAAAAAAGAGUUUGUUGGGACAUGAAUCUAGACUCUUUAGUUUAAAUUGAGAUUUUUGGACCACAAUUAACUGGAAAGUAAUUUAUAUUUUCAUCAAUUUAACACACAAAUCGGUUUUCCCAAAUCCACUUAUCAUGGCCUAGAAGGCUAAAACAUCACAAAACAUAAUGAACUAUCUACACAUAAAGGCCAAAUGACAAACUAGAUUUGAAAUCAUAUCACUCAGAGGAAUAAUAUAUUGGCCUAUAACUAGCGCUCUGACUCUUAGACUAAAAUAAAGAAAACCAAUUAUCAUUGCCAUCUUGAAUCAAUUCUUCUAAUUUUCUAGUUUAUCACUAAAUUCUCUAACAAAAUAGAAUCUUUAAGAUAACCAAUACAACUCAAACAAGCUUAAUUCAUAAUAAAAUUACAAAAUGAAGAAUGAACCAACUGAUAACGAAAAUAUCACAAGAAGUCAUCUUAGUUUCAAAAUCACUAAUAAUUAAAAAAAAAUCUUGCCUGAUUAAUUCGAUCGAGAACCUCUUCUCUCUUCGCUGCUUCUUCUUUACGUUCAUAAAGCCCAACUUCAAUAAAAAACUUCAACCCUAAAGGAAUCAAAAUCAGGGUUUCAUGUAGAAAAAAAAGUAAUUAUAAAUAAAGAUAAAACAAAACAUUUUUCAAGUCACAGGUUCUUUGUAUAUCAGCCUAUGUGGAUCCCACGAUUGAUAUUGGUUUCGUAUAAUUAGCUAGCGACGGUGACGAACUCAUUCUCUUUUUUUGAAUCAAACUUUCAAACCCUAACUUUAGCCAAGUUCUUCACAAAAAUUUGAGGCUUAUUUCCAGGGGUAUUUUAGCUCAAGGAUGGUGGCUUUGAAGGUUUAUAGAAGCGGCUUGUGAGGUAGAUCAUUGUUAGAUAGAGAGAGAGGUAGAGACAAAGAGAGAGAGAGAGAGAGAAAGAGAGAGAGAGAGAAGAGAGCUUCAGUUCAGAGAAGAAAAUGGCCAUGGGGAUAGAUUUUUUGCUCAUCAAAAUUUUUAGAUUUUAGGUUUCCAUGUACACCUCAUUAAAACGGCAUAGUUUCUAGAUAAUUUAAUUUAAUUUUUAAUAAUUACUACAUCAAGCGAAAAUACAACUUGUGCUCUGGUUGUUUAACAUUUAAAAUUAAAAAGCUAAAGCUUAGAAGUCUGCGGUUCGACUCCUAGCGUAUACAAAAUUAAAAUUUUAUUUUUUUAAUUACUGAUACCUUAAUGUCACAUAUCUUUGAUACUUAUCUAUUAAAUGUAGAAAAUGUCCCAAAUGCAUGUAAUUACUGAUACUUUUUAAUAAAGUGUCACAAGAUAAGUGUCAACAAAUACCAUUUUUCUUGUAGUGUUAAUUAAAAAAAUUCGAUUUUACCCUCAAUGAAUUACACAGUAAACAACAGUAAAUUAACGGAAGGGUGUUUUGAGCUUUUUUUUUUUUUAAAGUAUGGAUGAAAUGAACUGUUGUUUGAAUAAUAAGGAUGAAUUAGGCUAUUGCAACAAAUUCAAGGGAUGAAAAAGGAUUUUUCUCUUUUACUUAGGUGCUGUUUAUUUUUUAGUUUGAAGUUUGAAUUUAAUUUUUUUAGACAUUUGUUUAUUUUAGGUUUUUUUUUUUAACUUAUCACUUAUUGUCAUAUAGUUUUAUCUGAAUAGAAAAAGUAGAAAAAGUUCACUUUAUUUGAAGUCUGAAGUCUAAAUAUAAAUUUUUAAUUUCAAAUCUCAAAAAUAUCCUUAACAAUUCAUGUAUUUCCAAUAUUAUGUAUAAACCUUAUAUUUUUGUAUUAUUCUUGAAGUUAUUUUUCUAAUUGCUUUAAAUUUUUAUUCACAUGAUAACAUUAACUAAACUGAAAUAUUGAACAAAUCAAAUUAUGUUAAUUGUGAUGAAUCAAAAAUAAAAUAAUAGUGUUGACUUUAUAAUAAAAUUUGAUGUUAUAAUUACAUCUUUCAUUAAAAAAAAUAAAAGAAGAUCAACAAUGAUAAUUUUUUUUUAAUGUUACCAAACUAAUCAACCUGUGAAAAUUAUAAAUGUGAAGAACAAAUAUAUGCACCACUUAAAAUGAUAUUUAUGCCAAAUUACUAGUUUUUAGGAUUUUCUCUUUAGAUGUUGAAAAAGAAAAACAAAGAUGUCAUUCAAAUAUUUUCAUUCAUAUUUAUUCAGAUUUUAGUUAAAUUCAGAUCUAUUCAGAUUUCAGAUAAAAAAACAAAUGCAAUCUUAGUUUAUAGGUACAGGACUCCACUCUAGCAUGGUUUUUAAUCUAAAAAGAGAGAGAGAGAGGAGAGAGAAAAUGGAUCAAAGAAAGAAUAAUUAUAAAAAUUAAAAUAAUGCUCGUGGGCAUUUUAGUCAAUUCAAGUUGAGAUGAAUGGAAAUAAAAAAAUAAAGAGGAAACCUAUUUGAAGUUUUAAACCCAUAAAAAAAAUAUUUUAUGUUGUAUUUCUCCCGAUACCCAUUAAUUAAAUUUUAAAUUUAUGAUUAUCCUUUAAACAUCCCUCUUAAUUUCAAAAAUAGCCCUUUAUUCUUUUCCACCAUAAUGGUGUUUUAAGUGAUACAUAAAAUGUUUUUCUACCAUAACUUUGAAUUUCAAAAACUUGCUUUAGUGUUGGUUAAAAAUAAUUAUUUUUCAGGAUUAAUAAAAGUUUCUUAUCAUAAACUCAUUCUAAUUUUUUCUUAGUUGACGAAACUUUACAAAACUGAAUUUGUGUCCCUAGCAAUGCCACUUUGAAGCUUUUACAAAAUUAAUUGUGAUGUCACUGAUGUGUCUAUUAUUUUCAGCUACAAUCAAGCCAUAAAGCCUUGUCAAUCUUGUAAUAUGUUGGUGUUGGGGAUUUGGCGAGGGUAUUGUAAUUAAAAACUUCAAUUACAUUAAAAGAUUUAGGAAUAAUGUUUUAAUUAUAGAUUCAUAGUGGAAAUCCUUUUUUUGGGAUCCUUUUAUUAAGCUGUAGUCACAGUCAAAUAAUCAUUUGGCUUUAAGUUUUUGAUAUAUAUAUAUAUAUAUAUAUAUAUAUACAUGCACACAUAUACAUACAUAUGUAUGUAUGUAUAUAUAUUCAACAGAGAAGAUUGAAACUAUAUGUAACACAUUGGACUGAACUUGCCCAUGAGCUAUCUGAUCUAAAAUUAUUGAUGAAUUAGACAUAGGGGUUCACCUUGUAGGGAAAAUAGAAUCUAGAUCGUUUAAUGCUAUAUUUAAUAUUGGCGUAACAAUUGGUCACUAUUAGAUUGCAUUAGAUAUAAGAUAUCCAACAAGCGACAACUGAGGAUGCAUAAGGGAUUCUACCCAGUGCUGUAGCAACAGUUUCUCAAUUAGAAAGACAAUAAACACCAUUAAGUCACAUUGCUUUUAUCCCUCUGUCUGAAGUGAUAAUUUUCUUUACUACAUUUUUUAUUUAUUGUAUUUUUAUUUUAAUUAGUUUAUUAGUAUUAUUAGUCAAUUUAUUUCCAAUUAAAACAAAACUGCGUUGUUAAGAUUGUUAUAGCAAAUAUGAUAACAUAAAUCCCUAUGGAGACGAUCUGGAUACUCAUUAGUAUAUUACUUGUUGUGUACACUUGAAUAUUGACAUCCAUAGCAUUAAAGAUUUUACACACCACAUAUUUACAAAUUAAAGAAGGCUUUGUACAGUUUAAAAUAAGCACUUAGAGCUUAGCUUGUUAGAUUCAAGUAUGUAAGGCUUUCUCAGUGGCAUUUUCAGCACUCCAAGUCUGAUAACUCUCUUUUCCUCAAAUGGGAUAGAGGUCUUUUGGUUCUAGUUUUGGCAUAUGUUUAUGACAUGAUUAUCACUAGCUCCAGCUCUUUUAUAGUUCAAUAGGUUAUUCAAGAAAUGCGUUACACAUUUGCUUUAAAAGACUUGGCAAAGCUCCAUUAUUGUCUAGGCAUUGAAGUCAUAAAGACUCAAAAUAUAGUUCAUUUAUCUCAAGCCAAAUAUAUUGUCGACAUUUUAGCAAAACAUGGACAUGGCUAGUUGUAGUCCAGUGCCUAUACCUAUGUGAACUGGUCAUAUCUUAAAGACUUAGGUGAUGAAAUUGAUAAUGCAUCUUAGUGUAAAAGUGUUAUUAGAGCUUUGUAAUAUGCCACUCUCACAACGCGAGAGCUAGCCUUCUCAAUUAACAAAUUAAGCCUAUUUUUCUUACGUCCAAGGACUCAUCAUUAGGAAGCAUGAAUAAGACUCUUGAUAAACUUGAAGGGUACUUUACAUUUUGUAUUGCAUUUCUAUAGUUGUCGUGCUAUGCAGUUAAACUAUUUUGUAUAAUAUUAUUGGGCUUGUGAUAGAGACGAUAAAGAUUUGCAAUAUAUCCAGGUCCCAACUUGGUUUUAUAGUUAUCUAAGAACCAAUCAGUGGUCUUUCGAUCAAGCACAAAGGCUGAGUAUAUAGCUUUAACUCAUUCAACCUAGCACCAUGCCUAUAAUCUGGUGUGCCAAUCAAGAAGCAACUGCUUUGGCGUAUAACCCCAUUUAUCAUGCUAAAACCAAACACAUUGAGCUGGACAUACAUUUCAUUAGAGACAAAGUUGUAGCCAAGCAAAUUCAAGUUUGUUUUAUACUAAGUGCAGACCAAACAACUAAUUUGUUAACCAAAGCACAUACUUUUAAACGGCUCUAUUACUUGCGUAGCAAGUUGAAUGUUCAUUCUAGACAUUUUAACUUGAGGGAGGUUGCAAGUGAAUCAGAUGUUACUUGAAUGCAGAGCAUAUGGUGCAGCCAACAGCAGCAGAUCAACUACUAAGCUAAUGUAGCAGAAUUAGCAAUUUGGUUUAACUUGUAUUAAGCAAAGCUCACGUGAGCAUAACAAAAUAGAAAGCAUUUAUAACGGAAUUAGAAGCAUGUAGAAUUCAGCACUAUAAAUAUGUAAUGUGCUUUCAUUUCAAUUAAUUAAUUAGAAUCUUCUACAAGUUUCUUCAAAAUAUUCUCUCUCAUUUUCUAGUAUUUCUUGCUACUUUCUUACUUGCCAAACAUCUUCUAAUAUUCUAAUAUUAUACAAGUCAAAAUGUCAAACCAGUGCAUGGCUUGAGCAUUAAUUGUUGACAUGACUCAAAAGUAUAUUACUCCCAAGUAUAAGAUUAUCUAGUUAUAAUAUAACCCGGUAAAUCCGGGAUCGAAUCACAGAGAAUUUAAAAUCUAGUUGUCAAUUUAUUGGACAAAGAAAAUUAAUUGCGGUAAAAGAAAUCACUAGAAAAAAAAUUAAAAAUAUGCUAAGGUUACGAGAUCCACUAUUAAUAUUCAAACUAUAAUUUUAAUACUUUCUCAUUUAUAUUUUUUUCUCACUUUUACCAGUUAAUUAUUAUAUCAUUUAAUUCUAUGUGUGUGGAUAAAUAUGGAAUAAAGUACCUAAUGUGCCACAACUGUAUUAAUGUAUCAACAUUAUGUCAAAAUACCAUAUAGAUCCAAAAGAAUGUAUAAAUUAACAUGACAUAAAAAUAACCAGAAAAGAAUAAAAUAAACUUAAAAACUCACUUUGAGAAAGUAAUAAAUUUAAUAGUUUGAAACUUUGAGUUUUACCCUUCACCUUAGCUUAGUAAAAUUAGCCACUCAUAUUGAAAGAAAACACAACAUUCUUUUUAUUUGAUAAACUUUUGAAAUAUGUUAUAAAGAAAAUUGAUACAGAUGGAAACAAGAAAAGAAAAGUAAGAAAGAAAGAAAUUCUUCAGCUGCACCCUUGGCUACCACUCUCUCUCUCUCAGCUCUUGGCUCAACUCCCCCCUAAAUUGCUUGCAUCCCCUUGCCUUUUAUAGGUAAGGGAAGCAUCUUCUUUUCUUUUCUUUUAUUAAUAUUAAUAUUUUAUUUUAUUUUUAUAUUAUAUAUACAUAUUGAAAGGGGUGAUGGCCAGGAGGCGUGAUGGCCUCUUGACCAUCACAAGCAACCAAAUCAUAGUUGCCUUUUGUUCUUUUGUUCUUUUUUUUAUUAUUAUUUAUUACAUCUCCUUAAUGAUGCAUUCUAAAUUGCUCCAACAGUCCUUCUUUGUUCCCGCUUUCGAUUCCAAUUCCAUCUUUAUUCCUGAAAAAUAUUUACAAGAUAAAAAUUAACAUAUUACGAAUUAAUUUUAUAUAAAAAUAUAUUUGGGGAGUAUUAAGAUAAUUUAUAAGUAAUGAGCACAUUAAUCGACAUAAUAAGUGAAAAACUAAUAAUUUUAUCGUUAUUAAAUGUACACUUUUUAAUGCCAAUCAAUUGUCGCUUAGAUCAAAGGUUGAUUGUGCCGCCAUGUUUUAUUCAAGCUUAAAAAUGGACAUAGGACAUUGCUGGUGUAGUGAACUGUAUCGAUUGUUGGUGGCUUUGUCGCAAAUUCUAAUUGUUUUGGGCUUGUAUUCGUGCCUGUGACAUUUUUUAAGAUCCUAGGUCUGAAAAUUUAUGGAACGACUUAAAAAUGUUUGAUUUACUCUCAAGUGUAAGAGUACCUAGUUAUAAUAUAUCUCGGUGAGUCUGAGGUCGAUCCACAGAGAAAAGAUUUAAUUUGUUUAUUUUAUUUUAUCUAAAAUUUGAAAAUAAAACUUAAAUAUAAACAACUUAAUUUAAAUAAAACUAUGAAAUUGAAUUAGUUAGGGUUGUGGAUUCACUCUUAGUUGUAAAUAAAACUUAAUAAAUUCUUUUUGCCAUUUUUUUAGAUUUAUUGCCCAAAAGAUUCAUUAUAUAAAUUAUUAUUAUUUUCCCUUUAAUUUUAUAAUGGAUUAAGUAUUCAUUGUGCCAAAAUUUAAUUUGUCUACAAUAAGUCAAAAUACCAUUUUACCAUACCUUAUAUUAAGAUAAAAAAGAAUUUAUUGUGCCAAACUCCCUUGUUUGUCUACAAUAAAUCAAAAUUUCAUAAUAUAAAAUGCGUAUAAAAUUAAAUAGAAAAUAACUUAAUUUAUAAAAUUAAAAAUAGAAUUUGAUUAAAUCAUAUUUAUUUCCUAUGAGUUUCACCUUCCCCUAACUAUUAAUAUUUAGCUAAACAUUUUUUUAAUAAAGGAAAUUACUAAAAUUGAAAAACAUAUAAUUAAAAAUGGAAUUUGAAAAUUGAAAUAAAACUAAUUUUAUUGAUUGAAAAUAAAUUACAAAGAGAGAUGAAAAGAAGAAUUUGGGGGAAAAGAAGAGAAGAGAAGAGAAGGUGUGGAGAGGUGUGUUCACCCCCCUCUAUUUAUACUAAUACAUGGUAAAUUCUCACCACACAAAUAAAAAAUCUAAUUACAUCUUAACCUUACAUUUGCCCCACUAAUAAUCCCACUAAUGAAACAUAAACCUAACUUAUCCACUCAAGCAUAUCCAAUACAUUCCACUAACAAUUACCAUACCUAACAUGAUAAAAACUUAUAAUUUUACAAUUGCCACAUUUACCGUGGUAAAAACGUAAAAAUUUAUAACAAAAGUCUUGGAUCCUCCUCGACAAUGACAUAAUUUCUCGGACUUCCAGAAUCCAAAUUUGACAUCCAUACAUUUGUUCAGAGCCUCAAAUUGCAUGAAAUUAUUAUUUUUACCUAAUAAACAUAAAAUACAUAAAAUCAAAUAUUUAGAAAAAUAAUUAGAAAUUCACAAUAUGUUACACAAUUAAAAAUAUAAAUUACAUUAAUAAAACAAUAUAACAUUUUUACCCUUAAUAAACAUGCAAUUUUUAACACUAAUCACACCCCCCAACUAGGUUAUUGCUAUCCCCUAGCAAUUAAAGCGUUAUAUUAAAUUAAGAUUUACAAAAUUCACAUGCAAGUCAAUAGUUGUUCAUCUAUCCUCUAAAUUACCAAAUAAAUAAACUCUCCCAAAUUUUUUUUUAACUCUUGGUCGUCCACUCAUUAUCCCGAAUAUCAUAAACCUUAUUUUCUGCUCAAGUAAUUAACACAAUACUUAUGGGGUUUCAUUAAAAGAAAACAACAUUUUCGUUCUAAAACUCAUUAGAAAUUCUAUCUUCAGGCAGUAGAUUAUUCAAGCUUUUUUUUUAAAAUUGCAUUUUUAACCCAUGUAGCGAGCUUUAGGUCAGUGACUCCCAGACCAGUUGACCUUAGGACAAUCCAUAACUAGGCCACCUUUCUUUGACUUUAAUGACUACCCAUAUUGAAAAACUAGGAGAAUUUAUUUGUAAGCUUUAGGUUAUAAAAUUUGGCAAGUUGUUUGUGAUGGUUCAUUCAUGCCUAUGACUACAAAUAAAGUAGGAGAUUAUAUUCAAAAACCUUCAAGUCAAUGAAGUGAAUUAGAAAAUAAAAAGAUAUCUUUAAACUCUAAGGCAGUGAAUGCUUUGUUUUAUACUCUUGAUAAGAAAGAUUUUCUUAGAGUGUCUAGUUGUGAGAGUGCUCAAGAAAUAUGAAACAAACUUGAAGUUGUCUAUGAAGGGACAAAUCAAGUUAAAGAGUCUAAGAUUAGUAAAUAUACUCGACAAUAUGAAUUGUUCUAAAUGGAACAAAAUGAGAGCGUGUAUUCUAUUUAUACUAGGUUUACAUAUAUUGUGAACACAUUAGAAGCCCUAGGAAAAAUAUUUUCGAAUAGCAAAAAAGUUAAGAAAAUUAUUAGGUCUUUACCAAUGGAAUGGAGACCUAAGAGAACUGCCAUAGAGGAAGCUAAAGAUUUAAAUACUUUGCGUAUUGAUGAUUUAAUUGGCUUUCCUAUUUCAUAUGAGGAAGAUUUGACAGCAGAAAACGACAAUAAGGAAAAAAAAAAAGCAUUGCACUUAAAGCAUCAAAGCAUGCGAGUGAUGAGGAAAGCGAGCUUGAUGAUGAA
rnacentral:lncRNA from 1 species